rnacentral:lncRNA from 1 species
UCUGCCUAGAUGAUUCCCGAACCUCAUCAACUUGGUAGACAAUGUAAUGUCACUCAUGUACUACUGAAACGCCAUUAAUUUGACAUUACAAAAGUUCAGUAUGGUAAUUGCCACUCAGGUACUACUGAAACACCUGAGUUCAGUAUGACAUUACAAAAGUUCAGUAAGCUAAGGGUACACAUUGUCCUAGCUGGUUCUGCCUAGAUGUUCAUUGUCAAUCAACAUUUGUACAUGUGUGACAUGCAUCUGGAAUGAUUCAGCUCAGCUACCAUACACAGAUUUCCCGAUCGAAAAGAGAAUCGACAGAGCACGACUGACCGAACUUGCUGCUCCCCGCUAAUUAACUACGCGGAGGUGGUUCUCUCCAUGCUGUUGGUCCUCGCGUUCUCCCGCAUCUUCUCGACGAUGUGCCGGCCCUUCUCCUCCACCUGCCGCCGCUUCUCCUCCAGCUUGUCCCCCAUCUUCUUCCCCAGGUCCAUCAUCCGGCUCCGCCUCCCGCUCUUCCGCUUCGCAUCAUCUCCAACAGAGCCCGCUGCUGCCGCCACCGCCUGCUGCUGCUGCUGCUGUUCCCCCGCGGGUAUGAUGGCCCUCAGGGAGGUGUACGGUGGGGAUCCCGCCCUGCUCUCCGAUGAGUCUGCCUGGAGCUUCUCCGUGACCAGCAGCGGUUUCCUCGGUUCGUCGGCAGCGUCGGGGUGUGAAGGAGAGGCGGUUUCAACCAGGCGAGACUCUGUGUGGGAUGCUUCUGCGGAAAGAGGGUCUUCGGUUGACUCGUCAAUGGAUUUCAGUGAUUCCUCACUCCCGGCUGAGGAAGCAGGCAGACUUGGUGCUCUGCUUUUGCUGAUGGCAUCGUCCUUGGGACCAGCUUCCUCAGGAUGGGUUGGUGUGGCGGCUGCGACAUGGCUUUUGGCCUCGGUGGGUUCGUGGUUGAGCCAGAUAUAAGGUCCCUCCUUGCGGGGCACCCAGUCGUCCUUCUCUGCCAGCAUCCCUGGAAUGGAAAUGCAUUCACAGUUUGGAAGCACCAAGCUAUCACGGAGCGAAACCUGACACAGCAUGGUGUGUUUCGCUGUUAGACAUGCAAGUCAGCAAAGGAACAACAUGUUCAGAGGAAGGUCGUGUUGUUUACCUUGAUUCUGUUACCUAUAAAUGACGCGAUGCGACUGUUGGUAAUUUUCCUGUCUCCGACGGAAGAUUCCAAGUCCCACUCCAGUUCAGGCAUAGAUGUGAAUCCAUACCAGAGUUGAUCCGACGGAGGGGGCUUCAGAUGUAUGCGCAAGGUACCUCUAAAGGACGUGAUUUUUAUCGGUAGAACAUCAUCAUCGUCACUAUGCCGUCAUGCUGACGGAACUCUCCCGUCAUGCCGGAUCGGAGUUCGAGGGACGUCAUCGAGCUGAACGUGUGCUGAACUCGGAGGUGCCGUGCGUUCAUUACUUGAUCGGUCGGAUCGUGAAGACGUGCGACUACAUCAACCGCGUUGUGCUAACGCUUCCGCUUUCGGUCUACGAGGGUACGUGGACAACACUCUCCUCUCUCGUUGCUAUGCAUCACCAUGAUCUUGCGUGUGCGUAGGAAAUUUUUUGAAAUUACUAUGUUCCCCAACAAGUACUUUAAUCUGUAGCAUAAGCAGGGAACUAAUAUGAAUUGUCAAUCCCAAAAGGUCGAUUUGAUGACAAUGUAUUGUCAAUCCCAAGGUCAUCAUCUCUGAUUUUUUUGCAUAUUCAUUUCAGUAAUCCAUUUGUGUUAACCAAAUGGACUGGUUAGAAUUUGGAUCCGAAGAAUCCCAAAAGGAAUUGUGAAUGUUUUAGUUGAACCAAUGCUUUAUUAGAAUUUCUAUUAUUUACUUUGUAGGAAUUGCAACUCAACUCACUCCAUCCAUUUUUUUUCUCAACGCAUGGACAGUUACCACAAAAUAUUAUAUUACCCUACCAAAAUAAGUUUUAGUCUAACCGGUGGACAAAGAAACAAACAUAUAUACCUGACCUGAGCAUGUAGUUGUAUUUGUAGGAGGCACCCUGAAAGAAGAAAACAAAGCGCUCGCAUAUAUCUCUUUCUCGUAAACCAGAUUCGUCCACCGAUGCAUCACAGGUUCACAACCCUGCAGUGCAAACAUACACAAAGAUUUAGGUAAGCAAACCAUGGUGUGAGAAGCCAAACUAAAAAAUUAGCCAAUGCAUAAAGCAGUAUGCAGUACAAACAGUAGCAAUCUUGGUCGUGAGCACCUACACGUAAUAGUUUCCUAACGAAUGAAAUACAUGAUUCUUUCUGCUCCCUCUCAUAUUUAUUCUGUAUCUAAUCUAAUGAAAUAAUUAGGAACAGAGUGGGAGACCUUGGUGAUGCUAGCAAACUGCCUGCACGGGACAGAUGCGGAGAUGAACAAAUCUAGAAGAAGGUAAGUGGUGGGGAGGUGGGAUGAACAAGGCUGCACCUUGAUGGUUACCGCGGUUGCGGCGUGUGUGUCGGAGCUGGAUGGAGAAGCAGCUCCAUGGCGUACGUGCACCUUGGUGCCUGCCUGCAUGAGGAAGAGCAUCAGGGGAAGGAAGGGAAGGGAAGAAGCGCAGAACCAAGAGAUUGAUUGAACUCACCAAGGUCGGACCUUGACGACCAGCUCCAUGCCGUCCGUCUCCUCACGAGGCUGGUCCGGUGGGCGGAUCUGGCCACCGCCAUGGCCUGCUUGCUGGAUGUCCCCCACCUGCUGUUGGCCCAGUCCCCACGCCGAGUACUUUCCGACGACAGGCGGCGACCGACGACGAACGACGACGAUGAACGAAGCUUGCUGAGACAACGCACCGUAGCAAACUCGCCACCAAAUAUGCACAUACAAACUAGCACCCUUAUCCCUUGUCAAGGCACGUACUAGUGCUAGUUGGUAUAAAUAGCCAAAGCUAGGUAGCUAUCGAUCAGCUUGAUCGAUUCUAGCCGGCAACACAAACGUACAAUUUGAUAGCCAAAGGCUUGUCUCGAGCCUUGUUUACUUUAUUGAUCAACUCACGGUACGUUAGAUUACACAAGGGGCUGGUCCAUAUAUAGUCCAUAUAUAUAUACUAGGCUAACCUAGCUACGUACAUGACCGAGUUGGCCAGGAAUACUAAUCCUAGUUGGACUAGGAAUCCUACCAAAACACCACGUACACAUGCCGUGUACUACUAAUUCGUGUUUAAGUCUAACACCUGUCCUCUCCUCUCCUCUCCUCUCGUGGUGGCGGGGGGAGGGGAGGAGGGAGCCAUCUGGCCACCACCAUGGCCUGCCUGUUGUAGGUUCCAUGGCCGGGCGUCAAGGGUUUCCGGAGCUAUGGCUGGUACUGGUCGCCAUGGCCUUGGCCUGCGUGUGUGAGGAAGAGGGAGAGGAAGGAAAUCAAAUCGCAGCAGCAAGGUAAAAAGUGAAGAUGAGAAGGCCAUGGAAGAAGGAGGAGGAGGAGGAGAGGGAUCUGGUGCUGCACCUGCUUCCGCCUGCGGCUCGGUGGCCAUGCUAGCUGGGGUUUCAGACUCCAUGCCGCCGUGGAUCUUGGGGCUGCCUCACCUUCUCGCUCAAUCUGCGGAUGGGAGACAAGGUGAGGGGCGCGGGAGAGGAUGGAGCGGCGGCGUCGGGGUAGAGGGAGACGAGGCCACUGGCGGCGGGGUUGGGGCAGAGGAGAGUAGGAUUGGGGAAUCGUCGNNNNNNNNNNNNNNNNNNNNNNNNNNNNNNNNNNNNNNNNNNNNNNNNNNNNNNNNNNNNNNNNNNNNNNNNNNNNNNNNNNNNNNNNNNNNNNNNNNNNNNNNNNNNNNNNNNNNNNNNNNNNNNNNNNNNNNNNNNNNNNNNNNNNNNNNNNNNNNNNNNNNNNNNNNNNNNNNNNNNNNNNNNNNNNNNNNNNNNNNNNNNNNNNNNNNNNNNNNNNNNNNNNNNNNNNNNNNNNNNNNNNNNNNNNNNNNNCGCGGCUGUCGGGUGGAUUUUCUUAGCGUGGGUGAUAGUAGCGCGUUUUGCAAACCAGGCGCUACAGCUAUGUCUUUAGCAGUAGCGCUGGGUUGGUCACCCAUACUGCUACUAUGUCUUAACCCGGGGGUGUGGUGUGGUACACUUACUAGUAGCGCUGCCAAAAAAACCCACGCUGCUGCUAAGUAAUAUCAGCAGCGCGUUUUGUACCAAGCGCUACUGGUAUUUACCAGUAGCGUAGGGUCCCAAACAAGCGCUACUCGUAAAGUUCUGUGUAUAAGCAUUUUUCUAGUAGUGCUUUGUUGUGAUGUUCACAUAGUUGUGACAAUAUGCAUGCUAUAUAAUGUGUUCACAUAGCCUGUGUGGUGUUGGCUCAUUUGGGGGAUCAAUGUUGAUUAGUGGGGCUGCCAUAAUCUGUACUGCAACGAGUAGUGUUCAAGUGUAGUCCAUGCUAUUGUAUUUGGAAACAAAGAUCAUGCCUUAUUUUCUGAUUUUGUGUACACUAAAAUAAUAUAUCACAACAUAGUUACAUUUUGGCGUGAGAGGUAUUUACUAUGGAUGAUGCUCAUGCAUUCUUUGCCUCCUGCUUUUGCCUUUUCUGCCAACAUCUCUUCUCCUUUUCUUGUUUAUUUUAUUGAUUUUAUGUAUUUAUCACAGUAUCAGGUGAUGAAACCCUUAAACAAUCUUAGGACACCUUCUGACACAGUGCUGUUAUCUUGUGAAUGAGAAGUCAUAUUUUUCCUGAUGGUACUACAUGUACACAUUGUGCUCGUUGCUGCAUAUGGUUGGUCCAUGAUGAGAUUUCUGAUUAGCUCCAAAAAGCUCUUGCUCUUUUUGCAUAUUCCCUGGAACAAUUUCACUUGCUUCAAGAUCAUUUCUUUAUGCUUUCUAGUUAUUUCCGUAACAAGUUACCGUUGUCAUCUUCCAGCCUCUAAAAAUAUGUUAAAUCUUACUUUUCAGGAACUUCGUGUUGGAUCAAAUGAUCGUGCUGCAGCAGGCGAUGAAGGGAUGUUUGGGGGAUUUUUCAGCGAGUGUGGAGCUGGUGCACUAAGCCUAUCACUACUGGGCACCCAACGAGUCCCUUCAUGUUCUUGGAUGUAUAGUGUGUGUGAAGUAACAUUUUGGUGCAUGUAUAGUUAACAUGCUGGUACAUAUUUGGUGAUGUAGGAAACUGUAGUUGAACUACAACAAGCAUGUACAUGCAUGCUGGUCGAGAUGUUUAUUGGUUAGCUGUAGCAAACACUAGCUAUAGCUUAUUUUUGGACAAACUUGAUGGCUGGUGAUUUGCAUCUGAUGUAUGCAUGUGAUGAUUGAUAUCUAGAGAUAUCUAUAUUAAUUAUGAAAUGUUAUUUUGGGUCAGAAUUAUGGCUCCUAUUUGAAAUAUUCUAGUUGUGGAUUCAAAUUCAAAUUGCAAAUUGGAAUUAUGGCACAUAUGAAUCUGGUGUUUCCCUACGGUAUAAUUCAAAUUUGGUAGGGACAUAGCUCUAGGGAAAGUGUAUGAUGAUGUGACAUUGCAAAAGGGUCCCAUGAUCUUUCCCUAGAGCUGGCUAUAGGUGAAACAAACUUUACACGUUGGAUGCAUCAGCCGUGUGAAAUUCUUUCCCUAGGGCUUGUGCCCCUAGGUAAAGAACUAGCCCUAGGGCUGGUUAGAUGCACCCUAGGGAAAGGAGUCUUUCCCGUCUAGACUUUACCUAGGGCAAACCCAAGGUAAAGUCUUUACCUAUGGUUUUCCCUAUUUCACCUAGGGUAUAUGGCCAUAGGUAAAAUCGCAGUUUCUAGUAGUGGCAUCUGGACGAUGCAUGCAUCCAUUUUAUUAAUUGUUCACACAAGACCUUACAAAGUAAUACAACAGUAAGACUAAAGCCACCGUCUAGAAAACAUCUGUCGUUACUCCUAUCCAAUUGAUGAAUGGGUGCUGAUAGUCUGGGCCUAAUACACAACAGACCUCGCAGCCAAACCUACCAUCUAAGACCUGAGGUCCCAUCCAGGACGCUUGCCGGGUAUGGGGCACCCCCCCGGUCCGGCGCACUCCUCAACUAGGACGCCUGCCAGGUAUGAGGCCGCCGCAGCCACCUGCCACCAAUCCAUCUUCGGAACUGUACUACUGCAUCUACAUUGCCCGGUCUAGCUGCCGUCGACGCCACCACGACGCCAGACCGCGUCACCCUCCUGCGCAAGUCCAUCUGCGCGCAUUGGAUGCCGAUUCACCACAACGCCAUGCCGCCGAGAUCCGCAGCCAUCAAUCAGUGAGAUGACGCACCACUCCAUCAAAGAAUCCGUCCUCUGUUCCCUCGAUCACGUGUGUACCUCCAAGAAUGAAGCCCCGAAGGGGUAACGACAAUAGAGCGCCGCCGUCAUCCGAUCAUCCGAUCUAGGGUUCCCCCCGGAGGUAGCAGAGAGUGGCCUUGAGCUUCUCCACGGCAAUGCCUUCAAGAAGGGAACAAUGCAGAUAGCGCCGCCACCGCCGGCCUUGACAAUAGCCGAAAGCAAGUUUUCACCCAGAUCUGUUCGAAGGAAUCCAACUCCCGUGCACGGCCGCCGCCACACCGGGAUAAGCAAUCGCCGCCGCCGGCACCUCCACGAUGCCUAGAGGCUGCGAGACUUGCCGCCACCACGCCUAUGCCACUGGCCACCGCUGCCAACACCAACCCCACCAUCCAGCGGAUCUGGGCAGGGAUCCCAGAUCCAUCCCCCACCACCCACCACCACAGAGGGGAGGAGGCGGCUCUAGCGAGGGACGCCGGGAGGGGGAGGAGGAGCCGAGGCAGGGCCAGCCCGACGCCCGACACCACCAGGUAGAUGGGAACGCCCCGCGGAGUACCCAACUGCGUGCGGAAGAGAGCCGCCCCGCCGCCGCCAACGCCACAUGGCCUUUGGCCGGCGACGCCCCAGGCGGCGGCGAGGGAGGGGGUUGAGGCGAAGGGGGCGGCGCUAGGGUUCCUCCCGGGGGCGCCCGCGGGAGUGCCUCGGGGAGGGGAGCGGACGUAUAGAAAAUCUGCAGUACACGUUCCAUUUGCGAGUAGCAAAUUUAUAUUAGCAGGACCAGAAGCAUAAACACACGCUCCUAUCCUUAUCCUUGUCCUCGGCCACAAAUUUAGAACCAGACAUAUGCUGGUAGUUGAAAGAAAUCAUAGGAAAAUUAUGUUAUGCGUCCAUUAAUAAUUAAAAUCAAGCUAGUCUUUGCAUUGCAAGGCCUGGUGUUUCCGAGCUGCUAUCUGUCGUCGACGCCACCACGACCUGAGACCGCGUCACCCUCCUGCGCGAGUCCAUCUCCGCGCAUCAGACUCCGAGUCAUCACAGCGCCAUGCCACCAAGGUCCGCCGCCAUCAAUGAGUGAGAUGACGCACCGCUCCACCAAAGAAUCCGUUCUCUGGUCCCUCGAUCACGUGUGUACCUCCAAGAAUGAUGCCCCAAAUUGGUGAACGACACUAGAGCGCCGCCGUCAUUCGAUCAUCCGAUCUAGGCUUUCCCCCGGAGGUAGCAGAGAGUGGCCUUGAGCUUCUCCACGGCGACGCCUUCAAGAAGGGAACAAUGCAGAUAGCGUCGUCACCGCCGGCCUUGGCAAUAGCCGAAAACAAGUUUUCACCCAGAUCUGUUCGAAGGAAUCCAACCCCUGUGCACGGCCACCGCCACCACCAGGCUAAGCACUCGCCGCCGCAGGCACCUCCACGAUGCCCAGAGGCCGCGGGACUGACCACCACCACGCCUGUGCCGCCAGCCACUGCUGCAAUACCAACCCCAGCAUCCACCGGAUCUGGCCAGGGAUCCCAGAUCCAUCCCCCACCACCCACCACCACGGAGGGGAGGAGGCGGCGCUAGCGAGGGACGCCGGGAGGGGGAGAAGGAGCCGAGGCAGGGCCAGCCCGACGCCCGACACCACCGGGUAGAUGGGAACGCCCCGCGGAGUACCCAAUUGCGUGCGGGAGAGAGCCGCCCCGCCGCCGCCAACGCCACAUGGCCUUUAGCCGGCGACGCCCCAGGCGGUGGCGAGGGAGGGGGUUGGGGCGAAGGGGGCUGCACUGGCGCUAGGGUUCCUCCCGGGGGCGCCCGCGGGAGUGCCUCGGGGAGGGGAGUGGACGUAUAGAAAAUCUGCAGUACACGUUCCAUUUGCGAGUAGCAAAUUUAUAUUAGCAGGACCAGAAGCAUAAACACACGCUCCUAUCCUUAUCCUUGUCCUCGGCCACAAAUUUAGAACCAGACAUACGCUGGUAGUUGAAAGAAACCAGAGGAAAAUUAUGUUAUGCGUCCAUUAAUAAUUAAAAUCAAGCUAGUCUUUGCAUUGCAAGGCCUGGCGUUUAUUCGGCAGCAACGACAGGCGACAACCGCGCGCGGGUCAGCCGACGACCGUCACAUCCCAUGGGACCUGCAUCACCGUCGUGCUUUUAAUCCUCGAUGGGUACUUACAGAGGCAAGGCAGCAUAUAUGUACACAUGCAUUGUGAAUGUCUAUCUACUGUUGAUCUUAUAGCCCGGACAUAACACAAAACCAACUACCAAACUUGCCGGAGACCGGAGUAAGCGUACGAUGAGGGCGAUCAUUACCGCCGCCGUGUCCUUGUUGGCGUGCUUGGCAGGGUAAACACGGACAAGAGCGGACACCGCCCCUUCCGCCGAUCCAAACGAACAAAAAUCGGAUCAAAUCCGUGUCCGUACGCGUCGGCCGGUUGGAGUUGGCCUAGGCAAAUUUGACAAAUUUGACCUAUAGACGAAAUCAAAUCAUAGAAUGAACUAUCCGUGAAACUAUUUCACGCGGCUGACCUUUUUGUGUGACGCCCGCCACGAAGGUGCCACACUACACUGUGCAACGCCUCAGAGAUAGGCGCUACACGGUCAGCGUCGCACACGUGUGAUCAGAAAAUUACUAAGUGGUGUGCAGCGCCUGAGAGCUAGGCGCCACACUAUACAAUAUAGCGCCUAGCUCCUAGGCGUUGCACUAGUGCAGCGCCUAGCUCCCGGGCGUUGCCUGAGAGCUAGGCGCCACGGGUCAACUGCGUGAAAUAAUUUUACAGACAGUUCAUUCUGUGAUUUAAUUUCAUCUAUAGGUCAAAUUUAUCAAACUUGCCGUUGGCCUAAGGGCUUGUACGGAGGUGUCCACUCAGCCAACCGUCUGUAACACCUGCCACAUUCGAUAUUUCUAUGCUAGUUAUCGAUAGCCUACUGCCCUACUCCCGGUAUACGCUCAGACGUCUUUUCUUUUUGCAGGGAACUUUAGAGAGCUUUAUUCAACAAAAGAAUUUCUGAGCAGCCGUACGCUUAGACGUGUAUCGGAUUGUUUGGUUGUUCCCUCCGCCUAACCAUCGUAUUUUAAAUCAACAAUAUUUCCUAAUUUUUGUGAGCUACAGAUAGUAAAAGAGACGGCCUACUGUACAGGCUGUUUUUACAACUAUCUACAGCUGACGUGGAGGACAGCUAUAGAAGACUGGUAUCUACCUAAAGUUCUAAACUAACAUAUACUCCUUUCUUUUUUAUUUAUUUCGCAUAUUAGUUUUGGUCAAAGUUAAACUUUAUAAACUUUAACAAGUUUUAUAGACAAAAAUAUUAAUAUAUACAAUAACAAAUCAACACCAUUACAUUCAUUAUUGAAUAUACUUUCACCUCAUAUAGUUGAUCCCGCGGAGCCUACCCAAAGGUUCAGGCCGGAUUGUAGGAAGUGGGUGAUACGUGUUUGUAUAUCUAUGAGAAGAAAUGCGGCACCCACGAUUCCCAGUAGUAAGUCGUCGGCAUAUCGCGCAGAUUUGUUAUUGUAAAUGUUCAUAAAUUUUUCUAUAAACUUGGCCAAACUUUAAUAAGUUUGACUUCAGUCAAAUUUAAUAUGCAAAGUAAAUAAAAACAAAAGAGUGCUCAGGAACAAAGAUUUGCUGGGCUAUUAUGCAGAAUUUUCUUGGAGGGGUACGAGAAAGUGCUCAGGAACAAAGAUCUGCUGGGCUAUGAUGCAGAAUUUUCGUGGACUAAUGAGUGCGGUGGGUGAGUGGCAGCGUCAACUAGCAAUGAAGUAUACUUCAAAUGUGAAAGCGUAUGUGUAUGUCGACGCAUCGCGGUCGAUCCGUCGACAUAGAAUUAAUCGACGAUUGUGAAGUUUAAACUAGCAAGUACUAGUACGUUACCAUGCAUGGAUAUGAGGCCUACAUGUACGGAAAACUGUAAACUUGGACCCAUUAUUAUCUCAACAGAACCUACUCAAAUGCAAGUUACUCCCUCCGUUCCUAAAUAUAAGUGUUUUUAGAGAUUUCAUUAUGAACUAUAUACAAAACAAAAUGAAUGAAUCUACACUCUAAAAUAUUUUUAUAUACAUUCGUAUGUAGUCUCUUAUUACAAUCUCUAAAAAAAAUUUACAUUUAAGACAAGAGGCCCAAGCCCACUUCAUCGUCCAACGACUCUUCGGUUUCUCCNNNNNNNNNNNNNNNNNNNNNNNNNNNNNNNNNNNNNNNNNNNNNNNNNNNNNNNNNNNNNNNNNNNNNNNNNNNNNNNNNNNNNNNNNNNNNNNNNNNNNNNNNNNNNNNNNNNNNNNNNNNNNNNNNNNNNNNNNNNNNNNNNNNNNNNNNNNNNNNNNNNNNNNNNNNNNNNNNNNNNNNNNNNNNNNNNNNNNNNNNNNNNNNNNNNNNNNNNNNNNNNNNNNNNNNNNNNNNNNNNNNNNNNNNNNNNNNNNNNNNNNNNNNNNNNNNNNNNNNNNNNNNNNNNNNNNNNNNNNNNNNNNNNNNNNNNNNNNNNNNNNNNNNNNNNNNNNNNNNNNNNNNNNNNNNNNNNNNNNNNNNNNNNNNNNNNNNNNNNNNNNNNNNNNNNNNNNNNNNNGUUCUUCAUCGCUGUCAUUCCAAGGCUGCUUCUUCGUUUCCACCUUCGGCACAUUCGUCUACGGCGGCCCCGGCGAACACUGCGCCGGCUCUUUUGAUGAUGUCGGCGCCACAGACUUCGACGCCGCCGACUCUGACUCAGCUAGCGGCACCGCCUCGCCCGAAGAGGGGAGCCAGGACCGGACUCACUUUGAGGGGUUGGCACCUGCGGAGGCUCCUGUGUGCGCGGCCUCGCCGCCACCAUCGUCCAAACCUACGUCACCUACCGGACGAGGAGUGAUUUUCUCCCCGUCUGUUAGGGACGACCAUGAGCCGGCGAUGGCAGAGUUGCGAGCUUUGUCCUCUUCGCCUCCGACACCGGGAGGGGCGCCCGCUUCCAGGGCUCUCGUGGAGCCGGAGGUUGAUAUGCAGCCCUCACGGUCUUCUUCAUCGUCGCCGCACCCGUCUACUCCACCACUCGGGGUCACCGGGACUGCCACUACUGCCAACCUCGUUCCAUCAUCGCUGAGGCGCAGCGGUCAUCACUCCAUCGGUGUUGAUGGUACAAUAGCCACCGAAGAGGACUCUUUGGUGAGGGUCAUGUGCAGGACAGCUGCCCGCAACCUCGACUUUGAAGGUACCUCUUCUCGUCAAUCAUUUUUGUCUUUUGAUAAAUCCAAAGUGCAUUCAAAUACUGCUAGCCUUCGAGUUUCAUUAGGACGUAGUGAGAAAGAGGUUUCUGUUAGGGCUCUUAAACAAGUGGAGUUCAACCGACUUACAGUUGCUUGUAAGUUUUCGACAUUUGCGGACCCUCUCGUGUCAGAUGAGGAGGAUGAGGAUGCUGAUGCCAAUCAUGAAGGCAAGCUUCUCUCCCAUCUAGUUAAAGACACAACUGCGGUAGACUUGGAUGAUAAUGUACGUGAUACUAUGCUAUGUGAGCUUGUGGCGUUGGUACGAAAGAACAAUUCUAAUUCAGCAAAGAAAAGAGGGUGUCCAUCUAAGAGGACAAAGGCCUCUAAACAACAACAAAAUGGUUCAUCAUGAGAGGCAUGUUUUGGAAUAGCAGAGGUCUUGGUGACUUGGCUAAACACAAACAUAUUGUCGAUUGUGUAAAGGAUCAUGAAUUGGACUUUGUGGCUAUCACUGAGUCGGGCAAACGUGACUUCCCAACACGUGAUCUUAACCACUUUUCAUGUGUUUACUAUUAUGAAUGGCACGUCUUACCCACGUCUGGGAGGUCCGGUGGAAUCUUGCUAGGCAUCCAUUCCACGUACUUGGAACAUUUGUCCGCGCCAAAGGGGGAAUAUCAUAUCAAAUUUCACCUUCGAAAUAAGUCUGACAACUUCCUUUGGAGCAUCUUGGCUGUAUAUGGCGUCGUCCAGGAGGAGUUUAAGUCUACUCUUCUAUAGCAACUUGUUAAUACCUGCCAAGACAAUCCCCAUCCCAUGUUAAUGGNNNNNNNNNNNNNNNNNNNNNNNNNNNNNNNNNNNNNNNNNNNNNNNNNNNNNNNNNNNNNNNNNNNNNNNNNNNNNNNNNNNNNNNNNNNNNNNNNNNNNNNNNNNNNNNNNNNNNNNNNNNNNNNNUGGCUAUUCCUCUUCAAUGCUAUUAUUGACAGCCUAUACCUGCGGGAGCUCACUAUGUCUGGCCAUCAAUAUACCUGAGCGAAUAACCGAGCAGUUCCAAUCUUUGAAAAACUUGACCGGGUGCUUGUUACCAUCGACUGGGAAUAUAAAUAUCCCCUAGCCUCGGUACAGGCACUAGAAAGAAUUGAGGCCUUGUCGGAUCACACUCCGUUGCUAACGGAUUUUGGACAAACAACUCCAAGUUCUAACUAUCAUCAGUUUAAAUUUGAACUGGGAUGGCUAACUAGAGAGGGACUUCUCGACCUGGUCAAGAAGGUGUAGGCGCGUCAACCUCGCGGUAACAUGCCCAUUCAACAAUGGAAUAAUCGAAUUCGCGCCUUGCACCGAUUCCUUCGUGGAUGGGCUAAGCACACUGCUGGCAUUUACAAAAAAAAGAAAAGUUGCGACUAUCUACUUUAAUCGAUACCCUCAAUAAAAUUGCGAAGGUGAGGCCUCUUUCUGCUGCUGAGAUUGAGCAAAAAAGCCAUCUAAAUGAGCAUAUUGCCCGCCAGCUCCAUGAGGAAGAGAUUAAAUGGUACCAACGUUGCAAUGCCGACUCGCUCGUUCAAGGUGACGAUAAUACAAAAUACUUACAAAUGCUGGCUAAUGGCAGACAUAGAAACAAACAUAUCUUUGCUCUUGACCAGGAGGAAGGCCGUAUCGAGGGGGACGCACCGCUCAGAGACUAUAUUACUAAGUAUUACAAAGAGCUUUUCGGUCCUUCCACUCAAACACUUUUUGAGUUGGACACAACAAGUUUUGGAAGCGGAAAAUGAAUUCUUAACUUCUGCGUUCUCUGAGGAGGAAAUUCGAACCGCGGUCUUUCAAAUGGAACAUAACAAGGCUCCGGGAUCGGAUGGUUUUCCGGCGGAGUUUUAUCAAUGCUUUUGGGACAUAAUCAAGGCAGAGACUUGGUUCAGUUGUUUAACCAAUUGCGUACUGAAGACCUUGAUAUUUCGCGCUUAAACUUUGGGAAAUUAUCCUUCUACCUAAGAUUAGGAGGCCAGUUGUAUUCAAUAAUAUUGACCGAUUUGCCUUCUAAAUGUAAGAUUCAAAAUCUUUACGAAGGUCGCAACUAAUCGGUUGAACGGGGUGGCUGGCCAUGUCGUCAAGCCCACUCAAUCAGCAUUUAUGCAAGGACGCAACAUACUAGAUGGAAUUGUUGUGCUGCAUGAAACUGUACAUGAGCUUCACCGUAAAAAGUUGAAUAGAGUGAUCUAUAAAAUAGAUUUCAAAAAGUCCAAUGAUAAAGUUAGAUGGCCCUUUCUGUUGAAAACUUUACGCAUGAAGGGGUUUUCACCAAAAUGGUGUCGAUGGGUAGAGAGUUUUGUAUCUGAAGGUAGUGUGGCCAUCAAAUUUAGCGAUGAGGUUGGCAACUAUUUUCAGAUAAGUAAGGGGCUUCGUCAAGGGGACCCCACAUUACCCAUUUUGUUUAAUAUUGUGGCCGACAUGUUAGCUACCCUUGUUGAGCGGGCUAAGGUGGCCGGUCAAGUUAGCGGUGUCAUACCUCAUUUGGUAGAAGAGGGUCUAUCUAUUCUACAAUACACGGAUGACACUAUACUUUUCACGGAUCAUGAUCUAGAUAAAGCAAGAAACCUCAAGCUGCUUUUAUAUGCUUUUAAGGAACUCUCCGGCCUCAAAAUAAAUUUUCAUAAGAGCGAACCUUUUUUUGCUUUGAAGAUGCUGCAGAAUCUGCGCUUGAGUACGCUGACAUUUUUGGAUGCCAGCUGGGCAGUUUCCGAUUCGGUAUAUGGGUAUUCCCAUACACUAUCGGUGUUUAACUAUUGCUGAGUGGAAGCACGUGGAAGAGAGACUUAAGAGACGACUAGCCAGUUGGAAAGCCAAACUCGUGUCAUAUGGGGGGCGAGUGAUAUUGAUCAAUUGCAUCCUCAGUGACAUGGUUUUAUAUAUGUUGUCAUUCUUCCAUCUUCAGAAGGGGUUCUUUAGCGUCUCGGUUACUUUAGAUAUAGAUGUUUUUGGCAGUGUGAUAAUGAAUCCAAGAAAUAUCGACUGGCUAGGUGGACUGUGUUAUGUCGACCUAAAAGUAAAGGGGGACUUGGAAUUCAAGACCUUGAGAUUAAAAAUAUUGCUCUUCUCAGUAAAUGGAUUUAUAAACUACUAAGUGAGAAUGGAGUAUGGCUGGAAAUCAUUCGUAACAAGUACGUGGGAUCCAAAGUCAUUUCUCAAGUCUAUUGGAAACCUGGUGACUCACAUUUUUGGUCUGGCAUCAUGAUGGCCAAAGAAUUCUUUUUCCAAUUUGGGACUUUCUCGGUUAGGGUUGGUUCCCAGGUUCGAUUCUGGGAAGACACCUGGCUAGGGACCGGACCACUCAUGGUGCAACACCCGAGCUUGUACAGGAUUGUUAGACAUAAAUUUGUCACCAUCAAACAAGUUUUGGGGCAAAAAAACCCUGAUAUUUCUUUCCGUAGGGACCUUUUAGGACCUCGCCUGGCAGCUUGGAAUGAGUCACUCAUAUGUCUGGAGGCUAUUCAGCUGUCAGAUGAACCGGACAUCUUUCAGUGAAAUUUGCAUCAGAAUGACAAGUUUACAGUCAAAUCCAUGUAUGAUCCAAUGGUUCAUUAUGAUGUUCCGGUUGAUAACUGGAAAUUGUGGAACCUUAAAAUCUCUCUAAGAGUGAAGAUAUUUCUUUGGUUCCUAAACAGAGGGGUCAUCUAAACUAGAGAUAAUCUGGAACGACGCAAUUGGCAAGGCACCAAGACAUGUGUCUUUGCCGACAUGACGAGUCUAUCAAACACUUAUUUUCUGAGUGUAAGUUCGCUCGUUCGGUUUGGGCCAUAGUUCAAGUAGCUUCAAAUUAUGCCCCCCACGUAGUGCACGUAACAUGUUCGGCAACUGGUUGAGGGGUAUUGAUAAACAAUUUUCUGCACAUAUUCUUGUGGGGGCGGCUGCCUUAUGCUGGGCAUUGUGGCUUACCAGGAAUGAUGUGGUUUUUAAUAAAAAGUGAGUUUCAUCUCCUAUGCAGGUUAUUCAUGUAUGUAUGCGAUGGCUCCGUACUUGGUCUAUCCUGCAGAGGCCGGAGGACAGAGAGCUAUUUAUGAUGUCGUCUAUGCGGCUGGAGCGUACGACCAGAGAGGUUUUCUACCCGUUGGAUGGCGGUGUGAUCUCCAAAUAGGAUCUGCCAUAUCAUAAGCGGGACUGAUUUAUUUAUUUUAUAAGCUGUAAAACCUUUUUUAUUUUUAGGACGGUUGGACUUAUUGGCUGCGUGCAUCAAGCUAUGCAGAAGCCGGGUAUUCAUUCGAAUGCGAUUGUAUCACCUCGAUAUAUCAAUUCAAUGAAAUAUCCUUUAUCAAAAAAAGAACGGAGAGAGUAUUAGCUAGCGAGACUACUCCGCUCUAGUGAUGGAGCAGGCGGAGCGCUUGGGAAUGCCAAAUCCGCCGUCUAUGCCUUGCAGCCCGGAGUCCGGGCGGCGUCACAAGGCCUUGUCCUAUUGAGAAACAGUAUAAUGGGGCGAGCUAGGAGCCUCCACAGCGAUUCACGUCUCUCAGCCGUUGGAUCACUCAAAUAGACGAUGCAGAUCAAGUCGGUCAUCCCACGUCGUCCACACGUUCGAUGAACCGUCUCACGGGAUGCUGCUCCGCAGAACGAGCUCCUGUUUCUCUCCUUAUAAGGGGGCCGUCCAAGGCCCAGGCCAGGCCGUCCAAGUUCCAGCCCUAUUCCCCCGAACGAACAGCCCCUCUAUUUCCUUCCUACGCGAGGCGCCGCCAUUUGGCCUCCGCGAUGCACCGUGGCCGUCAGGAAGCUUCUACUGCAUGAGCACGACUGAGUCCGCGUCGGUGCUGUUCACCCUCAUGUACUCUUCCUCCGGAUCCCCUUCUUUACUUGUUUUUAAUUUCAUGUCUUGCAGCGCUCCUCCAUGGCAGCGCGGCGCCCGCCUCCGUCAUUGUUGUCCAUCACCGACUGUCCUUCUACUGCAUCCGCCUCCAUGCCUUGCAGCUGUACGGCGCAUCUGUUCCCAUCCCAUAACUGAAGCUGACAUGCGUCAUCACUAAUCUCAGCUUCAUAGGUAAACAUAUUUCUCCAUACACUUUUCUGGAUUGCUGUGGAAUCACAUACUGAUUGCUUUGAGUCCUCGUUUUGCGGUCUGUUGAGAAGAAAUCUUGCCCCGUUAAACAUUAUUCAUUUUUUCUUCUGUGAGUUCCAUGCUUGUAUUGGUUUGCUUUGAUCAUGUUUAUUUUUCAUGUUGGGAUGGAGAAUUCAGAAAUAAAUCAAUGAAUUCUAACAUAAAUAGAUACGGAAGUUAGGGGGCUGGAAUACCAUUUGCCUUUCAUCAUGAUGCUGUUAAGCAUGUGAUCUUGAGUAGAGAGAGAGAGAGAGACUAGCUAUGUUCAAUUCUAUAACCUAGCAAGUAUCUCAGGUGGUAAGAAAUUAUGUGUGUUGAGUCAGUGCGGUAAGAUCUGGCAGAUGUUGAUUGCUUGCCGGCUUCCACGUUGCUUAUUGCGCCAGCCACUAUUGGUGCAUAAUGGUUAGGCUCACACUGCAUUGCUCAUCUCCAGGUGUAAUGCAUGCAUCGUAGGCAAAGUCUGAAGGUAUUCUCCUACAUCCUGAUAAUUCCUUGUGAUAUUGUAGUAGUGGAAAAUAUUCCCUUCUAUUGCCAAUUUUCAUUUGCCAGUUGUGUUCUUGUUUGAUUAAUUUCUCAUUCUAGACAUUGCAGAUGAAUUUAGAACUUGCAGGUAUUUCCUGAGUGACAAAAAGGAAGUAAGCAUGGAAAUUAAGGGACAAUUACACUACGUGAGCUAUGCCCCUCCACAACAUUUUGACAUCCUUAGUUCGAUCUAUAGAAGCAUGGUCGUGAUUUCUUUUGGGUUUUAUUAGUAUGACUCUCCUCCCCUUGUAGCAUUGAUUAGCGGACAUUGAUUAUUAUUUUAAAAUAUGGUUCAAACCAUUUUAGCUUACUAAGGUUGAACUAGGGAAAGCAUGUGAAGGCAUAUUUCUCAACAAUUUUAAAGCUUGCAUCUAUAUUUUCAUUAAGGGACGGGCGCGGCAAAGCGCGCCUUUAUGAUCUAGUUCUGAAGUUACAACGGCACCUUUUGAGUACUCCCUCCGGCCCACUUUACUCCUUGUAUUGGAUUUGUGUCAGGGUCAAACUAAAGUUUGACCUAAUAUACACUAAAAAAUAUCAACAUAUACAAUACCUAAUAUAUAUACCAUGAAAACUAUAUUUUGUAAUGAAUCUAAUAAAAAUGAUUUGGCAUUGUGAAUAUUGAUGAAGUUUUCUACUCCCUCCAUUCCACAAUGUAGUGCGUUUGUGCUUCCCGAGAUUCAAGUUUCACCGUAAAUUUAAUCAAUGAGACUGACUGCGGCGGGAACAAAAAUUAUACCACUGAAUUAUAUCGAAACUACGAAUUCAGUGGUAUAAGUUUUGCUCCCGCCGGAGUCGAUCUCGUUGGUUAAAUAUACGGUCAAACUUGGAUAUCGGAAAAUGCGGCGCACUACAUUAUGAAAUGGAGGGAGUAUAAGUUUAGUCAAACUAGAGAUACUUUGACUUUGGACAAAACUUCUAUGCAGAUUAAAAAGGACCGAAUGGGGUACUAAACCAAGAUGGAGUCUGGUAAGAGCUACUACCUCCGUUUCAGUUUACAAGUCCUACGCGUAUACCUAGGUUGCCAAUUUUAUCACCCUAAUAUAAAAUAUAUAUAUAACACAAAAAUUAUAGCGUUUGAAAAUAGAACAUCUGGAGUCUAUAUUUGUAUAUUUUUUGUAAUAUAUGACUUGUCUUAGGUUGGUCAAAUUGACGACUUAGGGGUACGCGCACGCCCUGUAAUCUGAGAGAGAGGUAGUACAACAAAAUAAAUAUCUCCACUCAAAAGCUUUGUGACAAGUGACUUUAAUAUCAUCAGAUUUUUUCCUUUUUGGGAAUCAUUGAUGGGUUUUCCUUUUCCAGGUAGGGGUGCCUUUUCUGGUUGGCAUGUAUCUAUUUCUCCAUUAUGGGAAUACACUUUGUUGGGUGACUCACCUCUUUGUCAGAAAUAAACCCUACCGGACAAUAUUGUCUAGAUAAACCAUGUGCCGUCAGGCAAGUCUAUGUUCAGUCGGUUUGGACGGUAGUCCAGCAAUAGAAUUGAUGCUGCAUAGGUGUAUUAUUUAGUUUCAAUUGUUGUUGCCGAAGCCUCGAUAUUUUACAUUUUUACUUUUUGUAUGACUUGAUGUACAAUAAAAGAUUAUUGUAUGAAUCAAUCCAUGCAGAGGCCAUGUAUUAUUUUCUUUUACAAUAAUGAAUAGUUCCGAACUAUACAAGAGCCCAAGGAAGCACACUUUCCCAGUUCCAGUGAGCACAAUAGAGUCGACAUUAAUCCAUUACUUGACCCAAAUUAGUGUCACCCGCGGUGGUGCGUGGCACCACCGCAUGACAGCCAGUUGGCCAAGCCAAGUGUAGAGUGUGCGUGUGAGCCAGCUGUAUGCGUGUGUGUGGCCAGGGUGCUGGGUACUUAACCCCUGGAGGGGCGAUGUAUUGGACGGGCUGUUGUUGAGUAAUCAGAUUCCCUCACCUCGCUUUCUCUCGCGCUCAUCCCCUUCCUCACGCCAUCCUCGCCCCCCGUUCCCUCUCCUGCCUACUCUGGUCUACUCGAUCCAGAUCAGGGCAUGACAUUUGGUUAUCAGAGCCACCGAAUCCUGACGCUGGGCGAUCAGCAGCUGGUGACCGACGUCUAGCGCCGCACGAUGUCGAAGCUUGUCGGCCUGCAGUUCAAGUUUCAGUACAAGCGCGACAUUGACAAUGGCGCAGCAGACGCGCUAUCCCGUGUGGGCAGCCACUUCAGCACCAACGCCCAGUCACUUUGUCAGCCCGCGUGGAUCCAGGAGGUGGCCAAUUCCUAUACCACUGAUCCGGACGCGCAGGAACGACUGCAACAACUGGCCCUGCACAGUCCAUAUGACGAUGAGUAUGAGUUGUACCAUGGGCUCAUCCAUUGCCAGGGCAGGCUGUGGAUUGGUGCCAACACAGCUCUGCAUACAAAGCUCAUCAGCGCGAUGCACGACAGCGUCAUGGGCGGCCGCUCAGGUGCCACCGCCACCUAUCACCGCGUCAAGAAGGCUUUUGAGUGGAGGGGCAUGAAGUAGGAUGUCGACGACUUUGUUUGGCAAUGCCAAGUCUGCCAGCAAGCCAAGCAUGAACUUCGCAAGCCCGCGGGCAAACUAGCACCACUGUCAAUUCCCUCCGCACCGUGGCAAGACCUGACCAUGGAUUUCGUCGAAGGAUUGCUCAAGUCAGAGGGAUAUGAUGCGAUCAUGGUGGUGGUCGACCGUUUCACACUAUUUGCUCACUUCAUGCCCUUACGGCACCCAUUGGCGACACAGGUGGGGCGCAUGUUCUCGGACAAUGUCGUCAAGCUCCAUGGCAUCCCCAAGUCCAUCGUCAGCGAUCGGGACAAGGUUUUCACUAGCGCGCUGUGGCGCGAACUGCUGGCCGGCGCUGGCACCAAGCUCCUCUACUCCACGGCCUAUCACCCGCAGACCGACGGCCAAAGUGAACGCGUCAACCAGUGCAUGGAAAUGUACUUGCGCUGCACGGUCCACGACACUCCCUGGCAAUGGCGACGCUGGCUCCCCUCUGCUGAAUUCUGGUACAAUUCCUCUUUUCACUCCUCGCUGGGUUGCUCUCCUUUCAAGGCGCUGUACGGGGUUGAAGCCAACGAGGGGAGUAUGGCCACCUGGCUGGCAUCCCACCCAUCCUUGCCGGACGGCGAACAGUGGGACUGGUCGCUGCAUCAGGAGAAACUGCGCACACACCUGGCACGGGCGCAGAGCAAGCACAAGAAAUUUGCUGACCGAAACCGAACGGAACGAGUGUUUCAAGAAGGAGAACGGGUUCUUCUGAAGCUUCAACCCUAUGUUCAGAAAUCAGUGGCAAGUCUUCCCUGUCCCAAGCUUGCAUUCAAGUUCUUCAGCCCUUUCUCCGUGGUCGCGAAGAUUGGACCCUCAGCGUACAAGAUGGACCUACCUGGUGAGAGUCGAAUACACCCAGUGUUCCACAUCUCGCUGUUGAAGCCAUUCACGCCCAACUACAGUCCGGUGUUCUCCAAACUGCCUGUCACUACUGAUCUGUCGACGGGCGAGACCAUGCCAGUGGAGAUUGUGGACUGAAGGAUGAUGAAAAGAGGCAAUGCGCCUGUGGUGCAGCUGCAAGUAGCUUGGGACACGGUGCAGCCGUCUACGACAUGGGAGGACUAUGAUGUGCUUCGCAGGAGUUACCCGCACGCAAGCAUUUGGGGAGAUGACGCAGUGGAGGAGGGAGCGACUUCUCAAGGAGGGGAGAAUGUCACCACGGUAGUGCGUGGCACCACCGCGUGACAGCCAGUUGGCCAAGCCAAGUGUAGAGUGUGCGUGUGAGCCAGCUGUAUGCGUGUGUGUGGCCAGGGUGCUGGGUACUUAACCCCUGGAGGGACGAUGUAUUGGACAUGUUGUUGUUGAGUAAUCAGAUUCCCUCACCUCGCUUUCUCUCGCGCUCAUCCCCUUCCUCACGCCAUCCUCGCCCCCCCCCCUUUCCCUCUCCUGCCUACUCUGGUCUCCUCGAUCCAGAUCGGGGCGUGACAAUUAGAUUGAUGUGCAUGUGGUUUCAUUGUUGGCAGGAGGCAGGAGCGUUCGAAUUCCUCUACGAGUCAGGGUUGGGUGUCGGUAAGGGGAGCUCAGAUGGAUUCCAGCCACUGCAUCACCCUGACCCGGCAGCAGCUGCAUGCCACCUCCUUUUCUGCUCCAACGGCUACUGGGUCUUCCAAGUUAUCUCAGUUGUUUCUUAUAUCCCUGGUGAAUCAUGCCCAUUGUCUUUGUGGAUUUGCAUGUAUACCUACAUAAUUGUCAAAUAUCAAUGUUGCUUAUGUAAAUUGUACUAGUAUAGUUUUUUUGUUUACCUCUGAAAAUAGAGGCAUUUGUUUAGCGGUUUCAUAUUGAAUUAUACUACUCCCUCUAUCACGGUUUAGACGGCACACUUCAGUUUUCACGCAUUUUCAGAAUAUAAGAGAAUUAAGGUGUGUGGGCAAUUAAUGUUGAGUUAAUUAGGUCACUUAGAGUGCGUAUAGGCUGCAUCCCAUGCAUGUGGUCCUUUUUCUCCACCACUCAUGCGCUAAGACUGCAAACUUGCAGUGGGGCACACUGUGAGUUAAUUUUUCUGUUAAUUUGGGCAUCGUAGUUAAUAAUCGAUGCUACUUUCAGUACUCCCUCUCUCUCAGUUUACAGGGCAUACGCGUACCCCUAGGUCGUCAAUUUGACCAACCUAAUACAAGUCAUAUAUUACAAAAAAUAUAACAAUAUAAACUUCAGAUGUUCUAUUUUCAGAAGAUAUAAUUUUUGUUUUAUAUAAUAUAUAUUAGGGUGAUCAAAUUGGCAACCUAGGUAUACGCGUAGGACUUGUAAACGGAAAUUCAGGGAGUACAACCAAUCACUAACCAUCUUGGUCCUAAAUAUUUUUCCCGUGUGCCCCGUAAACUGUGACAGAGGGAGUAUAGAAAUGAGCACAGUUGUUCCAAUGAGCACAAAUAGAAAUGUGGGGAACUACUAAUGGACAAUGCUGGUUGGGGGUCUGUAUGGUUGGUUGACUCCUAAUUGAAGUCCGGCGCAAAAUAAAAAUCUUAAUUAAAGUGGGAUUGUGGGACACUUGAUUUCAUGGUUGAUUGCAUGCCGGGAUUAAUUGCACUCUGAUUUCAUUCAUGGCUGAUUGCAUGCUUCAUGUCACUCUUAAUAGGACAACAGUUGCUACAUGCAAAUUAAGAUCUAUGAUUGAUGAAGUUUAAAGAGAAGUCACCAGUGAUAGUUGUUCCAAAUGACUUUAAAGAGAAGCCAACAGGAAAGAAGAAUAGGGAAAAAAAUGGAGUGUGCUACAUGUUUUUAAAAUUAUUUCCUUUUUCAAUGUAUAUUCAUAUAGAAUUUGCAAAAAUUGGAUAGAAGAAAUGGCGCGCAAUCACGUUUAGUGAAAUGAGCAAGAUAUCACUUCUCAUUAAAUUUGAAUCCACGUCAAUUUUUUCUCUCGUUACAACACACAGGCAUCUAUGCUAGUUUUCUUUAAACCAAAAAAAACACGCAGAAAACAACAACAGACUCUGGGCAGUCGGUUAGCCCAGAAAAAUAAUACCAGUUGAUGUAAAAACUAUUUAAAAAAGGUUUGACAAUAGCAUAUAAAAGAAUAAAAAAUAUAGAUACAUUUGAGGCAUAUCAGCGAUCAAGGCGGUGGUGCAACCAUCGCCUUACGGGAAAAAGGGGCAGUGUGGCAGGCGCCUUAGUGAGAAGAGAAAAUGCAGAGGAAUGAUUCCCCCUCUUCCCUCCCGCGACGCUCCUGUGAGCGCCGGGGGGGGGGGGGGCUAGCUGCCAGCCUCACCGUCCCCACCUCUCCCCCUCCUCCCCUGCCACCGCCGGCUGGCGCUGAUGGGCAAUGCCCGGUUGGCGCGGCGUUGGCGGGCCCCCUUCUUCUCUUCCGCUCGGAGUGGCCGGCGCAGGACGACGGCUUCUGGUGGCGACGCGGGGCCCUGCGGUAAGGCGGCAGGAGCGUGGUGCGGCGGCUGAUGAGGACAUGUAUUAGGGGUAGGGUAACAGGCCUGACCUAAAGGCCCUACCCAUGGACACCGUAUACUUUGUACUGGGCCCCUGGGCCAGAUCACCGUCUAGAUGUACCGCAACUUGAAAGUCACUCAGACGGCGACAACCACUGGGAGCACGGCACUUUACUCGACGAGCUCAUUCCACUCGGCCGUGUAACUCACUCGGAUAUGCAAAGACCAAUAGUCAGCAUGUCGGUUUUGUAGUGGGCAGGCAUUACGGCAUUGAUGCUCCAUCGUGUAACAUAAGGGGUGAGGGGGUGGCGCACUCUAUAUAAGCCACCCCCCACCACUAGACUAGGGGGUUCUUUUCUUCCACCUUUCUCUCUUUUCACCAUUAGUCUCAGGACUUAGCUCAGGCAUGGGGAUCCGUUCCUCUCUCUCACACACACACACAUUGUAAUCUCCAGAUAUAUACUCAGAUAAAACAAAGCCUCUCCGGAGCACGAGACGUAGGGUUGUUAUCUCCACCGUGAGAGGCCCGAACUCGUUAAAACCACCGUGUCACCCAUAUGCAUCUCGAUAGAUCAUGCUCCGUUAUCCUACCCCUCUCUUACUGUCGGAGUCGUUCCCAUGACAGUUGGCGCCCACCGUGGGGCAUGGCGUCUAUCGAGCCAUGAUGCAAAUGGUUUUAUUUCUUCGAUCUUCGUCCGUCGACCAACAAUCAUCAAUGGAGGGUUCGAUCCAGGAUGCUCCGGACAUCACUCCAUUCACAGGAGAGACAUGACACUCUCCGUACAGAGGGAUUAGGAAGUACCAUUCCAUACUAUCUUGUUCUUUACAAUCGAUCAUCAAUCUAACAAUGGUUGUUUUUUCUUUUGUAUGUACAUGCACGAGCAAAGCAUGGGAAACAGAGGAAACAAACAUCCAUCCAAGCACAUACAAGGAGAACCAUCCACCUUCAGGUUGAUUUGCCUCACGUCUGCGUGAGAUGACCACCUGAAUCGGCGUUUUGGACAUCGCCAAUAGCAGCAACGACGGCAUGAAAGCAGUAAACCGACUGCGCCUCCACGCACGGCCAUCGGCACCGAUCGCUUCAUCGUCGUCCCUGACCUCGGCACCACCAACUGCGCCUCCACACACGUCCACCGGUGUCGUCCGCCUCUUCAUGGUCACGCACGACCGCCGGCGUCGUUGUCACGCACGGCCGCCGGAGCCGUUCGCCUCGUCGUCGACUUCGGCCUCGUGUUCGCGGCUGCUCGGCGACGACCUCCGCAGUGGAGGCGCAGGCCCGACGGAGCGUAGGCGUGCAGUGCUUCUUCCUCCGGCGCCGGUCGCCGGCGACGGUCUCGGAGGCGGGGGUGCGCUGCAGCGACGGCCUAGGAAACGGCCUCGAUCCGCAAGCAAUGGCCCUUCAUCCGAAUUAAAGGAGUCAACGCCUGGUAAGUGCAUGCAUAACGUUGGUUGUUUCCUCAAUCAAUUAACUGCAUGCAGGGAAAAACAAGGAAACGGAAGGACGACUCCCACCAAUAGGCAACCCCGCUGGCUCCGCUUUGUCAAGGUAUAAUUGCCUCAUUAAGCGGCCAAUUGGUGAGGAUUUACAACGUCAGUUACCUAAUUAUUGCAGCCAUAAGUGCGUUGCUUCAGCGCUAGUUAAUUGGUGCAUGCAUGCAUGCAGUUAACUCGGCCGCUAUGCUGGCUAUACUUGCUAACUUGCAGGGAAGCGCUGGGACAGCAAAAUAUAUUUGUAGCUGUACAUGUACUUGCUAACUUGCAGGCACUGAGACGAACAACGUCGCCCCAUCGACUCAUCAUUUUUUCCACUCGGCUGAUGGCGUGGCGACCGGAUUGCUGCCUAGCUGUGGUUCACUCAGCCGAUUGACCAUUUCACUCGGCCGGUUAACGAACUGGUUCACUCGGCCAGCCAGCCCGGAGAUGAUUUCUGCACUCUAGAUAAUUAACAUGUCGAUUACACGGUUGGUUGGCUUCAGCGUGCAGCCACCGGCGCCAUUCGUCUCGUCACCGUCUCUGGCUUCGCCUGCGAGGCCAUUAUCAAACCUCCGCACACGGCCACUGGCGCCGUCCAGCUUGUCGUAGUCUCCAGCCUCAUCUGCAACAUCAUCGAGAAUCCCCUCAUACGGCUCCUCCGAACGCGUUGUCCACCGCCCCGCAGCAGCCUCCGCGGUGGAGGCACUCGACAGAGAUGAAACCAAAGGAAACGUCAUCCACAACCACUCGGAAGAAAAGAUCAAGGACAUUUGGCUACCCGUCACUCGGAUGCCCCGCGAGUCGUCGCUCCGCGGGAUGCGUCUACUUCACUACGCCCCGCGCAUCGCCAUUUCGCGGGACACGUUUACUUCACACGGACGACCCGCGGCUCGUCACUUUGCGGGAUGCGUCUACUUCACUCGGCCGCCCCCCGCGUCGCCAUACGGUUGGUCACCUCAUCACCACUAGGCCGCUCCGCGCGUCGCCACACGAUUGGUCACCUCAUCACCACUCGGCUGCUCCGCGCAUCGCCACACGGUUGGUCACCUCAUCACCACUCGGCCGCUUCGCGCGUCGCCACUCGGUUGGUCACCUCAUCACCACNNNNNNNNNNNNNNNNNNNNNNNNNNNNNNNNNNNNNNNNNNNNNNNNNNNNNNNNNNNNNNNNNNNNNNNNNNNNNNNNNNNNNNNNNNNNNNNNNNNNNNNNNNNNNNNNNNNNNNNNNNNNNNNNNGGCCGCUCCGCGCAUCGCCACACUCGGUUGGUCAUCUCAUCACCACUCGGCCGCUCCGCGCGUCGCCACUCGGUUGGUCACCUCAUAACCACUCGGCCGCUCCGCGCGUCGCCAUCGGUUGGUCACCUGAUCACCACUCGGCCGCCCUGCGCGUCGCCGUCUCCAAAAUCCCCCAGUGGGUGACUUAACUGCGAAUCUGUUUCGCCUAAGUUCAAGAAAUCCUACCGAGUGGAGAGCAAACCUUCCACUUGGGGGCUUAGAUGCAGUCCAGUACUCGCCUAAGUUUGAAAAAAUCCUACCGAAUGGAGAGCAAACCUCCCACUCGGGGGCUUAGCUGCAGUCCAGUACUCGCCUAAGUUUGAAAAAAAUCCUACCGAGUGGAGAGCAAACCUCCCACUCGGGGGCUUAGGUGCAGUCCAGUACUCGCCUAUGUUUGAAAAAAUCCUAUCGAGUGGAGAGCAAACCUCCCACUCGAAGACUUAGCUGCAGUCCAAUACUCGCCUAAGUUUGAAAAAAAUCUUACCGAGUGGAGAGCAAACCUCCCACUCAGGGGCUUAGCUGCAGUCCAGUACUCGCCUAAGUGUUUGAAAUCCUACCGAGUGGAGAGCAAGCCUCCCACUCGGAGGCUUAGCUGCAGUCCAAGGACUCGCCUAAGUAGCCAAAAUCCGACUGGGACAAGAGCAAACCUCUAAUUCAAGGAGCUGCAUCACAAGUAUAAUGUGCUCUCCAUCCCUAUCCGCAAGGACACCGAGACGAAGGUCGACCGUCACCAUCGCCUCAUCAUCACUCGGCCGCCCCGCGUGUCGCCGCUCGGUUGGUCGCCUCAUCACCACUCGGCCACUCGUGCACCUUCAGACAGCUAAGUCAUUUUACAUUCCGUCUUCCCGAGUAUCCCGUAAUUCACACAUCACGUUCACUCGGAGGCCACGCCACCGAGUGUACCUCUACUCUCGGUUGCUUAUUUUCACAUACUUGCUUAGUACUGGUUAUGUGACUCCCGAGUCCAACUUCCAUUUUUUUCGCAUACAUCAUUCAUGAACACCAUGUGUCGUUCUUCAUUUCGAGUUUGCAUCGGUCCUCCGGGGCUGCAACUUAGUCUAAACACUACACUUUCGUUUUAUUUUAGCCAGUAUUCCAACGAGUUCAGUAGGAUCUCUCGCUUCGAUAAGUUCAAACGAAUCCUUUGCUCUUUUAGACUCUUGCUGGUUAACCAGCAAGCCCCUUGCACUCCCAGCGGGUGUCUAUGGAUGUUAUUCACACAAAUCAUUUCAGCACACAUCAAAUUUCCUCAAGAAAUUAUUUUGUUGACUUGUGCCUUUUUUACACAAGUUACGUGAUCACUCGACGGCCCUACGCGCCAAUUUCAUCGCUGCUCGGACUCGGUCACCAUACUGGUCCUAGCGCACCACACCACUGACCUUGUCGCUCUGUUGGCUUCAAGCACAUCCGGCCAACCCCUCCGUGGAAUCCUCUUCAUCGAUAAUAUAGACCUCGUCAGGCAUGAGACAGGUAAGUCCCUUUUAUAAUUAAACUUCACACAUCACUCUUUUUGCGAGUUUGCCUCUUUCGAGCAUCCCUCGGAAAUUUCUCCUCAUCCUUACCCGAGUCCGACUCGAUGGAUUGCAAAUUAUCCAUUCAACACUAUAUUUCCCGUAUUCCGACAUGUCCGUUGUUGAAGCCUGUAGUACGCUCGGGAGCUACGCCGCUCUCGGAGGCUGCAACUCAUUUGGAAUAACACUCUCCUGAGUGGUCGAGUGCUUCAUCACCAGUUAGAUCCUUCACUUCAACAAGUGCAUUCGACCCACCACUUUGACAAGUUUUAUAAUCACCCAAACGCUCUGCGCGCCAUCUUCAUUCCUACUCAGACUCAGUUGUCACGCCGGUCUUGUUGCGUCGCAACCACACUACAUCAACCUCGUCGCUACAUUAACUUCGAAAGCAUCUGGUGUCGUGGUUCUAAGCCUGACAGUAGAGUGGGGGGUAGGUAUGGAGAGGCAAGGUCCUAGCUACGGAGAGGUUGUAAGCACAAAGGAUGUACGAGUUCAGGCCCUUCUCGGAAGAAGCAACAUCCCUACGUCUCGGAGCCCGGAGGCGGUCGAGUGGAUUAUGAAUGUAUGGAUUACAAGGUCACGAACCUUUCUGCCUGUGGAGGGGGGUGGCUUAUAUAGAGUGCGCCAGGACCCCAGCCAGCCCACGUAGGAGAAGGUUUAAGGUGAGUUAAGUCUGGGGCGUUACUGGUAACGCCCCACAUAAAGUGCCUUUACUAUCAUAAAGUCUACUUAAUUACAGACCGUUGCGGUGCAGAGUGCCUCUUGACCUCCUGGUGGUCGAGUGUGUCUUCGUGGUCGAGUCCUUCAAGCAAGUCGAGUGUGUCCUCGUUGGUCGAGUGAGUCCUCGUUGGUCGACUGGAAGGCGACCUCUUCUAGGGAUGUCCUAGGGUAAGUUACUUGGGACAGGUCCGUGACCCUACCCUAGGUACUUAACCCCAUCAUUAGCCCCCGAAUGGAUUGAGGCUUCGAGUGAAGAAGGCGUUGAUGUCGUUUUCGAUUAACCUUUGCGCUCUAGUUGUGCGCUGUUCUGGAUCAAAAAUCUCUUCGUUGACAGGGAGCAAUUUGUCUUCGGUCGACUCGAUCCAUUCUAUUUUUUCGUCGAGUGAUCUUUCGAGCUUCGACGAUCUCCGAGCGACGGAUCGCCGGAAACACCGCGUCUGACAGACUGAUUUGUUGCUCGCGGAUUCCGCGGGGUGCGAAAUUUGGGGGCGCGCGCGAAGCGGGGCAGACCGUGGCGUUCGGAUGGGAUGGGGCAUAGACGCCUCGAUCUCCGCGCCGCCUUUUUCGCCACGUAUCCAGUCCUCAUAACUGCUCCCAGAUAUGAUUAGAUCGACCGGGCCCACAUGUCAGCCACUCGGAAGAGACCUUAUAAAUGCGCCCGGUGGGGAUUUCUGUGCUGCGCCUCAGCAUUCUCCCUCUCUCCCUCUGCCUCCUUCCUCUCUGCUCAGCGCGCUCGCUCUCACCUCCGCACCACUUUCCUUCGCGCAUUUCGCCGGCGACCAUGGCCAAGGAGAAGACGGCGGCGCUGGAGCGUGCCAAGAAGGCGUCGGCAUCGGAGAAGGCGAAGGGGAGAUCCACCACCCGCAGGGGGUCCUCGUCCAGAUCCCGCCUGCCGAAAGGCUGGGUCCAAGGAGACUGGAUCCAAUCGACCAUCACGGAGAAGGACCUCCUCGACAUGGCCAACGAGGGCUUGAUCCCUCACGGAGCUGCGAGGUUGCCAGGGAAGGAGUGGCAGCCACAACCAGAAGAGGGUGAGUGCGUGCUCCUGGCCACUCAUGUUGACCGAGGGUUUUCCUUGCCGCCCAGCAUUUUCUUCCGUGGCUUCUUGAAUUUCUUUGGAGCGCAGCUCCACCACUUUACCCCAAACUCCAUUGCCUAUCUUGCUGCAUUCGUGUCCAUGUGUGAGGAUUUCUUGGGCUGCCGACCGCACUGGGGUUUGUUCAAACGCAUCUUCACGUGUCGCUCUCAGACCGUGAAGAAGGCUAGCCCAGGUGACGAGAAGACCCGAGUCGUCCAAAUGUGUGGGGGCCUGGGGAUUCAGGUGAGGAACAAUAGCACCUUCCCGCCCAUGUCCUUUCCCGAGUCCGUCAGGGGCUGGCAGUCGACUUGGUUCUACUGGCAGGUCCAAUCGACGCCAGGGCAGUCGAGUGGACUUCCUCCGUUUUCCAUGGACCGAGUGAGCAAGCCCUCCCCUCUGAAGCUGAUUCCGGAGGAGAAAGCCGACGUGAAGAUGUUGAUGGAGCGCGUGGUGCAGCUGGUUCGGGACGGUGUGACAGGCAUGGACCUCCUGGAGGUUUUCCUCAAGCGCCGCAUCCAGCCUCUCCAGUUCAGGAGCCACUGCAUGUGGUUGUACUGCGGGCCCGAAGACGAGACUAGAGUCCAUCCAGAAGAAGUCGACGAUGUCACUCUGGAGAGAUGGAUGGCAGCCGUUACCGGAAACAGGGAUAACCCGCGCGGAGCCAGAAGAAUUCCUCCACUCGACCACGACAGCAUCCCAAACAAGGUAUACUUGCUCUGCUUUCCAUUGUGUCUUUGUCGUAUUCACUCCUGCUAACCCUGUCGACUGGUCGACUGAUCCUUGUUUCUGCGACUGCUAGGCCUUCACCGAGCUGUACUCGAUGCCCAAUGGGGCACAAGCUUCGACUGAGGAAGGCGAGGCGAGUGGGGGCGAGGCGAGCGGGGGCGAGAGCCAGGAAGAGGAGGAAUGGGACUCGGAUGCCGCAGGGGGUGAUGAUGACGAUGAUGAUGAUGAAGAUGAUGAAGAUGACAUCAAGGACGAGGAAGAAGAGGAAGAGGAGGUCGUUCCACCGCGCUCAGAAAGGCGGUCGAAGCUUGUCCACGACCCUUCGACCGAACGUGGCAAGGGGGUUGCGACCGCCACCCAGUCGACCAAGCGCCCCCGGACCACCUCUCCAGCGCCGACUGAAAAGGCGCCGAAGCAGCCCAGGGCGGCCUCAUCGAAGCCGACCAAGCUCCUGCCGAAGAUGAAGGUGUCCAUCCCCACCAUUUCAGGGUAAUUGUGUUGCUCAUAUUUUCUUAUUCUUAUGCGAACUUUAUCUCUGGUCGACACCGAGGUUAGUCGACUGAUCCUUUGGAGUUGCAGCGCUGCUACUUCUGAGACCUCGGCCCGGGCCGAUGACCACGAGAUGGAGGAUGCAGCCACUUCGAAUCCAGGUGCUGUGUUCUUAAUACCAUUCUUAGUCGACUGACUCGCGAUCUCUGAUCCUGACCCUUUUCCGCAGCUCCACCCAACACUGUUAUCGAUCUUCCUGACGACGACGAGGAUGAAGAACUGCUGGCACGCAGGGAGAGUCGGAAAAUGCCCGCUAGUAAGGUGCCUCAGGAUGCGACGGCGCCUGAGACUCUGACUGUGGAGGAAGGGAACACCACUCGACACACGGUGUCCUUCGCGAGUCCACUGACGAGUGCUCAGCCGCCCUCCCUCUUCACGACUCACCACGUCCCAGAGGACCAAGCUGGCGCAGCGAAGGAGGCAAUACGCCAGGCGGGAUUCAUGAUGAAGCAGCUGAAGACUAUCCGGGACGCGAGCCAGGCAGCUUAUGACGCCAGCUCUGCCCUCCAAAGCAAUGUCCAGGUCAGUCGACUGCUGUUUGUUCUGUUGGAUAUGCUACCAAAAGCUUUUCUUUUCCGGGAUUUAUAUUAGUCACCCACUGGGUGUGUCGAAUAAACUCCGUGUUAGCGGGGGCACGCUUAGUGCACCCGCUGGGUGUAGUCCCCAAGGCUAAGGUCGACUGCUGGCAGUCGGCCUUAGGCUUUAUGAUGUCAAUCUUUCUGUCAGUCGACUGGUCGACUGGAUUUCGCAAACCGGUGGGGGCACGCUGAGUGCACCCACUGGGUGUAGUCCCCGAGACUGUGGUCGACUGCUUGCAGUUGAUCACAGUCUUAGAGAAUGCGUCUCGCGCACUGUUUUUUUUUUUUGAGGUCGACUGGUCGACUUUGUCUUCAACAGGAUUAGUGGGGGCACGCUGAGUGCACCCACUGGGUGUAGUCCCCGAGACUACGGUCGAAUGCUUGUAUUCGGCUGUAGUCUUAGAAACUUGUGUUUUUCCCUUUUUCACUCGGAAGUGAAUUAUUUUUGACGUUUAGUCGAUUGGUUCUUCGCAGAACUCCUGUGAUCUUGUGGCUCGCUACUCAGAGCUAGAACAGAAACAUACUCAAGUCGAGCUGAGCUUGAAGUUGGUUCAGGAGAAGCUGACAAAGGCGAAGGAGGAGACUGAAGGUAUGUUUGGUGAGACCUUGACGACUGCUUUUCCUCUUGCUAGUUUCGGCAUCUGAUCUUGCUGUAACUUGCAGGUAAGGUAAGGGAGGCCCAGCAGAAGAAAGACCUUGAGCUAGCUGAGAAGAUCAAGCUUGCUGACGAGAAGUUGGCUUCAGUCACCAAGCUCGAACAAGACAAUACCAAUCUGAAAACUGCUCUUGGGAUUGCCAACAAGGAGGUCAGUCGACUGAGAACUGACAAAGCUGCCCUGACCGACCAAGUCAGCAAAUUGACUGAGAAGAAAACUGAACUGGAAACCUUCCUGAGUGGCCUUGCCAAGAAGCUGUUUCUUAUGCUUGAAGGUAAAUCUUCAUGUUUGGCAAAUAUUUCCAUUCGACUAUCUCUUUGACUUAAUGAUCAUCCUUGCAGAAUUUUGUCAAAACUUUGAAGAUGAAACCAGCCGACUGGAGCCAAACCUUGACCCCGUCAAUUCUCCGGUGAACGACGAAGUUGCCAUGGAUGUCUUCCGACUGGAGUCACGUGUUGCAGCUGUCGUGGACUAUCUCGCAAGGCUGAAGGCCGCCACAUCUCGCAUCGACUCGACGCUCUGGCCUGAGGAGACACUUCAGAAUGACCUUGAGUCGCUGAUGGCCCGCUUGAACACGAUCCCUGGUCGAGUGCAAGAGUGGAAGAAGUCCUCGGCUCGAUGUGGUGCAGAUGUCGCUCUGUGUCUGGCCCCAGUCCACUGCAAAGAUGCACGAGAGGAGAAGCUGGCGGCCCUUCGGGUGGCCAAUACCAAGAAGCACGACUUCAGGUCCUUUAUGGAGACUUUCCUUGCAGCUGCCACUCGGAUCGCUGACGGAAUUGACCUUGAUGAAUUCGUUGCACCUUCCAGCCCUCCGCAGGAGGGGUAAAAAACUUCUUCUGGCUCGACUCUUUAAAUUUGCCUCGGUAUGCUGAGUGGAAUUGUAACCGACAAACUUUAACAGGCUUGACGCCUGAGCACUUUCGGUUCCUUUAAAUGUCGAUUCAAACUUGAAUUUGGCGCUUGAAUAUGACUGCCUUUGGCUCAAAAUGUCUUAUGCAGAUUCAGAGCAAGGUGCCUGUGCUUAGGCGAGCGCUUGGACUGCAGCUAAGCCUCCGAGAGAGAGGGUCGCUCUUCACUCGGUAGGAUUUUUGUAACUUAGGCGAGCACGAGGCCGCAGCUAAGCCUCCGAGUGGAAGGCUAUCUUACCACUCGGUAGGAUUUUUAUAACUUAGGCGAGCACGAGGUCGCAGCUAAGCCUCCGAGUGGAAGGCUGGCUUACCACUCGGUAGGAAUUUGAUAAACUUAGGCGANNNNNNNNNNGCAGCUAAGCCUCCGAGUGGAAGGCUGGCUUACCACUCGGUAGGAUUUUGAUAAACUUAGGCGAGUGCUUGGACUGCAGCUAAGCCCCCGAGUGAGAGGAUCGCUCGUCACUCGGUAGGAUUUUUAUAACUUAGGCGAGCACGAAGCUGCAGCUAAGCCUCCGAGUGGAAGGCUGGCUUACCACUCGGUAGGAUUUUGAUAAACUUAGGCGAAACGGAUUCGCAGCUAAGCCUCCGAGUGGAAGGCUGGCUUACCACUCGGUAGGAUUUUGAUAAACUUAGGCGAAACGGAUUCGCAGCUAAGCCUCCGAGUGAGAGUCUGGCUCACCACUCGGUAGGAUUUUUACAAACUUAGGUGAAACGGAUUCGCGGCUAAGCCACCCACUGAGGGGGAGUUUUUAUAUGGACAAAGAUAAAAAGUGAUGACACUAUUAUUUCUAAACCCAUGAACUACAGAAGUACUUUAUUGCAACUCAUCCGAGUGAUAACACUUAAGUGUAAAAUGGGCGGAGUAGCUCCGCGUUCCAAGCUCGGGGUUCGUCGAUAUUAUGCUCGACGUUGUAAAGACGGUACGCCCCGUUGUGGAGAACCUUAGUGACGAUGAAGGGGCCUUCCCAAGAAGGAGCAAGCUUGUGUGGUUUGUGCUGAUCCACUCGGAGAACCAGAUCCCCUUCCUGGAAGGCUCGACCUCUCACAUUUCGGGCGUGGAAACGGCGCAGAUCUUGUUGGUAGAUGGUCGAGCGGAUCAGAGCCAUCUCCCUUUCUUCCUCCAAAAGGUCGACUGCGUCCUGCCGCGCUUGUUCAGCUUCUUCUUCGUUAUAGAUUUCGACUCGAGGAGCAUUAUGCAGAAGGUCACUCGGCAAGACUGCUUCAGCUCCAUAGACCAAGAAGAAUGGAGUUCUUCCGGUCGACCGAUUGGGCGUGGUCCGCAGUCCCCAGAGUACAGAUGGAAGUUCGUCGACCCAAGCUCCAGCCGCGUGUUUGAGAUCACGCAUCAGUCGCGGCUUCAGUCCCUUGAGAAUCAGUCCAUUAGCUCGCUCUGCUUGUCCAUUCGACUGCGGAUGGGCGACUGAUGCGUAGUCGACCCGUGUGCCCUGGGAGUUGCAGAAGGUUCUGAAUUCCUCUGAGUCAAAGUUUGACCCAUUAUCCGUAAUGAUGCUGUGCGGGACUCCAUAUCUGAAUAUUAGUUCCCUGAUGAAGCUAACAGCAGUACCGGUGUCGAGGCUCUUGAUUGGCUUAGCCUCGAUCCACUUGGUGAACUUGUCGACUGCCACCAGUACAUGUGUGAAGCCACUUCGUCCUGUUCUCAAAGGGCCGACCAUGUCCAGCCCCCAAACCGCAAAAGGCCAGACGAGUGGGAUGGUCUUCAAAGCUGACGCAGGCUUGUGCGACAUAUUCGAGUAGAACUGACAUCCCUCGCACUUAUCCACUAUCUCCUUUGCCAUCUCAUUCGCCUUGGGCCAGUAAAAUCCGGCUCGGUAUGCCUUGGCCACGAUGGUCCGAGAGGACGCAUGGUGACCGCAGGUCCCUGAGUGAAUAUCAUUGAGGAUGAGUCGACCUUCUUCUGGCGUUAUGCACUUCUGAGCGACUCCAGUCGCACUUUCUCUGUAUAAUUGUCCUUUGAUUACGGUAAAGGCUUUAGAUCGACGGACGAUCUGUCGAGCCUCUUCCUCAUUCUCCGGAAGCUCUUUCCUCAGGAUAUAUGCGACGUACGGAAUCGUCCAGUCGGGAACGACCACCAAAACCUCCAUGACCAAGUCGACCACUGCUGGGACUUCCACUUCAGUCGGAUCUGCGGCGCUCUUAGGCUGUGGAGUUCCUUCUGUGAAAGGGUCUUCUUUGACUGACGGAGUAUGUAUAUGCUCCAAGAACACGCCACUCGGAAUGGCUUCUCUCUUGGAACCUAUCUUUGCUAGAUCAUCAGCUGCUUGAUUCUUCAGUCGGGGUAUAUGAUGGAGCUCCAACCCCUCGAACUUUUUCUCCAGCUUCCUCACUGCAUUGCAGUAUCCAGUCAUGGCUGGGCUUCUCACGUCCCACUCUUUCAUCACCUGAUUGACCACUAAAUCCGAGUCGCCAUAGACCAUUAGGCGACGGACGCCGAGUGAAAUGGCCAUGCGCAACCCAUACAGGAGGGCCUCAUAUUCUGCCUCAUUGUUGGAGGAAUCAAAGUGAAUCUGGAGCACAUAUCUGAGCUUAUCUCCUCUGGGGGAAACCAGGACAACCCCAGCACCGGAACCAUUCAACAUCUUAGAACCAUCGAAAAACAUGGUCCAAUGCUCCGAGUGAACUUCAGUCGACUGCUGUUGUUCGAUCCACUCGGCGAGGAAAUCUGCUAUUGCCUGGGACUUAAUGGCUUUCUUUGCCUCAAACUUGAUAUCAAGGGGAAGAAGUUCAAUCGCCCAUUUGGCCACUCGACCAGUUGCAUCUCUGUUGUGCAAAAUCUCUGAUAGUGGAGCGUCGCUGACGACUGUGAUUGAAUGGUCAGAGAAAUAAUGAGCAACCUUCUUUGUGGUCAUGUAUAUUCCGUACACAAGCUUCUGAUAAUGGGGAUAUCUUUGCUUGGAUGGAGUCAAGACUUCAGACAAAUAAUACACUGGGCGCUGAACUUUGAGAGCUUUUCCUUCUUCUUCCCGCUCGACCGUUAGCACAGUACUGACGACUUGUCCUGUGGCUGCGAUGUAGAGCAACAGAGGCUCUUUGCUGAUUGGAGCAGCAAGCACCGGCUGGGUGGAGAGCAGAGCUUUUAGCUCGGCAAACGCUGCAUCAGCUUCUGGAGUCCACUCGAACUUGUCAGCCUUCUUCAUCAGUCGGUAAAGAGGCAAUGCCUUUUCACCGAGUCGUGAGAUGAAUCGACUUAAUGCGGCCAAGCAUCCAGUAAGCUUCUGGACAUCGUGCACUCGCACAGGGCGUUUCAUUCGGAGAAUAGUGCCAAUCUUUUCUGGGUUGGCGUCAAUUCCCCGUUCGGAAACGAGAAAACCGAGUAACUUGCCACCAGGAACUCCAAAUGUGCACUUUGAUGGAUUGAGCUUGAUAUCAUACCUUCUGAGGUUGGCAAAUGUUUCAGCAAGGUCAGCGAGCAGGUCGGAACCUUUUCGUGACUUGACAACAAUAUCAUCCAUAUAAGCUUCCACAUUCCGACUGAUUUGAGUGAGUAGACACUUCUGGAUCAUUCGCAUAAAUGUGGCUCCGGCAUUCUUGAGACCGAAUGGCAUGGUGAUAUAGCAGAAGCACCCGAAUGGAGUGAUGAAAGCUGUUUUUACUUCAUCGGGCCCAUACAGACGGAUCUGGUGGUACCCGGAGUAAGCAUCUAAAAAAGACAACCUCUCGCAUCCCGCGGUCGAGUCAACAAUUUUAUCUAUGCGAGGGAGAGGAAAGUGAUCUUUCGGGCAGGCCCGGUUGAUGUGCUUGAAAUCAAUGCACAUUCGGAGCGUUUUGUCCUUCUUAGGAACCAUGACGACAUUAGCGAGCCACUCGGAGUGGAAUAUCUCUCGGAUAAAUCCUGCCGCCAACAGUCGAGCCACUUCUUCGCCGAUGGCCUUUCUCUUCUGGACGGCGGACCGCCGAAGAUGUUCUUUGACUGGUUUUGCAGACUUGUCGACUCUUAGGCGAUGCUCAGCCAGUCCCCUGGGAACACCUGGCAUGUCAGCGGGCUUCCAUGCAAAAAUGUCCCAGUUCUCACGGAGGAACUGGAUGAGCGCUUCUUCCUAUUUUGGGUCGAGUGUUGUGGAGAUGCGGGUCGGAGCGGCAUCGGGGUCGGUCGGGUGAAUGUGAACAGGCUUUGUCUCACCGGACGACUGGAAUGCAGAUUCUGUGGCGGGCUUCUUGGAUCGCAGCAAGUCACUCGGAUCUGCGCUUUGCUUGUAUUCUUCGAACUCGACCGCUGUCACUUGGGAAUCGGCAAUUUUGGAGCCCUUCUGAAAGCACUCUUCUGCCUUUUUCCUAUCACCGGUGACAGUGAUCACACCUUUGGGACCGGGCAUCUUCAAUUUGAGGUACACGUAACAUGGUCGAGCCAUGAACCGUGCAUAGGCUGGCCUCCCCAAAAUGGCAUGAUAUGCACUUUGAAAAUCCACGACCUCAAACGUCAACUUUUCUUUGCGAAAAUGCUUUGAAUCGCCAAACACUACGUCCAAAGCUAUCUGGCCGAGUGACUCGGCCUUCUUCCCGGGUAUAACUCCAUGGAAGCUCAUGUUACUAGUGCUCAGUCGGGACAUCGGAAUGCCCAUACCUUUCAACGUGUCUGCAUAUAACAGAUUCAGCCCGCUUCCACCGUCCAUCAGCACCUUUGUCAGUCGAGUGCCUUCGACAACUGGAUCGACCACCAAAGCUUGCCUCCCAGGGGUGGCAAUAUGGGACGGGUGAUCAGCUUGGUCGAAUGUGAUGGGCGUUUGAGACCACUUCAGAUAACUUGCCUUUGCUGGGGCAACCAUGUUAACCUCUCGGUUAAUCACUUUCAGUCGACUUCUGCUUUCCACAUCUGCGAAGAUCAUCAGAGUGGAGUUGAUAUGCGGGUAUCCUCCCUCACUGUCCUCUUUGUCUUCGGCUUUGUCUGGCUCCUUCUCCUUGUCCUUAGACUGUUUUCCCUGAAACUGCUGGAUCAGGAGUCGACAUUGGCGAGUGGUGUGCUUUGGGUAAAUGAUAUUCCCCUCUUCAUCUUUCUUCGUGUGGAUGUGGCACGGCAUAUCCAUCACGUCGUUCCCUUCUUUAUCCUUCACCUUCUUGGGGUUCCAGGAUCCUUUUGGUUUCCCCUUAGACUUUCCUUGAGUCACGGCCAGAGCCUCCCCAGGAGCUGCCGGUUCGGCCUUCCGCUUCUGUUUCCGACUGGUGUUCCCUUUUUCCGACUGACUCGGCUUGUGCUUGCCGCUUCGGAGUCGGUCUUCUUCUUCGCCGUUGGCGUACUUGGUAGCAAUCUCCAUCAUCCGACUCAAGGUCAUGUCACCGGUUCGACCAAAUUUCAAACUCAGUUCUCUGUUCUUGACACCAUCCUUGAAGGCGCAUACUGCCUGAUGGUCAGAGACAUUUUCCACAGUGUGGUGCAAAGUGAUCCACCUCUGAAUAUACUCUCUGAGAGUCUCAUUGGUUUUCUGCACGCAGACUUGCAACUCUGUCAAUCCCGCUGGUCGCUUGCAAGUCCCUUCAAACGUUCUGACAAACACUCGGGACAGAUCUUCCCAAGUGUAAAUGCUGCUAGGAGGUAAUUGAGUCAACCAUGCCCUGGCAGAACCUUCCAACAUGAGGGGCAAAUGCUUCAUGGCCACCUCGUCGUUCCCACCACCGAUCUGAACUGCCACUCGGUAGUCUUCAAGCCAAGUUUCAGGCUUGGACUCACCAGUGAACUUGCUGACUCCUGUUGCCAGCUUGAAAUUGGGGGGGGAUAACUGCGGCUCUGAUAGCUCUGCUGAAACAUUCAGGACCAGAAACAUGUACUCGACUGCUCGUGGGCGCAUCUCUGUCGAGUGCGCCUCGAUGGGCUCUGUUCCGGUCAACCAACCCUUGCACGAUAAUGGAUCGCGCGUCGAAGCCUGGCUCUCUAUGGUCAACUGGAACCCUACGCCCUGUACUGUACUGACGCCUAUCAUCUGGCCGCCGAGGAGCGUAAGACCCACCCCUCGGAGGGGAAUAGGGCACUCGACGCCUAUCAUCUCGGUCGAGUCCGUCGCCAUAUUGAUCUCGCCGAUUCUCACGCCCUUCGCGCCGCGGAGGCGAUCUGGGGCUGUGAGCCGACUGAACCGUAUUCACAGUGACAGAUCGACUGUGAAUUCUGUUGCGCGACUGAGACACGGCCGAAUUCUGAUCUCCUGUUGCCCGGAGCAGAUCCCUGAUCUGCAGCAAACCUCUGCCAGCCUCUGACUGCGAAGGCUGAAUGGACUCUGCUAUACGGGUCGCAGCUGCUAAAUUCUGAAUUGGGGUUCGAUAUACCUGAGUCGGCGGGAAGAGUUGACGUCGACUGGAGUCGGGAACUCGUUGCCGUGCGCGCUCGUCGAGUGCUCGCUGAAGGUUCUCCAGUCGAGUGCGCUCGGCCAAGUUGGCUAGACGCGCCUCCUCCAAGGCACGAGCCUCGGGGGUUUCUCCCGCGAUGGGAAUACGCAGGGGGUCCUCGUUCCUGCGGCGAAGCUCUUCUCUUUGCAGAGAGUCGAGUGGCUCGGGCUGGUACUCUUCGUAGCCUCGAGCAGGGUCUCCGCCGUCGCCUGCUCCACCACCGCGGGCGAAGCCAGGAGGGCUGUGGGACCCGUCGACCAUCAAGAUUUCCGCCGCUGGAUCACUGCUUCCGCACUCGGAUGCAGUCUCUCCGGAGCCAGUCGACUGAUCGAACAAGCCGUAGAGAGAUUCGUUGGGCUCGAUUGCCGCAACUUGUGUAGUGGUCGACUGGCGAGCCAUCGCGUGACUCACCCAUCGCUGAAGCCUCGACCGGCCCGAGCGCUUGCGCUGGCGGGAGACCGGGAGGGUGGAAGACGGAGGAGCCGACCGGUACUGGGUCGAUGGCUGCCGCAGCAGAACGCCGCGGACACAUGCGCGAAAAUGCGUCGCACCGCGGAUGGGGAGCGCAUCCACGUCGAGUGGAGCCUCUUGGAGCCAUGCGGAGUCGUCGGCGAUGAAGGUGAGAGCGCCGAGACGGAUCUCUUGGCCCUCGACCAAAACUCCAGCAGACACCAUGAUGGAAAUACUCGGAAGAAUCGCAACUUCUCCGAAAAAUCGCUAAAACACCUGCCCCACGGUGGGCGCCAACUGUCGUGGUUCUAAGCCUGACAGUAGAGUGGGGGGUAGGUAUGGAGAGGCAAGGUCCUAGCUACGGAGAGGUUGUAAGCACAAAGGAUGUACGAGUUCAGGCCCUUCUCGGAAGAAGCAACAGCCCUACGUCUCGGAGCCCGGAGGCGGUCGAGUGGAUUAUGAAUGUAUGGAUUACAAGGUCACGAACCUUUCUGCCUGUGGAGGGGGGUGGCUUAUAUAGAGUGCGCCAGGACCCCAGCCAGCCCACGUAGGAGAAGGUUUAAGGUGAGUUAAGUCUGGGGCGUUACUGGUAACGCCCCACAUAAUGUGCCUUUACUAUCAUAAAGUCUACUUAAUUACAGACCGUUGCGGUGCAGAGUGCCUCUUGACCUCCUGGUGGUCGAGUGUGUCUUCGUGGUCGAGUCCUUCAAGCCAGUCGAGUGUGUCCUCGUUGGUCGAGUGAGUCCUCGUUGGUCGACUGGAAGGCGACCUCUUCUAGGGAUGUCCUAGGGUAAGUUACUUGGGACAGGUCCGUGACCCUACCCUAGGUACUUAACCCCAUCAUCUGGCUAAAUCCUUCGAAGACAAUUUCACCCGUUGGCUGGACACGUAAUCCUUCACUCGGCCACCUCGUGUAUCUUCACUCGGUCGUCCCGCACAUCGCCACUCGGUUGUGCACGUCUUCACCACUUGGCCGCUCCGCGCGUCGCCUCUCGGUUGUACAUGCCUUCGCCACUCGGCCGCCCCGCGUGUUGCCACUUGGUUGUGCAUGUCUCGACCGCCACGCGCGUCGUCACUCGGUUGUACACAUCAUUGCCCCUUAACCACCUCGCGCGUCACCAUCAGUUGGACAUGUCUUUACCUCUACACCCCCAACACGGGAACAACUAAGUUACUCAUAUGAUCAAACCUCAUAUCACAUUCUGUAGCAAGCUUGCCUCUUUCGAGCAUCAGUCGGGGGCUACACACAGCCGUUGGCCAUGCCGCCCUCAGGGGUUACACCCAUUCAAUCAACCCAUUGAUCACAUCAGGAAUAUCUUUCUAACCAUACUUGCCCGGUCUGCCGAAAAUCUAUAAGGGUAGUACUGUCCACUCGGACGAUCGCCCAAAUCAUUACCUAAAGUCAUCUUCAAGACUGCAAAAGGGUGAAAACAACGCUCCUCUACGGAUAACUUGGCCCUAUCCUAGGUUCCAAGGCGCCAGUUUCACAAACUUGGACCCAGAGAUGGCACGUGCUGGUGUUCCCCCGGGAUAAUGAGUGGCCUCUCCCCGGAGAGUCAGCCUACACACUAGCCUCGUCACUCGGGUUUCAUGGCGCGUCCAUGUCAGACCACUAGUCUAUCUCCUGCGGGAGACAUACAAGUGCCACUAAGUCUUUCCUUGCAGUCAACGUACCUCGAUCAGUCGGGAAGCACGUCCACUCGGACAAAUACCCCUUUCAUGCAAAAGGGUGAAAAUGAAGCUCCUCUGCGGAUACAAUUGUCCAACUUUUUCUACAGUCGGCAGUUUCCAAGCCGAAUUCAUUCACCGUGCCGAGAGCACGAAGAUUCACCUACUUGACCGAGUUCCAGGCUGAAUUUAUUCCGUGUCGAGUGCACGAAGAUCAUUCCGACCGACUCAGCUCCAGGUUGAGCUUAUUUACCAUGUCAAGCACCUAAAGAUGCAUCCGAUUGACUCAGUUUUAGACUAAAAGAUAUUUACCGUGUCGACUGCGUGGAGGUUUACCAGGAGACUUAAACCCUCUGCCCGACUCAUCUAGUCCGACAGAGGCUCGGGGACUACACCCAGCGGGUGCACUCAGCGUGCCCCCACUGGAAGAGAACUCAGAAAGAAACAUUUUGCUCGAUGCAAAACCAGCUCCAGAAUUACUCGACCUCCAAGUCAGAGAAGAACAAGUUCGAUCAGUACCAUCUAAGAAGAGUUUUAGUUCUCUCAGACCCCUGCCGACUGCCCGCAGUUGAUGGUGGUCUUGGGGACUACACCCAGUGGGUGCACUCAGCGUGCCCCCACUGGAGUAAUCUCCACUCGGUACGGCCUGACCAGUCCGAGUGAUGAACACAACAACAAAAACGACAGGCUCUAAGACUCCCACCGACUGCCCGCAGUCGACGGCAGUCUCUGGGACUACACCCAGUGGGUGCACUCAGCGUGCCCCCACUGGAAUGGUAUCCACUCGGAACGGUCCGCCCGGUCUGAGUGACGGCCAAACAACAAAAAAGACACGUUCCAGACGUGAAGAAAUUCUGAGGACCAGCUCCAAAUCACUCCAACAAAAAAAAUUGCUAUAAGGUGAGUUUAACGCUCCUCCGUGGUCCCGUUUGAGCUCAUUUCACUCGGACACCAUACAAUUUGGAAUCCAUCAAGGCAACAUGCGGACAUAAGGUCGCCGGGUGACCAAAGGGAGUUCAUAAGGGCCUCCGCAGCACUCGACUCAUCUGGGAAUUCACCUCGACUCGACCCGCUCAACCUCGACCGAUUCGGGGGCUAAUGAUGAGGACAUGUAUUAGGGGUAGGGUAACAAGCCUGACUUAAAGGCCCUACCCAUGGACACCGUAUACUUUGUACUGGGCCCCUGGGCCAGAUCACCGUCUAGAUGUACCGCAACUUGAAAGUCACUCAGACGGCGACAACCACUGGGAGCACGGCACUUCACUCGACGAGCUCAUUCCACUCGGCCGUGUAACUCACUCGGAUAUGCAAAGACCAGUAGUCAGUAUGACAGUUUUGUAGUGGGCAGGCAUUACGGCAUUGAUGCUCCAUCGUGUAACAUAAGGGGUGAGGGGGUGGCGCACUCUAUAUAAGCCACCCCCCACCACUAGACUAGGGGGUUCUUUUCUUCCACCUUUCUCUCUUUUCACCAUUAGUCUCAGGACUUAGCUCAGGCAUGGGGAUCCGUUCCUCUCUCACACACACACAUUGUAAUCUCCGGAUAUAUACUCAGAUAAAACAAAGCCUCUUCGGAGCACGAGACGUAGGGUUGUUAUCUCCACCGUGAGAGGCCCGAACUCGUUAAAACCACCGUGUCACCCAUAUGCAUCUCGAUAGAUCAUGCUCCGUUAUCCUACCCCUCUCUUACUGUCGGAGUCGUUCCCACGACAGCGGCGGGUGGUGGCGCGUCGGCGUUGGGCGUCUGGUGUAGCGCAGCGGCUGCGGUGCUCCGGAUUGGGAGGCGGCAUGCGGGCGAGAUUCUAGCCAGAUCCGGCCGAUCUGGCGCGGGGGCUCGGUCGGCGGCGACGGAGGGUGACGGCGGUGGCGUGCUCCGCGAGCGUCGGGUCUUGCAGGGGCCGGUGCAGGGGCGGCGUUGUUGCUUCGGGGGCGAGGCUUCUAUUCCGGUCGUCCUUGGGUGACGAGCGCGGGCCGGGUCUGGUGGCUGGCACGAGAUAUGGUGACCGGCGGCCUGAGGUGUUGUUGUGGUUCCUUUCGGCGGCGUGGAGGCAAGGCAGAGGGUGUUCGAUGGUGAUCAUGGUGUUGGACGGCGGGGAAGGAGCUUGCUUGAGGAGUCGAUGACGGGCCGGGGCACAGGAGUGGAUACUCGGCGGCCGGAGUUGCCGGCGGCCGGUGUGUCCCUCUUCCAUUGCAGCGGUGUCCGCCUCUCUGGGUGCGUUUGCUGGCAGUGGGCCGACGGCGCAGGCUGGUCGUCAGGGCAGGAGUUUGACUCGGUCCUCCUGCCCGGGACUGGUUGCUCCUCGUGCAGCUCCGGGUCUGCUUCGUCCAUCCCAAGAUGGGCAAUUGCUGUUGGUAGGGGUGGUGUCUUCUCGUUGGCAUCGGUGGAGCUCCGUGGUAGUGGCGGAUGGGACCUUGGGUUGCCGACUGGCGGAUCAGUGCUUCAGACUGCGGACUUGGCAUCGUCGGAGCUGUCUCUCCGCGACGGCCGUCGGCAGUCACUGGGUAAUGCCCCCUCCGGUCCAUUGGGACUGGCGGGGAGUCGGGGACUAUAGGCAUGGGCACCCCUAUGGUGGAGGUGCUAACCCUGACUCGGUAACUGAUGUCGGGCUUUUCCUGCCACGGAUUGUGCACUGUGAGGCGGGUGGGUGACAAGGUCUCGGGGCAUCGAUGCCGGGGCGGCGGCCCUGGAAGGCGGUCCACAUGGUUGGCCCUUCGGCGGGCACCAUCGCGGCGGUGGUGGCUCUGUCUCUUGGCCGUGUGGGCGGUGAAGGCUAUGGCGGAAGGUGACUCGGGCGCUCCCUGCCUCUGGAGACAGUGGCGCCCUGAUCCGGACCUGGGGAACUGAUCUCCUCACCGUCUCCCUCGAGACCUUGUGGUGGCACGGGUGGGUUGCCACGAGCGAAAGCUCUGCGCUUGGUCGCCAACGAUGGCGACGCCUGCGGGCGUUGUUCUCUACAUAAAGACGUCGUUGUGGGUCUUCUCUCCGUGUUCGGCUUCAGGUGAAAAUCUUUGUUCUUGGACUCGACAUCGGGGUCGCCUCACGUCGUUCUCGCUCUUGAGGGCGGUGUUGUGGAGUGUAGGUGGGUAGGUGUAGUGUGGCGGUGUUUUCAGCUCAUCUUGUACUUCUUUUCGGUUGUGUCGCGUGCUCAUGGCCUGGUCAUCUUAGGAUCGGCAUUGUUUAAGGGUUAUUCAUCAUUUUGUAUCGUUUGGCCGUGUACUUUGAUGUGUGGUUGCUUUAUAUAUAAAAUGGGACGAAAGCCUAUUUCAGAAGAGAGAAUGCAAUAAUUGAGUCGCAUUCGAUGAUGCUGUAUGCACACCAUCAGGUGGCAAAAGCCCGUAUAAAUAGGAGACCAUAAAGUAGUACUCCAACAAGACCCACCACGCAGGCCAGGCGCACGACCGAGCCCCGAAAAUGGCAGCCACGCCGACGACACCAUAGGUGCACAAUGAGUCCGUACAGACGGGCUUGCCGACUCGCGCCGUUGAGCCGGACAGGACGCGCUACAUCGCCGUGGCCGCGCCGCCGCUCCCGGAGACCGCGCUGCAGCGGCGCCUCCGUGUGGUGCUGUACUACAACGCCGAUGAUCACGCGCCGUGGGAGGAAGGUAUAUGGGUAAGGGAGUCGCUGAGCGAGGCGCUGUGCUUCUUCCCGGAGAUGGCGGGCAGGCUCCGGCGCCGGGCCGACGGGGACGGGUCGUGGGAGGUGAAGCUGAACGACGCAGGGGUGAGGUUCCAGCAGGCGACGGUGGAGAUGAGCAUGGAGGAUUUCCUGGCGGACAAGGACCGGGCGCGGAAGGAAGCCGCGCUGGCGCCGUGGGUCGACGUGAGCGCCGAGGAUCCUGAUAUGUGCUCGCUCCUCUUUGAAAGAUAAUGAGCGUUCCCUACUCCCUCGAGGGAAGCCACGGUUCUGUUUAUAUUGAUGCGGCCGAAGCCAAGCUUGGAGUAUAAGAAAGAUUACAGGGAGUUUGAGUAGGAGAAGGAAAGGAGUUUGAGAUGCUACGGAAACAUAUUCUCUAACACCCUCCCUUAAUCUUAACUAUCCUAGAUUAAGAUUACUCUUGAACUCCUCAAAUGGUCUUGAUGACAAUGCCUUUGUAAAGCCGUCUGCUACUUGAUCCUUGGAGGGAAUAAACCGUAUCUCAAGUUUCUUGGCUGCAACCCUUUCUCGCACAAAGUGAAAAUCAAUUUCGAUGUGCUUUGUCCUUGCAUGAAACACAGGAUUUGCAGACAAAUAUGUUGCUCCCAAGUUAUCACACCAUAAACAUGAGAUACGAUUCUUCUUGAUUCCCAAUUCCUCAAGAAGUGAUUCAACCCAAAUGAUUUCUGCAGUUGCAUUUGCCAAGGACUUAUAUUCAGCUUCUGUGCUUGACCGUGACACGGUGGCUUGCUUUCUAGCACUCCAAGAAAUAAGGUUAGACCCAAAAAAUACUGCAAAGCCUCCAGUUGAUCUUCUGUCAUCACUGCAUCCUGCCCAGUCAGCAUCAGAGAAUGCACUCACAAGAGAGGAAUUUGACCGUUUGAAAUGGAGUCCUAUUCCCAUAGUAUGCUUUACAUAUCUCACAAUUCUCUUGACAGCUGACCAAUGUGCAAAAGUAGGUGCAUGCAGAUAUUGAGAAACCUUGUUGACAGCAAAUGAGAUAUCUGGACGUGUGAGAGUUAAAUAUUGUAAUGCUCCCACAGUACUCCUAUACCUUGUACUUUCCUCCUCCUGAAGUGGCACACCUUCAUAUGCUGAAAGUUUUUCUGAGGAAGACAAAGGUGUAGGAACUGGCUUGCAAUUCUUCAUCCCCAUGCGAGACAGAAGCUCAGAGAUAUAUUUCUCCUGAUUUAACACAAUUCCAUCUUGAGUUUUCUUGACCUCAAUGCCUAGGAAGAAAUGCAAAUCACCUAGGUCUUUUAAGGCAAACUCUGAGCUCAAAUCAUGCAGAAGUGCAUUAGUAGCAUUUUGUGAAGAACUUGCAACUAUGAUAUCAUCAACAUAUAUAAGCACAAAAAUGACUACUCCAGCCUUGUUAUAGAUAAACAAAGAUGUAUCAGCUUUGGAGGCAAUGAAACCAAGAUAUUUCAACUGUAAGCUCAAUCUGGAGUACCAUGCUCUGGGUGCUUGUUUUAAACCAUAGAGUGCCUUGUCAAGCUUGCCAACAUAAUGUGGUGACUUCUUGUCCUCAUAACCAGGUGGUUGUCUCAUAAACCCUUCCUCUUCUAGAAUGCCAUGCAAAAACGCAUUAUGUACAUCUAGCUGUCGUAGACUCCAACCCUUGGAUACAGCAAUGGCUAGCACAAGUCUGAUAGUUGCAGCUUUAACAACGGGACUGAAAGUGUCCUCAUAAUCAAUACCAUAACAUUGUUUAAAACCCUUUGCAACGAGACGUGCUUUGUACCUGUCAAUGGAGCCAUCUGCCUUCUUUUUAAUUCUGUAAACCCAUUUGCAAUCGAUGAUAUUUUUACCUUUCUGAUUUGGCACAAGAUGCCAUGUCUUGUUCCUCAUAAGUGCAGAAUAUUCCUCAUCCAUUGCCUUCUUCCACUUAGGAUCAUUAAGUGCACUAUUCAAUAUUGUUGGUUCUCCUGAAAUACACAACAUUCCAUACGGUAUAGUCCCAUCUUUUCUUAUUUUAGGAUUUCGUAUACCUUUCUGUAAUCGAGUCAUAACUCGUGAAGGAACUGUUGGAUGGACCACAGGAGCACUCGCCGCAGAAGAUCCCGAGGAAGCUGCAUGUGAUGACACAGGCGAAUCUGGCGCCACCUGCACAGAGGAUCCUGUAGCCGUUGGUGUGGCCGCCUGUGUGUCCGCCACACGGGUGCCAGCCGCCCGAGCCGGCACAACGGAUCGACCGCCCGACCGCGAUUGCAGGCGCACGCUGGGCGAGGGAGAUUCGGCCCCACGACUGGUCCCGCCUGCUGCUGAGGUGGCGGCGUGGGAGUGGCGCGCGCUGGGCGAGGCGGAUUCGGCCCCGCAACCAACCCCGCGGCUGGUCCCGCCUGCUGCUGAAUCAGCGCUGCGGUUGGUGGGAGCGCGAUCCGAGGCUGAUUUGGCCGCGGGAUCCGAGGUCUGCGCGCGAACAGGAGUUGCGGGCGCCACCGGAUCAGCUUCGUCGUCUGUGCCAGGUUCGUCUCCUUCCUCAGCAUGAAAUAUAAGAUGAUCUUGAGCUUGAUUUUCGAAAGUUUGAUCAUUUUGAGCGCCGUUUUCACCAGGGACCUGCACAGGCAACAGAGAAGAACCAAUACCAGCAGGAAUAUCAUCACUUUGGUUUGUACAACUGUCGCCCCCAUGAUCAAAAGACCGAAGAUGUGGAGGAAGAAGAAGGAUUUCCUUGCGGAGAAGUGCACCAGCAUUGGGAUGAAGGGAAGCAAAAGGGAACACAGACUCAUCAAAAACUACAUCUCUGGAUAUGUAGACCCUACCAGUAGGAACAUCUAGACAUUUAACUCCUUUAUGCAUGGGACUAUAGCCUAAGAAGACACACUUUUUGGAGCGAAAAGCGAGUUUGCGUGUGUUGUAGGGUCUGAGGUUGGGCCAACAUGCACAACCAAAAACACGAAGAGAUGUGUAGUUGGGUGUGACACCGAGGAGUCGUGUAAUGGGUGUUUCAAAUUUGAUGACUUUACUAGGAAGCAAAUUGAUAAGAUAUGUAGCGGUUAAGAAUGCUUCAUCCCAGAAUUUGAGUGGCAUGGAUGCAUUUGCUAGCAAUGCUAGCCCCAUAUCAACUAUGUGACGGUGCUUUCUUUCAGCAGACCCGUUUUGUUGGUGAGCAUGAGGGCAAGAAACAUGAUGUGAAAUACCAAGUUUUUGGAAGAAAGAGUUCAAUUUUUCAUACUCACCACCCCAGUCACUUUGCAUAGCAAUGAUCUUGGAGUUCAGUUUGCGUUCAACAAGGUUUUGAAAAUUGAUAAAGACUUGGAAUACAUCAGACCGUUUUCUUAACAAGUAAAUCCAAGUAAAUUUACUAUAGUCAUCAAUAAAGCUUACAUAGUAAGAAAAUCUCCUAACUGAAGUAGGGGCUGGCCCCCAUACAUCUGAAAAUAUAAGUUGUAGAGGAGCAGUAGACACACUAGUAGAGAUGGGAUAGGGUAAUUGAUGACUUUUUGCUUGUUGACACGGAUCACAAACUGACUCAACACUAUUCUCAUAAGAGAGUUAUUUUUGCUAAGAACAUAUUUAACUAUGACUGAAGAUGGAUGACCUAAUCGACUAUGCCACCUUGAUGAUGAUGGCUUGGUGACAAUAUUUGCUUGUUUAUUGGACCACGAAGAUGAUGAUGAUGAUAUGAGUGGAUAGAGGCCUCCCACGCACCGUCCUCUAAGAAUGAUUCUCCUUGUGCUCAAAUCCUUAACCAAGAAAAAGUAAGGAUAGAAUUCUAUAAGAACAUUAUUAUCAAGGGUGAAUCGAUGAACAGAAACAAGAUUUUUGGAAGUUUGAGGAACAUGCAAGACAUCUUUAAGGUGCAAAUUUUUCAUGGGGUUUUGAACAAUUGAACUACCAAUGUGGGUGAUAUUCAUACCAGAACCGCUUGCCGUGCGAAUUUGGUCGCCUCCGUUGUAUUUCUCCCGUACUGUCAGCUUGUCAAGUUCACCUGUGAUGUGAUUUGUUGCUGCACUGUCUGCGUACCAAUUAGUGUCCAUGCCAUAGGAGACAGCAUGCGCCUCCUUCUCUUCUUGAUCAUUCUCUUCAUAGCGCCACCAGCAGACACGUGCACCUCCUGGAUGAUGUCUAUAGCAUAUCUGGCACUCAGGAUAGUCAUGCUGCUGCUCGCGUACCUGCUGUUGCUGUUGCUGUCGAGGGCGUCCUCUGAAUCCGCCGCCUUUAUUUGCAGGAGAAGGCUGGCGGUCACCGCGGUCACCGCGGCCGCGCCCUCUUCCUCCUCGCCCACGGGAUCUGCCACGGGACUGGCCGCGGCCUCUGUAGAUGGUGUUGGCAGAUGAAUGAAACCCGCCUGAAGACGAGUCUCCCAGCAUCUCCAUCCUCUGAUCAAAGGCGGAGAUCUGAGCGAAGAGGUCAUCGGCGGUGAUUGUGUUCUUGACAGCGCCGAUCGCCACCACCACGGAGUCGUAGUCGCGGUCGAGUCCUGCGAGUAUGUAGUCCACCAUCUCCGGAUCAGAGACGGGACGACCAGCGGCAGCUAGUUCAUCCCCAAGGCUCUUCAUCUUCGCCAUAUACGCCGAGCUCGACAUUGUGCCCUUCUUGGUGUUGGUGAUCGCGAUCCUUAGAUUGGUGAUCCGGGACUGUGAUUGCGAGGCGAAGAGAUUGUUCACCAUCGUCCAGAGCUCAUAGGUGGAGUCCUUCCCGACGACUUGCGCAAGGAUUUCUGGAGACAUGGAAUUGAGAAGAUAUGACAGGACCUGCUGGUCUUUGGCGAUCCAGGGCCCGUACAGAGGGUUCGGCUCGAGGGCCGUCGUCUUGUCCGCCUUCGUGACCUCUACAGUCUUGGGUGGAGCGGCGUCAGAGUUGUCCAGGAGCCCGGUUACCUGCGCACCUCGCAGGGCUGGGAGCACCUGGGUCUUCCAGAGGAUGAAGUUUCCUCUUGCUAGCUUCUCAGAUGGCGGCGAUCCGAGGUUGAGGCCGACGCCGGACGAAGAAGCCAUGGAGACGAUGAUAUGUGGUUCUAGGGUUUUGAUUUGUGGCUAGAUGUAGGAGAAGAGGUGGCUCUGAUUACCAUGAAAGAUAAUGAGCGUUCCCUACUCCCUCGAGGGAAGCCACGGUUCUGUUUAUAUUGAUGCGGCCGAAGCCAAGCUUGGAGUACAAGAAAGAUUACAGGGAGUUUGAGUAGGAGAAGGAAAGGAGUUUGAGAUGCUACCGAAACAUAUUCUCUAACACUCUUCAUGCAGGUAUUUGCACGCGCAUUAGGAUACUUGUGAAGUUUAGUUUUUUUUUGUUGAAUUUGUUCAAUUUCUCAUCUUUUAGAUCAACGUCUAACUAUAAUAUCAUUUUCAUAUACUCCCUUCUUUCUAUAUUAAAUUUUGGCUAAAUGAAUAUAUCUGGUACUGAAAUACGUCAUGAUUUACAAAAGUAGAAACUAACAACUUGCUAAAUUUGCACACUUUAUUUGGAUGUCCGAAAACUUUAAUAGGGAGAAUUAGCUAAAAGAUUACGAUGAAAUGUAUUGCCCAAAUGAUUUUGGCCAAUUAUUGCGAAAAUAGAGGGUUAUCUGUUGCAUUUAAGUGGAUGCCGACGGAUCCCACCGUUCAUCCGUGGCGUCCAUUAUAGAUCUGGUGGCCCAUGUAGGAAUUUUUGGAUUUUCACUAGGAAACCAUUUUUAUUAGAUACUUUGCCUUCAACUAAAGUCACAUAAAGGGGUUUGAUACAAUUCAAGAGAAGUUGCCUUAGCAAACCAAUAUGUGGUUGGAUGGUUAGAGGGACCGUGGUAUCUCCAUCCCACCAGGGUUCAAAUGCUGGUGCUUGCAUUUAUUCCGGCGAUGCACAUUCAAUGGAAGGAGACGUUCCUGUCGACGACGAGACGCCUACGGUGACUUCGUAAAUCUCAAGAUGAUAUGCCGGCUCAGUCUUUCGGAGGUGCUCAUAGGGGUAGGGUGUGCGUGUGUGUGUUCAUAUGGGUGAGUGUAUGCGCGUGUAUAUGAGCGCUUGUGUCUGUACUGACGUUCAACAAAAAAAGAAAAGUUGCCUUAAAAAAGUUAUACAUGUGUAAUAUCUGAACUCUAACACACGCCUCACUCACACUACAGCCACCCACAGACUGAGCUUCUAUUACUUAACUGCACUUGCCUUUGGAUGUAUGACACAAGUAUUUCCGGACGGAUGGAGUACGUAAUAUUUAUUUAUUUUAUUUUGCAAAAAUUAUAUUUGUAGUGAUUGUAUUAUGUACGAGUACUUCUGUUUAGCCAAAAAAAAAAGAAGUGCAUGAAUUCUGAUGCCCUGUCCACUACAGCUGAAUCGGUUCCAGGACGGGGGAUACGCCAUGGGAGUGAGCUGCACGGCGCUGCUGUGUGACCCGCUGUCGCUGGCGCGGUUCCUCCUCACGUGGGCGCGCACGCACAAGGAGAUCAAGGAGCAAAACAAGCUCCUCCUCAGGCCGAUGAUGCAGUACAUGGCAUACUUCGAGCGCCCGGAGAUCUGCUGCAGGCGCAUCAGCUCCUUCCCCAUCGACUCUGUCGCCGCCGACGGUGUCCACGCCCAGACCGGGCUCUUCAGGACCACUGCCGGCGCCGAGACCAGCGACCUCGACACGCUCGCUGCGGCCUGUAUCGCCCAGGCGAGCGAGGAGCUCGAGGUGGACAGGGCGUCACGGUUCACGCUCGUCGUCGCCCCCCGAGACUCCGCCCGCGGAGCGACGACCAUCGAGACGUCGGUCACGGCGGAUGGCCUGAAGAAGGGUGGCGCCGGCCAUGCGCUGGAAGCCGCGGAGUGGAGCGAGCUGAGGCUGGAGGAGCUGACUCUCAGGGGCGUCAAGCCCGUGCAUGUGUCGUACAGAAUUGUGGCGGGCGGAGACGAAGGGCUCGUCGUCGUCAUGCCUGACGGCGAUGGUUUCCUCGUCACGGCGACUAUUCCGGAGUAGGCGCUGGCUAGGAAUAGGAGGUGAUGGUUUCCGUAUUUCGUCAAGGCGCCAAAGUUUGGAAAUCAUCAUGGUUAGUUGUUUCCCUGUUUUUGUUUAUUGAUAGAUGUGCAUGUUACCUUGAUUAAAGGAUUUGAGUGGUGCUGUGCGACUUGCUAAACAAAUCUAAAAAACGAGAUAAAUGGGCAGGAGAGGCGUGAUGCCUCCCGUAGGCAUACGUGGACCAUUUCAUAUUAUAGCCACUUGGUCAGGGUGUGGAGGUGAGCACACUGUCGCGGUGACUACGGCCCUGUUUGGUUGAUAAGUUUUAGGAUUUUUUUUAGUCCCAACUUAUAGUCCAAGUCCCUAAAAAGUCCUUAUCUGUUUGGUUCCUGAGACUUAUAAGUCCCUAUAAGACCAUAUUACAACUAUAAGUCCCUAUAAAACUCUUCUUGAGAGUCUUAUUUCAUAAGUCCCAAAUGCCCAUUUUAAAUUCCUAUAAGUUCCUCCUGUUUGGUUUAGAUGAGACUUAUAGGAAUUUUUUUAAAUUCCUAAACCAAUAAGUCCCUGGAAACAAACACCCUCGACAAACUUGUUCCACUUUCUCUAACUUGAUGGGCAAAUAAAAAAUGCCGUGCCAUGAUGGUGCUAAUGUUUGGUGAAUACGUAAUUAGAUGGUAAUCUAAUACUGUCAAACCCGGAUGACCUAAGCAGUUAAACUUGCUUCGUGCCCGGUGACAAAACGUGGGCGAACGUGAGCGUUGGAUGGACGGCGGUAAUCCACGUCCUCGCUUUCAUUUGGUGAACCUGCAGCGCGGCAAUUUUCGCCGCCAAUAUGCUUCCCCGUUUCGUUCCAUGGUCCAAUGCUCGUCAUCAAAACUAAAACGCUCAAUCACGCGCGACGGGCAGUUCAUCACGAAAAGGAUAUAUGGACCCCUCCCCUCCCCUCCCGUCCAAGAGGAAAAACGAGAGAUGAGUCCAACUGAAUCGCAUUCUUCGCUAGAUUUCCCUUGCUCUUCAUCCCGUUGCAAGGGGAGGAUGAAGUAGAUCUUUCAGAUGAGCUGAAGGAUUUGGGUAUGAACUAACUAUUGUAUGCAGUGGCGAAACUUGCUAAAAAAUCAAUCUAAGCUCGCCCAAUUUUUUUUCCUUCACAACUUGAUCCAAGGCUGGGGGCCAAUGCCCCCCUCCCCUGGUCGUGCACGAUCUUCCGCGUGAACGAGGGGUUUCGUGAGAAGAGCGUUGAUGAAGCAGGGCUAACGAUCUUCUACCCAGAUGGCGACGCUGUUGCAGCAUUCGUCCCGAGGUUCAACAAACUCACCGUCGAUGGCCAGGCCGAUGCUUCGGCAACGAUCUUCAUUCUGCACACGCUCUCUGCUCGUUGUACAACCGCAACCGUGCUCCUCUCUGAUCGUUGUUGGCGUGCACAAGCAUGGCUCCCGCAACUGUGGUCCUGGUGGUCGUGCUCACCGUCCUCGCCGCCGCCCGGAACAUCGAGGAAUACGCUUCCAGGCGAGCACGGCGAGGAGCAGAUCGAGGCCACUAUCGUGAGCAGCCAUGGAACUACCUCGACGCCCGCGCCACCUCCUCCUACCUCCUCAGCUCUCCCGCCCGCCCGCCUCCACCUUCCCGAUGAGACACUAGUGCAGAAUCAGGCUUUAGUCCCAGUUCGUAAGGGCCUUUAGUGCCGGUUCACCAACUGGGAUUAACGGGUGCGGACUAAAGCCCCCCUCCCCUUUAGUCCCGGUUCGUCACAGCCCGGGACCAAAGGUCCACCACAUGGCACGAGCCCGCGCCGGGUGCUGGGGGGCCUUUCGUCCCGGUUGGUGACACCAACCGGGACUAAAGGUUUAGGGGUUUAGGGUAUGGAUUUAUGAAUUAUUGUUUAUUUUUCCUUUCGUUUUGUAUGCGUUCGAGACCACGCCCGUAAGUACGUACGUGGUCGUCUUUUUUGCAGCAUGACUGUUGUAUGUGUACAGGAUUUAAACGGGAUUGCCUAAACAACUACCGCUCCUUACCGGGCCACGGUUCAUCGUGGCAGACAGACCGAUGGACCAGUAUGUACGUACAUGUUUGCGACCAGAAUGACAACGCUACAUACGCUUUGACCGGGUGGGUUCCAGUUGUCACGGAAGAUAAGGAGACACUUCCUUGCGUGUGAAGAUAUAGGUGGUGGGCCUGAGCUGUCAGGGGGAGGAUUCAUUUUUUUGCGCGUAAUAAGAAGACACUUCCUUGCGUGUGAAGAUAUAGAUGGUGGGUCCGAGAUGUCAGGAGGAUUCAUUUUUUUGCGCGUAAUAAGGAUGCACUUGCAUGCGUCCAUGGACCAUAUGGGUCCCUACUGCCAGCCUCUCCACGUACAUCCCUCUUCUGAUGUUGUCGUUUAUUGACAACGUUGACCACACCGUGCCGAGAACACCAACACGAUGGACGACGGCGAAACCCAGGAAGGGAAUGACUCAGGGGCGGCGAAGCCACAACAAUGAAGGGAUGUGGUUGAGUAGAUGGAUGGCCUGGUCAGUGGUGGGUGUAGUAGGGGCGGUGAAGCCUGCAUGGCAGCAUAGCCGGCCACGGGAGGUAAAAAAUUUAAACGAAAUUUCGCAUAUUUUGGUGGGGUACAAAAUAUUUUUAAUAAUGAAAUGUCGAGCCAGAUUUAAAGUACUUUCAUGAUAUAUUUAAAUUAGUUUCAAACCCAAUGAAAUUGGAAUAUGAAAAUGCGAAAAAAAUCAAAAAUGUGAAAACUAUUGCCAAUUUGUCGUGUGUCUUUUAUAUUUACAGCCCAUUUCAUAUUACUUUUAAGAUUUGCAGUCGUCUUGAAAGAGUUGCAGCCUAGCAUGGCCGAGAAAAAUAAGUAGGCCUGGGUUGGAUAUGCCUAGAUUGGGUAUUCUUCAGAAAAAAUAAACUGGUUUAGCCAUUUUCACAAAGAAAAAAAUCUAGGUUGGUCAUGUGUUGUACGUAAAUUGGAAGCCUGGGCUCGAUGGGCCACAAUCCAGUUAAAACCCUACUCCGUCUCAACAAUAACAAAAAGAAAUUACUGCUCAAGCAGCUACGUCCUAGGUGUCAGCCGUUCUUGUGUAGUUCUCUUUUCUAUUGACUAUACGCUAAAAAUGUCGUGGGUCCCAGACGUCGGCAAACCAUUAAGAGGUGGCAUUUUCUUUUUCUAUACGCUGAAUAUGGAGUAUAUAACAAAAAAAGGGGAACUUGCUUGCGUACGGCCAUGGACAUGGUGCGUCCCUACUGUCAUCCUCACCACGUACAGUCAUCUUCCGAUUCCUCUCGUUUGUUGACCAUGUUGACAACGCGAAAGGGCGGCGCCGCGGCAGCGCACCAAAGCGUGUGGAGGACAACGGCGCGGCCUCGGACGGGAACAAACUGGAGCCGGGAAAGAUGCAGCGGUGAAGUCGCGGGCGAAAGGGAGUACAAGGGUUGACUAGUUCGGGUGUGGGAUGGGGUUGACGUCGACAUUAACGAUUCGGGAGACGAUGGGGCGACGAUGCGUGCGCUGAGGCGCAGUCAGCCAUGGAAGGCGGGAGCAGGCGGCCCCGCCAGCGUUGGUUUGAUAUUGACGGCUGGAGGAAGACGAGACUGAAGAAACAUGAUAGACUGUAAAAGCAGCAGGAGUACUUAACAUCCUGAAGAGGUUGUUUGGGUAGCUGGUUUAUAGAUAAUCAGUUAUAUAUAAACCCGUUUGAGGCUCUAACAAACUUAAAACUCUGUUUGGCUAAUCUAACUAAUUCCUGGAUAAGCAAAAAUUGGUUGUCGUAAUACCCAAAAUAGGAAUUUUUGGAAAAACGGGUCCCAGACGUUUUUAUGAACAUGCCUUCCGAGAAAGCCGGGCGGGCUGCAUCGUCGACUCGCCGUAACACCUACACGCCCGCCCCUUUAUUCCUGCUACUUCCUGCUGGUAUCCUAGCCACAUCGCCGCAGUAUGGAUCGAUUGAUGCAGAGGCCGGGGGUCUCAACCUCCUUUUUCAUGAUACAGAGGCCGGGGGUCUCAACCUCCUUUUUCAAAAAAAAAAAAAGCCACAUCGCCGCAGAUUAGCUCAUCUAAGGUGAGUAGUAUUGCCUCCCAAAGCCAUGGACGAACACCUCGACGGAGCGGCGCACGGUGCAACAACGCGCUUGGAGGCAGGGAUGUACGAUUACGUCAAGGCCUCCAAGAUGUUGCUUGACGUGGCCAUGGGCGGUCGGCCCUACGACUUUGGCUCCGCGCUAGCCGGGUUCAUGGCUUGCUCACCAGAGCGGACGUAUAUAACCUCUCGGCUCGAGGUGCUCACCGACAUGCAACGGUUUCGCGACCGACGGCUCCUGAUUUCCGCCGUUGACCGUCGCGUCGAUGGUUAAGAACAGAUCAUGCGACUACGCGCAUAGGCUCGUCGACCAGGCUGUCUGUGGUUAACGACCGCACCAGCAGCACUGCAGCUUGUGAACAAAAGACUGUAUGUACGUGCAUCAAUGCAUUAGAAUAUUCGCAUGUUGAAAAGUUUAAAGUUUGUUCAUCACAUUUGACAAAAUGUUCACUGGCAUUAAAAGAUACUCAUGUAGUGUAGAAAUAUCUGUUUGCCCCAUUUUCACAAAUAUUGGUACCCAUUAGAAAAUAUUCACAACAUCUAAAAAUGUUCGUAUGUUUAAAAUUUUGUUCAUGAAAUUUGAAAAAAUUCAUAUAAAUCUAAAUAUUUGCUCACAUUGUUUGAAAAAAAUGUUUGCAGCACCCAAAAUUGUUCGUAAAAAAUAUUGACGCUUUUAAAAAUAAUUCUUGUGAUAUUUUAAGAAAAAGUUCAUGAAAAUACAAAAAGUUGUUCAAGAAAUAUUAUAAACAGUUGAAGAUGUGUUUAGAAAAUGUUUAACGUAUAUUAUACAAAUGUUCAACAUGUAUUGAAUAAAAAAUUUAAGUGUAUCUACAAAAUAUUCAACCUAUAUAUGAAAAAUGUUUAGCACGUAUUAAAAGAGUCAACAUGUAUUUUGCAAAUGAAAAACAAAAUAACAAAGGAAAACAAACAUACAAAAAACCAUAAUAAAAAUUGAUUAAGAAAAACAGAAAAAAGCAAGGAGCAACUAAUCAGGGUUUACCCCUUGGACGGUACCCGAAGCGUUAACUUUCUUAGGCCCGGGAGCAUGCCAAGUGGUGCAUCCAGCCGCCACCACAUGUUGUUGCACAAGGCGCACCUUGGGGAUUUCGAUUUUUUUCCACACGCGUUUCUGGGUUUACUUUGAAUACAGAUUUCUGGUUUUUCGACUUUUUGUUGGUUCUACAUUUUACAUAUUUUUAGAGCUCAUUUGUUGCAUGUUCUCUACAUAUAUCAUCUCACGCUGAACCUAAUAUGUGUCCAUCAUGCAUGAUUUUUGGGUUUUACUCUUUUCACUAGGAGCACUAGCAUGUUAGUGUUAUUAUUUUUCUUUUACUAGUGUCCUUUGUUCUUUCAUGUCUAUUAGUGUUUUGGAGCAACAUAGGACCUAACACGAUGAAAGGGACAAGGUUGGAUUCAUUAUGGAGGACUUCCAACACCAGAUUUAGAUCUUUUCAAAGUUCCCCAAAUCAAGAUCGAAUACCACUGGUGCGUAGAGGCGUUGCUCUCAUGGUUCCAAUGGACCCAUCUCGAGCAUUUCAAAGAGAGAUGGGGCUCAGAUGGGUAGUGUUUGUGGUGUGGCCGACCGACUUUAAAUAGCAAGCUCCUAGGUAGGCGAAGCAGGCGCUUCAAUGCGGGCCCCCGAGUUGGCUUCUCAUUCAGAGCGUGUCGGUUUGAAUGCCGGGCAGGCGUUAACUGGCAUGAUUGCGGUAGAAAUCCUUCAUGUCGUCCCGUCCGCUCUGAAUCACGCGUGGAGAGCGAGCGGACACGGCGAGAGAGGAGGAAGAGUUUUUUUGGAUGGUCCAAAACCCGCAAACUUUCCUCAACUUUGAUUCUGAUUUGUGAGAUUUUGAACAUCCAAACACGUCCGGAUAGAUUUGAUGACCGAUAUUGGAUGGAAAAAAAUGGUCGAACAAUCCGAUCCAGACAUUUGGGGGCGCUUUGAUGAACUGCGUCAGUGUUGAGUGUUGUAUACCUGUUCAUGACCACGUUGCACAUAAACAAGACGAAUACCAAGAAACCACAAUAGUUUGAUUGUAAAUUUUGGAUGACCACAAUUUUCCGGGGCAAUGCAAUUGGAGUGAAUAUCAUAAAACUACCACAAUUCGCGUUAGGGUUUCAAAAAGAACACCAAAAAUUUAUUUGUGACUAAUAACUACGAGAGUCGGCGUCGGUUGUCUAAAAAAACUCAAACCCCCAUUGCUAAGAAAUUAAACCGGCUUAUGACAUGUCGCACCCCCGCACCUAAACGAACCGUCUGUUUGGCCGUUAACUGACAUGUGAGGCCCACAUGUCAAUCAUCUCUUCUUCUUCUUUUCCUCCUCUCCUCCUUAUCCCUCUCUCUCUCUGCACGAGCCCGCCGAAUAUGCACACCGGCCGCCCCUCCUCCUGCCUUUCUCCCUCUCCGUGAGCUAGCCCUACUUUCCCCGGCCGACCCUCCUCUCCAUCUCCCCAACUGGCCGGAGCACGGUCUCCCGCAGGGUGGCGGUGAGCCCCUACAUUGCACGUGGCGGCGCCCCUCUGGCCAAGCGCGACGGUGCGCCCCUAUGUCCGGAACAUGACGGCGGUGAGCCCCUCCAUUGCAUGCAGCGGCGCCCCUCUGGCCAAGCGCGACGGUGCGCCCCUAUGUCCAGAACACGACAGCAGUGAGCCCCUCCAUUGCACGCGGCGGCGCCCCUCUGGCCAAGCGCGAUGGUGCGCCCCUAUGUCUGGAACACGACGGCGGUGUGCCCCUCUAUGCUGGCCGGCAAGGUAAGGAGCAACAACAACGGUGGCCGGCAACGCAUAGCAUCAGGCGCAGCCGGCAAGAAGCAGCAGUGUAGCCAGCAAGCAUCAGCAGGAGUAGCAGGCGCGACCGGCAAGGAGGUCCAUCUGGACCGAGCCCGUCACCUGCCUGGAGGAGCCCCGCCUCCGCGCCGAGGCCAGUGCCACCAGCUCGAGCGGGCGCCGCCAUGGACAACUGCGGCUGCCAGCCACAGCCACAGUCGGCUUAUACAAGGACUGGAUUGUUUUUUUUUUGAAAAAUGAUGAGGGACCCGAUCGCUUUUUAAAAAUCUUUGCAGGGGUUAUGCUGUAAAAAUGAGGACACAUUUUAAAAUCUAUAAAAGAACCAGGGGUUGAAGAAAAAAUUUACAUGAGAUUUUUUAUGAGUAAGAGACACAGACAUGUGGGCCCCACAUGUCAGUUAACGGUCAAACAAAUGGUCAAAAUAGACGGUUCUUUUAGGUGGGGGUCCGAAUUGUCAUAAACCGGUUUAAUUUCUUAGCGACGGGUGUUUUGGGUUUUUUGAGACAGCCAAUGCUGAUUCUAGUAGUCAUUAGUCACAAAUAAAUUUUCGGUAGUUUUUUUGUAACUCUAACAUGAAUUGUGGUAGUUUUAUGCUAUUCACUCAAUGUAAUUGACAUGUUUUUGACCGUUGUGACCCAAAAGUCAGGCCAUGGCGAUUAGAACAACAGCCCCGCCUAAAACGGCAGAUGUGGCCAUGGAUGUGGAAUUGCAUCGGCAUUGAUAUGUAUCACCUGUAGUGAUAACAAGCUCCCACUCAUCGCUCAGGGCAUGUACAAUGAUCGAUAAGGUAGUUUUAUCUUAAAUCUUGCAUGUAAUUUAGAGAUGACAAAAAAACAUAUCUACAAUAGGUCAUCUCUUAGCCUUAUCUUUUAAUAACUAGUUAUUUCUGAAAACAUGAUGAGACAUAUUGUGCUAAGAGAUCAUCUCGUGUCUUCUCUUAAUUAAGAGAAGACAAACCUUCUUUUAUAAUUUGUUUCUCCUUCACCUCAUCAUUUAUCCUACGUGACAUUACUAAGAUAGAGCCAUUGUACGUGCCCUCACGCCUCAGAGAGCUCCUAAUUUGCACUCUUUGCGCCAGUUAACGAGCCGACGCUCACGCGCGCCACAGGCUGGGCCAGCCUAACACGUGAGCUCAUCGCACGUUCAAUCGUUGGCUGACAGUUUGACGGUUGACCGGUUGACUCUUGACUUUUAAGAACAAAAUUGUAGAUUCGGAAAAGUUCAUGAUAUACCAAAAAUAUUCACGAGUUUGAGAUAACAUUAUGGAUUGAAAAAAAUUGUGCAGUUGAAAUUUGUUUCCGAUUGAAAAAGUUCAUGCAUUUAAAAAAAAGUUGACGAAUUUUAAAAUAUUGAAUGUGGCAGGUGUUACUGACGGCUGCAUAGGCGGCUGACCUUUUCUAAGAUCAACCCAGAAGCAUAAACGUACGCUGGCAGUAGAAAGAAACCAGAGGCAAACUAAGUCAUGCGUGCAUGCAUUAAUCAAGCUAAUCUUUGCAUUGCAAGGCCUGGCCGGUGUUUUCGGGCGGCUAGCAUCAUCGGCCAUUACUCGGUAUCAAUGACAGCCGACGACCGCCCGUGGGUCCGGCGACGACCGUCACAUCCCAUGCAUGGGACCGGCAUCGGCGUCAUGCUUUAAUCCUUGGUUGAUCGAUAUGCACAGAUCCAAGUCAGCAUAUAUACAUGUGAUUCUCAAAAAAAAAAAGCAUAUAUACAUGUGCACUGUGAACGUCUAUGGUUUUUUUCUAUCUACUGUUGAACUUACAUCCCGGACAUAACUGUAUGAUUGCACGAUAUAUUGCUCUUCGUGCAUAGGCACGUAUAUAUGAUGUACAUAGGUGGGCCACGGACCUCAGUUGUACANNNNNNNNNNNNNNNNNNNNNNNNNNNNNNNNNNNNNNNNNNNNNNNNNNNNNNNNNNNNNNNNNNNNNNNNNNNNNNNNNNNNNNNNNNNNNNNNNNNNNNNNNNNNNNNNNNNNNNNNNNNNNNNNNNNNNNNNNNNNNNNNNNNNNNNNNNNNNNNNNNNNNNNNNNNNNNNNNNNNNNNNNNNNNNNNNNNNNNNNNNNNNNNNNNNNNNNNNNNNNNNNNNNNNNNNNNNNNNNNNNNNNNNNNNNNNNNNNNNAGACUGAACCGGAACUCCUCAAAUGACGCCAUAGGCAAGCCCUUGGUCAUGAUAUCGGCAAAUUGUUGGGAAGUAGGGACGUGUAAAAGACGAAUAUGGCCAAGGGCCACCUGUUCCUGAACAAAGUGAAUAUCCAACUCAAUAUGCUUGGUCCGUCGAUGAUGCACCGGGUUAGCGGAGAGGUAGACCGCCGAGACGUUGUUGCAGUAGACCACCGUGGCACGGUCAACAGGACAAGAGAGCUCCUGAAGCAGCUGGCGAAGCCACGAACACUCGGCGAAGGCGUUAGCCACCGCACGAUACUCAGCCACAGCACUGGAACGAGAGACCGUAGGUUGCCGCUUGGACGACCACGAGAUAAGUGAGGGUCCAAGGUAGACACAAUAGCCCGAAGUGGAGCGACGAGUGUCAGGGCAGCCCGCCCAGUCUGCAUCGGAGUAGGCGGUGAGGGUGGUGUCGGCGGAGGCGUGAAGCAUGACACCAAGAUCCAUAGUGCCACAGGUAUAGCGAAGAAUCCGCUUGAUGGCAGCCCAGUGAACGUCUCGAGGAGCAUGCAUAUGAAGACACACCUGCUGCACGACAUACUGGAUCUCCAGUCGAGUCAGAGUGAGGUACUGGAGAGCACCAAUGAUAGACCGAUAGAAAGCAGCAUCCGAAGCAGGAGAACCAUCCGUGGCAGAAAGCUUGGCCGUCGUAUCAACAGGCGUAGCGGCGGGCUUGCAGUUAAGCAUGCCGACGCGCUCCAGGAGCUCGUGAGCGUACUUCCGCUGAUGAAGAAAGAAGCCAUCCGGACGGCGCACCACCUCGAUGCCGAGGAAGUACUGCAAAGGACCCAAGUCCUUGCUGGCGAACUUAGCGCGAAGACAAGCCGUGAGCUGACUAAGGAGACCAGCCAUACAUGCCGUUAGGAUGAUGUCGUCGACAUAGAGCAGCAAGUAGGCUAUGUCAGAGCCCUAAUGGUAGACAAAGAGCGAGGCGUCCGAGCGGGUAGAGCGGAACCCAAGCUAGUGGAGAAACGCCGCGAUGCGCUGGAACCAAGCGUGCAGAGCCCGCUUGAGUCCGUACAAGGACCACAAAAGAAGGCACAUGUGGUCAGGAAGCGCCGGGUCAACAAACCCUGUGGGCUGCUGGCAGAAGACCUGCUCCUCGAGGUGACCAUGGAGGAAGGCAUUGGAGACGUCCAUCUGGUGCACCGACCAAGCACGGGAGACCGCUAGGUGGAGAACCAUGCGUAUCGUGCCGGGCUUGACGACCGGAGGAAGGUGUCGAUGCCAGCACGCUGUCGGAAGCCACGGACGACCCAACACGCUUUGUAGCGAUCCAGGGUACCAUCAGGACGGAGCUUGUGUUUAAAGACCCACUUCCCGGUAAGCACGUUGGCGUGCCGGGGACGGGGAACAAGUUGCCACGUCCGGUUGCGCAAUAGGGCAUCAAACUCCUCUUGCAUCACAGCCAUACAGAGCGGGUCAUGAAGAGCGGCUCGAACGGAGGACGGAAACGGCGACGGCUCAGAGGUGGACGCUGCAUGGACGUAGUCAUCCGAGGCGUAGCGCGAGCUCGGACAAAAAACGCCCGUAUGGGUGCGGGUGACCGGAACGGCCAUAGGCGCUGGGGGGCUACAGGCACCGGGGGUGCCGGGGGGGGGGCGGGCGCCGACAGGGCCGCGGGGGCCGUGGGUGCCAACGUCAGGGGCGCCGGGGGAGGCACUGCAUGCGGGGGCGGGCCUCAAAGCCAGGGGGCGAGCCAAGAGAGGCGCGCGAGCGCCCUGGGAGAGGCAUCGAGGAGCCCGCAUCACCGGUGGCGGGAGGAAUAGCCGAGGGUACCUGCUGAAAUGGAAAGAUAUGCUCAUCAAAGUAAAUGUGCCGGGAAGUGAAAACACGGUGGGAGACGGGAUCGUAGCACCAAUAUCCCUUGGAGUUGGAGGGGUAGUCGAUGAAGAUGCAAGCGACAGAACGAGGUGCGAGUUUGUGAGGAGAGGAGUCGGCAAUGCUAGGAUAGCAAAGGCACCCCAAAAUAUUCAAGCCAUCAUAAGAUGGGGGCGUACCGGAGAGAAGAUGGUGAGGUGUAUAGUUCCACUGUGGACAGUAGGGGCGAAGGUUAAGGAGAAGUGAAGUAGUAGCGAGUGUGUCCGACCAGAAACGAGGCGACACAUUAGCAUGGAACAGGAGCGUGCGAAGGCAGUCGUUCAGAGUGCGAAGGACGUGUUCAUCUCGACCAUUCUGCUGUGAAGUAUACGGGCAUGUGACAGAAAAGUCCGGAAAGCAAGGUUGUCGAACUCUUUUCCAUUGUCAGUCUGAAGAGAAAGGAUGGGGCGCCCAAACUGCGUCUGACAUAGGAGUAAAAAGCCGUCAAAGUGGAGAGUGCAUCUGACUUUCGUCGUAAAGGAAACGUCCACACAUAGUGAGAAUAAUCAUCAAGGAUAACCAGAUAAAAUAAGUAGCCCGAGUUACUGAAGGAAAUAUGCCCUAGAGGCAAUAAUAAAGUUGUUAUUUAUAUUUUAUAUCAUGAUAAUUUUUUAUUAUUCAUGCUAGAAUUGUAUUAACCGGAAACUUAGUACAUGCGUGAAUACAUAGACAAAACAUAUAUUCCCUAGUAUGCCUCUACUUGACUAGCUCGUUAAUCAAAGAUGGUUAUGUUUCCUGACCAUAGACAUGUGUUGUCAUUUGAUGAAUGGGAUCACAUCAUUAGGAGAAUGAUGUGAUAGACAUGACCCAUCCGUUAGCUUAUCAUUAUGAUCGUUACAAUUUCAUUGCUACUGCUUAAUUCAUGACUUAUACAAGUUCCAAAGACUAUGAGAUUAUGCAACUCCCGAAUACCAGAGGAACACCUUGUGUGCUAUCAAACGUCACAACGUAACUGGGUUAUUAUAAAGAUUCUCUACAGGUGUCUCCGAAGGUGUUUGUUGGGUUGGCAUAGAUCGAGAUUAGGAUUUGUCACUCUGUAUUUCGGAGAGGUAUCUCUGGGCCCUCUCAGUAAUACUCAUCACUAUAAGCCUUGCAAGCAUUGUGACUAAUGGGUUAGUUGCGGGAUGAAGUAUUACGGAACGAGUCAAGAGACUUGCCGACAACGAGAUUGAACUAGGUAUGAUGAUACCUACGAUCGAAUCUCGGGCAAGUAACAUACUGAUGCCAAAGGGAACAACGUAUGUUGUUAUGCGGUUUGACCGAUAAAGAUAUUUGUAGAAUAUGUAGGAGCCAAUAUGGGCAUCCAGGUUCUCCUAUUGGUUAUUGACCGGAGAUGUGUCUCGGUCAUGUCUACAUAGUUCUCGAACCCGUAGGGUCCGCACGCUUAACAUUCAAUGACGAUUUGUAUUAUGAGUUAUGUGAUUUGAUGACCGAAGUUUGUUUCGAGUCCCGGAUGAGAUCACAGACGUGCCGAGGAGUCUCAAAAUGGUCGAUACAUAAAUAUCGAUAUACUGGAAGGCUAUAUUUGGACGUCGGAAAGGUUUCGAGUGAUUCGGGUAUUUUUCGGAGUACCGGGGAGUUAUGGUAAUUCAUCGGGAGAAGUAAUGGGCCUUAUUGCGCUUUAGUGGAGAGAUGGGAGAAGGGCCAAGAGGUGGCGCGCGCCUCCCCCCUUCCCAAACCGAAUUGGACAAGGGGUGGGGGCGCAACCCCGCUUUCCAUCUCCCUAUCCCUCUCGUUGAUAUGCAUCUCCUAGAUAGAUCUUGCGUGAUCGUAGGAAUUUUUUUGAAAUUGCCGCGUCCCCCAACAGUGGCAUCCGAGCCAGGUCUAUGCGUAGAUAUUAUAUGCACGAGUAGAACACACAGAGUUGUGGGCGAGAAUAGUCAUAAUGCUUACCACCAACGUCUUACUUUGAUUCGACGGUAUUGUUUGAUGAAGCGGCCCGAACCGACAUUACAUGACCGCGUUCAUGAGACCGGUUCUACUGACGUGCUUAUGCACAUAUGUGGCUAGCGGGUGUCUGUUUCUCCAACUCUAGUUGAAUCAAGUUUGACUACGGCCGGUCCUUGAUGAAGGUUAAAACUGCACCCUUGACGAAAAAUCGUUGUGGUUUUGAUGUGUAGAUAAGAACGGUUCUUUCUAGAAGCCCGUAGUAGCCACGUAAAACUUGCAACAACAAAGUAGAGGACGUCUAACUUGGUUUUGCAGGGCUUGCUAUGAUGUGAUAUGAUCAAGGCAUGAUGUGAUAUAAAUUGUUGUAUGAGAUGAUCAUGUUUUGUAACAAACUUAUCGGCAACUGGCAGGAGCCAUAUGGUUGUCGCUUUAUUGCAUGCAAUGCAAUCGCCAUGUAAUUGUUUUACUUUAUCACUAAGCGAUAGCGAUAGUCGUAGAAGCAAUAGUUGGCGAGGCGACAACGAUGCUAUGAUGGAGAUCAAGGUGUCGCACCGAUGACGAUGGAGAUCAUGACGAUGCUUCAGUGAUGGAGAUCCCGAGCACAAGACGAUGAUGACCAUAUCAUGUCACAUAUUUUGAUUGCAUGUGAUGUUUAUCCUUUAUGCAUCUUAUUUUGCUUAGUACGGUGGUAGCAUUAUAAGAUGAUCCCUUACUGAAUUUCAAGGUAUAAGUGUUCUCCCUGAGUAUGCACCAUUGCAACAGUUCUUUGUGCUGAGACACCAUGUGAUGAUCGGGUGUGAUAGGCUCUACGUUCACAUACAACGAGUGCAAGCCAGUUUUGCACAUGCAGAAUACUCGGGUUAAACUUGACGAGCCUAGCAUAUGCAUAUAUGGCCUCGGAAUACUGGAGACCGAAAGCUCGAGCGUGAAUCAUAUAGAAGAUAUGAUCAACAUAGUGAUGUUCACCAUUGAAAACUACUCCAUCUCACGUGAUGAUCGGACAUGGUUUAGUUGAUUUGGAUCAUGUGAUCACUUAGAUGAUUAGAACCGGGACUUCAAAAAUGUUUUUGAAACGUCACGGAGCAUAUGAGAUGUUCCAAGAGCUAAAAAGGGUAUUUCAGACUCAUGCUCGUGUCAAGAGGUAUGAGACCUCCAACAAUACUUCGCCUAAAAGAUGGAGGAGAAUUGCUCAGUUAGUGAGCGGGUACUCAGAAUGUCUAGGUACUACAAUCACUUGAAUCAAGUGGGAGUUAAUCUUCCAGAUAAGAUAGUGAUUGACAGAGUUCUCUAGUCACCAUCACCAAGUUACUGGAACUUCGUGAUGAACUAUAGUAUGCAAGGGAUGACGAAAACGAUUCCUGAGCUCUUCGUGAUGCUGAAAUCGACGAAGGUAGAAAUCAAGAAAAAGCAUCAUGUGUUGAUGAUUAAACAAGACCACUAGUUUCAAGAAAAGGGCAAAGGGAAAGAAAGGGAACUUCAAGAAGAAUUGCAAGCAAGUUGUCACUCCCGUGAAAAAGCCCAAAGCUGGACCUAAGCCUGAAACUGAGUGCUUCUACUGCAAAGGAAAUGGUCACUGGAAGUGGAACUGCCCCAAAUAUUUGGUGCGAUAAGAAGGAUGGCAAAGUGAGCAAAGGUAUAUUUGAUAUACAUAUUAUUGAUGUGUACCUUACUAGUGUUCGUAGUAAUCCCUGGGUAUUUGAUACUUGUUUAGUUACUAAGAUUAGUAACUCGAAACAGGAGUUGGAGAAUAAAUAGAGACUAGUUGAGAAUGAAGUGACGAUGUGUGUUGGAAGUGGUUCCAAGAUUGAUAUGAUCAUCAUCGAGCACUCCCUAUACUUUCGGGAUUAGUGUUGAACCUAAAUAAAUGUUAUUUGGUGUUUGUGUUGAGCAUGAAUAUGAUUAGAUCAUGUUAAUUGCAAUACGGUUAUUCAUUUAAGACAGAGAAUUUUUGUUAUUUUGUUUACAUGAAUAAAACCUUCUAUGGUCAUACACUGUCAGAGUAAUGGGCCAUGGGUAGCCUCACCCGAGUCCCUGAACCUGUCAAAACUCCGGGCCGGCUUUUCCCCGUAAUACCCAAAACUGAAGUUUCGCCUUCUGGAGACCGGCUGGCUCAAUGGCCGGCCACCGAAGGAUGGCCAACUACCAGCAGACGGCACCAAGAGCGGCCGGCUCCAGUCAGCCGGCCUCUAGAGAGGAUGGCAUCGUGUAGGCGGCCACCUGGCUCCCUCAGAGUCUGCACCCCCAUCAAGAGGACGAGACAGGGCGUGGCUACAGUGAAGUCCCUCACCCCUGAAUCUUGGGCUUGGCGUGGCCACAGUGCCUCGUACAGGUAGAGAUCUCCACACGGCGCGGCACUGUUGCCACUCCCCCCUUGACGUCACUCCAGACAGGCGGAGCCCUGUUCCCCAUGACAACCUGUCGGUAGGGCCUGCGGGCUGCGGGCCCUAUCAGGCAAUGAUAGCCCGGAAGACAGCGGAUGCCGGACCAGUCGUACGUGGGGAAGGACGGCCUCCAGCAGGCGGUCGUCCCCUUCCUCGAAGUAAGUGCACCAUUAACCUGAUGAGACAAGGUGUGGCUACAGUGAUCUCCCAAUAGGCAGCGGGACUGUAGCCACACUGAGCUGACCAAGCCCGCGUCAUUAGCAGCACGGCUAUAGUGAACAGCCACCAACCAAACCCGCCAGUGGCGGGAACGGCCUGUUGGCUCCGUACCGAACCAGGUGGCGGGCACCAGUAGUCGGCAGAGAAGCCGGAGACCAGAGACACUUACAGCCGGGACCAGCACCCGGCCAGUUUACCAUUGUACCCCUGGGGGGUAUGCCUAUAGAAACACCCCCAGGGCGCCCAUGCAAAGGGUUCCCACUCCAUCAGAACUAGCCACUCCUCUAGAGCAGGAAGAGAGCUAGCCUUGCCUCCUUCUGCCUCUAGCACACAGCUCAAGGAGCACCAUUGUAUCACUUGUGCCUUAGUGAUCAUGCGGAGACCCCGCAGAGCAGGACUAGGGGUAUUAUCUCCUAGGAGAGCCCCAAACCUGGGUAAAGUGCGUCGGUGUACAUGUCUACGCCUUAUCCCGCUUCCAGGCACCGGCGACAUUCUAAUCGCUCCCACCAUGAUAAGCCAUCCUUUGGCAUAUGUCGCACCCAACCCACAACAUUUGGUGCCCACCGUGGGGCGAGGUGCACCAUCUCCCGGAGACCUGCUCUGGACAGGAACAUUGUUCCUUCCUGGCGAGCGAAGCCAGCCCAGCACACUCGACGGCGUCAGCCUUGACGCGCUGCACGACGCAAAGAUCGCCUGCGCAGCGAGCUACCUGAUACGUCUCCAACGUAUCUACUUUUCCAAACACUUUUUCCCUUGUUUUGGACUCUAACUUGCAUGAUUUGAAUGAAACUAACCCGGACUGACGUUGUUUCACUUCCAUGAUGUUGUUUUAUGUGUAGAAAAGAAAAGUUCUCGGAAUGUCCUGAAAAUCCACGGAGGAACUUUUUGGAAUUAAUAAGAAUUUCUGGGCGAAAGAAAUACACCAGGGGGCCCAGGGCCUGUCCACGAGACAGGCCCCCCCUGUAGUGCGCGCCCCCUAUCUCGUGGGCCCCCUGGACCUCCACCGACCUCAACUCCAACUCCAUAUAUUCAUGUUCAGGGAGAAAAAAAUCAGAGAGAAAGUUUCAUCGCGUUUUACGACACGGAGCCGCCGCCAAGCCCUAAUCUGGAGGGCAGAUCUGGAGUCUGUUCGGGGCUCCGGAGAGGGGGAUUCGUCGCCGUCGUCAUCAUCAACCAUCCUCCAUCACCAAUUUCAUGAUGCUCACCACCGUGCGUGAGUAAUUCCAUUGUAUGCUUGCUGGACGGUGAUGGGUUGGAUGAGAUUUACCAUGUAAUCAAGUUAGUUUUGUUAGGGUUUGAUCCCUAGUAUCUACUAUGUUCUGAGAUUGAUGUUUCUAUGACUUUGCUAUGCUUAAUGCUUGUCACUAGGGCCCGAGUGCCGUGAUUUCAGAUCUGAACCUAUUAUGUUUUUAUGAAUAUAUGUGUGUUCUUGAUCCUAUCUUGCAAGUCUAUAGUCACCUAUUAUGUGUUAUGAUCCGACAACCCCGAAGUGACAAUAAUCAGGAUACUUCUCGGUGAUGACCGUAGUUUGAGGAGUUCAUGUAUUCACUAUGUGCUAAUGCUUUGUUCCGGUUCUGUAUUAAAAGGAGGCCUUAAUAUCCCUUAGUUUCCGCUAGGACCCCGCUGCCACGGGAGGGUAGGACAAAAGAUGUCAUGCAAUUUCUUUUUCAUAAGCACGUAUGACUAUUUACGGAAUACAUGCCUACAUUACAUUGAUGAACUGGAGCUAGUUCUAUAUCACCCUAUGUUAUAGCUAUUACAUGAGGAAUCGCAUCUGGCAUAAUUAUCCAUCACUGAUCCAUUGCCUACGAGCUUUUCAUAUAUUGUUCUUCGCUUAUUUACUUUUCCGUUGCUACUGUUACAACUACUACUAAAACCCAAAAACAAUUAUCUUUACUUUUGCCACCAUUACCUUUAUUAUCAUACCACUUUUGCUACUAAAUACUUUGCUACAGGUACUAAGUUAUCCAGGUGUGGUUGAAUUGACAACUCAACUGCUAAUACUCAAGAAUAUUCUUUGGCUCCCAUUGUGUCGAAUCAAUAAAUUUGGGUUGAAUACUUUACCCUCGAAAGCUGUUGCGAUCCCCUACACUUGUGGGUUAUCAAGACUAAUUUCUGGCGCCGUUGUAGGGGAGCAUAGCUCUAUUCUCUGAGUCACUUGGGAUUUAUAUCUGUUGAUCACUAUGAAGAACUUGAAAGACGACCGAACUACUAUUUUGCCCUCAAUUGUGAGGGGAGGUAAGGAACUACCAUCUAGCUCUGCACUAGACUCUCCUUCUGUUAUUAGUAAGCUUGCGACACCUAAACCUGCUACUGCUAUGAAUUCUGAUAUGUCACAUGUUAUUGAUGAUGCCACUUCUGCUAUGCAUGAUGAAACUACUUCUGUGUGUGAUACUACUUUGCCAUUAGGUGAAUUUCUUGAUGAACAACUUGCUAGAGUUAGGGGGAAUGAAAUUACUGAAGAACCUAUUAUUGAUGAUAGUGAUGAUGAAGGUUCUCCCAAUGAUUAUGUAUUACCUGUUGUUCCUAAGGGUUAUGUUAUGAAUGAAGAAGCUGCUAGGGAAAUCUUUGCUUGCAAUGAUAGAUAUGAUCUUAAGAAAUUAUUAGCUAAAUGGAAGCAGCAGUCUCUUAAUGCUAGAAUGAAACCCGAUCCUGCUUUUGCUACUUCACCUAACUGUGUUACUGAUAAGGAUUAUGAAUUCUCGGUUGAUCCUGAAAUUAUUACUUUAGUUGAAUCUAAUCCUUUUUAUGGCCUUGAAUCUGAAACUGUUGUGGCACAUCUUACCAAGUUGAAUGAUAUAGCUACCCUGUUUACUCAUGAUGAGAAGUCUCGCUAUUAUUAUAUCCUUAAGAUAUUUCCGUUCUCAUUAAAGGGUGAUGCUAAGACUUGGUAUAAUUCUCUUGCUCCUGGUUGUGUGCGUAGUCCCCAGGAUAUGAUUUAUUACUUCUCUGCUAAAUAUUUCCCUGCUCAUAAGAAACAAGCUGCCUUGCGGGAAAUAUAUAAUUUUGUGCAAAUCAAAGAAGAGAGUCUCCCACAAUCUUGGGGGAGGCUUCUCCGGUUACUUAAUGCUUUGCCUGAUCAUCCUCUCAAGAAAAAUGAAAUACUUGAUAUCUUCUAUAAUGGACUAACCAAUGCUUCCAAGGACUACUUGGAUAGUUGUGCUGGUUGUGUUUUCAGGGAAAUGACAGUCGACGAAGCUGAAAUACUAUUGAAUAAUAUGUUGACUAAUGAAAAUAUUGGACUCUUCCUGAGCCAAUUCCUGAACCAAUUGAGCCAACUCCAGAGCCUAUUCCUAAACCUACUCCGAAGAAGCGAGGUGUUUUAUUUCUCAGUCCUGAAGAUAUGCAAGAGGCAAAGAAAUCAAUGAAAGAAAAAGGUAUUAAAGCUGAAGAUGUUAAGAAUUUACCACCUAUGGAAGAAAUACAUGGUCUUAAUAUACCGCCUGUUGAAGAACCAUAUUGUCUUGACAACCCGACACAGGUAGUAAAGGUAAAUUCUCUCUAUAGAUAUGAUAAAGUUGAAAUCCCCUCUACUAAAUUUCAUAGCCCAUGCUUAGAUGAAUUUGAUGACUUUAUGGCUAGACAAGAAAGUUUUAAUGCUUAUGUUGCUAGAGAGUUAAAGAAUAAUGCUUUCGAGAUAGGACGUGCAAACGAUAAUCUGGCUAGAGUUAAAGAUGAACUCAAACACGUUAGCAAAUUUGCUUCUAGGGUUGCUACUCAAGCUGAGCAAGUACUCAAAGCUCAAAAUGAUUUGCUUGAUGAAUUAAAUAAUAAAAAUGACUUUGUUGUUAGAGUGGCUACUAGAACUGGUAGAAUGACUCAGGAACCUUUGUAUCCUGAAGGCCACCCUAAGAGAAUCGAGCAAGAUUCUCAGGGAAAUAAUUUAGAGGCACCUAGUUCUUCUAAGAAGAAGAAAAAUAAAAACGAUAGAACUUUGCAUGCUUCUAGUGAACCUACUGUAGACACACAUGAGAAUCCCAAUGAUCUUUCUUUUUCUGAUGCUAAAACACAAUCGGGUGAUGAACAUGAACCUAGUGAUAAUGUUAAUGAUAAUGUUCAUGUUUAUGCUCAACCUAGCAAAAAAAUGUUGUAGAGAUUGAACCUGCUGUUGAUCUUGAUAACCCACAAUCAAAGAAUCAACGUUAUGAUAAGAGAGAUUUUGUUGCUAGGAAGCACAGUAAAGAAAGAGAACCAUGGGUUCAGAAACCCUUGCCCUUUCCUCCUAAACCAUCCAAGUCAAAGGAUGAUGAGGAUUUUGAGCGCUUUGCUAAAAUGAUUAGACCUAUUUUCUUACCUAUGCGCUUAACUGAUAUGCUGAAAGUAAAUCCUUAUGCUAAGUAUAUGAAGGAUAUCAUUACAAAUAAAAGAAAGAUACCGGAAGCUGAAAUUUCCACCAUGCUUGCUAAUUACACUUUUAAGGGUGGAAUACCAAAGAAACUUGGAGAUCCGGGUGUACCAACUAUACCAUGCUCCAUUAAAAUAAAUUAUGUUAGAAUUGGUUUAUGUGAUCUUGGAGGCGGUGUUAGUGUUAUGCCUCUCUCUUUAUAUCGUAGACUUGAAUUGAAUAAGUUGAGACCUACUGAAAUAUCUUUGGAAAUGGCUGAUAAAUCAACUGCUAUACCUGUCGGAACUUGUGAGGAUGUGCAUGUUGUGGUUGCAAAUGUCACUAUCUUAACGGACUUUAUCAUUCUUGAUAUUCCCGAGGACGAUAAUAUGUCGAUUAUCCUUGGUAGACCUUUUUUGAAUACCGUAGGGGCUGUUAUUGAUUGCAACAAAGGCAAUGUCACUUUUCAUGUUAAUGGUAAUGAGCAUACGGUACACUUUCCGAGGAAACAAUAUCAAGUUCAUAGCAUCAAUUCUAUUGGAAAAGCUCCAACUAUUACUAUUGGAGGUUUUGAGUUUCCUCUCCCUAGUGUCAAGAAAAAGUAUGAUAUUCUUAUUGUUGGGGAUUUUCAUAUCCCCGUUGAGGUAACUUAGUGUUAUUCGAAAUUUCUCCAGUUCCGUGUUAUUCGGAAUGAGUUUGUUAACAAUACUUGAUCAACCUUGUUAGUGGAUUCAUUUCAAUGAUCACAAGAUGGAUGAAACUAGAAGGCACAACCUUCUGCACCCACUUUUUACUUUCUGUUAUUUAGAAUAAAUAAAGAAAAAAUAGUAUUAUCUGUCUGUUGUCUGAAUUAUCCGUGCAUUAAAAAAUAGUCCGGAAAUAAAAGUGCUCCAAAUGCCCUGCAAAUUUAGUAUGAUUUUUUUCUGGAAUAUUUGAGGAUUUUAGGCACUGAAAAGACCGCAGGAGGGGCAAGCACCAGGCCACGAGAGUGGAGGCCCCCCCCUUUAGGGCGCGCCCCCUGUCUCAUGGGCCCCUGGUGGCCCCCCUCCAUUUACGCCAGCACCCACACACUUCCUCUUCUACCCAAAAAAAUCCCCAUCCAGCUCAAGCACGAGUUCUAGCUCAUUUUGCUGCGAUUUUCGAUCUCCUUGCUCAAAGCUCCUUUCACAAAACUGCUUUGGGAGAUUGUUGCUUGGUAUGUGACUCCUGCAUUGGUCCAGUUAGUUUUUGUUCUAGUGCUUUAUUCAUUGCAAAUUUUUGCUGCACAGGUGACCAUGUUCCUGAGCUUGCAUGUUAAAUUUAUGAGGUCCCAAGCAAUUCUAAUGCAUGAUAUAGGCUCUAGGCACUUGUAGGUGUAGUUGCUACCAAUCUUGUUUAGUUUUAUUCACUUUUAUUUUGAAGUUACUAAAAUUUCAGAAUUUUUUAGAAUAAGAAUUAUGCUUAGAAGAAUGUACCAAGGUGGUUCCUCGGCAAAGAAAGGGCCAGGGAUUGCUAUACGUGAGCAAGAUGUUGAAUUGCCAAGGGAUGCGGAUGUACGAGCUUGUGAGUGGCCAUCCAAUGAUUUUAUGGUCGAAGCAGGCUUCAAGGAGGAAUUUGACGCGUAUGUGCGUAAUGCCGAGCUGGAGGACUUCUUACAAGAUAAGUGUCCUCAGUACUAUCAAUUGACUGAUUCCUUUGUGCGGAGGUUCCAAUAUAACUGUGCGCGUAAUUCUCCUAGUGUCAUGUUUGAUAUUUAUGAUACAUCUUAUACCAUGGAUUUAGAGGAUUUCACAACUGCUUGCAAACUCCCGCAGUGGUGUAAUAUUAAUGAUCCUGGCAAAUCUGAAUUUAGAGAUUUUCUUGCUAGUAUUACUGUGGGAGAAUCUAGGGACAUAGCACAAGCUACAAUAGGGAGCAUUUAUUUUCCUGCUAUACAUUAUUUUGCUCUCUUUAUUGGUAGAUGCAUUAACGGUAAGGAUGAAGCAUGUCACAUGUGUGUCCCUGAUCUUUGUGUCCUCCAGAGUGCUGUGUCAGGUUAUAAAGGUUAUAACUUGGUGGUAAUAGUUGCACGUAGGUCGCAGAAUAAUAGAAGAAAGGGGGAUUUAUUUGGAGGAAUUUAUGCAACCCAUGUGGCUAAUUAUCUUAAUAUAGCCCCACGAGAGGGCGAUAUGAUUUUACCCCCAAUUUAUUUGGAUAAAGAAGCUAUGUUCAAUCAUCAAUUUCUUGCGAGGAAUGAACAAUUCCUCCAUUAUCGACUAAUCUAUGACAGACGCAACGUCGUCCCUGUUACUCUUCCUGCUUCCUACCUUUUUGAUUAUCAGGCAAAAGGAAGAUAUGUUGUCACCCGGGAGGAAGCAGCUGAACAUGAGAGGGGAGCGGAGGCAGCUCGCCAACACGCUGCUGCUCAGGAGGCGGUUGCCGCUGCAUCUCAGUAUGGCCCCGGUUUCACUUAUGGAUAUCAGCCAGGCGGUCCUUGGUACUAGACCAACUUAGGCCAAAAGCCUAAGCUUGGGGGAGUACGUAUUUCUCACCGACUUUACAUUCAUGUUCACACACUAGUCGUCGGUGCUCAUACUCUUUCAUUGUGUUAUCCAUGCUAGUUUAAAUUUCUUUUUCUAGUUUUCUUCCUGUGUGUUUGAUAAACUUUAAGAAAAAUCAAAAAAAUUAGUUAGUUUAAUUUCCAUGCUUGUAGUAGAAUUAAAAUAAAACCCAAAAAUAUCUCUAGUUCUUCUUCUUACUUGUUGGGAGCUUUCCCGUGUAAACACUUUUAUUUUCUUUUCUUUCUUUUGAGGGUCGAGAAGACCGUAUUGAAAAUGAUUAGUGGCUCUUAUAUGCAUGAUUGUUUAUUUAACAUAGAGCCCAUAUUACUUGUCUUAUCCUUUGAGUUGAAUGCUUGCAGAUUCCAGCUUAGCCCAAUGGACGUGCACACUUAUUAUUAUACACAUUGUUCGGUCAUGCAAGUGAAAGGUAAUAAUGACGAUAUAUGAUGGACUUAUUGGGAUGAGAAAAGCUAGUAUGAACUCGACCUCUCUUGUUUUUGUAAUUAUGACGAGUUCAUCGUUUCUGAUUCAGCUUAUUAUGAAGUAAACAUAUUUGCAAUGACAUUUAGAGAUUAUAGUUUAUUGUGUCAUGCUUGAUUAGCUAUGAGUUAUAAUGGUUUACCUUGCGUGCCAACAUGCUAUUAGAAUGAUUAUGAUGUGGUAUGAUGGGAUCGUAUCCUCCUUUGAAUGAAUUGAGUGACUCGACUUGGCACAUGUUCACGCAUGUAGUUGAAUCAAAUCAACAUAGCCUUCACGAUAUUUAUGUUCAUGGUGGAUUAUAUCCUACUCAUGCUUGUAUUCGGUGUAAAUUAAUUUUAAUGCAUGUUUACGACUGUUGUCGCUCUCUCAGUUGGUCGCUUCCCAGUCUUUUGCUAGCCUUCACCUGUACUAAGCGGGAAUACUGCUUGUGCAUCCAAACUCCUUAAACCCCAAAGUUGUUCCAUAUGAGUCCACUAUACCUUCCUAUAUGCGGUAUUUACCUGCUGAGGGAGUCCUGGACUAGGGGGUGUCCGGAUAGCCGGACUAUCAUCAUCGGCCGGACUCCAAGACUAUGAAGAUACAAGAUUGAAGACUUCGUCCCGUGUCCGGAUGGGACUUUCCUUGGCGUGGAAGGCAAGCUUGGCAAUACGGAUAUGUAGAUCUCCUACCAUUGUAACUGACUCUGUGUAACCCUAGCCCUCUCCGGUGUCUAUAUAAACCGGAGGGUUUUAGCCCAUAGGACGAACAACCAUUACAACAAUCAUACCAUAGGCUAGCUUCUAGGGUUUAGCCUCCUCGAUCUCGUGGUAGAUCUACUCUUGUACUACCCAUAUCAUCAAUAUUAAUCAAGCAGGAGUAGGGUUUUACCUCCAUCGAGAGGGCCCGAACCUGGGUAAAAACAUCGUGUCCCUUGUCUCCUGUUACCAUCCGCCUAGACGCACAGUUCGGGACCCUCUACCCGAGAUCCGCCGGUUUUGACACCGCAUUGGUGCUUUUACUGAGAGUUCCUCUGUGCCGUCAUGAUCAGGAAGGAUGCCUAUUCCCGUCUUUAGAGACGGUAUCAUCGCCAAAGGAGCCUUGGCCGCCGGCCAAACUAUCCGGCUAGGUGGUUUUCUCAUGACCGCCUGUUCGGCCACCGCUCCAACGAUGACCUCUCGGGUCAUCAAAGGCAAUCUUCACGUCAACUCGGAAUUCGCCGAGCAGCUGGAUCCAAUAGAGCUCUCGUCCGUAAACGAGCUCUUGGAUCGCAUCGCCGCCCUGGGAGUCGCUACAGACUACAAUCAAAUUGGGCUUAAAACCGAUCUGAGAGAGAUUAACUCUCCCCAGGUUACCCACCACGUUGCGGUGGUAGAGGAACAAAGCGGCGACUCUUCUUCUGUACUAAAAACUAGUUAUGUCCGGACUCCCGAACCCUCCAUGCCGGAUUCCCUCGGAGGGACGGACAUCGAUCAAGCACUGAACCUAAAGUCAAGCAUCGGACCAGACUCGUUGGACAACGUCCAGCAAUCCAUGCUUCCAAAUUCGGAAACUUUUCGGCCCUUGAGCCUCGAGAUGGGCAGGGUUCCGGACUCAAUUCCACCCACCCACCCAAACAUAUGCGAUCUAUCUCAAAACCGGCAAGAGCCCGCCGAAACAGUACAUCAUUACUGGGCCAGAUUCCUCCUGGUUAUGGACAGGAUAAAAGACUGCAGUGAGGAAAACGCAAUUUCAAUUUUCUGCAAUAAUUGCACGGACAAGGGAAUCUUGAACGCCGUAAGUCGUCGUGAAAUUACACGCUUCGCCGACCUGGCGUCCAUAGUACGAAAGUACUGUGCGAUGGAGAGUUUCCGGAAAACCAAAACUAAGUUUUGGGACAAUCCGGCUCCGAAUACAACCCUAGUCCGAAACAAAAGGGUGCAUCAUGCUCAGGCACCAGGUAAAAAAACCAAAAAGCAAAAACCCCAUAAAGGGCACGGAACCGUACUGGAGGGAUGGCUCAGCGGACCCUGUAAAAUUCAAAGUACUGAUGGUGCCACUCCAACACAUAGCCUUCGAGCAUGUUGGAUACUGCGGCAGGUGGCCAAAAGUGGCGAAGAGCUUCUAGCCCCCGAGAACCACUCCAGCAGUACCAGUACGGUGUCAACAGUCUUCGAGACUUUCGCAUCAAAUAAUAUGCGGAAACGAACAAUCCGCAGCCUCGCCGAAGUCUACCAAGUAGCAACAACAAAUCCAUGGAGCGACACGGCCAUCACCUUUACCGCCAGCGAUGAACCUAAAUUCCGAACAGCCCGACCACCAGCCGCAUUGGUCCUCAGUCCAAUAGUGGACGACUUUCGUCUUACCAAGGUACUCAUGGAUGGCGGCAGGGGAUUAAACCUCAUCUACGAGGAAACCCUUCAAAAAAUGGAAAUAGACUAGAGCCGCAUUGAGCGAAGCAGCACAACCUUUAGAGGAAUAAUCCCUAGCCGGGAAGCACGCUGCACAAGAAAAAUCACACUUGAUGUGGUGUUCGGCUCGCCGGACAAUUACAGGUCCGAGGAGGUCAUGUUCCAAGUGGCCCCGUUCAGCAGCGGAUAUCACGCUAUAUUAGGACGAGAGGCAUUCACAAUUUUUCAAGCCAUACCCCAUUACGGGUACAUGAAGCUUAAGAUGCCCGGGCCCAGUGGAAUAAUCACUCUUGUCAGUGAUCCGGACACAGCACUCCGCGCCGAAAACAAGAUAGCCGCACUAGCCCUAGAGGCACUAUCCGAAGCCUUAGCAGCAGAGGAGCUCACGGCGCUGCGCUCCACGGUGAACAGGGAUGAUGUGAUACUCAAUAAGAGGUCCAAGUCCACCUCUUUUAAACCAGCGGACGAAAUAGUAAAAUUCUAGGUCCAUCCAACAGACCCAACAAAGACGGCCUCCAUUGGGGCACAGUUAAACCCUGAUGUAGAUGCGGCACUACGAGAAUUCCUUCAGGAGAAUUGGGACAUCUUCGCCUGGCACCCUUCAGAUAUGCCAGGAAUCCCAUGCAGAUUGGCAGAACACAGCCUAAACAUCCUAAAAGGAUUCAAGCCAGUCAAACAGGCUCUUCGGCGAUUUUCCAAACCCAAAAGACAGGCAAUGGGAGAGGAGCUAGCCAAACUAUUGGAAGCCGGAUUCAUCAGAGACAUCAAACAUCCGGACUGGCUAGCAAACCUGGUAAUGUGUGACGCCCCCGAUUUAAUCGUACACUAAUCAUGCACGCAAAUGUGUACGAUCAAGAUCAGGGACUCACGGGAAGAUAUCACAACACAACUCUACAAAUAAAAUAAGUCAUACAAGCAUCAUAAUACAAGCCAGGGGCCUCGAGGGCUCGAAUACAAGUGCUCGAUCAUAGACGAGUCAGCGGAAGCAACAAUAUCUGAGUACAGACAUAAGUUAAACAAGUUGCCAUAAGAUGGCUAGCACAAACUGGGAUACAGAUCGAAAGAGGCGCAGGCCUCCUGCCUGGGAUCCUCCUAACUACUCCUGGUCGUCAUCAGCGGGCAGCACGUAGUAGUAGGCACCUCCGGUGUAGUAGGGGUCGUCGUCGACGGUGGCGUCUGGCUCCUGGACUCCAGCAUCUGGUUGCGACAACCAGAAAGAAAGGAAAAUGGGAAAAAGGGGGGAGAAAGCAACCGUGAGUACUCAUCCAAAGUACUCGCAAGCAAGGAACUACACUACAAAUGCAUGGGUAUAUGUGUAAGGAGGCCAUAUCAGUGGACUGAACUGCAGAAUGCCAGAAUAAGAGGGGGAUAACUAAUCCUGUCGAAGACUACGCUUCUGGCAGCCUCCGUCUUGCAGCAUGUAGAAUAAAGUAGAUUGAAGUCCUCCAAGUAGCAUCUCCAAGUAGCAUCUCGAGUAGCAUAAUCCUACCCGGCGAUCCUCUCCUCGUCGCCCUGCGGAAAAGCGAUCACCGGGUUGUCUGUGGAACUUGGAAGGGUGUGUUUUAUUAAGUAUCCGGUUCUAGUUGUCAUAAGGUCAAGGUACAACUCCAAGUCGUCCUGUUACCGAAGAUCACGGCUAUUCGAAUAGAUUAACUUCCCUGCAGGGGUGCACCACAUAGCCCAACACGCUUGAUCCCAUUUGGCCGGACACACUUUCCUGGGUCAUGCCCGGCCUCGGAAGAUCAACACGUNNNNNNNNNNNNNNNNNNNNNNNNNNNNNNNNNNNNNNNNNNNNNNNNNNNNNNNNNNNNNNNNNNNNNNNNNNNNNNNNNNNNNNNNNNNNNNNNNNNNNNNNNNNNNNNNNNNNNNNNNNNNNNNNNNNNNNNNNNNNNNNNNNNNNNNNNNNNNNNNNNNNNNNNNNNNNNNNNNNNNNNNNNNNNNNNNNNNNNNNNNNNNNNNNNNNNNNNNNNNNNNNNNNNNNNNNNNNNNNNNNNNNNNNNNNNNNNNNNNNNNNNNNNNNNNNNNNNNNNNNNNNNNNNNNNNNNNNNNNNNNNNNNNNNNNNNNNNNNNNNNNNNNNNNNNNNNNNNNNNNNNNNNNNNNNNNNNNNNNNNNNNNNNNNNNNNNNNNNNNNNNNNNNNNNNNNNNNNNNNNNNNNNNNNNNNNNNNNNNNNNNNNNNNNNNNNNNNNNNNNNNNNNNNNNNNNNNNNNNNNNNNNNNNNNNNNNNNNNNNNNNNNNNNNNNNNNNNNNNNNNNNNNNNNNNNNNNNNNNNNNNNNNNNNNNNNNNNNNNNNNNNNNNNNNNNNNNNNNNNNNNNNNNNNNNNNNNNNNNNNNNNNNNNNNNNNNNNNNNNNNNNNNNNNNNNNNNNNNNNNNNNNNNNNNNNNNNNNNNNNNNNNNNNNNNNNNNNNNNNNNNNNNNNNNNNNNNNNNNNNNNNNNNNNNNNNNNNNNNNNNNNNNNNNNNNNNNNNNNNNNNNNNNNNNNNNNNNNNNNNNNNNNNNNNNNNNNNNNNNNNNNNNNNNNNNNNNNNNNNNNNNNNNNNNNNNNNNNNNNNNNNNNNNNNNNNNNNNNNNNNNNNNNNNNNNNNNNNNNNNNNNNNNNNNNNNNNNNNNNNNNNNNNNNNNNNNNNNNNNNNNNNNNNNNNNNNNNNNNNNNNNNNNNNNNNNNNNNNNNNNNNNNNNNNNNNNNNNNNNNNNNNNNNNNNNNNNNNNNNNNNNNNNNNNNNNNNNNNNNNNNNNNNNNNNNNNNNNNNNNNNNNNNNNNNNNNNNNNNNNNNNNNNNNNNNNNNNNNNNNNNNNNNNNNNNNNNNNNNNNNNNNNNNNNNNNNNNNNNNNNNNNNNNNNNNNNNNNNNNNNNNNNNNNNNNNNNNNNNNNNNNNNNNNNNNNNNNNNNNNNNNNNNNNNNNNNNNNNNNNNNNNNNNNNNNNNNNNNNNNNNNNNNNNNNNNNNNNNNNNNNNNNNNNNNNNNNNNNNNNNNNNNNNNNNNNNNNNNNNNNNNNNNNNNNNNNNNNNNNNNNNNNNNNNNNNNNNNNNNNNNNNNNNNNNNNNNNNNNNNNNNNNNNNNNNNNNNNNNNNNNNNNNNNNNNNNNNNNNNNNNNNNNNNNNNNNNNNNNNNNNNNNNNNNNNNNNNNNNNNNNNNNNNNNNNNNNNNNNNNNNNNNNNNNNNNNNNNNNNNNNNNNNNNNNNNNNNNNNNNNNNNNNNNNNNNNNNNNNNNNNNNNNNNNNNNNNNNNNNNNNNNNNNNNNNNNNNNNNNNNNNNNNNNNNNNNNNNNNNNNNNNNNNNNNNNNNNNNNNNNNNNNNNNNNNNNNNNNNNNNNNNNNNNNNNNNNNNNNNNNNNNNNNNNNNNNNNNNNNNNNNNNNNNNNNNNNNNNNNNNNNNNNNNNNNNNNNNNNNNNNNNNNNNNNNNNNNNNNNNNNNNNNNNNNNNNNNNNNNNNNNNNNNNNNNNNNNNNNNNNNNNNNNNNNNNNNNNNNNNNNNNNNNNNNNNNNNNNNNNNNNNNNNNNNNNNNNNNNNNNNNNNNNNNNNNNNNNNNNNNNNNNNNNNNNNNNNNNNNNNNNNNNNNNNNNNNNNNNNNNNNNNNNNNNNNNNNNNNNNNNNNNNNNNNNNNNNNNNNNNNNNNNNNNNNNNNNNNNNNNNNNNNNNNNNNNNNNNNNNNNNNNNNNNNNNNNNNNNNNNNNNNNNNNNNNNNNNNNNNNNNNNNNNNNNNNNNNNNNNNNNNNNNNNNNNNNNNNNNNNNNNNNNNNNNNNNNNNNNNNNNNNNNNNNNNNNNNNNNNNNNNNNNNNNNNNNNNNNNNNNNNNNNNNNNNNNNNNNNNNNNNNNNNNNNNNNNNNNNNNNNNNNNNNNNNNNNNNNNNNNNNNNNNNNNNNNNNNNNNNNNNNNNNNNNNNNNNNNNNNNNNNNNNNNNNNNNNNNNNNNNNNNNNNNNNNNNNNNNNNNNNNNNNNNNNNNNNNNNNNNNNNNNNNNNNNNNNNNNNNNNNNNNNNNNNNNNNNNNNNNNNNNNNNNNNNNNNNNNNNNNNNNNNNNNNNNNNNNNNNNNNNNNNNNNNNNNNNNNNNNNNNNNNNNNNNNNNNNNNNNNNNNNNNNNNNNNNNNNNNNNNNNNNNNNNNNNNNNNNNNNNNNNNNNNNNNNNNNNNNNNNNNNNNNNNNNNNNNNNNNNNNNNNNNNNNNNNNNNNNNNNNNNNNNNNNNNNNNNNNNNNNNNNNNNNNNNNNNNNNNNNNNNNNNNNNNNNNNNNNNNNNNNNNNNNNNNNNNNNNNNNNNNNNNNNNNNNNNNNNNNNNNNNNNNNNNNNNNNNNNNNNNNNNNNNNNNNNNNNNNNNNNNNNNNNNNNNNNNNNNNNNNNNNNNNNNNNNNNNNNNNNNNNNNNNNNNNNNNNNNNNNNNNNNNNNNNNNNNNNNNNNNNNNNNNNNNNNNNNNNNNNNNNNNNNNNNNNNNNNNNNNNNNNNNNNGCUGCCCCGAUCCGAUCGGGGAAAGGGAGAGCGGCGUGGGGCGGGGAAGUGGGGAUCGAUCCCGAUCCAGAUCGGAUCGGGAGAGGGGGGGGGUGGGAGCGAGUGGGGAAUGGUUAGGGUUUCGGGUGUCGUGGGGGGGGGGCAUGUGUAGGCCAGGGGUGGGUGUGGGCCGGCCUGGCAGGCCACUGGUUGGGCCGAGGCCCAGUUGGCCUGGGGGAUUUUCUUUCCCCCCCCCUUUUUUUUUGUUAGUUUUCUUUUCUGGUUUUGUGUUUUCUUUUCUGGUUUUUAUUUUCUUUUAAUUUCUGUUUUACAAAAUAUAAAUACAACUCCUAAUUUAAUGUUAUAAUUUAUUCUACUGCCCCAAAAGUUUGACACCUAAUUAAAACAGUUUGCAUUAUUAUUAUUUUUAAAAGGCAUUUAAUUAAUUGUUAUAGCUGCUAUUUUAAUUAGUUUAGAGCCUAUAAACAUUUUAUAAAAUUUGUGGUUUCUCCACCAUAAUUACCGCUGCAUUAUUUAGUUCACUCCGAACAUUUUAGUUUUAAAGUUUGAAAACUUUUGUUGUUUGCCUAUGUUUUAAAUUUGAAUUUGAAUCGGGUUCGAAUCAACGUGAGUUUAAUCACAGUAAUGGAGGUGACGUGGCAUCAUUAGCUUGGGAUUACUGUAGUCUAAUUAUCCGGGCGUCACAAUUCUCCUCCACUACAAGAAAUCUCGUCCCGAGAUUUAGGAUCGGUUAUAAGGGGGAAGGGGUCUGGUUACGAAAUUCUAACGAUUCUUCUCAGUCUUGGUUGCUCUUCUCGAAGAGGUCGACCCAUUAUAUUGAUGUCUUCAUUUCUCCGCUUUAGGUCAUCAUGAUGAAGUCGGCAUCCUUUCUUCAGGAUCUUCAUCGUAUUUACGAAUAGGUAACGAGGCAUAUUGGCAACGAUAGUAUGUUAUAAGGGUAAUGAUCUGGGAUUAACCCAUGAAUGAGCAUAUGAGUACCUCUCGAGUUGAACAAAUAAACACUUCGAGGGUAAAGUUGGAAGGUACAAUAAGAAGUUUCAGGCAGACAGGCAAUCGUUCAAUGCCUAGUCAGAAGGUGAAAGUGGUUUUAAAACCACGGAAUAAUUAUUGUGUCUGAAGCCAGAAUUGACGAUCUCAUCGGAAGGUGGCUCAUGAAUUACAUACGAGCCCACGCGGGAGGAAUAACUUUGGAAACAGGGGGUGUACAGGAGAGUCAGGUUUCGAUCCUGUGGAACUGUGGGUUAUAGGCCCACCAUGUGGUUUUUUUUUUGUAAUAGGAGCAGUGACAUCUUUCACGGUCAUGAUAGCAAGGCAUGUCAGAGAGUACCAAGCCAGUUAUGUCGGCAACAACGUUGGUACCAAGGGCGAGGGACGAAGAGAACCAUUUUCCUGCUCGUUGAAACGAGGCGGACCAAUAGGCAAGGUUCCCGUCCAUCGGUGGUUACCGGAAUGUCAUCAACAAUAGUAACAAGGUCUUACUGACAGAGUUGUACAUCGAGGUGUUUGCACAAGCAGUGGAUUAUUACUGCUUAUAUCAUAUAGAUCAUAGAAAAGGUUUAACAAACCAAUGGAAGGAAAAUAUGAUCAUCAGAUUAAACAGAACAAUGGAAAGGAAAAUAUGUUUAAACACAUAUUUCGAGGGUAUAUCCUUCCCAAGGACAAGCAGAGCAAGAUAUCCAUGACAGGAUAUAAAGUAGAAAACCAUUUAGGUAAGGGGGGAGGAAUCUCAUGAUAUUACUCAUACAACGGUGUUAGGAUAAUUGAUAAUUAACAUUUAGCAUCAUGCUUCAAAUGUUCCUGUUGAAAAUCGGAGUACCAUUGACAUGCUUCGAGAUAGCAGUGACAUGGUCUUCAGGUGAAGAUCAGACUUUGGAAACACGAAGGAUCCAUCAGGAAUAACUUGUAGAUUAAGUCUUACAAUUUCCUCAUGGAUGAACGGAUAACCUUGCUGAAAAGGAAUCUAUAAUGAUAGGUCCUCCAGCCAGGGGGGGGGUGCUAGGCAUGACAUCAUGUUACCGGGUCAUCAACGGAUCAACAUCAUAACUCUUGGAAAAAAUGUUCCAACCAUCAUAUCUGACCGAGAUUCAGAUCCGAUUGGUGUCAGGAUACCUGAGACUCAGGAUGUCCGAGAAGAAAAGGCGCAACACAAAUCGUUGAAAUGGCAUUGCAAGCUUCUCGGGAAAUGAACUAUGGGAGCGGUUUUCUGAAGCAAUAGUUCACCAUUAAACCAGGGAGAGGACAAGGAGGUGUCUGGUGAACUCAACGGCAGUUCACCGAGAUUCCCAAAAGAUGGAUUUCCACCAUUAAGUGAACAAGGAGAUAACAUUUGUCAGAUCAACUGAUAUAAGGAAGUAUGCUCGAGGAAAACAUACACAAUUAAACAUUGGUUGAAAUGUGCGCCCGAAAUAUGGGUUGGGUUGCACGACCAAUGUUAGAAUGGUGAUUCAAUCAGCGAAGGACUUAGAAUGAACUAUCGCCCAUUCACUUCAAAGCAAUAGGGUUGUUAGAAGUUUUGAAUUCACACGUCAUAGCUCCAUUGUCGGUAUUCCGGUUGAAAACAAUACGGGGACCAAGGAAUGAACGAAGAUGGCAAGAAGUAUUAUGAUAUCAAGAAUUAUUAAGAGGUGGUGAAAUUCUCACCACAUUCCUGACAAAAGAGAUGGUAAUACUUCCGAGGUAAGGAAGAUCAACUGCUGGGUAGCAGUGAUCUCAAGGUUUACACCAAACACGAACAAGUUGUGUUGAACGGAAGGCAAUAAAGUGGUCGAUGAGAACAGGAAUCAUCGAGGGGCAAGGAUGGUAUUACCCAUCAUGAAUUCAAUUGAAUUCCUGGAAGAGCUCAUAAGGUUGAUGAUGAUCACGACACAAUCGUCGAGAGAAUUUCAUGCAGAUGUAGUCAAUCAGCGACGACAUCCAGUCAAAGGAAUGAUGAAGCAAGAGGUUAUUGGAACCACACUUACGACACGAACUCGCACUCAAGCUUGUUGUUUAAGGCGAAAUGAUAUGACGAUGAGGAUCGACGUAAGGUUAGUUCAUCGUCGAAAAUUGUGCUCCGAGAAGAAGGGUCGGGUAACACAGUUAAAAUCAUCACGAUAAAGAUAUAGCCAAACAGGCUAGGAAUGAUGGGAAGGAAUAUUAAACUCAUAAGCAACGAAAAUUACUUAGGGUUAUCGAACCGAAAUGUGGAAUCGGUGUUCUCGAUUGACGACAACCCAGAACCCGAGAAAAUUGGAAUCAGUGAGAAUUAAUAGUUGAUGAAGAACCCAUAAUAAGUUAUGCAGUUCCAUGAUAUUCUUAAGAUACCAGAGCUUAAUACUCAACAGUAGAGCAAAGUAAAGGUUGGACAGGUGCGAUGAUCUGCAGAAGACAAGUACUUCAACUUGUCCAAGAAACGGUAUUAAAAAGGAGAACGUGGCCGGGACCACGAUUGUAAAAGGCCAUACCCCAGAUAUAAGAUGAACUUAUGUCAAGGGAAUAAUUAAUUUUUAAAAGAAGCUUCGAUGAGAAGAUGUACAUCGGGUCCAUGGGCAUGAACACAAAGUUCAAGGUCGACUCCCACUUCCUCAAUGCAUAAUCUUCCAUUCACCUCUCGUAUUUCGAAGAUGACAUUAGUUGUUGAAAGCUUUACCUGGUGCAAUACCAGAUAAGUAUGACUCGUGAAAACUUUCGGGUUCACACAUACUAAUGAAGGCAUAGGUUCAACCCAUCGGGGCAUCUUAGAAUCAUAUACCAGAAUCUUUAGAAAUAAUUAACUCAAGCUCGAAGGCAGAGUAUGGUUGAGAAGCAGAGGAUACAAUUUACCAAAGGCAUUAUGUAUCAGAGGAAAGGCUCACAAGGUUAUUGAAUAUGAAGGGCGUUGUCAGAUAAAAUCCAACAAAGGAACCGAUGGUCCACAACGGAGCUGGUGUGGGUAUCGGUACUCUAUCAAAGGAAGAAGGAAUGCAAGUGCACCGGAUUAUAGAAACAACUGACUAACUCAAUUGUCAAAUGCAAAGGAAUUAUGAUUCCCAAAUCAAGGGACCAGAAGCAAUGCUCGGAUUAGGGGUGGAUAAGUUGAAUAGCCUUAGGGUACAAUCAAAGACAAUUCGAUUGGUCGAGAACCAAUUCUAGUUAAAAGAAUGGCAGCUUAGCCGGAGAAGUAAUUUAUAAGGAUCAAUGAUGUUUGCGGGUAUUCGCAAACAUAUUGAGUCAACAGACUCAAAAUGAUAAUGACAAGGAAUGUCAUUAAGACUACGAGACUUAUGGGAUUAACCAUAAUGCAAGCAAGCAAGAAUUUCAAGAGCCAAAGGCUCCAGAGGAUUUUUGGAAGAUCGAAUAUUAUUUUGAAGACUUUUGUGUAACACAUGAACAUCAGGGGAUGAGCGGAUACUCGACAAGUGCGAGUAUUUAUUUGAGGGGGUAUUCAUGUAGUAAGGAACUGCUAGGCAGUAGGCACAAAGUAUUCUCGGAUCAAUAGAGAAAACUUCGGGGUAUCUUGUAAUAACAAGAUCACUGGGCGAUGAUCGUAUGAAUGGCAAGUGUAAGUAGUUAUCCAUACGGAUUUAUCGGUGGCCAGGAAUAGCAAAAGUGAUGGGCACAAAGUCUCGAGAGGAUAUCAAAGAGUAUCUCCGAAUUCUUCUGAUUAGCAGACGAUCAUCUGAAGUGAGGGGCUCUUCGGGAGAAAGUACUCGCGAGAACCUAAAGUUAGUUUUGUUAUUAGCAAAAUCGUUUAACCCGAAUAGAAGAGAGUUCAGAAUCCCAGAGUAAAGGUCGAGGAGUAAAAGAUCCUACUACCACCCAAUGGCGACGUGGGCCCAUGGGCCGCACAGCCAUGUUAGUAAAAGUUUUGUAAAGUCUAGACUCGACUUCGGCCAAGGAGUUGGAAGGGGGAUUCCUACAGGCAGUCGGCUCUGAUACCAACUUGUGACGCCCCCGAUUUAAUCGUACACUAAUCAUGCACGCAAAUGUGUACGAUCAAGAUCAGGGACUCACGGGAAGAUAUCACAACACAACUCUACAAAUAAAAUAAGUCAUACAAGCAUCAUAAUACAAGCCAGGGGCCUCGAGGGCUCGAAUACAAGUGCUCGAUCAUAGACGAGUCAGCGGAAGCAACAAUAUCUGAGUACAGACAUAAGUUAAACAAGUUGCCAUAAGAUGGCUAGCACAAACUGGGAUACAGAUCGAAAGAGGCGCAGGCCUCCUGCCUGGGAUCCUCCUAACUACUCCUGGUCGUCAUCAGCGGGCAGCACGUAGUAGUAGGCACCUCCGGUGUAGUAGGGGUCGUCGUCGACGGUGGCGUCUGGCUCCUGGACUCCAGCAUCUGGUUGCGACAACCAGAAAGAAAGGAAAAUGGGAAAAAGGGGGGAGAAAGCAACCGUGAGUACUCAUCCAAAGUACUCGCAAGCAAGGAACUACACUACAAAUGCAUGGGUAUAUGUGUAAGGAGGCCAUAUCAGUGGACUGAACUGCAGAAUGCCAGAAUAAGAGGGGGAUAACUAAUCCUGUCGAAGACUACGCUUCUGGCAGCCUCCGUCUUGCAGCAUGUAGAAUAAAGUAGAUUGAAGUCCUCCAAGUAGCAUCUCCAAGUAGCAUCUCGAGUAGCAUAAUCCUACCCGGCGAUCCUCUCCUCGUCGCCCUGCGGAAAAGCGAUCACCGGGUUGUCUGUGGAACUUGGAAGGGUGUGUUUUAUUAAGUAUCCGGUUCUAGUUGUCAUAAGGUCAAGGUACAACUCCAAGUCGUCCUGUUACCGAAGAUCACGGCUAUUCGAAUAGAUUAACUUCCCUGCAGGGGUGCACCACAUAGCCCAACACGCUUGAUCCCAUUUGGCCGGACACACUUUCCUGGGUCAUGCCCGGCCUCGGAAGAUCAACACGUCGCAGCCCCACCUAGGCAAAACAGAGAGGCCAGCACGCCGGUCUAAACCUAAGCGCGCAGGGGUCUGGGCCCAUCGCCCUGAGCACACCUGCACGUUGCGUACGCGGCCGGUGAGCAUACCUAGCAACCUCCAUUACAAAGGAAGUUGCGUUAAUGCAGUCCAACCCGGCGCGCGCCGCUCCGUCGCUGACGUCUGAAGUGCUUCGGCUGAUACCACGACGUCGGGAUACCCAUAACUACUCCCACGUAGAUGGUUAGUGCGUAUAGGCUCGUAGCCAGACUCAGAUCAAAUACCAAGAUCUCGUUAAGCGUGUUAAGUAUCCGCGAACGUCGAACAGGGCCAGGCCCACCUGUCUCCUAGGUGGUCUCAACCUGCCCUGUCGCUCCGCCACAAAGUAACCGUCGGGGACCGUCGGGAACCCAGGCCCACCUCUACCGGGAUGGAGCCACCUGCCCCUUCAGCCCCCAACUCCGAACAGUAUCACCAGUAACGUAUCAGUGUAAAGUAUAUAGUAUAUGCCCGUGAUCACCUCCCGAAGUGGUCACAGCCCAGUAGUAUAGCAAGGCAGACUGACAAGAAUGUAGGGCCAAUGAUGAUAAACUAGCAUCCUAUACUAAGCAUUUAGGAUUGCAGGUAAGGUAUCAACAGAUGUAGCGACAAUGUCAGGCUAUGCAUCAGAAUAGGAUUAACGAAAGCAGUAACAUGCUACACUACUCUAAUGCAAGCAGUAUAGAGGAGAAUAGGCGAUAUCUGGUGAUCAAGGGGGGGGGGCUUGCCUGGUUGCUCUGGCAAGAGAGAGGGGUCGUCAACUCCGUAGUCGAACUGGGCAGCAGCAGCGUCGGUCUCGUAGUCUACCGGAGAGAAGAGGGGGAAGAAAUAAUGAAUACAGAGCAAACAAGCAUCACAAAAUAUAACAAGGCAAUCCGCGGUGUUCGGUAUGCCCUAACGCGGUAGUAAGUGAUACCGACGAAAGGGGGAAACAUCUGGGAAAGUAUUCCCGGUGUUUCGUGUUUUCGGGUAGAGGAGCCGGAGGGGGAAAGUUGCGGGUUCGAUAGGUUAGGGGGGUGUGGCGGACGAACGGACUGCGUAUCCGGAAUCGUCUCGUCGUUCUGAGCAACUUUCAUGUUGAAAUUAUUUUAAUCCGGAUUACGGAUUAAAAGAUAUGAUUUAUAAAAGAUUUUAUUAAUUUCUGGAAUUUUAAUUAAUUAUUUAAUUAAUUUCGAAAUUGCAUUUAUGACAUCAGCAUGAUGUCAUGCUGACAUCAUCAGUCAACAGGGUUGACUAAGUCAACCCGGACAGGUGGGUCCCGCAUGUCAUUGACUGUUAACUAACCUAAUAGAUUAAUUAACUAACUAGGUGAUUAGGUUAAUCUAAUCAGGAUCAAUUAAGUUAAUUAUUUCUUUAAUUAAUUAACUAAUUAAUAUUUUAAUUAUUUUAAUUAAUUAUUUAUUUAUUUUAUUAAAUCUUUUUUUUUUAAUUUUCGUUAUAGGGCGUGGGACCCGUUUGUCAUGGGCCCAGAGGGGCCUUAGCGGGUCGUGUGGGCAGGUAGGUCUCGGGCGACGGGCGGGCGCUGGUUGCGGGCGCUCGUGCCCGAGGGAGCGUGGCGGUGCAAGGCCACCGGGGCACGGCGGCAGAUCAAGGCCGCGGCGCAGCAACGGUUGAGGCGGGACGGCGCGGUAGUAGCGGCCAGGGGGAGCGGCGGGCACCCGCGGCAAGCUGCGCGGGGCCGACGAGCUAGGCGAGCAGCGGGGGACGAGGCCGCGUCGGNNNNNNNNNNNNNNNNNNNNNNNNNNNNNNNNNNNNNNNNNNNNNNNNNNNNNNNNNNNNNNNNNNNNNNNNNNNNNNNNNNNNNNNNNNNNNNNNNNNNNNNNNNNNNNNNNNNNNNNNNNNNNNNNNNNNNNNNNNNNNNNNNNNNNNNNNNNNNNNNNNNNNNNNNNNNNNNNNNNNNNNNNNNNNNNNNNNNNNNNNNNNNNNNNNNNNNNNNNNNNNNNNNNNNNNNNNNNNNNNNNNNNNNNNNNNNNNNNNNNNNNNNNNNNNNNNNNNNNNNNNNNNNNNNNNNNNNNNNNNNNNNNNNNNNNNNNNNNNNNNNNNNNNNNNNNNNNNNNNNNNNNNNNNNNNNNNNNNNNNNNNNNNNNNNNNNNNNNNNNNNNNNNNNNNNNNNNNNNNNNNNNNNNNNNNNNNNNNNNNNNNNNNNNNNNNNNNNNNNNNNNNNNNNNNNNNNNNNNNNNNNNNNNNNNNNNNNNNNNNNNNNNNNNNNNNNNNNNNNNNNNNNNNNNNNNNNNNNNNNNNNNNNNNNNNNNNNNNNNNNNNNNNNNNNNNNNNNNNNNNNNNNNNNNNNNNNNNNNNNNNNNNNNNNNNNNNNNNNNNNNNNNNNNNNNNNNNNNNNNNNNNNNNNNNNNNNNNNNNNNNNNNNNNNNNNNNNNNNNNNNNNNNNNNNNNNNNNNNNNNNNNNNNNNNNNNNNNNNNNNNNNNNNNNNNNNNNNNNNNNNNNNNNNNNNNNNNNNNNNNNNNNNNNNNNNNNNNNNNNNNNNNNNNNNNNNNNNNNNNNNNNNNNNNNNNNNNNNNNNNNNNNNNNNNNNNNNNNNNNNNNUUUUUUUUGUUAGUUUUCUUUUCUGGUUUUGUGUUUUCUUUUCUGGUUUUUAUUUUCUUUUAAUUUCUGUUUUACAAAAUAUAAAUACAACUCCUAAUUUAAUGUUAUAAUUUAUUCUACUGCCCCAAAAGUUUGACACCUAAUUAAAACAGUUUGCAUUAUUAUUAUUUUUAAAAGGCAUUUAAUUAAUUGUUAUAGCUGCUAUUUUAAUUAGUUUAGAGCCUAUAAACAUUUUAUAAAAUUUGUGGUUUCUCCACCAUAAUUACCGCUGCAUUAUUUAGUUCACUCCGAACAUUUUAGUUUUAAAGUUUGAAAACUUUUGUUGUUUGCCUAUGUUUUAAAUUUGAAUUUGAAUCGGGUUCGAAUCAACGUGAGUUUAAUCACAGUAAUGGAGGUGACGUGGCAUCAUUAGCUUGGGAUUACUGUAGUCUAAUUAUCCGGGCGUCACAUAAUGGUACCAAAGAAGGACAAAUCCUGGCGCCUAUGUGUCGAUUUUAAAGACCUCAACAAGGCUUGUCCAAAGGAUCCUUUCCCCCUUCCCCGCAUCGAUCAAAUAAUCGAUGCUACUGUAGGGCACGAUUCAUUGUGCUUCCUCGACGCAUACUCCGGCUACCAUCAAAUCAAGAUGGUGGAGGCGGACCAAGCCGCAACGGCAUUCAUUACUCCAUAUGGACCAUUCUGCUUCAACACGAUGCCCUUCGAACUCAAAAACACCGGCGCAACAUAUCAGCGCAUGAUUCAGACAUGUCUGGCUACCCAGAUCGGCAAAACAAUAGAGGCAUACGUAGACGGCGUGGUCGUCAAGACCAAACACGUCAAAACUCUAGUAGACUAUUUGAGGCUCACAUUCGAUAACCUCCGAGCAUAUGACAUAAAGCUGAACCCAGAAAAAUGCGUUUUCGGCGUACCAGCCGGAAAGCUCCUGGGCUUCAUUGUAUCCGGUAGAGGAAUUGAAGCAAACCCAGCCAAGAUCCAAGCUCUAUCACAGCUGGAUAUUCCAAAAGACCUCAAACAAAUACAAAAAUUGACUGGAUGCGUGGCGGCUCUAAGCCGCUUCAUCUCCCGUUUGGGAGAAAAGGCAUUGCCCCUCUAUCGCCUCCUCAGGCGCACCGAACACUUCGAGUGGAAGGAUGCCGCCACGGCCGGACUAGAAGAAAUAAAGGCCAUACUGGCAACAAAUCCGGUCCUGGCCGCGCCUAACCUGGGCGAACCAAUGUUAUUAUAUAUCGUGGCAACACAUCAAGUUGUCAGCGUGGUACUCAUUGUCGAACGAGAAACAGAAGAACACUAAUUCCCUCUUCAAAAACCAGUGUACUACGUAUCCACUGUCUUAACUCCAUGCAAGUCCCGGUACCCGCAUUAUCAAAAGAUAGCAUACGCGGUGCUCAUGGCAUCCCGGAAGCUGCGACACUACUUUCAAGAGUGUUCGAUAACAAUGGCCACCGAAGUACCCCUCAACGACAUUACAGACAACCGCGACGCGACGGGCAGGAUUGCGAAAUGGGCCAUCGAGCUCUUACCAUUUGACAUAACCUAUAAACCACGACGAGCUAUAAAUUCGCAAGUUUUAGCGGACUUCAUCGCUGAAUGGACCGAAGCAGAACUCCCUAAAGAGUACGGCGCAUACUCCAAUUGGAUUAUGCAUUUCGACGGCUCCAAAAUGUUGGCCGGCUUGGGGGCUGGCGUCGUAUUGACAUCCCCGACCGGAGACACAGUCCAAUACGUACUUCAGAUAAUGUACACCGACUCCAACAAUGCAGCCGAAUAUGAGGCCCUCCUACAUGGUCUCCGGAUGGCAAUCUCCAUGGGUAUUCAACGCCUAGAGGUGCGCGGGGAUUCAAACCUUGCAAUAUCAAAAGUAAAUGGAGACUUUGAUGCCAAGGAUCCGAAAAUGGCAGCCUAUCGUAACGCUAUCCUAAAAAUGUCAGCUUGGUUCGAAGGACUCGAAUUCCACCACGUAGCCCGGGAUAAUAACCAGGCAGCCGACGUGUUGGCACGCAUCGGCGCAAAACGCGACGCCGUCCCUCCAAACAUCUUCCUGGAGCGGCUCUUUAAGCCAUCUGUACUAUGGGAAGAGGAGUCCGGAAAUAACAACCCGGAAUCAACCGCACCACCCAACACAGAACAAUCUGACAUAAUCGGCGGCUCAGCCGAUGAAAUAACACCUUCAGCCCACGAAAUAAUGGCGGUAAUUGCCCCGUGGACAGAACCAUUCCUAGCCUAUUUAAUUAGGCAGGAACUUCCCGAAGACCAAAAUGAGGCCAGCUGCAUAGUUCGGCGAUCUAAAGCCUACAAGGUCCAUGAGGGAGAACUUUAGAAGAAAAGCACAACUGGAGUCCUUCAAAGGUGCAUCUCUGAAGAGGAAGGGCGCAACCUUCUGGCUAAAAUUCACGCCGGACUAGGCGGACACCACGCUGCAGCCCGGGCCCUCGUAGGCAAGGCCUUCCGUACAGGAUUUUAUUGGCCGACGGCCCGGGCAGAUGCUCAGGACUUAGUCCAACGAUGCGUCGGUUGUCAGCUCUUUGCUAAUCAGAGCCACAUGCCACCCACCGCCCUCAAAACUAUACCCAUCACCUGGCCGUUCGUGGUCUGGGGGCUUGACAUGGUUGGACCCCUUAAAGGGGGAACCCACAAGCAAAAGUACCUAUUGGUCAUGGUGGACAAAUUCACCAAAUGGAUAGAGGCCAAGCCAGUUAAAACGGCCGAAUCCGGACCAGUGAUAGACUUCAUAUCCGGGGUAGCACACCGUUAUGGCGUCCCCCACAGCAUCAUCACCGAUAACGGCACGAACUUCACGGCCGACGAGGUUAAACUCUGGUGCAAAAAUUGUUGGAAAUAUGCCCUAGAGGCAAUAAUAAAUUAGUUAUUAUUAUAUUUCCUUGUUCAUGAUAAUCGUUUAUUAUCCAUGCUAUAAUUGUAUUGAUAGGAAACUCAGAUACAUGUGUGGAUACAGAGACAACACCAUGUCCCUAGUAAGCCUCUAGUUGACUAGCUCGUUGAUCAAUAGAUGGUUACGGUUUCCUGACCAUGGACAUUGGAUGUCGUUGAUAAUAGGAUCACAUCAUUAGGAGAAUGAUGUGAUGGACAAGACCCAAUCCUAAGCCUAGCAUAGAGAUCGUGUAGUUCGUAUGCUAAAUCUUUUCUAAUGUCAAGUAUCUUUUCCUUAGACCAUGAGAUUGUGCAACUACCGGAUACCGUAUGAAUGCUUUGGGUGUACCAAACGUCACAACGUAACUGGGUGGCUAUAAAGGUGCACUACAGGUAUCUCCGAAAGUGUCUGUUGGGUUGGCACGAAUCGAGACUGGGAUUUGUCACUCCGUGUAAAUGGCGAGGUAUCUCUGGGCCCACUCGGUAGGACAUCAUCAUAAUGUGCACAAUGUGACCAAGGGGUUGAUCACGGGAUGAUGUGUUACGGAACGAGUAAAGAGACUUGCCGGUAACGAGAUUGAACAAGGUAUCGGUAUACCGACGAUCGAAUCUCGGGCAAGUACAAUACCGCUAGACAAAGGGAAUUGUAUAUAGGAUCGAUUGAGUCCUUGACAUCGUGGUUCAUCCGAUGAGAUCAUCAUGGAACAUGUGGGAGCCAACAUGGGUAUCCAUAUCCUGCUGUUGGUUAUUGACCGGAUAACGUCUCGGUCAUGUCUGCAUGGUUCCCGAACCCGUAGGGUCUACACACUUAAGGUUCGAUGACACUAGGGUUAUGAAGGAAGUUUGUAUGUGGUUACCGAAUGUUGUUCGAAGUCCCGGAUGAGAUCCCGGACGUCACGAGGAGUUCCAGAAUGGUCCGGAGGUAAAGAUUUAUAUAUGGGAAGUCUUAUUUUGGUCGCCGGAAAAGUUUCGCACUUUAUCGGUAUUGUACCGGGAAUGCCGAAAGGGGUCCGGGGGUCCACCGGGGGGGUCCACCUGCCCCGGGGGGCCACAUGGGCUGUAGGGGGUGCGCCUUGGCCUAUAUGGGCCAAGGGAACCAGCCCCAAGAGGCCCAUGCGCCAAGAUAUAAGAAAAAGGGGAGAGUCCUCAAGGGGCAAGGCACCUCCGAGGUACCUUGGGGAGGAUGGACUCCUUCCCCCCCCCUUGGCCGCACCCCUUCCUUGGAGGAAGGGGCAAGGCUGCGCCUCCCCCCUCUCCCUUGCCCCUAUAUAUAGUGGAGGGGAGGGUGGGCAGCCGCACCUGAAGCUCUGGCGCCUCCCUCCCUCCCGUGACACCUCCUCCUCUCCCGCAGGUGCUUGGCGAAGCCCUGCAGGAUUGCCACGCUCCUCCACCACCACCACGCCGUCGUGCUGCUGCUGGAUGGAGUCUUCCUCAACCUCUCCCUCUCUCCUUGCUGGAUCAAGGCGUGGGAGACGUCACCGGGCUGUACGUGUGUUGAACACGGAGGUGCCGUCUGUUCGGCACUAGGAUCUCCGGUGAUUUGGAUCACGACGAGUAUGACUCCUUCAACCCCAUUCUCUUGAACGCUUCCGCUUAGCAAUCUACAAGGGUAUGUAGAUGCACUCUCCUUCCCCUCGUUGCUGGUUUCUCCAUAGAUAGAUCUUGGUGACACGUAGGAAAAUUUUGAAUUUCUGCUACGUUCCCCAACAGUGGCAUCAUGAGCUAGGUCUAUUGCGUAGAUUCUUUGCACGAGUAGAACAGAAAGUAGUUGUGGGCGUUGAUGUUGUUCAAUAUGCUUACCGUUACUAGUCCAAUCUUGUUUCGAUGGUAUUGUGGGAUGAAGCGGCCCGGACCGACCUUACACGUAUUCUUACGUGAGACAGGUUCCACCGACUGACAUGCACUUGGUGCAUAAGGUGGCUAGCGGGUGCCAGUCUCUCCCACUUUAGUUGGAACGGAUUCGAUGAAAAGGGUCCUUAUGAAGGGUAAAUAGCAAUUGGCAUAUCACGUUGUGGUCUUGCGUAGGUAAGAAACGUUCUUGCUAGAAACCCAUAGCAGCCACGUAAAACAUGCAAACAACAAUUAGAGGACGUCUAACUUGUUUUUGCAGGGUAUGCUAUGUGAUGUGAUAUGGCCAAGAAGAAUGUGAUGAAUAUAUGUGAUGUAUGAGAUUGAUCAUGUUCUUGUAAUAGGAAUCACGACUUGCAUGUCGAUGAGUAUGGCAACCGGCAGGAGCCAUAGGAGUUGUCUUUAUUUAUUGUAUGACCUGCGUGUCAUUGAACAACGCCAUGUAAUUACUUUACUUUAUUGCUAACCGGUAGCCAUAGUAGUAGAAGUAAUAGUUGGCGAGACAACUUCAUGAAGACACGAUGAUGGAGAUCAUGAUGAUGGAGAUCAUGGUGUCAUGCCGGUGACGAUGAUGAUCAUGGAGCCCCGAAGAUGGAGAUCAAAAGGAGCAAAAUGAUAUUGGCCAUAUCAUGUCACUAUUUGAUUGCAUGUGAUGUUUAUCAUGUUUAUGCAUCUUAUUUGCUUAGAACGACGGUAGUAAAUAAGAUGAUCCCUUACAACAAUUUCAAGAAGUGUUCUCCCCUAACUGUGCACCGUUGCUACAGUUCGUCGUUUCGAAGCACCACGUGAUGAUCGGGCGUGAUAGAUCCUUACGUUCACAUACAACGGGUGUAAGACAGAUUUACACAUGCAACACACUUAGGGUUAACUUGAUGAGCCUAGAAUGUACAGACAUGGCCUCGGAACACGGAGAUCGAAAGGUCGAGCAUGAGUCGUAUAGUAGAUACGAUCAACAUGAAGAUGUUCACCCAUGAUGACUAGUCCGUCUCACGUGAUGAUCGGACACGGCCUAGUUGACUCGGAUCAUGUAAUCACUUAGAUGACCAGAGGGAUGUCUAUCUGAGUGGGAGUUCAUAAGAUGAACUUAAUUAUCCUGAACAUAGUCAAAAGACCUUUUGCAAAUUAUGUCGUAAGCUCGCGCUUUAGUUCCAUUGUUUAGAUAUGUUCCUAGAGUAAAUAUAGUUGAAAGUUGAAAGUAGCAAUCAUGCGAUCAGUAGAAAGCUUAUGUCCUUAAUGCACCGCUCAGUGUGCUAAACCCCAAACGUCGUCUGUGGAUGUUGCGAACAUCGGACAUACACGUUUUGAUAACUACGUGAUAGUUUAGUUAAAUGGUUUAAGUAGAGGCACCAAAGACGUUUUCGAAACGUCGCGGGACAUAUGAGAUGUUUCGAGGGCUGAAAUUGGGAUUUCAGUCUCGUGCCCACGUCAAGAGGUAUAAGACCUCCGACGAUUUUCUUAGCCUGCAAACUCAGGGAGAAAAGCUCAAUCGUUGAGCUUGUGCUCAGAUUGUCUGAGUGCAAGAAUCACUUGAAUCGAGUGGGAGUUGAUCUUCCAGAUGAGAUAGUGAUGUUUCUCCAAAGUCAUUGCCACCAAGCUGCUAGAGCUUCGUGAUGAACUAUAACAUAUCAAGGAUAGAGAUGAUGAUCCUUGAGGUAUUCGCGUUGUUUGACACCGCGAAAGUAGAAAUCAAGAAGGAGCAUCAAUUGUUGAUGGUUGGUGAAACCACUAGUUUCAAGAAGGGCAAGGGCAAGAAGGGAUACUUCAUGAAACGGCAAAUCAGCUGCUGCUCCAGUGAAGAAACCCAAGGUUGAACCCAAACCUGAGACUAAGUGCUUCUAUGAUAAGGGGAACAGUCACUAGAGCGGAAUUACCCUAGAUACUUGGUAGAUGAGAAGGCUGGCAAGGUCGAUAGAAGUAUAUUGGAUAUACAUUAUGUUAAUGUGUACUUUACUAGUACUCGUAGUAGCACCAGGGUAUUAGAUACCGGUUCGGUUGCUAAGUGUUAGUAACUCGAAAUAAAAGCUACGGAAUAAAUGGAGACUAGCUAAAGGUGAGCUGACGAUACGUGUUGGAAGUGUUUCCAAGGUUGAUGUGAUCAAGCAUCGCACGCUCCCUCUACCAUCGAGAUUGGUGUUAAACCCAAAUAAUUGUUAUUGGUGUUUGCUUUGAGCAUAGACAUGAUUGGAUUAUGUCUGUCGCAAUACGAUUAUUCAUUUAAGGAGAAUAAUGGCUACUCUGUUUAUUUGAAUAAUACCUUCAAUGGUCUAGCACCUAAAAGGAAUGGUUUAUUGAAUCUCUAUCAUAGUGAUACACAUUUUCAUGCCAAAAGGAUAUAAGAUAGUAAUGAUGGUACCACCUACUUGUGGCACUUCCAUGUAAGUCAUAUUGGUAUAAAACGCAUGAAGAAGCUCCAUGUUGAUGGAUCUUUGGACUCACUCGUUUUUUUGAAAAGUUUGAGACAUGCGAACCAUGUCUAUUGGUGUAUAUGCAUGAAGAAACUCCAUGCAAAUGGACCGUUUGGACUCACUUGAUUUUGAAUCACUUGAGAUAUGCAAAUCAUACCACAUGGGCAAGAUGACUGAAAAGCCUCGUUUUCAGUGAGAUGGAACAAGAUUGCAACUUGUUGGAAGUAACACAUCUUGAUGUGUGCAGUCCAAUGAGUGCUGAGGCAUGCAGUGAAUAUCAUUAUGUUCUUACUUCACAGAUGAUUCGAGUAGAUGUUGAGUAUAUUUACUUGAUGAAACACAAGUCUGAAUUAUUGAAUGGUUCAAGUAAUUUCAGAGUGAAGUUGAAGAUCAUUGUGACAAGAGGAUAAAAUGUCUAUGAUAUGAUCAUAGAGAUGAGUAUCUGAGUUACAAGCUUUGGCACGCAAUUAAGACAUUGUGGAAAUUGUUUCACAAUUAAUACCGCCUGGAACACCAUAGUGUGAUGGUGUGUCCGAACAUCAUAGUUGCACCCUAUUGGAUAUGGUGCAUACCAUGAUGUCUCUUAUCGAAUUACCACUAUCAUUCGUGGGUUAGGCAUUAGAGACAACCGCACUCACUUUAAUAGGGCACCAUGUAAUUCCGUUGAGACGACACCAUUUGAACUAUGGUUUGGAGAAACCUAAAUUGUUGUUUCUUAUAAGUUUGGGGCUGCGACGCUUAUGUGAAAAAGUUUCAGGUUGAUAAGCUCGAACCCAAAGCAGAUAAAAUGCAUCUUCAUAGGACACCCAAAACAGUUGGGUAUAUCUUCUAAUUCAGAUCCGAAAGCAAUAGAGAUUGUUUCUUGAAUCGGGUCAUUUCUCGAGGAAAAGUUUGUCUCGGAAAGUUGAGUGGGAGGAUGGCGGAGACUUGAUGAGGUUAUUGAACCGCCAAUUCAACUAGUGUGUAGCAGGGCACACGAAGUUGUUCCUAUGGCACCUACACCAAUUGAAGUGGAAGCUUAUGAUAGUGAUCAUGAAGCUUCAGAUCAAGUCACUGCCGAACCUCGUAGGGUGACAAGGAUGCGUACUACUUCAGAGUGGUACAGUAAUCAUGUCUUGAAGGUCAUGUUGCUAGACAACAAUGAACCUAUGAGCUAUGGAGAAGCGAUGGUGGGCCCAAAUUCCGACAAAUGGUUAGAAGCCAUGAAAUCCGAGAUAGGAUCCAUGUAUCAGAACAAAGCAUGGACUUUGGUGGACUUGCCCAAUGAUCGGCAAGCCAUUGAGAUAAAUGGAUCUUUAAGAAGAAGACGGACGUGGAUGGUAAUGUCACCAUGUAUGAAGCUCGACUUGUGGCAAAGAGUUUUUCACAAGCUCAAGGAGUUGACUACGAUGAGAUUUCCUCAUCCGUAGCGAUGCUUAAAGUCAGUCGGAUUCAUGUUAGCAUUAGCUGCAUUUAUGAAAUCUGGCAGAUGGAUGACAAAAUGAGUUUCCUUACUAGUCUUCGUAUGGAAAGGUUGUAUGUGAUACAAUCAGAAAGGUUUUGUCGAUCCUAAGGAUGCUAAAAGGUAUGCUAGCUCUAGCGAUCCUUCUAUGGACUGGAGUAAGCAUCUCGGAGUUGGAAUGUACGCUUUGAUGAGAUGAUCAAAGAUUUUGGAUUUAUACAAAGUUUAUGAGAAACUUGUAUUUCCAAAGAAGUGAGUGGGAGCACUAUAGAAUUUCUGAUGAGUAUAUGUUGUUGACAUAUUGAUGAUCAGAAAUGAUGUAGAAUUUCUAGAAAGCAUAUAGGGUUAUUUGAAAGGUGUUUUUCAAUAGAAAACCUGGAUUAAGCUACUUGAACAUUGAGCAUCAAGAUCUAUGAGGAUAGAUCAAAAACACUCAAAUGAGCACAUACCUUGACAUGAUCUUGGAGGUGUUCAAGAUGGAUCAGUCAAAGAAGGAGUUCUUGCCUGAGUAGUAAGGUACGAAGUUAAGACUUAAAGCUCGACCAAGGCAGAAAAGAGAGAAAGGACGAAGGUCGUCCCCUAUGCUUCAGACGUAGGCUCUAUAGUAUGCUAUGCUGUGUACCGCACCAGAAGUGUGCCUUGCCAUGAGUCAGUCAAGGGGUACAAGAAUGAUCUAGGAAUGGAUCAUUGGACAGUGGUCAAAAAUUGUCCUUGGAGUAAAUAAGGACAUGUUUCUCGAUUAUGGAGGUGAUAAAGAGUUCAACGUAAAGGGUUACGUUGAUGCAAGCUUUAACACCUAUCCGAAUGGCUCUGAAUAGCAAACCGGAUACGUAUAGUGGAGCAACCAUUUGGAAUAGCUCCAAGUGGAGAAUGGUAGCAGCAUUUACAAUAUGACCUAGAGAUUUGCGAAGUAUAGACGGAUCUGAAUUUUGCAGACCCGUUGACUAAAACCUCUCUCACAAGCAAAACAUGAUCAUACCCCAGAACUCAUUGAGUCUUAAUCACAUGAUGAUGUGAACUAGUUUAAUGACACUAGUAAACUCUUUGGAUGUUGGUCACAUGGUGAUGUGACGUGUGAGUGUUAAUCACAUGGCGAUGUGAACUAGAUUAUUGACUCUAGUGCAAGUGGGAGACUGUAGGAAAUAUGCCCUAGAGGCAAUAAUAAAUUAGUUAAUAUUAUAUUUCCUUGUUCAUGAUAAUCAUUUAUUAUCCAUGCUAUAAUUGUAUUGAUAGGAAACUCAGAUACAUGUGUGGAUACAUACACAACACCAUUUUCCCUAGUAAGCCUCUAGUUGACUAGCUCGUUGAUCAAUAGAUGGUUACGGUUUCCUGACCAUGGACAUUGGAUGUCGUUGAUAACGGGAUCACAUCAUUAGGAGAAUGAUGUGACGGACAAGACCCAAUCCUAAGCCUAGCAUAGAGAUCGUGUAGUUCGUAUGCUAAAGCUUUUCUAAUGUCAAGUAUCUUUUCCUUAGACCAUGAGAUUGUGCAACUCCCGGAUACCGUAGGAAUGCUUUGGGUGUACCAAACGUCACAACGUAACUGGGUGGCUAUAAAGGUGCACUACAGGUAUCUCCGAAAGUGUCUGUUGGGUUGGCACGAAUCGAGACUGGGAUUUGUCACUCCGUGUAAACGGAGAGGUAUCUCUGGGCCCACUCGGUAGGACAUCAUCAUAAUGUGCACAAUGUGACCAAGGGGUUGAUCACGGGAUGAUGUGUUACGGAACGAGUAAAGAGACUUGCCGGUAACGAGAUUGAACAAGGUAUCGGUAUACCGACGAUCGAAUCUCGGGAAAGUACAAUACCGCUAGACAAAGGGAAUAGUAUACGGGAUCGAUUGAGUCCUUGACAUCGUGGUUCAUCCGAUGAGAUCAUCGUGGAACAUGUGGGAGCCAACAUGGGUAUCCAGAUCCCGCUGUUGGUUAUUGACCGGAUAACGUCUCGGUCAUGUCUGCAUGGUUCCCGAACCCGUAGGGUCUACACACUUAAGGUUCGAUGACGCUAGGGUUAUAAAGGAAGUUUGUAUGUGGUUACCGGAAUGUUGUUCGGAGUCCUGGAUGAGAUCCCGGACGUCACGAGGAGUUCCGGAAUGGUCCGGAGGUAAAGAUUUAUAUAUGGGAAGUCUUAUUUUGGUCGCCGGAAAAGUUUCGCACUUUAUCGGUAUUGUACCGGGAGUGCCGAAAGGGGUCCGGGGGUCCACCGGGGGGUCCACCUGCCCCGGGGGGGCACAUGGGCUGUAGGGGGUGCGCCUUGGCCUAUAUGGGCCAAGGGCACCAGCCCAAGAGGCCCAUGCGCCAAGAUAUAAGAAAAAGGGGAGAGUCCUCAAGGGGGAAGGCACCUCCGAGGUGCCUUGGGGAGGAUGGACUCCUUCCCCCCCUUGGCCGCACCCCUUCCUUGGAGGAAGGGGCAAGGCUGCGCCUCCCCCCUCUCCCUUGCCCCUAUAUAUAGUGGAGGGGAGGGAGGGCAGGCGCACCUGAAGCCCUGGCGCCUCCCUCCCUCCCGUGACACCUCCUCCUCUCCCGCAGGUGCUUGGUGAAGCCCUGCAGGAUUGCCACGCUCCUCCACCACCACCACGCCGUCAUGCUGCUGCUGGAUGGAGUCUUCCUCAACCUCUCCCUCUCUCCUUGCUGGAUCAAGGCGUGGGAGAUGUCAGCGGGCUGUACGUGUGUUGAACGCGGAGGUGCCGUCCGUUCGGCACUAGGAUCUCCGAUGAUUUGGAUCACGACGAGUACGACUCCUUCAACCCCGUUCUCUUGAACGCUUCCGCUUAGCGAUCUACAAGGGUAUGUAGAUGCACUCUCCUUCCCCUUGUUGCUGGUUUCUCCAUAGAUAGGUCUUGGUGUCACGUAGGAAAAUUUUGAAUUUCUGCUACGUUCCCCAACAAAAAUAUGGGCAUUAAGCUCGACUACGCUUCAGUCUAUCAUCCUCAAACCAACGGUCAAGUUGAAUGAGCAAAUGGUCUAAUAAUGAGCGGCAUCAAACCCAGACUAGUGCGAUCCCUUACGGAAUAUAACAUGCACUGGGUAGAGGAGCUCGACUCCGUACUCUGGGGGCUGCGGACCACACCAAACCGUACUACCGGAUUCACACCAUUCUUUAUGGUAUACGGCGCAGAGGCAGUUUUGCCCUGCGACAUAAUUCAUGACUCACCUCGAGUGCGCAUGUACGAAGAAAGAGAAGCCGAGUUGGAUCGGCAGGACAGCUUGGACGCAUUAGAGGAAGAGCGCGAUGUAGCAAAGGCUCGUUCCGCAUUCUAUCAGCAGUAGGCUCGAUGGUAUCAAAGCAGAGAAGUACGGGCUAAAACUUACAAUGUUGGCGAACUAGUUCUACGCCUGUCGGACAAGAAAAAGGACAAACUCAAGCCCAAACGGGAAGGUCUCUUCAUCAUCGACCAAGUCCUGACCGGUGGAGCAUACCGUCUGCGAAACGCAUCAGACAACCGACUCGAGCCAAACCCAUGGAACGCAGCCCGCCUUCGAAGAUUCUACGCCUAGCGCCGGACUCAAAGUUCGUCUCCUUCCCCCGUCCACAUUUUAUACUUCAGUUGCCUUCUGUUUCUCUCUUUUAUCCCACCUUUUUCAUAAAGCCCUUGAGGGCCAAUUUGCGCAUUGUUCGCACACACUUGAUGUGCUACCCGCACUCAUUAUACCUGGGGGCUUCCUUAACAGAAGCUUACUUAUACGGGCUUCAUGCCCAACACAUGUGUCAAACUUCCACAUGUACCUUUCAUUCACCAUUAUAUGCAUCGAUAUGACUUAAGUUUUGGCCAAGCUGGGUUGCCUGGCUCCUGUGCUUACCCCUACGUUCCCGAUUGUUCGGCUAGGAGGUAAAGCGAGCACCUCUGUGAUUGUUACUGCCGGAUCAGGCGGAUGUGUACCUCAGACUGGGUGAAGCCGAAAGCUAGCGUUCUUAAGGGAAUAUUCGGUCGGUGACUUGAAAGAUGAUUUUUUACCUAUUUAUUUAUCUGCCCCCAGAUGUUUUCCUGCUCUUUUUGCAGUCCGGACAUGCACUUUAGGGCAUGCCUCCCAGGGAAAGGAACCCUUAACGAAACUAUUCUCCCUGGAAGAUGUUUCUUACUAACCAUGUAAUAUAACAUAACUAGUUGGGCACUUGUCUGAUAAAGCACUAAUGACCCCUACGCCUGGUCUCCAUGCAUGCCCCGGUUUUUUCAUAACCGAGAAGGUAUUCGGACACACUCCAGACUCUAGGGUCCCGAGGUUGAAGCGAAAAGGUCGGCAAAGACAAACGAUCUACAAUCCGGCUAGAAGGCAUUUUACAUGUCAUUUUAAAUACAUCAUCAAAUCGACUGACUGUACUCCUCCUCAAUCCCGUCUAACAGGUUGUCUAAUUUACAGUCCCGUUGGGAAUACUUAGCGGCCAACUCUACCUGGCCGUACACUAAGCUCACAGGGAUCUCCUUCCCAUCGGGCCCCACAGGUCCGACCUCGGCCAUGUGGUUUGGAUCCGCCUUCUUGUACCGCGUCUUCACCAUGGCCCAGGCCUCCCUGGCACCUUGACGGCAGGCCGAUAUAUUCCAUAAAUGGAUGCGCUGCGUGCUCCCUGAAGCUUCUCCGCAAGCUCUCCAAGGCCCUCAGGUAGGGAGACGGACGGCCAUAAGGCCUGGAAGAUGCCACUCAUCGCCUGCCGAACAUGUUCGAGCAGUUGCACCAGCUCGAGAAGUUGGUCACCCGUUAAACCGGGCAUUUCCUCCGCAGGGCGACCUGUGAGCACACCUACAGAAAUAUUUCUGUCAAUUGACUUCCUCGCCGAACUCUUCUUUUCAAAAGAGUUUGCUCAAGCACUUACUAUAGAUGCUGCGACAAAGCCGCUGAUUCUCCUUCACGGAGCCAGACAGCUCGGCCCGAACACCUUUUAGCUCUUCUCUAAGCUGGGUGUGGGCAUCCUGGAGUUUUUUCCUCUCCUGCUGCACCUUCAUAAGCACCCUCUCGCCGACCUUCAGCUGGCGCACUAGCUGUUGCUUGUCCGGAUCAAGUCCGGCAACAUCUGCAAUAUCAUUGUCUGACUUAUAUGCACGCCGCACACUGCUUAUCCUUUUGAAAUAUGUGUUACCGGAGGGGGUCUCGGUGUCUCCUCCUGCGGCGGCUAGAGCGGCCUCAAGUUGGGCCUUGCACCCUUGUAGCUCCUGAGACAAUUGGGCAUUCUUCUCUGUAAGAUCCUGCAUAUCAAAUGAUCCUUAAAUCAGUUAUUUUAACUACUUUAAGUCUCGGGGGCUACUGGCAUAUACAACUAUUAAAAUCCCUUACCCGUAUGUCUUUUACAUACUGCUCCGUGGCUCUGGUUAAACCAUCUUGAGCAGCACGGAGGUGCAUGUCUCCCGCGUUAAAGGCAUUCAACGCCUCUGGGGAGAACACGCGUCACGCAGAACUGUCCGGCGACGCCUAUGAUUCAUGGUGCUCUCCACCUCAGACCUGGUGGCGGACAGCCUGUCGGCAUCCUCCGUUGGAGGAGUACCCAGCUCGCGCCUUGCGCUCGCCUCCCCCUCCGGACUAGGUGUUGGAGCCUGGUUGGCGGAGGUUUGGUUGGCAACCUCUCCGGGCACAGUCUGGCGAGUGCUCUUUCUCCUGGAGAAGUCAUGAGCAUUAAUAGACCUCCUAGGAAUCUUUUCCCUAAAUAACGGUCGCGAGCUAUACCGUUGCGGUGACAUUUUGAUUCGCAGCGCACCCCUCUUCCGCCUUCUGGGCCGGACUGACCCUUGUUGGUCAGCCCCCACGGGUUCGGCUUCCUGCCUUGAAGGCACAUCCUGCGAGACACCGUUGUAUACGGUGGUCAGAAAUAUGCAAGGACGAAGUAAUGGUGUCAGGACUCCGGUCAUAAUUACUUGGGAAGCCGCUGUUAAGUCGGGGUAGUUAGCCGUAAUGGCGACUAGAGCAUUGUCCAUGCUGAGUUGGUGGAACACCCCGUCAAUUAGCUCCACCUUUAUGUCCGGAUCCUCUUCGGAGGCCAGAUCAAGGGAUCUUCCCGGAUCCUCGGGUUGUGGAGCCGGACUAUGUAUGCCCUCCACAUCCCGAUGCAGUUCCUGCGUCGAAAUCAUAAAGUAAGGUACUUAACUUUGAAAGCAUGGGUCGGAUAAAUAAAUGUCCGCUUACCCAGCUCCGAGGGUUAUUCAUGGAGAACCCAUUCAAUGGGAUCGUCUGGAGGUAGUCCUCCUUCUCCCCCUUGUACAGGCCGGACAGAAUCUUCACCAGAUCUGCGGCCGAUCCCGGCCCCUUUCGGCCAUGACGGGUGGCAUCAUUCUCCCCGUUGAAUUCCCACAUAGGGUGGCCCCUAUAUUGGAGCGGCUGCACCCCUCGCAUAAUGCACGUGGCCAUGACUCCAAUCAUGGUCAAUCCAGAAUGGGCCAGCAACCUUAUCCGGCGCAUCAAGUAAUGGACGCUCAUGUCUUCCUCCUGUCGAGGGCUCCGCGGGCGCCAACUUAGGCGUUUCUUUAGAGGAGCCUUGUUGAACUCCGGAAGGCCGAUCCGAACUGGGUCCGGCGGUGGAGCAUCUUCCACAUAAAACCAUUCUGAGGGCCAGUCUUCGGACGCUUUCUUUGGGGUUCCGGAUAGAUAUCCGGUCCCGGCGAUGCGCCAUAUUUCAGCUCCGCCCACUUGAUAUAUUGACCCCUCGUGAGAACGGGGUACGAGGCAAAAUAAUCUCUUCCACAAUGCAAAAUGGGUCUUGAUGCCCAGGAACAGCUCGCAAAGAGCUAUGAAACCCGCGAUGUGCAGAAUAGAGGCGGGCGUGAGGUGAUGAAGCUGGAGUCCAUAGAACUCCAGAAGCCCCCGGAGAAACGGAUGUAUGGGAAAUUCGAGCCCCCUUAUUAGAUAAGGGACGAAGCACACCCGCUCUCCUUUGGAGGGACUAGGGGUGGCCUCCGCUUGCUUUCCACCUUUAUGCGUGGCCAGCCCGGCUCGAACCAGGACCAUAAAGGCCGGAGGAAGGUAUCCCUCCUCUUGGAGCGUCACCAGCUCGUUGUGCGGAACUGAACAUCUCCUCCAAUCUCCUGGCUGAGGGCUAGGAGCGCGAGAGGAGGAGCCGCGUCGACGGUCCAUGAUAGAAUGGAUUUUUGGUUAGAAGCGCUCCGAUGAGUACUCGUGGAAGGAAGAUGGUGUGAUUUGGAUCUGGAUUCUUGCCUCUCUUAUAGGCAGAUUAUUGGGCAGCUAGGGGGUAAAAUAUAAAAAUACCCUGGCCUUUCGCAUUCGUGCGACACGUGGAAGAGGGCCAUUAUUGGGCGUGGGAGCCAAGGAGCGCAACAUUUGUAAGGAAGCCGGACACUAUUCGGCAAACACAUGGAAUUUGGAGGAGAACCCGCCUUGCAACGCCGAAGACAAUAUACGCGCCGGACUCGUCGUCAUUGAAGCCUGGUUCGGGGGCUACUGAGGGAGUCCUGGACUAGGGGGUGUCCGGAUAGCCGGACUAUCAUCAUCGGCCGGACUCCAAGACUAUGAAGAUACAAGAUUGAAGACUUUGUCCCGUGUCCGGAUGGGAUUUUCCUUGGCGUGGAAGGCAAUCUUGGCAAUACGGAUAUGUAGAUCUCCUACCAUUGUAACCGACUCUGUGUAACCCUAGCCCUCUCCGGUGUCUAUAUAAACCGGAGGGUUUUAUCCCAUAGGACGAACAACCAUUACAAUAAUCAUACCAUAGGCUAGCUUCUAGGGUUUAGCCUCCUCGAUCUCGUGGUAGAUCUACUCUUGUACUACCCAUAUCAUCAAUAUUAAUCAAGCAGGAGUAGGGUUUUACCUCCAUCGAGAGGGCCCGAACCUGGGUAAAAACAUCGUGUCCCUUGUCUCAUGUCACCAUCCGCCUAGACGCACAGUUCGGGACCCCCUACCCGAGAUCCGCCGGUUUUGACACCGACACCUGCCGUUCCAAGUAAAUUUGUAUGUGCCAAAUUCCAAACCUUCAAAUGAAAUUCUGUUUUGUAUGCUCGAGCAGCUCAUGUUACAACUAGGGCUGCCUAUAUCUUCUUUGGUAGGUGGGUUAUUCUCACGAGGAGUGGACUCCGCUGCUCUUUCACGAGAAAGGGCCGGUAACCGGGAUGCCUAGUCCCAUGAUCCAAAAAGAUCAAAGCAAAUCAAAAUAAUUAAACAAAACUCCCCCAGGGCUAUUGUUAGUUGGAGGCACUCGUUGUUUCGAGAAAGCCAUGGAUUGAUGCUUGUUGGUGGUUGGGUGAGUAUAAACCUUUACCAUUCUGUUUGGGAACUGCCUAUAAUGCAUGUAGUGUAGAAGAUACAGCCAUCUCAUAGUUUUUGCGUUGACAGUGAAAGUAUGCCGCUCAAAAUGUUAUUCAAUCUCUAUUUUAAAAUCGAGCUCUGGCACCUCUACAAACCCCUGCUUCCCUCUGCGAAGGUCCUAUCUAUUUACUUUUAUGUUGAGUCAUCACCCUUCUUAUUAAAAGAACCCGCUGGAGAGCACACUGUCAUUUGCAUUCAUUACUAUUGGUUUAUAUUGGGUAUGAAUUGACUGGAUCUCUUUUAUCAUGAAUUACAAUGUUUAGUCAGUCCUUGAUCUUUAAAGGUGCUCUGUAUUUAUGUUUUGCGGUCUCAGAAAGGGCUAGAGAGAUACCAUUUUGUUAUAUCAUGUUAUGAUUAUUUUGAGAAAGUGUUUUCAUCCGAGUUUUAUUAUUAUGGCUCGCUAGCUGAUUAUGCUAUUGAUAUGAGUAAUUGUGAGACCUAGGUGUUAUUGUUAGUAUGGUUAGUUCAUAAUAUUUACUGAAACUUGAAUGUUGGCUUUUCAUGUUUACAACAACAAGAGCAGACAGAGUUUGUAAAAGUUUUUCUUUAUCACUUUCAGUUUAUCAACUGAAUUGCUUGAGGACAAGCAAAGGUUUAUGCUUGGGGGAGUUGAUACGUCUCCAACGUAUCUACUUUUCCAAACACUUUUGCCCUUGUUUUGGACUCUAACUUGCAUGAUUUGAAUGAAACUAACCCAGACUGAUGCUAUUUCAGCAGAACUGCCAUGAUGUUGUUUUAUGUGUAGAAAAGAAAAGUUCUCAGAAUGUCCUGAAAAUCCACGGAGGCACCUUUUGGAAUUAAUAAGAAUUUCUGGGGAAAAGAAAUACACCAGGGGGCCCAGGGCCUGUCCACGAGACAGGGGGGCGCGCCCCCUUGUAGGGCGUGCCCCCCUAUCUCAUGGGCCCCCUGGACCUCCACCGACCUGAAGUCCAACUCCAUAUAUUCACGUUCGGGGAUAAAAAAAUAAGAGAGAAAGUUUCAUCGCGUUUUACGACUCGGAGCCACCGCCAAGCCCUAAUCUCUCUCGGGAGGGCUGAUCUGGAGUCCGUUCGGGGCUCCGGAGAGGGGGAUUCGUCGCCGCCGUCAUCAUCAACCAUCCUCCAUCACCAAUUUCAUGUUUCUCACCGCCGUGCGUGAGUAAUUCCAUCAUAGGCUUUCUGGACGGUGAUGGGUUGGAUGAGAUUUACCAUGUAAUCAAGUUAGUUUUGUUAGGGUUUGAUCCCUAGUAUCUACUAUGUUCUGAGAUUGAUGUUGCUAUGACUUUGCUAUGCUUAAUGCUUGUCGCUAGAGCCCGAGUGCCAUGAUUUCAGAUCUGAACCUAUUAUGUUUUCAUGAAUAUAUGUGUGUUCUUGAUCCUAUCUUGCAAGUCUAUAGUCACCUAUUAUGUGUUAUGACCCGACAACCCUGGAGUGACAAUAAUUAGGAUACUUCUCGGUGAUGACCGUAGUUUGAGGAGUUCAUGUAUUCACUAUGUGCUAAUGCUUUGUUCCGAUUCUCUAUUAAAAGGAGGCCUUAAUAUCCCUUAGUUUCUGCUAGGACCCCGCUGCCACGGGAGGGUAGGACAAAAGAUGUCAUGCAAGUUCUUUUCCAUAGGCACGUAUGACUAUUUACGGAAUACAUGCCUACAUUACAUUGAGGAACUGGAGCUAGUUCUAUAUCACCCUAUGUUAUAGCUAUUACAUGAGGAAUCGCAUCCGGCAUAAUUAUCCAUCACCUUUCCGUUGCUACUGUUACAACUACUACAAAAACCUAAAAACAAUUAUCUUUACUUUUGCCACCAUUACCUUUAUUAUCAUACCACUUUUGCUACUAAAUACUUUGCUGCAGAUACUAAGUUAUCCAGGUGUGGUUGAAUUGACAACUCAACUGCUAAUACUCAAGAAUAUUCUUUGGCUCCCCUUGUGUCGAAUCAAUAAAUUUGGGUUGAAUACUUUACCCUCUAAAGCUGUUGCGAUCCCCUACACUUGUGGGUUAUCACUGCCUCGUCGACCUUGUUGGCAAGAUUCACCUCUCCGACGGGCCGACCACUAACGCGGGCACUGGCUGCCCCGAAAUCCGUCUCGUCAUCCUCCUCGACUAGCUUCACGUCACCAACAAGCCUACUAUGGACCUGGAGUCUGUUGGCUCCACCGAACCGAUGAUCGUCGACUCUGACACGGCGUCACUUGACGCCUUCCCCACUAACGUGGUGAUCUACGACGAGUCGCCUCCUUGUGAGCACAGCGGCAGGAGCACCGUCAUGGAGGUGCUCGUCAUCAACAGUGGCGAGCGCUCGGCCAUAGACGCUAGAGACCCACUUGAUGCAGCGCUGCGAGACCUGUCGGCGCCUAUUCCAGAGGAUGCAAACGCUGAGAUGCUGGAGGCACGCCGCGUCCAGCUCCUCGAAAGCGCUGGCCGACUGGCCAGCAUGCGACGCCUCUCGGACGCCUACCGGCGUGAGAUGGACCGGGCCGUUGGUAGCACGCCGGCUCCUGAGGGGCCUAGCCGCAUCGGCUCGAUCCGGCAGCAUGGCGCGACCAUUGCCAGCAUGUUUGGGCAAAACGCCCCAUAUACGCUACGCCUGUAGAGAACAUCCGGCCCACCCAGGCGGUGACGGAUGAGCUGGACAAGUAUGAGGGCGACGAGCGUCGCCACAUGACGGAGCGAGUCCAGCAGCUCCUAGACGCGGCUGUCGCGCAGCACGAAGCCGGCUAUCGCGCUGAAGUGCCCGCCCAGCGGAACGAUGAACCGCCCCCUUGCCAGGACCAUGGCGCGACGUCCCGGACGCCGACUGGUGGCGCCCAUGGAAGAAGAGGCAACAAGCUGGCUGCCAGCCGCAGCCGUACUUGCCUCUCCAUCGAGCGUGACGAAGACAGCCGCCCUCGAGCGGUGGAGCGGCGAGGCGACCCGCCUCCUCCUCCGCCUCAUUGAGCAAGGCAUCCUACUCCGCCGCCUGUCACGCACCCGACACUCAGCGACCGCCUUGGUCGCCGAGAGGGAGUCGGAGAGAACGACGCUCGCCAUCGGAUCGAUCAUCUCAACCGAUCCCUGGCACUAGAAGAAGACGACGCAUUGGGCCCGCCCUAUUUUAGCCCACAAAUCCGAGAUGAGCCCUUUCCCAAAGGGUUCACGCUCCCAAGAGAUGCGCCCAAGUACACCGGCUCCGUGAAGCCGGAGGACUGGCUGGUCAACUACUCCACGACCGUCAGCAUAGCGAACGGCAACAAGUGCGUUGCCGUGAAGUACGUCCCGCUCAUGCUUCAAGGCACAACCCGGAUGUGGCUCAACAGCCUGAAGCCUCGUAGCAUCAACAGCUGGGUUGAUUUCACCGAAGCCUUCAUCCGCAACUUCACCAGCACAUACAAGCGGCCUCCCAUGCCCCGAUAGCUCUCCUUGUGCGUCCAAGGGCCCAGCGAAUCGACUCGCGACUAUCUCACACGCUGGGCCGAGCUGCGCAACUCCUGCGAAGGCGUGCACGAGGUGCAGGCAAUCGAGUACUUCAUCGCCGGGUGCCGAGAGGGCACCCUCCUCAAGCACCGACUUCUCUGCGACGAGCCUGCGACUCUCGACGAACUGUUGAUCAUCACCGACAAGCACGCCACGACCGACUCCUCCAUGAAGGCGGAGAUCUUAGUUGACACGUCUGGCAAGGUGGCACCUCAGGCCCCUCGGACUCCGGCUGGUGACACCAGUCGGCGACAGCAUCCAAGCGACAACAAGCGGAAGGCCACCCAACCGGCUUCCACCAGCCGGCAGGUGGCGACAGUUGAGGACUAGCAGCCGGAGGGGCAGCCAGCGCCCAAGCGUCAGAAGGGAGGCAAGCCCAAUUGGAUGCCCGCUUUCUCUUACGAGCAGACCCUAGAUGCACCCUGUAAUUUUCAUAGUGGCGCGAAGCCGUCCAACCAAACCACGCGGAAGUGCCAUUGGCUCACCAGGAUAGCCAAGGGAGAUGGACUCCCGCCUCCUCCGCCUGCCGGCCCGCCGCCUCCUCUGCCCCAGCAGCCAGCGGCCCGGCCAGUCGGCGCCAUACAAGACAAGUAUCCAGAGGAGCACGGAGCUUAUGUUGUGUUCACCAGCAUGGCCGAUAACAGACGCAGCAGACGGCAGCAGCAGCAAGAAGUACAGGCGGUGGCCUCAAAUGCUCCAGAAUUCAUGCAUUGGUCUGAGAAGCCCAUCAGUUGGAGCAGGGCCGACCACCCGGAGGUAAUUCCCUCCCCCGGUUCCUACGCCCUGGUCCUUGAUGCUACUUUGCAACGAAGUGGCGGGCAGCUCGUUUCUCCAGAGUCCUGAUAGAUGGCGGCAGCAACAUCAAUAUCCUGUAUCGUGACACGAUGGAGAAGUUGGGAAUCAAGCAGAAGCAGCUCCUCCCCAGUCGGACUGUAUUCCAUGGCAUAGUCCCUAGCCUUCACUGCUCACCAAUCGGUAAGACCCAAAUUGAUGUUCUCUUCGGAGACAAGAAUCAUUUCCGCCAUGAGCCAGUUUGGUUUGAAGUGGUGGACCUUGAAAUCCCCUACCAUGCGCUGCUUGGCCGGCCUGCCCUAGCCAAGUUCAUGGCGGUCCCCCACUAUGCUUACCUCAAGAUGAAGAUGCCGAGUACCAAGGGGAUCCUAACCGUAAUCGAAGACUACAAGAAGUCGACCUCCUGCACCGUGGACAGCAGCCGGCUGGCCGAGUCCCUCGUGAUUGCAGCUAAGAAGCGGCUCCUUGACAGGGUGGUGGCGAUGGCAGGCAAUAAGACGGAAAUGUCACCCAUCCCCAAGGAGUCGGAGGUUGAGGGCUCGUUCAAGCCGACAAAGGAAAUGAAGAAGAUACCCUUGGACCCGGAGCACCAGGAGAGGCACGCUGUCAUAGGUGCCACCUGGACAGCAAAUAGGAAAGCGAGCUCGUCGAUUUCCUCCGUGAGAAUCGGGACAUCUUCGCAUGGUCUCCCAAAUACAUGCCGGGUGUUCCGAUGGAUUUCGCCGAGCACAAGUUACAUGUUCGACCUGACGCCAAGCUGGUCAGGCAGCCCUUGCGCCGCCUGUCAGAAGAGAAGAGAAGAGUUGUCGGAGAAGAGAUAGCCCGACUUCUAGCAGCCGAUUUCAUCAUGGAAGUAUUCCUUACAGAGUGGCUGGCCAACCCAGUUCUUGUGUUGAAGAAAAAUAAGCAGUGGCACAUGUGUAUUGAUUAUACCAUCCUCAACAAAGCUUACCCCAAAGAUCCCUUUGCCCUGCCAAGAAUUGACAAAGUGAUAGACUCCACAGCCGGAUGCGAGCUCUUGAGUUUUUUGGAUGCAUACUUAGAGUAACAUCAGAUAAAGCUGAACCCGGCCGACAGGCUGAAGACCGCCUUCAUCAUGCCAUUUGGAGCCUUCUACUACCUGACCAUGACGUUCGGCUUGCAAAAUGCCGGCACCAUGUUUCAGCGUUGCAUGCAGAAGUGUCUCCUCAAGCAUCUCGGCAGAAAUGCCCAUGUCUAUGUGGAUGAUGUGGUGGUGAAGACAGAGAAGCGUGGCACGCUGCUGGAAGACCUCAAGGAAACUUUUGAGAACCUGCGCCGAUUCCAGAUCAAGCUCAACCUAGAGAAAUGCGUCUUUGGAGUACCAACCGGCCAGCUCCUCGGCUUUCUGGUCUCAGAGCGUGGCAUAGAAUGCAACCCAGUGAAGAUCAAGGCCAUUGAGAAGAUGGAGGUGCCCACCCGACUGCUGGACGUGCAGAAAUUCACCGACUGCCUGGCAUCUAUCAGCCGUUUCAUCAGUCGGCUGGGCGAGAAGGCUCUCCUCCCGUACCAGCUCAUGAAGAAGACCACUUUUUUCGAGUGGAACGACAAGGCGGAUGAAGCUUUUCUCUAACUCAAGAAGAUGUUGACCACCCCGCCUAUCUUGGCGGCUCCAACUGAGAAAGAGCCCAUGCUCCUCUACAUCGCCGCCACCAGUCGGGUGGUCAGCACAGUCAUAGUGGUAGAACGCAAGGGGGAGGGCAGAGCAUUGCCGGUCCAGAGACCGGUAUAUUACUUGAGUGAAGUAGUGUCCGCUUCCAAGCAAAACUACCAACACUAUCAGAAGAUGUGCUAUGGUGUGCACUUUGCCACCAAGAAGCUCAAGCCUUACUUUCAAGAGCACCCAAUAACCGUUGUCUGCACUACUCCGCUUGCUGAGAUCAUUGGAAGCCGAGAUGCUUCGGGCCGAGUGGCCAAGUGGGCUAUUGAUCUGGCCCCUUAUACCAUCUACUACCACCCUCGCACUGCCAUCAAGUCACAAGCACUGGCGACUUCCUUGUCGACUGGGCCAAGACCCAGUACUUGCCGCCAGCACCAGACUCCACCCAUUGGCGGAUGCAUUUUGAUGGUUCAAAAAUGCGCACCGCUCUGGGAGCCGGCAUUGUCCUCACCUCUCCCAAAGGCGACAAGCUCAGAUAUGUGCGGCAAAUCCAUUUUGCCGCCUCCAACAACCUAGGCGAAUAUGAGGCACUCAUACACGGGCUCCGGCUUGCCAAGGAACUCGGCAUUCGCCGGAUCCUGUGCUAUGGUGACUCUGACUUGGUGGUCCAGUAGUCGUUAGGUGACUGGGACGCCAAGGACGCAAAUAUGGCAAGCUACCGCUUCCUCGUGCAGCAACUCAGUGGAUACUUUGAUGGGUGCGGGUUCCUCCAUGUGCCAAGAAAUGACAACGAGCAAGCAUAUGCCUUGGCACAGAUCGGCUCCACCCGGCAGGCGAUACCCGCCGGCGUCGCCCUGCAGCGCCUCCUCAAGCCGUCUGUCAAGCCAUCACCAGAGUCCGACUCCAUCUUUGUGCCGGCCCCUCCCGAAGUAGUCGGAUCCGACUUGAGGACCCCAGAAGCCGGCGCGGGGACUUUGGCAGGCGGCGCGGGGACUGCAGCCGUCGCACCUGGCUCAGGGACUUCAGAACCUGGCCUAGGGACUGCAGCAAUUGGCCCGGGGACUUCUUCAAGGCAGCAGGCGGCAGUCGACUCCAACCCGCUGCCUCCCGGCCCAACCGCCCUUGUACAAAUUGCAGUCGUGGAAGUCAGAGAGAUAGCAGCACCCUCAUGGGCUCAACCCAUCCUCGACUUCCUGGUGAACAAAGAGCUGCCGACCGAUGAGAUACUAGCCCGGCAAGUGCAACGGCGGGCAGCAGCAUAAACCAUAGUCAACAAAGAACUGGUACGGCGCAGUGUCACUUGUGUGUACCAGCGCUGCGUGGAGCCCAACCAGGGUCAAGCAAUCCUCAAAGAUAUUCACCAAGGCGAAUGUGGUCACCACGUGGCUUCAAGAUCACUUGUUGCCAAAGCUUUCCGCCAUGGUUUCUUCUGGCCGACUGCUCUAGAAGACGCCAAAGAGUUGGUACAGAAGUGCAAAGGGUGUCAAAAGUUCUGCUCCAAGACACACUUGCUAGCUUCUGCACUCAAGACCAUUCCCAUUGCCCGGCCCUUUGUUGUUUGGGGUUUGGAUAUGGUGGGGCCAUUCAAGACAGCUUGUGGAGGCAUGACUCAUCUGCUUAUCGCUGUGGACAAGUUCACCAAGUGGAUAGAGGCAAAGCCAAUCAAGAAGCUGAAUGGGCCGACUGUCGUGACUUUCAUCGCCCACUCGGUACGACAUACCACAUAGCAUCAUCACCGACAACGACACAAACUUUGCCAAAGGAGCCUUGGAUCGUUUCUGCGCGACGCAGGGCAUCCGAGUAGACUUUGCGUCCGUUGCCCAUCCGCAGUCAAACGGCCAAGUUGAGCGAGCAAACGGCCUCAUUCUAUUCGGCAUCAAGCCCCAACUGGUCGAGCCUCUGGAGCAUUCAGCCGGCUGCUGGCUCCAUGAGCUGCCGGCCGUCCUCUGGAGCCUGCGCACGACUCCGAACAAGUCGACCGGCUUCACGCCCUUCUUCCUCAUCUACGGUGCUGAAGCCGUCAUCCCGACAGACAUAGAGUUCGACUCCCCAUGAAUCACCAUGUGCACCAAGGCGGAUGCCAAGGAGGCGCGAGAAGACGGCGUCGAACUGCUGGAGGAGGGCCGGCUGUUGGCACUCAGCUGGUCCGCCAUCUACCAGUAGAGUCUGCGCCGAUACUACAACCGCAAGGUGAAGCCAAGAUCCUUCUAAGAGGGAGACCUUGUGCUCCGGCGGAUCCAGUGAACAGCCGGCCAGCACAAGCUCUCUGCGCCUUGGGAAGGCCCUUUCAUCAUCAGCAAGGUGCUGGGCAACAAUUCAUACUAUCUGAUCGACGCUCAGAAGCCCAGAGCACGCAAAAGAGAUGACUCAGGCAAGGAGACGGAGAGGCCAUGGAACGCAAACCUCCUCCAAAGAUUUUACAGUUGAAAGCAGUAUGUAUCACGCUACCUUUUUUAUUAUGUACGAAGACUCCGGAUCCCCCGAGAAGAACUCGGGGAAUACCCUCCUUUUAUCUAUAUGAUAAGUGUUAUGCCUAUGAGUGUGUAUUGUUUUAUUAUUUCCGCCUGGCACCGGGUUCGACUAGUCGGCCCGGAGGCUCGCUGGCUUCUGCUAUAUGCCGCCUCCUACAGUCGGAGAAGUAGUGUGUUGGCACCAAAAACUUCCCCUAUCAGAAGCCGCAGCUCGUAGAGCGACUGAAUGGCGGGCAGGGGUUGCAAAACAGUGCCCACAUGAAAAAUAGCUAAGGAAAAACACAUAUAGUCGAGGCCGGCAUCGCGCCUGUUCGGCCGGCUUCUGCUUGUCUUGCCAACACUCCGAACGGCUAAGUACUUGCUCUCCCAUCAAAGCUAAGUACUCGACCCAGCCGCAUUCUGCAGACCGGCUGCUCGGCUGGCAAGAGGAUAGCCGAGGGAGGGCGGCAAAGGAAAAAAGCAAGGAGAUUAAGAGCAAAAAAAGUUAGAAGCCGACAAAGCAAAGCAUGAAUUGUGAUAGAAUAUUUACAUAGAUAAAGGCCUAUCCGCCAGCAUUCAACAGAGCUUCGAUAUACACCCCGUGGGUGGAAUUGUGCAAAUUUAACCAAGUUGUCCAGACUAGUGAGCAGAAAAAGAAAAAGAUAACAUCCUAAGGGGCAGCAGAAGGCUCCGGCUGGACGGUGGAGUCAGCGGUGUCGGUUGGUGCAGCAGAAGGCUCCGGCUGGACGGUGGAGUCGGCGGUGCCGGUUGGUGCAGCAGAAGGCUCCGGCUAGACGGUGGAGUCGACGACACCAGUUGGGGCGGCGCAUGGCUGGAUGGCAAAGUCGACGGCGUCCGUUGGUGGAACGGGCGGUUGGUCGGUCUCCGCCUGGCCACCUCCAGUAGCAGUCGGCGCUUUGGAGCGCGGAUCAUUGCUUUAGGCCUGGUCAGGUCGAGGCUGACCAUCCGCUCCAACCUCCGGCACAUCGUCUUCGCUUUCCUCCUCCUCCUCCUCCUCCCCUUCAUCGCUGGAGUCGAUUACUUCGGCCGAAUCCUCGAUGUCCUAGGGGUUCAGCCCGAGCCACUCCAGCGGUGCUUCGGCGCCUUCUUCGACCAUCUUCGGGAUGAAGACGCUGGUGUCGGUGUAGUCGGCGAUCGCCGCCGCCCUGCUGAUAAGUUCGGCUUCCACCGCCACCAGCUCCUCCUGCGCCUCCAGCCGAAACGUGGUCUGCUGGGCUAGAUCUAGCCCAGGGUACCAUGCCUUGACGAACUCCAAGGCUCGGCGCGCUCCUGCCCGGGCUGCAGAGCCCUUCCAGGCCUCCAGGCGGCCGGCCGCCACCUCCAGCCAGUCGGCAGUCUGACUGGGGGUGCGCGGAGCCUGCACACCUGGCCAGAGGGCGGAGAUCGCCUGGGCCCCGACGCACUGAAGGCGGUGCAACAUAUGAUGGGCAGGCCGAAGGCGGGCCUGGAUGCUGAGGAGCUGCUCAUUGAGGGUCCGAGGGGCGUCAGCGCAAUCCGCACGCCUUAUGCCCUCCGCUCCUAGCGUUGGGCCUCGAUGAUCUGUUUCGCGGCGACGGAGUGGCCUGGGAAGAAGUCUGUUUGGACAGAAGGCAAGAAAAGCCAAAGGUCAGAAACUAAGCAGUCGGCCUAGAUAAGGGCUGGCAACUCAAAAACAAGAAAGAAAAGAAAAUGAAGCUCACCAUCGACCAAGUCUUCGAUGCUGCUAAAGCAAGCAGUCAUCUGUGCCUCCUUGUCGGCCCAGGCGGAGUGCUCGAUCUUGAACUCAGUGAGGAGGUCGGUCUCCUUCGCCUUCGCCUCUCUCUGAGCCGUCUUGAGAGCCUCCGCCUGCUCCGCGAGCUGAGUGACCUGCAGGUCACGCUCUUCGGCCAGUUUGCUACACUCCGCCUCCUUGCCGCGCAGAGCGGUGUUGGCUUCGCCCAGCUGGUUCUGCAAGGCGGCGUUGGCCUCUGUAAAAAGGGAAGAAGAAAGAAUGUCAGGCAAACAACAAAGAAGGGAUGCAGUUGCCGGGAAGAUCCGGCCCGAUUGCUCAGCAGUCGGCCCGCAUCUCGGGGACUACAGCCCGCGGGUGCGCUAUCGCGCCCCCGCGGAGAAAAAGUCACUCGCAAAAAUAAAGUCACUGGAAAGAUUCGGCCCGACUGCUCUGCAGUCGGCCCGAACCUCGAGGACUACAGCCCGCGGGUGCGCCAGCGCACCCCCGCGAAGAAAGGAAGUCGAAACUUACUUCGGCUCUCGGACAAGUUGGCGGUCUGCUUCUCCAGCUCCCGGACCCCGAAGUUGAAGGUGUCCGCGUGAAGAUUGUAGUAAUCCUGCAAAGGGAUAUCAGACAAAGUUAGAAUUCGAAACCUACAAGUUAAAAAGUUCCGGGCCGCCUGCUCAGCAGCCGGCCCGAAACUUGGGGACUACAUCCAGUGGGUGCGCUGGCGCGCCCCCACGAAGGAAGCAAGAAGAUAAAAAUAAAGAGAAGUAAAGAAACUUACACGGAUGGCUGCCCGCGAAUCCAGGAAUGCCUCGUUGCAUCGCUUGAGGGCUUCGGCCUCAGCCCGGAGUUUGGCCUGGACGUCGAGGGCCGCCUGGUUCAGGGCGCCCGUCCCGCAUCCGCGUACCCAGCCAGCGGGCGCGGCGCUGGUCGCCUCGGUGUUGGGACCGAUGAGCUCGCGGCACUGGCCUCCAGCGGCCGCUGUGCCGAGGCCGCCUUUGCAAGACGGCGGUGCGCGGGCGUGCGGACCUCAGGAGUCAGGUCCAUCACCAUGUUGUUUCCGGCUGGUGGCACCAGCGGGGCAGAAGGCUGCUCAUCCUGCAUUCCGCCGGUUGGCGGUGGCGGCGGCACGAUGACGUCCGGCAUGGCCACGUCGCUGCCCUCCCUCUUCAUGACCGGUUGUUCGCCGCCGGCUCCCCCAGUCGUCGCCACAAACUCCGGCGGAGGUGGCGCAGUGUUCAGAGGAUUCACGAGUAGUGGCUCCUGGCGGCGCGCGGCCUCUGCAAGCCGCUCUGCCUCCAUGGCGUCAGCCUUCACCUGUGCCAGCUUCCUCGUCGCAGAUGUUGCGGCCUUGUCCGCCUCUGCCUUCGCCAGGCGGUCAGCUUCCUGCUCCUCGCGCGCCUCCCGCGCGUUCCACUCCUGCGCCUCUCGGAGGUCGGCGGCCGGGUCGAUUUUCCGGCUGGUGGUAGAGGUCUCCGCCGACCUGAUGACCGAGGCGGCGGCCGACUUCUCAAGGGUGAGCGGGGCCCUGAGAUAGGAAGGCAGGAUAAAGAAGUUUCCUAGGCCAGAUCGGCAAAGAGGAAUAAGCGUAAGAGGAACACUUAGGCCGACACCAUGAGCGGCACCUUCGGUUGCCUCUGGACCUUGGCCACCUUGGCCGCGGCCUCUUUCCGCCUGGUCGCCAUGGCCGGGUUCUUGGGCUUCUUCGGUGCGCUGCCGAACAGGGCGGUGAUACAUCUCCAACAUAUCUAUAAUUUUUGAUUGCUCCAUGCUAUAUUAUCUACUGUUUUGGGCAAUAUUGGGCUUUAUUUUCCACUUUUAUAUUACUUUUGGGACUAACCUAUUAACCGGAGGCCCAGCCCAGAUUUGCUGUUUUAUGCCUAUUUCAGUGUUUCGAGGAAAAGGAAUAUCAGACGGAGUCAAAAUGGAACGAAAUCAAUUGGAGAAGUUAUUUUUGGAAGGAAAGCCACCCGAUGGACUUGGAGUGCACGUCAGGAAAGAAGGGAGGUGCUCACGAGGGUGGGGGGCGCGCCCACCCCCCCUGGGGCACCCCCUGCCUCGUGGCCCCACCUUCCGUCCACCAACGUACUUCCUGCACCCAUAUAUACUCACGUACCCUAAAACUUCCAGAACAGAGAUUAGAUCGGGAGUUCCACCGCCGCAAGCCUCUGUAGCCACCAAAAACCUCUCGGGAGCCCGUUCCGGCACCCUGCCAGAGGGGGAUCCCAUCACCGGUGGCCCUCUUCAUCAUCCCGGCGCUAUCCAUGACGAGGAGGGAGUAGUUCACCCUCGGGGCUAAGGGUAUGUACCAGUAGCUAUGUGUUUGAUCUCUCUCUCUCUCUCGUGUUCUCUCUCGUGCUCCCUCUAUGGCAUGAUCUUGAUGUAUCCCGAGCUUUGCUAUUGUAGUUGGAUCUUAUGUUUCUUCUCCCCCUCUACUCUCUUGUGAUGAAUUAGUUUCCCCUUUUGAAGUUAUCUUAUCGGAUUGAGUCUAUUAUGAGAACACUUGAUGUAUGUCUUGCCGUGUUUAUCUGUGGUGACAAUGGGAUAUCAUGUGCCACUUGAUGUAUGUUUUGGUGAACAACUUGCGGGUUCCGCCCAUGAACCUAUGCAUAGGGGUUGGCACAAGUUCUUGACUCUCCGGUAGAAACUUUGGGGCACUCUUUGAAGUACUUUUAUGUUGGUUGGAUGAAUCUGAGAUUGUGUGAUGCAUAUCGUAUAAUCAUACCCACGGAUACUUGAGGUGACAAUGGAGUAUCUAGGUGACAUUAGGGUUUUGGUUGAUUUGUGUCUUAAGGUGUUAUUCUAGUACGAACUCUAGGGCUGUUUGUGGCACUUAUAAGAAUAGCCCACCGGAUUGAUUGGAAAGAAUAACUUUGAGGUGGUUUCGUACCCUACCAUAAUCUCUACGUUUGUUCUCCGCUAUUAGUGGCUUUGGAGUGACUCUUUGUUGCAUGUUGAGGAAUUGUUAUAUGAUCUAUCUAUCUUAUUAUUGUUGAGAGAACUUGCACUAGUGAAAGUAUGAACCCUAGGCCUUGUUUCCUAUCAUUGCAAUACUGUUUACGCUCACUUUUAUCAUUAGUUACCUUGCUGUUUUUAUUAUUUCAGAUUACAAAAAACCUAUAUCUACCAUCCAUAUUGCACUUGUAUCACCAUCUCUUCCCAAACUAGUACACCUAUACAAUUUACCAUUGUAUUGGGUGUGUUGGGGACACAAGAGACUCUUUGUUAUUUGGUUGCAGGGUUGUUUGAGAGAGACCAUCUUCAUCCUACGCCUCCCACGGAUUGAUAAACCUUAGGUCAUCCACUUGAGGGAAAUUUGCUACUGUCCUACAAACCUGUGCACUUGCAUGCCCAACAACGUCUACAAGAAGAAGGUUGUGUAGUAGACAUCAAGCUCUUUUCUGGCGGCGUUGACGGGGAGGCUAGGUAAGUGAAGGUAUAUCUUUAAAUCUUGUAAUCGUAUCUUUUUGUUUCUUGUUUUAGCACUAGUUAGUCUAUAAAAGAAAAUUACAAAAAAAUGGAAUUGAGUUUGUCUCAUACGCUUCACCUUUUUAAUAUCUUUCGUGAGAAUGAUGGAAAGGAAAAUUGUGCCAAAGUGCUAGAAGAAGAAUUACAUAGAAUGCUUGGCAUGAAAUAUGUGAAUGAUGAGCAUGAUUGCAAUGUUGUUAGUAUGAAUUCCUUGAAUAUCCAUGAUGCUAAUGAUAUGCAAAGCCACAAGCUUGGGGAAGCUAUGUUUGAUGAAGAUGAUAUUUUUUGUCCCCCAAGCUUUGAUGAGCAAAUUUACCAUGAUGAAAGCAUGCCUCCUAUCUAUGAUGAUUAUUGUGAUGACAUGUAUGCUUUAAAGAAUAAUGAUAACCAUGAAAAUUGUCAUCUUGAUCUUAAUCUUCAAUCAUAUGAUAGUUAUUUUGUUGAGUUUGCUCCAACUAUUAUUCAUGAGAAGAAUUUUGCUUAUGUGGAGAGUAGUAAAAUUUCUAUGCAAGUAGAUCAUGAAAAGAAUGCUUUAGGUGCUGGUUAUAUUGUUGAAUUCAUUCAUGAUGCUACUGAAAAUUAUUAUGAGGGAGGAACAUAUGCUUGUAGGAAUUGCAAUAAUAUCAAGUUUCCUCUCUAUGUGCUUAAAAUCUUGAAGUUAUGCUUGUUUUACCUUCCUAUGCAAGUUGAUUCUUGUUCCCAUAAGUUGUUUGCUCACAAAAUCCCUAUGCGUAGGAAGUGGGUUAGACUUAAAUUUGCUAGUCAUAUUCUUCAUGAUGCUCUCUUUAUGUUUCAAUUCCUAUCUUUUAUGUGAGCAUCAUUGAAAUCAUAAUGCCUAGCUAGGGGCGUUAAACGAUAGCACUUGUUGGGAGGCAACCCAAUUUUAUUUUAGUUUCUUGCUUUUUGGUCCUGUUUAGGAAUAAAUAAUCCAUCUAGCUUCUGUUUAGAUGUGGUUUUAUGUCUUAAUUAGUGUUUGUGCCAAGUAGAACCUUUGGGAAGACUUGGGUGAAGUCUUUAUGAUCAUGCUGUAAAAAACAGAAACUUUAGGGCUCACGAGAUUAGCUAGAACUUUUUACUGGAGAGUGCUAUUUAGUUGAUUCUUUUUGAAGAUGAUUACUAGACAAAUUCCUCAGGUCCACCAAUUUAUUUUAGAAUUUUUAGAGUUCCAUAAGUUUGCGUUAGUUACAGAUUACUACAGACUGUUCUGUUUUUGACAGAUUCUGUUUUUCGUGUGUUGUUUGCUUAUUUUGAUGAAUCUAUGGCUAGUAAAAUAGUUUAUAAACCAUAGAGAAGUUGUAAUACAGUAGGUUUAACACCAAUAUAAAUAAAGAAUGAGAUCAUUACAGUACAUUGAAGUGGUGUUUUGUUUUCUUUCUUUAACGGAACUCACGAGUUUUCUGUUAAGUUUUGUGUUGUGAAGUUUUCAAGUUUUGGGUAAAGAUUCGAUGGACUAUGGAAUAAGGAGUGGAAAGAGCCUAAGCUUGGGGAUGCCCAAGUCACCCCAAGGUAAUAUUCAAGGACAACCAAGAGCCUAAGCUUGGGUAUGCCCCGGAUGGCAUCCCCUCUUUCGUCUUCGUUCAUCGGUAACUUUACUUGGAGCUAUAUUUUUAUUCACCACAUGAUAUGUUUUUUCUUGGAGCGUUAUUUUAUUUUGUUAGUAUUUUCUUGCUGUUAUUUAGAUUAAUGUUUUGCAUCUUUAGUUUCAAUAAAAAAGUCAAGGAUAGCCUUUGCCAUGCUUAUUUUUGCUACUAUACAUGUUGCUGUUUGAAAACAGAAAGUUUACCGCUGUUGCAAAAAUUCCCUAGAAACUUCAAAGAAUGAUAUAAUGAUUAAACCUUUUGCAUAUUGAGCUCUGAUAAAUUUAUUACAGUGGGAAUUUUAUUUCAUGUUUUUUGGAGUUAGGGAAGUAUUGAUACUCUUGCAUUCUUCACAGGUUGUACUGUUUUGGCAGAUUGCUGUUAUGUUUGCAUUAUUUGCAUUGUUUGCAUAUGUUUUCUUGUUUAAUGGUUCUAUUUGAGGAUAGGAGUAUUAAAUAUGCAGAGGCAUUUAGUAUCAAAUGUUUAAUAAUAAUGUUAGUGAUUUGUUACAGUAGAAAAUGAUAAGGUUUUGCAUUGGUCUAUACUAACCUAUCUCACGAGUUCUUGUUGACUUUGUUGUGAAUGAAGCUUUUGAUAAAAAGAGAAACCAUGAUAUGAGAGGAAUUAAGGAGACAUAAAAGCUCAAGCUUGGGGAUGCCCAAGGAACCCCAAGAUAAUAUUUCAAGAAGUCUCAAGCAUCUAAGCUUGGGGAUGCCCCGGUAGGCAUCCCACCUUUCUUCUUCAACAACUAUCGGUUAGUAUCGGUUGAGCCGAAGUUUUUGCUUCUUCACAUGAGUUGUGCUAUCCUUGGAAUGUCAUUUUCUUUAGCUUUGCUUCCUGUUUGAAUAAAAUACCAAGAUCUGAAAUUAUUAAAAGGGAGAGUCUUCACAUAGUUGUAUAAUUAUCCGACUACUCAUUGAUCUUCACUUAUAUCUUUCGGAGUAGUUUGUCAUUUGCUCUAGUACUUCACUUAUAUCUUUUAGAGCAUGGUGGUAGUUAUAUUUUGAAGAAAUAGAUGAACUCUCGUGCUUCACUUAUAUUAUUUUGAGAGUCUUAAAUAGCAUGGUAAUUUGCUUAAAUAAUCAUAAUAUGCUAAGCAUACAAGAUUUGUAAGAAUUCUUAUGAGUGUGUUGAAUACUAAUAGAAGUUUGAUGCUUGAUGAUUGUUUUGAGAUAUGAAGAUGGUGAUAUUAGAAUCAUGCUAGUUGAGUAGUUGUGAAUUUGAGAGAUACUUGUGUUAAAGUUUGUGAUUCCUGUAGCAUGCACGUAUGGUGAACCGUUAUGUGAUGAAGUCGGAGCAUGAUUUAUUUAUUGAUUGUCUUCCUUAUGAGUGGCGGUCGGGGACGAGCGAUGGUCUUUUCCUACCAAUCUAUCCCCCUAGGAGCAUGCGCGUAAUACUUUGCUUUGAUAACUUCUAGAUUUUUGCAAUAAGUAUAUGAGUUCUUUAUGACUAAUGUUGAGUCCAUGGAUUAUACGCACUUUUCCUUCCUUCCAUCAUUGCUAGCCUCUCUAAUACCGCGCACCUUUCGCCGGUAUCAUACACCCACCAUAUACCUUCCUCAAAACAGCCACCAUACCUACCUAUCACAGCAUUUCCAUAGCCAUUCCGAGAUAUAUUGCCAUGCAACUUACCAUUGUUCCGUUUAUUAUGACACGCUCCAUCAUUGUCAUAUUGCUUAGCAUGAUCAUGUAGUUGACAUCGUAUUUGUGGCAGAGCCACCGUUCAUAAUUCUUUCAUACAUGUCACUCUUGAUUCAUUGCAUAUCCCGGUACACCGCCGGAGGCAUUCAUAUAGAGUCAUAUUUUGUUCUAAGUAUCAAGUUGUAAUUGUUGAGUUGUAAGAAAAAUAAAAGUGUGAUGAUCAUCAUUAUUAGAGCAUUGUCCUAGUGAGGAAAGGAUGAUGGAGACUAUGAUUCUCCCAUAAGUCGGGAUGAGACUCCGGACGAAAAAUAAAAAAAGAAAAAAAAAGAGGCGAAAAAAAGAAGAGAAAAGGCCCAAAUAAAAAAAUAAAAAAAGAGAGAAAAAGAGAGAAGGGGCAAUGCUACUAUCCUUUUACCACACUUGUGCUUCAAAGUAGCACCAUGAUCUUCAUGAUAGAGAGUCUCCUAUGUUGUCACUUUCAUAUACUAGUGGGAAUUUUUCAUUAUAUAACUUGGCUUGUAUAUUCCAAUGAUGGGCUUCCUCAAAUGCCCUAGGUCUUCGUGAGCAAGCGAGUUGAAUGCACACACACUUAGUUUCUUUUGUUGAGCUUUCAUAUACUUAUAGCUCUAGUGCAUCCGUUGCAUGGCAAUCCGUACUCACUCACAUUGAUAUCUAUUGAUGGGCAUCUCCAUAGCCCGUUGAUACGCCUAGUUGAUGUGAGACUAUCUUCCCCUCCUUUUGUCUUCUCCACAACCACCAUUCUAUUCCACAUAUAGUGCUAUAUCCAUGGCUCACGCUCAUGUAUUGCGUGAAGAUCGAAAAAAGUUUUGAAAAUGUUAAAGUAUGAAACAAUUGCUUGGCUUGUCAUCGGGGUUGUGCAUGAUUUAAAUACUUUGUGUGGUGAAGAUAGAGCAUAGCCAGACUAUAUGAUUUUGUAGGGAUAAGUUUCUUUGGCCAUGUUAUUUUGAGAAGACAUAAUUGCUUUGUUAGUAUGCUUGAAGUAUUAUUAUUUUUAUGUCAAUAUGAACUUUUGUCUUGAAUCUUUCGGAUCUGAAUAUUCAUAUCACAAGUAAUAAGAAUUACAUUGAAAUUAUGCCAACUAGAAUUCCACAUCAAAAAUUAUCUUUUUAUCAUUUACCUACUCGAGGACGAGCAGGAAUUAAGCUUGGGGAUGCUUGAUACGUCUCCAACGUAUCUAUAAUAUUUGAUUGCUCCAUGCUAUAUUAUCUACUGUUUUGGGCAAUAUUGGGUUUUAUUUUCCACUUUUAUAUUACUUUUGGGACUAACCUAUUAACCGGCGGCCCAGCCCAAAUUUGCUGUUUUAUGCCUAUUUCAGUGUUUCGAGGAAAAGGAAUAUCAGACGGAGUCAAAACGGAACGAAAUCAACUGGAGAAGUCAUUUUUGGAAGGAAAGCCACCCGAUGGACUUGGAGUGCAUGCCAGGAAAGAAGGGAGGUGCUCACGAGGGUGGGGGGCGCGCCCACCCCCCUGGGACGUGCCCCCCUGCCUCGUGCCCCCCCCCCUUCGGUCCAUCAACGUACUUCCUGCACCCAGAUAUACUCACGUGCCCUAAAACUUCUAGAACAGAGAUUACAUCGGGAGUUCCCCCGCCGCAAGCCUCUGUAGCCACCAAAAACCUCUCGGGAGCCCGUUCCGGCACCCUGCCGGAGGGGUAUCCCAUCACCGGUGGCCAUCUUCAUCAUCCCGACGCUAUCCAUGACGAGGAGGGAGUAGUUCACCCUCGGGGAUGAGGGUAUGUACGAAUAGCUAUGUGUUUGAUAUCUCUCUCGUGUUCCCUCUAUGGCACAAUCUUGAUGUAUCCCGAGCUUUGAUAUUGUAGCUGGAUCUUAUGUUUCUUCUCCCCCUCUAUUCACUUGUGAUGAAUUGAGUUUCCCCUUUUGAAGUUAUCUUAUCGGAUUGAGUCUUUUAUGAGAACACUUGAUGUAUGUCUUGCCAUGUUUAUCUGUGGUGACAAUGGGAUAUCAUGUGCCACAUGAUGUAUGUUUUGGUGACCAACUUGCGGGUUCUGCCCAUGAACCUAUGCAUAGGGGUUGGCACACGUUCUUGACUCUCCGAUAGAAAAUUUGGGGCACUCUUUGAAGUACUUUUAUGUUGGUUGGAUGAAUCUGAGAUUGUGUGAUGCAUAUCGUAUAAUCAUACCCACGGAUACUUGAGGUGACAAUGGAGUAUCUAGGUGACAUUAGGGUUUUGGUUGAUUUGUGUCUUAACGUGUUAUUCUAGUACGAACUCUAGGGCUGUUUGUGACACUUAUAGGAAUAGCCCACCGGAUUGAUUGGAAAGAAUAACUUUGAGGUGGUUUUGUAUCCUACCAGAAUCUCUACGUUUGUUCUCUGCUAUUAGUGGCUUUGGAGUGACUCUUUGUUGCAUGUUGAGGGAUUGAUAUAUGAUCUAUCUAUCUUACUAUUGUUGAGAGAACUUGCACUAGUGAAAGUAUGAACCCUAGGCCUUGUUUCCUAUCAUUGCAAUACCGUUUACGCUCACUUUUAUCAUUAGUUACCUUGCUGUUUUUAUUAUUUCAGAUUACAAAAACCUAUAUCUACCAUCCAUAUUGCACUUGUAUCGCCAUCUCUUCGCCGAACUAGUGCACCUAUACAAUUUACCAUUGUAUUGGGUGUGUUGGGGACACAAGAGACUCUUUGUUAUUUGGUUGCAGGGUUGUUUGAGAGAGACCAUCUUCAUCCUACGCCUCCCACGGAUUGAUAAACCUUAGGUCAUCCACUUGAGGGAAAUUUGCUACUGUCCUACAAACAUGUGCACUUGCAGGCCCAACAACGUCUACAAGAAGAAGGUUGUGUAGUAGACAUCAGGCGGCACCUUGCUUCCACUUGCGCUUGCCGCCUCGGGCAGGCGGCUCGGUAGAGGGGCCUGCGCCGGUGUUCGCAGUGCUCAGGGAGGGCGCGGCUCGUGUUUGUCGUCGUCGUCAUCGGGCCAGAUCUCCACGCCGCCGCCCUCCUCGCAGCCGCCUUCUCCGUUGCCGCCACCUGCUGCGUCGUCCUCCAAGGCGGCCGCCCCCAAGUCAGGGUCGUCCACGUCGCUCACUGCCCGGUCCGGCAGGUAGUCAUCACCCGGCCCCACGAUGGCAGCUGUCGCCGUGGACAUAUAAAUCUGUGCUCUAGAAAAGGAGUUGCGUCACACCAGGAACAAGAAUAAAAGUCAGAACUAAAAGAAGAUAUCGAGGGACUUACGGCAGGUGGUAGGUUGUCGCGGGAAUACAGCCGUUUCCCGAACCGCCAGUCUCCCUCUGACACCUUGAGGUCGGAAAUCUCGUUCACCAUCGUCGCAACCUCAGCAGUUGGCAUCUCCCUCGUGCACAACCUGCUCGGGUCACGGUGCCCGCUCAUCCGACAGAUCAGAUGAGGGCAGCCCUGAAGCGGGAGGACCCGACGCUCAACGAAGGCGAUGAGGAGGUCGGAGGCCACGAGGCCCUCCGACUCCUGGAGCACCCGGAGUCGGCCGAUGGCGGCUGCCACGUCCGCCGACACCGGCUUCGGCUUGUAGCCCCAGUUGGGCCGAAGCCCUACAGAGGGGGCCUGCCUCGUAGGCCAGAAGGUUGAUGAAGUCGAUAGCCGGGUCGACAUUCUCAACGUAGAAAUAAGACUGCUGCCACAGUUUCACCGACUGUGACAGCUUGAUGAUUGGGAAGGCAUUCCUCUUCGCCAGCCGGCGCACGGCGACUAAUCUGCCGCGCUCGGCCGCCGUCUCCUUGGAGGAGGUGCCCAGCUUGCCGUAGAAGAACGCCCCCCACAGCUCGAGUGUGGGAGGAUGCCGAGGUAUCCCUCGCACACCGUGACGAAGCCGGAGAGCAGAGUCACGGUGUUGGGCGUCAGGUGAUGCGGCUGGAGGUAGUUGAAGUCCAUGAACGAGCGGAGGAAGCCGCUCGCCGGAAGGCCGAAGCCGCGGAGGAAGUGCGAGCGGAAGACGACCCAGCGGCGAAAUCUCCUCCGCCGGUGGCACCCGCGCCUUGAUGAAGGCCGCGUUGGGCAUCUGGCGCGUGUUCCGGAGGAAGGUGAGGUGGUCUUCGAUCACCGUCGAGCCGUCCCAGUCGCCGCCCAUCUCGCGCGCCAUGGCCUCGGAUGGACCUGCGAGGGGAGGAGGAGCACCAUGGCGAGCACUAAAGCAGCAUCAGCAGUAGUGGCGGAGAGAGCAAGAGGAGGAAGAGAGUGUGGGGAGGAGGGCGCGCGUGCUCCGCCGCUCCCCUUCCUCCCCCUGCUUAUAGCCCUCGGGCUGCGAAGCCGAGGGGGCGGGGCGUGGUAUCGUGGGAUUAACUGCGUCCAUGACCCCACGACCCCCCCCCGAUUACUGCGUGAAGAUACUUCACCUUAAACGCUCGCGGGAAUCGCACCGCCCACCUCGGCCGCAGCGGAUCCGCCCGCGUGCCGAGGCCCGGUAGUGGCGGGCCCGGCCCACUGUCACGUCCUAUCAGGAGCGUGGGAUGGCAGGCUGGCCGGGCUGACGUGCGUCGCGUGGCGUUCUUGUGGCGGGCGGCGGGCCUGCGAAGCUUAGCAGGCACGCCACCUGUUUCCUGCCUUGGAGUUCAAAAUUUUUGUUUUUGUUUUUAAUAGUAAUAGCGCGGAUCGCACCCACGCUACUACUAACACACGUAGUUGUAGCGCGGCGCACCUGCGCUACUACUACAAGUUAGUUGUCGCGUCGUAGUAGUAGCACGGAUGCCUGCGCUACUACUAGGUAUUUAACCCGCGCUACUACUAGGCUUUUCCCUAGUAGUGUAUGAUUGCACGAUGUCUUGCUCUUCGUGCAUAGGCACGUAUAUAUGAUGUACAAAGAUGGGCCACGGACCUCAACUAUACAAGGAACUAGGAGGCGGGCCCAAUACACAAUAUGCACAUAACACAUAUACUCAACAAUAACCACUAUGGUCUUCGGCCUAUAUCCCGGAGACAAUGGAAUCUAUACCUAUGCUAUCCACUUCGACGUCAGCAUGAAACCAGGUAUGAACGACGCCUAUAACAUGUCAUGGGAGGCCCCUGUUAAAGGUCUUAUGGCCUCUGAACAAACAAGCUUGUUCGUUGUUGGUUGUGGUGUGGGUGUCUUCUUGUUUGGCCAUAAUACCAACGAUCCCAUCAGCAGUUGCAUGAGUAUUUGCCUAGACGACAAAAUGGCCAUGGAGGAGGCAAAUCUAACAACGACAAAGUGGCCAUGAGUAUUUUAAGAAAGGGUCAAAUAAAAAAUUCUCUUUGAAGUAGAAGGGCGGCAAACCCGAAGAUAAGGAGCAAGGCCGACCCUAGGUCCAUUGGGCUUGAGCAAACCAAACCAUAUACUUGAACGUUGAACAGCUCAGCGCUCUCUUUGGGCCUGUACUCACUCACUAGGGUACAUGCAUGUGGCCUCAGAUUGCAAGGUGAUGGUGGAGGACUUGAAGAAGGAUAACUCUUCAGUUUACGGAGCUAUCAUACAUGAAAUAAUUCAUCACUCGUCGGAUUUUGCUUUUUGUAAAUUUGGUCAUGAACUUAGGAGCUCAAAUGUUGAAGUUCACAACUUAAUAAGGUAUGUUUUAUCUCUCGGGGUGGCCGUCCUGUGUGGUUGAACAUCAUGGAGAUCUUUCCUCCGUCCCUGUAAACAUUGUAACGAAUUAUUCACUACUACAAAAACACCUAUUAGUCCCGGUUCGUAAGGGCCUUUAGUCCCGGUUCAUGAACCGGGACUAAUGGAUCGUUACUAAUACCUCCCCCCUUUAGUCCCAGUUCUAACACGAACCGGGACAGAUGGUCCUCCACGUGGCCGGUGGGCCGAGCCCAGGCAGGGGGGCCUUUGGUCCCGGUUGGUGGCACCAACCGGGACCAAAAGGCAUCCACGCGUCAGCAUUCCAGUGGCUGGGGUNNNNNNNNNNNNNNNNNNNNNNNNNNNNNNNNNNNNNNNNNNNNNNNNNNNNNNNNNNNNNNNNNNNNNNNNNNNNNNNNNNNNNNNNNNNNNNNNNNNNNNNNNNNNNNNNNNNNNNNNNNNNNNNNNNNNNNNNNNNNNNNNNNNNNNNNNNNNNNNNNNNNNNNNNNNNNNNNNNNNNNNNNNNNNNGGGGGUUAAUUUAGGUGUUUCAUAUAUUGUGUUAGCUAGUUAAUUAAUAGAGAGAAGUGUCCUCUCUUAUGUCCGUCCUUGGUCGACGCUACGUACUAUAUACAUAUAGCCCUCGACACGCUAGCUAGUAAUAAAAUGAAGGGAACCAUCGAGUAGAGAAGUUCGUCAUGCAUAUCGAGAGAAAUGAUCGAUCAACCUCUCCUUCUCCGAGAGAUUGGUCGAACAACAAGUUUUCGUAUCAUGUACGUCCGACGCUACUAGCUACAUACAUGUACAAUAUAUAAGAUCUCUCAAUUACAGUCCCCUAGCAUUUGAAAUCAACUUCCACAUGGUAUUCUCCGGCUUUAUUAAUGACGUGGUCAAGAAAGAAUCCCGCCAAUUCCUCUUGAAUUGCUUUAAUGCGAUCUGGUUCUAGGAGUUCAUUCCGCAUCUGCCACGUCUAAUUUGAAGAAGGGGGUUAAUUAAUACAUAUAUAUGAAUGAAACUCAACAGAAAUGAUGGUGUAAUAAAAUGAAAUUGUGAAUAUUAUUAAUUGCUUACGCACUUCAUAUUGUCUUUGAGAGUAGCCCCGCUUAUUUUUCAAAGUCGCAUUGUAGAUGAACUCACACACGUAGUAUCCACAGAAAUCAUUCCCUUAUUCCUGUCACAAGCACUUUACGAGAAAUAGAGGUCAAUCAAACUGAUAAUGAAGCAUUAUAAAUGGCAUUGAUGAAAGUAUAGCUAUAGAAUCAACGAGAGAUGCGCACAACUAGCUAGCUAGUAGUACUUACUUUCGGGUAUGUAUAUCGCAGCUCCUUCGGCAGUCCCGGAGCUACUGCGGUGAACUGUUUCCAAACCCUACAAGACAAAGAAAAUAAUUAUUAUUACUUGAGAUAUCAGGAAAUGAACAAAAAGUUGCCGCUAUCACUACACCACAACACUUGAUUGGGGGCAGUUAACUGCCGGGAGAAAUAGCGGAACAAGGGCAAAUGAACUGCCGGGACAUUUGUUACUGCCGGCAGAAGUACCUCGAGGCACAGAAACUGCCGUUAGAACCUGAGCAACGCGGGCACAAACACUGCCGGUACAUUUUAAGGCACACAAUCUGCCGGGACAACCCAAACCUGGCCCAUUUAUUGCCGGGGACCCUCUUGGGCGCGAGACCAAAAAUAUAAUGGGCCUGAGCGCGCGCUGGCGACGGAAAGCGCGCGAGAGAUGAAAUUUUCUAGCCCAAAUGAACUAUAGACGCGCCGGCCCUCCACCCACAGAGGCCGCAGCCGCCCCCAAAUCGACGCCCCACUCCUACCCUCGACCAGAUCGCAUCUGCCGCCGGCCGCCCCCCACCCGACCACUUCUGCCGUCGCCCUCCGCCACCACAGCUCUGUCGUUGGUCCCCACACCGACCACCGCCGCUGCCGCCCCCAACUACCCCAUAGUAGCGCCGGCNNNNNNNNNNNNNNNNNNNNNNNNNNNNNNNNNNNNNNNNNNNNNNNNNNNNNNNNNNNNNNNNNNNNNNNNNNNNNNNNNNNNNNNNNNNNNNNNNNNNNNNNNNNNNNNNNNNNNNNNNNNNNNNNNNNNNNNNNNNNNNNNNNNNNNNNNNNNNNNNNNNNNNNNNNNNNNNNNNNNNNNNNNNNNNNNNNNNNNNNNNNNNNNNNNNNNNNNNNNNNNNNNNNNNNNNNNNNNNNNNNNNNNNNNNNNNNNNNNNNNNNNNNNNNNNNNNNNNNNNNNNNNNNNNNNNNNNNNNNNNNNNNNNNNNNNNNNNNNNNNNNNNNNNNNNNNNNNNNNNNNNNNNNNNNNNNNNNNNNNNNNNNNNNNNNNNNNNNNNNNNNNNNNNNNNNNNNNNNNNNNNNNNNNNNNNNNNNNNNNNNNNNNNNNNNNNNNNNNNNNNNNNNCCGCCACUGACCGCCCUCUACCCUGACCACUGCCGUCGUCGCCCCCAAGCACCCCAACUGACAAGGACAACCGCCACUCCACUGGCGACGACCCUCCUCCGUCGAACGCGGUCCCUCAUGACCACCCUACUUCGUGAGCCACCCCCCUCCCUCCCUCCCCUGAGCAAGCCUCCUCCCUAGGUGCAUGGCCACAGAGCAGAAUCGAGGGCGCAAAGAUUGUUACGCUGGUAUGGCGCGUGCGACGAAUACCUUGUUGCCCUCAUUUUCAGAUUCUGCCUUUGUCCUAGAUGAUGUUGUUGAUGCUACUAUUUUUCUUAUAAUGAUCCUCGUGCAGUCGAUUGAGCCAGGAGUUCUUCAGAUGGGAUUGGUGAGUGCAAUAGUGCUGGAGUGUGUGGACUUUGUUUUUCUCCAGGGAAGUCAAAUCAGUGGUGGUUCUGUUAAUUGCACUGACGUAAUAUUUGUAUUCUCUGAAGGUGACGGUUCUGAUUUAAUCACUUUGAACCCAAGUGAGGUUUAUAGCCUAAAUAAAUGUUUGCUCUACGUAACAUAACAUAUAUAACUUUUGUAUUUAGCCUUCGGUUGCAUCAGGGAGCAAACAAGUGCUAUCUUGUCUAAGUUUUACUUAUAUCGUAGAGUGCUUGAUUGUAGGACUACACAUGUUGAAUCGUUAUAACUGUGGCAUUAGGUUUCUCAAAGCCAAAGUUCAAUUUUUACCACCCUACUGAGAUGCUAAUGUAGAUCUGUUGGAGUGAGAAAUAUACCUCAUAGUAGGACAUAUAUAGAUGGAACACCCGUUCCUACAAUUUAGCAACCAAAGUGUGUUCCUUUUCCUUCCAUAGUUACUUGCUUAUCUACUUGAAAUCUAAUUUGUCAAUUAUAAUGUGCCAUGAAUUUUCUUUUAAGCAAAAAGAAUGGAAAAAGGGAAGAGAUGAAGAUGAUGCUGAAGCACGAGUGCAAGAGAGGCUAGGAAAACUUAUAUCAAUGAAUGGUGCAGACUUUGAACGUUUUGGGUCCUAAAAUAUAAAUGAAGAUCCUGGAGGCCGAGCCAGUCAAUGACAAACUAACAGGAGGAAGGUGAUAUAACAUGCUUCUGUUUGGUUACUGCAUCAAUUAUAAAACUGCAUCUACUACUUCAGUUUUGAGGCACUUUAUACACCAUCUUGUUUGGUUAUUUGUAGCGCACUGCAUAAAUGCCUACUGUUGAAGUAACUCGAGUUCUUAGGUCCAAAACGACUAGAGAUGUUGAAGACAAAUACAUGUCAAAAGAAGGAAUGUGACCACAAGCAAGCUAGGAGGUAUAUACAUGUUUCUCUUGGCUAUCGCCAUGUGAUACUAUUUCUUUGUUGUUUGACAUUCAAUCGUUAUCUUGAUAAAUUUGGAAGGAACUCAAAGCCUCUCAAUCAUGAUAAUACUAUUUCUUAUAAGGAGUACCUUAUAAGAUGCAUUGAUCACUUCAGAAAGAGCUAAGCUUAUAAGAUGCAUUGCUUAUACUGCAUGCACCUUUGUUUGUGAUGUUAGGCGAUUUAAAAUAUUGAAACAGGAAAUAUUGGCCAAGUCAGACCUCUUAGUUUUGCUUGUCACAUCGGAACCCUGCUCUGUUAGCUUACUGCUAGUAUUACCUCGUAGAAUCAAAUUGGAAGUGAUAAAAUGCAGAUUUGAAUGGCAGUCUACCUAGAUAGCGAUGCUUUGCUCAUUUCCUAAAAUUUUCUCUAUGAGUAGGUCCCUGAUCUUGUUUAUCUUCUGCUCUGGGUUGUGUGAUUUGUACUGUACAUUUGUUCUAUGGAGAACUCUAUCCCGUUAUUUUCUCUGUAUUCUACCCUCAUGGUUCGUAGGUAACAAGCACAGUAUUUGGAUGUGAUGGCAUUAACUAUUGGUCGCUUAUUUGUAUGCCUAACAAGUUGGGUGAAAAAUGCUCAUUUGGUAAAAAUUUCUUCAUAGGUAGGUCUUUCAUAUUGUUCAUGUGCUAGUCUGGGUUAGGUGACAAGCUCGUUUUCUUUGCUUAACAAUAUUAGAAGCUUCGCAAAACACAGUUCUCUAUUUAUUAUCUGUUAUUUUCACUUGUCCAGUUUUCCAUCUGAUGUUCACUUGUCCAACUUAAUAAUAUUAGCAGCAUCAUAAAACACAGUUCUCUAUAUCGAUAUUCUGUCAUUCUUUUUCUUGAUGGAUGUCUAUUUUUGCAUAAUAUGCUUACUUAGGCCCUGUUAGGCAAAAUACCACAACCACAAAUCCUCAACUUGAUCACUCAUCACCAACCGCCAGCUUCCUAGGCAAAAACUCGGUUUGAGGGGAUGAGUAAUAGUUUCCCCCCUCUUGUUCUCCUAUUUAACUAUGUACAUAGAGCAUACAGGGAGCUUUUGAUCACUACAAAACUGUACUCUUGCAAAGGAAAUAUAUACGUAAAUUUUGAAAGUAGCAUGACAAAUAUUGAGAAUCAUGAACAUCGAGUUUUGGACAUGUCAUAGAACAAAGGCCUCACAUUUAGCUUCGUGUUUAUAUUGCUUUCUCAACUGCUUCCUUACGCUGCCAUAGCUAUAAUCUCCAGCAAUUGCUUCCUCCAGAUUCCCUGUGGUCUCGGUCAAUGGUUGCUUUAAAACUAAAUUACUCUAUAUUUACAUUGGUUGCUCAAAGUAAAAAUAUGUACUCUGCACUGAAUAUUAACCUGUGGUCGUGUUUUUUAGAAGGGAACAAUAUCGAUGUUAGAAGUAGUAACAAGAAGCAAUAUCAGCUUAUCCUACAUCCACUAAUGUCACUUAAAUCCCAAAAGCACUUAUAUGCCGCUGACGAAAAUAAAGCUUUCAUUAGUAAGUUGUACUUGACAUAUUGUUUUUCCAUGGAAUCCUGCUUAUAUUCACUAGGUAUUACUUUGUCUACUUAGAAUUAGCUCUUGGUAUGUUUGGUGUAAAUCAAUUAUGUACAAAUUUCUGGUUUGCCAAAUUUUACCAUGGAUAAUAUUUGUAUGUGCAGGGCAAAUGAUUCUUGCUUGAUCUAAUUAUGUGAUUUUGCUUGCUGUGAUGAUGAAGUGCAACACAUUUAGAAGAGUUUUAUUUAUGCUAAUGAGUUAAAUUGCUACAUGUCAAAAUCUUUAAAUUGUCUCUUCAAAAAUCUGAAACAAGAGCUUCAUUUUGAGUUUCCAAUCUAUUGCAGGUUUCCGAAAGGCACACAAGUUGACGGACGUUUGAAAGACCUUCAAGCCAUUGAAGAUUUGGAAGACCUGUAAUUAAGUUGGUGGGGUGAUAAUGUCAUAUGCCUUGUUGAACCUGGAGACUUGCUCUGCCCAUUUUGGUUGUGUGGCACAUCUAGAAAUAUAUGUACUUCUCCAUUUGUGGCACUACUUCAUUUUGGUUGUGUGGCACAUCUAGAAACGUAUAUGUACUUCUCCAUUUAUGGCACAACCUCCUUAUAUAUGAUUGUUAUAUAUGUUUAUUGACUCAACUUUAAGGGUUUUGAUGAGGCCUAUAUGUUACUUUGAUUGAUGAAGUGAAUGUAUAAAUUGUGUGGUAUGUCAUGAUUGCUUGAAUAAAAUGAAUGGAUAUUACUUUAGGGAUGCCUAGAACAGUUUGCUAGUGAAAUCAAUGUACUGGCAUAAAAACUGUCGGGUAAAGAUACUUGUGCUGGCAGUAGAACUGCCGGCAGUAGAACUGCCAGCAGUAGAACUGCCAUUAAUUGUAGUUGCAUGUCCCUUGACCAAUCUGCCGGGAGAAAAUGGACUGCCGGCAAAUAGAUGGGCAAGGGCAAACAAACUGCCGGGAGAAGUUUAUCUGCCGGGACAAGUAAUCCCCGGCAGCCGUUCUCGUGGUGGUUCUAUUUGCCGGGAGAAAGACUGUCCUGGCAGUUUAUCUGCCCUAUAAAGUGUCUUUUCCUGGCAGUUUUUCUUUCCUUGCAUCAGUGUUGUGGUGUAGUGUAUGGUGCGAUAAUGAUCGAUUGAACUUACUUGCUGAGCAUUUCAGUCAUGUCCGCAUAGGUGCUGGGAUAUUUCCGUCUCGAGUCUAAGACGGUUACUAGUCCACGCUCAAGCUUAACCUCCAGAAGAAUAUAGUGGUACCUGCGCACGCAUGCAUAACUCAUCAAUUACAUUACUAUAACCUCGCUCGAGUAAUAAGGGAAACCGAAUAUGCAAACGAUCAGUAACACUCACUUGCCGUUGUAAGGAAAGAGUAUGGUAUUUUUGUUUUGAUUUUUGAUCAACGAUUGUAGCAAGUUGUCCUCGGCCUCUUUGACGUGCUUUUCAACCAGAAAUACAUCUAUGAUAUUUGUGUUAAUGAACCCAAUAUCAUAGAUUUCAUUUUUUUUGCACUCGACGAUCUUCAAUCUGCAUAAUAUAUUGAGGAUAAUUAAUUAUAAAUACAUGCAAUGAAAGAGCUGAGCUAUAUAUAGAGACUUAAUGACAGAAAUAGUACUUAUAGGUAGUAGCAAAAGACCGUUAAUUUAUCGAGGGCCUUUUGAUUGAAGAACGCGAAGAACUCCUCAAAUGGAACACACAACAGAUCAGUUCCAACGAGGUCGUGCUCCUCUUUAAUGUGCAGAUACAAACUAUUCAUCCCCCCAGACUCUCUGCAGGUUUUCAUGUACCAAGUAUGGAAUCUUCGCAUCAUCGUUGUUAGAGAUUUUUCAUCUUUGACGAGAGGCUUCCCGUACUCCUAUCUAUGUUCUUCCACCUUCAUGAAUUCAGGAACUGCAUUGUCAGGCAGGUAAUCUUGUGGAUUGCCAUAACCGGCCACCAUCCCCAGAACAUUAGCAACGAUGUUGCCGCUAGACACAUUGAGCGGGGGGCACGAUUGGUUUGGUUGUUCGCCGAGCUGGUCAAUUUUUUCGCAGCUGCUCGUUCUUUUGUUCUUUGAUGUCUGACAGUACUUCCCGACCGCUCCGCUUGGAGAUAUGUCUGUUCUGUAAUGCGCUCAUAGUUGGUUCUCGGUGGAGACUUUGUCGGUUUCCUCAGGGCAGCCAGAGUGCGCUUCGCUUUCACCGGAUCUACCUUCUCCUCUAGAGGUGGAUGUCUCUUUGCUUUCAACCCUGCAAACCAGUCAUCCACUUCGGUCUGCGCGAUCUUCGCAUUUUCCUCCUCGGUCCUCUCGUACGGUAACUUCUCUGGAGUCUUCAGACAAGGACCGAAUCUGUAUUUCCUCCCGCCUUUGGUUGUACUGCUAGAUGCCGGCAGAGCAGACGGAGUGGAUGCCUUCUUUGCUUGCUUUUUGCGAGGCGGAGGAGAAGGACUACGACGCGCCGGAGUAGCCGGAGCGGCGGUGGAUUUCUUCCGCCCUUGCUGACGAGGCGGAGAAGGAGGAGGCUGGCUGCUCGGGCGCGCCGACGCAGGCGGAGAAGGAGGCGGAGUGCCGCCACGCGCCGGAGAAGGAGGCGGAGUGCCACCACGCGUGCCCUGAUCGUCACUCGCCGGAGGAGGAAGCGGUGGAGGAGACGGAGUGCCCUGACUCGCCGGAGGAGGAGGAGGCGGAGGCGUCCAGUUCGGAAGGUUGAUGAGCUCCUUCCGCCAUAGGCAUGGUGUUGGGGAACGUAGUAAUUUCAAAAAAAUUUCCACGCACACGCAAGAUCAUGGUGAUGUAUAGCAACGAGAAGGGGAGUGAAUCUUCAUACCCUUGAAGAUCGCUAAGCGGAAGCGUUUAUCAACGCGGUUGAUGUAGUCGUACGUCUUCACGAUCCGACCGAUCCAAGUACCGAACGCACGGCACCUCCGAGUUCUGCACACGUUCAGCUCGAUGAUGUCCUUGCCUUCUCGAUCCAGCAAGACGGGUAAAUUAGUAGAUGAAUUCCGGCAGCACGACGUCGUGGUGACGGUGUUGGUGAAGAACAAUCUCCGCAGGGCUUCGCCUAAGCACUACGAAAACUAUGACGGAGGAUAAACUAGAGGGGACGGGGUUGCCGGCACACGGCUUGGUGUUUCUUGAUGUCUCUUUGGUGCUAGCCCUGCCCCUCUAUUUAUAUGUUGAGCCUUGGGGUCGAAACUUGGAGUAAAAGCCUCCACAAAGUCGGUUUCUCCCGAAAGGCAAGAGUCCUUCUCGGACUCCAGGGCCAGACGCCAGGGUUCCCGGCGUCUGGACCCAGACGCCAGGGCCCCUGGACUCCGCAAAACUUCCUUUUGCAGUUUCCAAAAACCUUGUGGGCUUUCCCCUUUAGCCCAAAUAAUGUGUUCUCGUACCCAAACAUUUCGGGAAACAUCUGGAACCCCUUCCGGUGAAUUCCGGAACCCUUCCGGAGAUCAAACACUAUUAUCCCAUAUAUCAAACUUUAUCUCCGGACCAUUCCGGAGUUCCUCGUCAUGUCCAUGAUCUCAUCCGGGACUCUGAAUAACAUUCGGUUACCAACAUGCAUAACUCAUAUAAUACUAUAUCGUCAACAAAAUGUUAAGCGUGCGGACCCUACGGGUUCGAGAACUAUGUAGACAUGACCGAGACACGUUUCCGGUCAAUAACCAAUAGCGGGACCUGGAUGCCCAUAUUGGCUCCCACAUAUUAUACGAAGAUCUUUAUCGGUCAAACCGCAUAACAACAUAGGUUGUUCCCUUUGUCAUCGGUAUGUUACUUGCCCGAUAUUCAAUCGUCGGUAUCCAAUACCUAGUUCAAUCUCGUUACCGGCAAGUCUCUUUGCUCGUUAUGUAAUGCAUCAUUCCGUAACUAACUCAUUAGCUACAUUGCUUGCAAGGCUUAUAGUAAUGUGCAUUACCGAGAGGGCCCAGAGAUACCUCUCCGACAAUCGGAGUGACAAAACCUAAUCUCGAAAUACGCCAACCCAACAUGUACCUUUGGAGACACCUGUAGUACUCCUUUAUAAUCACCCAGUUACGUUGUGACAUUUGGUAGCACCCAAAGUGUACCUCCGGUAAAUGGGAGUUGCAUAAUCUCAUAGUUACAGGAACAUGUAUAAGUCAUGAAGAAAACAAUAGCAAUAUACUAAACGAUCAAGUGCUAGGCUAACGGAAUGGGUCAUGUCAAUCACAUCAUUCUCCUAAUGAUGUGAUCCCGUUAAUCAAAUGACAACUCUUUUGUCCAUGGCUAGGAAACAUAACCAUCUUUGAUAAACGAGCUAGUCAAGUAGAGGCAUACUAGUGACACUAUGUUUGUCUAUGUAUUCACACAUGUAUUAUGUUUCCGGUUAAUACAAUUCUAGCAUGAAUAAUAAACAUUUAUCAUGAUAUAAGGAAAUAAAUAAUAACUUUAUUAUUGCCUCUAGGGCAUAUUUCCUUCAGUCUCCCACUUGCACUAGAGUCAAUAAUCUAGUUCACAUCGCCAUGUGAUUUAACACCAAUAUUCACAUCUGUAUGUGAUUAAUACCCAUAGUUCACAUCAUCAUGUGAUCGACACCCAAAGGGUUUGUUCACAUCGAUAUGUGAUUAACACCCAAAGAGUACUAAGGUAUAAUCAUGUUUUGCUUGUGAGAGAAGUAUAGUCAACGGGUUUGUCAUAUUCAGAGCCAUAUGUAUUUUACAAAUAUACUAUGUCUACAAGGCUCUGCACGGAGCUACUAUAGCUAAUUGCUCCCACUUUCAAUAUGUAUCCAGAUUAAGACUUAGAGUCAUCUGGAUCAGUGCCAAAACUUGUAUUGACGUAACCCUUUACGAUGAACCUUUUUGUCACCUCCAUAAUCGAGAAACAUGUCCUUAUUCCACUAAGGAUAAUUUUGACCAAUGUCCAGUGAUCUACUCCUAGAUCACUAUUGUACUCCCUUGCGAAACCAGGGCAGAGUAUACAAUAGGUCUGGUCCAUAGCAUAGCAUACUUUUAUAGAACCUAUGACUGAAGCAUAGGGAAUGACUUUCAUUCUCUUUCUAUUUUCUGAUGUGGUCGGGAUUUGAGUCUUACUCAAUUUCAUACCUUUGCAACACAGGGAAGAACUCUUUCGUUGACUGUUUCAUUUUGAACUACUUCAAAAUCUUGUCAAGGUAUGUACUCAUUGAAAAUCUUAUCAAGCGUCUUGAUCUAUCUCAAUAGAUCUUGAUGCUCAAUAUGUAAGUAGCUUUACUGAAGUCUUUCUUUUAAAGAACUUCUUUCAAACACUCCUUUAUGCUUUGCAGAAUAAUUCUACAUUAUUUUUGAUCAACAAUGUGUCAUUCACAUAUACUUAUCAGAAAUGUUGUAGUGCUCCCACUCACUUUCUUGUAAAUACAGGCUUCACCGCAAGUCUGUAUAAAACUAUAUGCUUUGAUCAACUUAUCAAAGCGUAUAUUCCAACUCUAAGAUGCUUGCACCAGUCCAUAGAUGGAACGCUGGAGCUUGCACAUUUUGUUAACACCUUUAGGAUUGACAAAACCUUCUGGUUGCAUCAUAUACAACUCUUCUUUAAUAAAACCAUUAAGGAAUGCAGUUUUGACAUCCAUUUGCCAGAUUUCAUAAAAUGUGGCAAUUGCUAACAUGACUCGGACGGACUUAAGCAUCGCUACAGUUGAGAAAAUCUCAUUGUAGUCAACACCUUGAACUUGUCAAAAAACCUUUUUGCGACAAGUCGAGCUUUGUAGAUAGUAACACUACUAGCAACGUCCGUCUUCCUCUUGAAGAUCCAUUUAUUUUCUAUGGUUUGCCGAUCGUCGGGCAUGUCCACCAAAGUCCACACUUUGUUCUCAUACAUGGAUCCUAUCUCAGAUUUCAUGGCCUCCCGCCAUUUUGCGGAAUCUGGGCUCAUAAUCGCUUCCUCAUAGUUCGUAGGUUUAUCAUGGUCUAGUAACAUGACUUUCAGAACAGGAUUACCGUACCACUCUGGUGCGGACCGUACUCUGGAAGACCUACGAGGUUUCUGUAGUAACUUGAUCUAAAGUUUCAUGAUCAUCAUCAUUAGCUUCCUCACUAAUUGGUGUAGGAAUCACUAGAACUGAUUUUAGUGAUGAACUAUUUUCCAAUUCGGGAGAAGGUACAGUUACCUCAUCAAGUUCUACUUUCCUCCCACUCACUUCUUUCGAGAGAAACUCCUUCUCUAGAAAGGAUCCAUUUUUAGCAACGAAUAUCUUGCCUUCGGAUCUGUGAUAGAAGGUGUACCCAACAAUUUCCUUUGGGUAUUCUAUGAAGACACACUUCUCCGAUUUGGGUUUGAGCUUAUCAGGAUGAAACUUUUUCACAUAAGCAUCGCAGCCCCAAACUUUAAGAAACGACAACUUGGGUUUCUUGCUAAACCACAGUUCAUAUGGUGUCGUCUCAACGGAUUUAGAUGGUGCGCUUUUAACGUGAAUGCAGUUGUCUCUAAUGCAUAACCCCAAAACGAUAGUGGUAAACCGAUAAGAGACAUCAUAGAUCGCACCAUAUCCAAUAAAGUGCGGUUACGAUGUUCGGACACACCAUAACGUUGUGGUGUUCCAGGUGGCGUGAGAUGUGAAACUAUUCCGCAUUGUUUUAAUUGAAGACCAAACUCGUAACUCAAAUAUUCGUCUCCGCGAUCAGAUCACAGAAAUUUUAUUUUCUUGUUACAAUGAUUUUUCCACUUUGCUCUGAAAUUCUUUGAACCUUUCAACUAUUUCAGACUUAUGUUUCAUCAAGUAGAUAUACCCAUAUCUGCUCAAAUCAUCUUGUGAAGGUCAGAAAAUAAUGAUACUUGCCACAAACAUCAACACUCAUUGGAUCGCAUACAUCGGUAUGUAUUAUUUCCAAUAAGUCAGUAGCUUGUUCCAUUGUUCCGGAGAACGGAGUUUUAGUCAUCUUGCCCAAAAGGCACGGUUCACAAGCAUCAAAUGAUUCAUAACCAAGUGAUUCCAAAAAUCCAUUUUUAUGGAGUUUCUUCAUGCGCUUUACACCGAUAUGACCCAAACGGCAGUGCCACAAAUAAGUUGCACUAUCAUUAUUAACUUUUCAUCUUCUGGCCUCAAUAUUAUGAACAUGUGUAUUACUAUGAUUGAGAUCCAACAAACUAUGUUUAUUGGGUGUAUGACCAUCGAAGGUCUUAUUCAUGUAAACAGAAUAACAAUUUAUUCUCUAACUUUAAAUGAAUGACCGUAUUGCAAUAAACAUGAUCAAAUCAUAUUCAUGCUCAACGCAAACGCCAAAUAACAUUUAUCUAGGUUUAACACUAAUCCCGAAAGUAUAGGGAGUGUGCGAUGAUGAUCAUAUCAAUAUUGGAACUACUUCCAACAUUCAUCAUCACUUCACCCUCAACUAGUCUCUGUUUAUUCUGUAACUCCUAUUUCGAGUUACUAAUAUUAGCAACCGAACAAGUAUCAAAUACUCAGGGGCUACUAUAAACACUAGUAAGGCAUACAUCAAUAACCUGUAUAUCAAAUAUACCGUUGUUCACUUUGCCAUCCUUCUUAUCCACUAAAUAUUCAGGGCAUUUCCGCUUCCAGUGACCAUUUCUUUUGCAGUGUAAGCACUCAGUUUCAGGCUUUGGUCCAGCUUUGGUCUUCUUCGCGGGAGUGACAACUUGUUUGCCAUUCUACUUGAAGUUUCCCUUUCUUUCCCUUUGCCCUUUUAAUGAAACUAGUGGUCUUGUCAAUCAUCAACACUUGGUGCUCUUUCUUGAUUUCUACCUUCGUCGAUUUCAACAUCACGAAGAGCUCGGGAAUCGUUUUCGUCAUCCCUUGCAUACUAUAGUUCAUCACGAAGUUCUAGUAACUUUAGUGAUGGUGACUAGAGAAUUCUGUCAAUCACUAUCUUAUCUGGAAGAUUAACUCCCACUUGAUUCAAGCGAUUUAAGUACCCAGACAAUCUGAGCACAUGCUCACUAGUCGAGCGAUUCUCCCCCACCUUUUAGCUAUAGAACUUGUUGAAUACUUCAUAUCUCUCAACUUGGGUAUUUGCUUGAAAUAUUAACUUCAAUUCCUGGAACAUCUCAUAUGGUCCAUGACAUUCAAAACAUCUUUGAAGUCCCGAUUCUAAGCCGUUAAGCAUGGUGCACUAGACUAUCAAGUAGUCAUCAUAUUGAGCUAGCCAAACAUUCAUAACGUCUGCAUCUGCUCCUGCAAUAGGUUUGUCACCUAGCGGUGCAUCAAGGACAUAAUUCUUCUGUGCAGCAAUGAGGAUAAACCUCACAUCACGGAUCCAAUCCGCAUCAUUGCUACUAACAUCUUUCAACACAGUUUUCUCUAGGAACAUAUCAAAAUAAACAUAUGAAAGCAACAACGAAAGCUAUUGAUCUACAACAAACAUAGACAAGCAAAAUACUAUCAGGUACUAAGUUCAUGAUAGAUUUAAGUUCAAUUAAUCAUAUUACUUAAGAACUCCCACUUAGACAGACAUCUCUCUAGUCAUCUAAGUGAUUACGUGAUCCAAAUCAACUAAACCAUGUCCGAUCAUCACGUGAGAUGGAGUAGUUUCAAUGGUGAACAUCACUAUGUUGAUCAUAUCUACUAUAUGAUUCACGUUCGACCUUUCGGUCUCCGUGUUCUGAGGCCAUAUCUGUAUAUGCUAGGCUCGUCAAGUUUAACCUGAGUAUUCCGCGUGUGCAACUGUUUUGCACCCGUUGUAUUUGAACGUAGAGCCUAUCACACCCGAUCAUCACGUGGUGUCUCAGCACGAAGAACUUUCGCAACGGUGCAUACUCAGGGAGAACACUUCUUGAUAAUUAGUGAGAGAUCAUCUUAAAAUGCUACCGUCAAUCAAAGCAAGAUAAGAUGCAUAAAGGAUAAACAUCACAUGCAAUCAAUAUAAGUGAUAUGAUAUGGCCAUCAUCAUCUUGUGCUUGUGAUCUCCAUCUUCAAAGCACCGUCGUGAUCACCAUCGUCACCGGGGCGACACCUUGAUCUCCAUCGUAGCAUCGUUGUUGUUACGCCAUCUAUUGCUUCUACGACUAUCGCUACCGCUUAGUGAUAAAGUAAAGCAAUUAUAGGGUGUUUGCAUUUCAUACAAUAAAGCGACAACCAUAUGGCUCCUGCCAGUUGCCGAUAACUCCGGUUGCAAAACAUGAUCAUCUCAUACAAUAAAAUAUAGCAUCACGUCUUGACCAUAUCACAUCACAACAUGCCCUGAAAAAACAAGUUAGACGUCCUCUACUUUGUUGUUGCAAAUUUUACGUGGCUGCUAUGGGCUCAGCAAGAACCGUUCUUACCUACGCAUCAAAACCACAACGAUAGUUCGUCAAGUUAGUGCUGUUUUAACCUUCGCAAGGACCGGGCGUAGCCACACUCGGUUCAACUAAAGUGGGAGAAACAGACACCCGCUAGUCACCUGUGUGCAAAGCACGGCGGUAAAACCAGUCUCGCGUAAGCGUACGCGUAAUGUCGGUCCGGGCCGCUUCAUCCAACAAUACCGCUGAACCAAAGUAUGACAUGCUGGUAAGCAGUAUGACUUGUAUCGCCCACAACUCACUUGUGUUCUACUCGUGCAUAUAACAUCUACGCAUAAAACCUAGGCUCGGAUGCCACUGUUGGGGAACGUAGUAAUUUCAAAAAAAUUCGUACGCACACGCAAGAUCAUCGUGAUGUAUAGCAACGAGAAGGGGAGUGAAUCUUCAUACCCUUGAAGAUUGCUAAGCGGAAGCGUUUGUCAACGCGGUUGAUGUAGUCGUACGUCUUUACGAUCCGACUGAUCCAAGUACCGAACGCACGGCACCUCCGAGUUCUGCACACGUUCAGCUCGAUGACGUCCUCGCCUUCUCGAUCCAGCAAGACGGGUGAAGUAGUAGAUGAGUUCCGGCAGCACGAAGGCGUGGUGACGGUUUUGGUGAAGAACAAUCUCCGCAGGGCUUUGCCUAAGCACUACGAAAACUAUGACGAAGGAUAAACUAGAGGGGAUGGGGUUGCCGGCUCACGGCUUGGUGUUUCUUGAUGUCUCUUUGGUGCUAGCCCUGCCCCUCUAUUUAUAUGUUGAGCCUUGGGGUCGAAACUUGGAGUAAAAGCCUCCACAAAGUCGGUUUCACCCGAAAGGCAAGAGUCCUUCUCGGACUCCAGGGCCAGACGCCAGGGUUCCCGGCAUCUGGACCCAGACGCCAGGGACCCUGGCGUCUGGCCCCUGGACUCCGCAAAACUUCCUUUUGCGCUUUCCAAAAACCUUGUGGCCUUUCCCCUUUGGUGAAGGAAAUAUGCCCUAGAGGCAAUAAUAAAGUUAUUAUUUAUUUCCUCAUAUCAAGAUAAAUGUUUAUUAUUAAUGCUAGAAUUGUAUUAACCAGAAACACGAUACAUGUGUGAAUACAUAGACAAACAUAUAGUCACUAGUAUGCCUCUACUUGACUAGCUCAUUAAUCAAAGAUGGUUAUGUUUCCUAACCAUAGACAUGUGUUGUCAUUUGAUUAAUGGGAUCACAUCAUUAGGAGAAUGAUGUGAUUGACAUGACCCAUUCCGUUAGCCUAGCACUUGAUCGUUUAGUAUAUUGCUAUUGCUUUCUUCAUGACUUGUACAUGUUCCUGUAACUAUGAGAAUUAUGCAACUCCCGUUUACCGGAGGAACACUUUGGGUACUACCAAACGUCACAACGUAACAGGGUGAUUAUAAAGGAGUACUACAGGUGUCUCCGAAGGUACAUGUUGAGUUGGCGUAUUUCGAGAUUAGGUUUUGUCACUCCGAUUGUCAGAGAGGUAUCUCUGGGCCCUCUCGGUAAUGCACAUCACUAUAAGCCUUGCAAGCAAUGUGACCAAUGAGUUGAUUAUGGAAUGAUGCAUUAUGUAACAAGUAAAGAGACUUGUCGGUAACGAGAUUGAACUAGGUAUUGGAUACCGACGAUCGAAUCUCGGGCAAGUAACAUAGCGAUGACAAAGGGAAUUCAUAGAAUAUGUAGGAACCAAUAUGGGCAUCCAGGUUCCGCUGUUGGUUAUUGACCGAGAAUAGUUCUAGGUCAUGUCUACAUAGUUCUCAAACCCGUAGGGUCCGCACGCUUAACGUUACGAUGACAGUUUUAUUAUGAGUUUAUAAGUUUUGAUGUACCGAAGUUUGUUCGAAGUCCCGGAUGUGAUCACGGACAUGACGAGGAGUCUCGAAAUGGUCGAGACAUAAAGAUUGAUAUAUUGGACGACUAUAUUCGGACACCGGAAGUGUUCCGGGUGAUUUNNNNNNNNNNNNNNNNNNNNNNNNNNNNNNNNNNNNNNNNNNNNNNNNNNNNNNNNNNNNNNNNNNNNNNNNNNNNNNNNNNNNNNNNNNNNNNNNNNNNNNNNNNNNNNNNNNNNNNNNNNNNNNNNNNNNNNNNNNNNNNNNNNNNNNNNNNNNNNNNNNNNNNNNNNNNNNNNNNNNNNNNNNNNNNNNNNNNNNNNNNNNNNNNNNNNNNNNNNNNNNNNNNNNNNNNNNNNNNNNNNNNNNNNNNNNNNNNNNNNNNNNNNNNNNNNNNNNNNNNNNNNNNNNNNNNNNNNNNNNNNNNNNGGAAGAUAGAGGGGCGGCCAGGGUGGGCCGCGCGCCCCCUCUCCCUCUGGUCCGAAUUGGACUAGGAGGGGGGGCGGCGCCCCCCUUUUUCCUUCCCCCUCUCCCCCUUCAUUUCCCCUCCUAGUAGGAGUAGGAAAGGAGGAGUCCUACUCCUACUAGGAGGAGGAUUCCUCCUCCUUGGCGCGCCCCAAGGGCCGGCCGGCCUCCCCCCUUGAUCCUUUAUAUACGAGGGCGGGGGGGGCACCCCAUAGACACACAAGUUGAUCUACGGAUCGUUCCUUAGCCGUGUGCGGUGCCCCCCUCCACCGUAUUCCACCUCGGUCAUAUCGUCGCGGAGUUUAGGCGGAGCCCUGCGCCGGUAGGACAUCAUCAUUGUCACCACGCCGUCGUGCUGACGGAACUCAUCUCCGGAGCUUUGCUGGAUCAGAGCCCGGAGAUCGUCAUCGAGCUGAACGUGUGCUGAACUCGAAGGUGCCGUACGUUCGGUGCUUGGAUCGGUCGGAUCGUGGACACGUACGACUACAUCAACCGUGUUGUGUUAACGCUUCCGCUUAUGGUCUACGAGGGUAAGUGGACAACACUCUCCCCUCUCGUUGCUAUACCAUCACCAUGAUCUUGCGUGUGCGUAGGAAUUUUUUUGAAAUUACUACGUUCCCCAACAUUUGGCCCAAAUAAUGUGUUCUCGUACCCAAACAUUUCGGGAAACAUCCGGAACCCCUUACGAUGAAUUCCGGAGCCCUUCCGGAUAUCAAACACUAUUAUCCCAUAUAUCAAACUUUAUCUCCGGACAAUUCCGGAGUUCCUCGUCAUGUCCAUGAUCUCAUCCGGGACUCCGAACAACAUUCGGUUACCAACAUGCAUAACUCAUAUAAUACUAUAUCGUCAACGAAACGUUAAGCGUGCGGACCCUACGGGUUCGAGAACUAUGUAGACAUGACCGAGACACGUUUCCGGUCAAUAACCAAUAGUGGGACCUGGAUGCCCAUAUUGGCUCCCACAUAUUGGUUCCCUUUGUCAUCGGUAUAUUACUUGCCCGAGAUCCAAUACCUAGUUCAAUCUCGUUACCGGCAAGUCUCUUUACUCGUUAUGUAAUGCAUCAUUCCGUAACUAACUCAUUAGCUACAUUGCUUGCAAGGCUUAUAGUAAUGUGCAUUACCGAGAGGGCCCAGAGAUACCUCUCCGACAAUCGGAGUGACAAAACCUAUUCUUGAAAUACGCCAACCCAACAUGUACCUUUGGAGACACCUGUAGUACUCCUUUAUAAUCACCCAGUUAUGUUGUGACAUUUGGUAGCACCCAAAGUGUUCCUCGGGUAAACGGGAGUUUCAUAAUCUCAUAGUUAUAGGAACAUGUAUAAGUCAUGAAGAAAGCAAUAGCAAUAUACUAAAUGAUCAAGUGCUAGGCUAACGGAAUGGGUCAUGUCAAUCACAUCAUUCUCCUAAUGAUGUGAUCCCGUCAAUCAAAUGACAACUCUUUUGUCCAUGGCUAGGAAAUAUAACCAUCUUUGAUAAACGAGCUAGUCAAGUAGAGGAAUACUAGUGACACUAUGUUUGUCUAUGUAUUCACACAUGUAUUAUGUUUCCGGUUAAUACAAUUCUAGCAUGAAUAAUAAACAUUUAUCAUGAUAUAAGGAAAUAAAUAAUAACUUUAUUAUUGCCUCUAGGGCAUAUUUCCUUCACAUGGAGUCUUCCGAGCAGAACCCAACCUAGUCUCCCCUUCACCGGUAGGGUGGUCAAGCAGGAGGUCCUCAAAUCACUCUGUUAUUUCAUCCACCAUCACCUUAGCAUAUCCUUCUGGAAUCGGCUGGCAGUGAUAAGUUGUGCCGGGGCCACUAGGAUAAAUUUGGCCAACAGCCGCCUUGACCUUCAAAUUCAUCCAUCGCGCCAUAAUGUGGCAAUUUUGAGACUCCGUGAUACCAUCCACGGGAUAGCUGGCAGGAGCCGUCAAGACAUGCUCCGGCUGAAGCAGCUUGGUGGAAGCCACGCUGCUUCUCCGCUGAGAUGGCGGGGUAGCUUCGGGGGAAGCUUCGGCAGGUCGUUUGCUGUGAUCUGCUGCUUCUCGUUCCUCUAGCCCCAUUACCCUUUCGUGCAGCGCCUGCAGUUGGUCCUGCUCUAGUUUCUUCCUCCUCUCGUGGGUUUUGUAACCCCCUGCGUCCGGAAAACCAACCUUCCACGGAAUGGAUCCUGGCGUGCCUCGUGUCCGUCCAGGGUGCUCAGGAUUGCCAAGGGCCAUUGUGAGCUCGUCCUUCUCCCUGUUUGGAAGGAACGUCCCUCGCUGCGCUGCAUCGAUAUAGUGUCGAAGGUUCUUGACUGGUAUUUGCAGUUGCUCGUCCGUCCACUGGCACUUCCCUGUUACAGGGUCCAAGGUUCCGCCAGCCCCGAAGAAACAAGUCCGGCAACGGUCUGGCCAGUACAUUGUCUCUGGUUCGAUCCCUUUUUCAAGCAGAUCAUGCUCAGCCUUGGACCACUUAGGUCGGGCUUUGAGGUAGCCACCUGACCCCGUGCGAUGGUGAAGCUUCUUCUUCGCAGCAUUUUGCUUGUUUGUCGCCGACAUCUUCUUACUCUUUUCCGAUGUCUUGUGGGCCACAAAUGCGGGCCAGUGAUCUUUGAUCUUCUCAUAUUUGCCGAUGAAUUCUGGUGUCUUUUCUUUCUCGACAAACUGGUUCAGCUCUUUCCUCCACCUCCUCAUUAGGGUUGCCAUCUUCUUAAGAGCACAAGACUUGAUUAAUUGCUCUUUAAGUGGAUUCUCCGGAUCCUCCUCUGGCGGUAGGGUGAAAUUUUCCUUCAGCUGAGUCCAAAGAUCUUCUUUCUGCAUAUCAUUGACAUAAGACACCUCAGGGUCUUUCUCCUUAGGCUUAUACCAUUGAUGGAUGCUGAUCGGGAUCUUGUCCCUAACAAGAACCCCGCACUGAGCAAAAAUUCCUUCCUUGUCCGGAUGGGUUCAAUCGGUUCGCCGUCAGGCGCGAUUUCUAUGAUCUCAAACUUUUCAUCCGAGCUCAACUUUUUCUUCGGGCGUCGUCUCCUUACCGAAGUUGUGCUCGAUCCGGAGGGCUAGAAAUUAUAAGGAAGAAAGAAGAGAGUAAUUAAUAUGUGUACAUAUACCAAAACAAUGGAUGCAUCAAUUAACUAGUCAGCACGGGCUUAACUAAUAUAUAUAUACCUGGCCGGACUCGGUUCGGUCACCGGAGCAGUCAGCACGGUCUCCUUCUUGUACCUCCAUUGUGUCACCGGAGCCAUCAUGAACAUAGUCCUCUUCUUGUACCGGCAUUAAUGGGUCGAAGCCAUCAUGAAGAUAGCCCUCUUCUUCACCCAGUCCUUCCUGACCAUCGGUGUCGUUGAGAAAUGACGCAACUUCAUCACUUCCUUGUGCGAUUAUGUGCCCCAACAUCGCUUCUGUUUCUUCGUCUCGGGAGUGCUCCAUAGUUUCUGCAAAUAUUUACAACAUGUCAAUUAUUAUUCAAACAUGGUAUAGAUGGAUAUAUAUAUAUAUAUAUAUAUAUAUUAGUGGCAAACGUAGAACUAGCUAGCUAAUCACAAUAAGGAAUCAUGUUAGUCGCCUCGACGCUGCUUCUCUAGGGUUUGGGGUCGCCUCGACACAACGCUUCAAGGGUUUGGGGUGGCCUCAACGACAACGCUCUUUUAACUUGGUAAAUUUGGGUGGCCUCGAGAGAGUUAAUUUGUCGGGUAGGGGCGCGGCGGGAGGGGGUAGGAGACCAACAUCGUUUUCUCUCUAGGGUUUGGGUGUCCUCGAGAGUUUUGGUCAAGCGAGAGGGCCAAGGGGGGUGCUACCGUUGUAUAAGUUAUCACGGUCGAGAGGGGUUAUAUAUAUCGACCGCCCCUCAUGUCGAAGUUAUCUCGAGGGGGUUAUAUCGACAACGAUGCGACAUACAUAUACAAGGGAAAAUAAUGUUAUCGGGCAGGGGGUAUCGGUACCCCCCCUCGUGUUGAAGUUUCUUCCUUCUCCUCUAUUCCUUUCUUCUUCUACUACUCUUCUUUUUCUUCUUCUCCCUCGAGAAAGGAAAAUAAGGAAAAUGAAGAAAAGAGGAAGAAGGAAGAAGAAAAAAAGAAGAAAAAAAUGGGGAGAAGAAGAAAAAUAGAACUAUUUUUCUUCUUCUCCUCUUCUUUUUUCCUCUUCUUAUUAAUUUAUCCUCUUCUUCCUCUCCUCUUCUUCUCCUUUCUUCCUCUUCUUAUUUUCCUUUGUCCUCUCAUUCUUUUAGUAUUGCUUGUUUUAAAAAAAAUGUUCAAAUAGAAAAUUUCGAAAAAAAACAAAGGUUUUGCCUAAUGCAUUGUUCAUAUGAAUAUACAAACAUUUGCAUAUUCUACAAUAAUUAAUAUCACCAAAAAAAUCUAUGAACAGAAAAAAAAACCUAACUUUUGCAUAUAUGAAAAAUUAAUGCACAUAUGAACAAAAAAUACAUAUAUGAACAAAAACAUGCUCUNNNNNNNNNNNNNNNNNNNNNNNNNNNNNNNNNNNNNNNNNNNNNNNNNNNNNNNNNNNNNNNNNNNNNNNNNNNNNNNNNNNNNNNNNNNNNNNNNNNNNNNNNNNNNNNNNNNNNNNNNNNNNNNNNNNNNNNNNNNNNNNNNNNNNNNNNNNNNNNNNNNNNNNNNNNNNNNNNNNNNNNNNNNNNNNNNNNNNNNNNNNNNNNNNNNNNNNNNNNNNNNNNNNNNCGGGGGCGGGAACGGGCAGGGGCUCGGGGCGGCGCGCGGGGGCGGGACGGGGCGCGGGCUCGGGGAGGCCGGUGACAAGGACGGCGCAGGCUCGGGGAGGCCGGUGACGAGGACGGCGCGGGCUCGGGAGGCGACGGCCUUGGCGGUGGCGGCGGCGACGGCAAGGUGGAGCAGCCUGGCGGCGUCGAGGAGGGUCGGCGUCGUCGGGGGCAACUGGCGAUGAGAUUCUGAAUUUUUGCAAAGUGUUUGCUUAUAUAGCAAAGCCAUUGGUCCCGGUUCGUGAAACCAACCGGGACUAAUACACCCUUUAGUCCCGGUUGGUGCCACCAACCUGGACCAAAGGCCUCUUUUUGGCAGCCCAAAGGGCGAGAAGCGGCGGCCUUUGGUACCGGUUGGUGCCACGAACCGGUACCAAUGCCCCCCCCUUUAGUCCCGGUUGGUGCCACCAACCGGGACCAAAGGCCCCUGUGCUGCCCGCGUCGGGGCCAAAGUUUAGUCCCACCUCGCUAAUUGAGAGGGGCGCGCAGUGCUUUAUAAGCCCCACUGCCGCACCCCUCUCGAGCUCCUCUCCACCGCAGGCUUUCCGGCCUACUUGCUAAACUUUGCCUGAAGGUCCUUCUGGGCCUACUGCGGGCCUGAAUCCUGGCCCAUAGUAGGGUUUCAUGUCGUAUUCAGGCCGUGGAGGCCCAGUAGGAGGCAUUUUUUUGUUUUUUUGUUUUCUUUACUUAUUGUUGCUAUUUUUAUUUUUUUUCUAGUUUUUUGUUUUGUUUUCUGCAUUAUUUAUUUUCUUUUGUUUUUUGCUUUAUUUUUUAAUUCUUUUUGCUUUUAGUUUUAGGAAAAUUAUAAACUUUCUGUUAGUGCCAUUAGUUUUCAAGUUUGAAAACACUUUUUUUGUUUUUUGUUUUCUUUCUUGCUUUAUUUAUUUUAUUUUGUUUCUACUUACAACAAAAUACUUAUUGUUGUUUUUUUGUUUUGAUUUCUGCAUUAUUUAUUUUCUUUUGUUUUUUGCUUUAUUUUUCAAUUCUUUUUGCUUUUAGUUUUAGGAAAAUUAUAAGCUUUCUGUUAGUGCCAUUAGUUUUCAAAUUUGAAAACACUUUUUUUUGUUUUUUGUUUUCUUUCUUGCUUUAUUUAUUUUAUUUUGUUUCUAUUUACAACAAAAAACUUAUUGUUGCUAUUUUUAAUUAUUACGAGGGCCGAACCAUAAGCCAUUAAAGCAUUUCAAAUGAACUCUGAAAAAGUUGAAAGUUGGCAUGGUAUCAUAAAUUGACCCACAUAGCAUGUGCAUGUACAAAACGGACAAUGGUAUCAUACUCGUCAGUUACAAAGUUGGCAUGGUAUCAUCAUAAUAGUUGCGGGAGAAAGUCUUCACUUUUUUCUUCGCUUGUGUCAUUUGCUUAUUGCGCCGUAACCAUGGGUAAUUUUCAUCGUUUAUCAGGAUGCUGGGGUCAGCCUUGACUUUAAAGGGAGGAAUUUCAUGAAACUUUUCAUAAUCUUCAGACAUGUCUGUCUUGUCCUCCACUCCCACGAUGUUACUUUUUCCUGAAAGAACUACGUGGCGCUUUGGCUCAUCGUAUGAUGUAUUCGCUUCCUUAUCUUUUCUCUUUCUCGGUCUGGUAGACAUGUCCUUCACAUAGAUAACCUGUGCCACAUCAUUGGCUAGGACGAAUGGUUCGUCAGUGUACCCAAGAUUUUUCAGAUCCAAUGUUGUCAUUCCGUACUGUGGGUCUACCUGUACCCCGCCUCCUGACAGAUUGACCCAUUUGCACUUAAACAAAGGGACCUUAAAAUCAUGUCCGUGGUCAAGUUACCAUAUGUCCACUAUGUAACCAUAAUAUGUGUCCUUUCCCCUCUCGGUUGUUGCAUCAAAGCAGACAUCGCUGUUUUGGUUGGUGCUCUUUUGAUCUUGGUCAAUCGUGUAAAAUGUAUUCCCAUUUAUCUCGUAUCCUUUCCAAAUCAAUACAGUCAAAGAUGGUCCCAUGGACAACAAGUACAGCUCAUCACAAACAGUGUUGUCACCUCUGAUACGUGCUUCCAACCAACUGCUGAAAGUCCUGAUGUGUUCACAUGUAAUCCAGUCGUCGCACUGCUCCGGGUGUUUGGAGCGCAGACUGUUCUUGUGUUCAUCGACAUACGGGGUCACCAAGGUGGAGUUCUGUAGAACUGUGUAGUGUGCUUGAGACCAAGAAUAUCCGUCCCUGCAUAUUAUUGAGUCCCUUCCAAGCGUGCCUUUUCCAGUCAGUCUCCCCUCAUACCGCGAUUUAGGGAGACCUAUCUUCUUAAGGACAGGAAUGAAGUCAACACAAAACCCGAUGACAUCCUCUGUUUGAUGGCCCAUGGAGAUGCUUCCUUCUGGCCUAGCGCGGUUACGGACAUAUUUCUUUAGGACUCCCAUGAACCUCUCAAAGGGGUACAUAUUGUGUAGAAAUACGGGGCCCAGAAUGACAAUCUCGUCCAAUAGAUGAACUAGGACGUGCGUCAUGAUAUUGAAGAAGGAUGGUGGGAACACCAGCUCGAAACUGACAAGACAUUGCACCACAUAAGUCCUUAGCCUUGGUAUGAUUUCUGGAUCGAUCACCUUCUGAGAGAUUGCAUUGAGGAAUGCACAUAGCUUCACAAUGGCUAAUCGGAUGUUUUCCGGUAGAAGCCCCCUCAAUGCAACCGGAAGCAGUUGCGUCAUAAUCACGUGGCAGUCAUGAGACUUUAGGUUCUGGAACUUUUUGUCUGGCAUAUUUAUUAUUCCCUUUAUAUUCGACGAGAAGCCAGUCGGGACCUUCAUACUAAGCAGGCAUUCAAAGAAGAUUUCUUUCUCUUCUUUCGUAAGAGCAUAGCUGGCAGGACCUUCAUACUGCUUCGGAGGCAUGCCCUCUUUUUCGUGCAAGCGUUGCAGGUCCUCCCGUGCCUCAGGUGUAUCUUUUGUCUUCGCAUACACGCCCAAGAAGCCUAGCAGGUUCACGCAAAGGUUCUUUGUCACGUGCAUCACGUCGAUCGAAGAGCGGACCUCUAGGUCUUUCCAGUAGGGUAGGUCCCAAAAUAUAGAUUUCUUCUUCCACAUGGGUGCGUGAUUCUCAGCGUCAUUCGGAACAGCUAGUCCACCGGGACCCUUUUCAAAGAUUACGUGUAAAUCAUUGACCAUAGCAAGUACGUGAUCACCGGUAUGCAUGGCGGGCUUCUUCCGGUGAUCUGCCUCGCCUUUGAAAUGCUUGCCUUUCUUUCGACAUUGAUGGUUGGUCGGAAAAAAUCGACGAUGGCCCAGGUACACAUUCUUCCUGCAGCUUGCCAGGUAUAUACAAUCGGUGUCAAGUAAACAGUGCGUGCAUGCGUGGUAUCCCUUGUUUGUCUGUCCUGAAAGGUUACUGAGAGCGGGCCAAUCGUUGAUGGUCAUGAACAGCAAUGCCUUUAGGUUAAAUUCCUCCUGUUUGUGCUCAUCCCACAUACGUACACCGUUUCCAUUCCACAGCUGUAAAAGUUCUUCAACUAAUGGCCUUAGGUACACAUCAAUGUCGUUGCCGGGUUGCUUAGGGCCUUGGAUGAGAACUGGCAUCAUAAUGAACUUCUGCUUCAUGCACAUCCAAGGAGGAAGGUUAUACAUACAUAGAGUCACGGGCCAGGUGCUGUGAUUGCUGCUCUGCUCCCCGAAAGGAUUAAUGCCAUCCGCGCUUAAAGCAAACCAUACGUUCCUUGGCUCACUUGCAAACUCAUCCCAGUACUUUCUCUCGAUUUUUCUCCACUGCGACCCGUCAGCGGGUGCUCUCAACUUCCUGUCUUUCUUGCGGUCCUCACUGUGCCAUCGCAUCAACUUGACAUGCUCUCCGUUUCUGAACAGACGUUUCAACCGUGCUAUUAUAGGAGCAUACCACAUCACCUUCGCAGGAACCCUCUUCCUGGGGGGCUCGCCGUCAACAUCACCAGGGUCAUCUCGUCUGAUCUUAUACCGUAAUGCACCGCAUACCGGGCAUGCGUUCAGAUCCUUGUACGCAUCGCGGUAGAGGAUGCAGUCAUUAGGGCAUGCAUGUAUCUUCUUCACCUCCAAUCCUAGAGGGAAUACGACCUUCUUUGCUGCGUAUGUACUGUCGGGCAAUUCGUUAUCCUUUGGAAGCUUCUUCUUCAAUAUUUUCAGUAGCUUCUCAAAUCCUUUGUCAGGCACAGCAUUCUCUGCCUUCCACUGCAGCAAUUCCAGUACGGUUGCGAGAUUUGUGUUGCCAUCUUCGCAAUUGGGGUACAACCCUUUUUUGUGGUCCUCUAACAUGCGAUCGAACUUCAGCUUCUCCUUUUGACUUUCGCAUUGCGUCCUUGCAUCGACAAUGACCCGGCGGAGAUCAUCAUCAUCGGGCACAUUGUCUGGUUCCUCUUGAUCUUCAGCAGCUUCGCCCAUUGCAGCAUCAUCGUGCACAUCGUCUGGUUCCUCUUGAUGUUCAGUAGCAUCACCGUAUUCAGGGGGCACAUAGUUGUCAUCGUAGUCUUCUUCUUCGCCGGCUUCCAUCAUAACCCCUAUUUCUCCGUGCCUCGUCCAAACAUUAUAGUGUGGCAUGAAACCCUUGUAAAGCAGGUGGGUGUGGAGGAUUUUCCGGUCAGAGUAAGACUUCGUAUUCCCACAUAUAGGGCAUGGACAACACAUAAAACCAUUCUGCUUGUUUGCCUCAGCCACUUCGAGAAAAUCAUGCACGCCCUUAAUAUACUCGGAGGUGUGUCUUGAACCGUACAUCCAUUGCCGGUUCAUCUGCGUGCAUUAUAUAUAAUUGUGUGUCAAAAAUCAUUACAGAACAUCAUGAAUAGAUAAUUAAGUGACCAAAUUAAUAGAAGUUCAUCAUCACAUUAAAACCAAAGUACAUACAUAGUUCUCAUCUAACAACAUAAAGCUCUGCAGAGCAUCUAAAUUAAUUAAACCAUACACUGAAACUAUGUAAAACAUUUCAAUGCGAAAACAAAUGCGAUCAUAAUCGCAACAAAUGUAACAACUGAUCCAACGGCAUAAUGAUACCAAGCCUCGGUAUGAAUGGCAUAUUUACUAAUCUUUCUAAUCUUCAAGCGCAUUGCAUCUAUCUUGAUCUUGUGAUCAUCGACGACAUCCGCAACAUGCAACUCCAAUAUCAUCUUCUCCUCCUCAAUUUUUCUAAUUUUUUCCUUCAACAAAUUGUUUUCUUCUUCAACUAAAUUUAACCUCUCGACAAUAGGGUCGGUUGGAAUUUCCGGUUCAACAACCUCCUAGAUAAAUAAAAUCUAUGUCACGUUGGUCGGCAUAAUUGUCAUAAACAAUAAAUUAACCAAUAGUUAUGAAAAGAUAAUAUAUACCACAUCCGAAUCAUAGACAGGACGAGGGCCGACGGGGGCGGAUACCAAAACCAUCGCACUAUAUAAGAUGCAAUAAUAAAAGUACGAAAAUUAUACAAGUAUCUAUAUAAACAUACAAGUAAGAAUUUUUUUUUCCUUUCAGAAAGAAGAUAAGAACAAGAGGCUCACCACGGUGGUGCUGGCGACGAGAUCGGCGCGGGUGAUCGACGGCGGUGAAGAUGGGGACGGGACGUGACGGACCGCUAAACCUAGACAAAUAUUAAGGAAAAUGGAGCUUGGAGGUCGAGCUUGGAGAGGAGAAAGCUUAAGUAGUGUGGCACGGACAUUCCAUCGAACACGUCGUGUGCAUUGGAGGUGAGCUAGAGCACCACAAAGCUCUCCCCUCGCCGGCCACGAAAAACAAAGCACUGGGAGUGCUCUGCUCGCGGGCGAGGGGUAUAUAUAGGCAACUAAUUGGUCCCGGUUCGUGACUUGAACCGGGACUAAAGGGCAGUCUUUGAUCCCCGUUUGUUCCACCAACCGGGACCAAUGGUGGUGGGUCAGGAGCGAGGCCCAUUGGUCCCGGUUCGUCCCAUCAAUCAGGACCAAAAGGUCCAGACGAAUCGGGACCAAUGGCCCACGUGGCCCGGCCGGCCCCCGGGGCUCACGAACCGGGUCCAAUGCACCCAUUGGUCCCGGUUCUGGAUUGAACCGGGACUAAUGGGCUGGCCGGGCCUGGACCAUUGCCCCCUUUUCUACUAGUGAUGAAAAGCUUCACGAGGUUGUCUAAAAAAAAGUAGUGGUACAUGAAGGGCACGCUCGCAUGUCUUUCAGUUUCAGAUGGACGUACAUGUGGAAAAUCUGUAUAAUUUGCGACUAGACCCGUCGAGGUGGCCCGUGGAUUAAUUGGAUGGUUCUCAGUAGUUCCCUGCACCGCACGGCCACAAGCAUAAACGUAUCCUUCUCCUUGGCCACAAAACCAGACGUACCUUGACUGUAAUUUUUUUGCCAGGCGUAGCGUUCCCAAGCGGCUACCAUCAGCAGCUGGCCAAGCCCAACAGGCAGCGACAGCCGACGACCGCGCGCGCGGGUCAUGCACGUCGUAAGUCCUGGUGGCAACUUCCCCCAAAAAGUAAAAAUAAAAAAUAUAAUUCCUUGUGGUAACUAACCCGGGGACGACCGUAGACUACCCUGCAUGGCAUCCUGCUUUUAAUACGCGAUCCAUACACGCUCAAUAGCAUCGAUCGGUGUAUCCAUCUACUAUCUGUUAUUGAUCCUAUAUAUAUGGCCACCAUAACACGAAACCAACCACCAACACCUAGAAAAAAUUUGCCCGCCUCCGGAGCCACGAUGAUCGCCGUGUCCUUUUUGUUGGCGUGCUUCGCGGCAGCUCUGCAGCCAACGUCGGCCGGCGAGGCUGGAAGGGGUGGGAUCUGGCAUAUCCCUUUUGCGGCCGACCUGGCUCGGGCUCGCUGCCCUUCCAGAUGCGGUGGUGUUGCCAUUCACUAUCCGUGGGGGAUAGGGCCGGGCUGCUUCCGGCAAGGCUUCGAGCUCACCUGCAACAACACCGCUGGUCAUAAGAGGCUCUUUCUGGGCAACAGUACCACUGAGGUCCUUGAGUUGUCUCCCGGAGAAAACGGACUUCGAGUCUCUCCUAUCCACUUCAACGUCACCAAGAAACCAGGUAUGAACGACACCUAUAACAUGUCAUGGGAGGCCCCUGUUAAAGGUGUUAUGGCUUCUGAACAAACUGGCUUGUUCGUUGUUGGUUGCGGUGUGGGUCUCUACUUGUUCGGCCAUGAUACCACCGACCCCAUUGGUUAUUGUGUGAGUGUUUUGCCUAGACGACAAAGAGGCCAUGAAGGAGGCAAAUGCAAACCAGUAUGGCGAUGUUGGGAUGGGUUAUUGUUCCAUUUUUUUGCCGCAGGACAUGCCAGCAUUUGGGUUCACAGUUGACCGCCUCAAAGGCGUCUCAGCACUAUCAGGUCAAGCUCAAGUACUCUCUAAUACUAUCAAAGUUUUCCUGGCGGAGGAUUACAAUUUUCAUGUUGCCGACAUCUAUUCAAGUCGGGUAGACAAAAGAAACAUUGAUGUGGCAGUGCUUCGAAUAGUCAUCACGGAUCAACCAAGCUGUGAAAGUGCUCAGAAGAAAAAGUCAAGCUAUGCUUGUGGCGAUAGCAGCGAUGGCGUCGGUGUACCAUCUGGAGGCUACUCCUGUAGCUCCCGCCCUGACACAACCGGCAACAACCCGUACCUUAUGGAUGGUUGUCAACAAGGUCAGUAAUUUACUCUUCAAAAUCAGGAAUAUAAAAGUACUGAACUGCCAUGUCAUGAACACUGGACUCAUAUAUGCAUGAUUGAAUAUUAUGGUAUUUUUUGCACCAAGAUUGUCACUUUUCCUCUCCAUUUCUAUGCUCUUCAUCAUUUUAUAGAAAAAACAUUUUUUCCUUUCUAGUUAAAAUAUAAUCAGUUCCACGUACAACAAAGCAAACACUAAUUGUUUCUUGCCCAAUAGAAGUUUGAAAAUUAGGACACACCUUUUCUCCAGAUUCUUUGAUAAAUUUGGAUGUACUACUGUUAUUGAUUAUAUUUUUUACUAGUGCCACAUGGUGUAACUUAAUUCCCAGUUCACAUAUUGUUGGGGAUAUACAUAACAGGUAGGCUCACGAAGGGUCGAAAUAUCAUGAAGCGUGGGGUCCACACAACAUGUGGGUCCAGGUCAAUUUCAUACAGACACACUGUCCACUCGGACAAGUAGCAUACUAUCCACUCGACCAAGCAACAUACCAUCCACUCGGAUGACAGUUCACCACUCGACCGUACGACUCACUCGGAUAUACGAAGACCAGCAGGCAGCAAAGCAGUCGGCAUCUUUCUAAUAGUGAAGGCUUAAUAGUGGGCUGUCAUUAUAGCAUUCAUACCCCACUUUGUAAAAUAGGAGGUGAGGAGGUGGCGCACUCUAUAUAAGCCACCCCCACCACUAGACUUGGGGCUUCUUCUUCCACCUCUCUCUUUUUUCACCAUUAGUCUCAGGACUUAGCUCAGGCAUGGGGAUCCGUUCCUCUCUCUCACACACAUUGUAAUCUCCGGAUAUAUACUCAGAUAAAACAAAGCCUCUCCGGAGCACGAGACGUAGGGUUGUUAUCUCCACCGUGAGAGGCCCGAACUCGCUAAAACCACCGUGUCACCCAUAUGCAUCUCGAUAGAUCAUGCUCCGUUACCCUAUACCUUAUUAUUGUCGGAAUCGUUCCCACGACAGUUGGCGCCCACCGUGGGGCUUGGCGUCUAUCAAGCCAUGGUGCAAAUGGUUCUUUCUUCAAUCUUCGGCAGCGGAUCAACGACCAUUGCCAGAGAAAUUGGCCGAUGGAGUUCUGGCGAUUGCAACAUUCGUACAAACAAAAGAAUCAAGGAAGUAUCCAUUCCAUAUACUCUUUUUACAAUAAAUUGUCUAACAACAGGUUUGUCUUUUCCUCCUGUAGGAUCAGACGCACCCAUGCAUAUCAUGAAGCAGAGAAGAAAAGAAAAGAACAACUCGUUUCCCAUAUUUCUUGCCUUCUUCCGAGAUCAUCAUCAACGGUGACCGCAAAAUCGGCCAUCGACGUGAUCCGUCCUCGUCCUCACCGGCCUUGUGUCUGGCACCGUCGUUGAGCUCCUACACACGGUCACCGGUGCGGUCCGUCCCGUCGUCUUCGACGUCGUCCGCGAACGCUGUUGCUGCUGCUUCGUGCACGACCGCCUCGCAUGCAGCGCGGUCGAGGAGGCGAAGGGAUCGGACCCGUCUGAUUCCCGGAGCAGUGAAGUGUUGUGCCGUGCUCAUCGGCCCGAGUCAUGCUCACAGACCUCAAGCCACGCACGCCUGCCCUGAGACAUGCUCGUCUGCCAAGCGCCGCGCUCGCCCGCCUUGCGACACGCUCGUCGGGGCCGCCCCGUGGCACGCACGGGGCCGCCUCAAGACGCGCUUGCCGGCCCUCGCUUGCAUCGCCGGCUGCACGAGCCACCCGGCCGCCUGGGUCUUCUUCAUCUGCGUCGUCUACAUCGGAUGGUACGUUGCCUCCUACCCCAUAACGUGGCCCUCUUAAUCCUUCGUAAAGUGGCCUGGUAGUUUCCUCAAAUUAAUCGCCUGAUUAAACGCCCAUUAAAUGAGGGUUUCCAGCACCAAUUACCACAGCCGUUUAAUGCUCCUUGCAUGCAUCCAUACACUCCCGUAUGGUUGUGCUAGUGCGUGCAUGCACUCAAUUGGCAAAUGCACUUAACCCAAUUGGGUGCCAUGUGCCAUUUACCAUUUCUUUAAGAUAAAUAUCUCAUGAAGUGGCCAAUUAGGCAAGGAUUCCAUUACCUAGUUAAGGUGAUUGAUUGCCUCCGCUUCUUCCGCAAUUUAAUGGCUUAAUUGCGUACCUUUCGUUUUUCAUGCUGAUUAAAUUUGUGCAUGUAUGCACAACCAUCCAUGGUCUUUAAUCCUUGCAAAAUAGCAUCUGUGCAGGUCCACUUUAGUCCAGCAAAACAAUAUUCGUGGCUACUAACCUGCAGGGUCACUCGUCCGUCAUGGCCCUCGGACAGCAGUUCAUUCGGACCAACAUUUUGUUUCAAGCGACUAACAUCAUAUGCAGAUUAACUCAGAUGAAUUUGCGUCCAGACGAUUAAUGUGGAGUGACUUGGACGCCUGCACGCCAUCACUCUGUUGGACACAUCUUCGUUACCUUAACUGACUCGACUGCUCCGUGUGUCGCCGCUCGAUGAGACACUCGACCGCCCGUGCGUUGUUGUCUCUCGGAUGCCCCGCGCAUCGUCACUUCGCGGUCGCGUCUACAUCACUGGACACCCCGCGCAUCACCACUUGGCUGGAUACGCAUUCCUUCACUCGGCCACCUCGAGCAUCCUCACUCGGCCAUCCCGCGCGUCGCCACUCGGUUGGUCACCUCAUCACCACUCGGCCACCCCGCGCGUCGCCACUCGGUUGGUCACCCCAUCACCACUCGGCCGCCCCGCGCGUCGCCACUCGGUUGGUCACCUCAUCACCACUCGGCCGCCCCGCGCGUCGCCACUCGGUUGGUCACCUCAUCACCACUCGGCCGCCCCGCGCGUCGCCACUCGGUUGGUCACCUCAUCACCACUCGGCCGCCCCGCGCGUCGCCACUCGGUUGGUCACCUCAUCACCACUCGGCCGCCCCGCGCGUCGCCACUCGGUUGGUCACCUCAUCACCACUCGGCCNNNNNNNNNNGUCACCUCAUAACCACUCGGCCGCCCCGCGCGUCGCCACAGGUUGGUCACCUCAUAACCACUCGGCCGCCCCGCGCGUCGCCAUCGGUUGAUCACCUCAUCAGCACUCGGCCGCCCCGCACGUCGCCAAUCGGUUGGUCACCUCAUCACCACUCGACCGCCCUGCGCGCCUUCAGACACCUAAGUCAUUUUACAUUCUGUUAUUUUCGUCUUCCCGAGUAUUCCAUAAUUCACACAUCAGGUUCACUCGGAGGCCACACCACCGAGUGUACCUCUACGCUCGACUGCUUAUUUUCACAUACUUGCUUAGUACUGGUUAUGUGACUCCGAAGUCCAACUUCCUUUUUUUCGCAUAUAUCAUUCACGAACACCAUGUGUCGUUCUUCAUUUCGAGUUUGCAUCGGUCCUCCGGGGCUGCAACUCAGUCAAAACACUACACUUCCGUUUUAUUUUAGCCAGUAUUCCAACAAGUUCAGUAGGAUUUCUUGCUUCGACAAGUGCGAACGAAUCCUUCGCUCUUUUAAACUUUUGCUGGUCAACCAGCAAGUCCCUUGCACUCCCAGCGGGUGUCUAUGGGUGUUAUUCACACAAAUCAUUUCAGCACACAUCAAAUUUCCUCAAGAAAUUAUUGUGUUGACUUGUGCCAUUUUUUACACAAGUUACCGCGAUCACUCGACGGCCCUACGCGCCAACUUCAUCGCUGCUCGGACUCGGUCUCCAUACUGGUCCUAGCGCACCACAACACUGACUUUGUCGCCCUGUUGAUUUCAAACACGUCCGGCCAACCCCUCUAUGGAAUUCUCUUCAUCGUAUUAAUGAUAUAGACCUCGUCGGGCAUGAGACAGAUAAGUCCCUUUCAUAAUUAAACUUCACGCUUCACUCUUUUGCGAGUUUGCUUCUUCCGAGCAUCACUCGGAAGCUUCUCCUCAUCUUUACCCAAAUCCGACUCGAUGAAUUACAAAUCAUCCAUUCAAAACUAUAUUUCUCAUAUUCCGACAUGUCCGUUGUCGAAGCCUGUAGUAUGCUCGGGGGCUACGCCGCACUCGGGGGCUGCAUCUCAUUUGGAAUGACACUCUCCUAAGUGGUCGAGUACUUCAUCACCAAUCAGACCCUUCACUUCAACAAGUACAUUCGAUCCGUCACUUUGACAAAUUUCAUAAUCACCCAGACACUCUGCGUGCCAUCUUCGUUCCUACUCAAAUUCAGUCGUCACACCGGUCUUGUUGCGCCACAGCCACACUACACCGACCUUGUCGCUACAUCAGCUUCAAAAGCAUCUGGCUAACUCCUUCAAGGACCAUUUUUGCCACUCAGCUGGACACUUAGUCCUUCACUCGGCCGCCCCGCGCGUCGCCACUCGGUUGUGCGCGUCUUCACCACUCGGCCGCCCCGCGCGUCGCCACUCGGUUGUGCGCGUCUUCACCACUCGGCCGCCCCGCGCGGCGCCACUCGGUUUUGCACGUCUUCACCACUCGGCCGCCCCGCGCGUCGCCACUCGGUUGCGCACGUCUUCAUCACUCGUCCGCCCCGCGCGUCUCCACUCGGUUGUGUGCGUCUUCACCACUCGGCCGCCCCGCGCAUCGCCACUUGGUUCUGCACGUCUUCACCACUCGCCCGCCCCGCGCGGCGCCACUCGGUUUUGCACGUCUUCACCACUCGGCCGCCCCGCGCGUCGCCACUCGAUUAUACACGUCCUCGCCCCUCGGCCGCCCCGCGCGUCACCAUCAGUUGGACAUGUCUUUACCUCUACACCCCCAGCACGGGAACGGCUAAGUUACUCAUAUGGUCAAACCUCAUAUCACACUCUGUAGCGAGCUUACCUCCUUCGAGCAUCACUCGGGGGCUACGCGCGGCAGUUGGCCAUGUCACCCUUAGGGGUUACGCCCAUUUGGUCAACCUGUUGAUCACAUCAAGAUAUUCUUCUGACCAUACAUGCUCGGUUCGCCGAAGAUCUAUAAGUGAAGCACGUCCACUUGGAUAAAUACCCCUUUUCAUGCAAAAGGGUAAAAAUGAAGCGCCAUCGUUGAAUCGUACAGGCGACCUUACUCAUCGUUCGUACAACCACCUCGUUACGCAUCCAUCCGAUUGAUUCAAUUCCAGACAAAGAUAUUUGCCAUGCCAACUGCAUGGAGGUUUACCGAGAGACUUAAACCCUCUGCCAGACUCAUCUAGUCCGACAGAGGCUCGGGGACUACACCCAGUGGGUGCACUCAGCGUGCCCCCACUGGAAGAGGACUCAGAAAGAAACAUUUUGCUCGAUGCAAACCCAUCUCCAGUAUUACUCGACCUCCGAGUCAGAGAAGAACAAGUUCGAUCAGUACCAGCUAAGAAGAGUUUUAGUUCUCUCAUACUCCCGCCGACUGCCCGUAGUCGACAGCAGUCUCGGGGACUACACCCAGUGGGUGCACUCAGCGUGCCCCCACUGGAAUGGUAUCCACUCGGAACGGUCCGCCCAACCCGAGUGACGGCCAAACAACAACAAAAAGACAGGCUCUAAGACUCCCCCCGACUGCCCGCAGUCGACAGCAGUCUCGGGGACUACACCCAGUGGGUGCACUCAGCGUGCCCCCACUGGAAUGGUAUCCACUCGGAACGGUCCGCCCAACCCGAGUGACGGCCAAACAACAACAAAAAGACAGGCUCUAAGACUCCCGCCGACUGCCCGCAGUCGACAGCAGUCUCGGGGACUACACCCAGUGGGUGUACUCAGCGUGCCCCCACUGGAAUGGUAUCCACUCGGAACGGUCCGCCCAACCCGAGUGACGGCCAAACAACAAAAAAGACACGUUCCAGGCGUGAAGAAAUUCCGACUAAUCAGUUACUCGAUGCAGGCCCAGCUCCAAAUCACUCCAAAAAAUAUUCUAUAAGGCGAGUUUAACGCUCCUCCGUGGACCUGUUUUGAGCCUUCUUCUAGGACUCAAAGUGUGAAACUCACAAGUGUGGAUCUAAAACCGACUCGUAUUGACGUUCCUCCGGGAUAAGAAUGGCAUCUCUCUAAGAGAACAGUCCAUGUGUCAAUCUGGUCGCACAGAUUUAGUGACACACCCAUACUCAGAUCACGAGUUAAACCUCUUCCGAGAGAUGAACGAAUGUCACCAAGUUGCUCCACACAGACACAUACCUCGAUCAGUCGGGAAGCAUGGUACCGGAAUCCAUUGAGAUUUUGUUCAAACCUUGGUUGUCUGAAAGCGUGACGACAUGUACCGAGUAUUUCUGUAAUCACUCGGACCAAACUGUGUCUUACACCAACUCGUUCUGCAAAAUCGCAAUCAAUUCGGGGGCUAAUGUUGGGGAUAUACAUAACAGGUAGGCCCACGAAGGGUCGAAAUAUCAUGAAGCGUGGGGUCCACACAACAUGUGGGUCCAGGUCAAUUUCAUACAGACACACUGUCCACUCGGACAAGUAGCAUACUAUCCACUCGACCAAGCAACAUACCAUCCACUCGGAUGACAGUUCACCACUCGACCGUACGACUCACUCGGAUAUACGAAGACCAGCAGGCAGCAAAGCAGUCGGCAUCUUUCUAAUAGUGAAGGCUUAAUAGUGGGCUGUCAUUAUAGCAUUCAUACCCCACUUUGUAACAUAGGAGGUGAGGAGGUGGCGCACUCUAUAUAAGCCACCCCCCACCACUAGACUUGGGGCUUCUUCUUCCACCUCUCUCUUUUUUCACCAUUAGUCUCAGGACUUAGCUCAGGCAUGGGGAUCCGUUCCUCUCUCUCACACACAUUGUAAUCUCCGGAUAUAUACUCAGAUAAAACAAAGCCUCUCCGGAGCACGAGACGUAGGGUUGUUAUCUCCACCGUGAGAGGCCCGAACUCGCUAAAACCACCGUGUCACCCAUAUGCAUCUCGAUAGAUCAUGCUCCGUUACCCUAUACCUUAUUAUUGUCGGAAUCGUUCCCACGACACAUAUUGUCUCUAAUAGUGGAGAAUUCGUGACAAGGUGUUAGUAAGACUUAUGAUGUUUUUGUUACUCCCUCCAUCUCGGUGCAUAAGGCAUACUCGUAGUUCUAGGUCGUAAAUCUUACUAGCUAAAUGUGAAUUAUAUGUGGUAAUAAAAAUAUAUAUUUAGAAACAAUAUUUGCAUAUGAAUCCAAUGAUAUACUUUUCAUGACAUGUAACAUUGUUUUAGGUUGAUGCUGCUAGCUACUUUACUAAAAUGGAUGUGGGCAUUGUUUGAUGCAGAGACCGGGGGUAAUCCUCUUUUUCGAAGAAAAAAAACACUGCUUUAGGUAGUCAAAUCAAUGACCUAGAACUACGUGCAUGUCCUAUGCACCGAGACGGAGGUAGUAGUCUUUACCCAGUUAAUGGGAUUUGUUUUCCACAAGUAGUAGCUGGUUUCUUUAUAAUGUUUUAGCUAGCAAUUAGACUUGGUAUUAUAAUUUAAUGAUUUAAUACAUUGUAGAUCUAGUCUAAAUAGGAUGACCAUUAAUUCGUAUAAUCUUAAUGUAACUUCUCCUGUGGCAGUCUCCCAGUGUGACUUCUUCCUAUGUCAAUAUACUUGCAGAGCAAUACAAUCCCAAUCAUAGAGGAGGUUGCACCAAAUUUUGCGGGAACACAAGUAUGCACUUCCCUUUUGGGCUUGAAAAAGGUUGCUACGCUGCUGAAAAGUUUUGACUUAACUGUACAUCAGAGAACAUCACAAUUCUUGAUCGAGGGGGUAACAAUAUUAAUGAAGGCGCCAAAUUAAUUGUGGACAACAUUUCAGUGAAUGAAGGAUAUCUUAAUGUUAGAGAAACAAAGAAUAACUUAAGGUAUGGUAAUGAAGAGCUCGCGGUAAUAGGUUAUAGAAGCAAUGGGGACUAGGAAGUAGAAGACAUCUCUUCAGAUGGUUUUCAUUUAUCCGAAGAAUACGGUAUGAAGUUGUUGUGGUCUGUCGAUAAUUUGACCUGUUCGAAGGCUAUGAGCAAGCAAAUAAGUGCUACAUAUGCAUGUCGUAGCAGCAAUAGCACUUGCAUUAUUGUCAACCAACCAGGCUACAAGAAUGUGACAAUGCAGCUCGGCUAUCGUUGCCAGUGCUCUCAAGGUUUUUAUGGAAAUCCAUACAUACUGAACGGAUGCCAAGGUAAAUAGUACAUUACAACUGCAGUACAAAUUAUCUUCCAACUACACGGACGAUUUUCCAAGUACAUGAAAUGAUUGACUAAAAUAUUGCAAUGAUAAAUCUGGCAGGAUUCAUGUGAUGCAAUCUGUCGGUCACCUUGAUCCAAAGAAUUUAUUUCCUUUUUAGAGGAUUUAUGCUAGACAUGCUACUCAAAUCAUACAACUCAUUAAUAUGUCUCAUUUUGGUUAUGUGCAUCACACGAUGUAGAGACUAGAAGAAUUAUACAUUAUGCACUAGUAGCAAAACGACCUUUAAUACUGGUUUGUAAGGGCCUUUAGUCCCGGUUCUGGAACCGGCACCAAAGGGUGGGGACUAAAGGUACCCCCCCCUUUAGUCCCGGUUCAACACAAACCGGGCCAAAGGCCCACCACGUGGCACGAGCCCACGCCGGGGGCCGUGAGACCUUUAGUACCGGUUGGUAACAUCAAUCGGUACUAAAGGUUUUUCUAAAAAAAUGUUUUUUUAAAUUGAAUUUUUUCUUCUGAUUUUCAAAUUUCUGAAUUAUUUGAGGAUUUAAUCUCUAAUCACCCCUCAUCAUUGCUCUAAUCACCCCUCAUCAUUCCAAUUCGUCUAACUUUCCGGCCGGUCACCCAUCCUCUCACUACUCCAGUCUGAGCACGCUUAACUUCCAAGUUCUAUUCCCGCUAGUUUCCAAGUCUGCACUUGUUGUUUACCUGACAAGUAAGCUGUCAAUCCUAUUAACCCUCGGGAGUUUAGCUUCAGUAUGAAGUCACACAUUUCACCGUUUGAGUUUGAAACUAUUACUCUAAAAAAUAAUUAUUAUUUAGUAACACUAAUAUUUCUUGAAUAAGUAGUUUGACCACAGUUUGACAAUAGUUUGCCCACAGUUUGACCAAAAUUAAAAAAGACUAAAAUAGUUAUUUAGUAACACUAAUAUUUCUUGAACGAGUAGUUUGACAAUAGUUUGACCACAGUUUGACCAGAUUUAACAAAAAUUCAAAAAAACUAAAAUUUGAGCAUAUCUUUUUUUCCUUUCAGAAUUUGAGGAUUCUAAAAAUCUGCAAACAGGCCUAUGGCCGUCAAAAUCGGAUGCGUAUUUUUGUGCUGAUUUUUUUUGAUAUAUUAUGUGUUUUUUUCGACAUUGUAUGCAAAAGAUAUGGUCGUUUUACUUUUUCCUAACACUUCUUUGCAGAACAUGUCGAAACAGAAAAGGCNNNNNNNNNNNNNNNNNNNNNNNNNNNNNNNNNNNNNNNNNNNNNNNNNNNNNNNNNNNNNNNNNNNNNNNNNNNNNNNNNNNNNNNNNNNNNNNNNNNNNNNNNNNNNNNNNNNNNNNNNNNNNNNNNNNNNNNNNNNNNNNNNNNNNNNNNNNNNNNNNNNNNNNNNNNNNNNNNNNNNGUCCUUUAGUCCCGGUUUGUGUCUCCAACCGGGACUAAAGGUUAGACCCCUUUUGUCCCGGUUUGUGACACAAACCGAUGAUGUAGGUUAGACCUUUAGUCCCGGUUUGUGUCACAAACCGGGACUAAAUGUGCUCGUGGGGCCCCGGCCUGACGCCAGCCUGCCACCACCCCUUUAGUACCGGUUUGUGGCACAAACCUGUAUUGAAGGUUCAACACGGACCGGGACUAAUGCAUAGUCAUUCGAACCGGGACUAAUGGUACCAUUAGUGCCGGUUCAUUUACAAACCGGGACUAAAGAGCUGAACAUUAGCUAGUUUUUCUACUAGUGAUGGUACAUUAUGCUAAAUUACACCUAGCCAUGCACUAGUACUAGUUUUUUGCUAACUCAUGAAAAUGGCAACAUAGGGAUUGAUCCUUGUUUGAGCUAACACUGAAGAUCACCAUCAUGUAUAUGAUUUCUUAUACAACAUUUUUUUGUCUUCUAUAAUGUGCGCAUACAAACUUGCAGAAUAUAGUGACAUUUGCAUACACAUAAACAAGUAAAUUCACAUCAUGGAAACAGUAUGUUAUUAACAUAUAUGAAAUCAAACAUAUGUGUAUAAAGUUAGGUGUCUACAUAGUUUGGUUGUUUACAAACAUGUGCCUGGAAACGAUAAUGGUCAAUGGUAAGAUCACAUUGUUGCAUAGAGGUAGUUUUAAUGUCUCUAGGAUGAGUGCUGGGCCAAGGGUAGCGUAGAUAUUGUUCUACUAUUUCUACCAAAUAUUUUCAGACAUUAUUUGUUUCUCACAUAUGUACCAUUUACAGAUGUCAAUGAGUGUUUGUUGAUGAAUAUUUGCAACGGCCCUUGCCUAAAUUAUCCUGGAGGCUAUAGUUGCAGUGAGUGCACGCAUGGAAAAGAGUUUGAUCCAAUAGAACUCAAAUGUGUCAUGUCAAAAAAGAGACACAAUCUUCUCUUAGGUAAAUCAUACUGAAUUUACUCACCUCGGUACAAAUUGCAACUUGCAAAGUGGGAUUUUUUUUCAUAACAACAACUAUUUGAUGUAUAGGUAUCACAAUUGGAAUUAGUUGUGGCCUUGGUGCCAUAAUUCUUGUGGUAGGCGCCACAGUACUCAUCAACAAGUGGAAGAGAGGCAUACAGAAGAGAAUUCGAAGGACAUACUUCAAGAGAAAUCAAGGCCUACUCUUGGAACAACUAAUAUUAGAUGAAAGUGCCACAGAUAAAACAAAGAUAUUCUCUUUGGAGGAAUUAGAUAAAGCAACCAACAACUUUGAUGUCAGUCAUAUUCUUGGUCAUGGAGGACAUGGCACGGUUUACAAAGGGAUUCUAUCCGACCAACGUGUAGUGGCCAUAAAAAAGUCUAAGCUGGUGGAGCAAACUGAGAUUGACCAGUUUAUCAACGAGGUUGCCAUCCUGUCACAAAUCAUUCAUCGGAAUGUGGUCAAGCUUUUUGGUUGUUGUCUCGAAACAGAAGUGCCUUUGCUAGUUUAUGAGUUCAUAUCCAAUGGCACCCUAUAUGAUCUUCUUCACAUUGAUGUAAGUGUUCAGUGCUUACUUUUAUGGGGUGAUCGCAUUAGGAUUGCAGUAGAAGCUGCAGGUGCUCUUGCUUAUCUGCACUCAGCUGCUGCGAUACCAAUUUUCCAUAGAGAUGUCAAAUCUUCCAAUAUACUCCUAGAUGGCAACUUUACUACCAAGGUUUCUGACUUUGGUGCUUCGAGGUCUUUAUCACUUGAUCAGACACAUGUAGUGACAAUUGUACAAGGAACUUUUGGUUACUUAGACCCCGAGUACUACCACACUGGGGAGCUGAGUGAGAAGAGUGAUGUUUAUAGCUUUGGAAUUAUACUGGUGGAGCUUCUAAUGAGAAAGAAGCCAGUUUUUAUUAAUGAACAAGGUAUAAAGCAAAGCUUGGCUCAUUACUUUGUGGAAGGACUUCAGCAGGGAGUUCUCAUGGAAAUCAUGGAUCCCCAAGUUGCGGAAGAAGCGAACCAGAAUGAAAUUGAUGACAUUGCCUCAGUUGCGGAAGCAUGCUUGAAAACCAAAGGAAAAGAAAGACCUACCAUGAAAGAGGUAGAAAUGAAGUUGCAACUCCUGAAAACUAGAAGAUUAAGGAGUCAACUUCCUCCCAUAAAUGAUGGAGAGAUCGAGUCAUUUGGGUGCCUAAAUGGCGCUAGCUCUCAUGCACAGAGCAACGGCAUUGUCAGUAAUGUUGGCUUAACACCUACAUGCAGCUCCGGAAAGUACAGUCUGGAGCAAGAGUUUUUGAACUCGGCCAGCUUGCCACGCUAGCGAAGCACACAGUGGGAUGAUCAUAUGCUUACUAAGGUUCCCAGGUGCAUGUCAGUUACCCUACGUGUGCUUAUAUAGAAAAACUAUGCAAUGCACGUAGUUCCUUUUUGUGGGAGUAUGGCAUGUAAAUUUCCGAAUUGUGUUUGUAGCUUAUCUUAUGUGUGUAAUUUCUUUCGACGACAAUUAUUGCAAUUAAGCUACAGUGGUGAAUAAAGUUAUUUUAUCGUUGUUUUUUUUCUUUUUGAAAUUUCUUUUUUACCAUACACAUUUCUCACUACUCAUUAGCAAUAAUACUCGAACCUGUAAUACAUUAGUCAUUGGUAAUGAGCAAUGGUGAAUAAAUGUUGGUUUAACGCCUACUAUUAUAUUAUGGGACGGACUACAAUUGAUGUGAGUUAUGUGUGUUUGUUAGAUAUAUAGAAGCCCUACUUCGCCAGAAAAGAAUGCGGAAACAUAAUUAUGGAUUUGUAAAGCCUAAAGCCCUGUUACUAUGGCUUCUUAUUGUUUAUUUUUAUGUUUUAGGGAAAAAGAAUAGUCAUUCCUUUUAUCUGCGAUAUCCUUUUCCCCUCCCCUUCCGUGCCGCCGCGUGUGGUGGCCUCAGCUGCGAAGGGUGAUGCUUCUCCUGGUCGCCAGCCGGCCGGUAGAGUGCUCUGCCUUGGCGGUUUCCCAGAGGAAGGUUGGGGAGCCCGGCCGUCGAGAAGCAGCAAGCGGUUGGAAACGGGUGAGGCAGCUGCUCCGAUCGGCAUGCGCGCUCGCUGCACCGAGGUGCCCAUCGCUGUGCUGGGGGCUGGUGAUGAAGUCAUGUACCUAGGGUAGGGUCACGGGCCUGUCCAAAGUACCCUCCCCAAGGACAUCUUCAGAAGAAGCUACCUUCCAGUCGACCAAGAGGGAUUCCACUCGACGGACUCGAAGACACUCGACGAUGAAGACUCACUCGACCACCAAGAGACCAAGAGCCACUCUGCAUCCAAACGGUCUGUAAUUAAGUAGUCUUUAUAGUCAUGAUGACACUUUAUGUAAGGCGUUACCAGUAACGCCUAUCUUUAUGUACUUUAAACCCUGCAUAACUGAGGGCCGGAGGGGUCGGGCAGACACUAUAUAAGCCACCCCCUCCUCGGUGUAAAGGGUUCGUACCCCUGUAACUCAUAUGCACAUAAUCCAGUCGACCGCCUCCGGGCUCCGAGACGUAGGGCUGUUACUUCCUCCGAGAAGGGUCUGAACUCGUAAAUCCCUUGCGUAUACAACUACUCCAUAGCUAGGACCUUGCCUCUCCAUACCUACUCCCCAUUCUACUGUCAGACUUAGGACCACGACAGUUGGCGCCCACCGUGGGGCAGGUGUCUUAGCGACUUUUUGGAGAAGUUGCAAUUUGACCGAUCACCUUCAUCAUGGUUUCUGGCGGAGUUCUGGUCGAGGGCCGCGAGAUCCGUCUCGGUGCGCUCGCUUUCAUCGCCGACGACUCCGCUUGGCUCCAGGAGGCACCACUCGACAUCGAUGCGCUCCCCGUCCGCGGUGCGACGCACUUUCGGGCGUGUGUCCGCGACGUCCUGCUGCGGCAGCCGUCGACCCCAUACCGGUCGACUCCUGUGCCGUCCUCCCUCCCUGUCUCCCGCCAGCGCAAGCGCUCCGGUCGGUCGAGGCUCCAGUGAUGGGUGAGACACGCUGUGGCUCGCCAAUCGGCAACCACCCAAGUCGCGGCAAUUGAGCCCGACGAAUCUCUCCACGGCCUGUUUGAUCUGUCGACUGGCUCCGUAGAGACUGCAUCUGAGUGCGACAGCAGUGAUCCAGCGGCGGAGGUCCUGAUGGUCAAUGGACCUCAUAGCCCUCCCGGCUUCCCCUGCAUCGACGGGAUGGACGAUGGAGGCGACCCCACUCAGGCUCACGAAGAAUAUCAGCCCGAGCCACUCACUUCUCAACAAAGAGAAGAUCUUCGCCGCCGGAACAUGGAUGCCCUACAUACUCCUAUCGCGGGAGAAACUCCCGAGGCUCGUGCCUUGGAAGAGGCGCGUUUGGCCAACUUGGCUGAAUGCACUCGACUGGAGAACCUCCAGCGAGCACUCGACGAGCGUGCGUGGCAACGAGUACCCGACUCCAGCCGACGUCAGCUCUUUGCACAACCCACUCAGGUAUAUCGGACUCCGAUUCAGAAUUUAGCAGCUGCAGCCCGUAUUGCGGAGUCAAUUCAGCCCUCUCAGUGGGAGGCUGGAAGAGGCUUGAUGCAGAUCAGGGAUUUGCUCUGGGCAGCAGGAGAUCAGAAUUCAGUUGUGUCACAGUAGCGCAACAAGAUCCACAGUCGAUCCGUCGCUGCGAAUACUGUUCAGUCGGCUCACAGCCCAAGGUCACCUCCGAGGCGCGUGGGACAUGAAGGCCGGCGGGACCACUAUGAUGACCGAUUUGUUCAUGAUGACAGGCGUCGAGUGCCCACUCCUCCCCCGAGAGGUGGGUCUAACGCCCAUCGGCAACAAGAUGACAGGCGCCAGCUCAGUGUUGGGCGGAGAGCUCCGGUCGACCCCAGAGAACCAGGCUUUGACGCGAGAUCCAUCAUCGUGCAAGGUUUGGUCAAUCGGAACAGAGCUCAUAGAGGUGGCCAUGACAGAGAUGCGCCCACUAGCAGCCGAGUCCAUGUUUCAGGUCCAGAAUGCUUUAGCAGAGCCAUCAGAGCCGCAGUGAUACCCCACAACUUCAGGUUGGCGACUGGGGUAAGUAAGUUCACCGGAGAGUCCAAGCCUGAAACUUGGCUUGAAGACUACCGAGUGGCGGUACAGAUUGGUGGCGGUAAUGAUGAGGUGGCCAUGAAGCAUUUGCCACUCAUGCUAGAGGGUUCGGCCAGGGCGUGGUUGAAUCAGUUAGCUCCUAGCAGCAUUUACACUUGGGAAGAUCUUUCCCGAGUGUUCGUCAGGACAUUCGAGGGAACUUGCAAGCGACCGGCCGGAUUGACGGAGCUGCAAGUCUGCGUACAAAAGUUGAGUGGAACAUUGAGAGAUUACAUCCAGAGAUGGAUCACUUUUCAUCAUACCGUGGAGAAUGUGUCGGACCAUCAAGCGGUUUGCGCCUACAAGGAUGGUGUCAAGAACAGAGAGUUGAGCCUGAAGUUUGGUCGAACCGGAGAUACGACCCUGAGUCGAAUGAUGGAGAUUGCCACCAAAUACGCUAACGGUGAAGAAGAGGACAGGCUCCGGAGUGGCAAGUAUAAGCCGAGUCAAUCGGAAAAAGGAAACUCCAGUCGGAAGCAGAAGCGGAAGGCCGAGCCAUCUGCUCCUGAAGAGGCUCUGGCCGUGACUCAGGGCAAAUUCAAAGGGAAGCCCAAAGGAUCUUGAAACCCCAAGAAGGUAAAGGAUAAAGAAGGAAAUGACGUGAUGGAUCUACCAUGUCACAUCCACACGAAGAAAGACGAAGAGGGUAACUUCAUCUACCCGAAACAUACCACUCGCCAGUGUCGGCUCUUAAUCCAGCAGUUUCAAGGAAAACAACCCAAGGACAAAGAGAAGGAGUCGGACAAGGCCGAGGACAAGGAGGACAGUGAUGGAGGGUACCCUCAUGUCAAUUCCACCCUGAUGAUUUUUGCUGAUGUAGAGAGCAAAAGUUGACUGAAAGUGAUCAACCAUGAGGUAAAUAUGGUCGCCCCGGCGACACCAAGCUAUCUGAAAUGGUCGCAAACUCCCAUUACGUUCGACCAGUCCGAUCACCCUACUCACAUUGCCACCCCUGGGAGGCAAGCGCUGGUGGUCGACCCAGUCGUCGAAGGCACUCGACUGACGAAGGUAUUGAUGGAUGGCGGCAGUGGGUUGAAUAUACUAUAUGCAGAGAUGCUCAAGGUAAUGGGCAUUCCGAUGUCCAGGCUCAGCUCCAGCAACAUGAGUUUUCAUGGAGUCAUUCCUGGAAAGAAGGCUGAGUCACUCGGCCAAAUAGCUCUGGAUGUAGUGUUCGGCGACUCGAAGCAUUUCCGCAAAGAGAAGCUAACAUUUGAAGUCGUGGAUUUCCAGAGCGCUUACCACGCUAUUUUGGGAAGACCAGCCUAUGCCCGCUUCAUGGCUCGACCAUGUUAUGUGUACCUCAAAUUAAAGAUGCCUGGCCCCAAAGGCGUGAUCACUAUCACUGGCAGCCGGAAGAAGGCAGAAGAGUGUUUCCAGAAAGGCUCGAAGAUUGCGGAUGCCCAGAUAACAGUGGUAGAGCUGGAAGGAUACAAGAAAAAUGCAGAUCCGAGUGAUGUGUUGCGGGCCAAGAAGCCCGCCACAGAGUCAGCGUUCCAGUCGUCUGGGGAGACGAAGCCAGUUCAUAUCCACCCAACUGACCCCAAUGCAGCUCCGACCCAUAUUUCCACAACACUCGACUCUAAAUAGGAAGAAGCGCUCAUCCAGUUCCUCCGUGAGAACUGGGACAUCUUUGCAUGGAAGCCAGCUGACAUGCCGGGUGUUCCUAGGGGGGCUGGCUGAGCAUCGCCUUAGAGUCGACUCAAAAGCGAAACCUGUUAAAGAACAUCUUCGACGGUCCGCCGUUCAGAAGAAAAAAGCCAUUGGCGAGGAGGUGGCUUGACUCCUUGCAGCAGAGUUUAUCCGAGAGAUAUACCACUCCGAGUGGCUCGCCAAUGUCGUCAUGGUUCCCAAGAAGGACAACUCACUUCGCAUGUGCAAUGAUUUCAAACAUAUCAAUCGGGCCUACCCAAAAGAUCAUUUUCCUCUCCCUCGCAUCGACCAAAUUGUCGACUCGACUGCGGGAUGCGAGAGAUUGUCUUUUUUAGACACCUAUUCCGGGUAUCAUCAGAUCCGUCUGUAUGGACCUGACGAAAUCAAAACAGCUUUCAUCACUCCAUUCGGGUGCUUCUGCUAUAUCACCAUGCCAUUCGGUCUCAAGAAUGCCGGAGCCACAUUCAUGAGAAUGAUUUAAAAGUGUUUACUCACUCAAAUCAGUCGGAAUGUGGAAGCGUACAUGGAUGAUAUCGUGGUCAAGUCACGAAAGGGUUCCGACCUGUUGACUGACCUAGCUGAAACAUUUGCCAAUCUCAGGAGAUAUGAUAUCAAGCUUAAUCCAUCAAAGUGCACAUUCGGAGUACCUGGCGGAAAGUUACUCGGUUUUCUUGUUUCAGAACGAGGAAUCGAUGCUAACCUAGAAAAAGUUGGCACCACACUCCGAAUGAAACGCCCUGUGCAUGUGCACGAUGUCCAGAAGCUUACUGGAUGCUUGGUCGCAUUAAGUUGAUUCAUCUGUCGCCUCGGUGAAAAGGCGUUGCCUCUUUACCGACUGAUGAAGAAGACAGACAAGUUCGAGUGGACUCCAAAAGCUGAUGCAGCGUUUGCUGAGCUAAAAGCUCUACUCUCCACCCAGCCGGUGCUUGCUGCUCCAAUCAGCAAAGAGCCUCUGUUGCUUUACAUUGCAGCCAUAGGACAGGUCGUCGGUACAGUACUUACGGUAGAGCGGGAAGAGGAAGGGAAAACCUUCAAAGUUCAGCGCCCAGUGUAUUAUCUCUCUGAAGUUUUGACUCCAUCAAAGCAAAGAUAUCCUCAUUAUCAGAAGCUCGUAUAUGGGAUCUACAUGACCAUGAAGAAGGUUGCUCAUUAUUUCUCUGAUCAUGACAUUACAGUCGUCAGCGACGCACCAUUGUCAGAGAUUCUGCACAACAGAGAUGCAACUGGUCGAGUGGCUAAAUGGGCGAUUGAACUCCUUCCCCUUGAUAUCAAAUUUGAGGCAAAGAAAGCCAUUGAGUCCCAGGCUAUAGCAGAUUUCCUUGCCGAGUGGAUUGAACAACAGCAACCGACUCAAGUUCACUUGGAGCAUUGGACCAUGUUCUUUGAUGGCUCUAAGAUGUUAAAUGGUUCUGGUGCUGGGGUAGUUUUGGUUUCCCCCCGAGGAGAUAAGCUCAGAUAUGUGCUCCAGAUCCACUUUGAUUCCUCCAACAAUGAAGCAGAAUAUGAAGCACUUUUGUAUGGGUUGCGCAUGGCCAUUUCACUCAGCAUCCGGCGCCUUAUGGUUUAUGGCGACUCAGAUUUGGUGGUCGAUCAGGUGAUGAAGGAGUGGGAUGUUAGAAGCCCAGCCAUGACUGGAUACUGCAAUGCAGUGAGGAAGCUCGAAAAGAAAUUCGAAGGGUUAGAGCUCCACCAUAUACCCCGACUGAAAUAUCAAGCGGCUGAUGAUUUGGCAAAGAUAGGAUCCAAGAGAGAAGCCAUCCCCAGUGAUGUGUUCUUGGAGCAUAUCCAUACUCCAUCAGUCAUAGAAGAUCCUUUUACCAAGGAAGCUCCGCAACCUAAGAGUGUUACGGAUCCGACUGAGGUUGAAGUUCCAGCAGUGGUCGACCUGAUCAUGGAAGCUUUAGUGAUCACUCCCGAUUGGACAGUACCAUAUAUCGUGUAUAUCUUGAGGAAAGAGCUCCCGAAGGACGAAGAAGAGGCUCGACAGAUCGUCUGCCGAUCUAAAGCCUUUACUGUGGUAAGGGGGCAGCUGUACAGAGAAAGCGCGACUGGAGUUGGUUAGAAAUGCAUAACGCCGGAGGAAGGUCGAAUAAUCCUUGAUGACAUCCACUCGGGAACCUGUGGCCAUCAUGCAUCUUCCCGGACCAUUGUGGCCAAAGCAUACCGAGCCAGAUUUUAUUGGCCAAGAGCGAAUGAAAUGGCAAAGGAGAUAGUCGACAAGUGUGAGGGAUGUCAAUUUUACUCCAAUAUGUCACACAAGCCCGCCUCAGUCUUAAAGACCAUACCACUCGUUUGGCCCUUUGUAGUAUGGGGGUUGGAUAUGGUCGGCCCUUUGAGAACAGGCAGAAGCGGUUUCACCCAUGUGCUGGUAGCAGUUGACAAGUUCACCAAGUGGAUUGAGGCCAAACCCAUCAAGAACCUCGAUGCCGAUACUGAUGUCAGCUUUAUCAGAGAAUUGAUAUUCAGAUAUGGAGUCCCGCACAACAUCAUCACUGACAACGGGUCAAACUUCGAUUCCGAAGAAUUCAGAGCUUUCUGCAUGUCUCAAGGCACACGAGUCGACUAUGCUUCAGUCGCCCAUCCACAGUCGAAUGGACAGGUAGAACGAGCCAACGUCUUGAUUCUCAAAGGGUUGAAACCCCGUUUGAUGCGUGAUCUCAAGCAUGCGGCUGGUGCAUGGGUCGACGAACUUCCCUCGGUGCUUUGGGGGUUAAGGACCACGCCCAACCGGUCGACUGGAAGAACUCCGUUCUUCUUGGUCUACGAAGUUGAAGCAGUCUUGCCGAGUGACCUUCUCCACAAUGCUCCUCGGGUCGAGCUCUACACCGAAGCUGAAGCAGAACAAGCACGGCAGGAUGCAGUCGACCUUUUAAAGGAAGAAAGGGAGAUGGCUCUGAUCCGAUCGACCAUUUAUCAACAAGACUUGCGUCGCUUCCACGCCAAAAACGUGAAGAGUCGAGCCUUCCAGGAAGGAGAUUUAGUUCUCCGAGUGGAUCAGCAGAAACCACACAAGCUUGCUCCUUCUUGGGAAGGUCCCUUCAUCGUCACCAAGGUUCUCCACAAUGGAGCAUACCGUCUUUACAAUGUCGAGCAUCAGAUCGACGAGCCCCGAGCUUGGAACGCGGAGCUUCUCCGCCCCUUUUACACUUAAGUAUUCACUCGGAUGAGUUGUAAUAAAAGUACUUCUGUAGUUUAUUUAUCAAAGACAAGAGCUUUAUAAUUUUCCCAGUAAUUGUUAUUACUUUUGCCCACAUAAAGCAAUCCCCCAGUGGGUGGCUUGGCUGCGAAUCUGAUUCGCCUAAGUCUGUAAAAAAAUCCAAACCGAGUGGUGAGCCAGCCUCCCACUUGAAGGCUUAGCUGCGAAAUCCGUUUCGCCUAAGUUAAACAAAAUCCUACCGAGUGGUAAGCCAGCCUUCCACUCGGAGGCUUAGCUGCAGUCCAAGUACUCGCCUAAGUUUUUGCAAAUCCUACCGAGUGGAAAGCCAGCCUUCCACUCGGAGGCUUAGCUGCAGUCCAAGUACUCACCUAAGUUAAACAAAAUCCUACCGAGUGGUAAGCCAGCCUUCCACUCGGAGGCUUAGCUGCAGUCCAAGUACUCGCCUAAGUUAAACAAAAUCCUACCGAGUGGUAAGCCAGCCUUCCAUUCGGAGGCUUAGCUGCAGCAUUGCGCUCGCCUAAGUUCAAAUACAACAUGCGCUCUACAAGGAAGACGAGGUGCAGGUCGACUGCUACCCUCUCCUUCCGAGGUACGCCAAAAAUACAACAUGCGCUCUGCAAGGAGGACGAGAUGCAGGUCGAUUGCUACCCUCUCCUUCCGAGCUACGCCACAAAAAAAACGUGCGCUCUGCGAGGAGGACAAGGUGCAGGUCGACUGCUACCCUCUCCUUCCGAGCUACGCCACAAAUACAACGUGCGCUCUCCAAGGAGGAUGAGACGCAGGUCGACUGCUACCCUCUCCUUCCGAGCUACGCCACAAAUACAACAUGCGCUCUGCAAGGAGGACGAGGUGCAGGUCGACUCCUACCUCCUUCUCUAGAGGUACGCCUUGAAAAUCCUACCGAGUGAAGAGCAGACCUCCCACUCGGGGGCUUAGCUGCAGCCCAGUGCUCGCCUAAGUUUUUGAAACUCCUACCGAGUGGAGAGCAAACCUCCCACUCGGAGGCUUAGCUGCAGCCCAGUGCUCGCCUAAGUUUUUGAAAAUCCUACCGAGUGGAGAGAAAACAUCCCACUCGGAGGCUUAGCUGUAGCCCAGUGCUCGCCUAAGUUUUUGAAAAUCCUACCGAGUGGAGAGCAAACCUCCCACUCGGGGGCUUAGCUGCAGCCCANNNNNNNNNNNNNNNNNNNNNNNNNNNNNNNNNNNNNNNNNNNNNNNNNNNNNNNNNNNNNNNNNNNNNNNNNNNNNNNNNNNNNNNNNNNNNNNNNNNNNNNNNNNNNNNNNNNNNNNNNNNNNNNNNNNNNNNNNNCUCGCCUAAGUUUUUGAAAAUCCUACCGAGUGGAGAGCAAACCUCCCACUCGGAGGCUUAGCUGCAUCCCAGUGCUCGCCUAAGUUUUUGAAAAUCCUACCGAGUGGAGAGCAAACCUCCCACUCGGAGGCUUAGCUGCAGCUCAGUGCUCGCCUAAGUUUUUGAAAAUCCUACCGAGUGGAGAGCAGACCUCUCACCCGGAGGCUUAGCUGCAGCCCGAUGCUCGCCUAAGUUUUUGAAAAUCCUACCGAGUGGAGAGCAGACCUCCCACUCGGGGGCUUAGCUGCAGCCCAGUGCUCGCCUAAGUCUAUUGGGGAACAAGUCGAUUGCAAUGAGCGCCUCGCUUUAGCCUGCAAAAGACACCUCAAACCAAAUGCAAACAUAUUCAACAUCGAAUCCAAGUUUGGAUAACACCUAACGGAACCGAAAGUGCUCAGGCGCUAAGCCUGUUAAGGUUUGUCGGUUACAAAACUCACUCGGCAUACCGAGGCAAAUUUAAAGUAUCAAGCUCAGAAGUUUUUUACCCCUCCUGUGGAGGGCUGGAAGGUGCAACAAACUCAUCCAGGUCAAUUCCAUCCGCAAUCCGAGUGGCAGCGGCGAUGAAGGUCUCCAUGAAAGAUCGGAAAUCGUGCUUCUUGGUGUUAGCCACCCUAAGGGCCGCCAGCUUGUCCUCUCGUGCAUCCUUGCAGUGAACGCGGGCCAGAGACAGAGCAAUAUCCGCGCCACACCUGGCAGAAGACUUCUUCCACUCCUGCACUCGACUUGGGACCUCGUUCAGUCGAGUCAUCGGAGACUCGAGGUCGUUCUGGAGCGUCUCUCUUGGCCAGAGUGUUGUGUCGAUGCGAGAAGUUGCGACCUUCAGCCUUGCGAGAUAGUCGACGACAGCAGCAACGCGAGAUUCAAGCCGGAGCACGUUCAUGGUGACUUCAUCUUUCACGGGGGAGUUGAUGGGAUCCAGGUUUAUUUCCAGUCGACCAGUCUCCUCUUCAAAGUUCUGGCAAAAUUCUGCAAGCACAACCACCGAGUCAAGACAACAGUUGGAUGGAAAGAACACAGUUAAAAUGUCUGUUUGAUACAAAAGAUUACCUUCAAGCAUGAGGAAUAGCUUCUUGGCGAGUCCACCCAGAUAAACCUCCAGAUCGUUCUUCUUUCCCACCAACUCACUGGCCUUGUCACUCAGGGAAAUCUUAUCACUUUUCAGUCGACUGGCCUCCUUGUUGGCAGCAUCAAGAGCAGCUUUCAGAUUGGUGUUUUCUUCUUCAAGCUUGGUGACUGAAGCCAGCUUCUCAUCUGCGAGCUUGGUCUUCUCUAAAGCCGCUUUCUGCAUCUCAGCCAAGUCAAGGUCUUUCUUCUUCAGGGCAUCCCUCACUUUGUCUGCAAAGUUACAGUGAGAUCAGACUCUGAAACAAACGAGAGGCAAAGGCAGUCGUCGAGGGCCUCACCAAACAUACCUUUAGCUUCCUCCUUCGCCUUCGUUAAGUUCUCUUGGGCCAGUUUCAGAUCAAGCUCAAGCUGGAUGUGUUUGUUCUCCAACUCAGUAUAAUGAGCCGCAAGGUCGCAGGAUUUCUACGAAGAACCAAUCGACAGAUGUCAAAGACAAUUCACUUCCGAGUGACUAAGGAAAAAUCAUAGCGUUUCUAAGACUACGGCCGAAUACAAACAUUCGACCAUAGUCUCGGGGACUACACCCAGUGGGUGCACUCAGCGUGCCCCCACUAGUUUUAUUAGUUAGAGUCGACCAGUCGACCAACAACAAAAAAAAGGGAGGUGUUCUUCAGACUAUAGUCGACUGCCAGUAGUCGACCGCAAUCUCGGGGACUACACCCAGUGGGUGCACUCAGCGUGGUCCCACCGGUCUAUGAAUCCAUUCGACCUAGUCGAGUAAAAAAACUUAAGACAUAAAGACUAUUGUCGACUGCCAGCAGUCCACCAUAGCCUUGGAGACUACACCCAGUGGGUGCACUCAGCGUGCCCCCACUAUCCCGGAAUUCCAAUCGACACACCCAGUGGGUGUAGGACAAACUCUAGGAAUUUCAGAAAGAAGGGUUUUCAGAUAUCAUAUCCUAACAGAACAGUCGGUGACUGACUGACCUGAACAUUACUCUGAAGAGCUGAACUGGCGUCAUAGGCUGCCUGGCUGGCUUCUCGGAUUGCCUUCACUUGCUCCAUCAUGACCCCCGCUUGGCGUAUUGCUUCUUUAGCAGCACUAACUUAGUCUUCUGGGACGUGGUGGGUUGAGAAAAGCGAGGGUUGAGCAGCACUCGACGAUGAAGAACGGGCACUCGUCAAUGGCACCGCAAAGGAUACGGUAGGCCGAGUGACAUUGUCUCCCUCCACGACCAAUGUCUCGGGUGCUGGCACGUCCUGAGUUGCCUUGCCAGCAGACGCUUUCCUGUUCCUUCUUUGCCUCAGUGGUUCCUCGUCGUCGUCGUCGGGAAGGUCGAUAACGACGUUAGAUGAAGCUGCAGAAAAAGAAUCAAAAUUAGAGACAAGAAGCCAAUCGACUGAAGACGGAACUACAAGAGUCAUACCAGGUUUCGAAGUAACAGCAUCCUCCAUCUCCUGAUCUUCAGCCCUGACCGAGGUAUCAGAAGUAGCAGCACUGCAGUUCCAGAAGUCAGUCGAUUAGCUCCUGAGUCGACCAAGAAUAAGUUCAUGUGGAACAGGCAAACUCAAGUUACACCAUUACCCUGAGAUAGUGGGGAUCACCAUCUUCAUCUUCGGCAAGACCUACGCCGACUUCGACGGUGCCACUCGAGAUUGCUUCGGAGCUUUCUCAGUCGGCACCGGAGAAGUAGUCCGAGGGCGCUUGGUCGACUGCGUGACGGUUGCGACCCCCUUACCACGCUCAACCGCGGGAUCAUGGACAAGCUUCGAGCGUCUUUCCGAGUGAGGAGGUACAACUUCCUCCUCCUCCUCCUCCUCUUCCUCCUCACCAGAGUCAUCACCCUCAUCAUCGUCAUCAGCAUCCGAAUCCCACUCCUCCGGGCUUUCGCUCCCACUUCCUUCCUCCUCCUCAGUCGGUGUUUGCGCUCCAUUGGGCAUUGAGUAUAACUCAAUGGUGGCUUGUCAGACAACAAAACAAAACAAAGGUCAAUCGACCAAUUCGCAGCGAAGCAGAAUGAAUAAAGCAAGAUUACAAUUGGAGAUAAGUGGUCAUACCGUGUCCGGUGUGUAGGUAUAGUCGAGUGGUGGGAUCCUCCUAGCCCCUUGAGGGUUGUCCUUAUUCCCUGUGAUUGCGGCCACCCACCUCUCCAGUGUGGCGUCGUCGACCGCUUCUGGAUGGACCCGAGUGGUGUCUUCGGUACCACAGUACAGCCACAUCGGGUGGCCUCGGUACUGAAGCGGUUGGAUGCGCCGUCUAAGGAAGACCUCCGGAAGAUCCAUACCCGUCACUCCGUCCCGAACGAGCUGGACUACGCGCUCCAUCAACAUUUUUACCCUGAGCUUUCUCCUAAGGAAGCACCUUCAGAGAAGAGGGUUUGUCCACUCGGUCCAUGGAGAACGGAGGGAGACCAGUCGACUGCCCCGGCGUCGACUCGUCUUGGCAGUAGAACCAGGUCGACUGCCACCCUCUGACCGACUCAGGAAGGGUCAUGGCCGGGAAAGUACUCUUACUCCUCAUCUGAAUCCCAAGACCCCCGCACAUUUGGAUAACCUUAGUGCUCUCAUCAUCCGGACUCGCCUUUUUCACCGUCUAUGAGCGACAGGUGAAUAUGUGCUUAAAGAGACCCCAGUGUGGUCGACAACCUAGGAAGUUCUCGCACAUGGACACGAAAGCAGCAAGAUAGGCAAUGGAAUUGGGAGUGAAAUGGUGGAGUUGCGCCCCAAAAAUGUUCAGAAACUCUCGGAAGAAAACACUCGGCAGCAGAGAGAAUCCACGGUCUACAUGAGUGGCUAGGAGAACGCACUCACCCUCCUGCGGCUGCGGUUGCCACUCGGUCCCCGGAAGCCUUGCUGACCCGUGGGAGAUCAGACCCUCGUUGGCCAGGUCAUUGAGAUCCGCCUCGAUGAUGGUCGAGCGGAUCCAAUCCCCUUGGACCCAACCUUGCGGCAGGCGGGACCUUGAUGAAGAUCCGCCCCGACUGGACGCUCUUCCCUUCGCUUUCCCCGUCGCCGUCGCCUUCUUCGCAUGCUCCAAGACCGCCGUCUUCUCCUUCACCAUUGUUGCCGGCGAAGCACGCGAGGAGUGGAUAGGCGGAGGCGAGAGCAGGCACAGCGGGCGGAGGUGAAGAGGGCAGAGAGGAGAAUGAGACGGCACUGUUCAAAAACCCUCGCCUUGCGCUUUAUGUAAGGACGCUUCCGAGUGGCUGACAAGUAGGCCCGGGCGGUCCUGUCACAUCCCGAAACAGUCGCGCACGUGUGAUACGUGGCGAAAAAGGCGGCGCGGAAAUCGAGGCAUCCACGCCUUAUCCCUUCCGAGUACCGCGGUCCGCCCCGCUUCGCGCGCUUCCCAAAAUUCGGAUCCCACAAAAUCCGCUAACGGCAGAUCAAUCUGUCAGACGAUAGAUUUCCUGCGAUCCGUCGCUCGGAAGUUCACUAAGUUCAAAAGUUCACUCGACAGAAGAAAGGAAUGGAUCAAGGCGACUGAAAGAAAAAUUGCUGCCAUCAUUACAAAAGAUUAUUGAUCCAAGAUGAGACAUGUUCGGAACACAAAAACUGGUCGGAAAGAUUAUCAACUCCUUCCUCACUCAAACCUCGAUCCAUUCGGGGGCUAAUGAUGAAGUCAUGUACCUAGGGUAGGGUCACGGGUCUGUCCAAAGUAUCCUCCCCAAGGACAUCUUCAGAAGAAGCUACCUUCCGGUCGACCAAGAGGGAUUCCACUCGACGGACUCGAAGACACUCGACGAUGAAGACUCACUGGACCACCAAGAGACCAAGAGCCACUCUGCAUUCAAACGGUCUGUAAUUAAGUAGUCUUUAUAGUCAUGAUGACACUUUAUGUAAGGCGUUACUAGUAACGCCUAUCUUUAUGUACUUUAAACCCUGCAUAACUAAGGGCCGGAGGGGUCGGGCAGACACUAUAUAAGCCACCCCCCUCCUCGGUGUAAAGGGUUCGCACCCCUGUAACUCAUACGCACAUAAUCUAGUCGACCGCCUCCGGGCUCCGAGACGUAGGGCUGUUACUUCCUCCGAGAAGGGUCUGAACUCGUAAAUCCCUUGCGUAUACAACUACUCCAUAGCUAGGAUCUUACCUCUCCAUACCUACCCCUCAUUCUACUGUCAGACUUAGAACCACGACAGCUGGGGCUACAGUUCCUCUCCGGUGGCGAUGCCUAGGACUUCGAAGGUUCGACCUUUCCUCCCCACCAUCUUCCCCUCCGACCAACUAUUCACUGCUCUGCAUACUGUCUGAAAUACGCUUUGGUAGUACACUACAGACUAACACUUUUUAACCCUAUCAUCGAUGUAGAUGUAGAACCUGGAAGUUAGUGAUGAGCCACACUGUCAAUUAAACGAAUGCACGGCAAGUGUACGCCAAAUGACCCCAUUGCUCUUCGUCGGUAGUGUAGUCGUAGUAUCUAGAAACCUCACGCGGUCACAACAACCAACAAUAAUAGAUCGAUAAAUAUAUGGUUGAGUAUUCCCCCUUCCGGCCCGCUGGCCACUGCUCUGCAUACUGAAAUGCAUUAACUAGUACAACAUUAACAAUGGUUAAUCCCAUGUCGCUGUAGAGUGUAGAAUCUAUCCACUGAUGAGUCACUCUGUCAGUUAAAGAAAUGGGCGGCGAAUACACGCCAAAUCCUUGCUGAAUGGUGCUGCUGAAUACGCCAAAUUUGCCUCACGCAGCAGGCCAGAACAACCCACAAUAAUAGAUCGAUAAAUGGUUAAACUUUGCGUUAGCCGCUAGACAGCCAUAUGCAUUGUCGUCACUAAAUUUCAAUCCGCUUGGUUCAGGCAGCGGCUGUAUAUACAUGUGGUUGGUAGUGAGCACAACUACCGUCGAUAGAAAUACAAAUUUGGCAAUGCGUACUUGUAUAUAUGGGUGCGUUGAGGCGUCGCUGUAAAGCCUAACUAACGACUGAGUCUCUAGACCAAAAGGCAGCCUAACUAGGCGAGUGAACCCGUCCAGUGACGAGAUGCUGCCAAUUAAACUAAUUUGCGAUGAGUACACGUACGCGAAAAUCCUUUGCUUAAUGGAGCCGCCGGUUACGCCAAAUGCCUCAUUGCUCAUCGUUGAUCGUGCAUAGGACCUCACAGUAAAUGGUUAAAAUUUGUGUUAGCCGGCAAGCAGCCUUAUGGAUCACAGCUGCAAGCCUUUUCACUAAAUUCCGAUCCCUAAUGCAGGCUUUCGUUCAGGUAGCCAAAUUAGGUGGGUGUGGUUGUUCUUGCCAUUAUAUAUACAUGUGGUUGGUUCGGCGUGCAGCUACUGUCUAUAGAAAUAUUAUUAGAAAUGAACAAUGGAUACUUCUAUGAGUGCAGUGGGGCGUCGCUGUAACUGCCUAACUAACGACAAAGUCCCUUGAUUAGAAAGCGUCAAUGAUGAGUGUCACACUGUUAAACUAAUUUGCAAUGCGAUGGAGACUUGGCAAGUCUUGAUUUAAAAAGAGUAAUUUCCAAUAUCUACCUAAAAAGAGGGCCAGACUAAAAGAUGGUUGUGGAUAGCAGGCUGUGAAUUAAGCUGGCCAUAGUGAGGAGUAUCAUAUACUAGUAUCAUGCAUAUGAUACUAGUGUAUGAUACUACAUCCAUAGUGCAUAGUAUCAUAGAUUAGUAUCAUAGAUGGUCUCAUUUAUUGCUAUACAUUACACAUAGUAGCAUUACAUUCAUUAUGAUACGAUAUCUACCUAUGUUACUAUAACCCCUCUUUCUUUUUUAAUUGUCUGCCACAUAAGCAUCUUUACGAGUCCCAAGUGCAUGAUACCAUUACUAUGGCCAGCCUUAGCAUCAAUCAGCGAGGUAAUUGCCCAAUCAUGACCCGAGAGCCUUAGACCUGUUCUCGGAUCCAUAUCCAUACACAGAAAACCUAGCUAGUGAUGAGUCACACUGUUAAUUAAACUAAUACGCAGUGCUAUCUUGAGUACACCAAAUUCGUGAUAAAUGGAGCUGUUGGGUACUCCCUCCCUUUUUAUUUAUUUUAUAUAUUAGAGUUGACUGAAGUCAAACUUCGUAAAGUUUGACCUAGUUUAUAGAAAAUAAUAUAAAUAUUUACCAUAACAAAUCUAUAUGAUGUGAAAAUAUAUUUAGCCAUGAAUCUAAUAGUAUUGAUUUGUUAAUGUACCUGUUAAUAUUUUUGUCUACAAACUUUGUCAAAAUUUAUAAAGCUUGACUUUGACCAAAGCUAAUAUGCGAAGUAAAUAAAAACGGAGGGAGUACACCAAACCCGCCAAAUCCGUAUAAAUUAUCAGUAAAAUUUAAGCCAUGAUGAGAAAUAGAGAUGGGAUUCCCAAGAGAUUAACAAUGUUACUCAUAUGAGUGCGGUGAGGCAUCGCUGUCUAACCUUAACGACAGCCUGACACAAAAUUAACUAAUAUGCAAGGACGUGAGGGCCGGCAAUGUCCUGAUUAAAAGAUACUCUCUCCAUUCUGAAUUACUUGUUUUGGAUUUGUCUAUAUACGGAUGUAUCUAGCACUAAAAUGAGUCUAGAUACAUGCAUAUCUAGACAAAUCCAAGACAAGUAAUUCGGAACGGAGGGAGUAGUUGUGAGUGAACGGGCUGCGAAUCAACAUCAAUCAGCUAGGCCAUUACUUCAAUAUGCCCUGAGAGCCUGAGGCCUGCAUCUCAAAUCCAUCCACGCAAACGCUCGCUGGGAGAGGUAGAGAGAGAAGCUCGUUUGGUACCGAUGGAGGUCACCAUGGUGAGCAUUGGCAGGUCCGUGCUCAGCGGGGCACUUGGCUUCGCCAAGUCCAACUUCGCCGAGGAGGUGGCCCUGCAGCUCGGAGUAAAUCGUGACAAGGCCUUCAUCACCGACGAGCUGGAGAUCAUGCAGUCUUUCUUGUUGACUGCGCACGAGGAGCGAGACGAGCACAGCAGGGUGGUCAGGAUCUUGGUGAAGCAGGUCCGUGACCUUGCCUACGACGUCGAGGAUGGCCUUCAGGAUUUCUUCCUCCAUGUCCACCGGAAAUCCUGGUGGCGCAUCCCUCGCACACUCCUCGACCGGCAUCAUGUCGCAAGGCAGAUGAAGGAGCUGCGUGCCAAGGUUGAGGACGUGGGCCAGAGGAAUUUGCGCUACCGCCUCAUCGAUGGUACUUCCGAAGCUUCCCAUCUCUCCAUCACCACUGUUGCUCCCACGUUUGAUGUUUCUAAAGCACUAAGGCAAAUCACGGAUCAGCAUCAAUUAAGAUUAACAUUCAGUCUUGCCCAGCUGAUCAUCGCGCAAGAAUUGUUCUCGAAUAAUCAAAUCAGAGUGAUCGGAAUUUGGGGGGCAAGUGGCAGCAUUGGGCAUGCCUCCAUCAUCUGGGAUGCCUACUAUAAUCCAGAUGUAAAGCUAAAUUUCCCUUGCCGAGCAUGGGUCCGGCUGGCAUCCCCUUUCCACCCAAAAGAAUUUGUUCAAAGUAUAGUGAGACAGUUCCGAGCAACUGCCGAAGGAUUGGUUGAUUUUCCAUUGGAGUUGGAGCUGGAUGAGGCAAAAACGGGGCAAGAGUUGGCUGACGAAUACAGUAGGUAUGUCGAUGAGAAGAGGUACUUGAUCGUGCUUACUGGCCUAUCCACCAUUGAAGAAUGGCUUCAGAUCAAGACUUGCUUCCUGGAAAACAAGAUGGGGAGCCGAAUCGUAGUGUCCACAGAGCAAGCUGAAGUUGCAAACCUUUGUGCAGGCCAGAAAAGUAAGGUUUACAAGCUCGAACAAUUGUCUGAUGAUCAUACCAUCUAUGCUUUCUACCUGGAGGUACUGGUUCAAUUUCAGACACACCCUUUUGUUAUCCUAUCUUGCUCAAAAUAUCACCUAUAAAAAACCAUUAUGUUAUGUUGAAUUUUAGUUCCGUUAUUUAUAUGUUUGCCUCAUAUAAUCCUUCCCGGAACCCCACCUGGUGUGGGAGCUUCUAGCACUGGGUUGGUACCUUCUUUUUAUUUAUAUGCUUUUGCGGGGAUGCUAGCACUAGUAACCUUCUAUUUUAUACUCCCUCCGUUCCUAAAUGUAAGUCUUUGUAGAGAUUCCACUAUGAACCACAUACAGAUGUAUAUAGAUGCAUUUUAAGUUUAGAUUCAUUCAUUUUUGCUCCGUAUGUAGUCCAUCUAGUGGAAUCUCUACAAAGACUUACAUUUAGGAAUGGAGGGAGUGUGUUCCAUAGAUGUAUGUGUAGAUAUCAGUUGUACAUUUUUUGUUCUCUUCAAACAGAUUACCGAGAAUAUGGGUAAGGGUAUAUCAGCUUGAUCCUCCCGUUCAGAAUAAUUUCUCUGUUUGGACAAGGCCGGGAAGAAGAACUUCCUGGUCCAGCCGAUCUCUCAUGCUCAACAAGCUUGAAAGCUUCUCUCGUUGACUCUCCUGGGCAAUAUUAGAGACAUUCCCAGCCUCCCUGGAUUAGCCUUCGACCAUGUAUUCCUUGCUGGUACCACUGCCCAGUUCCGAAGGAGAGGUCACCAUGUUGAGAUGGGGACGGUGCCAUCUAGUGGAGAUUUCAUCCAAAAUACAAGCAUCACGUUGCAAUGCUACAAAAAAAAAACCUCUGAUCCAUAAUAAGUGUCGCAGUUUUGAACCAACCCCAGUUCAAAACUGCGACACUUAUUUUGGAUCGGAGGGAGUAUGUGGUUCAUGAAUAGUUUCUUUUUAUCUUUGUGUAUGAUUACUUUUCUAAAUUCCCAUUUGCUGAAUUUUUCUAGCAAAUUCAAGCCCGAUCUGAGCAAACUGACUUCUAUACAUGCCAAUUUUUUUCCUGUUUAUCUAUUUUUUGGUUCUUUGUCUCGUUAAUAUUAGUGUGUAGCAGUAGGACAUAUGCACUGACAUGAUUCACCAAUUUUUGUCUGGAGUGAUUCAUCACUGGAAACAUGACUACUAUUGCUUGCUUGUGUUCAGUAUUUCUACAUGACAUUGGACUGCACCAAGAAAGUGAUACAAGAAGACCAACCUAAUACAGAUGUUGAUGGAAAGAACGAGAUACAAGAAGACCAAGAUGAGCUCACACACUCCAACAAGAUGGGUUGUGUUCCAAGGGAAUUUCAGCUUAUUGGACGGGAGAAAGAAAAAUCUGAUAUUAUUGAACUGAUUCGAGAACUCUCUAGCAUCAGACAGUUUGAGGUGAUUGCGGUGUGGGGAAUGAGUGGUUUUGGAAAAACCACUCUGAUCAAAGAUGUUUGCCAGGGACAAGAGGUCAAUGACAUGUUUGACAAAACUGCUUUUGUCACGGUCUUGCAGCCUUUCAGGCUUGAGGGGCUCCUUAGGAGCUUGGCAUUGCAACUAGAUGCAAGCAAGGGAAAUAUUGCUUCAAUGGGAGUUGCAGAUCUGACUAGAGUGUUGGGUAGGCAUAUAAAAGGAAAGAGUUGCUUGAUUGUUCUUGACGACCUCCCAUCUACUACGGAAUGGGAUACAAUAAUGGCAAGUUUAGGUGCAAAGGGUACUUCAAGCUUGGUCAUUGUGAUCACCACAAGGCGGGAGGAUGUUGCUAAGCAUUGUUGCAAAAAACCAGAAUGCAUACGCUUGCUCAACGGUCUAGAAGAAAAGGAUGCGUUGUACCUGUUCACAAGAAAGGUACUGAAAUUAUUUACUUUAUCAUUGGCAAAGAAAAUAUUUACUUUACCUCAAUUCAAUUUUAUAUUUGAGAGUUUAUAUUUCAACCUAUUUUUUGCCGUUUCAUAUUUCAGCCUGUAUUUUGUAAGGCACAACACUACCAACGACCCUUUCCUGGAAGAGAUUACUUCAAAGUGCCACGAGAAAACAUAAAUUGGGCCAUCGUGAUAGAAUGUACAAAAUAUGUUUGAGAGAUGCGCAGAAAAUGUUAUUACUUAACUUGUACUCUAGUUCAUUUUAUAGUAAUAGAUAGAAUGUUGUUUCAUAUUUACAUAUAUAAUUAGUGUGUACAGAACUAUUUCCUAGCCACUCUAAUAAAAAAACUGAUAGAAAAAUUGGCACGUCUCCCGCUCUGAAGUUUAUUGCCAUGACACUAUAAAACAUAGCCUAGUGUGUAUUCAACACUCAAAUAGGGACAACCUAGUGAAUAAAUAUACUAGGUAGACUGGUUUUCCUGCACUUGAUUCAUUUAACUGUAGAGUGACAACAAGACUACUUGUAUUUUGGACAAUUGCAGGUAUUUAAGAAUAAGAAAACAGAUUUGGCUCGGGAGUAUCCUAAGCUGGUUGUACCUGCAAAACAAAUCCUGAACAAGUGCAUUGGGCAUCCCCUUGCUAUAAUCUCCAUAGGUAGUUUCUUGGGAAGCCAACCACAAAAAACUGUUGCCGAGUGGAGGAAAGUGAAUGAGCUUCUCAGUGUUCAGCUGGAGAUGUAUACAUUGUUUCAUGCCAUAAAACUAGUCCUUAUGAAAAGUUAUGAUGGCUUACCCUAUUACCUCAAGUCUUGUUUCCUUUACCUAUCCAUCUUCCUUGAGGACCGCAAUGUUAGCCGAAGACGUCUGGUGUACCGAUGGGUUGCGGAAGGUUACUCAAGGGAUAUAGCUGUAGCGGAUAGUUACUUCAUGAAACUCAUAGAGAGAAGCAUGAUAUUACCAACUCAGGUUUCACAUUGCGGCGUACAAGGAAUUGACUCCUGUGAGCUACAUGAUCUGAUCCGUGAAAUCUGCAUUGCAACGUCAAUGGAGGAAAAUCUUGUUUUGAGGCUGGAGGAAGGGUGUAGCUUGAACAUGCAUAGCACAGUGCGUCACCUUGCCAUAAGCAGCAAUUGGGACGGAGAUGAGACUGAGUUGGAGAACACCGUGGAGCUGUCCCGUAUACGGUCGUUGACAGUGUUUGGCAAGUGGAGGCCAUUUUACAUUUCUCACAAGAUGAGGUUUCUUCGGGUGCUGGAUCUAGAAGGAGUAGAAGGUCUAGCUGAUCAUCACCUUGAGCACAUCGGGAAGCAUCUCCAUCUGAGAUACCUUUCUCUAAGAUGGUGUGAAGGCAUCACUUACCUCCCAGAUUCCAUCGGUAACCUGAGACAUCUCGAGACACUAGACAUCAAAGGGACAGAAAUAUUUAAACUGCCCAAAACCAUCACCAAGCUUAGUAAGCUACUUAAUCUCAAAGCUGGUCGCCCAUCCCUUUAUCCAUGUGAGCUUCACAAGGGGGCGAAACUACUAUGCUGCAUACCUAGCCGCAUGAGAUUUAACUGGCGUCAUGGUGCAUGCACUCCUUUUGCUAGGUGUAUAGAGGGAUACAAUGUUGGUGUUAAGGUGCCAAGAGGGACAAGGAAAUUGAAAGCCCUGCAUACACUGCGGUAUGUGCACCUUGCCUGGGGAAAUGCCAUUAUAAAAGAGAUAAAAUGUCUCACCAGCCUGCGAAAGCUAGGAGUGGUCGGCAUCAACAAUACAAACGGUCUGGAGUUCUGUUCAGCCAUUUCCAGUCUCUGCCGUCUUGAAUCGCUGUCAGUGCUGGCGCAUGAUAGCUUAAAUGGCUGUUUGGAUGGCAUGUGCACAGCUCCAGAAAAUCUCCAGAGCCUCAAGCUGUCCGGCAGCUUGGAAAAAUUGCCGGUAUGGAUCAAGGGGCUUCAGAAUCUGGUGAAGCUGAAGCUCCAGUUCACCACACUAUCAUGCAACUGGGCAGCCAUGGAGACCCUUGGGUACCUGCCAUACCUAUCCAUUCUGGGUUUGCAUGAGGGGGAGUCUAUGAUGGAUGUAAUCAGGUUCCAGAGUGGUCUGUUUAGAAAACUCACGGUGCUCGAUCUUCUCUACUUUAGCAUGGAAAUCAAAUCAGUGGAGUUUGAGGAAGGAUCAAUGCCCAAGCUUGAGGUGCUGACCCUUUUCCUUGAAGAUACUGAAACUGCCUUCUUUGGGCUAGAACAUCUGCGAAGCAUCAAGGAAGUACGGCUCGGGGUUCAGUUUAACGAGAAUUCAACCAAAUUCUCAGAAAAUAUGAGCUUAGAAGAAAUGGAGAAAGCAGAAGAACAGAGUAAAGAAGCAGAGAAGAAAACAAAACUCGUCAAAGACAAACUGAGGAAGGAGUUGCAGAUCCAACUUCAUAGGGAUGAAAACCGGCCCAUCUUGAAGGUGGAAUGAGUUUAGAAACACGGGGUUACUUCUGUCUUAAAUAUCCUGACCGAGUCCCUGCCAUGCCAUGCUACCGUGAAGUCUAUCUUCUAUCUGCUCUCUUGUUUUCUUAUCUAAUGCAUUGCUUGUUAUAUUGUAAUAAUGGGUUGAAAUAAAGCCCACGCAUCGACAACAUUGUUGUUCUGCGGCCGUUAUAGGCGGUUUUCCAUUUUGUGCUUAGGUUAUCUCUUUGAGUUGCUGAAAAAUGAAUGUCCACUGCAAUUUAUAUAUGCUAUACUCUGUAACUGUAUGUUCUGGCGGUGCGUGCCCACCAUUGCUGGGCUGCUUAAUAAGGGUGGUGUGAUAUCUUAGGCAAUUGUAAACUGUCUGGAUUAGAUGCAGGAAUCUCGUCAGUACUCUUUACUAGUAUGUUCUAGUAUCGUCUGCGAUGCAAUGUAACCCUUUUUCUUUUACCCUCGGUGGUCAUGAUGACAUUUCUGCUUUUGGGCUCUGCUUUGUUUCUGCGAAGGAUGAGUGGGCACACUGCCAUACAAUACAACAUGCUAUCUGUCUGUAUGUUCCGGCGAUGUGUAUAUACCAUCGUUGGGUGCUCUGUUGUAAGAAGGUGGUGGUAAUACCUUUGGUAAUUGUUUGGAUUAUACAUGCAUAAAAGUUGUGAGUGUUUUGCAUCAUAUGCGAUUGCUUGAUUGCUAUCCUGUCCUUGAUCAUGUCAUGCCGGUCGCUCGGCUCUGUGUUCCACCUGUCAGCAGAAUGAAAUGAAUGAUGUAACCACAUGUAAUCCACGUAGUCAUCUGCAGCUUAGAGAUGAAGGGAGGGAGCACCUGCGCAUGUAGGGAUGCAGGGUGGCGCCCGAUCUGAUCCGCCCCGCUUCCAGUUCAAAACGAGAAAAUCUGUUUUAGCUGGAGUAGAGCGCAUUCCUUUGUUUUUAUUUUAUUUUCCUACUCUUAUUUAUAUUUCUGAAAAAAUGUUUUACUUAUGUUUUUAAAAAUUCAACACGUUAAAAAUGGUAUAGCAUUCAAUAUUUUACUUAAUUUUCCUACUUUGUUUGUGCAAUUUUUCAAAAAAAAAACAUUCAAAGAAAAUGUUCACACAUUUAAAAUUUUGUUCAUGCCAUUUUAGAAAACAUUCAACUGCAUUUCAAUAAAUUCGUGCAGUGUAAAAUAUAUAUUUUCUCACAUUUAUUAAGAUGUUAGUACCAUUUAAAAAUGUAUUUUUGAUAUUUAAAAAUGUUCACACGUUAAACUUUUUGUUUGUGACAUUUUUCAAAAUGUUAAUGAAAAUGUGAAGUUUAGUUAACAUGGUUUGAAAAAAAAACGUUCAUACCACUCAAAAACUUAUUCACAAAAUUUAGAAAGACGAUCAUGCGUUAUUCAUGGAAACACAAACAAAUGUUUAUGCAAUUUAAAAAAUAGUUAUAUGUAUGUUUAAAAAGUGUUUUCUGUAUAUUUGAAAAUGUUUAAUGUAUAUUUUACAAAUGUUCACCACAUAUUAGGUUUCAACAUGUAUUAAUAAAUAUUCAAAACAUAUCCAAACGGGCGAGCUCCUUCGCCUGGUCUAUGGUCAGGCUGCGCCACCAUCCUCCCGGCGAGGCUGCAGUGUGUUGUCGACUUCUACCAUCCUCUCGAGUGCCACAAAGUCGUGGACCGGCCCCUCAAAUAAAAUGUCGCGGGUGGCCAGUUAACUGGUCAACCACUGACUUGAAAAAAAAAUACGAUUUAAAAAAAUAAAAAAUAAAAAAAUCAUGAAUUCAAGAAAAAAUUACAGAUUUUGAAUUUUUUUUGACAAACUUGAAAAAUAUUCAUCGAAUGUGAACUAAAAGUUCAUUGAACUUGAAAGAAAGUUCAUCCAAUUUUAAAAAGUUCAUCAUUUUUGUAAAGUUCAUCAAAUUUGAAUAAUCAUCAAUUGCAAAAAAGUUCAUCAAUUUUAGAAAAAGUUCAUCGAUUUUGAAAAAAAGUUCAUCGAAAUUGCAAGCAAAUCGUUGAUUGUGAAAAAGUUCAUGAAUUCAAAAAUGGUUCACAAAAAAAAGUUCAUCAAUUUUUAAAAAAUGUUCAUCAAUUCCAAAAAAAGUUUAGAAUUCAAAAAAGGUUCACAAGAAAAUGUUUGCGAACUCGAUAAAAGUUCGCAAAAUCGAAAAAGGUUCACGAAAUUAAAGAAAAAGGAAAAACAGAAAAAAAACCGGUCAAAAAGAAAAAAAAUGAUUCACGUCAGUUAUUUGAAGAACUAUAAAUGAUGCUUUCAAUCACAAACGGACGCCGCUCAUACACAGCCUGUGGGGUGUAGGGUUCGUAAAACCGCGAUUGCGCGUGGUGAAGGCGGCUGUGGCGGAUAGGGCAGUAUACAGUAGGGCGGCAGCAGCCAGCGGCGCGCUGCCGCCUUCGACCAUCAAGGUGGCAACCGGCGACUUAGCGAGGCCGCAAGGGUGAACAGAUCUGCAGGUGGCGCCGAAAAGAAGACCGAGUACUUGAAUGGUAGUGUUUCUGAGUUGCCGUCGAUUGAAAUUGGACUACAUCUGGUAUUUAAAUACAUACGUACAUUCUCCAGUUUUAGAUCCAAUCACAUAAGUACAAUAGUAGAAAAGGGGGCAAUGGUCCAGGCCAGGUCAGCCCAUUAGUCCCGGUGCAAUCCAGAACCGGAUCAAUGGGGGCAUUGGACCCGGUUCGUUAGCCCCGGGGUCCGGCCGGGUCACGUGGGCUAUUGGUCCUGGUUCGUCUGGACCUAUUGGUUCCGGUUGGUGGGACGAACCGGGACCAAUGCGCCUCGCUCCUGGGCCACCACCAUUGGUCCCGGUUGGUGGCAUGAACUGGGACCAAAGGUUUCCCUUUAGUCCCGGUUCAUACCACCAACCGGGACUAAAGUGUUGGUCCUCGUUGCGUCCAGAGUUUAAUCCCACCUCGCCAAUCGAAGGAGGCUCACACCGGUUUACAAGCCCCUCUCUCUCUGCCUUGUUAAGCUGCUCUCAAAGUGAAAAUAGAUGCCCUUAUACAGGAAAUUUGACCUAAAUUCAUAUUGAAUUUCUCCGAAGUUAGUAGAAAUUUAUUAUGAAUUUAGGUCUAUUUUUCUCUAUAAGCGCAUCUAUGCUCAUUUCUGAGUAGUUUUUUAUAUAGUUUUUUUUCUUUUUUGCNNNNNNNNNNNNNNNNNNNNNNNNNNNNNNNNNNNNNNNNNNNNNNNNNNNNNNNNNNNNNNNNNNNNNNNNNNNNNNNNNNNNNNNNNNNNNNNNNNNNNNNNNNNNNNNNNNNNNNNNNNNNNNNNNNNNNNNNNNNNNNNNNNNNNNNNNNNNNNNNNNNNNNNNNNNNNNNNNNNNNNNNNNNNNNNNNNNNNNNNNNNNNNNNNNNNNNNNNNNNNNNNNNNNNNNNNNNNNNNNNNNNNNNNNNNNNNNNNNNNNNNNNNNNNNNNNNNNNNNNNNNNNNNNNNNNNNNNNNNNNNNNNNNNNNNNNNNNNNNNNNNNNNNNNNNNNNNNNNNNNNNNNNNNNNNNNNNNNNNNNNNNNNNNNNNNNNNNNNNNNNNNNNNNNNNNNNNNNNNNNNNNNNNNNNNNNNNNNNNNNNNNNNNNNNNNNNNNNNNNNNNNNNNNNNNNNNNNNNNNNNNNNNNNNNNNNNNNNNNNNNNNNNNNNNNNNNNNNNNNNNNNNNNNNNNNNNNNNNNNNNNNNNNNNNNNNNNNNNNNNNNNNNNNNNNNNNNNNNNNNNNNNNNNNNNNNNNNNNNNNNNNNNNNNNNNNNNNNNNNNNNNNNNNNNNNNNNNNNNNNNNNNNNNNNNNNNNNNNNNNNNNNNNNNNNNNNNNNNNNNNNNNNNNNNNNNNNNNNNNNNNNNNNNNNNNNNNNNNNNNNNNNNNNNNNNNNNNNNNNNNNNNNNNNNNNNNNNNNNNNNNNNNNNNNNNNNNNNNNNNNNNNNNNNNNNNNNNNNNNNNNNNNNNNNNNNNNNNNNNNNNNNNNNNNNNNNNNNNNNNNNNNNNNNNNNNNNNNNNNNNNNNNNNNNNNNNNNNNNNNNNNNNNNNNNNNNNNNNNNNNNNNNNNNNNNNNNNNNNNNNNNNNNNNNNNNNNNNNNNNNNNNNNNNNNNNNNNNNNNNNNNNNNNNNNNNNNNNNNNNNNNNNNNNNNNNNNNNNNNNNNNNNNNNNNNNNNNNNNNNNNNNNNNNNNNNNNNNNNNNNNNNNNNNNNNNNNNNNNNNNNNNNNNNNNNNNNNNNNNNNNNNNNNNNNNNNNNNNNNNNNNNNNNNNNNNNNNNNNNNNNNNNNNNNNNNNNNNNNNNNNNNNNNNNNNNNNNNNNNNNNNNNNNNNNNNNNNNNNNNNNNNNNNNNNNNNNNNNNNNNNNNNNNNNNNNNNNNUCACAACUAUUUUUGCUUCUAUUUAUUUCUGAGUAGUUUUCUAUAUAGUUUUUUUUCUGCUAUAUUUAUUUUUUUCUUUUUAUUUUUGAAUUGUAAUAAGUCAUUAAAAAUAAGCAUCUAAGCUAAUUUUUUUAGUAAAGUUAAUCACAACUAUUUUUGCUUCUAUUUAUUUCUGAGUAGUUUUUUAUAUAGUUUUUUUCUUUUCUGCUAUAUUUAUUUUUUCUUUUUAUUUCUGAGUUGUAAUAAGUCGUCAAAAAUAAACAUCUAUGCUCAUUUUUUAGUUAAGUUAAUCAUAACUAUUAAAAAUAAGUCAUUAAAAAUAAAAAAAGAGGCGCAAUGCUCGUUAAUUUGCUUCAAGCCUUUCGGAAUAGUGUCAACUACACUGCACAUAGCCUGUGCAGUCUACUCUAUUCCUCAAGGCUUGAAGCUAACCAACGUGCAGGUGAGCAUUGAGCCUCUUCUUCAUCGUCUCUGCACUCAGGGCUUAUAAACAGCUGCGAGUGCCUCUCCCUUGGCGAGGUGGGACUAAAAAAACAGCUGCAAAAAGAAUGCACUAAAAAACAGUUGCAGAAAAUAAAAAAUUAGACGGGUCCAUUUGGUACCGGUUGGUGGCACGAACCGGUACCGGUUGGAGCCACCAACCAGGACCAAAGGUCCUCGUUUCCCGCCCUUUGCGCUGCCGAAAUGAGGCCUUUGGUCCCGGUUGGUGGCUCCAACCGUGACUAAAGGGGGAGCAUUGGUACCGGUUUGUCGUAUGAACCGGGACAAAAGCCUUUGCUAUAUAAGUAGCACUGCCGCCCCGCCCCGAGUUCGAUCUCUCCCGACGCCGAGCGCCGUCCCCUGUCACCACCUCGCNNNNNNNNNNNNNNNNNNNNNNNNNNNNNNNNNNNNNNNNNNNNNNNNNNNNNNNNNNNNNNNNNNNNNNNNNNNNNNNNNNNNNNNNNNNNNNNNNNNNNNNNNNNNNNNNNNNNNNNNNNNNNNNNNNNNNNNNNNNNNNNNNNNNNNNNNNNNNNNNNNNNNNNNNNNNNNNNNNNNNNNNNNNNNNNNNNNNNNNNNNNNNNNNNNNNNNNNNNNNNNNNNNNNNNNNNNNNNNNNNNNNNNNNNNNNNNNNNNNNNNNNNNNNNNNNNNNNNNNNNNNNNNNNNNNNNNNNNNNNNNNNNNNNNNNNNNNNNNNNNNNNNNNNNNNNNNNNNNNNNNNNNNNNNNNNNNNNNNNNNNNNNNNNNNNNNNNNNNNNNNNNNNNNNNNNNNNNNNNNNNNNNNNNNNNNNNNNNNNNNNNNNNNNNNNNNNNNNNNNNNNNNNNNNNNNNNNNNNNNNNNNNNNNNNNNNNNNNNNNNNNNNNNNNNNNNNNNNNNNNNNNNNNNNNNNNNNNNNNNNNNNNNNNNNNNNNNNNNNNNNNNNNNNNNNNNNNNNNNNNNNNNNNNNNNNNNNNNNNNNNNNNNNNNNNNNNNNNNNNNNNNNNNNNNNNNNNNNNNNNNNNNNNNNNNNNNNNNNNNNNNNNNNNNNNNNNNNNNNNNNNNNNNNNNNNNNNNNNNNNNNNNNNNNNNNNNNNNNNNNNNNNNNNNNNNNNNNNNNNNNNNNNNNNNNNNNNNNNNNNNNNNNNNNNNNNNNNNNNNNNNNNNNNNNNNNNNNNNNNNNNNNNNNNNNNNNNNNNNNNNNNNNNNNNNNNNNNNNNNNNNNNNNNNNNNNNNNNNNNNNNNNNNNNNNNNNNNNNNNNNNNNNNNNNNNNNNNNNNNNNNNNNNNNNNNNNNNNNNNNNNNNNNNNNNNNNNNNNNNNNNNNNNNNNNNNNNNNNNNNNNNNNNNNNNNNNNNNNNNNNNNNNNNNNNNNNNNNNNNNNNNNNNNNNNNNNNNNNNNNNNNNNNNNNNNNNNNNNNNNNNNNNNNUGUAAUUUAGAUAUGUAGUUCAUAUUGUGUAAUUUAGAUUGUGUAAUUAAUUUGUUCAUAUUAUGUUAGAUUUUUUUUUUUGUUAGUAGAUUUUUUUGUUAGAUUUUGUUAAAUUUUUUAUGAUUUUUGUUAGAUUAGUUAGAAAAAUACUAGUUAGAAAAAUGAAAGUACUUUAUUUUUAGAAAAAAACUAGUUAGAAAAAUACUAGUUAGAAAAAUGAAAAAAAUAAGAAGAGAAAGUGUUUAAUAUAAUUAGUUGUUGAACUAGCUAGUUGAUUUAAUAAACUACUUUAUUUUACUAUAUAUAGAAGUAGUUUGUUUUUAGUAAGUACUACUUUAUUUUCAUUCUUCAAAGAAUGUGCGGAAGAUGGUAGACAGAACCUACUACACCGAAGGCUCCGAAUUAACUUAUCAGGAGAAAACUCAUCUGGUCGCAUUUUGUACUGAUAUUGAGAAUUACAAUAUCUACAAUCAAACUCCUCAACAUUAUGGUCAAUACGUGCCACUAGUGCACGUGUUGAACUACGGUAACUAUCAUGGAGAUACCCUGGUAAGACUUUUUUACUAUUACGACAUACGUGAUCUUUUUGCACACUUCUAAAACUAGUACAUCAUUGCUAACUACGAAGUUAUUACUAUGUUUUUCAACAGAUAAUCCCGAAUGAUUGUGUGCCUCAUCUGAUGUAUACGCAUGGUAGCCUUCAUGUUUUGAACAUACAACCAGGUCGUCCUACGAAUCUCAACUGUUCAUACCGGGUUUCUAAAAGAAGUGGAGACAUAACAAUCAAAGAAUGGAAAAAAUGUAUGGACAGUCGUAAGGAGCUUCUUGAAAGCAACAAGCAGCGAAGGGCAAGAAUUGGAGACAGGAUGAUCGCCAUUCUUCAUAAUGGAGAGUCAGGGUCUAUAUUGUUUUAUGCUAUUUUACCUUAAGGAUGUUUAGGUCCUACCCGAUACUGAUGAUCAUGUGCUAAGAACAAUUAUGUAGGGUUGGGUUCGAUGACUAUGAGGAUGAUCGUAUGACUUAUUAUUAAUAACGAGUAGAAGUUGUAUGAUGAUGCAUAGGACUUGUUAUUAUAUAUGAUGAUGUAUGAUAUUGCGCAUGCAUGAGCAUGUUAUAUCAGCGGGUGAAAUGACAUAGCAGCAGCGUUGAUAUAAGAGAGAACUCUCUAUUAGCUAGCUAAUAACAAUCUAAAAAUAACCCCCAAAACCCCUAAAGCAGCCACAUUUGUAAAAAAAAUGAACUUUUGGUCCCGGUUGGAGCCACCAACCGGGACCAAAGGCCCCCCUGACUGGGCUCGGCAGACCGGCCACGUGGAGGCCCAUCUGUCCCGGUUCGUGUUUGAACCGGGACUAAUGGGUGGAGGUAUUAGUAACGACCCAUUAGUCCCGGUUCAUGAACCGGGACUAAAGGCCCUUACGAACCGGGACUAGUGGGUGUUUCUCUACUAGUGGUACUUGUGCAUUACAUUUAUUCUCUGCUAUCAUCUAGUUGAAAAAUUAAUUGAUCUUUUUUCCGCUUGUAGCUGGUAUAUGGAUAUUUAAAGGAAUUAAUCUUUAUGAAACUAAGAAAUAAAUUCAAAACAGGCUGAUAAGAAUGCCAUUGCCAUGGUGUACUUAAUAAAAGUAAAGCUUUAUUAUAAGAUGUAUUCUUUCUAACUAUCUUCAUUGGUAUAAAGUGUUUUCUAUGAUUUUAUCCUAAUAAUUACUAUUUCAUGAUUUACCAUGUGCAUCUUGUUAAUAAAGUUGAUAAAUUGAUGAUCGGUAAUCCAUGUAAUAUUCAUCGGUUGAGGUAUUUUGAUUACCAAUACUUUUUUUUUCAUCUAGCAUACGGAUAAGCAUUUUUGGAUUUCUGUUUGAUUUGUUGAAGAUAAAGUAAUUAAGGACAGUAUAACCGAGCCUAAACCGAGCUCUCUCAGCGAAUUAGGGUUUCACGAUCUGAUCUUUACUAGCCGUCAGAUUUCACGUCCAAAGCGAUCUGCCCCGUAAUCUGGGUAAUCUGGCCCAGCUGUCCUCUGGGCUGCUGCUCCAGAGGCCGAAACGAAGGGCUCUCGUGCAUUGGGCCGUCGGGCAGCCCAUUAUACCGCCUGGGCUUCGAGCGACAGCGUACAACUGACGAUGCGAGGAGAUGCUUAAAAAAACUGCCCACGGCCUCUCAUCUAUCUCAAUCAAUUCCCACACCCGAUCUCUCCUCUCUCUCUCACUCGCCCACGAACAGGUUGCGCCGCCACCGUCGUCGUUUCGUUUGGCUCCCACCUCCUCAUGGCGCAGUCCAUGCCCACCCCGUUGGAAUGUCGCCUCCGUCUCCGUUUAGCCGUCGAUGUCCUCCAUCUCUUGUCUUCCGUCUGAUAGGCCAACAGAGAGCAUCUAUUUCUGGGGGCGGCCGGCCACGAGAUCCAUCACCAGAUCGGUGGCGCACCGCACCCCUGAAGCAUGUAUCCAAUUUUUUUCUGGAGUCCUUGGGCGGGCCGCUGCCAGAUCUGCCACGCUCGUGUACACUAUAGCGAUGCAGUGGUGAGCAGCAAAAAGCAACAGAGAGUUUCGGGGACCGCCGGCGAUGUCGUCGUCAUGGAAUAUGUUGGGGCUGGAGGUGCUCUACUAGGUCAUCGAUUAGGUGGACCGCCUUCUCGCCCGGUCGUUCAGCAUCUACCCGCUGGUCAUCCUCAACUACAAGUGCAAGAGGUGCUCCUUCAAUCCCUUCCGUUUGUCCUUGGCUAUAUAGUGUUCUUGGGCUAAAUCUGUUUGACCAGCUGUUUGCUUGUUCCUCAGUCUGUGCAUGAGGAUUCACUUAAUCUUUUCCACACAAAAGAGUCUUUGCUUCCUUUGUCAUGUAUACGUGUCUUGAUUUUGGAAAUAAAAUCUUCAUAUUGAUGGACGGACCUGAGAAAUUUGUCCAGUACAGUGUCAAAUAUUUAUAAACUGCAGUUUUCUUUGAGCUGACGAUGAAUUGUGUCUUCGGGCAGCUGGAAAUUGUAGGAAUUGCCUUGAUUGCUUUCCUCCUAUGGCAAGAUAAUGGCCCUGUUUACAGGAGGGUGGCAUGUGUGGAAAGUAUCGGGAAAACAAAAAGUAUUUAGUACCGAGUAAAAUGAACAUUGGCAUAUAGUAGAAAAUGUGGUGUAUAUACACACUGCAGUUGGUUGUGGUGCUUAUAAACUAUUUAAUUUAUGAUCUGUUGUCCAUCUUAUCAUGAUUGUUGUAUAUCAAUUCCUGCAGUUAUGGCUAAAUAAAAAUCACGACUGGGAAGAAGACUCAGGGAAUAAGAACAGACCAUUAGGAUAUUUGGAUCAGAUCAAAAUCAGAAAAUCGUCACAAAACCGAAGAUACUGCAAAAAAGGUUUUUAAUUACUAAAUUAAGAGUUUUGGUGGUUUCCACAAUUGUAUGAAAAAUUGGAAUUUAAAUUUUUGACCCAUCGAGAUUUGUACUUGUGGCAGUAUGGUCUGAUUGUGUUUAUUUUAGUAACCACAUCCUCCACAACACGGCUUUUCAUAGGUAUUGCUUUCCCUUGACCAUUCCGAUAAUUAAUUAAGCUUUAUCCUAAAAGCCAAUUUUAUCAUUCAACCCUUAAGAAAAUGUGUUAUGCACAGAGAAGUGGCGUUCAAGUGUGAAGUCAGAAACAAACUAACACAUGUUGAUGCAGUUGUUCCCACAUACACACUCUUAGUUAUUUUCCUAUCUGACCAAAUGAUAUCUACUCUUUGUCCAGUUCUUGCAAAAAGGAAUGGAUUAUUGAAUGUUUGCUACUCCAUGGUAUGCUUGAUUGUUGUGUGCUUUUUUGAGCAAAUUGGAUAAUUUGUGGAAAAUCUGAAUUUUAUAUGACGGUCUGAACUUUCUUGUGCAUGAUUGUUGAUAAAUUAUUUUAUUUGAGAUUUGCUAAGCCAAAUUUAGGUGAGCAUACCAUUCCAGCACAUCAAGACAAAUGUAUAUUGUAGUAUUUCCAAAUUAUCGAUAUGGGAGGUUACCAGAGUAGUGUUGUUAAGGGUGUUUUGUUCCCACUACGAUUUGUCUUUCUGUUCUUAGACUUUUUGCAUGUUUUGUACUGGUAUUACAAAGCUUUCAUCAAGGUCAAUGCACACAGAGGUGACGCUGGAGCUGUCUUGCUCGAGGUUAAUUUUAUCCUACUUCGGCUCCAUUGCGCAAAGAUGAACAACAACCCAAGCAAAUUCGGUGCAAAAGACAAUAAAAGUAAUAAGUUAUCACCACUAUGAGCCCCCCUUUGGUUAAAGAUAACUUUACAUAACAACAUUGCAUGAUAAUUUGGGGUUUAAUCCUAAGAUACUCAUUUUUUAUGUGAUAUAAAGUGUUUCAUCAUCCCUUUAGCCUAAUAACACACUUUCUCACUAAAGGUUUCUUCUAUGCUUUCUAAUUAAUGGAGUGACUGUCGAGAUUUGAAUAGCGAAUGUUUUCAAUGUUUGAACGCCACAAUCUCCGUGGAAGGCAUACAGAUAGAACAAUUGUUUUAUUUUAUUAAGCUGAAGCAUGUCAAAGAUUAUUUAGUUACUUUGAUGGGAAAAACAUUGUAUUCACUUAGUACUCAACAUAACAGAAAUUAUGUUGAACUUCCUAUCAUUGAAACAUGAGAUGUUCCAUUGAAAGUUUAUUUAUGUGUCCUACAACAACUUUCAUUAGCAUAUCCUCCAUCCUAUCUUUUUGUUCUGUUAUUCGUUGAGGAGUUCUGUGGGGGUCGUUCGUCUAUUGGAGAAUGUGGGAGAGAGAAAGCAAGGUUGUUCUUCUUAAGUUGCUUACACGUUUGUAGGUUAGCCCCAUAUCUUUGUACAAGUUAAUCCGUGCUCUCUCACAUCAACUUCUUUUUGUUUGAUGGAUAAAUCUUCAUUCAUUAAACAACUCUUUAUGAACUAACUCAAACAUAUAAUCUUGUAGGUACCUUCAUGGCACGAGAUGGACAAUUUCAAUCCACCCUUUAUUCCAAAUUGUCUUACUGAUUCAUGCUAAGCAACUAUGAAAACUUCUGGAUGACCCUUUUUUAUAUAUUGUGUUUGAUGUAUCUAUAUUUCAGAAACCUAGAUCAUGAAUGUGGAUGGAAGCAAAUGGCUUAAAUUGCAAAAUAAAGAAUGCAUUAUACAAACUAUACAAGUUGCUUUGUAUCACUAACAAGAGCCAAAAUAGACGGGCGCAGCAACGCGCGCCAUCAAUGAUCUAGUAUAUAUCUAGUAUUGUAUCGAGUUCUUGCACAAACUCCGCCACACCUCAAAAUUACUCCUGCCUUCGCCACAUUGUCUGUGAGGGCCAAAGCGGCUUGGAAGAGCGGUGCCAAGGACGACAGGUAGACGAGGGGGUAUAUAUGGGGAGGGGGGUGGUAGGAUGGGUUGAGUGAGUAUCGGGUGAUACUGGAGCUUAGAUGCUCCCGCGAUACGAACUCCCGCGAACCGUUCGGUCAGAUAUCCAACGGUCAAAAAUAGAGCUCCUGCAACUUUGCAGAAAAAUCCUUCAAGAAUCUGGUAUUUACUUGCAAGUCCAAAAGCAUGGCUUACACCCGUAGAUCUCUGAUCCAAUGGCUCAGGAAAGCUUGUAUCAUGGUAGCACCUAAACUCUUGUACUCCCUCCUUCCAUCUAUAUAGGGCCUAAUGUGCUUUUUAAGACCGCCUUUGACUAUUGACAAGAUUAAUAGUACAUGACAUGCACAAUGUGAAAAUUAUAUUAUUGAAAACUUCUUUCACACACGAAUUUAACGGUGUGCUUUGUGUAAGUUGCAUGUCAUAUAUUAUUGCUUUAAUAUUUGGUCAAAGUUAGUCUCGAAAAAUGCAUUAGGUCCUAUAUAAAUGAAAGGAGGGAGUAUCACCUGAUAUUUUCUCAGGUUAGGGCCGGUGGUCGGCGAAUGCCACAAUUAAUGGCGGCGCAUUGAUGCGUAUGGCAGACAUCAGGUAGCCGUGUGGGAAACCGCUGCGUCAGGCCGACACACCCACUCGGCUCAUAGUACUAGGCGACGUAUAGCCGACGUAUAGCCGCUACUUUUUAAAAAGUGACCAUCGUUAUUUUUAUCAAGGGGUAUGCACCAAUCUUCGCUGUUGCUGUGUUAGGUUGACCGAAACAGAAUUCACUAGCACGGGAAAAAAAGUGUCAUUUGUAUUUUGGGGGCUUCUUUGAUUCUCAGCCUAAAAUUGCCACGCCUAACCUUAGUCAUGCCACAAUAUUUUAGGCAUGUAUUUGGUUCAUUGCCAUAUUUGUGGCUUGCCACACUUUUCUAGUUAUAUGGUGUCAUAGGAUCAAUUUUUUACCAAAUCUUGCUACACUUAUGGUGGCCAUUUUGUUAGCCACACUUUGCCUAACCUUAGUUUUUCUUUUUUUAAACCAUCACAUAUAUUGAUUAACCAAGAUUGUUAUUACAAUCAUUCAUUACAAUAUUCACCAUGCAGGGCUGAACAUCGUUAACAAGGAUACCAUCCCAUCUAUUAUCGAAACUAAACUUUGCAAUCAUAUGGGCAACAACAUUAGCCGAACAAUUAAUGUUGGAGUAUUUAAAAUUAUUUAUAAGCUUUGAUAAACUCCUCGCUUCCUUUUUCAAAUCAGCCAUUGAAGACCUGUCUCCUAUUUCAUUUGCAAGGGACGCAACCACAAACGCAUAGUCAGUCUCCAAAAUUAUAGGAUUGUGAAAGGUAAUACCUAUAUAUAGACCCGCAAUGCAUGCUCGUAGUUCCGCCUCCUCCAUGCUUUUACAAAGCCCAAUGUAAUCCCAGGAAGAGACGAGGACCUUCCCCGAAGAGUCUCUGACCACCACACCCACACUUGCAGCGCUAAUGCUCUCCAUAAAGCUUGCAUCGACAUUGAUCUUAAUAUACUCCGAAGGAGGGGGUUGCCAUAACACCUGAGUUUUCAUAGGGUUAGGAACAAUUUGUAAACCAGACAGCAGACCUUUACCUUUAUUUUUCGAGUCCACCUCUGGGCAAGAUUGACUUGCGACAAAUGAUGACCGAUAAUUCUCCACAAAAUUAGCAGAGGCCAAGACAAGUUCCUUCCCCGUACCAAAUAUCAAGUCAUUCCUCAAGUGCCAGGCUCUCCAGAAAAUGAAAAUAAUUUGGUCACACAGAUUAGCAUUCAAUUGCUCCAAAAGAAUAAGAAACCAAUCAGACCCCGAAUGCUGAAAAACCUCCUCCCCAGGAAGAUCCCAUAUAUCCCUCAUUGCCAUAUGCAACGCAUAUGCCUUAGGGCACUUGACUAGCGCAUGAAACGUAUUUUCAUCUUCCAGUCCGCAAAUAGAACAUGUGCUAAGAGUGGCUUGGUGGUGCAUGACUCUGUUUACCUGGACGUCCAAGUUAUUCGUAGCGACACGCCAAGCAAAAAUAUGAAUCUUCUGAGGAACAUUUGCCUUCCUAAUAAUAUCCCAAAUCUUCCUCUCCCCCAACACCGCGUCACUAUAUUGCCCUUCAUCUUCUUUACGUUCCUUUAGAUUAAGCGCAAGAAUGUACGCGCUUUUAACCGAGAAUAAACCAUUCUUCUCAAAAUGCCAACUUAAAAUCUCCUAUGCAUCAUGUGGAUAAAAUAAGUGCCUAACCAAAUUCUCAUCCCGUCUCCUCAGUCCACUCAAAAUUAAGUCAGACACCCAUUUGAUCAUGUUCAUGUUCUUCUUUGCAGUAACCUUAAGACCAGAGAUUCUUGGUAGCCAAUUAUCUCUCCAAAUAUUAAUAUUAGAUCCAUCACAUACUUGCCAAAUAACACCCGAUUUAAGCAGGUCCAAAACAUGCAGAAUACCUUGCCAAGGAAGCGAAGCUAAUUGUGGAAAAACAGUGUCAAGGAUAUGCCCAUGGAGAUAAUAUUUCGCCUUCAUCACCUUUGCGCAUAAGGAUUCAGGGUUAACCACCAAUCUCCAAGCCUGCUUAGCUAGCAGAGCUUGGUUAAAUAAUCUGAGAUCACAAAAACGCAUACCUCCCUCACUUUUAGGCCUUGUCAGUUUGUCCCAAGUCAACCAGUGAGUUUUCCUCCUAUCAUCCUCGUCACCCCACCAAAAGUUCCUUAUAAUAUGAGAUAGCUCCUCACAAACCGAUGCCGGGAAUUUAAAGAUGCCCAUGGCAUAAACUGGAAGAGCCUGAAGAACUGAUUUGAUCAAUGUUUCCUUCGCCCCACUAGAUGCAUAUUUUUCAAUCCAAUCCGAUAAAAUUUUAAUAGCUUUUUCUUUAGUAGAUUGAAAUUUACCCACCUUCAUUCUUUCUUGUGGCACCGGAAGCCCAAGAUAUUUGUCCUCAAAACCUUCAGCGGUAAUAGUCAAGAUUACCAUGACAGACACUUGGUUUUCCAUCCUACACUUCUUCCCGAACAUAAUAGAGCAUUUAUCUGCGCUCAAUAACUGUCCAGUCCCCUUCUCGUAAGUUGAAAUGAUAUUUUUAAUUGUCAACGCUUGAUCAAUGGACCCCGUGAAAAACAUAAGGCAAUCAUCGACAAAUAAAAGAUGAGAGAUACCCAGAGCAUGCCUAUUCACCUUGAAAUCUUGGAGAGCUCCUCUAGCACAUGCAUCCUCAAGCAACAAAGAAAGACCUUCCGCCACCAACAAAAAUAGGUACGGAGAUAAAGGGCCCCCUGCCUGAGACCACAAGAAGGGGAGAAAGUUUCCAGAAGUUGACCAUUAAAGCGCGCAGAAAAUUUGACAGAUGUGACACAAGCCAUAAUCCAUUUUAUCCAAACUGCAUCAAAGCCCAACGCCCCCAACACAUGCGGGGGCCAGCACGCGGCGGCUGCACUCGGAUGCUGCAACUACACGCAGCGGCGGCCACAACGCACACGCUGCCUGCACGCCUGGUGGCCACCAGGCACACGCCGAAGCACAUGAUGCCUGCGGCUGCACACAGUGGCCACCAUGCAGCCAUUGGGGAGGGGUGGUAAGGCGAGGGAAGUGACGCCUAUGAGCCUGUAUUGCUUCGGCAGCCCCUUCCAGGGCGGCCACCGUAGCUCCAGCGCCCAGGUCACCGCAACCACCUCCUCCUUCUCAACAUCCUCCGCGUCUGCAUCCACUCCUCCCUUCUUCUCCACUGACGGAGCGCUUCUCCAUGGUGCCCGCGGAUCCACCCCGUCCCUGCCAUUACCAAAGGGGAACCGCCUCACGGCCCCACGCCGUCGGUGCGGGAGGACGCCGGCGCACGACGGUGGAGAAGGCCGAGGUCGACAAAGCAUCGCUGCUGCGUCCUGAGGAUGCCGUCGGAGGAGGGGAGAAGGCGGCCUGUACAAGAGAGAAGGGGAUCAGACAGACGAGGGGAGGAGGAGACGUGCCUAUGAAGGAAGAGGAGAGAACGAGAGGCUCGAUACGGGUGCCGUCGGCACGCAACUUCUUUUCCUCCCACCUUUUUUUUCAUCAAUCUUUUCCUCCCACCUGACCGAGCGAUUUUUCCCAGCGCGUCUUUCUCUCCGACACACUAAAUCGAUACAGUAGAAUUGGGACAGGUGGAUAGCGCCAGGAUGCGCCCUUUGCACCAUCGUUAAUGGGUUGUAUUGCCGCGCCUAUCAGUGACUAUUCAGUCCUUUAAAUGUCUGCCAAGCCAACCACCGUCCUCAAUCCUCGUCCUCUCAACCACUUUGAGGUUGAGUUGCUUCCCGCUGCUGCGCUCUCCGUCUCCGCCUCCUGCUUCCGCCGGAUCUGCCAAUGGAGGCGGUGGAAGACCCCACCCUGGAGCCUGCGAUUGGCUGGCUUGCCAACACCAUCCUUGCAAAUCUCCUAGCCGGCGGCAAGCUAGACUCCUGGAUCCACCAUGCUGGCCUCGGCAACGACGUCAAGAAGAUCAAGUCCGAGGUGGAGGAGGUGGAGAUGGUGGUUUCUGCUGUGAAGGGGAGGGCGGCCGGGAACAAGCCGCUGACCCGGUCUCUCACAGCCGUCAAGGAGCUGCUCUACGGCGCCGACGACGUGGUGGACGAGCUGGACUACUGCAAGCUCCAGUAGGAGCUCCAGCCAGGUAAUUUUGGUAACACAUUCUUUUAGAUCCAAGUAGCUGCUGAAUUGCUUGCUUAUUCGCAGUUCCAACUUUUUAUUCUGCCUUAGAGACACUACUUCAAACGGAUGGGCAUGGACCGCUGCAAACUGUUCAUGAUUCCAGAGAAAAUGAUGAUGAUGUACAGAGUAGCAGUAAUGGCAGGUUACGGUCGAAGGAAUGGGUUCACUUUGACAUCAUAGAGUCUGAACAAAACGGAGGGCCUUCCAGAGCAAGAUGCAAGUAAUGUCAAAAAGAGAUCAUGUGCAACACAAAAAUGGGGACAUCAGUUGUGCGCAAUCAUCUCAAGAGCAAAGGUUGUAGCAAGAGACGUGGAGCAGCUGACCCUUCUUCAAGGUACCUAGAUUAUUUAGUGCCUUUGCACAUGCACAUUUCUUAGAGUCUCUUCUUUCAUACAUCUGCUUAAGUGUGCAUUAAGGUUCUCACUGUCAAUCCUGUGGUCUAUUUCUUAUUGCAGCACCGCCGAUGCUACUACAAUUCCUAUGCCUGUUGCAACCGGCCGCAGAAAAAGGAUGAGAACUGAUCAGGAGUCAACACACAUCACCACAGCUAACCCAAACGGGUGGAACAAGGAGGCAUUUUUUGAAAGGAUACAAGACAUCACUAGUCAGCUGCUAGUCAAGCGAGAGGCUGUCACAACGCUUCUCAUGAUACUUGGGUCAGACUCUGGUGGUGCAAGUUCAAAUCACUUUCAGCAUACAAUCUCAGAUCCACGACGAAGAACAUCAAGUCUUUUCCAAGGGAAAGUGUAUGGGAGAGCUGCAGAGGAGAGAUCCAUCAAAAAGUUGAUUGAAAAACACAAAUCAACUGCAGGUGUAACUGUUCUGCCUAUUGUAGGCAUCGGAGGAGUUGGGAAGACAGCUCUCGCACAGCUUGUGUACAAUGAUCCAGCUUUGAAAAGUGAAUUUGAUCACAAGAUAUGGAUUUGGGGGCCUAACAAUUUUGAUGAAAUGAGACUCACAAGGGAGAUGUUAGAUUGUGUCUCCCAAGAAACACAUGAUUGCAUAUGCAGCUUUCCCAAGCUUCAAGAGGUCUUGAAGGGUCAUAUUAAAUCAAAGAGGAUUCUACUUAUUUUAGAUGAUGUCUGGGAAGGCAUGGAUGACGGACGAUGGAACAAAUUGUUGGCUCCUUUCAAUUCUAGUGGUGCAAAUGGCAAUAUGAUUAUUUUGACAACUAGAAAACCGUUUGUUGCCAAAAAGAGAGGUACAACUGGACCAAUUUACUUACAUGGUUUGAAAAAUGAUGAUUUCUGGCUAUUGUUUAAGGCAUGUGCAUUUGGUGAUGAGAAUUAGGAAGAGCAAGCGAGUCUAAGUGACAUAGGACAGAAAAUAGCACAAAACUUAAAAGGAAACCCAUUAGCAGCACAAACUGCUGGGUCACUAUUAAGAGAUCAACUUACUGUGGAUCAUUGGAGUAACAUUUUGAAGACUGAAGAUUGGAAAUCCUUGCAACACAUUGGUGGCAUCAUGUCUUCUUUGAAGCUUUCCUACGAUGACCUACCAUACCCUGUACAACAAUGUUUCUCAUAUUGUUCCAUAUUCCCCUACAACUAUCAAUUUACUGCUGAGAAGCUAGUUAGUCUUUGGAUUUCACAAGGAUUUGUGAAGCGUGAUCAUUCAAGCAACAGUUUGGAGGAGAUGGAACAAUACUAUCUGAAUGAUUUGGUGAACCUGGGCUUGUUUCAGCAGGUUAAAAGUUAAACUUACUACAUUAUGUGUGGCCUGAUGCAUGAUUUUGCACGGCUAGUUUCAAGAACUGAGUGUGGAGCUUUGGAUGGUUUGCAGCACAAUGACAUUUUGCCAACUGUACACCAUUUAUCUAUAGCAACCAAUUUUGUAUAUAGGAGGGAUGGCCAGACUGAGAACAUACCUCGUAGUGAGAAGUUUGAAUUUUUCUUGCAAAAUAUAGUCACACCAGUGAGAAAGUUGAGGACAUUGGUGUUGAUUGGGAAAUAUGACUCCUUUUUCUUCAACACAUUCCAAGAUGUGUUUGAAAAAUCACAUAAUCUGCGUCUGCUGCAAAUGUCUGCAACAUCUAUUGAUUUUAAAUCUUUCUUAUGUAGCUUGGUAAAUCCUACACGUCUCCGGUAUCUAAAACUUGAGGAUGAUAAUGCUGAGCAGCAACCUUUGCCUCAUGUUUUGAGCAAGUUUUUCCAUCUUCAGGUAUUGGAUGUUGCUUUCUUUAUGUCAUUGCAUACAGUUCAUCUAGACGAUUGCGGAGAAGGGGAGAUACUUUCAUCUCUGGAAAUGCUUCGGUUUCUGAAAAUAUUGAAGUUGAGAAACAUGCGGACUGCAACAAAAGUAUCGUUUCCAUCAUUGGAGGAGCUUGUUUUAUAUAAAAUGUCAGAUUUACGGAGAUGUUCUUGUACUUCCGUGGAUGAUAUGAAAUCUAGUUUAAGGGUGCUGGAGAUCCAGAGUUGCCCUGCACUUGAGGUGUUUGAUCUAUUUCAGAAAGUUCAUAGCUACAAAAGUGAGUAUAAGUCAUGGUUGCCCAAUCUGAGGAAACUUAUUAUGCGCAACUGUCCUCAUCUGCAAGUACAGACCCCCCUUCCACCUUCAGCCAUAUUUUGUAAACUAUCAAUUAACGAGGUUUCACCAAUUAUGACAAUGGAGGGAUCUUCCAUGGAAAAAUUAGAGUUUAGCGGAUAUAAACUUUUGUGUGAUACACUUCAUGACAAAAUUUUGGCAUUCCAUAAUCUUAAGGAUAUCAAAUACUUGGAGAUAUUGAAUUGCUAAAGCUUAACAUCCAUUUCAUUCAAAGGCUUAAGUCAGCUCAUCUCCUUAAAGAGUUUGAAAAUAGUGAACUGCAGAGAACUUUUCUCAUCGGAUGAUGUGCCAGAGCAGACCCAUGAUGACAUGAUAACUGCAAAUGACGACGUUCUCUCGUCUCUUGAAAGUCUUGAUAUUGAAGGAUGUGGAAUAACAGGGAAGUGGCUAUCUCUGAUGCUGCGACAUUCACCGACCCUAAAGGAAUUGUGUUUAUACGAUUGCCCACAGUUGAAACAAUUGAAGAUAGAAGAGGAAGGAAAUGUUCAACCAAACCUUCUCCUAGUUUUCGAGGCUUUAUCAUCAGGGUAUGCAGAUGGAGUCGUGCACAUUCCGAUUCCAUUGAAUCUCAGAAAGAUAAAAAUUGGUGGAUGCCCUCAUCUAAUAUUUGACGGGAGUAGGGAAGGCUUUGCUGGAGUCCUCACAUGUAGGGAACGGAAGAUGUCUCCUCCGGCUUGAACAACUUGUUUGGUCUGAUUAUUCCCAAAAAACUCUGCGGCCCUGCUUUGUGGAAAAUCUCAAAAAAUUAAAUGUAAGCAGCAAAAGUUUGGAAUAUCUACAACUGGAUUCCUGUAAGGCAUUGGACGAUUUGGAAAUUAAAUUUUCCAAUCAGCUCGUCGCAUUAGAGGGCAUGCAAUCGCUUGGAAUCCUCAAGUCUUUGGUAUUAGCUUAUAACUCAAGAUUGAAAUCUCUACAGCUGCAUUCCUGCACGUCGCUGGAACGUUGGGAAAUUGAUGAUUGUAGUUCGCUUGUCACAAUAGAGGGCUUGCGAUCCCUCGUGAACCUCAAGAAUUUGAAAAUAGUCGAUUCCCCUGCCUUGGGUUCCCUUAUCUCAUUUGACAGUUAUGAGCCAACUGAGAGAUUUCCAAGUCAUAGCUAUGAGUUAUUCCCUGCACUUGAAAGUCUCGAGAUCGAUGCCUUGUCUCCCCUUAACAUGUCAUUCUGCAAGGACCUCACCUGCCUCCGAAGCCUAAAGCUUUUUUACAUGAAGGAUGCAACGAGACUAACAGAUGAGCAAGAGAGAGCGCUUCUGCUCCUCAGGUCCCUGCAAGAGCUCUGCUUUCAGGCUUGUAGGCAUCUCGUACAUCUUCCCACGGGGCUGCGGAGCCUCCCUUCCCUCAAGACGUUGAAGAUCAUAGAUUGUGAUGGCAUCUCAGGGCUUCCGAAGGAGGGCCUACCACCUGCGCUGGAAGAACUGAAAAUCUUCUAUUGCAGUGCCGAGUUAUCAAAACAAUGCAGAUUGCUAGCAACAAGCAAGCUAGAGGUCAAAAUUGAUGAGGACUAUGUGGACUGAUUACCGAGCAUCUUUCCAAGGUAUACUUCUACCAUAUACCCAGUCAUUUUUCGCCUAACCACCAAAACCAUACAGUUAUAUGCUAUUCAAGGGAUUGCCCAGGCCAUCCCCGUCCUGGGUCACCUGUUACAGUACUUAUAUUUGAAGUGGGGGAAAAUGCUUAACGUAUUUUUCUUGUGAUAUAAACAGGUUUGGUUUCACUUCAGGGCCUCACCCUCAACCUCAUGUGGUCAUGAUAAUGGUGUGUUCUGUUCCAGCCUUUUCCGUAUCACCAUUCUGAAUUUCUCACUGCUUGCUGAACGAAUCCAUCAUCUCGCUCUCGAGUGCCUCCUGUACGUUCCAGUGGGCCAAAAUACAAAACUGGAUUCCCGUACAAUGAUGAGACUGUAGUCUGAAACCCGUGAGUUAAGAAACUGUAUAUGUAAGUUGUUGUGCAAUGAUGUUGUAUUUUCAAGAACUGAUGCAGUUUUCGUCAGAGUACUUCCAUUUUUUCCGGGCCGGUGGUGUUGUCUGGGUGGAUAGCAGCGACAUAUGAAAAUGCUUGAUCUUUUGUGAUCUUUCUCAGAUUUUUUUCGACCACACUUCGUUCAUGGGUGUGCAGAUUUCUGUUCUUGAAAAUAAUUCUGAGCACCUUGAAAUGCUUGGGGGUGUACAAUCACAACAGAUGGGUUUUUCUAGCUCCAUUUGGGCAGCAAUCUGAACAGUCCGCACUGACUGUUACUAUCUUUGUUUUUCUUUUCAGAAAUUGUUUCAGAUUUUUUUUUCCAGAGUAUUGUGGUGUGUAAGAGUAGGAGUAUUAGCAGGUGACACUAUUCUUUACAACUGGGAAUUCCUUGAGAAAAUUCGAGCAUCCUGCAUUUUUCGGGUCCGGCGGUGGGCAGCAAGCAGAACAGAGGAUGCAUCUUUCUAGCUCUGUCUGUGAUCAAGUUUUAACAGUGCAGUCACUGAAUGUUUGUUUUAGUGGUGAUUUUUCUUGGAUUAUUCUGAGCACUAUGAUACUAGUAUAUUUUUCUCAAGUCCGGCUGUGUUUUUUUUUUUGAACAAGGUGUACAACAAUUGACAGUUGAUGCAUGUGUCGAGCUCUGUUAUAUUCUCUGUUAUAUUUGUUCUCCAUUUUGGUUUUCGUGGAUAGAAAAAAUACUGUAACUUGCAUCAUCAUUCUCAAUAAACAUGACUGAGAGCCCGAGACUUGUCUCAGAUGCUAAACUCGAAUCAGCAUCGAUGGAGCUGGUCGUUGGAGGGAGGGCGUCAUAGGCAUGCUUGGAUCGAACAUCUUAAUUGGCGAGUGAGUUUGGUUUUCAUCGAGAGAAAUUUUCAAUCUAUUCAUUGAUCAUUGCAGUACAGAAAACACUAUAGGUAAUAAAAAUUACAACCAGAUACAUAAACCAUCUAACAAUGACUACAAGCAUUGUAAUAAGCCAAAGACGCGUCACCGUCAUCAUCACUCCCUCACCGGAGAUAGACAGACUUAUUUUUUGAAAGAAGGCCAUCAUGGCUAGCUUUAUUAACUCAACAAAACGUUUACAUCAUCGGCUAGUUUAUGAAGGAGGAAACUAGGGGAUCAUCAUCCUAAAUACUAGAAAGUUUGAGAACUAGGUUGUAGCCUAGUGGCAAGGGAGCGCAGUGGCGUCUCCAUACAUGAUUGACCAUGUGAUAAGUCCCUUGAUUAAAAAGCGUAAUGAUUACUGUCAUAUUGUCAAAAUUGCUCAAAACGGAACCCGGAAAAAUCCCAGUUAUACGUAUUACUUAGCGUAACUCGAUAUUUAGUAAUUUUUCAUCCAAAAUAAAAUAAAAUAUUUGAGUGCUUUUUCAUGUAUACACUUUUUUUUAUUCUCCACCCGCGACGCGAACCACACUCAUCGCCUCUGUCUCGUUCCCCUUUCGCCCCGUGUUCGGCGCCAUGGAUUCGAUCUGCCGUCGGAGCCCACCGCCGCCGCUGCCUGGCCCCAGCCGCGAAGCGUGGUGCCCCUCCUCGCCGCCAGCCGCCUCCCCUUUUUGCUGGGCGGUGCCUCCGGAGGCCCCGCUGUAGGGCCGCAGCGCGGGCGAUGGUGGCCCGCGGCUCGAAGCAAUGAAGGGAGGGAGGGGGCGGUGGCCGUGGCUGCCCCGACCGGCGUGCUGGGGCCGCGCUUCCUCCCCGGCGGCGACGCCUAGGAUCUCCGAGGUUCGACCUCUCCUCUCCUCUCCACCACAUUGUUCCCCUCCGGCGGCCCGGGGGUGCUCUGCAUAUUGAAAUUAACAAUUAUAAUCCUGUCAGCUGCCAUCGAUGUGAAGCCUAGCAGCCAGUGAUGAGUCCCACUGUCAAUUAAACUAGUACGCGAUGCGAUCUUGGUGCUGAACGGGAGCACAUGCCUCACCCUAGUCCCAGCAACCCAUAAUGUGCGUGCAGAUCCAUAACUAGGUUUAAAUUUGUGUUAGCAUGUACACUUCAUCCUUGAACAUCGAGUUAGUAUAACAAGGUGCAAUGUGAAUGUGAUCUUGGGUACGCGAAAUCGGUGCUGAAUGGAGCAUAUGCCUCAAACAAGUCCCAACAACCCACAAUUUCUGUGCAGAUCGAUAGAUAGGUUAGGCUUUGUGUUAUAUGUAAUUGAUCCUUAAACAUUUGCAUUUGUUAUAUGCCUUUGUUUUACCCAGGCAGUGCCUCCGAAGGCAGCCUGGAAGCAGGGGAGGGAGGGGGUUAUUGACGGGGGUUGUGGCUGCUUCCACCGGCAUCCGCGCUCGCUGUGCUGGGGUUGUGAUUUCUCUCCAGCAGUGACUCCUAGAAACUCCAAGGUUUGAACUCUCAUCUCCACCACCUUCUUCCCCUCCGGUGGCCCGGGGUUGCUCUGACUAUUUAGAUUAACAGUUAAUCAUGUCAUUGUUGUAAAGCCUAGCUAGUGAUGACUCACACUGCUAAUCUAAUUAAUAUGCCUCACGCAAGUUCCAACAAUCCACCUAGCAUGUGCGUUCAAACUCCUUGAAUCCACAUCGACAUAAAGUCAAACACUGUGUUAGCAUAUACUGAAAGUUUGAUCCUUGAUGCUUGCCAAGUUGAUCCUUAAACAUUGCGUUACCAUGUGCAUUUAUAGUAGAUCAAUAAAUAGUCAAACUUCAAGCCAGCCAAUUGUUUAUUAAGAUUGGAAGUUGUGAAACGAUCGAGGUCUCGGUCGCUAAGUAAACUUCUGUUACGUAUCUGAACAGGACCUCGGAGCCUGAAAUCUGCAUCUCUCUGAGAUUGGCAAAUUCGUGUUUAAUGGAGUGCUUGGGUAUCCCACCAUGUAUUUGGAUGUUAGCUUUUCUCACCCAACAAACAUACUAUGGGAGGAUGUUAAGACUGAAAAAAACGAAAAAUGUUAUAUGUGGGCACGCGAAACAAACUAGAAAUACGAAGUGUUUACGCAAAUAUUAGAAGUUCAGUAUGAACCGAUUAGCAAAUCGAUUUAUCUGACAUAAAUCAGAAAUCGUCAAAUGGGACCGUUCAAUUUAGAUUCAUGCAAGUCAGAAGAUAUGGAACUUAUUUGGGUUUGAUUUCUAGGACUCAAAUCAUGUUCAGGGCACACCACUGCACAUAUAUCAGCACCUUUUUAGUGUUUAUUUUUAUUACCCUCUAGCGUGUACAGAGAGGAUGCAUAUGUCGUAGGUGUAUACAUAUACAUGUGGUGUGUGCAGCUGGCUUCUAUAGAAAUACAAAUUAAACAAUGGAUAGUGGAUAUCAUACAAGAGGGUGGUGAGGCAUCACUGUCUAUCCUUCUAACUUAGAGUCUGGUGCAGAAUUAACUAAUGAGUCCCAUUGUUGGAACUAAUAUGUGAGGACUUGAGGUCUGGCAAGUCCCAAUUAAGAAUGAAAGUUGUGAACGAGCAGGUCGAUCUGUAAAUUUUCAUUAUCUAAAAAGGACAUGCGACCGACUAAUGAAUACAUAUAAUCGUUAGAUUGUGUACGCAAAAUCGGUGCUGAAUGGGCCACAUGCCUCACUCAAGUCGCAACAACCCACAAUGCACAGUUAACAGUUAACAUGCCUCAUGCAGAUCGAUAGAUAGGUUAGCCUAUGUGUUAUAUGCAGUUGAUCCUUGAACAUUGCAUUAGCAUGUGCGUUCGUAGUGGGUCGAUAAAUAGUCAAACUAGUGAAAUACGCUUAGUGCAAAUUAACAGUUAAUCCUAUCUACAAUCACUGUAAAUACUAACUUGAUGAGUCCCACUGUUAAUUUAACCAAUAUACGAUGAGAUUGAGGCCUGGCAAGUCCUGAUUAGAAAAGAGUGGCUCCCAUUAUCCAUCUACUAUUAUUAAACAUGGCUUAAGAGUCUGAGGCCUGCAACUCAGAUCCAUUUCAAAUCUGCCAUGAUUAGUUGUGUCUAGGACUCACAUGCCUUGUGGGAGUCCCCAGAACUCACGACGUGCAUGAACGUCUGUAGCGGAUCGAUAGUCAGAACUCUGCGUUUGAUGUAUAUUCUGUUCACGUAUCGCAGCUGGCAGACAGCUAUUAAAGUUUUUUUAGUAAAUUUGAAUUUUAAGCUGUAAUGUAGGUUGUUGAAGGGAGGAGGCCACAUUCAGGCUUGGUUCACACAGUUUAAUUAGGUGAGUGAUUACAUGUGGUGGGAGAGAUUACAGCUAGCGCCUAUACACUAUAGAAAUACAAAUUAAUAACUUGUCCUUAUAUGAAAGGGUGGUGAGGCAUCGCUGUGCCUUGGAAUGAGAGCUUGGUGCAGAAUUAACUAUUGAGUUCUGCUGCUAAAACUAAUAUGCGAGGACUUGAGGCCUGCCAAGUCAUGAUUAAAAAUGGAAGUUCUGAAACGAUAGAGGUCGCUGACUAAACUUCCAUUAUCUAUCUAAACAGGACCUCAGACCCGCAUCUCACAACUCAGAUCCAUCCACGCAAACGCUCACAGGAGAAAGAGAGAGGAGAGGGAAGCUUGAUCGGUACCGAUGGAGGCGACCGCGUUGAGCAUCGGCAAGUCCGUGCUGAGCGGGGCCCUUGGCCUCGCCAAGUUCGCCGUUGCGGAGGAGGUGGCCCUGCAGCUGGGAGUACAGCGCGACAAGGCCUUCGUCACGGAUGAGCUGGAGAUGAUGCAGUCUUUCUUGAUGGUGGCGCAUGAUGAGCGAGGUGAGCACAACAAGGUGGUCAGGACCUGGGUGAAGCAGGUCCGCGACGUCGAGGAUUCGCUCCAGGAUUUUGUUGUUCGUGUGGACAAACAGUCUUGGUGGCGCAUUCCUCGCAUGCUUCUCGAUCGUCGCCAUGUUGCCAAGCAGAUGAAGGAGCUGAGGACCAAAGUCGAGGACGUGAGCCAGAGGAACUUGCGCUAUGGCCUCAUCAAGGGUUCUAACUCCACUCAGUCUGCCGCUGAUGCUGCCCCUGCCGUUGAUGCUGCCAUGUUUGGUGUUGAUGAAGCAAGGCAUGCCGCGAAGAAACACCAAGCAAGAUCGGAUUUGGCCCAGCUGAUCAACAAGGAUGGUGAUGAUCAUGUUGGAGUGAUCGGUGUGUGGGGAACAAGUGGCACUGUUGGGCAUAACACCAUCAUCUGGGAGGCCUACGAGAAUCCAGACGUCAAACUGAAUUUUCCGUGCCGAGCAUGGGUCAGGGUGAUGCGUCCUUUUUGUCCAACAGAAUUUGUCCUGAGUAUGGUGAAACAGUUUCACACAGCGGUGGGGGUUGGUGUUCUGCUGGAGGGGGAAAGGAAGGAGCAAGAUUUGGCUCAGGCCUUCAAUGGAUAUGUCAAUGAGAAGAGGUGCCUGAUUGUGCUUACUGGCCUGUCCACAAUUGAAGAAUGGCACCAGAUCAAGACUUGUUUCCCAGAGAACAAACUGGGGAGCCGGAUCAUAGUAUCCACUGAACAUGUUGAAGUUGCAAGCUUAUGCCCCGGGCGGGAAAGUACUGUAUCAGAGCUCAAACAAUUGUCUACUGAACAAACCAUCUAUGCUUUCUACUGGCAGGUACUACUUCUGUUUUAAACACAUGUUUUUGAUUUUCAAAAGGACAGCCCAAAAUCUGAACCAUUUAUCAGUUAGAUGUAGUAUAUAGUGGCCAAGGGUAAUCACUAUGGAGCGUCUCGUGGGUAGGAUUAAAUUAAUUUGCAUGUUUGGGCAAGGCGGGGGAAGGGGACCUUCCUGGUCCAACCCCUCCUGUUCCAUGCGGGAAAGAAUAACCCCCCUAGGUGUGGGACAAAUCUAGCUCUCGAAUUGGAAUCUCCCCGGACUACCAUGAUGGUCUUAACCGGAUGCAUUCUCAGCCUCCAUGGAUUCCUCAUCGACCUGCGGAUACAGAUGUCCUCUGCCCAGGUCCCUGGAUGAGGUAAUGUCUGUUCAGUGCAGAGGUAUUAGCGGGUAUCCAAUGUGAAUUACCAAAGCAUUCCUGCUCGCUGGCUAGUGCCUAGGCUUGGCAAUGUGUCUCCUCUAGGCUUCACGCCAGGGGUGUGCAGGGAGCUGCCCAGAAAAUGGGUGUAAAUAUGGAUAUUCCAUCCGACAAAUAAGCGCUAUGUUGCAAUGCUUUGAUAAAAAUGGCAACACAAGGAUUUUUUUGCAUUCUGUUCAUACCUGCUGAGGGCUAAGGUUUCCAAUAACUUUAUGUUCUCUUGUAGUAGUAGCCAACUUUUGAUGUAAUUCGUGAAUAAUUUGUGCUCUAGUUCUUUUUCGCCUUUUAAACUUCUAGACUGCUUUCAUUAUUUCAUUAACUUGUUGCAUACCAUUGGUAUACUAUUUCUGGUUCGUUGUCACAUUAAUAUUCCUGUAUAGAAACUGACACGCUAGAGAUGACCUGGCAUUUUUUUUGAGUAUCCAUCAUUAAAUUUUCAUCUAACUAUUGUUUGCUUGUGUUCAGAGCUCUCAUGAUGUUACAUAUCCAUCAAAGCCAGCAUCUAGGUCAAAGUUAUCCAACAUCCCUGAGAAUGAGAUACAAGAAGACCAAUCCAAUGCUUUUGUUGAUGGAAAUAUGAUAGCGCAAAAGAGGUUAACACGCGCCCACACAAUGGCAGGUGUCCUUGAGGAAUUUCAGCUUAUUGGGCGAGAGAAAGAAAAAUCUGAUAUUAUUGCACUAAUCGUAAAACAAGAUAGCACCCAUCAAGUUCAGGUGAUAGUAGUAUGGGGAAUGGGUGGUCUUGGAAAAACCACUCUGAUAAAAAAUGUUUUCCAGAGCAAAGAAGUCAGUGGCCUGUUUGGGAAAUAUGCUUUUGUCACAGUCUUGCGGCCUUUCAAGCUUGAGGAGCUCCUUAGGAGCUUGGCAUUGCAAUUAGAUGCAAACAAGGGAUCCAUGGACUUUGUAGGUGACACCCAAAAAAACAUUGGUUUGAUGGGAGUUGCAGACUUGAUUGAAGUGUUGGGCAGACGUUCAGCAGGAAAGAGGUGUUUGAUUGUUCUCGAUGACCUCUCAGCUAUGGUAGAAUGGGAUAAAAUAUCGGCAAGUUUAGGUGAAAUAAAAAAUCUGGUUAUUGUGAUCACCACAAGGCGAGAGGAUAUUGCUAAACAUUGUUGCCAAAACCCAGAAUGCAUACGCUUGCUCAACGGUCUUGAAGAAGAGGAUGCAAGUAACCUGUUCAAAAGAAAGGUAACGAAACAGUUUCUCUAUAUUAUUCACCUUAUUUGUUAGCAAAAAAUAUUAUCCCUAUAUCUCAUUUCAUUUCUUAGUUUUGAAUGGUCAUCUCGAAUUAGUAUAUUGUAAGCACAUCACGACCAACCAUCCUUGGCGCACAUACUUCAAAGUGGGUUGUAAAAGGAGUAAAUUACUCAAAACCAUCACAUUUGUGGCCAGGGUAUUUCAAAACUACCGCUUUUUGCCAAAAAUCACAAAAGACCACCGCUUCUGCACCAAGUGAAUAACAACUUGCACUAAACUUGUUACCAGCCGUGACUAACAGCAAAACUGCCGGGUAGGACCUGUCUGUCGGGCUGAUUUGGCAUGCGUAUGUGGACAAUAUGAUGAGGUGGAAAGAUGGCCCCACUAGCCAGCCUCUCGUCUCUUUUCACUUUUUUCCUUCCACGGUUGACGCCAUGCCCGCCAUCCGCCAACUCUGAUCUGCGGCGCGCGCCCGAUCAGCCACACAUGUGGUCGCGUCGUCCCUUGCAGCUCCCUCCUCCACCGCCUUCCCUCCAAGCACCGGCUCCGGCUAGCUUCCCCCGCGCGGCUGCGCCACAAAUCCGCACCGUCCACUGCAUCUACCUCCGACGCCACCGGCCAUCCACUCCAUGGCCCCGACCGAGCUUCCCCCAGUGGCCUUCGCCGUUGAUGGAGUCGACGGGAUGGGCACCCCACUGCCUCAUCAAGCCGCCUCCAGCCGCUGGCGGUGGCAGCCACAGUGAACUGCCCAUGACCACGACCGCUCUUGCUCCGGGCCACCUCGUGAGCCCCUGUGUGCCGCGUGCGCGUGCUUCUGCAAGCCCGAAGCGCCACGUGCGCGUCAUCAGGUGCUCACUCGCCUGCUCCGGCGAGCAGCCGACGCGAGUUCAGAGCACGACUUCGUCAAUGCCACGGGCACUACCGUUCCCGUGCGGAGAUCGGACUCACCUAGGAAGCAGACUCGUCAAUUGGGCCAGAGCCGGCGAGGCGUUGCCCGACACCAUCGAGCUCCACGUCCUGUGCGCGGAUGGAGGCAAGGCAUGGGUUGGCGCCGUCGAUCUCCUACAAGUCCCACCACAUCCAGGAGGCAGACUUAGCGCGCGGUUGGGCCGGUGCCGGCGAUGCGAGCAGGGAUGGCUGCGGAUGGCUGCAAGUGCAUGACACGGUGGUGGCGGUCAGCAUGGUGCGGUAGUGGCAGGAGGAAGAAGAAAAGGGGGAAAUAAGACAUGUGGCUGGCAGGUGGGCCGCGUCCACCUCAGUGGGUCAACACAUUGACUAGGACUAGUUUUCUCCACAUCAGGGUGACAGGCGGGUCCCACUCAUCAGUUCUGUUGUUAGUCACAACUCACGUUUUUGAGAUUUUUGGCAAAAACGGUAGAAUACCCUAGCUAUAAAUGUGGUGGUUUCGAUCAAUUUACUCUUGCAAAAGCAUAAAAAUAGGGCACCGUGACUCAUGUUGUAGUCUCAUUGGUUACGAAAGAUAUAGUUUCAUCUGUUUUAGCAAUUAAACAAAAAAAAAUUGAUUACAUCACACGUUACUCUUGUUAGGACAGGUUAGUAUUAGCAACAAGUCGGCAAUAUUCCACGAACUCACCACUUUCCUUAUCAAAUUAUCACGAACCACUUAAUUCAACAAACCAGUAGGAGCUCUGCAUUUUCAUUAAGUAGAAUAAGAACUGGCCAGUUUAAAUGGAAAACUAGCCAAAAACUAACAAAUGAACCACAGACGCACACCAGCCCCGAGGCCAUGCACCAACCGAGAUGACUUCUUCCUCACGCAAGUGAUUGAAACCAACCUUUACAACAUCGAUUUUGCUUCCACACUGGCCCUGGUCCACACACUAGUCUGAGUCAACAACUCUUAUCACCUGGCGACCAAAGUUGAUACCCUAUAAUAGUAUGAUUUGGCCUCCGAAUCUGAGCUCUACAUGCACACGCUGAGCCCAAUGUCGUGCAUCUGGUGAGUCGACGACUCUGCCACCUAAGCAACUCGGCAUCACCCUACAUAUAUGACAAAGAUUUCUAGAGUCACCACUCCUGAUUUCGCACCAGUCCACGGUAGUGUACCAACUGAUCGACGAUUAUGUCACCCAUAGAACUAGAGUUGAUGCCCUUCUUUUGAUAAAGGGUGGGUUUUAUUAAUUCAAAAUGAAGUACAAGUGGAUACAAACAUGAUGAGUACGCAAUCAACAUCAAUGCGCACACAAAGAAUAAUCCAAAGCGGUCGGCAAACUACAACAACAACCAUUCACACCAGCGAUCUCUUGACAUCACGAGGGCAACGAGGAAUGUUCUCCAGUAGCAAUACCUCUAGGAAGGGAUGAUGCUCAAGCGCCACAAUGUCCAGGUCCAACCACUAGAAGCUAGAUAUUGGGUUUGCACCCUAAAGACCAUGUCCGAGUAAAUCCGAUCAAUGCCUUCAAUGAGGUAAUGAUGCAAAAACAUCACCAUUUGCCAGUUAUAACCAACUAGGGUCAGAUCUAGGGUUUUGAAUCCCGGAGCUCGAGACCGGGUACUCGAAACAACACCAAAUCAAAGUCAUCAUGUCGUGUUACCACCGCUUUCUACUCUCCAAUUAGAUAUACGCUUUCCGCUAUCCCACCAAAUGCACACAUAGCACGACAUAUGUGAGAUGCCACACAAGUGAAUACCAUGAUCACACAAGAAGGGAGUUGAGCCGUGACUAGAGCUAAUCAUCACCAAAGCCUUCGAGCAAUGAAGGUCGUCGUCACUAUUGAUGAGGGAGGAAAGUCAUUGACACCGCCGAAAUCCAAUUCAGGAUGCUCCGGCAGUCCUGGGCCGUCCCCUUCUCUACCUUCCUUGAAUGGGGCAAGCUUUAUGGCAGCCACGUGUGAGCAGCCUAUGGUGAAUCCGAUUCUCCGUCGUGAUCUAGCUGGUUCGACCACUGGCCACUGGAAAAAAAACCUGCAGAUCUUUUGCGCCAACCGUGUCCGAUGGUCACCGCCUAGUCUCUAGUGUGCACUGACACUGCUACUAUGCAUGUAAUGCAGCCACAUUUGCUCGUCAGUUGCUCCAAGUCGAAGGAUAAAAUUUUACCUGGUACUCGUUCGGCAACGACGCCCACAUCUGCGAUGGAUGCACACCAACAGCUGCCAUGAUCUUGUUAGACCUUUCAGCCUGAGCAUUGAUAGUUGUGGAUGACACUAGGAGAGUUGGGACAAUUUUCGUUGGUUUAUUUCUCACACAAUGCCAUACCAACCUGAGGGGUUGGGGAUACAUAUUUAUAGGCUGCUAGCCAGCCAAGGCAUAUGCUAAGAUGCUGCUAAGAUGCCAGUCUAAGAUGCUAGUCUAAGAUGCUAGUCUAAGAUGCUAACUGACAGUCCUUGAUGGUCAAGAACAGAACUCUAUCCUAACAGCCAGUCCUUGAUGGUCCAGGACUUUAUCCUCCUAACUGCCACAAGGACCAUGUGCUGCAGCCCCACAAGGACCCUAGUACACAGACUUAUCCAUCAUUCUCCCCCUAAGUCUUGUACGUCGUCUUGUGGGAGAGUUGAAUCAUCCCAAUCCUGGAGCAAAGUUCGAGGAACUUGACCCUCCCAAGGGGCUUGGUGAGCAGGUCUGCGAGCUGAUCCUUGGUGUUGAUGUAGCUCGCCUCGAUGCUCCCUUCUUCCACACAGCUGCGGAUGAAGUGAUACCUCAGUCGGAUGUGCUUGCUCCGUUCGUGGAACACGGGGUUCUUUGCCAGGGCCAGGGCGGACUUGCUGUCCACCAGGAGCUGCACCGUUCUGGUGUCUUGAACGAGAAGAUCACCAAGCAGUCGAGCAAGCCAGAGCGCCUGAGUACAGGCGGUGGAGGCCGCUAUGUACUCAGCCUCACAGCUGGACAGGGCCACCACCUGCUGCUUGACUGAUUGCCAGCUCACGAGACACUUGCCGAGGAAGAGGAGGAUCCCGCUCGUGCUCUUGCUGGUGUCGAUGUCGCCGGCGUGGUCGCUGUCGCUGUACCCGACGAAGUGUGCCGCCCCAGGGCACCUAGGGUAAUGGAGGCCGUGGUCGAGGGUCCCUGCUAUGUAGCGGACAAUCCUCUUCACUGCCUGCUGGUGUUCCGACGUUGGUCGCUCCAUGAACCGACUGACAUAGCCAACGGAGAAUGCCAAGUCCGGCCGUGUGUGAGUGAGGUAGCGAAGGCUCCCCACAAGGCGUCGGUACUGCGUAGCAUCCACUUCCUCCGUCGUGCUGUCGCGACUUAGUUUCAGCCUCUCCUCCAUCGGAGUGAGAGCUGGAUGGCAGUCGGUGAGCCCAGCUAGCUCAACGAUGCGCUUGGCGUAGGCGGACUGUCGAAGCGCGAUCCCGGAGUGGUCCUGGUGCACCUCAAUCCCUAGAUAGAAAGAGAGGAGCCCCAGGUCACUCAUCUGGAACGUGGCCUUCAUGUCUUCCUUGAACGCCGCCACCUCUGCAUCUUUGGUGCCGGUGAUCACCAGGUCGUCAACGUAGACGCCCACCAGCAGGGCAUUUCCUCCACUCCCCCGUCGGUAGACGGCAGCCUCAUGCGGGCUCUGCUCGAAACCCAUCUUCUUCAGCGUGGAGUCCAGCUUGGCGUUCCACGCCCUGGGUGCCUGCCGCAGGCCAUAGAGAGCCUUGCGCAGGCGGAGCACCUUGCCCUCCUGGCCGGGAAUCGUAAACCCCGGUGGCUGAUGCACGUAGACUUCCUCCUUCAAGUCGCCGUUGAGGAAUGCCGACUUAACGUCCAUGUGGUGGACACGCCAGCCCUCCUGGGCAGCCAGCGCAAGGAGAAGUCGCACGGACUCCAUCCGUGCCACGGGAGCGAAAGCGUCGUCGAAGUCGACUCCUUCCUGCUGCAAGAAGCCUCGAGCCACCAAACGAGCCUUGUGCUUGAUGAUGGCGCCCGCUCCAUCCCUCUUCAGCUUGAACACCCACUUAAGGGUGAUUGCGCGGUGACCUCGAGGGAGAUCAGCAAGCUCCCAUGUGCGGUUUUGCUCGACCGCAUCCAUCUCCAACUUCAUCGCGGCGCGCCAUGCCGCGUCUCUCUCGGCCUCUGCAAAGGACCGUGGUUCGCCGUCUUCACACACGAGCUGUAGCUGCGCCUCCAGGUCACGUGGCACCAGUCCUGGCACCGGCUGGUCGCCGAGCACAUUAUCCAUCGUACGGUACCGCAGCGGUUCGCCUCCAUACCAUGCGUCGACCCGCUCCUCGUCGUGAGUGAGCGGGGAAGCGAACUUCAUCGGGUUGUGCUCUGUGUGAGCUGGUGCUGAUGAAGACGAGCCCGGAGUGGCGACCGUCGGGGCUGGAGUAUGCGGCGUCGUCGGUUGUGGUGUCGUCGGUGUAGCAGGCGCCGGAGUCGAUGUAGUUUUGGGGGCCGGGGUAGACGUGCCCGGUGAAGAGGAGCUGCUUGCUCCCCCAGCUUCCUUGAAGUGAGCGUACUCGACAAUGAAGUCGUCAUACGUCGGCGUCGAGCCGUCGUCCACCGCCUUGUCCCAUUGCCACCCUCGCCCUUCGUUGAACACGACGUCUCGCGCUGUGCGCACACGUUGUGUCUUUGGGUCGAGGAUGCGGUAGGCCUUUGAGCCCUCCGCGUAGCCGAUGAAGACUCCCGGAGUGCUCCUGUCGUCGAGCUUGCCGAUGUGGCCGAGCUCCUUGGCGAACGCAAGGCAGCCAAAGACCCGCAAAUGAGAGACCGCCGGCUUCCGCCCAUGCCAGGCCUCGUACGGAGUUCUGCCGUCGAGUGCCUUAGUAGGAGAGCGGUUGAGGAUGUAGACGGCCGUUAGCACCGCCUCUCCCCAGAAGACAGCCGGCAUCCCUCUCUGCUUGAGGAGAGCCCGAGCCAUCCCCACAACCGUCUGGUUGCGCCGCUCGACGACGCCGUUUUGCUGUGGGCUGUACGGCGCGGAGUAGUGGCGCUGGAUGCCCUCAUCGGCGCAAUACGACGCGAAUUCGGCCGCCGUGAACUCGCCGCCGUUGUCAGUGCGCAACACGCGCAAUUUGCGGCCGCUCUCCGCCUCCACACCAACCUGCGCGCGCCUGAUGGCGUCCGCCGCUUCUCCCUUACUGCCGAGGAUCAUCACCCACAUGUAGCGGGAGAGAUCGUCGACGAGCAGCAGGAAGUAGCGUCGACCUCCUGGUGUGGCUGGCGUCACCGGGCCGCACAGGUCUCCGUGCACGAGCUCCAGCUUCUCCUUAGCCCGAAAACUCGCCUGUUGGGGAAAGGGGAGUCGUCUCUGCUUUGUCAGUACGCAGAUGUCGCAGAACUGCUCCACAUGGUCGAGGCAUGGCAGGCCUCGCACCAUCUCCUUGGCACUUAGACGCUUCAGGGCCUCAAAGUGAAGGUGCCCAAAGCGCUCAUGCCACUGCCACGCCUCGUCGUCUCGACGGACAGCGAGACAGACCGGCUGUGCCACCUGCACAUCAAGGACGUAGAGUCGAUUUUCACCUCUGGGCACCUUGGCGAGAAGGCGACGCUGGCGAUCCCAGAUGCGUAGGACCCCAUGCUCAAUCAGCACGCGUGAGCCGUUCUCAUCCAGCUGUCCCAAGCUGAUGAUGGAAUUCCUUAGCGCGGGGAUGUAGUAGACACCGGUGAGCAGCCGGUGCUCUCCCAUCUUGGUGGUGAAGAUGACGGAGCCGACGCCCUUUAUCUCCACAGCGGAGGCAUCCCCGAACUUGACGGAGCCUCGCGCAUCGGAGUCGAGCUCGGCGAAGAAUUCCCUUCGACCGGUCAUGUGGUGGGUGGCGCCGGUGUCGAGGCACCACCCCGUAGCCUUGUCCUUCCCGAAGCCAUCGCCGAGAAGAGCAUGUGCUUUUGGCUCAUCGAGGUGGAUGAAAGCCUUUGCGACUGGAGUCGCCGAGGGUAGCUCAAUGCUUGCAUGCGCCAUGAACAGAGCCGUCUCCUCCUCCUUCGCCUGUGCGACGUGAGCCUGGCCUUGUCGUGGUUGCCGACACUCAUUGGCCCAAUGGCCAAACCGGCCACAGUUGUGGCAACUGUUGCCUUGUGCCGGCCUGGGCUUGCCAGCGGCGCCGUCCUUGGCGCCUCCGCGGGCGUCACCUUCGGCACGUCCUUGUGCCCUGCCCGGGGGGCCUCUUCGCGCCUUACGCUGCUUGCCACGCUUGCGGCCGCCCGUCGAGGAGGAAGGCUCCCCCUUCUUCUUGUCACCAAGGCUGGGAUCCCACUGCUCCCGAGUUAGGAGCAGCUUCCCGCCGGUGGUGACGGGCCCCGAGGGGGGCUGUGGCUCGUCGGUGUCGACGACCUUGAGUCGACCUAUCGCCUCCUCGAUCGUCAUCGUGGAGAGGUCCAGCAACGACUCGAUCGAGCGAGCCAUCUGCUUGUACUUCUCGGGAAUGCACCAAAAAAGCUUCUCGACAGCUCUCUCCUCGGUGUAGGUGGCAUCGCCAAACUUCACCAUCUUCUGCAGCAGAGUGUUGAGACGGAGAGCAAAGUCAUCAACGUCCUCACCUGGCUUGAAGCCCAGGUUCUCCCACUCCUUACGAAGUGCCUGCAGGGUGGACUUGCGAGCACGGUCGCUGCCGAUGCGUGCUGCGGCGAUGGCGUCCCAAGCCUCCUUGGCAGUCCGCUUGUUGGAAAGCGAGAACUGCAUCUCGGGCGGGACUGCGGCGAUGAGGGCGUCCAGUGCCCGUCGAUCCUCUAGGUGGUCGACGUUGCUGUCCUGGACUGCCUCCCACAUGCGCCGCACCUGGAGCCUGACCUUCAUGAUCCCGGCCCACUCGACGUAGUUGGUUUUAGUGAGGGUAGGCCACCCAACACUGGCACCAACAUCCCUGACCACAGUCCGGACCUCGUAGAGGCCGCGGUCCUGGUCGUUGCAGCCGCCGUCGCGGUGGGCGCCUCCACCUGGAGCGCGGGCGUGCUCGGCUGCCCACUGCGCCGUCCGCUCCUGCGCCACUUUGGCGCGAUCUGCGUCGGCGCCGUCGUCCGCAGGCGCGGAGCUGCUGGAGCUGCCGGGGCUGCCGCGGAGUGCCUUGGCAUCCGCCGUAGCCUCACGGGCUGCUUCUGCUGCUGCUGCUGCUUCUACCUCCGCCCUGGCUGCUUCUACCUCCGCUCUGGCUGCUGCCAGCUCCGCUGCAGCCAGCCUCGACACCCUUGCCGCCGCAGCAGCCGCUGCUACAGCCGCUCGCUCACGCUCCUCUGCCACGGCGCGCUCGGCCUCUUGCCGGCGCCGCAUGCUCGAGGUAGCCGUGUGCUGAGAGCGACCUGCAGACAUGGCUCGCUGCAGGGGGGCUGUUGCGUGAAGAGGAGGCUGAGGAAGACGAGCUGCUGCUCGACAGUCCGGAGGGAGGAAGGUAACCAGAGGCAGACGGAGCAGCUGCUGCUACCGACUUGGGCUGCUCACAGGAAAUGCUCAGGGUGCAGGUUAACGAGGCUCUGAUACCACUUGUUAGACCUUUCAGCCUGAGCAUUGAUAGUUGUGGAUGACACUAGGAGAGUUGGGACAAUUUUCGUUGGUUUAUUUCUCACACAAUGCCAUACCAACCUGAGGGGUUGGGGAUACAUAUUUAUAGGCUGCUAGCCAGCCAAGGCAUAUGCUAAGAUGCUGCUAAGAUGCCAGUCUAAGAUGCUAGUCUAAGAUGCUAGUCUAAGAUGCUAACUGACAGUCCUUGAUGGUCAAGAACAGAACUCUAUCCUAACAGCCAGUCCUUGAUGGUCCAGGACUUUAUCCUCCUAACUGCCACAAGGACCAUGUGCUGCAGCCCCACAAGGACCCUAGUACACAGACUUAUCCAUCAGAUCUUGUGCUUUAUGCCAUGUGUCAUCGCCAUCGAAGUAUCCUAAGUUGCCACCUUUGUUGGCGUGAAACCACAUUGAUGCCAACCAAGGGCGGCAAGAGAGCCUUCACCACCCCUCGAGCAUCGUUGGCCGCGCAGGAUUCCCCUGGGGGCGGCAUGGGAGGAAUCAGAAACAAGGAGGCAUUAGUAGGAUGAAUGAGCACCACCCUUGUUGCCCCUAUGGUGACGUGUAGAGUUGAUGCCCUACAACACCGAAGUACCAGGUUGGUUUCCGAAGCCACCGAUUCAACUUCAUCUCAACACACACCUGGUGCCCAAACCCGUUUCGCCGAAGCACAACUUGACUAGGUUUUUGCCUCCUAAGGCGACAACUCCAAGGAGGAAGCAACAAGAAACGUUACGACCACCUAUUCGAGUAAGGGACGUAAACUUAGAUCCUUGCAUGGAGGAUCCAUAAAACGUUGCUGGCUGGAGAUGAGAUGGAGCAUGACGCGUGCAAGGAGGGGAACGAUGACUGUGGGCACUGUCAUCAUCCCUGCAACCAAAGUGGAGCUGAUUUUCACCUCGGGCUCUUCUGUUCCCACAACCGCCGCCUACCAAGUGACAUGCGACACAACACUUCAUUGUUGCCACGCAUCUGCCACUUCCCACACAUCACCACUUGGUGCCCUACCUCCCACACCCACAUGACCAGCGAUCGACACUUCAACCUCCGCUUUCCCCUCCCUUCUCUUCUCUUUCGCUGCCCCUUUCCUGGGAGAUGUCCAAGGCUGCCCGACCCGAUCGAAUGGCUCGUCCGACGGUGAUGCCAGCCGUUGAUGGCUGCGGACGUGCUCAGGCCUUCCAUUUUCAUAUCAGAGUAGUAGUUGUCCUAGUAAGUCUUGGCGUUAUGUUGUGGUUUGGUGUUAUGCCAGAUGCAUGCCUUGCUCUGUUGCCGACGAGUAUCGUACGGAGGUUGCCUUCCUCCUCCUCUAGAUGACUUCCAUGGUGGAUGAUGGUGGCGGGGGGUGGAUUUUACGGAAGCAUCAUCAAUAAGUUUGGGAUAGCCCUUGUUCGGCCAGAUCUGGAACCAUCUGUUCUUCACCGGCAUGGUGCCGAGCGGACAAGAAGAGGUGGAUCCAGCUGGUUCCUUUGCCAUGCAUUGAUCUCGGCCACCGCCACAGAAGGUGCGGAUCAACAAAGGUAUUGCUUUUGGUGUGCCAUCUUCAACUUCCAAGUGAGGCCCUUAUAACCUUGCUCGUCAUUGGCAAGGUUUUUGUCAAAGACGGUGAACAUGAAGUCUCCGAUGUGGUUGCUACAUGCGAUAUGACUCAAUUGUGUUCCAUUUGUAUGGUUUGUGGUCCUAUUUGCAAUAAGGGAGUGUUGUAUUGAAUUUUAUAUGAAAUGACAGCUUCAGGGGCCUUUGAGUCCCAACCCCUGUUUAGGAAAAGCAAGCCAAGGCAGGGGCCUAGCCAGAUCUGGAGCGAUACUCAAGAACAGAGCCACAUGAUGCAAUACUGCCGCUGCUACCUGUCGACUUGGACGACGCAUUGUUUUUGUCAAACCAUGUCGAAACACUUGUUUUCAGAUUCAUGUUUUGUGAGGAUUUUUUCUCUCACAUUGUUAAUUCCUUUCACAUCAGGGACCUAUUCGGUUCACAGGAAUAGAAAACAUAGGAAUGGAGAAAAUCACAGGAAUGAAAUAGGAAUUGAGGUGCAAACCAGAGGAUUCAAAAACAGAGGAAAACCAAUGUAACACACGUUCGGCAUAGCAUAGAAAAAACGGAGGAUAACUUUCAUCGCCUGACGCUAGAGAAACAACUUUAUCAAUACUUUAUUUUGUUGCAUCGCUGUUCUCUCACGCGAAGCACCUAGUUGCUGCGUAGUUUAUUUGGAAAGUGAUAGGUUUGCCUCGGGUACGCGACAAAUGAGGUUCGACUGGAUUUUCUUUUUCCUGAGGAAUCAUGAGGUUUAAUCAGCGUUUUGGAGGAAACUGGAGCAACGAUUCCUUCGAUCCGAACGACUAGUUUGCUGAAAUUCCUCUGGAACACAUAAUCCUGUAGAUUUCCCAUGAAAAAUCCUUUGAACCGAACAAGGCCUAGAUAAAGAUAUUGAUAAAUCCAAUGUAUUCACAAUCAUUUCUUUUGGGAAAUUUUCAUUUGAAAUUGUUUGGUUGGUGUAUUGACCAAUUUAUUAGCAUGUUGGCUGUGACAAACAACUGCAUCCCAAUUUGUUUUGGCAAUAUUCUUAUUUCGUUUUGUUGAGACUUCAUGAUCACAUUCGUGGUUUUGUAGAUCCGUACUUAUUACUGUGUUUAGCAGAUUUUACCGCCUGAUUGCACUGAUUUUUUGGUUGAGUUACUUAAAAUGUGGUUCAUCUUGAGAGUUGAGUAGUACUUUGGAAAAGUUGAGGAAUCUAGAGUUUUAGAAACAAUAUUUAAUCCCGAACUUACAUUUUGCUUGAGAUUAAUCUUGCUACUCAUUACUAAAUGUGGUUCAUGUUCAGAGUUGAGUGUGUUGUCAAAAAGUCUAUGUCUACAAUUUUACGAGCAAUAUUUAAUCAUGAACAAUAUUAGGUGAUUUAGUUAGUGUUUGUGAGGAAAAUAUCAGUGCUGAUUCCACCAUUUUGUUGCUGAUAUACGUUUAGUAUAUAAUACAGUGUACACUUAAUGUGGUAUUUAAAUGUUAAUAAUCAUUAGCAGCGCUAUACUGUCCCAUGUCCAUUCGUCCUUCCCAUUGACGUGACCUGUACAUGAUGCCUACAGUGCUUGUUUAUGGACCUGUUGUGCUAAUGGUGGGUCAAUGAACUGUACAAAUUACAAAAUGCAUGUCCAUUUAGUAUAUAUUGUACUGAUGUUAAUAUGGUCUCAAUGUGACAGAGCAGCUGACAACAGAGCUACCUGUCGGCUAGCUCUCAUGUAAACUAGGAAAAGUGGUUUGGAUGCACCUAAUUCAUUGUUAGUUAAAUGACUAAUUAUAUUUCCUACAAUUGCAGGUAUUUAGGAAUAUGACUACUGAUUUGGUGGAGCAAUAUCCUGCAUUGGUCGAACCAGCAAAACUAAUCCUGAAGAAGUGCAAUGGACUUCCCCUUGCCAUAGUCACCAUAGGUGGUUUCUUGGCUGAUCAACCAACAAAAACUGCUGCAGAGUGGAGGAAACUGAAUGAGCAUAUCAAUGUUGAGCUGGAGAUGAAUCCAAAGUUUGAAGUCAUAAAAACAGUCCUCAUGAAAAGUUACGAUGGCCUACCCUAUUAUCUCAAGCCUUGUUUCUUGUACAUGUCCAUCUUCCCUGAAGACCGCAAUGUUAGUCGGAGGCGUUUGGCUUACCAAUGGGUUGCUGAAGGUUAUGCGCGAGACAAGUCCACAGCAGAUAGAUACUUCAUGGAACUCAGAGAGAGAAGCAUGAUAUUACCAACUCAGUAAUCAGUUUGCAGCAGACAAGGAUUCGACUCUUGCCAGCUACACGAUCUGAUUCGUGAUAUCAGCAUUGCAGAGUCUUUGGAGGAAAAUCUUGUUUUCAGGUUGGAGGAAGGCUGCAGCUUGAACACCCAUGGCGCAAUGCGUCACCUUGCCAUAAGCAGCAACUGGGAGGGUGAUGAGUGUGAGUUGGAGAGCACCGUGGAGCUGUCCCGUAUACGGUCAUUGACAGUGUUUGGCAAGUGGAAGCCAUUUUACAUCUCUGAAAAGAUGAGGUUUCUCCGGGUGCUGGACCUGGAAGGAACAGAAGGGUUAAGAAAUCAUCAGCUUGAGCACAUUGGGGAGCUCCUUCAUCUGAGAUACCUCUCUCUGCGUGGGUGUGGGUACAUCCGUUCCCUCCCAGAUUCGGUGGGUAAUCUGAGACAACUUGAGACACUAGAUAUCAAAGAGACGAGUAUAACUAUGUUACCCAGAACCAUCAUCAAGCUUAGGAAGCUAUGUUGUCUCCAUGCUGGUAGAGGUCCAGGGGGUAUUGAGGACAAUUGUUUCUCAAAGAGUAAAUACAUCUGUGAAAUACAACUUAGAUUAUGUGUAGCAUGCUGCUCACUGGAUCUUCCAAAAAUGGAGGGUUUUGGCAGGCGCGAGGGUUGCCAUAUUGCUUGCUGCUUCGUUUACCCUAAUAUCAUUAGGGGCAUAGAUGGUUCUGGCGUUAAGUUGCCAAGAGGGACUAGGAAACUGAAGGCCCUGUGUACACUGCGGUAUGUUCACCUUGCUUGGGGAAAUGCCAUUAUAAAAGAGAUAAAAGGUCUCACUGGCCUGGAGAAGCUAGGAGUGGUCGGUAUCAACAAGAAAAAUGGUCCAGGUUUCUGUUCGGCCAUUUCCAGCCUCAGCCAUCUUGAAUCAUUGUCAGUGCUGUCAGCGGAUAGCCUAAAUGGCUGUUUGGAUGGCAUGUCCACAUCUUUGGUAAACCUGCAGAGCCUCAAGCUAUCCGGCAGCCUAGAAAAAUUGCCGGGGUGGAUCAAGGGGCUCCAGAAUCUCGUGAAGCUCAAGUUAGAACUCAGCGAGCUAUCAGGGAACCUCGAAACCAUGCAAGUCCUUGGGAACCUACCAAACCUAUCCAUUCUGGGUUUGUGGGAAGAAGGGUUUGAGAUUGAUGUGUUCCAGUUCCAGACUGGCCUUUUCAAAAGGCUCACGGUGCUUGACCUUUUCUACUCAAAUAUGAAAAUUGAAUUAGUGGAGUUCCAGAAAGACUCAGUGCCCAAUCUUGAGAUGCUGACCCUUAGCCUUGGAAGUACCCAAAUUGCCUUCUCUGGGCUAGAACUUCUCGAAAGCAUAAAGGAAGUAUGGCUUAGUUUUCAUCAUCCCUGGGUUGGUACACCCAAAUCAUCAAAAAAUGGGGAAAAUGAAAAAAUGAGUAAACAAUUGUAUGAAGAGGUGAAAGAAGAAGAAAAGAGAAACAAACCCGGGCAAGAUAAAUUCAGGGAGGAGUUGCAGAUGCAGCUUGAUAGGAAUGAGAAUCAACCCGUCUUGAAGAUGCAAUGAGCUCAGAAACCCGGGGCAACUUCUCUCCUGAAUAUGCUGACUGAGUGGCUGCCAUGCCAUGCCAUGCCAUUCCAUUGGAAAAUCUAUCUUUUACCUACCCUCUUUGUUUUAUCAUUUGCAUUCCUUGUUAGUAUGUUGUAAUAAUGGGCUGAAAUAAAGCCCACCCGUCAAGUACAUUGUUGUUCUGCAGCUGUUAGAGGUGGUAUUUCUCUUUUCUGCUUUGGUAUCUCUUUGAGUUGCUGAAGAAUGGAUGGCCACUGCAAUAUAUAUGAUGCUCUGUAUCUGUAUCCUCUGGCGGUGUGUGUGCACCAUGGCUGGGCAGCUUAAUAAGGGUGUGGUGAUAUAUUACACAAUUGUAAACUGUUUGGAUUAGAUGCAGAAAAUUCGUCAGUACUCUAUACUAUGUUGCAUCUAUGCUGCGCCUGUAAUCCUUUUCUUUUGCCCUUGGUGAUGAUUCCAUGUCUGCUUCGGGGCUCUGUUUUGAUUUGGUGAAGAAUGAGUCGGCCCUGCAAUGUAAGAUGCUUUGCUAGCCUUUGUAUCUACUAUAUAUCUGUAUGUGCACGCCAUCGUUGGGCGGCAGUGAUAUCUUUGGUAAUUGUAUAAACUACGUAUAGUACGUAUUUAGAUUAGAUGCAGAAACCUUGUCAGUAAUUUGCACCGAUCGUACUCCCUCCCUCCGGAAAUACUUGUCAUCAAAAUGAAUAAAAGAGAAUGUACCUAGAUGUAUUUUAGUUCUAGAUACAUUCAUUUUUGUCUAUUUUGAUGACAAGUAUUUUCGGACGGAGGGAGUAUGUAAUUGCUUGUUUGCAAUCCUAUUCUUCUGUCCUCCUUGGUGAUCAUGUGGGUCGCUCGGCUCUGUCCCUUUCAUCUGUCAGCAGAAUGGAAUAAAUGAUGUAACCACAUAUAAUAAUCUAUCUUACUCAUCUACAGCUUACAAAUGAAGGAAGGGUACUAGUACUCACUACUCAGGCAGCAUUUUUUUUUGACUUGACUACUCAGGCAGAUUGUUUUUUUUUUUUUUUGAGGUGUGACUAUUCAGGCAGAUAAACUGCUUCAGAUGGCGAGACGGACGCCCGCCUCACCUCAAGAGAGACUCUGGUGGACCGGCCCAGUAAUAGUUCUUUCUUUACGCUCGUUUCUUUGACUCGUUUGUUUUUCUAUUCCUUUUGUUUUCUUACAUGUAUUUAUAUUUUUUUAUCUAAAUUGUAUACAUACAUUUUCAAAAAAGUUCAGUAUGCAUUUAAAACUGUAACAGAGUAUAAAUUUUUGUUUGUGCAUUUUUUUGUACCAUUCAAAAAAAAUAUUCUUGACAUUUCCAAAAUGUUUGCAUGUUGAAAAUUUUAAAUUUUGUUCAUCACAUUUGACAAAAUGUUCACCGGCAUUAAAAAAAUGCUCAUGUAGAGUAGAAAUAUCUGUUCGCCCCAUUUUCAAAAAUAUUGGUACCCAUUGGAAAAUAUUCACAACAUCUAAAAAUGUUCACAUGUUUAAAAAUUUGUUCAUGAAAUUUUAAAAAAUUCAUAUAAAUCUAAAAAUUUGCUCACAUUGUUUGAAAAAAAUAUUGCAGCACUCAAAAUUGUUCGUAAAAAAAUAUUCACGCUUUUAAAAAUAAUUCUUGUGAUAUUUUAAGAAACAGUUUUUUAAAACACAAAAAGUUGUUCAAGAAAUUUUAUAAACAGUUCAAGAUGUGUUUAAAAAAUGUUUGUCGUAUAUCUUACAAAUGUUCAACAUGUAUUGAAUAAAAAAUUUAAGUAUAUCUACAAAAUUUUCAACCUAUAUAUGAAAAAUGUUUAGCGCGUAUUAAAAGAGUCAACACGAAUUUUGCAAAUAAAAACAAAAUAACAAAGGAAACCAAACAUACAAAAAACCAUAAAAAAUUGAUUAAGAAAAACAGAAAAAAGCAAGGAGCAACUAAUCAGGGGUUACCCAUUGGAGGGUACCCGAAGCGUUAACUUUCUUAGGCCCGGGAGUGUGCCAAGUGGUGCAUCCAGCCGCCGCCACAUGUUGUUGCACUAGGUGGACAGUGGGGAUUUCGGUUUUUUUCUCUACAAGCGUUUUUGGGUUUGCUUUGAAUACAUAUUUCUGGUUUUUUGGCUUUUUCUUGGCUCUACAUUUUACAUAUUUUUAGAGCUCAUUUGUUGCAUGUUCUCUACAUAUAUCAUCUCACGCUGAACCUAAUAUGUGUCCAUCAUGCAUGAUUUCUGGUUUUUACUCUUUUCACUAGGAGCACUGCAUGUUAGUGUUAUUAUUUUUUUCUUUUACCAGUUUCCUUUGUUCUCUCAUAUCUAUUAGUGUUUUGGAGCAACCUAGGACCGAACACAAUGAAAGGGACAAGGUUGGUCCUAGGUUGGAUUCAUCACGGAGGACUUUGACACAGAAUUUAGAUGUUUUCAAAGUUCCCCAAAUCAAGAUUGAAUACCACGGGUGCGUAGAGGCGCCGCUCUCAUGGUUCCAAUGGCCCCACCUCGGGCGUUUCAGAGAGAGAUGGGGCUCAGAUGGGUAGGGUUUGUGGUGUGUCCGACCGACUUUAAAUAGCAAGCCCCGAGUUGGCUUCUCAUCCACCGCAUCGGCUUGAAUGCCGGGCAGGAGGUAACCGGUAUGAUUGCGGUAGAAAUCCGUCAUGUCGCCCCGUCCACUCUGAUUCACGCAUGAAGAGCGAGCGGACGCGGCGAGAGAGAGAGGAGGAAGAGUUUUUUGGAUGGUCCAAAACCCGCAAACCUUCCUCAACUUUGAUUUUGAUUUGUGAGAUUUUGAACAUCCAAACAUGUCCGGACAGAUUUGAUGACCGAUAUUGGAUGGCAAAAAAUGUUCGAACAAUCUGAUCCAGACAUUUGGGGGCGCUUUGAUGAACUGCGUCGGAGUAGAGUGUUGUAUACCUGUUUGUGACCACGUUGCACAUAAACAAGUAUAGGCCUUCUUAAAACGAAUACCAAGAAACCACAAUAGUUUGAUUGUAAAAUUUGGAUGACCACAAUUUUCCGGUGCAAUGCAAUUGGAGUGAAUAGCAUAAAACUACCGCAAUUCGCGUUAGGGUUCCAAAAAACUACCAACAAUUUGUUUGUGAUUAAUAACUACCAGAGUCGGCGUCGGCUGUCUCAAAAACCCAAAACCUCCGUUGCUAAGAAAUUAAACCGAUUUAUGACAGGUCGGACCCGCACCUAAACGAACCGUAUGUUUGACCGUUAACUGACAUGUGAGGCCCACAUGUCAAUUAUCUCUUAUUCUCCUUCUUUUCCUCCUCUCCUCCUUAUCUCUGUCUCUCUCCGCACGAGCCUGGCGGAUAUGCACACCGGCCACCCCUCCUCCUCCCUCUCCCCCUCUCCGUGAGCUAGCCCUACUUCCCCAGGGCGACCCUGCUCCUCCAUCUCCCCAACUGGCCUGAGUACGUUUUCCAGUAGGGCGGCAGUGAGCCCCUCCAUUACACGCGGCGGUGCCCCUCUGGCCAAGCACGACGGUGCGCCCCUAUGUUAAAACACGACGGCGGCGAGCCCCUCCAUUGCACGCGGCGGCGCCCCUCUGGCCAAGCGCGAUGGUGCCCCCAUAUGUCCGGAACACGACGGCGGUGAGCCCCUCCAUUGAAAGCGGCAGUGCCCCUCUGGCCAAGCGCGACGGUGCGCCCCUAUGUGCGGAACACGACGACGGUGCACCCCUACAUUGCACGCGGCGGCGCCCCUUUGGCCAAGCGCGACGGUGCGCCCCUAUGUCUGGAACACGAUGACGGUGCGCCCCUCUUUGCUGGUCGACAAGGUAAGGAGCAACAACAACGGUGGCCGGCAAGGCAUAGCAUCAAGCGCGGCCGGCAAGGAGCAACAUCGCAGCCUGCAAGGAGCAGCACUGCAGUCGGCAAGCAUCAGAAGGAGUAGCAGGCGCGACCGGCAAGGAAGUCCACCUGGACCGAGCCCGUCGCCUGCCUGGAGGAGCCCCGCCUCUGCACCGAGGCCGGCGCCACCAGCUCGAGCGGGCGCCGCCAUGGAUUGCUUUUACGGUCACAACCACGGUCGGCUUAUACAGGGACUGGAUUGCUUUUUUGAAAAAUGAUGAGGGACCCGAUCGCUUUUUAAAAAUCUUUGCAGGGGUUAUGCUGUAAAAAUAAGGAUACAUUUUUAAAUUUAUAAAAGAACCAGGGGUUGAAAAAAACAUUGCAUGAGAUUUUUUUCUAUGAGUAAGAGACAUUGACAUGUGGGCCUCACAUCUCAGUUAAUGGUCAAACAAACGGUCGAACAGACGGUUCGUUUAGGUGGGGGUGCGGCUUGUCAUAAACCGGUUUAAUUUCUUAGCGACGGGUGUUUUGGGUUUUUUGAGACAGCCGACGCCGAUUCUGGUAGUCAUUAGCACAAACAAAUUUUCGGUAGUUUUUUUGUAACCCUAACAUGAAUUGUGGUAGUUUUAUGCUAUUCACUCAAUGCAAUUGACAUGUUUUUGACCGUUGUGACCCAAAAGUCAGGCCAUGGCGAUUAGAACAACAGCCCCGCAUAAAACGGCAGAUGUGGCCAUGGAUGUGGAAUUGCAUCGGCAUUGAUAUGUAUCACCUGUAGUGAUAACAAGCUCCCACUCAUCGCUCAGGGCAUGUACAAUGAUUGAUAAGGUAGUUUUAUCUUAAAUCUUGCAUGUAAUUUAGAGAUGACAAAAAAACAUAUCUACAAUAGGUCAUCUCUUGGCCUUAUCUUUAAUAACUAGUUAUUUCUAAAAACAUGGUGAGACAUAUUGUGCUAAAAGAUCAUCUCAUGUCUUCUAUUAAUUAAGAGAAGACAAACCUUCUCUUAUAAUUUGUUUCUCCUUUACUUCAUCAUUUAUCCUAUGUGACAUUACUAAGAGAGAACCAUUGUACGUGCCCUCACGCCUCAGAGAGCUCCUAAUUUGCACUCUUUGCGCCAGUUAACGAGCCGACGCUCACGCGCGCCACAGGCUGGGCCAGCCUAACACGUGAGCUCAUCGCACGUUCAAUCGUUGGCUGACAGUUUGACGGUUGACCGGUUGACUCUAGACCUUUAAGAACAAAAUUGUGGAUUCGGAAAAGUUCAUGAUUUACCAAAAAUAUUCAUGAGUUUGAGAUAAUAUUAUGGAUUGAAAAAAAAUUGUGCAGUUGAAAAUUGUUUCCGAUUGAAAAAGUUCAUGCAUUUAAAAAAAAGUUAUCAUAUUUUAAAAUAUUGAAUGUGGCAGGCUGCAUAGGCGGCUGACCUUUUCUAAGAUCAGCCCAGAAGCAUAAAGGUACGCUGGCAAUAGAAAGAAACCAGAUGCAAACUAAGUCAGGCGUGCAGUAAUCAAGCUAAUCUUUGCAUUGCAAGGCCUGGCCGGUGUUUUCGGGCGGCUAGCAUCAUCCGCCAUUACUCGGCACCGAUGACAGCCGACGACCGCCCGUGGGUCCGCCGACGACCAUCACAUCCUAUGCAUGCAUGGGACCGGCAUCGGCGUCAUGAUUUAAUCCUUGGUUGAUCGAUAUGCACAGAUACAAGAUUUUUUCAUAAAUAUUACGCUGGAUAAAAAAAUUUCAAAAAUAAUAUAUCGUCGGCCCGCUGCAGGCCGACCGGGCCUAGUCGGCUCACAGAAGGCCGAUUGGAUUCCAGUCGGCCUACAGCUAGCCGACUGGCCCCUGUCGGCCCACUGUGGGCUGAUUGCGUCCUGUUGGCCCACUGUGGGCCGACUGGAGCUAAUUGGCUCGCUGUGGGCAAAUUGUUUUUGCAAAAAAAGCAAGCAUAAAAAAUAUAUGUUUAAAAAAUGUUAAUCAUGUAAUUAAAAAAUGUUAAACGUGUAUAAAAAAUAUUUCUGAUGUAUACAAAAAAUGUACAAUAUAUAUGCAAAAACGUUGACAUAAAAAUGUGUUUUAAAAUGUGUUAAGCAUGUAUUUAAAAAUUGUUAAAUGUGUGUAUCAAAAAUGUUCCUUAUUUAUACAAAAAAUAUAGAAUGUGUAUGAAAAAAAGUUGACACCAAAAAAAUAUGUUUGAAAAAUAUACCCGUGACUGGACCCGUCAAUUGGCACGUACUAUACCCGUGAAGGUGGCCCGUGGAUUAAUUGGAUGGUUCUCAGUAGUUCCCUGCACCGCACGGCCACAAGCAUAAACGUAUCAUUCUCCUUGGCCACAAAACCUGACGUACCUUGACUGUAACUUUUUUUUGCCAGGCGUAGCGUUACCAAGCGGCUACCAUCACCAGCUGGCCAAGCCCAAGCUGCACUCGGCAUAUGCAGCGACAGGCGACGACCGCACGCGGGUCAUGCACGUCCUAAGUACUGGUGGUAACUUCCCGCAAAAAAUAUAUAAUAAAAAUAGAUAGUGCUAACUUCCACACGUAUUAAAGUUAAGCAAUAGAUCCGCACGAUUCCUUCCUUUUCUAACUUGCAUGCAUGCAUUAGCUUCAUCUUAUUUUCUUUGUUUUUCCUGUGUGUGUCCAUUAUCCAUUAGCAGUUAAUUAGCAGCUACUAAUCAUAUACAUGCAGAAAAAAUAAAAUUGAUGAUGUCAUCAAAGAUUCUUCUCAAUGCGAAAAUUCAAAAUAUUUUGUAGCUCAAACCGUUGGUCCGAUUGAAAAACCGUUUGCACAUAAAAGAUUCGUCGCGACGAGACCUCCGAAACUAGAUCCCGCGUUGAUAUGCUUCGAUGAAUUUUUUUCGGGUCAAAAGUUAUCGGGCCUAGGCUAAAUAAGUUAUCACCUAUGUGUACGCCAGUUACCAUCCUAUUUACAUGGAAAUUACCGGGGCAUAAAAAUGGCUCCACCAACAUUCCCUUCACAUGUAAAUGCAGUAGAGCACAGGAAAUCUGAUCUCAUUGUAAAUUCUCUCUAUUUCGAAAAUGUAAAUAUUUUAUAGCUCAAACUGUCGUUUUUGAUUGAAAAAUCGUUCUCACAUAAAAAAUCCAUUGCGAUGAGUACUUCAAAACUAGAUCUCAUGUUGACAUGUUUUGAUCACUUUUUUGUCAAAAGUUACCAUAAAUUUAUCAGUUAUGUUAUAUGUAUAUUAACACGUUAUUUAUGCAGGAGUUACCGGAGAUGUGUUUUCAACGACUUCUUUCCCCUGGGUCAAAUUUACCAUGGUAUUUAUACCUAACUUAUCAGCUCCGGAUGCAUACAUUACCGUGCUAUUUGCACAGAAGUAACCGGGGUAUGUUUCAAUAACUUUUUAUUCAGAUCUAAAGUUACCGCGUUGUUUAUACCUAAGUUAUUAGGUCUAUGAUGUGUGAGUUAUCAUGCUAUUGACAAAAAAGUUACUGGAGGUAUAUUUCAUCAACAACCCUCCCCCACCCCUCACGACCGUCACCAAACGUUACCAGGACUAGCGCACAUAAGUUAUCAUGUCUGCGAUGUGUGAGUUAUCAUUUUAUUCACACAAAAAGUUACCAAGUGUAUACUUCACCAACCACCCUCCCCCCACCCGGUUAGCAAAUUUACAAAGACUGGUGUACAUUAGUUAUCAGGUCUACAAUGUGUGAGUUACCGUGCUAUUCACAUAAAAGUUACCAGGGGUAUAAUUAAUCACCCCUCUCUCGCGAAAAGUACCAGGACCGGGGUGCAUAAGUUAUUUCAGCCAAAAGUUACCAAGCUAAGUAUGUUACCAGCUUAUGCGUGUAUUGCCAUGUUGUUUACACAGAAGUAAUCACGAUACAUUUUUUGAUAACUUUUUCACAGGAUUAAAAGUUACCAUGGUGUUUGUACUAAGUUAUCAGGUCUGCGGCAUGUAUAUCACCAUGCUAUUUACAUAAAAGUUGCCCGGGAACAUUUUCAACAAAAAAAAACUUGGGGUGAAAGUUACCGCCGUCUUUGUACCUAAGUUAUCAGGUCUAUAGUGUGUAUGUUAUCGUGCCAUUUAUAGGGUAUGUUUUCAUUAAUUUGUUUCUUUGGAUCAAAAGUGGCGGUGUUUGUAUGUAAUUUAUUAGGUCUAUGCUUCGUACAUUACCAUGCUCUUUACACAAAAGUUAGAGGGGUAUGUUUCAACAUUUUUUACCUCGGGUCAAGUUACCGCGAUAUUAGUAACUAAGUUAUCAGGUCAGUGGUUUGUAUGUUACCAUGCUAUUUACACAGAAGUUAUUGGCGGUGUGCAUUGAACAGUACUUUUUCAGGUAAAACUUACCGCAGUGUUUGCACCUAAGUUAUCAGGUAUGCGGUGCUUUUAUUACCAUGAUAUUUAUGCAGAAGUUAUUGAGGUUAUAUUUUUCGACAAAAUUUCCCUUGGUGUCUAAGUUAUCACGGUGUUUGUACCUAAAAUACCAUGUAUGCGGUGCUAUAUUAUCAUGCUACUGUACAGAAGUUAUUAGGGGUGUGUAGUCAACAACUUUUUUUCUUGGUCCAAAGUUACCGCGGUGUUUGUAGCUAAAUUAUCAAGUCUGUGGUGCGUACUCGGUCCAAGUUAUCGUGGUGUUUAUACUUGAGUUAUCAUGUCCGCGAUGCGUAUAUUAUCAUGCUAUUGAUAUAUAAGUUACCAGGGGCGGGGUUGACAACUUUUUUCUUUGGAUCAAAUUUAUCGCGGUGUUGGUACAUAAGUUAUUAUGUCUGCGAUGUAUAUAUUUUCAUGUUAUUUAUACAGAAGUUAAUGGCAUGUGGUCAGCUGUGCGUAUAAAAAGGGUCUGAUUGGGUCAUCUAUUAGGAUGUUGUUAAUUUAGAAUUCCACUUCUCACGUCAUUUUACACUUAUUCGAUUAGCUUGUGUGAUGUUCAAAAAAGAAUAAGCAUUUCCUUUUCUUUUUGAACACAAUGAUAAACAUUCUUCUUUCAACUAGAAAGCAACGAGGCAUACAGGAGGAGUUGGUUAAUGCACAACCUACAGGACCAAGGAUCGAAUCUGUUUCACAGCCCUAUUUUUCUACCCACAUUUUCUCCUCUAACGAUCUUGGACGACUUCACGCAAUAAAAUCAUUCACAAGAAAAAAAAGGGAAAGGAAUAUACGCGCGAAGGAAACCAAUCACGAGAAAAAAAGGGAAGGAAAGUACGUUCGAAGGAAACAAAUCACGAGAAAAAAAAGGGGAGGGAAAGUACGUUCGAAGGAAACAAAUCACGAGAAAAAAGGAAGGGUCGCGCUAACUACCACACGUGUGGCAGGAAGGGAGACGCACCACCCGUCUCUAAUGUAAACAGAUUGCCACGUCAUCGCAUGCAUGCAGGAAUCUUUUUGGAUUUUCAGUUUUUAAAAUGUUUUAUCUCUUAAACGAAAAAUCCGAUUGAAAAUCCGUUUUCACCAUUAAAUCCCUCGCGAUGAGAUCUUCGAAACUAGAUCCCAUGUUGAUAUGUUUUGAUGAAAUUUUUUUGGAUUAAAAGUUGCCAUGUCUAUUGCAUAUGAAUUGCCAUGAUGUUUACACUGAAUUUGCCAUGAUAUGUUUCAGCUAUUUUCUUCUAUAUUUAAAAGUAAAUUUUGACAUUUAUAAAACGGGGAAUUAAGAAACUAGACUUGCCAUGAACCAUAAACUAAAAUUGCCAUGAUACAUGCACGUAAAAUUGCCAUGGUUCAUACAAAAAAUAAUUUUCAUGGUCAAAUUACUGGAGUUGCCAUCAUCAAAAUACUAAAAUUGCCAUGAUCUACAAACUAAAAUUGCCACAUGGCAACUUUAGUUUAAGCCCUAUGGCAACUGCAGUGUAAACAUCGUGGCAACUUCUGGCAAAAAAAAAUUCGUCGAAACAUAUCAACAUGGGGUCUAGUUUUGAAGAUCUCAUUGAGACGGAUUUAAUGGUGAAAAAGGAUUUUUAGUUCGCUUUUUUAUUUAGGAGAUACAACAUUUUUAAGCCGAAAACCAAAAAAAAUUCUGCUGAUGUCAUCUAUUCAUACGUGGCAAAAUGAGUGGUGAUGAAGGCGUGUGGGCGAUGUGCAAACGCCCACACAUGUGAGCGUUAACAUUUCCGAAAAGGAAAAGAACGUACGUGCAUAUCCAGCUGGCAGACCGGUCGUUCGAGCUCCGUGGGAAUUGCCAGCGAAACUAAUCUCGCUUUAAUCGCGUGCCGAUGGAUGCAAAUCGGACGGUGACAAUAUCGUUCGGAUCUGUUACUAAUUUCCGUACGUCUGGAAAUUAGCUUUUACGAAUAAAAAUAAUACUCCCUCCGUUCCUAAAUGUAAGUCCUUUUAGAGAUAUCACUACAAACUGCAUACGGAUGUAUAUGGACAUAUUUUAGAGUGUAGAUUCACUCAUUUUGAUCCGUAUCUAGUCCAUAGUGAAAUCUCUGAAAAUACUUAUAUUUAGGAAUGGAGGGUGUGAUUCCUUGUGGUAACUAACCCGGGGAUGACCGUAGACUACCCUGCAUGGCAUCCUGCUUUUAAUACGCGAUCGAUGCGUACAGAGGUAGCAUACAUACACGCUCAAUAGCAUCGAUCGGUGUAUCCAUCUACUAUCUGUUAUUGACCCUAUAUAUAUGGCCACCAUAACACGAAACCAACCACCAACACCUAGAACAAACUUGCCCGCCGCCGGUGCCACGAUGAGCGCCAUGUGCUUUUUGUUGGCAUGCUUGGCGGCAGCCAUGCGGCCAACGUCGGCCGCCGAGGCUGGAAGGAGUGGGAUCUUGAAUAUCCCUUCCGCCGGCGACCUGGCUCGGGCUCGCUGCCCUUCCAGAUGCGGUGGUGUUGCCAUUCACUAUCCGUUCGGGAUAGGGCCAGGCUGCUUCCGACAAGGCUUCGAGCUCACCUGCAACAUCACCGCAGGUUAUAUGAGGCUCUUUCUGCCCAACACUACCACUGAGAUCCUUGAGUUACCUCCUGGAGAUACUUUGCUUCGGGUCCCUCCUAUCCACUUCAACGUCCCCAUGAAACCAGGUAUGACCGACACCUAUAACAUGUCAUGGGAGGUCCCUGUUAAAGGUGUUAUGAUCUAUGGAGGAGAAUCUAGCUUGUUCGUUGUUGGUUGUGGUGUGAGUGUUUACUUGUUUGGCCAUGAUACCGACGACCCCAUCGGUAGUUGCAUGAGUAUUUGCCUCGACGACAAAGUGGCCAUGAAGGAGGCAAAUGCAAACAACUUCAAUGGCGAUGGUGGGAUGGGAUACUGUUCCAUCCCUUUGCAGCAGGACGUUCCAGCAUUCGGGUUCGUAGUUGACGGCCUCAAAGGCGCAUCUGCACUAGCAGGUCAAGGUCAAGGGCUCUCUAAUAGUAGUAUCAAAGUUUUCUUGGCGGGAGAUUACAAAUUUCAUACGGUUGACAUAUAUUCAAGUAAGAUAGACGAACGAAAUGUUGCAUGGCCAUAUUUUAGCAUGACCAUCACGGAUCAACCCAACUGUGAAAGUGCUCAGAAGGAAAAGUCAAGCUAUGCUUGUAGCACUGACAGUGAUUGCCUGGAUCUGCCAUCUGGAGGCUACUCCUGUUUCUGCCGCCGUUACACAAACAACGACAACCCGUACCUUAGGGAUGGUUGCCAACAACAAGGUCAGCAAUCUACUCUUUAACCAGUAACAUAAAAAUAUUGAACUGCCAUGUCAUGAAUACGGGACUCAUAUAUGCAUCAUUGAAUAUUAUGGUAAUUUGUGAACCAAGAUUGUUAUUUUUCCUCUCCUUUUUUAUGUGUGUCGUCAUUUUUCAUAGAGAAAAAAAACCUUUUUGCAUCCUAGUUAAAAUAGUUCUACAAAAAAGGACACGGUGAUCAUCGUGGCUCCGGCGGCUGGCAAGUUUGUCCUAGGUGUUGGUGGUUGGUUUCGUGUUAUGGUAAUGGUAGAAACCUUUUUGCCGGGUGUAAUUGGUAUCUUCACGAUAUUAAUAUAUUCCAUUUGUCGAAAAAAGACUCUAAAUUACCUAUCAUGGAAGUUCAAAAAUCAGGACGAGCCUUCUGUUCAUAAUCCUUUCACACAUUUGAAUGUACUACUGUCUAUUGAAUAUUUUGUUUGCUAGUGCCACAUGGGGUAACAUAAUUUCUAGUUCUCAUAUUGUCUCUACUAAUGCAGAAUUCUUGACAAGUAGUUAAUAAGACCGAGAAUGAUUUUGGUAGUAUCCACCCAGUUAAUGGGUUUCGUUUUCCAUAAGUACCAUGUUUCUUUAUAAUGUUUUAGAUACCAAUUAAUCUUGGUAUUAUUAAUUAAUAAUAUAUCUCUAGUCUAGACAUGAUGACCAUCAAUUCCCAUGAUCUUAAGGCUGCCCGUAGUGGGUAGUAUCAUAAGUUAGUAUUACGCGCUCUAUAAUGCAUAGUAUCAUAGAUUAGUAUCUUAGACAACCUUAGUAUUGCCAUAUAAAAAACAUACUAGUAUAAUAUUUAUUAUCGUACGGUAUCAUGAUAUGAUACUCAACCCUCUCGUUCUUCAUUAAAUUUCAUGCCACCUCAUCAAAAUUGCCAAGUUGGCAUGCCUGAUACUAGCUAUAAUCCUCCUAUUAUGGGCAGCCUAAUGUAACUUCUCCCUAUGUCAAUCUACUUGCAGCGUACAACAAUUUCAAUCCUAUAGGAGGUUGCACCAGAUUAUGCGGGAGCACACAUAUUCACUUCCCUUUUGGGCUUGAAAAAGGUUGCUACGCCGCUGAACAGUUCAGACUUAUCUGUACAUUGGAAAACAUCACAAUUCUUUACAGAGGGGGCAACAAAUUUAAUCAAGGGGCCAAAUUCAUUGUGGCCAACAUUUCAGUGAAUGAAGGAUAUCUUAGUCUUAGAGGAGCACAAAAUAACUCAAUGUACGUUAAUGAAAGGCUUGCAGUAAUAGAUAAAAGCGACAUGGGUUUGGAAUUAGAAGACACCUCUUCAAAGGGUUAUUAUUUUUCUGAAGAAUACGAUAUGAGGAUGUGGUGGUCUGUCGAUAAUUUAACAUGUACGGUUGCUAUGAGCAAGGAAAGAAGUGCUAUGUAUGCAUGCCGUAGCGGCAAUAGCACUUGCGUUAUUGUCAAACAACAAGACUACAAGGAUGUGGCAAUGCAACUCGGCUAUCGUUGCCAGUGCUCUCAAGGUUUUGAUGGAAAUCCAUACACACUGGAUGGCUGCAAAGGUAAAUACACCAGAACUGUUAGUAUAAAUUGCCUUCCAACUUCAUACAUGAUUUUCCCUGUACAUGAAAUGAUUGACCGAAACAUUGACAAUGAUACAUCUAGCAUGAUUCAUGUGAUGCAAUUUCUUGGUCAUCUUGAUUGAAAGAGUUUAUUCCUUUUUAGUGGAUUUAGGCUAACUACAUGGAGUAUAGCUAUACUACUAGUCACCAAGCAAGAUAUGAAAAACACGCUACUCAUGUCAUACAACUCCCUCAACAUGGCCCGGUUUACACACACACACACACACACACACACACACACACACACACGCGCGCGCGCGCGCGCGCGCACGCAACACACACACACAGCGCGCGCGCGAUUUUAGCGAAUUCAUGAAAAUGAUAAAAUAGGCUUGAUCCUUGCUUGAGCUAACAUUGAAUAUCGUCAUGUUGUAUACAUUAAUCUUAUACACCAUUUUUCACACUUUUAGAAUGUGCGUACAUAAACUUCCAGAACUGUUCUUAACAUAUAUUGCAUCAAACAUAUUUGUGUAAUGUUAGUCUUCUAUAUAUUUUGGUUCUUUACUAACAUGUACGUAGAAAUAACCAACUGUAUAUUUUGGAGAUCACGUUACUCUAUAGAGGUGGUUUCAAAGUCUCUAGGAUGAGUACUAGGCCAAGGGUUAUCUAGCUUUGGUUUCACAAUUACUACCAAUUAUUUUGAGCCAUCAUUUGUUUCUCACAUACCUACUAUUUACAGAUGUCAAUGAGUGUUUGCAAAUGGAUAUUUGCAACGGCACAUGCCGAAAUUAUCCUGGAGGCUAUAGUUGUUGCACUCGUGGAGAAGAGUUUGAUCCGGUAGAAAAGAGAUGUUUCAGGUUAACAAAGAGACACAAUAUUAUCUUAGGUAAAUCAUACCAAAUUUACUCACCUCAUGAGAGAUUGCAACUUGCAAAGCGAAUUUUUCAAUAAUAACUAAUAUUGGAUGUAUAGGUAUCACAAUUGGAAUUAGUUGUGGCCUUGGCGCCAUAAUUCUUGUGCUAGGUGCAAUAGUACUCAUCCGCAAGUGGAAGAGAGGCAUAGAAAAGAGAAUUCGAAGGGCAUACUUCAAGAAAAAUCAAGGCUUACUCUUCGAACAACUAAUAGCAGAUGAAAGUGCCGCAGAUAAAACAAAGAUAUUCUCAUUGGAGGAAUUAGAUAAAGCAACAAACCACUUUGACGCCAACCGUAUUCUUGGUCGUGGAGGACAUGGAACAGUUUACAAAGGGAUUCUAUCCGAUCAACGUAUAGUGGCCAUAAAAAAGUCUAAGCUAGUGGAGCAAACUGAGAUUGACCAGUUUAUCAAUGAGGUUGCCAUCCUAUCACAAAUCAUUCAUCGGAAUGUGGUCAAGCUUUUCGGUUGUUGUCUCGAAACAGAGGUUCCUUUGUUAGUUUACGAGUUCAUAUCCAAUGGAACACUGUAUGAUCUUCUCCACAUCGAUGUAAGUGUUAAAUGCUUGCUUAUAUGGGAUGAUCGCAUUAGGAUUGCAGUAGAAGCCGCAGGUGCCCUUUCUUAUCUCCACUCAGCUGCUGCAAUACCAAUUUUCCAUAGAGAUGUCAAAUCUUCAAAUAUACUCCUAGAUGACAACUUUACUACCAAGAUUUCUGACUUUGGUGCUUCAAGAUCUUUAUCACUUGAUCAGACACAUGUAGUGACAACUGUACAAGGCACUUUUGGUUACUUAGACCCUGAGUACUACCACACUGGCCAGCUGAAUGCGAAGAGUGAUGUUUAUAGCUUUGGAGUUAUACUAGUGGAGCUUGUGAUAAGAAAGAAGCCAAUUUUUAUUAAUGACCAAGGUAUAAAACAAAGCUUAGCUCAAUACUUUGUUGAAGGACUUCAGCAGGGAGUUCUCAUGGAAAUCAUGGAUCCCCAAGUUCUAAUAGAAGCGAACCAGAAUGAAAUUGAGGGUAUUGCUUCAAUCGCAGAAGCAUGCUUGAAAACUAAAGGAGGAGAAAGACCUACCAUGAAGGAGGUAGAAAUGAAGUUGCAAUUCCUUAGAAGUAGUAGAAGGCUAAGGAGUCAACUUCCCUUCAGAUAUGAUGGAGAGAUCGAGCCAUUUUGGUGCCCAAAUACUAGUAGCUCUCAUGCACAGAGCAACAACAUUACCAGUAUCAUUGGUUUAACACCUACAUGCAUCUCCAGUAAGUAUAGUUUGGAGCAAGAGUUUCUGAACUCGGCCAGCUUGCCACGCUAGCGAAGCAAGUGGUAGGAUGAGCAUCAGCUUGAUAUGCAUCUGAGAUGCAUUUUGUGGCAUAUAAAAAAACAAUGUAAUGUAUGUAUUUCCCUUUAGUGGGAGUAUGCCAUGUAAAUUCCCGCAUUAUGUUUGUAGCUUAUCUCAUGUGUGUAAUUUCAAUUUAGAUGACAACUCAUUGAUGUUAAGCUAUGGUGGUGAAUAAGGGUAUAUUGCUGCUUUGCAUAAUUAUAAUACACAUUUAUCACCACCUAUUAACAGUGGCUUAAGUAUUCUCGCCACAUUAGGUGGUUGGAGAUUGGGACUCUCGCUUGGACCCUCUGGACGAUCCGCAGUAGGCUUGCGAUUCAGCGCAUUCUGCUUCGACAUGCUACUGAUGCCUUCUUCAAACUGUCUGGUUACUUGCAACUUUGAUGGCCGCUUAGCCGCCCACAGGACCGGGACGCCAUCUCUGCCUUCAUCGCAGACGUCCGCUCGAUGCCUAUCCGUUUGGCGCCGCCGCUUCCUCCGCCACCUCCCGAGCCGGAUUAGGGGUCGAGAGUGAUCUCCGACCUUUUUUGUUUUUUCUUUGGGCUUGUUGAGUUGUGCCCUCAGCAGAACCUCUUGUACUUCUUGUUGUGAUACUUGUGUGUGUGGUGUGAACCUUUCCGUGUACUGGUUGCUAGUGGCGAUUUGCUUUAUCUAUAAAACGGAACGAAAGUCUUUUUUGGUAAAAAAAGAUUUAUAUGACUGCUUGCAUGAUAUGCUUUGGCCUCCGGGAAAACUGCAGACCCUCAAACUGCUUGGCCGCCUAAAGUUUUUGCCAGAAUGGAUCAACGGGCUCGAGAAUCUCGUGAAGCUCAAUCUAGAAUUGAUCGGGCUACUUGGAGAUAGUGAAACCAUGCAAGUCAUUGGGAACGGAAAGUUGUAUACUAGCUCGAAGCUCGAGCUCCACGACACCUUGUAUCAUGGUCGUCUAUUGCUGUUGAGAUUUUUGCAGCAGGAAGCACACCGAGCCCAGUCCUCUGACAGUGUCAGGGUUAUUAACAGAGGUGGACAUAGCCAGAUUCACGGUAAUGCGAGGUAGUUUAGGUACUGCAGCCUAGUCUACAUGGGUCCAGUUUUUUUGGCAGCUUCCGUCCGUGUUCACGUGGCCCGGACCUGUGGCGUUCAGCGGCUUAUACUACUCUGGACUGCUUUUAAAGAGUGUGCUGUAGCAUCUGAUGUGAGUGGAAAGAAAAUCGAUUGAGCCUGUGGGUCUAAUGAAGAAAGUAAGAUAUUUAAGGUUUUUUUUCCCUCAAAAUCUCUGCACAGUCGGUUAAUUUAUGAUAAGAGAAAUCAAGGCGCAGCCUACAAUUACAAUUUGUAUUUACUAAUGUUUUAUGUUUAUAAUCAGAUCGCUGGCUGUGGUAGAACUUGCAAACAAUGAUUGUAUGAACACUUUCCAAGAGUAAUACAAGUUCUUUACCCCGCAAAAAAUAAUCAGAUCGCUGGCUAAGUUGUGCGAUUUUCAAUUUUUGUGGUCAGUCGCUAACACAUGCAAGAUAUAUAAUCUUGUUCUCCUUAAUAAUUUUAUUUUGAUGUACUAGAUGAAUAGUACGCAAUGGUAUAUGUGAUAGGACCCUCAUGUUGAUUUAUUCCCUGGAUGCUUGGGUUGACCACAUGAAGAGAAAAGAAUUUUGUUGGAGAGGAAUGGUACCCAGCACUAUUCCCUGGAUGGGGUAAUUGUUUAUCUGGCAUGCAGUGUAGACAUGCAAUUGUGUCAGAACCAACACCGUGGUGCUGAGAAAAUAUCAGGUGCUACGGGAGCACCUAAGUUUAGGUCCUCCAAGAGCUUCUCGGCCAUUGGAUCUGAAAUCCAACGGUCAUCUACAGAUGCGCUGGACCCGAUUUGCAAUACCAAAUUUCUGGGGGUGUUUUCUGAAUAAAAGCGUGAGCUCUCUCUGCUCCCGUAGCACCAGAUAUCCUCCCAUGUGGUGCUAGGAGCCCCGGUCAUUUUAUUAAUCGGCUAGGUAUCCGGCUGUGGUUACUGCUGAAGUAGGCAUGCAAUCCUUGUGACAGCUGAUGUACUUCGCACAAAUCUGAACACAAAUGCAUGGUGUAGAUAGAGGGUCUCGUGGAGCUUGAGCUUGAAAAAACCACACUCGGCCCAUUGGACCGUGAUAUUGAAGAACCUAUCAGAAUCACUUUCCAAGCUGGCCUUUUCAGAAGCCUUGUGGUAUUCUAUCUUGUUUGCAUGCAUGUGAAAAUCGAAUCGCUGCAGUUUGAGCCAACAUCAAUGCCGAAACUUGAGGCGUUGAGCCUGCGACUAUUUGAUUCUGCAACGGUCAUUUCUGGGCUGGGAUUUCUCCCAAGCAUCAGGCAAGUACAGCUCAUUGUGGAGUUUUACUCAUUUUAUAUCCAACGCACUGAAGAUAUGACCAAGAAAGGAGCACAAAAUGAAUUAAGACGCCAGGGAUACAAAGUCAAGGAGGGCAUCAGGAAGCAGCUUGCCAGCAAUAAAAAUGGUCCCAUUUUGAAGAUGCAACCAAUGAAUCGUCAGGAAGAAGCACAGAAGCAGUUUCUGUUAAAUUUUACACAGAUUUUUUCGUGGGUUCUUACACAGAUUUUUUUUAGCACUUUGAUUUUUUUUUUCAAGUUCGGAUGUGUGUCCAGUGUGUACAGAAACAAUACAGUAGAUGCAUGUAUUCUGAUGGAGAUUAACAAUAAAUGCAUGUAAUGUACAGUAUUAUUCCCUGGCACCGGUGAAGUAGAAGGACGUCUUCAGUGGGCUCGAACAAACUUGUCCUGGCCUCCAAUGAGCACAAUAUAUGUAAUGCAUUAUUUAACCAUCUACUAUCACUAUAAAAGGAAGAGAGGGGCAAAUCCAAACAAUCACAUCCAUUCAUUAUUAAAAUCUAAUGGCUCUUAAUCCUCUGGUGUUUAACGCUGCAAGCCACGCAUCAAGCCACUAACCCAUCGAUCGCUAACCCUCAUCAUCGCUAAAAAAAACACUGCGAACACGACCUUUAGCCCCAACAGACGCCACACCACGACCGCACGACCUCUCCCCCAACUGACGCCACAGCACGGCCGCGGGCCGCACGACCUCUCGCCGCUGGAGAGAGCCGCCGUGCCCCCCACCCCCCGCCGUUCGUCGUCUCGCCGCGGGAGGGAGCCGCCGCCCACCCGUCGUUCCUUCCUUCGCCGCGGGAGGGAGCCGCCGCCCACCCGCCGUUUCUCCCUUUGCCGCGGGAGGGAGCCGCCGCCCCCCGCCAUUCCUCCCUUGGCCGCGGGAGAGAGCCGCCCCCCGCCGUUCCUUCUCUCGCCGCGGGAGAGAGCCGUCGUGCCCUUCGCCGCGAGAGUUGAGCUUCAGCUUGGCCUCCGCACCGAUGUUCCUCUUAUGCUUCCCGUCGGCCACAAGUAAGUUUCUUGUACACUGAAGCUCAACUGUUCCUAAUCUGCAGACUACAGACGACCUACCUUUUUGCGUUCUGAUGAAUUUUGGCCCUCUUAGACUUUGUUCCACAUUUGCCUUGCAUUUCAACCAAAGGGAUUGAGUUGCCUUUCAACCAAAGGAAUUGAUACAAAUGCAUUGUGAACAACUAGGUGGUAACAAAGGGAUUGAUACAAAUGCAUUGUGAACAACUAGGUGGUAACAGAACAUCAAUUGAAGUGGGAAGAUGGGGCAGCGGCGGCAUGCUAUACUGUCUUGGGCUCCCGUCCCCUGUCGUAAUCAAAUCACAACCAUUGUUGGUGAGGCUUCAGUUAACAUUCCCAUCUUCCUAGCCACUACAACGAUAAUCGGGUAACUAUGAGUCAUCAAACUGAAGUUGGCUUCUUCAUCUGUAUUUCUUAGAUGUGUGCCGAGAUAGUAGCGAGGCUUUGUUCUUAUUUCUAAUAAUUAGAUGCAGAUAUUUAGACAUUUGCUUCAGUGAUUACAAACUGAAGAAUGUGGACUGAUUUGUUAAUUUAAUUGUCAAAUUUGGUGUUGUCGGAUUUCUAUUUGUAGGUUAAUAUUCAGUGCAUGAGAAGCAUGUAUUGUGUCAUUUUCUUCUGUCAAUAUUCAGUUUGAACCAAUUAGGCGACCAAUUUGUGCUAAUUUCUAUUCAUACGUGGUCUCUGUGUAUAGAGGCUCCAAGAAAGAAGGAUGGGUGUGUAAUACGUAGUCAUGUAUUGGUUCAUUCUUUUCCACUUACAAAUGUUUUAAGAAAUCAACUAGCCUGCUUCGAAGCUGGGGACCCAUGAGUGUUAUUGUGCAAUUCCAGCUUCCAGAUUAUAAUGAGGAUCAUGGAGCUGUAGGUAGAAUGCAAUGACUUACAGUAAUGUCUACUGACUUGGCAAGAGGUUUCUUAUCAAACUAUUCACAUCUUAUUUAUAUUGUCCAUGCUAUUUGAAGGUGAAUAACUAUCUUUCAGAAUUGUGUACAUUUGGUAAAUUAUUAUUGUCCCUACGAAGCGACUUUCAGUUUAUAUAGAGAAAUUAUUUUAUGACACUACAUGAUUAAGGGAGAACAUACAUACGAUUGGGGAAAAAAAAGCAUGGGGUGACGACAAAUGGGUGCCUCUCUCAGAAGGGAUCAGGUGGAGGCUCACCGGCUGCAGCGAUGGCCACUAGCGUGAGCUGUGAAGCGCGUGGAGGCGAGAGCCUCAUGGCCUGUUGAUACGGCGCAUAAUUGCAACCCUCCAAUUCAUGUAAGUUUGUUGAUUGUGUUCUCAGUUGUCUAAGUUGUUAUAGACGCGGAUAGUGUGCAAAAUGGUGGAAUGGAAAGACCAAUAUUCUGACAGUGUGUGAGAGAUUUAUACUGAUACUAAAUUGCUAGCUGCUUGCUGAUGGGAAGCUAUCAUUGAUAGAGCAUUCAGUUGGGGGCUUACGCUCACGCAAGUACAUGGAGGAAUUCGAGACGCCUGACCUAAGUUUACUACUCCCUCCACUUAAAUGAAUAAGGCGCACACACAUUUCAAAAUCUAACUUUGGCCAUCAAUUUAACAGCCGGGGGUAUUCCUCCUUUUCGUAAAAAAAUCAAUUUAACAAACCAAAUGUGGGUUAUACCUAAUAAAAGUUAUACCGUUGAGCUCAUUUUUGAGAAAAAAUUAGUACUGCCUUCGUGCGGAAAUACUUAUCGCUAAAUGGAUGUAUCUAAACAUAUUUCAGUUCUAGAUACAUCCGUUCGAGUGACAAGAAUUUCCGGACGGAGGGAGUAGUAUAAUUUUCAAGUCACAUAAGUUGCUUGAUCUCUCCCUACUCCAUGUUAAAGAAUUCUGAUUCAGCCGAUUCCCCUGCUGAAUGCUUGUGUUUCGUACUUUCAUUUAAGUUGCCUCUUAAAAAUAAGUGUACUGUCUUUUGUGUUCCACAUAUCACAUUUGAUUUGAUCUCUGUGGGGCAGAAUAAAUACUGUAUGUUUUACAUGUGGGUUGAUGCACAGAAGUCAUUUGCUGCACGUCUUUAUUCCUACAAGCUUUACUAUUAUAACUUGAUAGCAUGUGGAAUUUUGGAUAAUUGCAGCGCCUCACCCCGCUCCACUCCAUGCCAGCCCCACAGUCAUGUUAUUGAACAUUGGAGAGAAACCGAGCACCACUUUUCACUUGAAUUAGAAACACCAAAGGUUUGGGAUUAUGCUCGUGACGACUAUGUCCAUCAUGUAUCGUGUCCAAAGCAGAUGGUAUGUGUUCAUAUGUAAUGGUGGUGCAGUAAUGGAUCAAGCUCUAUUGAACAGGAAAGUUAAGCUGUAAUCUAUGGUAUGUUUCUGUAUAUUUUCUUUUACAAACGUGCUACUUCUCUUCUUUUAGAUUGUUGGAUAGUACAAUGAUCUGGUCAACGUUUAUUACCAGCUUAUAAGUUCAUUGUGACUCUGGUUUUGUGCUAAUGUAGUACUGAUAUGAGUCACUUCUGCUAGAAAUCAAAGAGAAUUAAAUGUAAGUUUCUGCUACUGCAUGAUACCUCCAAACGUUACACACAAAGCUUGAUAAGUGCACUGAAGAGAAACAUUUUCUUGAUGAAGUUGUUCCGGGUUGUAACUUUUGUAGGCAUAAACAAAAUCUGGACACUUUGGUUUAGCGGUGAAGUUGUUUCAUGCCAUUGUAAUUUAUAGUGGUUUUGAAAAAACAAAGUUGCAUGUGCUGGCUAAUUCUGCAUGUGUGUAUUUUCUUGUAACUUCUAUGCCUUUCUUUUUUGCUCUUUUAGGAAAACCAUACGAUGAUUUUGAUGAUGCUUUUAUAAGUAAAAAAACAGAUUAUAUCCUUCAAUUCCAUUCAUUUUAUGUGGUGUCUUUGUGUGGGUUUCAAAGGCAAAGAGUUGUGUGGUACACAUGAUGAGACUGAAUACUGCCAUAUGUUUUUAAUUGAAGUCCCUAAAGCUUAUUAGGGUCUCUUUGAUUCACAUGAUUAUCUGAUUAUCAAAAUACGGGAUUAAGAAAAACCUAGGUACCAUUAAUUGUGUUUUACCUAUCCCUUGUUAAGCCUAAAAAAUUAGAUAGUCUCUCUUCAGUUCUCUCUCCCCCUAAUUUUAGGCAUAUGUAACAAUUUUAACAGAUGAAAUCAUAACUAGAGGUUUGAGAGGAUGGAUUUUUUUCUCCAAUAUAGAGUACAAAGAAUACUUCAGGAAAAGAUCCUCGGGCUUCAUAUCCAUAGAAAAUCCUAUGGAACUCUUGAGAACCAAAGGAUCCCUGUAUAUAUCUAACUAUGUAGUAAUUCAUACAUUGUUCUUUUGAUAGACAUUCCAAAAUGGAGUACAAAGAAUCCUUCGGGAAAAUAUCAAACCAUCUCCAUAGGGAAAAGAUCCUUAAGAUUCGUAUCCUCGAAAAAUCGAAUGAAUCAAAGGAACCCUACCUAACUUUGUUUAUCAGUUGUUCUUAUAGAGACAUCAUACAUAUGUAGGUCAUUAGAUUGUUUAUUAGCACAUUGCUAGAGAAUCUUAAAAUGGGGUCCUCAUAUUGUUAAAUAUGCUAAAGAAGUGAAUAAUUGUGUAUCAGCACAUUGCCAAAAUCUUGAUUCUUUUGCUUUUAGUUUUAUGCACUCAUGGUACGGGGAAGAACUAAAUCAACCAAUUUGCAGGGUCUAUUCAUUGUUUCAUGAUUUUACAUUCUACUAAGCGAAAAUUCCCAAGACAAUGACUUUUAUUCUCAUUCACGAUGUUUGCCAGCUAAGGAAGCAAUUUGCGGUGCACCAUACUUAGCUUCAUCGACAAUGAAGUUGCACACAAAAUUUCUGUUGUUGUACAAGAAUUAAUUACAUGUAUUAAUAAAUAAUGAGAUAUUUAUGUUUUUUUUGACUUUGUGCAUAGCUUGCCAUGUUAAAGUGUUUUUUUGAUUUUUAGUACUUUUUAAUGCAAUCAAAAUACCUUUGUAUGCAUGUUAAUUCCGACAUAUCUUUGUAAUAUUAGUCGAGACGUGCAUUUGCACGUACAAGCUUACUAGUAUAUGAAGGUUGAACACAGACCGUGCGUAUUUAAGUCUCGGCACAAACCGCACGCUUAAAUACGCAACAGUGAAGGUACGUGAACGGCACGCUCGCAUGUCAUUCGAGACGUGUGGAAAAUCUGUAAGCACGCUUGGUCUGUGACUAGUCAACUAGGAGUAGUAAUUAGCACUCUGGCCGUGAAGGUGGCCCGUUGAUUAAUUGGAUGGUUCUCAGCAGUACCCUGCACUGCACGACCACAAGCAUAAACGUAUCCUUCUCCUCGGCCACAAAUGAGACUAGCCACACGGUAACUGUUAAAAACAUGCAAGGCAUAAUGUUCCCAAGCGGCUACCAUCAUCAGCACUCGGCAUGAGGCAACAGGCGACGACCGCCCUCACGCAGGUCAGGCACGUCGUAAGCCCCGGUGAUGACCGUAACAUCCGAUGAUGGGACUAUUGCUCUGCAUGACAUCAUGCUUUUAAAACGCGACCGAUAUGGAAGGCAGCAUAUAUACAUACGCCGAGUAUCUAUUAUUGAUACUACAUCCCCGCCAUAUGACAGGAAACCAACCACCAACAUACCUAGGAACAAACUUCAUGGAGGCCGGAGCCACGGUGAGCGCCGUGUCCUUUUUCCUGGCGUGCUUGGCGGCGGCUGUGCAGCCAACGUUGGCAGCCAAGGCCGGAAGGGGUGGGAUCUUGCAUAUCCCUUCCGCCGCCGGGCUCGCUCGGGCUCGCUGCCCUUACAGGUGCGGUGGUGUCGCCAUUUACUAUCCGUGGGGGAUAGGGCCUGGCUGCUUCCGGCAAGGCUUCGAGCUCACCUGCGACAACACCGCUGGUCAUAAAACGCUCUUUCUGGCCAAUACUACCACUGAGCUCUUUGGCCUGAAGCCCGGAUCUCGCAGUUUCUGGACACCUGCCAUCCAUUUCAAUGUCACCAUGAAGCCAGGUAUGAAUGACACCUAUAACAUGUCAUGGGAGGCCCCUGUUUAAGGUGUUAUGGCCUCUGAACAAACAAGCUUGUUCGUUGUUGGUUGUGGUGUGGGCGUCUACUUAUUUGGCCAUAAUACCAACGAUCCCAUCGGUAGUUGCAUGAGUAUUUGCCUAGACGACAAAGUGGCCAUGGAGGAGGCAAAUCUAACCCGCGACUACUUUCGUGAUAUUGGGAUGGGCUACUGUCGCAUCCAAUUGGCGCAGGACAUGCGAGCAUUUAGGUUUGUAGUUGACCGCCUCAAUGGUGGCGUCUUAGCACAAUCAGGUCAAGGUCAAGGUCUCCCUACUGGUAUCAAAGUUUUCCUGGCGGGGAAAUAUAAUUUUCAUGUUGCCGACAUCUAUUCAGGUCGGGUAGACAAAAGAAACAUUGAUGAUGCAUUUCUUGGAAUGGCCAUCACGGAUCAACCAAGCUGUGAUAGUGCUCAGAAGAAAAAGUCAAGCUAUGCUUGUGGCCAAAACAGCGAUUGCGUGGAUAUGCCAUCUGGAGGCUACUCCUGUCGCUGCCGCCCUGAUACAGACGACAAAAAUACGUACCUUAUGGAUGGUUGUCAACAACCAGGUCAGCAAUCUACUCUUUAGUCGGGAAUAUAAAAAUAUUGACCUGCCAUGUCAUGAAUAUUGGACUCAUAUAUGCAUGAUCGAAUAUUAUGGUAAUUUUUGCACCAAGAUUGUAACUUUUACUCUCCUUUUCUAUGCUCGUCAUCAUUUUUUAUCAUAAAAGCAUUUCUGCUUCCUAGUUUAAAUAUAACUAGUUCUACGUACAACAAAGCAAGCACUAAUUGUUUCUUGCCCAACACUCAAAAUUGCCAAUCAUAGGAGUUUGAAAAUUAGGACACGGCUUUUCUUCAAAAUCAUUUGACACAUUUUGAUGAACUAAUUAUAUUGUUUACUAGUGCCACAUGGGGUAACUUAAUUCCCAGUUCACAUAUUGUCUCUACGAAUAGAGAAUUCUUGACAAGGCGUUAAUAAGACUUGUGCUGUUUUUGGUACUCCCUACAUCUCGGUGCAUAAGGCAUGCUCGUAGUUCUAGGCCAUCAAUUUAACUAGCAAAAUGUGUGUUAUAUUUAAUAAAAAUAUAUUAAGAAACUACAUUUACAUAUUAAUCCAAUGAUAUACUUUUGAUGAGAUAAAACCACGUGCAUGCCUUAUGCACCGAGACGAUGGAGUAGUAUCCACCCAAUUAAUGGGAUUGGUUUCCCAGUUAAGAUAGUGGAGUAGCUCGUUUCUUUAGGCUGGUCAUAGUGGGAGUAAUUUAGCUAGUAACAUAGCGCACUUCAAGACAAGUUUGCUUCUGUGACAUGUAGUUAAUGAGGAAAAAGGUGUUUGGAGUAACAUUAUAUGUUACUGUAACAUAAUGCAACUCAAAGCAAAAUGAGUCUUCAAUCUAAUUAAUGCAAUCAUCUCUGAUACUACUUCUGUGUUAUUUUGCACUAUGAAGGCAAUAACUUAGACUACUGGCAUAUGCAUGACACUAGUAUAAGUUACUCCCCUCUAUGACUAGCCUUAUAAUGUUUUAGUUAUUAAUUAAACUAGGUAUUAUUAAUUAAUUAUUUAAUAAGUUGCAUCUCUAGUCUAGAUAGGAUGACCAUUAAUUCACAUAAUCUUAGUGUAACUUCUCCAGUGGCAGUCUCCCAGUGUGACUUCUUCCUCCGUCAAUCUACACAUUACAAUACCAAUCCUAAAGGAGGUUGCACCAGAUUUUGCGGGAACACAAGCAUUCCCUUCCCUUUUGGGCUUGAAAAAGGUUGCUAUGCUGCUGAAAUGUUUCGACUUAACUGUACAUCAGAAAAUACCAAUUUUUUUGAUCAAAGGGGCAAAUACAUUGUGGCAAACAUUCCAGUGAAUGAAGGAUAUCUUAGUGUUAGAAAAACACAAAACAACUCAAAGUAUGGUGAUGAAGAGCUCAUGGUGCUAGUUGUUGUAGGCAAGGAGGACUGGCAAGUAGGACUCAUGCCUCUAGAUGGCUUUUAUUUAUGUGAAGAAUACAAUAUGAAGAUGUGGUGGUCUGUCGAUAAUAUAACUUGUCCAGAUGCUAUGAGCAAGGAAAGAAGAGCUACGUACGCAUGCCGCAGUGUUAAUAGUAGAUGCAUUCCUGUCACCUGCGGCCACCGGAAUGGGACGAUGCAGCUCGGCUAUCGUUGCCAGUGCUCUCACGGUUAUGAUGGAAAUCCAUAUAUACCGGAUGGUUGCGAAGGUAAACACACUACAAGUUCCAUUACAAAUUGCCAUAUGCCAUCCAACUGCAUGCAUGAUUUUCCUAGUACAUGAAAAUGAUUGACUGAAAUAUUGAUAAUGAUACAUCUAGCAGGAUUCAUGUGUUGCAAUGCUUCGAUCAUCUUGAUCCAAUGAGUUGGUUUUUUUAGUGGAGUCACGCUAACUAGGUUGAUGUUCAAGUCACACUAGUCAUAUAGCAUGGCUCUAUUUAGUUAUGUGUAUCACAUGUUGUAGAGACCAGGGCAGUGAUCAUUUUAUUACUUCAAAAAUGGACAUUAUGCUAGAUGACAACUAGAGUUUAGCUAAUUCAUGAAAAUGCCAAAAUAGGGCUUGAUCCUUAAUUGAGCUUUGUUGGUGGAGCUAACGCUGAAUACCACCAUGUAUACAAUUAACCUUCUCUCGCAAAAAAAAGUAUACAACUAAUCUUAUACAACCAUUUUCUUUUGUCUUUUGGAAUACGUGCAGACAAACGUCUAAAACUUUAGUGGCAACGACACACACAUAAGCAUGUAAAAUGGAAAUGUAAAAAGAAUGAUUUUAACAUAUAUGGCAUCAAACAUAUUUGUGUAUUGUUAGUUUUCUAUACAGUUAGAUUGUUUACUAAGAUAUAGUUAGAAACAAUAUUGGCCAAUACAACAUUUUUGAAAACACGUUGAUGUAUAAAGGUAGCUUCAAUGUGUGUAGGAUGAGUAGUCGGCCAAUGGUAACCUAGCUUUGGUUUCACAUUUAGUACAAAUUAUUUCCAGGCAUCAUUCAUUGCUCACGUACUUACCAUUUUAUAGAUGUCAACGAGUGUUUGUUGAUGAAUACUUGCAGUGGCGUAUGCCAAAAUUUUCCUGGAGGCUAUAGUUGCGGAAGUUGUACUUAUGGAAAAGAGUUUGAUCCAAGAAAAAGGAGAUGUGUCAAGAGACGCAAUCUUCUCAUAGGUAAGUCAUAUCAAACUUACUUACCUCAAUAGAAUUGGAACUUGAAAAGGACAUGUUUUAACCAACUACUACCAUAUGUAUAGGUAUUGCAAUUGGAAUUGGUUGUGGCCUGGGUGCCAUAAUACUUGCGCUAGGUGCAAAGGCACUUGUUAGCAAGUGGAAGAGAGGCACAAAAAAGAGAAUACGAAGGGCGUACUUCGAGAAAAAUCAAGGCCUACUCUUGGAACAACUAAUAUUAGAUGAAAGCUCCACUGAUAAAAUGAAGAUACUCUCCUUGGAGGACUUAAAUAAAGCAACCAAUAAUUUUGAUGUCAGUCGUGUUCUUGGCUGUGGAGGACAUGGCACGGUUUAUAAAGGAAUUCUAUCUGAUCAACAUGUAGUGGCCAUCAAAAAGUCAAAGCUAGUGGAGCAAACUGAGAUUGACCAGUUUAUCAAUGAGGUUGCCAUCCUUUCACAGAUCAUUCAUCGGAAUGUGGUCAAGCUUUUUGGUUGUUGUCUCGAAACAGAAGUACCUUUGCUAGUUUAUGAGUUCAUAUCCAAUGGCACACUAUAUGAUCUUCUUCACAUUGAUGUAAGUGUUAAAUGCUUACUUUUAUGGGGUGAUCGCAUUAGGAUUGCUGUAGAAGUUGCAGGUGCUCUUGCUUAUCUCCAUUCAGCUGCUGCGAUACCAAUUUUGCAUAGAGAUGUCAAAUCUUCCAAUAUACUCCUAGAUGGCAACUUUACUACCAAGGUUUCUGAUUUUGGUGCUUCAAGAUCUUUAUCACUUGAUCAAACACAUGUAGUGACAAUUGUACAAGGAACUUUUGGUUAUUUAGACCCAGAGUACUACCACACUGGGGAACUGAGUAAUAAGAGUGAUGUUUAUAGCUUUGGAGUUAUACUGGUGGAGCUUCUGAUGAGAAAGAAGCCAAUUUUUAUUAACGAACAAGGUAUAAAACAAAGCUUGGCUCAUUACUUUGUGGAAGGACUUCAGCACGGUGUCCUCACGGAAAUCAUGGAUCGCAAGUGGUGGAAGAAGCGAAACAGAAUGAAAUUGAUGAUAUUGCCUCAAUCGCGGAAGCAUGCUUGAAAGCCAAAGGAAGAGAAAGGCCUACCAUGAAAGAGGUAGAAAUGAAGUUGCAACUCCUAAGAACUAAAAGAUUAAGGAGCCAACUUCCUCCCAUCAAUGAUGGAGAGAUUGAGUCAUUUGGGUAUCUAAAUGGCGCUAGCUCUCAUGCACAGAGCAACAACAUUAUCAGUAAUGUUGGCUUAACACCUACAUGCAUCUCCGGAAAGUAUAGUUUGGAGCAAGAGUUUUUGAAUUCAGCCAGCUUGCCACGCUAGCGAAGCACACAGUGGGAUGAUCAUCUACUUACUAAGCUUCUGAGGUGCAUGUCAGGUACCCUACACGUACUUAUAUAGAAAAACUAUGCAAUGUACAUAGUUCCUUUUAGUGGGAGUAUGCUGUGUAAAUUUCCGAAUUGUGUUUGUAGCUUAUUUUACCGUGUUAAGCUAUGGUGGUGAAUAAAGGUAUUUUACCGUGUUGUCAACUUCAGUACACAUUUCUCACCACUCAUUACCAGUGACUUACGUAUUACAGGUUCGAAUAGUACCGAGUUUAAUUUACCUAUACAAAGUAUAUAUGUCCUAAUUGAAUUUUUCCAAGUUAGACCCACAAAUCGGUCCCCUUGGAGCACUACAAGUGGGCUCCUUAAACGCAUCCUGUACUUUGGGGUGGACGGAUCGGUUAGUGGCCAAUCACAAAAUCGCGACUCCGUCUCCCCUCAAACCGGUUUUAUACGUCUAGAUUGAUCGGCAUCCCCACAUCCAGCUCAUAUCUAGGGGUGGAUAUAGAAGGCCCAGUCCCACCCGGAUGCGUCUGCCACGUCGGACUGAUGGGUGGGACUUACGCGGACAAACAUUAAAACACAUAUGUCCUGUGAAACCACAGCUUCGCUGCGCCGCUCGAGGGGCCAAAUCCAGCUAUUUAUGCCGGACGACGAGCCCCAACCCUACGCACUUCCAUUUCCACCAUCUCGUCGCAUCUGUGUCGCCACUCCCAAUCCACUUCGAGCUCACCGUCCGCUCUCAUCGGCUUCGAGCUCACCAGUAGCCAAGGUCCGCUGGCGGAUCACCAUGUAUAAGAUGCACGCUCUGCAAUGCUAGUUGGAACUCCUAGCAAAUAUACAGGAACGGCGCGCCGCUCGGGUUGCAACCGGCUUGCCUCCGGACACUCUAGAGCAGGAUGAGCGUGAAGCACCGGAGCAUGAGGACGAGGAUGAGGAGGAGGAUGCGAAACAGGGGGCACCGGACAUGGAGAUGAAGGACUAGUAGAUGGAGGACGGGGAAGGCGAGGCGGAUCCGGCACCUCCUGCUGUCGGACUCAACACCUUAAGCACAUUAGGGAGCUUCUUCAUCUCAAAUACCUCUCCCUAAGAGGAUGUUGCAAUAUCUAUAACCUCCCAGAUUCGGUAGGUAACCUAAGACAACUUGAGACACUAGACAUCAAACAGACAAGUAUAGCAAUGCUGCCCAAAAACAUCAUCAAGCUAAGUAAGCUAUGUUAUCUCCAUGCUGGUAGCAAUUACACAGGGGGGAAGAUAAAGAUUGUCUUACAAAGUGUCUAGAAAUUUUGGAGUUGCAAUGGGAGUUAUGUCCAUUUUGUUGCUUAUGUGAGCAGUUAGACAUGGAUGACUUCAGCAGGCAUGAUAUCUGCACUAUUGGUUGCUGCAUAAUGUUCCCUAAUAUCAUUAGGGGUCUAGAUGAGUAUGGUGUUAAGGUGCCAAUAGGGACCAGGAAACUGAAAGCCCUGCAUACACUGCGGUAUGUGCACCUAGCCUGGGGAAAUACCAUUAUCAAAGAGAUAAAAGGCCUCACCAGCCUGCGGAAGCUAGGAGUGGUCGGAAUCAACAAGAUAAAUGGUCCGGAGUUCUGUUCAGCCAUUUCCAAUCUCAGACUCCUUGGAUCCUUGUCAGUGCAGUCAGGUAAGAGCUUAACUGGUUGUUUGGAUGGCAUAUCCACAGCUCCAAAAAAUCUCCAGAGCGUCAAGCUGUCCGGAAGCCUGGAAGAAUUGCCGAAAUGGAUCAUGGGGCUCCAGAAUCUGGUGAAGCUGAAGCUAGAGUUUGUCAGCCUAUCAUGCAACCGUGCAGCAAUGCAGCCCCUUGAGAACCUGCCAAACCUAUCAAUUCUGGGUUUAUGGGAGAGACAGUUUAAGAUGGAUGUACUCCAUUUCCAGGGUGGCGUUUUCAGAAGGCUCACGGUGCUCGAUCUUUUCUAUGAAAGGAUGGAAAUUAAAUUAGUGGAUUUUGAGAAAGAGUCAAUGCCCAAUCUUGAGAUGCUGACCCUUAGGCUGACUGAUACUGAAACUGCCUUCUCUGGGCUAGAAUUUCUGCAAAGCAUCAAGGAAGUGCGUCUCUAUGUUAAUUUUACCUUCAUUUCGAUUCCCCGAGAAAAUAUGACAUUCGAAGAAAGGGAGAAAGAAGCAGAAAAGAAGACAAAAACCAUGAAAGACAAAGUCAGGGAGGACUUGCAGAUCCAGCUUGACAGGAACAAGAACUGGCCCGUCCUAAAGGUGGAUGUUGGCUUUGGUCCCGUACGUACUAACUCCGACGAGUACUUUCCGCGGAGACGCGUACGGAGGCAGCAGCCGUAGUUAACCAGGCACACAAAAGACAAUCCGGCGAGACGCACACGUAUGCUCGAAGCUAACGCCUUAAGCAGCUGGAUCGAUUCUACGCUUGUACACAGCGAGUUGAUGGCAAACAGGAGGGCCGUGUCGGUCCUGUGCUUUUUAUUGCUUUGAUUGAUCUGAUGUUACAGCGUAGGGGUACACGGGUAUUUAUAUUAGUUGCUAGCAAUGUUUUAAAUAACGGGCUAUUGAAAUUGAGUUAUUUUACUGUACCCCAGAAUUAAUGUAGACCCUCUAUUUUCACUGAUCCAACGGCUAACAUAAUUGGGUACUCCAUCGGUAGCCCUGCGGAGUACUGACUUGAAAAGUCAUGGAGUACCCUGAUCUAAGGGGCAACACCGUAAUCAAUCAACCAUGUCAUUAUCUCUUGUUAGGGUAUUUUGGUUUCUUGUUUACUAGGGCAUUGACGUCCGACGAGUUCUUCAUGUAGCAGCAAAUUUAGUAAUCAUCCGAUCAAUUGCCAUGCUACCACAUUCAGAUCAUCUAGAUUUUAUCAGCUAUUUUUUUGCUGUGAUAAAAUCCAAAGGGGUCGACAAAUCCUACUGUCCUCAACCCGGGCAAUGAUAUGGAGGGACGUCGAUCUCCAGCGGGCGGCGACGACUAGAAACGAUCCGCACAGGGGACGGCGAGGGCAGGUCGGUAUGAUCGCUGUCGGGAGAGAUUUCGGGGUGGGGUGGGGGUGCAGGGAAGGGGAAGGAGAAGGAGCGAUCGUGGCGGCGUGCAGCAGAAAAUGGAUCGGGAUGAGGCGCCCCCGCCAUUCGAUCGAGAUGCACAGAGAAACCGGGUCCUUGUUUUUUCUCCAGCCCUACCGAGAGAGCUCUUAGCCUCAAUCGGAAAUAACAAAGUUGCCCUUCACCAUGGACGGUCAGAUCUGUUUGGUACUCCGGGGUAUGUUCUUGGAGUACCAGGGUACAGUAAAAAAGCCAUGAUGCAACUACAGAGUACUGACGCAUUUUAUGCAUCUAAUCCAAGCAAUGUUUACAAUUGCGUAAGAUAUCACCACACCCUUAUUAAGAGCAUCUCUAGCAAACCCGUAAAACGCUGCGACCCACAAAAUAACUGUCAAAAUACAGGUCGGUGCAGAUAAUUCUGCCCGAGCAGGCCGCAAACGCGUCCGACCCGUAAAAGUUUUUGCGGGGCGAGGCAAAAGAUCGCCCUCGACCUUAAGACUCACGGGGUGGGAAGCCGACCCGAGCUCGCCCCCUAUCCGCAGCCAGAUUUGGCGCGAAGGAAAUUUCCGCGCGGCCAUUCCCUCAACCCCCCCCCCUUCCUCGGACGCCAUUGCCCCGCCAUCGCGUGCUCCGGUCCAUCUUCCCUGCCAUGGAAGCCUCCCAGCCGUCCCCCGUCAUCGUGGAGGUCGCGCAUGCACAAUCCCCUCCGGCGGAUCUCGUCGCCAGCCAUGCCAUCCCUGCCGUCGCCCAAGGCACCAACGCGCCUGGCCGCAAGCGGCAGGGCAACGUUGUCGUGCAGGGCGGCAAUCCGGCUGGCCCCGUCGAAAAGGCACGCGCGUCUGGCGCUGUCGCCGCUGCGCGAUCUGCCCGGCUGCCGGCGGAGAAGGUGAGAAAGGUUUCUGGCGUGAAGCGAAAGAAGGUUCCUACGAAAAGGCCGCCGCCUUCAUCCACUACUUCCGCCCCGGCAAGAUGUUCCCCGGCGAUGCCGUUCAACGACGCUGCUUCAAACCGCAGGCGAGGUGUUCGAUGAAAUGGCCGGAAGGUAUGCAUCUUCGAUCCCUUAUUCGGCUUCGGGGGCGGCGAUGACCUCAAUGAAGGUGGUGCGGAGUGAAGAGCGACCAAGAUGAUGACGGACGCGGUCGUCGCAUUUGCAUGAAGUCCUUCUGCGUUUGCCCUACAAAACUAUGCUUUUAUUUGCGCGCGAACUGUGUUUUAUUGUUUGAAUUUGAACUCAUUUAUCGGGAUCGUUGUCAAAUUCGGUUAUUGGGGGUUUUCGGUUUGCGGGUCGACGCGACGGUGCCCGAGAAGACCCCACGUGACCGACCCGUAAAAGAGCAUCUUCUGCAAAUAUCCUUUUUACGGGUCCGUUUUGCGCGGUCUGACUCUGCCCUCGCCUGCGCCAGCCCGCAAAGUGUUUUUCCGUGAACUGUUAACGCGUUUUGUGGGUUGGCGAUAUACGGGAUCUGUCAGAGAUGCUCUAAGCAGCCCACUGAUGGUGCACACAUCGCCAUAACAUACAGAUACAGAGCAUCAUAUAUUGCAGUGGCCAUUCAUUCUUCAGAAACUCAAAGAGAUACCCACAGCAGAAAAAGAAAUACCACCUCUAGCAGACUCGUGUGGGCUAUAUUUCAAUCCAUCAUUACAAUAUAUAACAAUAUGCAAAAGAUAAAAAUAAGAGAGUGGAUAUAUAGAAGAUAGAUUUUCAAUGGCCUGGCAUGGCGGCCACUCAGUAAGGAUAUUGUAAGUGCAUCUAGUGCCCCUUAGAGAUUUCGGUGUAUUGAAGACUUAUAUGUUAAGGGACUAAUGUGUUUGUGAGUGUACACAUGUUUUAUAAGUCUAUGAGAAGUUUGAUAUUUACGAAGAAAGUCGACCCUAAAAAUGAAUGUCUUCAGUUGAAGACUUUGGUUUUCUUGAAGACUUUGAAAAUGAGGAAAUUGAUGUGACCUUGAAGACUUUGAUAUUGAUGCGAGGAUUAUGAGGCGUGAAGACUUUUGUUUUUGUAGUUUCAUUUUUUCUUUCUUGAGUAAUAGGAAACACUAUACUGUUAAAGAGCGUUGAGGUAAAACUAACGAAAAGUUUUCAAGUGAUGCUCAUCUCAAAGCUUACUCAUACACAAUACUUUCGAGUGAAGCCAUUAGAAAUCUCAUACAGUUCAUUCAAUUUCUUCAGUGAUAGAGACGAAGAUCUUCUGGUCUCUGAGGAAUUUGUUCUGACCGAGGAGUUAGGAAUUCGCCGGUGCAGAUUGCCUACAAAUGAGGAACAUGAUAGCCCUGAGGAAUUUAAGAGCUCAAAUUUCCGACCGUUGAUGUGCCACGCGCCAGCUGUCCCAAAAUAUCAUAUCCACCUAAUGAUCAUAUCAUUGAAGGACAUUUAUGUCUUAUCAUGUCGAGCUCCUCCCCGGCUAUAAAUAACCGUCCUUACAACCACUAGCCGGUUGGCUGCUCCCAGAGAAACUGGCAGUUAUCAUUUAGAGCAUAUCAUCCUCCGAGGACUUUGAGAGAAAAUCAUCAGCGAGGAAAAACCCAAACCCAACACCUAAAACCCAAAGUGAUUGAGCAUCACUUAAGAGAUUGUUCCUAUGUGGAAACGAUGCUUGUUAUCUUUGAAGACUGUGCAUCUUUCAGACGGUUAGGCGUCAUGGUCUAGAGCAUUCAAGAGGAAUUGUGGAUCGCCGAGUGACCGAGUCUGUGAAGGUUUGGAAGUCACCUGAAGACUUAUCAUGAGUGAUUGGGUGUGGUCUGUGUGACCUUAGCUCAAGGAAAAUAGGGCGAGCACUGUGUGUCUGGGACUGGGUGUCCUCAGGUUUAAAUACCUAGCCGCUCCAACCAGAAGUACAACUGUCACAACAGUUGAAACUGGUCUACCAAAUCAUCGUCUUCAUUAAGCUACUGGUUCUAUUUCCUCAACCCUUUCAUUUUCUCAUUCAUGUGUUGAUGAACUUGAUCGUUACUAUUUGAAGACUUUGACUGAAGACUUUCUCAAUUUCCUUAAUCCUGAUUCUUUAGUCAUCUUGUCUUCUGCCUGCUCAUCCUGUUUACACGCUACCUGUCCUCUGUGCUUGUUUCAUUUCAUCAUGCUGAUUGUGUUAUUACCAUGUUAUGCUUGCACCUGAGUACUUAUUCCGCUGCUAAUAGUUCGUCACUUAGCAAAUUCCUCAAGUUGUAUUUCCCCAAUGACGAAUUUGUAAAAAUCGCAUAUUCAUCCCCCUUCUAGUCGAUAUAACGUACUUUCAGAUAUUUAGGACAGAAGUAGGCCCCAGGUUUCUGAGCUCAUUGCACCUUCAAGACUGGCCAAUUCUUAUUCCUAUCAAGCUGUGUCCGCAACUCCUCUCUGACUUUAUCUUGCAUGGGUUUGUUUUUCUCUUCUUCUUUUUUCAUAUAUUCAUACAAUACUUACCCCAUUUUUUCAUUUCCCCCAUUUUUUGAUGAUUUGAGUAUACCAAACGAGCGGUUAUGAACACUAAGCCGUACUUGAUGCUUUGGAGAAGUUCUAGCCCAAAGAAGGCAAUUUCAGAACCUCCAACGUUAAGGGUCAGCAACUCAAGAUUGGGCACUGAUUCUUUCUCAAACUCCACUAAUUUAAUUUCCAUACUUGUAUAAAAAGGUCAAGCACCGCGAGCCUUCUGAAAAGGCCAGUCUGGAACUGAAGUAUAUCGAUCUCAAACCCAAGAUCCCACAAACCCAGAAUGGAUAGGUUUGGUAGGUUCCCAAGGACUUGCAUGGUUUCAAUGUUUCUUGAUAGCUUGCUGAGUUCUAACUUUAGCUUCACGAGAUUCUGGAGCCCCUUGAUCCAUUCCGGCAAUUUUUCUAGGCUGCCGGAUAGCUUGAGGCUCUGCAGGUUUUCCGGAGCUGUGGGCAUACCAUCCAAACAGCCAUUUAGGCCAUCACCUGACCACACUGAUAACGAUUCAAGACGGCUGAGACUGGAAAUGGCUGAAGAGAGAAACCUGGACCAUUUUUAUUGUUGACAUCGACCACUCCCAGCUUCUGCAGGCCAGUGAGACCUUUUACUCUUUUAUAGUGGCAUUUCCCAAGCAAGGUGAACAUACUGCAGUGUACGCCGGGCCUUCAGUUUCCUGGUCCUGCUUGGCACCUUAACACAAGAAAAAGCUAUGUCCCUAAUGAUAUUAGGGUACAUUAUGCAGCAAGAAAUAGUGCAAGUAUCACAUCUAUCAAAAUCAUCAGUGUCUGUAAAGCCAUCUGAGCUGCAUACUGCACAUUGCAGUGCAAAGAUGUGUCGACACUUCGAAAAACAAUUUUCCUCAUUAUCCCCUAAACCACUACCGGCAUGGAGAUAGCAUAGCUUACUAAGCUUGAUGAUGGUUCUGGGCAACAUAGCUAUACCCGUCUCUUUGAUGUCUAGUGUCUCAAGUUGUCUCAGAUUACCCACCAAAUCUGGGAGGGAAAAGAUGUACCUACACCCACGUAGAAAGAGGUAUCUCAGAUGAAGAAGCUCCCUCGCCUCCCCUGACUAUCUACAACAUAUCCAUGAUCGCAAAUCAGCAAUACAAUGGUUCAAUUUGGUGUACAAAUGGUAGUUUUUUGGAGUGGGAAAGAGGAGAAGAACACGAAGAAGAACGAACGGGAGGUUAAGGGAGAGAGGAGGAGGAGGAAGGCGCCGGGCGGGUGGGGUCACCAUCCUGUUGCCCUGCGGGUGGACAAUCGUCCACCGGUACAGUGACAGGGGGCUGUCGGGGGAACCCCCGCACCGACAAUGGCUGUCGGCACAAGGGGGGCGGGGAGCGGCGACGUGGCCUGGCCACUAAUCGUGCAACACGUGGUCGAAAGGCCACCUGUCAUCACACGGUUUGCCGGCGAGCGCCAGCCGUCCCGCGGUCGGGCGACAGCUUCCAGUCGUCCUGUAGUCCGACGACUUUAUAAUAUUUUUAGAAAAAAUAAAAAUGGCGUAGUAUUUGUGAAAUUUAAUAAAUAAAAUGUAUUAUUUAAAGCACUCCUGCAUGUGCUCCUUAUCGUCCCCCGCCCUUCUACUUUUUUCCUUCUUUUGAUAUAUAUGAGAAUAAAUACCCGCCCUCCUACUUCACCUGUUGAGCUGCACCCCCGCUCCGGCUGCUCUCAUAGCUCAAAGCACAAUCCGUUUUGGCCGGUGCGCUACUUCACGUCCACCAUGUCAUCCCUUCAUCCCUAAGCUGCAGAUGAGUACGUAGAUUCUAGUAUGUGAUUACAUCAUUCAUUUCAUUCUGCUGAGAGAUGAAAGACAGAGCGCAGAGACUGACAUGAUCACCACAGGAAGAAGAAAAGGAUUGCAAGCAAGCAAUCACAUAUGAUGCAAAACACUGACAAUUUGUAUGCAUCUAAUCCAAAUAAUUUACAACCACCAAAGAUAUUACUGCCGCGUUAUUAGAACAGCCCAACGAUGGCAUGCACAUCGCCGGCCGGAACGUACAGAAUUACAGUUACAGAGCAUCUUGUAAUGCAGUGCCUGACUCAUUCUUCAAGAAAUCAAAGCAGAGCCGAAAAGCAGAAAUGGCAUCCUGACCACCAAGGGCAAAAGAAAAGGGUUACAUUGCAUCGCAGAUGAUACAACAUAGUACAGAGUACCCACGAAUUUUCUCCAUCUACUCCAAACAGUUUACAAUCACCAAAGAUAGAUAUCGCCAUACCCUUAUUAUGCAGCCCAGCGAUGGUGCACACGUCACCGGAACAGACAGUUACACGGCAUCAUAUAUUACAGUGGCCAUUCAUUCUUCAGAAAAUCAAAACAGAGCCCCAAAGCAGACAAGAAAAACCACCUCUAACAUGCGCAGAACAACAGUGCCGUCGACUCGUGUGGGCUUUAUUUCAAUCCAUUAUUAGAAUAUAACAACCAAUGCAAGACAUAAAAACAAGAGAGUGGGCACAAGAUAUAUUUUCCAAUAGCAUGGCAUGACGGCCACUCAGUAAGGAUACUUAGGACAGAGGUAGCCCCAGGUUUCUGAGCUCAUUGCACCUUCAAGAUGGGUCGAUUCUUAUUCCUAUCAAGCUGCAUCUGCAUCUCCUUCCUGACUUUAUCUUGCACGGGUUUGUAUUUCUUUUCUUCUUCUUUCAUCCAUUCAUGCAUUCUCUUACUCAUUCUUUCAAUUUUCCCAUUUCUUGAUGUUUUGGGUGUAAACCAGCUACAAUGAACACCAAGCCGUACUUCCUUGAUGUUUUGGAGAAGUUCUAGCCCAGAGAAGGCAAUCGCAGUAUUUCCAAUGCUAAGGGUCAGCAACUCAAGAUUGGGCACUGAUUCUUUCUCAAACUUCACUAAUUUAAUUUCCAUACUUGUGUAGAAAAGAUCAAGCACCGUGAGCCUUCUGAAAAGGCCAGUCUGGAACUGGAGUACAUCGAUCUUAAGCCAGUGAUCCGACAAACCCAGAAUGGAUAGGUUUGGUAGGUUCCCAGGAACUUGCAUGGCUUCAAGGUUCCCUGAUAGCCUGCUGAGUUCUAACUUGAGCUUCACGAGAUUUUGGAGCCCCUUGAUCCAUUCCGGCAAUUUUUCCAGGCUGCCGGAUAGCUUGAGGCUCUGCAGGUUUUCCAGAGCUGUGGACAUGCCAUCCAAACAGCCAUUUAAGCUAUCACCUGACCGCACUGACAACGAUUCAAGAUGGCUGAGACUAGAAAGGACCGAACAGAAACCCGGACCAUUUCUCUUAUUGAUGCCGACCACUCCUAGCUUCUGCAGGCUUGUAAGGCCUUUUAUCUCUUUUAUAACGUCAUUUCCCCAGGCAAGGUGCACAUACCGCAAUGUACGCAGGGCCUUCAGUUUUCUAGUCCCUCUUGGCACCUUAACACCGGAAGAAGCUAUGCCCCUAAUGAUAUUAGGGUACAGUAUGCAGCAAGCAAGAGUGCAAACAUCACAUCUAUCAAGAUCAUCUUCAAAAAACUCAUCUGAGCAGCAUACUACAUAUUGCACUGCAUAGAUAUUUCGAUGCUUUGAAAAAUAAUUCAGCUCAUUGUUAUCCCCUGAUUCUUUACCAGCAUGGAGAUAACAUAGCUUACUAAGCUUGAUGAUGGUUCUGGGCAACAUAGCUAUACCCGUCUGCUUGAUGUCUAGUGUCUCAAGUUGUCUCAGAUUACCCACCGAAUCUGGGAGGGAACAGACCAAACUAGACCCACGUAGAGAGAGGUAUCUCAGAUGAAGAAGCUCCCCAAUGUGCUCAAGGUGAUGACUUCUUAACCCUUUUGUUCCUUCCAGGUCCAGCACCCGGAGAAACCUCAUCUUAUCAGAAAUGUAAAAUGGCUUCCACUUGCUAAACACUGUCAAUGAUCGUAUACGGGACAGCUCCAUGGUGCUCUCCAACUCGCGCUCAUCACCCUCCCAGUUGCUGCUUAUGGCAAGGUGACGCACUGCACCAUGGGUAUUCAAGCUGCAGCCUUCCUCCAACCUGAAAACAAGAUUUUCCUCCAUCGACUCUGCAAUGCUGAUAUCACGAAUCAGAUCGUGUAGCUGGCAGGAGUCAAAUCCUUGUAUGCUGCAAGCUGAUUGCUGAGUUGGUAAUAUCAUGCUUCUCUCUACGAGUUCCAUGAAGUAUCUAUCUGCUGUGGCCUUGUCUCGUGCAUAACCUUCAGCAAUCCAUCGGUAAGCCAAACGUCUCCGGCUAACAUUGCGGUCUUCAGGGAAGAUGGACAUGUACAAGAAACAAGACUUGAGAUAAUAGGGUAGGCCAUCAUAACUUUUCAUGAGAACUGUUUUUAUGACCUCAAACUUUGGAUUCAUCUCCAGCUCAACACUGAUAUGCUCAUCCAGUUUUCUCCACUCUGCAGCAAUUUUUGUUGGUUGAUCAGCCAAGAAGCCACCUAUGGUGACGAUCGCAAGGGGAAGUCCAUUGCACUUCUUUAGGAUUAGUUUUGCUGGUUCAACCAAUGCAGGAUAUUGCUCAGCCAAAUCAGUAGUCCUAUUCUUAAAUACCUGCAAUCGUAGGAAAUAUAAUUAGUCAUUUGACUAUAAUUGAAUUAGACCACUUUUCCUAGUUUAUUUAAUAGCUAGCUAGCAUUCCCCCAGCUUGGGUGGCGAGUACACAGGUAGCCUUGUUGUCACAGCCCCUCAGUCGCAUUGAGAUCAUAAUCCUGUCGGUAUCUGGACUUUGCAUUUAGUGCAGUAUAUACUAAAUGGACAUGCAUCUUCUAAUUCGCACAGUUCACGGACCCACCAUGGGCACAGAAGCAUCCAUACAAGCACUGUAGGCCCUGUUCAAGAAUGUGUCCGAUUAACCAGUUACCUUGCCGAUUAAUCCCUACUCAUAGGGUCACCGACUAGCCGAUAAACUGAUAAAUUGACCGAUUAAUUGACUAAAUGGUUGAUUAAUUUGCCGAUAGCCUAUUAAUGCCCUACUCACCGGCCCACCGAGCAGCUAACAAUUAACGAUUUCCUCAACAAUGACUGUAGGCAUCAUGUGCACUAGGCCACAUCACCGGGCAGGAUGACUGUACGACAUGUGCCGGUACAGCGCUGCUAAUGAUUAUUAACAUUUAAAUACCCAUUAAGUGUACAGUUUAAUAUACUAAAUGCAUACCAGCACCAAAACGGGGGAAUCAGCACUGAUAUGUUCCUCCCAAACAUUGACUAAAUUAUCUGUUUUUUUCAUGAUUAAGUAUUGCUUGAAAAAUUGUAGACUCAUAAAUAUUUCCACAAAAUUACUCAUGUCUGAAGAUGAACCACAUUUAGUAAUGGGUAGCAAGAUUAAUCUCGAGCAAAACUUAAGUUCAUGAUUAAAUAUUGCUUCCAAAACUCUAGAUUCAUCAACAUUUCCAAAGUACCACUCAAAUCUCAAGAUGAACUGCAUUAAGUAACUAGUAGAAAGAUUAAUCUCGACCAAAAAAUGAGUGCAAUCUGGUAGUAAAAUCUGUUAAUCACAGUAAUAGUAUUGAUCUACCAAACUAUGAAUUGGGAUGCAAUUGUUGUCAGAACCUCCAUGCUAAUAAAUUGGUUAAUACACCAACCGAACAGUUUUUUAAAUGAAAAAAAUUCAAAAACAAAUGCUUUUGAAAAUGUACUGGAUUUAUCACAAUUUUCAACUCGUGUAAUAGGAAUUGGCAAUGUGAGACAAAAAAAUCCUCACAAACAUGAAUUGAAAAAAAAAGUGAUUCGCCACGGUUUGACAAAAAAAAUGCGCCGUCCAAGUCCAUGGCUGGCAGCGGCCAUGCUGAUCACGUGGCUCUGAGCUGCAGGUCCAGAUCUAGCUAUGCCUGCCUCGGCUUGCUUGGGGGCUUGUUUGUGCACUCGUGAAAGCCGGAGCGGCGGCUCUGGGAUGAGGUGGUUGCUGCACGCGGUGGCUCAGCUUUUGCCACUAGGGUGAUAGAGUAGUUGACUCGACUGGUGUGUGGCCAGGGGCCAGUGUGGAAGCAGAAUUGUUGGCUUUGGAAACCGUUGCCAUGUUGGAGAGGUUGGCUCCGUCACACACUGACGGAGCCAUCAGCUCGGCUUGUGCACGGCCUCGGUGCCGGUGUGUGUGUGUUGUUCAUGUAUUGGUUUUCGGCUAGUUUUUCUUAUAAACUGGUCAUUCAUUAUUCUACUUAAGGGAAAUGCAGAGCUCCUGCCGGUUGCUCAAAAAAAGCGAGUCACAUAUAAUUUUAUAUGGAAAGUGGUGAGUUCAUGGAAUAUCGUUGGCCUGUUGCUAAUACUGUCCUAACCCAAGCAAUGUGUGAUGUAAUCAGUUUUUUGGUUUAAUUGCUAAAACUGCUGAAACUAUAUCAUUUGUAAAUGAUGAGUCUACGACAUGAGUCAUGGUGGCCUAAUAUUAUGCUUUUGCAACCCGCUUUGAAGUAUCUUUUAUAAAGAUAGUUGGCCAUUAUGUGCUUACAAGAUACUAUUUUGGAAUGACCAUUCAAAACUAAAAACUGAACUGAGAUAAAAAGAGACAAUAUAUUAUUUUGUUAGCAGAUAAGGUGAAUAAUAUAAAGAGCACUAUUUGUUACCUUUCUUGUGAACAGGUGACUUGCAUCCUUCUCUUCAAGACCAUUGAGCAAGCGUAUGCACUUCGGUUUUUUGCAACAAUGCUUAGCAAUAUCCUCUCGCCUUGUGGUUAUCACAAUGACCAGAUUUUCCAUUGCAUGUAAACAUGGCAACAUUUUAUCCCAUUCUGUGCUAGAUGACAGGUCAUCAAGAACAAUCAAACAACUCUUUCCUUCUGAACGUCUGCCCAACACUUCAAUCAACUCUGCAACUCCCAUCAAAGCAAUGUUUUUUUGGGUGUCACCUACAAAGUCCAUGGAUCCCUUGUUUGCAUCUAGUUGCAAUGCCAAGCUCCUAAGGAGUUCCUCAAGCUUGAAAGGUCGCAAGACUGUGACAAAAGCAUAUUUCCCAAACAUGGCAGUGACAUCUUUGCUCUCGAAAACAUUUUUUAUCAGAGUGGUUUUUCCAAGACCACCCAUUCCCCAUACUACUAUCACCUGAAAUUGAUGGGUGCUAGCUUGUUCUACAAUUAGUUCAAUAAUAUCAGAUUUUUCUUUCUCUCGCCCAAUAAGCUGAAAUUCCUCCAGAACACCUGCCAUUGUGUAGGUGCGUGUGAACCUCUUUUGCACUGUCAUAUUUCCCUCAACAUCAGCAUUGGAUUGAUCUUCUUGUAUCUCAUUCUCAGGGAUGUUGGAUAACUUUGUGGUAGAUGCUGGCUUUGAUGGAUAGGUAACGUCAUGAGAACUCUGAACACAAGCAAACAAUAGUUAGAUAAAUCUUUAAUCAUGGGUACUCAAAAGAAAUACUGAUGGGUAAGCUCAACCUUGUCUAUUUCUACACAGGAAUGUUGAUGUGACAACAAACCAGAAAUAGUAUAUCAUGCUCGAAUGGUAUGUAUACAAGUUAAUUUAGCUAGGAUGACCUGGUCAGACUGGACUUCGCCAAAAAUAAUGAAAGUAGUCUAGAAGUUUAAAAGGCAAAAAAGAAGAAGCACAAAUUAUGCAUGAAUACAUCAAAAUUUGAUUGGUACUAGAAGAGAACAUAAAGUAUUGAAAACCUUAGCCCUCAGUAUGGUAUGAACACCAUGAGCAACCGACAAAUACAAAUCCUUUAGAUGUCACUUUUACCAAAGCAUUGGAACAUAGUGUUUAUUUGUAAGAUGGAAUAUCCAUAUUUACACCCCACCCAUGAAGGCUCAAGGAGACACAUUGCCAAGCCUCACUAGCCGACGAGCAGGAAAGCUUUGGUAUUUCACACUAAAUGCCCGCUAAUACCUCUCCACCGAACGGCCAUUACCUCAUCUAGGGACCUGGGCAGAAGACAUCUCUAUCAGCAAGGUCGAUGAGGAAUCCCGGGAGGCUGAGAAUGUAUCCAGUUAGGACCAUCAUGAUAGUCAGGGCCUCAGGGGAGAUAAGUUCCCGACUUGCAAGCUCAGUUGAACAAGAGAGCUGGAUUUGUUCCACACCUAGGGGAUUCUUUGCCGCAUGGAACAGGGGGGCAGUACCAGGAAUUCCCCCUUCCUCACCUUGUGCAAACAUGCAAAUUAAUUUAAGCCUACCCAUGAGACGCUCCAUAGCGAUUACCUUUGGUCACUAUAUAAUACUACUCUAACUGAUAUAAUGGUUCAUAUUUUGGGUGGUCCUUUUGAAAAUCAAAAACAUGUGUUUAAAACUGAAGUAGUACCUGUUUGUAGAAAGCAUAGAUGGUCUGAUCAGCAGACAAUUGCUUCAACUCCGACACCGUACUUGGUUGACCUGGACACAGGCUUGCAACUUCAACAUGUUUUGUGGAUACUAUGAUCUGGCUCCCUAGUUUGUUCUCUGGGAAGCAAAUCUUGAUCUGGUGCCAUUCUUCAAUUGUGGACAGGUCAGUAAGCACAAUCAGGCACCUCUUCUCAUUGACAUAUCCAUUGAAGGCUUGAGCCAAAUCUUGACCCUUCCUUUCGCCCUCCAGCAGAACACCAACUCCUACUGUUGCAUGAAAUUGUUUCACCAUACUCUGGACAAAUUCUGUUGGACUGAAAGGGCGCAUCACCCUGACCCAUGCUCGGCACGGAAAAUUCAAUUUGACGAUUGGAUUCUCGUAGGCCUCCCAGAUGAUGGAGGUAUGCCCAACACUGCCAUUUGUUCCCCAUACACCGAUCACUCCAAUUUGGUUGCCACCCUCCUGGUUGAUCAGUUGGGCAAGAUCCGAUCUUGAUUGGUGUUUCUUUGCGGCGUGCCUUGCUUCUUCAACACCAAACAUGGUGGCAGCAGCUGUAGCAGCAGGCUCAGUGGAGCUAGAGCCCUUGAUGAGGCUGUAGCGCAAGUUCCUCUCGCUCACAUCCUUGACCUUGGUCCUCAGCUCCUUCAUCUGCUUGGCAACAUGGCGCCGGUUGAGGAGUGUGCAAGGGAUGCGCCACCAGGACUGCUUCUUCAUAUGAACGACAAAGUCCUGGAUGCCAUCCUCGACGUCGUAGGACACGUCGCGGACCUGCUUCACCCAGGUCCUGACCACCUUGUUGUGCUCAUCUCGCUCAUCGUGCGCCACCAUCAGAAAAGAUUGCAUCAUCUCCAGCUCGUCCGUGAUGAAGGCCUUGUCGCGCUGGACCCCGAGCUGCAGGGCCACCUCCUCUGCUACGGGAGACUUGGCGGAUCGAAGCGCUGCAUUCAGCACAGACUUGCCGAUGCUCAACGCCGUGGCCUCCAUCAGUGCCGAUGAAGCCUCUCUCUCCUUCUCUUCUAUGAGGGUUUGUGUGGAGUGGAUCUGAGAAUGCAGGUCUCAGGCACACAGGUCCUGUUUAGAUAGAUACUGAAAGUUAGUCUCUGGUAAUCAAAAGGCAUGCAUGGCAGGCCUCGACCAUGUUGCAGAUUAGUUUAAAGUGGGACUCCUAACUACUCCCUCCGUUCCCAAAUACUUGUCUUUCUAGGCAUUUCAAAUGGACUCAACAUACGGAUGUAUGUAGACACAUUUUAAAAUGUAGAUUCACUCAUUUUGCACCGUAUGUAGUCACUUAUUGAAAUCUCUAAAAAGACAAGUAUUUAGGAACGGAGGGAGUACGUAGUAAGCUUUACACCAAUGCCCACCACGCUUUACAGCGAUGCCUCACAUGCGAGGAUUAAUUGUUAACCAGUACCACUACCGAUGGAGCUUCCCCCUCUUUUCCCUUGAGCAUCUGAGAACAGGUCUCAGGCUCCUAGUCAUGUUCAGAUAGUUGAUGGUGGAGGUUAUUCUUUUUUCAAACAAUACUUGUCAGGCCUCGAUCGCAUCACCACGUAUUAGUUCAAUAGACAGUGGGACGCAUCACUAGUAAAUUAACAGCCAAACCUCGGCUUUACAGCGAUGCCUCACAUGACCGUACUAAUUAUCAAUUUGCAGAAUUGUUUCAAUAGAUGCUAGCUGCACUCACCGGGGUGAUCAGUUCCAUCAUUACCCGAUGGAGCCUCUCUCUAUGUCCUCAUGAGCAUUGAACAGGUCAAGUUUAGCAACAUGAUGAUGAUGGAAGUUAUUCUUUCUUUCUUAAUGAAGAAAUGCCAGGCCUCGAUCGCAUUGCACAUUAAUUCCAAUUCACAGUGUGGGGCACACUCAUCACCGGUUAAUUGACUGCCAGCCGUCGGCUGCAGCACUGGUUAGGCUAGCCAUAGUGGGAGUAACGUACCGGUAAGAUGCAUUUGGGACUAGUAAACAUGUUUAUGUGGCACACAAUUAAAGAAGAAAGAGAGGGUUAGAGUAACAUAGGUAGAUACUGUAUCAUGUUAAAUGCUAUGCUACUUUGUGUCAUGCAUGACAAUAAAUAUAAUAAUGUGUAUGAUACUAAUUUAUGAUAUUAUACACUAUGAAAGUAAUAUCAUACACUUGUAUCAUAUGCAUGACACUAGUAUAUAUGAUACUCCCCACUAUGAGUAGCUUUAAUUGACACCCAACCGAUCAUUAUAUGCCAACACAAAGUUUUAGUACCAUUUAUCGAUCGGCAUAUAUACAUGAUGCACUUUGUGGGAUGUCGGGACUCACUUCCGUGGGGCAUGUGCUCCGUUCAGCUCCCAAGAUCGCAUCGCGUAUUAAUUUAACCAACAGUGGGACUCAUCACUGGUUAGGCUUUACAGCGAGGAUGCAACUGGUCUAUCUACUGAAGAAUAAAGUUUAUGCUUGUGCUAAGAGAAAAACAGUAAGACUCAUCACUGGUUAGGCUUUACAGCGAUGAUAGGAAUGGGAGUAACAAUUGUCAAUUUUGUACUACUACGCAUAUUUGUUUAGCAGUGGUAUUGAUCAGGUACAUCCAUGAUAGGAUUAACAACUAUUAAUUUGUACUAAGCUUUCAAUGUGCAGAGUAACCCCCGGGCCGCAUCCCUCCCUCACCACUGCUCAAUUUAAUCUAUAAUAUCUAUUCUCUAAUCACCCUCAUCCUUCCAAAGUGUCUAACUUCCCGGCCGGUCACCCAUCCUGUCAGUACUGUAGUCUGAGCACGCUUAACUUUCGAGUUCUAUUCCCCCUAGUUUCCAAGUCUGCACUUGUUGUUUUCCUGACAAUAGUAAGAUGUCAAUUCUAUUAACCAACAGGAGUUUAGCUUGAGCAUGAAGUCACACUUUUCACUGUUUGAGUUUGAAACUAUUAUUUUAAAAAACAAUAAUUAUUUAGUAACACUAAUAUUUCUUGAAUAAGUAGUUUGACCACAGUUUGACCAAAAUUCAAAAAAACUGAAAUAAUUAUUUAGUAACACUAAUAUUCUUGAAUAAUUAUUUAGUAACACUACUACUUCUUGAAUAAGUAGUUUGACCACAGUUUGACCAGAUUUAAUCAAAAUUCAAAAAAAAAUAAAAUUUGAGCAUAACUUUUUUUCCUCUUAGAAUUUGAGGAUUCUAAAAAUUUGCAAAAUGGUCUACGGCGGACUAAAGGGCAUCGCACCCUUUAGUCCGGUUCGUGUCUCAAACCGGGACUAAAGGUCCCAUUUGAAUCGGGACUAAUGCCUUCCGACGCCCUAGCCGCUCGAACCGGGACUAAUUCUCACAUUAGUCCCGGUUCUUAAUGCAACCAGGACUAAAGGGUGCAUUGAGUUGUGACCAAAGCCCUGCUUUCUACUUGUGUCCAACCUCGGAGGUCCUAGGCGUCGCCGUCGGAGAGGAAGCAUGUCCCCAGCACGUCAACGGGCACCUCGGCGCGGCACUCAGCCACAGCCCCAGCUCCGGCCCCCGCCACAAACCCCCUCCUUCCUUCCGUUCCUCGAGCGGCACACCACCCGUGCCCGCGCUGCUCCCCUACGGCGCGCGGGGCCUCCGGAGUCACCGCCCAGGCAAAGCACAGGCGGCUGAUGGCAAGGAGGUGCGCCACGCUUCGCGGCUGAGGCCUGGUGGCCUCGAAUCCUUGGGCUCCGACGGCAGAUCAAGUCCAUUGCGCUGAAUUUUCAAGAGCACAAAGAUGAGCCAGGUUCGGGGUCGUCAGCGGCGACGAGGAACCACCUCGGUUGAACACGGCUGCGGAAGGGGGACGAGACAGAGGCGAUGAGCUUUGGUUCACAGCUGGAUAAACGAAAAAAAUGCUCAUACUCCCUCCGUUCCACAAUGUAGUGUAUAUAGAUUUUUCCAAAAGUCAAAUAUAAUGAAGUUUGAGCAAGUUUGUAGUAAAAAAAUAUUUUUUUGGAAAGGGGCUUUUUAUUACUAAAAAUAUUUAAGCAUUACACUCGGCCUCUUCAUAACUAAGAUGCACGCAGCCAAACAAAGUCCUCUCACAUAAACGAAAAAAAAACGAAAUACACUAGUAAGGCAGCUUACUGUUUCGCAUGGACGGUGCCCUACUGUGAAAUGUACUACUUGCCAUGUGAAACAGUUGCUGCCUGACUCUUCGAGAUCAUGGUGAUCACCAAGGACAGAAGAAAAGAGUUGUAAACAAGCAAUCACGUAUGAUGCAAAAAUACUGACAAGUUUUCUCCAUCCAAUCCAAGCAUUUUACAAUUGCCAAAGGUAUUACCACCACCUUAUUGCAACAGCCCAACGAUGGGUGCACAUCGCCGGCUGGAACAUACAGAUACAGAGCAUCUUAUAUUGCAGAGCCGAUUCAAUCUUCACCAAAUCAAAAUAGAGGCCCAAAGCAGAAUUGGCAUACACACCAAUUGCAAAAGAAAAUGGUGACAAGCGUAGCAUAUGAUGCAACAUAGUACAGACUACUGACGAAUUUUAUGCAUCUAAUUCAGAUAGUUUUACAAUCGCCUAAGAUAUCACCACACCCAUAUUAAGCAGCCCAACAGAAAAUACGGUUACAGAGCAUCAUAUAUUGCAGUGGCCAUUCUUUCUUCAUAAAAUCAAAGAGAGCCCCAAAGCAGAAAAGAGAAGAGAAGUACCAGAUCUAACAGACGCAGAACAACAAUGUCGUCGAGGCGUGGGCUUUAUUUCGGACCAUUGUUACAAUAUUACUAACGAGGAAUGCAAAUGAUAAAACAAUGAGAGUAGGUAAAAGAUAGAUUCUCCAAUGGCAUGGCAUGGCAGCCACUCAAUCAGAAUAUUUAGGAGAGAAGUUGCACCAGGUUUCUAAGCUCAUUCCACUGUUCGAAUCAACCACGUAGUGAAAGUCCUGUCCGGUACGGACUAGUAGCAGUCACCGAGUCGGUAUUGUAAUAGGCUAGCAGCCAAUGUUUUAAAUAGCCGUCCGCUAUAGCCCUUUCAGCAGGAUGCCGUUAAAUGGUUGCCUUCACAAAUAGCCCGCUAUAUCCCGAUAUAAACCGCUAUAGCUCCACUAUAGCUGUUUUUGGAGGCCUGCCGCUAUUUUCAAUGAGCUUUUUUACUGUACCCUGGUACUCCAAGAACAUACCCCGGAGUACCAAACAGAUCUGACAGUCCAUGGUGAAGGGCAACUUUGUUAUUUCUGAUUGAGGCUAAGAGCUCUCUCGGUAGGGCUGGAGAAAAAACAAGGACCCGGUUUCUCUGUGCAUCUCGAUCGAAUGGCGGGGGCGCCUCAUCCCGAUCCAUUUUCUGCUGCACGCCGCCACGAUCGCUCCUUCUCCUUCCCCUUCCCCGCACCCCCACCCCACCCCGAAAUCUCUCCCGACAGCGACCAUACCGACCUGCCCUCGCCGUCCCCUGUGCGGAUCGUUUCUAGUCGUCGCCGCCCGCUGGAGAUCGACGUCCCUCCAUAUCAUUGCCCCGGUUGAGGACAGUAGGAUGUCGACCCCUUUGGAUUUUAUCACAGCAAAAAAAUAGCUGAUAAAAUCUAGAUGAUCUGAAUGUGGUAGCAUGGCAAUUGAUCGGAUGAUUACUAAAUUUGCUGCUACAUGAAGAACUCGUCGGACGUCAAUGCCCUAGUAAACAAGAAACCAAAAUACCCUAACAAGAAAUAAUGACAUGGUUGAUUGAUUACGGUGUUGCCCCUUAGAUCAGGGUACUCCAUGACUUUUCAAGUCAGUACUCCGCAGGGCUACCGAUGGAGUACCCAAUUAUGUUAGCCGUUGGAUCAGUGAAAAUAGAGGGUCUACAUUAAUUCUGGGGUACAGUAAAAUAACUCAAUUUCAUUUGGCUGCCAUCUAGUUUUACCGUUCCAAACUCUGUUCCGAUUAUUCCACCAGUGCCACCAGAAAUUGAAUAGCAUGGCAACUUUGUCUACGUGUAUCGUCCAUAGGGCAUCCAUAGCUGCAUACACAGAUGAACACUUCUCCAACUUUGUUCUCACCUCCUCUAAGCCCAGCAUUCGCCACACUUCCUUGACCUCCUUACACCUAGACCCGUCAAUUGGCAGGUACUAUACCCGUCAAGGUGGCCCGUGGAUUAAUUUGAUGGUUCUCAGGAGUUCCCUGCACUGCACGGCCACAAGCAUAAAAGUAUCCUUCUCCUUGGCCACAUAACCUGACGUACCUUGACUGUAAAUUUUUUUGCCAGAGCGCGCCUGGGAGUGUUCCUCGUUGAGCAGGACGCGCUCCACGCCCGUCUCUGUGGACACGGUAAGCGCGCACAGGCUCGCCAGGACGAGCGUGGACUUCUCGGUGCCGCCCUCCGUCAGGUGGAUCUGCUCCUUGCGCUCGCGCCAGGGCUCGGUGCAGUCCCGCGAGAAGUGUCCCAGCUUGUUGCAGUCGUAGCACUUGACUUUGCUCAUGUCACGGCCGCCGCCGCAACCACCGGAUCCCCAGGAGCCGCCAGGGUCAGCAGCAUUCUAAGGCAGGCGAGAGUCGUUCCUCUGUUAGAGUAAAUCCGAGGCGCUCCGUCGAUGUACCGAGUACCAAGCAAUCACACAAGCACGACAUCGAGAUUUGUUAACGAGGUUCACCGAUAUGGCUACAUCCCCGGGGCAUGACUACGGGCGCUCCUCCCCAUGACACCGUCACAAUACCGCACACAGGCUGCCCGGGCGCCGGCACACGCCGCCGGCUCCCCCGCGUACCCGUACUAUUAUGUUGGCAUAGGUUACAUCGUGUGUCUACCCCGCUAUAUAUGAGAGGUCUAGGAUACAAGUGUCCUACUUGGACACGACUCCAUAUCCUAUCUACACACCGUACGACUUCAAGUCCAACUGUAACCUAACUUGUACAAUAAUAUUCGACACAACUCUAACAAAUUCCACCUUGACGAAUAUUCUCCACCACCUUGAAUUCGUCCGUGCGUCGAAUCUUCAUGUACAUUGGACUUGAGAUACGCCAUGAGCACUGCUGCCCUUCUCGUCUUCUUCACAGUCAACACUUGAGCACAGUUAAGUUUUCCAUUACUCUACUUUGUGCUCCCAACUUUCGGAGAAUCCGUUCAACACCAUCACGCACCGACCACUGUCUACGUGAAAGUGAACAACUCAAGUGUUAGACGCCACAUAUAAGAGUUAGCUGAACUCAACAUCCCCACUCUUUCCUGACCGUCUGUCUGAAACUUGAAGGAAUUUCACCGUCGCCCUGUGUCACCUUGAUUCAAAUUUGCAGUUGUCUCACCCUUCUUUUGGAUAGUCUCUGGCAUGUCUCACAGCUAUAGCACUCCGCCCCCUUCUGUAUUUGUCAUCUGCACUUUGCCAUGUGCACUGAACACCACAGAAUAUACGACCAUGUACUCUCUCAGCUUUUGACAAUUUCAGACUUUCCGCCACUUUCUCAGAUUCUCCACGGUCAACUCCUGUCCAUCAACUAGCACCGAUAGACCCAGUCACCAACUUGAAUCCGGUACUCGUCAACACUGCUUCAGCACCCCCUGCACAAUUUGUGUGACCAAACGUCUCACCAUUAGUGCCUUGGUCUAUCGCUGUGUCCCGUGCUUAACGCACGCCUCGCCGUUAUGACCGCGUCGAGCCUCUGCUGUCCUGGUCGAGUCUCCCAGGUAGCUAGCCCACACUGCCUCAACCCCCACUGCAGAGAACCACCGAUCAUCAUCAACCGAUGCCGAGUAUCACGUCUCCAUCAGACCAUUGGGCCCCAGUCCGAUCCACGUGUCUCUCGCUAUCCCGCUGAAAUAGGCUUCAAUUCUCUGAUAUCUUACACUGUAGCCCCUUCAUCAGCACAGAGUGAAGUCACCCAUCAGACUCCAACUCCGCCUUCAACAUGACUCCAUGGUGGUUGUACAUGCCACCCACGCGCCCUGUUGACUUCAAGCUCUUAUGUGUACACUGCCUUGAAUCAACCAUGCGUCAUAGUCCGUCGAAGCAGCACAAGUCCUCAGACCUGCACCAUGUGUUUCCACGCCCCAGAAGUCGGCCACCAUCAGCAUCACGCUCCUAUGUCGUCGUCGCUGAAAUCACCACCAUCUUCUGCUUUGACCGACAUCCCCGUCGAUCCAUCAGACAGUCCAGUCUGACCCAGCCAAAACUAUCCGACUGCAACCAUACUCCACCCUGCGUCGUGUCCGCCCGCACAUCUCCGUGCAUCGCUUGACGCCCCGUGUAUGCAUGAUCCUGCCACGGCAUGCUCCAGACUCCUCCGACGCUUAUACGCAUGUCGUCGUCCCUGAUUCCUGUUUAAUUGCUCGUGUUGAACAUCGCUCCUGCUGCCAUAAUGCCAUCUCCGAUCCAUGUGCAAAACAAAGAAUCCCAAAAAAGUAGUCCCUCGUAGCCUUGUGCCCGUGUAGCAACUAGCUCAAUAUAAACUAUCAGCUCCAUAAUAAACAACACAUGUGGCCACCUUUGCUAUCUUCCUUGCUCUUUCCUUUUUUCCAAGAUCUUCAUCCAGUGUGCGCAGCUAUUUUCAUGUUCUGACACACUGCAAAGUCUCCCGGAACCAGACUUCUUUUUCUUUAAACAAAUCUCGCAUGCAGCGGCUGCUGGUUCCUAUUCGGGCAUGGCCAACGGUAUUGAACAUAUAAAGCCUGCUAUGCUACCCGCCAUUCUAGAGCAACCGCGUGCGCUGCUCCUGUUGGGCCGAACGAUCUAUCUACUGUAGCUGUAUUUUGGCUGCUGGCAGCAGGUCAGCCGUCGGUUGUUUUUCACGUUUCGUAGUUGCUUCAUAAAUGGAUGAUGAGUGGGGCUGGCUAUGCGUGGGGUCAAUACAACAUAAUGAUUUUUCUCCUGCCCUGCGUAAAAGAAAAAAAACAUAGACCGACGAGCGGUAAAAGGAAAAGGCGACGCAGCUUCCUCCUCCCCUCGGUCUUUUCUCGCCUUCUCCUCUCCGCCCUCUCGCUCGCCGUCGCCACCAUGGCCUCCCCUGCCGCUCAUCUCCACCUCCUCCUGCGGGUCCAAUCCCUGCCCACUCCAUCCCCUCAGCCCAUGGAUUCCGGGGCAUCCCCUCUCGGCCACCACCUCUCCUUCUCUCUUUGUUUCCCCCAAGUCCCGAUCUGGAGCGGGAGAGACAGAUACGGCCAAAAGCGCCGGUGCCGGCGUGGGAUGAUAGAGGCCGCCACCUCUCCUCACCUCCUCCCAUGUUCCGGUGGCGGCACCGGGGAAGAAAGGAGCAGCAGCCAUAGCAGGCGCGGUGCUGGCAAACGCGAGCGGCAGUUAGCCGCAGCAGGAGGCGGUGUUGAUGAGGUGGCGGUCUGUGCCGUCGCCGCCGCUGUCGUACUCUGGGAGAAGGUCAAGACAACAUGAAUCAACAACGCCACGGCGAGAGAAACGACCAUGGGUCCUGGAGCCGAGGUAACCCUCACAUCCCCUUCAUCCAUUCUCAUCCCUCCCUCCCUCACUCCUUUUUGCUUGCUGCCGCUGCAGCUCUCUCUAUCUCUCUCACCUGAUUUGCUCUCUCCUCUCUCUUCCAUUCAUUUCUUAUGAUUUAAUCCCCAAAAAAUUCAUCUUUGUUUGUUCUAUGCCUACAAGGUGUUCGAUAAAAUUUUAGCUUGGCUUUAGCGAAAUAUUAAUGCUAAUAAUGUAUGUAAAUUUUAUCCUCUGUUGACUUCCACUAAUUUCUUUUUCCCGAAAUUUAGCUGCAGAUUUUAUGACUUGUCUGUACAGUAUAUUACGUUCUGAUUAUGUGGCUUGCAUGAACUAUCUAUGGCCUCUGUUAUAACUUUUUCUUGUCUUAUUCAUCACACUGGAAUCGAUUGUAUGUAAAUUAUCUUCUAAGUGAUGUUGAUGGAAAAGAAAGUUCAUCCAAAAAGAAAUAUAUGUGCUCCAUCGCAGGAAUUAUAUUCCAGGGAUUAGUUCUUCAAGCAUUUAUUUUGAUUAGAAUUUGCAUGUAAGCGUAAUAAAUAAAUAAAUAAAUGUAUAUUCAAACUUAACUGAAAUUACUCUUAUCUGUUUCUCUAAUGUUGACAAGUGCAUGACCUAAAAUCAGAAUUCUCUGAAAGCUUUGUUACCCUAAUGAGACAAAGUAAGACUGCUCGGUGUGUUGAUGAUGUAAUAGAUUUAACAUAUAUUUCAGACCUUCGCAAUAAGCAUCACACGGACCUGGAGAGUUUAGCGUUGACGUCACGGACAUUGAGAACACUUUGCAUUACCCUCAAAAAAGAGAACACUUUGCAUUAUUUGUGCUAGCCAUUGGAGAGAGUAUAAGAAGCACAUGUUCCCGUGUUCUGAAAGAAGUUGUUGGUUUCGCUACCUGUUUGCUUCUCUUGGUAAAUGAGGGCUCACAUGAGAAGGUAUCAUCAUCUUUCUGUUUUAGUACAUUUAUGUAUUUCAAAUUAGACGAAUUGAGUGGCGGUAUAGUGAAUUGAACUGCAAGUAUGCAAAUUAAUAGAGCACUACUUUCACAAUCUCUGGAUAUGCAUGUGUUGCUUUUGAAUGGUGAAAUCACUGAAAUGUAUUAUAUAUUUUUCUGAAUGAGAAGGGUUAAGGUUUAUACCCUGCAUUUUUUAAAAUUAGGUAGCUAGAUGUUAGACUCGAACCUAUGUGAGUGGGAGCAUUCGUCUACCCUGCCUAUGGUGCAUGAGCUCUUGCAGCAGGAUAAACCAUUAUAUUUCGUCUACAAUGCAGCAUAUGCAGGAACUGCUUUGGUAUACCAGAUUUGUAUUAUCGUGCAACUAAGUAUUUAUCAUUGCAGUUCAGUUCUCAGCACGUCAUUUAUUUUUGCAGGCUCUGGCUUGCACACCUUUGUUGUAUUUAGGGCCUCAUAUUGCCCUUUUCACAAUGAAAGUGGUUCAGUGUGGCCGGGUUGAUUUAAAGAGUGCUCCUUCUGACACUAUUCUUUUUAAAAGUAGGCCUUCAUGGUUGGAGAAAGACUGUCCGGAGUUUGGAUCUCCAGUGUAUCAGGAAACAAUCCCAUUUAGCAAAAUACUCCAUGAAGUUCAUCUUCAAGUUGUUCCUUGGGGCAUUGGGACCGCACUUGGAGAGCUUCCUCCAUAUUUUGUUUCUAGAGCAGGUUAUGUUUAUAAUGUUUUGCUCUUGCCAACUCGAACAUAAUGUACCUUUGUAAUCAUCUCAUGCUAUACCUCAUUAUUCUUUAAGUUUUUAUUCCAGGGCUUCAUUGUGAAUUGCUUAAAUUAUGUAUAAAUGCUUCACCGUGUCCAAACUUACAUGAACACAUCACAUGUGUAAUUAAGUGUCAGAAAGAAGUGCAUAGUCCUAUUAGCAAGAAGCUUCUUGAUUGAUUACAAAUUAAUCAAACAUCUAUCUAUAGCACACUUUGAUCAGUGAUGACAGUUGGAUUUUUAUUUGAUUAUUGCUUAUUUGUGUGCCAUCUUCCAGUAUAGCCUUCAAUGAGAUAUAUAGUUAUCCUGUGUGCAGAGCAGAGUAUAUAUAAAGUUUAGUUUUAUGGUCCUGCUCAGAUGUUAGAUCUUGAAUGCAUUUAAGUAACAUCCAUGCUCCCUCUUAAGUCUUUUGUGAGUCUUCCUUUGCUACUUCUCUGAUGGUUCUGUUUAAAUGACAAUCUUUUUGUUCCCAUUUUUUUGUGAUUAUGUCUAAUAACUAUACGAUAAGCUGACUUAUCUGGCUUAUAAGUGUUAGAAUCUCGACCUCAUAAGUGAUCAUUAAAGAUUAGCCUAAAUUAAGGCUAAACAAUCCUUGAUCUUAGUGUUCUCUUUGGAAGAAUUACUGAUGUGGACAAUCCAUGUUUCUAGCAUUUUAUUGUACCUCUCUAAAAUUCCCACUCACAUGGUUAGAUGCUAUUCCAUUCGUCUCCAUUGUCAUUGACGCCGUACAGGCUUAAGCCUCUUUGUCCCUCUACUGUAAUCUAGCAAUAUAUCAAUGCUUAAUUUGAUUCAGUUCUUGCAGCAUAGAUAGCAUUAAAAUGCUUGAUGUUUUGCCUCUUUGGGUGGCCUUGCUUGAUGUUCUCCUGAUGUCUAUAGAUUGUUACAACGGAAUGACUUGUCAGACUCUUUGUAUGCUUAUAAGCUUAUCAGUUCAUUUUUCAAGAUUAGAAUGUUAUCAAUGAUGGCCACUUCCAGGUUGUUGAUAAUGCAUUUGCAGAUCAUUGGUGUGUGUGUGUGUGUGUGCUUACCCCUUUGAUAAUCAAUAUGGUGCAGAUGCGUCUAUCAUAGAUUUCAUUUGACAUUUGAUGUGAAUACUACAUGUUGCAACGAUAAAAGGUAUCCAUGAGGUUCUUCCCAUCAAAUGUAUUUAAAAUUCACUAUCCGGUUUUUGCCUAUUUAGUUUGUUUGCAGAUUAUUUUUGGGUGGUUGUGUUGAUCUCUUGGCAAUUUAUCGAUAGCCUUGGAAGCUUCAAUUAAGUUAAUCAGGAUUAGAAGAUUAUUCAUUAAUUAAAUUAUGAGUUUAGUAUUCCCAUAUGCUUCUUUGGUCAUAAAAGAAAGUAAUAAAUUGGCUGUUCUGUAUAGGUUUUAUCAGUUAAUUGUAUUCUGGACUAGAAGAUUUUUCAUUCACUUAUCUGAAUUUUGUAGCUCACUAGGUACCUCCUGUAAUUAGGUGUACACAAGUCUUCUGUAGAACCUGAUUGUUGAUAUCUCCUAAAAAUAGGAAGGUUAUCGUUCAUUACCAACUGUAUCAGGACACUUUUGUAGAAGAUAUGGCUUAUUGUGCAUUAAAACAGUAGCCACAAAGUUUGGUCUUUCUAUUAUUUCUCUAUACAUUUGAUUUGGAUUGUCCGAGAAGCCUCCGUCAAUACUAAAAUGUUUGUUGUUUGUUUUGUUGUUGGUCUACAAACAUUUAUAUUUUGAGAAUCAUUCUGAAACCGGGGUUCAAAGCACUGAGGAAAUAUGUUCUAUUUCUGAGUCUUGUGCUAAUGCUUCAAAGGGAGAUGAAGAAAAAGAAUCAGAACUAUUGACCCACUGUAUCUACUAGCAGACUAAAAGGUUUGGUUCCAACUCCAUUCAAUGUCUGUGAUUAGCAACAUGGCACACAUCUCACUCAUAAUUUUCUUUGUUACUAUGUUUUGCACAGGAACACUGUAAUGCCCAGUAAGGUACUGACGUGUUAUGCAACUGCAGUCCUAUAAUGAAUUAAAGUUUCAGUUCAAGUUGUUCACCAGGUUGUUCUUCCCCCAUCAUUCCCUAUAUUUUCUUUUUGUAAAUUACAUACUGAGCUAUAGGUUGAUCGGGUUUGUUGCAUGAGGCAGAACAAGAAUAAGAACAUUUGUUAGCUUUUCAUGUGUAGGUUCAGCAGUGGGCAAUGCUUGAGACAGAGUUGGGCGCACAACAUAUAUAUAAAUAUGUCGUCGCUUCUGAAUAAACAUAGAUGAGCUGCAGCAGGGAUGAGAUAUCUGUCCGACUGUCAUCCUUCGCUGAUUUGGGUUUGUCAUUUCUGUCAGCGUCCGCUUCCUUCGUUGGUUGUCAAUUGUUUGCACGCUGCUGUAGUUCAGAGAUCAUAAUAUAUUUUCCAGGGAUACAAUCGACUAUGUCACCCAGUUGCUAAUAUAAUUGUUCAGUUCUAUCUCAUAGAGAUUCUUACAAAAUAUCAUGCAUACAAGUCCCAGUUUAAGUUGAAUAUAACCACUGGAUUAUUCAAAUGCAGAUUCUUUUGUAACUUAAGAGGUUAUACAUAGUUGCAUGCACUUACUUUAGCUAAGAGGAGCACAACAUUGGAGAGAAAGGAAAUGAUCAAAGUUAAUCUAUUUCAGGUACAUAUUUUGUACUGAUUGAAACAUAUGAGCAAGGUUGUCGCUGUGAUGUUCUAUGUCAUAGUUUUCCCAUGUAAUAUGAUUACAUGUUCCACUUUUAAUCCAAACAUGCUAAUACUGUUCUUUCAUUCAGAAGCUGUCACUAACACUUAAUAACAAUGAAAAUUUAUGUUCUAAAAAAUCCGACUAAACUUUAUUAUCCUAUUUAUUAGUGCAUUUUAUAAACCUUUGUAAGCGUCAUGAUUUCUUCUGUUAAUACAAUUUGGUUGUUCCAAUUCAUAUUUAUAUUGUGUUCUGGGCUUACAGAAGAGGAAAAAUCAUAAGUUCUGGUAUAUACCGGGCCGGCACGGGAUAUUGGACGAGGCGAGGUUGUUCCACUUGCUCAAUUGCUAUAGACUUGACCUUUUCCAUCCCUUUCUUCUCCUCUCUGUGCACCAGCAUUCUCUCACCCACCCUCUCUUCUCCAUUCCAUCGCCAGUGUUCCUCUGCAUCGGAAAGAUGAGUUUGAUUGCAAGAUCUGCUUCCUCACCCGCAAGAUCAGCUCCCUCCCCUUUAUGCAUCGUGCCGGCAGGUCAAUUCUUCAGGUGAAUCAUCACCAGAUCAAGCUGGCUCACCCACUUCCAGGCAUACCUUGACCAAUAGCACGGUAUUAUUUCAGUUUUCAGUCAUUGUUUUUCCUAGAGACAUGGUCAAAAUAGAAAAGUUUUACUUCUGAGACAAACACAGAAGUGUAGUUAUUCUUCGUGAUUGAAAUCGAUAUUUGUUUCAUUGUUAACAAGAAUAGAUCGGUCGUUCAUGCGGAUGACUAACCUGUUGAUCUAUUUAUGGAAAUUGCAAAAAUGUCCGAUUCAUCCUAGCUAAUUCAAGUUAACUUGACUACAACAGUAUAUAUCUUUAUUUACAAGCUCUGCUCCACAUGGACAACAAUAAUAGUGGAUAGGCAGUGUAAUUCAGAGAGAAUCAGACAUCAGUCUGAUGGUACUUAAUAUUUGCUUCUAUAACCUGAUCUGAUAAAUGCUAUCAUAUCAAGUGUGAGAGAAUGAAGUUCCUUCUCUGGUUAAACUACCGGUUCCUGUUGCGUGUCCUAAACAUGGAUAUUGCAAAGAAAGGUACGGCAUGGUAACCAACACGAGCAACAAGAUAGUAUAAUCCUUCAACAUAAGUAAAACAUAAGAUAGGGAAUUCAUGAUGCUUGCCUUCCUGGUCAAUGUCCCAAUGAAGCUGCAGAUCGAACUCGUAAUUCCCCUCAUUGCCUGACUCUAUUGAAACGAUGAAGAAACCCUGGAAAAAAACCAAACGGAGGAAAAUCAAUAUUCAUGAAUUUCCAAAACGUGUACAGUGCAUGAAUUGUAUUCGUUGUCAUCCAGAAAGUUGAAUAUGAAGCUACUGAAAUUGGGAAUAACAUUUUCUUAGAGUUCUACAAUGCAAGUUAUGAAUUUUUAAAGAUUUAAAGACAUUUUGUUAAAGUGCAUCUUCCUUUAUUUCUAAGCAACAAUACUGACUAAGCUUAUAUAUGUCUGUUCCUUAGAAAGGGGAUAUGGAGUAGUACGAGAAAGGGGAUCCAGGAGCAACCAACAUAUACAAGCUUAGUACUACUACAAACCAAACUAGAAUGAUUUUGUUAUGGAUUUUACAAGUUCAACGGGUUGAGCAUUUUUAUGUGAUUUUCCUGAUAAAUCAAAUGUUAGAAUGAAAACUUUUAUACACAGGGAAGUAUAUCCUUUGUCUGAUAGUGUGAUGAGCAAGUAAAUUAAACAGUGUUGAAUAUGACCAUGUUUUUUCAUGCAAAUCAAUCUGUCUUUCUAUAAUCUACAGGCAGGUCAUGGCUAACAUCAUCAAGCAUCAACAGCAAGCAACAAGCAGCCAGCAGCAAAGAAGGGACAGGUUGAUAAAAAAAGCAAAGAAGGGACAGGAGCAAAGCAGCUAGCAGCAAAGAAGGGACGGCAAGCAACAAGCAGCCAGCAGCAAAGAAGGGACAAGUUGAUAAAAAAAGCAAAGAAGGGACAGGAGCAAAGCAGCCAACAGCAAAGAAGGGACAGGAGCAAAGCAUCCAGUGGCAGCAAAUAGAAAACAACAUCAGCAGCACGCAGCCAGCAACAUGCAGAGGUGAUUUCUCACCAUGCUGCAAGUGGCAAGGUCGUACGGAGCAGAGCAACGAGCUCCGGACAACGACAAUGGCGGUCAACGUCAGGGAAGAAGUAGGAGGGACCCGCGGCUUCGAGUCCAUUGUCCAGAGGAGAUGCGGACAACACGGAGCCCGUCACAAUCUCUGGAACUGUUCGGUGAGGAGGAUGACUGCGAUGUCGUAGUGGCGGCCGGCAGAAUCGACGAAGGUGGCCUGGGUCCAAGGGGCUGCUGCACGUUGGUGCCCGGAAUCACCAUUAAAGGAACAAUGGAGCUAAGGGAACUACCUAGGAGCAAGAACGCACCGGAAAAACAAGGUGGUUCACGGCGGCGUCCAGCGGGCCUGCAUGUCGAAGCCGGAGGCACGGACGUUGAUCCGGACUGAGGGCUAGCGUAUCCCGCCGAUUCCUGAGGCUGGUGUUGCAACGGCGACCGGCUUCCGGCUUCCCCAGCGAGCUAGACGAGAAAGGGGAUCCAGGAGAACAGGAAAUGAAGUGAGGGAAGUAGUGGGCUGGAGUAAGAGAUAAGGUGAAGGGGCAUGGGUUCACGGACGCGUGUGGCGUGUCCCUGCGAGACGGUGAUAAGGCGAUUUUGUCCUGACCUGGAAGACCCAUUGCUAAGUGGCAAACGGACGGUUUGGGAAAAAAUAAAAAGAAAAUGAAAUUGGCUGGAAUAUUCCUCCUCUACUCCUUCAUAAGCUUUGCUCUAAAAUUUUAAAUAUCUACUUAUAUAAUAUAAUUAUGAAAUUUCAGUAUAUAUACAGUAUGCAUAGAUCUUAUUAUUCCACAUGUUUUUUAUGAUGAAAACACAUCCAGAGAAAGGUUCUAAUGUAAUGAAGUGCAUUUAUUUAUGAUAGCUCUUCCAUCCUAAUAAGCACCGGUGGAGCUUAGUGUAGUGUUGGGGGGUCUUCACCCUUGCACAUUUCUCUGAAGAAAAAAUAAAUAGAGGGUUAAGAUGGAAGCAAAAUUAGUAUUUCGCCCCCUCUGAAGAAAAAAUAAAUAGAGGACUAACAUUUAUCGGGUUGUUGAUCCAUGCAAUAUAUGUUAUGAACAGGUUUAAAAAAAUGGUCUUGGUGAAAAGUUUUGUUGUAUAAAUAGCUUUAUGCCAUUUUUUAGCUUUUCUUGAUUUUGUUAUGUUGGCUUUUAUUAAAUUUUGUUUUAGUUGACUAAACCUUCUAUUCAAUCAUUUUGUAUGCUUGGGUUAGAAUCUAACAAAGCUGCUUCUGGAUGCUCUGAUGCACAUGCAAACACACGCCGCUUUCGCCCAAAGUUGGUCCUGAAUCAAUCUCAUAUGUAUUGUUUGAAUACUCGGCUACCUCUGGCUUUGGCACCACAGGCGCACGGGUCAUCUAGAGUCAUGAAGAAAAGGGCGAGAGCCCAGUAAAUAGAUAUUCUAAAAGUCCUGAAUCAAGCAAGAUAAACACAUGAUGGUGAAGUGAAGGAACUUUACCGCAUAAUAAAUACAAACUUCAUAGCAAGAUCAACACCCAAAGCCAACAAUCUAAAAUAUAUUUUAUCACAGAUAAGAUAUGUUGUUGAUCGUCUUAAUGGUAUAAGUUUAAAACCAGAAGCCAUUGUACAGAAAACAAACAAGUAUUAUUGAGCUUGGAUGAUGAUAUUGAAGAAAUUUCUGCUCUGAGCAAUGCAGGCCAUGAAGAACAAUGGCUAUGAAGACUUGCCAUAAGUUUAUAAUCAGAAGCCGUUGUACCAAAAACAAACAAGUAUUAUUGGAGCCUGGACGAUGAUAUUGAAGAAAUUUCUGCUCUGAGCAAUGCAAGCCAUGAAGAACAGCAGCUAUGAAGACUUGCCUCAAAGAAAUCGUUCUAAACAUCCAACAAUACAUUUGUCUAACAUAUCUCUGCCUAUCUACAAGUCUUGCUCAUAACAUUGUAAAUGAUCGUCAGUAAGCUUCUUAGAAAACAUGUAUCAUCAACAACCAUCUAUCUAUCAUCAAUCCGUACUUAUUUUCAUAUGUUUCCCUCUGUGUCUACAUAUUUUGAUGCACACUCUUUCUAUACUUGGCUUUCUCUCGGCCUUUGCGCCAUGGGUGCAACGGGUCAUCUAGUGCUUCAGAACAGAUGCCCCGCAGCCAACUAGGCUCGGAUUUCAGCGUGGAGCAAGUUUAGUAGCCUCGCAGUCUGUCAGGGUAGCUUGCAGAAGAGAUCGCUGCCCCAUGAGAAAGAGAAGAAAAAGAGAAGAGAGAGAAGAAAAGCAUAUGGAGAGAUGGCGCUGCAUGCCUGGUUGAAAGCAGGAAGAUGACGAUGUUGGGGCCCAUAGUACCGAUCGCUUCAGCCAUAGGCGUUGGGUGAAAAUAACUUAAUGGGUGCCUCAUCUUUUCUCUAUCUAGCUGGAGGGGCUGGGGCAGCACCUUGGUGCAGCCUCCAUUGUACAUGCCCUUCGGCGCUAAAGCAUUUUCGCUAACGGGCGCAUACCGCAUACCCACCCUUCGCGCUGGGCUGGCCCAUCUGCUCUUUUCUCUCUUCUGUUUUUUGCAGAAAAAAUGCGGCUAAGGUGAGACUCGAACACAGGACCUGCCGCCUUAAAUUAGCUCCUACUUACCAUCCCGCAACCAAUUCUCAUGUGACUACUAACAUCUUUCCCUUCUAUUAUUGUUUGCUUUUCUUUUUUCUUUUCUUCUUUAAUCUUCUUCCUGGUUCGAUGUUUUUCAAAAAAAAUCGUGACUAUUUCUUAAAAAUCGACGAACUUCUUAUCAAAUUCAAUGAUCCUUUUUCAAAAUUGAUGAUUUUUUCUUCAAUUCGAUGAACGUUUCUUGACUUUGAUGAAAUUUUCUUCAAAUUUGAUGAACUUUUCUGAAAACUUGAUAUGAACUUUUUUCAAAAUUGAUGAACUUUUUUUCAAAUUCGAUGAACUUUUUUCAAGUUUGAUGAACUUUUCUUCAAAUUUGAUGAACUUUCCUUCAAAUUUGAUGAACUUUUUUGAAAACUUGAUAUGAACUUUUCUUCAAAUUUGAUAAACUUUUUUCAAACCCGGUGAACUUUUUUCAAAAUCGAUGAACUUUUCUUCAAGUUUGAUGAACUUUUUUCAAGUUUGAUGAACUUUUUUUCAAAAUUGAUGAACUUUUUUCAAACUAGGUGAACUUUUUUAUAAAUUGAUGAGCUUUUCUUCAAAUUUGAUGAACUUUUUUCAAAAGCGUUGAACUUUUUUCAACAUCGACGAAGCUUUUUUUGAAGUAUUUGAAUUGCUCUUAAAAAAUGACGAACGUUUUUAAAUUCAUGAUUUUUUUAAAUAAUUCAAACAAUGGUGGGCACUGCGCAAUAAAUAGCGCAGCCGCACUUGUUCUUAUAUGUUUGGUGGUUUAUAUCAAUCAAGAACGUGCAGUUGGUGUAGUGGUUAGCGGACAUGGCACAAUCACCGAGCGACCUGAGUUCGAAUCCUGGGUAGGCACAUCUCACCGAGACGGCCUCGAGUCGCUGCACACCGCUGAUGAUGCGGCCUGCUGCCUCUGAUUGCUUCGGACACGAACAUAACUCCUGCUCAAAUCGAACCUUGCUCAUGAUACCACUUGUUAGAAUAAAUCCGAGGCGCUCCGUCAAUCUACCGAGGACCAAGCAAUCACACAAGCACGACAUCGAGAUUUGUUAACGAGGUUCACCAAUAUGGCUACAUCCCCGGGGCAUGACUACGGGCGCUCCUUCCCAUGACACCGUCACGGCUACAUCCCCGGGGCAUGACUACGGGCGCUCCUUCCCAUGACACCAUCACAAUACCGCACACAGGCGGCCCGGGCGCCGGCACACGCCACCGACUCCCCCGUGUACCCGUGCUAUUAUCACCAGUAGAAAAAUACCUCCACCCAUUAGUCCCGGUUCAAACACGAACCGGGACCAAUGUGCUUACACGUGGCAUGUGCGCCGAGCCCAGUCAGGGGGGCCUUUGGUCCCGGUUGGUGGCACCAACCNNNNNNNNNNNNNNNNNNNNNNNNNNNNNNNNNNNNNNNNNNNNNNNNNNNNNNNNNNNNNNNNNNNNNNNNNNNNNNNNNNNNNNNNNNNNNNNNNNNNNNNNNNNNNNNNNNNNNNNNNNNNNNNNNNNNNNNNNNNNNNNNNNNNNNNNNNNNNNNNNNNNNNNNNNNNNNNNNNNNNNNNNNNNNNNNNNNNNNNNNNNNNNNNNNNNNNNNNNNNNNNNNNNNNNNNNNNNNNNNNNNNNNNNNNNNNNNNNNNNNNNNNNNNNNNNNNNUAGAGAGAAGUGUCCUCUCUUAUGUCCGUGCUUGGUCGACGCUACAUACUAUAUACAUAAGUGAUCGAGAGAACCAUUGAGUACAGAAGUUUGUCAUGCAUACCGAAAGAAGUGAUCGAUCGACCUCUCCUUCUCGGAGAGAUUGGUCGAACAACAAGUUUUCGUAUCAUGUAUCCGACACUACUGGCUACAUACAUGUACAAUAUGUAAGAUCUCUUAAUUACAAUCCCCUAGCAAUUGAAAUCAACUUUCACGUGGUAUUCUCCGGCUUUAUUGAUGACAUGGUCAAGAAAGAAUCCCGCCAAUUCCUCUUGAAUUGCUUUCAUGCGAUCUGGUUCUAGGAGUUCAUUCCGCAUCUGCCGCGUCUAGUUUGAAGAAGGGGGUUAGUUAAUACAUAUAUAUGAAUGAAAACUCAACAGAAAUGAUGGUGUAAUAAAAUGAAAUUGUGAAUAUUAUUGCUUACGCACUUCAUAUUGUCUUUGAGAGUAGCCCCGCUUGUUUUUCAAAGUCACGUUGUGGAUGAACUCGCACACGUAGUAUCCACAAAAAUCAUUCUCUUGUUCCUGACACAAGCACUUUACGAGAAAUAGAGGUCAAUCAAACUGAUAAUGAAGCAUUAUAAAUGGCAUUGAUGAAAGUAUAGCUAUAGAAUCAACGGGAGAUGCGCGCAACUAGCUAGCCAGUAGUACUUACUUUCGGGUAUGUAUAUCGCAGCUCCUUCGGCAGUCCCGGAGCUUCUGCGGUGAACUGUUUCCAAACCCUACAAGACAAAGAAAAUAAUUAUUAUUACUUGAGAUAUCGGGAAAUGAACAAAAAGUUGCCGAUAUGGUGCGAUAAUGAUCGAUUGAACUUACUUGUUGAGCAAUUCAGUCAUGUCCGCAUAGGUUUUGGGAUCUUUCCGUCUCGAGUCUAAGACGGUUACUAGUCCCCGCUCAAGCUUAAUCUCCAGAAGAACAUAGUGGUACCUGCGCACGCAUACAUAACUCAUCAAUUACAUUACUAUAACCUCGCUCGAGUAAUAAGGGAAACCGAAUAUGCACACGACAGUAACACACAUUUGCCGUUGUAAGGAAAGAGUAUGGUAUCUUUGUUUUGAUUUUUGAUCAACGAUCGUAGCAAGUUGUCCUGGGCCUCUUCGACGUCCUUUUCAACCAGAAAUUCAUCUAUGAUAUUUGUGUUAAUGAACCCAAUAUCAUAAAUUUCUUGUUUUUUGCACUCGACGAUCUUCAAUCUGCAUAAUAUAUUGAGGAUAAUUAAUUAUAAAUACAUGAAAUGAAAGAGCCGAGCUAUAUAUAAAGACUUAAUGACAGAAAUAGUACUUACAGACAGUAGCAAAAGACCAUUAGUUUAUCGAGGGCCUUUUGAUUGAAGAACGCGAAGAACUCAUCAAAUGGAACAGCCAACAGAUCAGUUGCAACGAGGUCGUGCUCCUCUUUAAUAUUCAGAUACAAAGCAUUUGUCCCCCCAGACUCUCUGCAGGUUUCCAUGUACCAAUUAUGGAAUCUUCGCAUCAUUGUUGUCAGAGAUUUUUCAUCUUUGACGAGAGGCUUCCCGUACUCGUAUUUGUGUUCGUCCACCUCCAAGAAAUCAGGAAGUUGAUCGUCAGGCAGGUAAUCUGCAAGAUUGCCACAACCGGCCACCGUCCUCGGAGCAUCAGACACAUUGAGCGGGGGGCACGAUUGUUGUGCUUGUUCGUCGAGCUGGGCAAUGUUUUCCCCUUUGCUCGUUAUUUUAACCUUUUAUCACUGACAGUAGUUCCCGAUAGCUGGGCUUGGAGAUAUGUCUGUUCAGUAAUGCGCUGAUAGUUGGUUCUCGGCGGAGACUUUGGUGGUUUCCUCAGGGCAUCGAUAGUGCGCUUUGCUUUCACCGGAUCUACCUUCUCUUCUGGAGGUGGAUGUCUCUUUGCUUUCACCCCUUCAAAGAACUCCUUCACGUGGGUCCGCACAAUCGUAUCGUUUUCCUCCUCAGUCCUCUCAUACGGUAACUUCUCUAGAGGCUUGAGAGGUGGACCGUAUCUGUAUUGCCUCCCGCCUCUGGUUGUGCUGCUAGACGCCGGAGCAGACGGAGCGGCUGCGGCGUCUGUCUUCUUUCGUGCUUGCUUACGAGGCGGAGGAGAAGGAGUACGACGCGCCGGAGCAGCCGAGGCGGCGACGGGUCUCUUCUGCCCUUGCUGGCAAGGCGGAGGAGGAGGCUGCUGGCUGCUCGGGAGCGCCGGCGCAGGCGGAGAAGGAGGCGGAGUGCCGCCACGCGCCGGAGAAGGAGGCGGAGUGCCGCCACGCAUGCCCUGAUCGUCACUCACCGGAGGAGGAGGCGGUGGAGUGCCCUGACUCGCCGGAGGAGGAGGAGGAGGCGGAGGCGUCCAGUUCGGAAGGUUGAUGAGCUCCUUCCGCCAUAGGCAUGGAGUCUUCAGAGCAGAACCCAGCCUAGUCUCCCCUUCACCGGUAGGGUGGUCAAGCACGAGGUCCUCAAAUCCCUCCGUUAUUUCAUCCGCCAUCACCUUAGCAUAUCCUUCUGGAAUCGGCCGGCAGUGAUAAGUUGCUCCGGAUCUAGUAGGAUAAACAGAGCCAACAGCCGCCUUGACCUUCAAAUUCAUCCAUCGCGCCAUAAUGUGGCAAUGUUGAGACUCCGUGAUAGCAUCCACGGGAUAGCUGGCAGGAGCCGUCAAGACAUGCUCCGGUUGAAGCAGCUCGGUGGAAGCCAUGCUGCUUCUCCGCUGAGAUGGCGGGGUAGCUUCGGGGGAAGCUUCGGCAGGUCGUUUGCUGCGAUCUGUUGCUUCUCGUUCCUCUUCUCAUUCCUCUAGCCCCAUUACCCUUUCGUGCAGCGCCUGCAGUUGGCCCUGCUCCAGUUUCUUCCUCCUCUCGUGGGUUUUGUAACCCCCUGCGUCCGGAAAACCAACAUUCCACGGAAUGGAGCCUGGCGUGCCUCGUGUCCGUCCAGGGUGCUCAGGAUUCCCGAGGGCCAUUGUGAGCUCGUCCUUCUCCCUGUCUGGUACGAACGUCCCUUUCUGUGCUGCAUUGAUAUAGUGUUGAAGGUUCUUGACUGGUAUUUCCAGUUGCUCGUCCUUCCAAUGGCACAUCCCUAAUACAGGGUCCAAGGUUCCGCCAGCCCCGAAGAACCAAGUCCGGCAAUGGUCUGGCCAUCUCAUCAUCUCUGGUUCGAUCCCUUUUUCAAGCAGAUCAUUCUCCUCCUUGGACCACUUAGGCCAGGCUUUGAGGUAGCCACCUGACCCCGUGCGAUGGUGAAGCUUCUUCUUCGCAGCAUUUUGCUUGUUCGUCACCGACAUCUUCUUACUCUUUUCCGAUGUCUUGUGGGCCACAAAUGCGGGCCAGUGAUCUUUGAUAUUCUCAUAUUUGCCGAUGAAUUCUGGUGUCUUUUUUUCGACAAAAUGGUUCAACUCUUUCCUCCACCUCCUGAAUAGGGUUGCCAUCUUCUUAAGAGCACAAGACUUGAUUAAUUGCUCGUUAACUGGCUUCUCCGGAUCCUCCUCUGGCGGUAGGGUGAAAUUUGCCUUCAGCUGAGUCCAAAGAUCUUCUUUCUGCAUAUCAUUGACAUAAGACACCUCAGGGUCGUCCUUAGGCUUAUACCAUUGCUGGAUGCUGAUCGGGAUCUUGUCCCUAACAAGAACCCCGCACUGAGCAGAAAAUGCGUUCUUUGUCCGGAUGGGUUCAAUCGGUUCGCCAUCGGGCGUGAUUUCUAUGAUCUCAAACCUUUCAUCCGAGCUUAACUUUUUCUUCGGGCCUCGUCUCCUUACCGAAGUUGUGCUCGAUCCGGAGGGCUAGAAAUUAAAAGGAAGAAAGACGAGAGUAAUUAAUAUGUGUACAUAUACCAAAACAAUGAAUGCAUCAAUUAACUAGUCAGUACGGGCUUAACAAAUAUAUAUAUACCUGGCCGGACUCGGUUCAGUGACCGGAGCAGUCAGCACGGUCUCCUUCUUGUACCUCCAUUGGGUCAUCACCGGAGCCAUCAUGAACAUAGCCCUGUUCUUGUACCGGCAUUAAUGGGCUAGAGCCAUCAUGAACAUAGCCCUCUUCUUCACCCAGUUCUUCCUGACCAACGACGUCGUUAAAAAAUGAUGCAAUGACAUCAGUUCCUUCUGCGAUUAUCUCCCACAACAUCGCUUUUGUUGCUUCGUCUCGGUAGUGCUCCAUAGUUUCUGCAAAUAUUUACAACAUGUCAAUUAUUAUUCAAACAUGGUACAGUUGGAUAUAUAUUAGUGGCAAACGUAGAACUAGAUAGCUAAUCACAAUAAGGAAUCAUGUUAGUGGCCUCGACGCUGCUUCUCUAGGGUUUGGGAUCGCCUCGACACAACGCUUCAAGGGUUUGGGGUGGCCUCGAUGACAAUGCUCUUUUAACUUGGUAAAUUUGGGUGGCCUCGAGAGUUUUGGUCGAGCGAGAGGGCCGAGGGGGGUGCUUCCAUUGUAUAGGUUAUCACGUUCGAGAGGGGGUAUAUAUAUCGACCGCCCCUCAUGUCGAAGUUAUCUCGAGGGGGCGGCGAGGGUGAAGGCGAGCAGCCUGACGGCGACAGACCCGAUAAAACAUAAGAAAAUGAAGAAGAAAUAAAAAGAGGAGAAGAAGAAAGGAAUAGAGGAGAAGAUCGAAGAAAAAAAAAGAAGAAGAAAAAUAGGAGAAGAAGAAUGGAAUAGAGGAGAAGAAGAAAAAAUAGAAUUUUCUAUUUUUUCUUCUUCACCUCUAUUCCUUUCUUCUUCUCCUCUUCCUUUUCUUCUUUUUUGUUCUUCUUAUUUAUUUCUCCUUUAUUACUUUCUUUCUUCUUCUCCUCUUCUUUUUCUUCUUCUCCCUCGAGAAAGGAAAAUAAUUAAGGAAAAGGAAGAAAAGAGGAAGAAGGAAGAAUGAAGAAGAAGAAGAAAGGAAUAGAGGACAAGAAGAAAAAAUAGAUUUUUUUUCUAUUUUUUCUUCUUCUCCUCUAUUCCUUUCUUCUUCUCCUCUUCUUUUUCUUCUUUUUUCUUCUUAUUUAUUUCUCCUCUUCUUUUCCUCUCCUCUUCUUAUCCUUUCUUCCUAUUCUUAUUUUCCUUUUUCCUCUCAUUCUUUUUCUUCUUCUUCUUUCUUCUUCCUUCUUCCUCUUUUCUUCCUUUUCCUUAUUUUACUUUUUCGUCUACACUAACCUAAUUAAAAUGCACUAACCUAAAAUCGUUAUCUACUAACAACCUAAAUAAAAAAUUAAUACAUAUAUGAAAAAACAUAUAUAAACAAAAAAAUGCUAUGAACAUUAUAUUCAUACAUACAUAGCCACAUCCAUUCAUCAUAUAGCUACCUCAUACAUAUAUACAUUAAUUAUAUAUAUGAAAAAAAUGCAAUGAACAAAAAAAUACACAUGUAUGUAUGAAAAAAAAGCACUGAACACAGAGCCUCGACGGCGGCGGCUCACAACGGGGGCGGCCGGCAAGGGCGUCGGCGACGACCACGGCAGGCCGGGGCAGGGGCGUGGCCGGAGACGACGGCGACAGUGACGACAACGACGGNNNNNNNNNNNNNNNNNNNNNNNNNNNNNNNNNNNNNNNNNNNNNNNNNNNNNNNNNNNNNNNNNNNNNNNNNNNNNNNNNNNNNNNNNNNNNNNNNNNNNNNNNNNNNNNNNNNNNNNNNNNNNNNNNNNNNNNNNNNNNNNNNNNNNNNNNNNNNNNNNNNNNNNNNNNNNNNNNNNNNNNNNNNNNNNNNNNNNNNNNNNNNNNNNNNNNNNNNNNNNNNNNNNNNNNNNNNNNNNNNNNNNNNNNNNNNNNNNNNNNNNNNNNNNNNNNNNNNNNNNNNNNNNNNNNNNNNNNNNNNNNNNNNNNNNNNNNNNNNNNNNNNNNNNNNNNNNNNNNNNNNNNNNNNNNNNNNNNNNNNNNNNNNNNNNNNNNNNNNNNNNNNNNNNNNNNNNNNNNNNNNNNNNNNNNNNNNNNNNNNNNNNNNNNNNNNNNNNNNNNNNNNNNNNNNNNNNNNNNNNNNNNNNNNNNNNNNNNNNNNNNNNNNCGCGGACGGCGUCGGGGCGGCACGCGGACGGCGUCUGGGCGACGGGCGGCGUCGGGGCAGCAGACGGCGUCGAUCUGGGCAGCCUGGCGGCGUCGAUGAGCUCGGCGUUGUCGGGCGGGCCGGGGGCAACUGACGAUGUGUUCGUCAAAUUUUACUAAGUGCUGUAUAUAUAGCAAGAGCAUUGGUCCCGGUUCGUGAAACCAACCGGGACCAAUACCCCCUUUAGUCCUGGUUGGUGCCACCAACCGGGACACCAACCGGGACCAAAGACCUCUUUUUAGCAGCCCAAAGGGCGGGAAGCGGCGGCCUUUGGUCCCGGUUGGUGGCACCAACCGGGACUAAUGCCUCCCCCUUUAGUCCGGGUUGGUGCCACCAACCAGGACCAAAGGACCCUGUGCUACCCGCGUCGGGGCCAAAGUUUAGUCCCACCUUGCUAGUUGAGAGGGGCGCGCAGUGGUUUAUAAGCCCCACUGCCGCACCCCUCUCCAGCGUAGACUUGCGGGCCUAUUUGCUACUGCUUUGCCUGAUGGGCCUUCUGGGCCUACUGCGGGCCUGAAUCCUGGCUCAUGGUAGGGUUUCUAGUCGUAUUCAGGCCGUGAGGGCCCAGUAGGAGGCAUUUUUUUUGUUUUUUUGUUUUUUUUCUUGCUUUAUUUAUUUUAUUUUGUUUCUACUUACAACAAAAUACUUAUUAUUGCUAUUUUUAAUUAUUUUCCAGUUUUUUGUUUUGUUUUCUGCAUUUUUUUUGUUUUUUGCUUUAUUUUUUUAACUCUUUUUGCUUUUAGUUUUGGAAAAAUUAUAAACUUUCUGUUAGUGCCAUUAGUUUUCAAAUUUGAAAACACUUUUUUUGUUUUCUUUCUUGCUUUAUUUAUUUUAUUUUGUUUCUACUUACAACAAAAUACUUAUUGUUGCUAUUUUUAAUUAUUACGAGGGCCGGACCAUAAGACAUUAAAGCAUUUCAAAUGAACUAUGAAAAAGUUGAAAGUUGGCAUGGUAUCAUAAAUUCACCCACAUAGCCUGUGCAUGUACAAAACGGACAAUGGUAUCAUACUCGUGUGUUACAAAGUUGACAUGGUAUCAUCAUAAUAGUUGCGGGAGAAAGUCUUCACUUUUUCUUCGCUUGUGUCAUUUGCUUAUUGCGCCGUAACCAUGGAUAAUCUUCAUCGCUUAUCAGGAUGUUGGGGUCAGCCUUGACUUUGAAGGGAGGAAUUUCAUGAAACUUUUCAUAAUUUUCAGACAUGUCUGUCUUGCCCUCCACUCCCACGAUGUCCCUUUUUCCUGAAAGAACUAUGUGGCGCUUUGACUCAUCGUAUGAUGUAUUCGCUUCCUUAUCUUUUCUUUUUCUCGGUCUGGUAGACAUGUCCUUCACAUAGAUAACAUGUGCCACAUCAUUGGCUAGGACGAACGGUUCGUCAGUGUACCCAAGAUUUUUCAGAUCCACUGUUGUUAUUCCGUACUAUGGGUCUACCUGUACCCCGCCUCCUGACAGAUUGACCCAUUUGCACUUAAACAAAGGGACCUUAAAAUCAUGUACGUAGUCAAGUUCCGAUAUGUCCACUAUGUAACCAUAAUAUGUGUCCUUUCCCUUCUCGGUUGUUGCAUCAAAGCAGACACCGAUGUUUUGGUUGGUGCUCUUUUGAUCUUGGUCAAUCGUGUAAAAUGUAUUCCCAUUUAUAUCCUUUCCAAAUCGUAACAGUCGAAGAUGGUCCCCUGGACAACAAGUACAGCUCAUCACAAACAGUGUUGUCACCUCUGAGACGUGCUUCCAACCAACUGCUGAAAGUCCUGAUGUGUUCACAUGUAAUCCAGUCGUCGCACUACUCUGGGUGUUUGGAGCGCAGACUGUUCUUGUGUCCAUCGACAUACGGGGUCACCAAGGUAGAGUUAUGUAGAACUGUGUAGCGUGCUUGAGACCAAGAAUAUCCGUCCCUGCAUAUUAUUGAGUCCCUUCCAAGCGUGCCUUUUCCAUUCAGUCUCCCCUCAUACCGCGAUUGAGGGAGACCUAUCUUCUUAAGGCCAGGAAUGAAGUCAACACAAAACCCGAUGACAUCCUCUGUUUGAUGGCCCAUGGAGAUGCUUCCUUCUGGCCUAGCGCGGUUACAGACAUAUUUCUUUAGGACUCCCAUUAACCUCUCAAAGGGGUACAUAUUGUGUAGAAAUACGGGGCCCAGAAUGACAAUCUCGUCAACUAGAUGAACUAGGACGUGCGUCAUGAUAUUGAAGAAGGAUGGUGGGAACACCAGCUCGAAACUGACAAGACAUUGCACCACAUCACUCCUUAGCCUUGGUAUGAUUUCUGGAUCGAUCACCUUCUGAGAGAUUGCAUUGAGGAAUACACAUAGCUUCACAAUGGCUAAUCGGACGUUUUCCGAUAGAAGCCCCCUCAAUGCAACCGUAAGCAGUUGCAUCAUAAUCACAUGGCAGUCAUGAGACUUUAGGUUCUAAAACUUUUUCUCUGACAUAUUUAUUAUUCUUUUUAUAUUCGACGAGAAGCCAGUCGGGACCUUCAUACUAAGCAGGCAUUCAAAGAAGAUUUCCUUCUCUUCUUUGGUAAGAGCAUAGCUGGCAGGACCUUCAUACUGCUUUGGUCGCAUGCCGUCUUUUUCGUGCAAACAUUGCAGGUCCUCCCGUGCCUCAGCUGUAUCUUUUGUCUUCCCAUACACACCCAAGAAGCCUAGCAGGUUCACGCAAAGGUUCUUCGUCACGUGCAUCACGUCGAUCAAAGAGCGGACCUCUAGGUCUUUCCAGUAGGGUAGGUCCCAAAAUAUAGAUUUCUUCUUCCACAUGGGUGCGUGUCCCCCAGCGUCACUCGGAAUAGCUAGUCCGCCGGGACCCUUUCCAAAGAUUACGUGUAAAUCAUUGACCAUAGCAAGUACGUGAUCACCGGUACGCAUGGCAGGCUUCCUCCGGUGAUCUGCCUCGCCUUUGAAAUGCUUGCCUUUCUUUCGACAUUGAUGGUCGGUUGGAAGAAAUCGACGAUGGCCCAGAUACACAUUCUUCCUGCGGCUUCCCAGGUAUAUACUAUCGGUGUCAAGUAAACAGUGCGUGCAUGCAUGGUAUCCCUUGUUUGUCUGUCCUGAAAGGUUACUGAGAGCGGACCAAUCGUUGAUGGUCACGAACAGCAACACCUUUAGGUGAAAUUCCUCAUGUUUGUGCUCAUCCCACGUACGUACACCGUUUCCAUUCCACAGCUGUAAAAGUUCUUCAACUAAUGGCCUUAGGUACACAACAAUGUCGUUGCCGGGUUGCUUAGGGCCUUGGAUGAGAACUGGCAUCAUAAUGAACUUCCGCUUCAUGCACAUCCAAGGAGGAAGGUUAUACAUACAUAGAGUCACGGGCUAGGUGCUGUGAUUGCUGCUCUGCUCCCCGAAAGGAUUAAUGUCAUCCGCACUUAACGCAAACCAUAUGUUCCUUGGGUCACUUGCAAACUCAUCCCAGUACUUUCUCUCAAUUUUUCUCCACCGCGACCCGUCAGCGGGUGCUCUCAACUUCCUAUCUUUCUUACGGUCCACACUGUGCCAUCGCAUUAACUUGGCAUGCUCUCCGUUUCUGAACAGACGUUUCAACCGUAGUAUUAUAGGAGCAUACCACAUCACCUUCACAGGAACCCUCUUCCUGGGGGGCUCGCCAUCAACAUCACCAGGGUUAUCUCGUCUGAUCUUAUACCGUAAUGCACCACAUACCGGGCAUGCGUUCAGAUCCUUGUACGCACCGCGGUAGAGGAUGCAGUCAUUAGGGCAUGCAUGUAUCUUCUGCACCUCCAAUCCUAGAGGGCAUACGACCUUCUUUGCUGCGUAUGUACUGUUGGGCAAUUCAUUAUCCUUUGGAAGCUUCUUCUUCAAUAUUUUCAGUAGCUUCUCAAAUCCUUUGUCAGGCACAACAUUUUCUGCCUUCCACUGCAGCAAUUCCAGUACGGUACCGAGCUUUGUGUUGCCAUCUUCGCAAUUGGGGUACAACCCUUUUUUGUGGUCCUCUAACAUGCGAUCGAACUUCAGCUUCUCCUUUUGACUUUCGCAUUGCGUCCUAGCAUCGACAAUGACCCGGCGGAGAUCAUCAUCAUCGGGCACAUCGUCUGGUUCCUCUUGAUCUUCAGCAGCUUCGCCUGUUGCAGCAUCAUCGUGCACAUCGUCUGGUUCCUCUUGAUCUUCAGUAGCAUCACCGUAUUCAGGGGGCACAUAGUUGUCAUUGUACUUUUCUUCUUCGCCGUCUUCCAUCAUAACCCCUAUUUCUCAGUGCCUCGUCCAAACAUUAUAGUGUGGCAUGAAACCCUUGUAAAGCAGGUGGGUGUGAAGGAUUUUCCGAUCAGAGUAAGACUUCGUAUUCCCACAUAUAGGGCAUGGACAACACAUAAAACCAUUCUGCUUGUUUGCCUCAGCCACUUCGAGAAAUUCAUGCACGCCCUUAAUGUACUCGGAGGUGUGUCUUGAACCGUACAUCCAUUGCCGGUUCAUCUACGUGCAUUACAGAACAUCAUGAAUAGAUAAUUAAGUGACCAAAUUAAUAGAAGUUCAUCAUCACAUUAAAACCAAAGUACAUACAUAGUUCUCAUAUAACAACAUAAAGCUCUGCAGAGCAUCUAAAUUAAUUAAACCAUACAUUGAAACUAUGUAAAACAUUUCAAUGCGAAAACAAAUGCGAUCAUAAUCGCAACCAAUGUAACAACUGAUCCAACGGCAUAAUGAUACCAAGCCUCGGUAUGAAUGGCAUAUUUUCUAAUAUUUUCCUUCAAGAUUACCAAUGCGAAAACAAUUUUUCUAAUUUUUUCCUUCAAGAAAUUGUUUUCUUCUUCAACUAAAUUUAACAUCUCAACAAUAGGGUCGGUUGGAAUUUCCGGUUCAAUAACCUCCUAGAUAAAUAAAAUCUAUGUCACGUUGGUCGGCAUAAUUGUCAUAAACAAUAGAUGAACCAAUAGUUAUGAAAAGAUAAUAUAUACCACAUCCGAAUCAUAGACAGGACGAGGGCCGACGGGGGCGGAUACCAAAACCAUCGCACUAUAUAAGAUGCAAUAAUAAAAGUAAGAAAAUUAUACAAGUAUCUAUAUAAACAUACAAGUAAGAAUUUUUUUUCCUUUCAAAAAGAAGAUAAGAACAAGAGGCUCACCACGGUGGUGCCGGCGACGAGAUCGGCGCGGCGAUCGACGGCGGUGAAGACGGGGACGUGACGUGACGGACCGCUAAAUCUAGACAAAUAUUGAGAAAAAUGGAGCUUGGAGGUCGAGCUUGGAGAGGAGAAAGCUUAAGUAGUGUGGCUCGGGCAUUCCAUCGAACACCUCGUGUGCAUAGGAGGUGAGCUAGAGCACCACAAAGCUCUCUCCUCGCCGGCCACGAAAAACAGAGCAGUGAGAGUGCUCUGCUCGCGGGCGAGGGGUAUAUAUAGGCAAUUAAUUGGUCCCGGUUCGUGGCUUGAACCGGGACUAAAGGGAAGCAUUUGGUCCCGGUUCAGGCCACCAACCAGGACCAAUUGUGGUGGGCCAGGACCAAGGCACAUUGGUCCCGGUUCGUCCCACCAACCGGGACCAAAAGGUCUAGACGAACCGGGACCAAUGGCCCACGUGGCCCGGCCGGCCCCCGGGGCUCGCGAACCGGGUCCAAUGCCCCCAUUGGUCCCGGUUCUGGAUUGAGCCGGGACUAAUGGGCUGACCCGGCCUGGACCAUUGCCCCCUUUUCUACUAGUGUAUGUUGGCAUAGGUUACAUGGUGUGUCUACCCCGCUAUAUAUGAGAGGUCUAGGAUACAAGUGUCCUACUUGGACACGACUCCAUAUCUUGUCUACACGCCGUACGACUCCAGGUCCAACUGUAACCUAACUUGUACAAUAAUAUUCAACACAACUCUAACAUCCUCCGCCCCUGAUUCUUCCCAUGGCGGUUGUUCUGCCAGCCACCGUUCCCGCCGCCGCCGCCACCAGAGCCUUGGCCCCUCCCGCGCGCCUGCUUGCGCGCCUCCCACUGCUACUCAGUAAGAUACAGCUGCCCGUCGCCUUGGCUCAGCGCGGGCGCGGCGCGGCGCUCCUCGGCGGUCCUGAGCCAGCCGAUGACUUCCACAACCGAGACAAGUCGAGAAGGUUUUCGAUCGCCAUUGCGAUCUGCGAGUACCGGGUGGAACAACACGCAAAAGCUUCUGCACGACGCGUACCUCCUCCACGUUCUCGCCGAGGGUGCGCAGCUGGUUGACGAGGCUGGUGAUCCGCAUGCCGAAAGCGUCUUGGGUUUCGCCAUGGUGGAAUGUGAUCUUCUCGAAUUCCGCGUGGAGCUGUUGUGCGGUGGCCUCACGCACACGGUGCACUCCCAUACGCAUUACCUUGAUGGUGUCCCAGGCCGCCUUGGCCGUCUCCUUGACGACGAGGACGCCGAGCAUCUCCGGCGGAACGGCUCGGAGGAGGACGCCGAGCGCCGCCUUGUCGUCGCGCACGCGUUGCGCAUUGCCUUCGAUCGCGUCCCAGAGCUCCCAGGACUCCAGGUGUACCUUCAUCACCAGCGACCACUCAAUGUAGUUGGUCGAGGUGAGGGUCGGGAACAUGGUGUCGGCGCUCGGCACGAACGGCGCACGCUCCGUAGCCGCCGCCUGGUGGAUCACCACCUGCCGCUCCCACCUGACGCGGCUUCGCCCGCGACCGCGCUCCCGUGGUGGAGUCUCCUAGCGUGCCGGACUGCCCGCGCCUCCGUUGAGGCCAGCCACGGCCGCCGCUGCAGCCGCGUCCGGCUGUACUCCGUGAUCGGACAUGAUCGCCGGGAUCGCUAAAAUGAGGCUCUGAAUACCACUUGUUAGCAAUCUUAAGCUCACGACCACAGAGGAGACAGUGGUUUGUGCCGCGUGCAAUCUUGCAACUUUUCUCAUUUUUCUUUCAGCUUUUUAUUCUGUUACAUGGAAGGACAGGCAGGUAGUGAUCCUAUCUAUGCGCUACGAUCCGGCGUGCUCACGCCAUCCCACGAGGGCCGAUCGUGCCUCCUAAGCCACCUGCGAGACUUCCGGGCCGAUCGUGGUGACCACGUCCAGCCCGCCGAAGCUAGCUACUUGCAUGGCACGCAUAUGUCGUGGCUCAUGCGAUCUGUUUAUUUGACAGAAAAACAAACUAGCCUAAAACCCAACGUCUAGAUUAGCUAACAUACACAUUUCAAGUGAGGCGAUAGUUGUCGACACCAGAGCGACGACAAACAAAUAUGGCCUCUUGGUCCUCCUGUUUGCGCUAUGGUUUCCAAUAAGUGUGUUUUUUAGUCUAAGAAGAUCUUGAUUUGCGAAAAAGAUUUCUCAAGAUUAAUUAUGUCUUUCUAAAACCUAAACCCCAGUUAUUAUAUCUCUUUUUACCAUCAAUAUUCUUGUUCUUUCUUCCAAGCUAAGGCGGCUAGGGUAAAGUUCUCUUUCCCUCCAAGCUCCGCCAGCCAGCCCAUGGAUUCUCCUCCCCUCUGCAUGUCACUUUGGCAGCUGUUGGCAAGGAGGGGAAUCUAGGUGCCUCGGCUCCGGCUAGUAAUUUAGGGUAGGGUUUUUAGUCCUCAUAGGGUGGCGCUCGAACAGAUGGUAGCAUAUCAUCUUCGAGUUAGUCUUCUGGCUUUCGAUCCUCCUCGAUGAACUUUUAUCAUAGAUCUGGGUAUUUAAAAAAAAAUCUCUCUUUUGUUUUUGAGUUGAAACCCCAGUUGUUAGUGUAAUUCAAUUUUCAGUUCUUUUUCAUGUACAUUUUCUUUAUCCUCCACCCGCGAAGAUCACUCAUCGUCUCUGUCUUGUUCCCUUUUCGCUGCCGCCGCUGCCUGUACCCAACCACGAACCGUGGUGCCCCUCCUCGUCGCCUGCCGCAUCAUGAGUCUAGGAAAACUUAAUGGAAUUUGAAAAUAAGUUCAGAAAUUUGAGAAAAGUUCAUGAAUAUGAAAAAAGUUUGCAAAUUGGAAAAAGUUUGUGAAGUUGGAAAUAUUUCAAGAAUUCAAAAAAAUACAAAUUUGAAAAAAAAAAUCACAAAUACGGAAAAGUUUGCGAACACACACACACACACACACACACACACACACAUACAUAUAAGAAUUUCAUUUUUAAUUGUGAAUUUGGAAAAAAAGUUUGUUACUUUAAAAGAGUUCAAGAGUUUGAAAAGAGUUACUAACUAUUUUAAAAAAGUAAAAAAUAAAAAUAAAGAAUGAAAAAAGCAACAAAAAGGUAAAAAAGACCAAACAAAAGCUUAGUAGAAAAAGGCAGAAAAAAGAAAAAGAUAAAAAAAUAGGACCGGGAGCUUCAGCUUCCAAAAACUGCCUGGAUAGAAGUCCCGCUGGAAUACACUUUAAUGUGCCGAUCCAUAGAAAGAGGUGCGUCAGGACAACAUAUGUAGAAGGCAUUAAGCAGCGCUCAAUGCGCUAAAUAGAAAUUCGCAAACAACCACUACUUAGUAUCACUGGCACCGGUGAAGUAGAAGGGCGGCAAGCCCGAAGACAAGGAGCAGGGACGGCCCUAGGUCCACUGGGGUUGAGCAAACCAAACCAUGCACAUACUCUCUCCGUUCCUAAAUAUAAACCUUUUUAGAGAUUUCAAUAUAAAUUAUGUACGGAGCAAAAUAAGUGAACCUACACUUUAAAAUAUUUUUAUAUACAUAUGUAUGUAGUUUGUAUUGAAAACCGAGGGAGUAGUCUUGAACGUUGAACAGCCUAUCCCUCUCCUUUGGGCCUUCACUCACUCAGUAGGGUACAAGUCUCGGCACAAACCGCGUAAUAUCGCAACGGUAGUGGUACGUGAAGGGCACGCUCACAUGUCUUUCAGUUUGAGAUGGACGUACGUGUGGAAAAUCUGUAUAAUUUGCGACUAGACCCGUCAAUUGUCACGUACUAUACCCGUCAAGGUGGCCCGUGGAUUAAUUUUAUGGUUCUCAGUAGUUGCCUGCACUGCACGGCCACAAGCAUAAACGUAUCCUUCUCCUUGGCCACAAAACCAGACGUACCUUGACUGUAAUUUUUUUGUCAGGCGUAGCGUUCCCAAGCGGCCAAGCCCAAGCUGCACUCGGCAUAUGCAGCGACAGGCGAUGACCGCGCGCGGGUCAUGCACGUCCUAAGUACUGGUGGUAACUUCCCGCAAAAAAAUAACAAAAAUAAUAAUUCCUUGUGGUAACUAACCCGGCGAUGACCGUAGACUCCUCUGCACGACAUCCUGCUUUUAACACGCGACUAAUACGUACAGAGGCAUCAUACAUACAAUCUCAAUAAUAUCUCUGUACUGUAUCCAUCUACUAUCUAUUAUUGAUCCUAUAUAUAUGGCCACCAUAACACGAAAGACGAAACCAACCACCAACAGCUAGAACAACCUUGCCCGCCGCCGGUGCCACGAUGAGCGCCGUGUGCUUUUUGUUGGCGUGCUUGGCGGCAGCCCUGCAGCCAACGUCGGCCGCCGAGACUGGAAGGGGUGAGAUCUUGCAUAUCCCGUCCGCCGCCGACCUGGCUCGGGCUCGCUGCCCUUCCAGAUGCGGUCGUGUUCCCAUUCACUACCCGUUCGGCAUAGGGCCUGGCUGCUUCCGGCAAGGCUUCGAGCUCACCUGCAACAACACCGCUGGUCAUAAGAGGCUCUUUCUGGCCAACAGUACCAUUGAGGUCCUUGACUUGUAUCCCAGAGGAAAUGAACUUCGAGUCUCUCCUAUCCACUUCAACGUCACCAUGAAACCAGGUAUGGACGACACCUAUAACAUGUCAUGGGAGGCCCCUGUUAAAGGUCUUAUGGCCUCUGAAGAAACUAGCUUGUUCGUUGUUGGUUGCGGUGUGGGUGUCUACUUGUUCGGCCGUGAUACCAACAAUCCCAUAGGUUAUUGCGUGAGUAUUUGCCUAGACGACAAAGAGGCCAUGAAGGAGGCAAAUGCAAACCACUAUAACGAUGUUGGGAUGGGUUGUUGUUCCAUUUAUUUGCAGCAGGACGUGCCAGCAUUUGGGUUCACAGUUGACCGCCUCAAAGGCGUCUCAGCACUAUCAAGAGAACGUCAAGGGCUCUCUAAUACUAUCAAAGUUUUCCUGGCGGGGGAUUACAGUUUUAAUGUUACCGACAUCUAUUCAAGUCGGGUAGACAAAAGAAACAUUGGUGUGGCAUUACUUGCAAUAGCCAUCACGGAUCAACCAAGAUGUCAAAGUGCUAAGAAGAAAAAGUCAAGCUAUGCUUGUGGCGAUAACAGCGAUUGCGUGGAUGUGCCAUCUGGAGGCUACUCUUGUCGUUGCCGCACUGGCACAAACGACAACAACCCAUACCUUAUGGAUGGUUGUCAACAACCAGGUCAGCAAUCUACUCUUUAACCAGGAAUUUAAAAAUAUUGAAAUGCCAUGUCAUAAAUAUUGGACUGAUGUAUGCAUGAUUGAAUACUAUGGCAAUUUUUGCUCGUCAUCAUUUUUCAUAGGAAAAACAUAUUUUUUGCUUCCGAAUUUAAAUAUAACUAGUUCUACGUACAACAAAGCAAACACUAAUUGUCUCUUGCCCAAAACUGAAAAUUACCAAUCAUAGAAGUUCAAAAAUUAGGACAGGUUUUUCUUCAGAAUCUUUUGACAUAUUUGGAUGUACUAAUGUUAUUGAUUAUAUUGUUUACUAGUUCCACAUGGGGUAACUUAAUUCUCAGUUCUCAUAUUGUCGCUACUAAUAGAAAAUUCUUGACAAGGUGUCAAUAAGACUUAAGUUAUUUCACAAAAAAUAAGACUUAUGUUAUUUUCGGUACUCCCUACGUCUUAGUGCAUAAGGCAUGCUUGUAGUUCUAGGUCGUCAAUUUAACUUGUGUAUUAACUAUAAUAAAAAUAUCUAUUAAGAAAUUACAUUUUCGUAUUAAUAUAAUGAUAUACUUUUGAUGGAAUAAAACCACGUGCAUGCCCUAUGCACCGAGAUGGAUGGAGUAGUAUCCACCCAAUUAAUGGGAUUGGUUUCCCAGUUAAGACGGUGGAGUAGCACAUUUCUUUAGGUUGGUCUUGGUCAUAAUGAGAGUAACUUAGCUAGUAACAUAGCGUACUUCAAGAGAAGUUUACUUAAGUGACAUGUAGUUAACAAGGAAAAAGGUGUUUGGAGUAACAUAAUAUGUUAUUAUAACAUAACACAACCCAAAGAAAAAUGAUUUUACAAUCUAAUAAAAUGCAAUCAUCUAUAAUACUAUUUCUAUGUUACUUUGCACUAUGAAGGUAGUAACUUAGACUAGUGUCGUAUGCAUGACACUAGUAUAAGUUACUCCCCACUAUGACUAGCCUUAUAAUGUUUUAACUAGCAAUUAAACUUGGUAUUAUUAAUUAAUGAUUUAAUAAGUUGUACCUCUAGUCUAGAUAGGAUGACCAUUAAUUCACACAAGCUUAAUGUGACUUCUCUUGUGGUAGUCUCCCAGUGUGACUUCUUCCUCUGUCACUAUACUUGCAGCGCAUUACAAUCCCAAUCAUAAAGGAGGUUGCACCCAAUUUUGCGGGAACACAAGCAUUCCCUUCCCUUUUGGGCUUGAAAAUGGUUGCUAUGCUACUGAAAAGUUUCGACUUAACUGUACAUCAGAAAACAUUACAAUUCUUGAUCAAAGGGGCAAAUACAUUGUGGCAAACAUUUCAGUUAAUGAAGGAUAUCUUAGUGUUAGAGAAACACAAAACAACUCAAAGUAUGGCGAAGAAGAGCUCACGGUGCUAUUUGAACCAGACGAGGGGGGCUGGGAAUUAGGACUUAUGCCUGGAGAAGGCUUUUAUUUAUCUGAAGAAUACGGUAUGAAGAUGUGGUGGUCUAUCGAUAAUUUAACUUGUCCGGUUGCUAUGAGCAAGCAAAGAAGUGCUAUGUACGCAUGCCGCAGUGUCAAUAGUAGUUGCAUUCCUGUCACCCGCGGCCGCAGGAAUGGGACGAUGCAGCUCGGCUAUCGUUGUCAGUGCUCUCAAGGUUUUGAUGGAAAUCCAUACAUACCAAAUGGCUGCAAAGGUAAACACACUACAACUGCCAGUACAAAUUGUCCUCCAACUAUAGGGCUGAUUUUCCAUGUACAUGAAAUGAUUGACCGAAACAUUGCAAUGAUAGAUCUAGCAGGAUUCAUGUGAUGCAGUUUGUCGGUCAUCUUGAUCCAAAGAAUUUAUUUCCUUUUUAGUGGGUUUAGGAUAAGCAUGUUAUUCAAGUCAUACAACUCAUUAACAUGCCUCAUUUUAGUUAUGUGCAUCACAUGAUGUAGAGACUAGAAGGGCGAUAACUUUAUUACUUAAAAAUGGUACAUUAGGGUACAUUAUGCUAAAUGGCCCUAGCCAUGCAUUGGUACUAGAUUUUAGCUAAUUCAUGACAAUGAAAACAUAGGGAUUGAUCCUUGUUUGAGAUCACAUUGCAUAUCACCAUCAUGUAUAUGAUUAAUCAUAUCCACCAUUUUUUUGGUAUUUUAAAUGUGCACAUACAAACUUCUAGAACUUUAGUGACAUUUGCAUAUUCAUAAACAUGUAAAUGCACCUCAUGGAAAUGAUACAUUAUUAACAUAUAUGGAAUCAAACAUAUUUUUAUAAUGUUACAUCUAUAUAGCUUGGUUCCUUACUAACAUGUGCUUAGAAACAAUAAUGUUCAGUGGUGUAUUUUGGAGAUCACAUUGUUGUAUAGAGGUAAUUUUGAUGUCUCUAGGAUGAGUUCUAGGCCAAGGCUAACCUACCUAGGAUGAGUUCUAGGCCAAGGGUAACCUAUCUAUGGUUCCACCGUUUCUUCCAAAUAUUUCCGGGCAUCAUAUGUUUCUCACAUACCUACCAUUUUGCAGAUGUCAAUGAGUGUUUGUUGAUGCAUAUUUGCAAUGGCCCUUGCCUAAAUUAUCCUGGAGGCUAUAGCUGCAAUGAGUGCACCCAUGGAAAAGAGUUUGAUCCAAUAAAUCUCAAAUGUGUCAUGUCAACAAAGAGACGCAAUCUUCUCUUAGGUAAAUCAUAUCGAGUUUACUCACCUCGGUACAAAUUGCAACUUGCAAAGUGAGAUUUUUCUCAUAACAACUACUAUUGGAUGUAUAGGUAUCGCAAUUGGAAUUAGUUGUGGACUUGGUGCCAUUAUUCUUGUGCUAGGUGCAACAGUACUCAUCAGCAAGUGGAAGAGAGGCAUGCAAAAGAGAAUUCGAAGGACAUACUUCAAGAAAAAUCAAGGCCUACUCUUGGAACAACUAAUAUUAGAUGAAAGUGCCACAGAUAAAACAAAGAUAUUCUCCUUGGAGGAAUUAGAUAAAGCAACCAAUAACUUUGAUGCCAGUCGUAUUCUUGGCCGUGGAGGACAUGGGACAGUUUACAAAGGGAUUUUAUCUGAUCAACGUGUAGUGGCCAUAAAAAAGUCUAAGCUGGUGGAGCAAACUGAGAUUGACCAGUUUAUCAACGAGGUUGCCAUCCUGUCACAAAUCAUUCAUCGGAAUGUAGUCAAGCUUUUUGGUUGUUGUCUCGAAACAGAAGUGCCUUUGCUAGUUUAUGAGUUCAUAUCCAAUGGCACACUAUAUGAUCUUCUUCACAUUGACGUAAGUGUUAAAUGUUUACUUUUAUGGGGUGAUCGCAUUAGGAUUGCUGCAGAAGCUGCAGGAGCUCUUGCUUAUCUCCACUCAGCUGCUGCGAUACCAAUUUUCCAUAGAGAUGUGAAAUCCUCCAAUAUACUUCUAGAUGACAACUUUACUACCAAGGUUUCUGACUUUGGUGCUUCGAGGUCUUUAUCACUUGAUCAGACACAUGUAGUGACAAUUGUACAAGGAACUUUUGGUUACUUAGACCCCGAGUACUACCACACCGGGGAGCUGAGUGAGAAGAGUGAUGUUUAUAGCUUUGGAAUUAUACUAGUGGAGCUUCUAAUGAGAAAGAAGCCAAUUUUUAUUAAUGAACAAGGUAUAAAACAAAGCUUGGCUCAUUACUUCGUGGAAGGAUCUCAGCAGGGAGUCCUCAUGGAAAUAAUGGAUCCCCAAGUUGUCGAAGAAGCGAACCAGAAUGAAAUUGAUGACAUUGCCUCAGUUGCGGAAGCAUGCUUGAAAACCAAAGGAAAAGAAAGACCUACCAUGAAAGAGGUAGAAAUGAAGUUGCAACUCCUAAAAACUAGAAGAUUAAGGAGUCAACUUCCUCCCAUAAAUGAUGGAGAGAUCGAGUCACUUGGGUGCCUAAAUGGCGCUAGCUCUCAUGCACAGAGCAACAACAUUGUCAGUAAUGUUAGCUUAACACCUACAUGCAGCUCCGGAAAGUACAGUCUGGAGCAAGAGUUUUUGAACUCAGCCAGCUUGCCACGCUAGCGAAGCACACAGUGGGAUGAUCAUCUGCUUACUAAGCUUCUGAGGUGCAUCUUUGUCAGUUAUCCUAUACGUAUUUAUAUAGAAAAAAAUGUAAUGCAUGUAGUUCCUUUUAGUGUGGGAGUAUGCCAUGUAAAUUCCCGCAUUGUGUUUGUAGCUUAUUUUUUGUCUGUAAUUUCAAUUUAGAGGACAAGUCAUUGCGAUUAAGCUACGGUGCUGGAUAAAGGUAUUUUACAGUGUUGGCAACUGCAGUACUCAUGUCUCACCGCUCAUUACCAGUGACUUAAUUACAGGUUUGAAUAGUACUACCUAGUUUAAUUUAAUAUAUACUUUGCCGAAUGCUGAUGGAGGAAGAUGAUGGCCUCGAUGAGGUUUCCUUGGUUAGAAAUGAGAUGCACAAGUCAGGUUGGGUUCGGCUUGUGAAGGUGCAUAGGAAAGACAAAGAGGGUCGAGCAGUCGCAACUCCAGGAGCAGCAAAGUCAGCCAUGCCGAUGCGAGCAUGCUCCCGGCGUGCUGAAUGCCAGAAAUGGCUCCUGACAAUGGCUCAAGGGCACAUUGCAUUUUGUUGGGGGAGAAGAGGAGAGGGAGAUGAGCUUUAGCCAAGGCCUCGACCCUUGAUGAAGAAAAUGAAAGGCGUGUAGGAGGUUUGGCACGCGUGUGUUGAGAAGUUCUGCUUUUGCGACAAAGAGUGUGAAAAAUAAUUAUCAUUUUUUUCAUCUGCCUGUCUUUGCCGUUUCCCCUUCGAAGCUGCCAGCCGGCCGGUUUCUCCAGCGGCAGGCUGGCCGUUGAGGAACAGUGGACCGCGCCUCUGCAGGAGGCAUGCGGCUGGAAGCGGAGGAGGCCGCCCGCCGUGUGUGUGACCGAGGUGCCCGACGUCGUUCUUCCUCUCCUGCGGCGACUCCUUGGACCACGGAGGUUCGAUCUCGCCUCCUCAACACAUUUUCCCCUCAGACCCACACUCCCCUAUUCAGUUCUCUGCCAUACAGAUUAACAAUUGUCAAUCCUAUCAUCACUGUAAAGCCCAUCUACUGAUGAGUCACGCUGUCAAACUAAUACUCGAUGAAUGUACGCCAAAUCAUUUGCUGAAUGCCACAUGCUCUUCGUUGGUCGCGCUUAGGAACCCACAUGGGACAUGCCUCUCGCAGGUCCCAACAACCAACGAUAAUAGAUCAAUGAAUGGUUGAGGAUUCCCCCCCUCCGUCCCACUGGCCACUGCUCUGCAUACUGAAAUGCACUUACUAGUACAACAUUAACAAUUUCUAAUCAUAUAUUGCUCUAAAGAGUGCAACCUAUCCAGUGAUGAGUCACACUGUCAUUUAUACAAAUGCGCGAUGAGGACACACCAAAUCCUUGCUGAAUGGUGCUGCAGGGUACGCCAAAUGCACAACGAGGUCCCAACAACCCAGAAUGAUAGAUCGAUAAAUGCUUAAACUUUGCGUUAGCCGCUGGACAGCCAUAUGCAUUGUCACUAAAUUUCAAUCCGUGAUGCCGGCUUGGUUCAGGGCUUCAGGCAGCGUUUGUUUGUACAUGUGGUUGGUCACUACAUCUACCGUCUAUUAGAAAUACAAAUUAGCAAUGUGUACUUAUAUGAGUAUAUAUGGUGAGACGUCGCUGUAAAGCGUAGCUAACAAUGCAUCCCUAGUAUAGAUUAAAAGGCGCUGAUGAUGAGUGUCACACUGUUAAACCAAUAUAUAUGAGAUGCGCGAUGGAGACCUGGCAAGUCUUGAUUAAAAAAGAAUCAACUAACUUCUGUCUAUCUAAGCAGGACCUAAGAGCCUGAGACAUGCAUCUCAAAUCUACCUCAUGUAAUUCCUUUAAAUCAUUAAUAAACUUUGUGUUGGAGAAUAGGAGUUAAAUUCUAUGUCAGCAUACAGGAGUAUAGUUUGUUCAGUAUCGCAGCUAGCAGAGCGCGAUGACUUUCAAAGCCUUAUACAUUUUCACUAAAUUUUAAGCCAUGGAGUACAGCAAUUCUGCAGAAAUAAAAAUUAACAAUGUGAGAGUUUGUUGAGGCAUCGCUGUCUAUUCAUGUAACGAGGGCCGGCCUGAUGCAUAGUUAAGUAAUGAAGUCUGCUAUUAAAAACUAACAGUUUUACUAGAACUCAUCUAGAUGAGAUAUAAUUUGGUCUCAUUCACCUUUUAUAGCCAUUGAAUGUGAUGCUAUAAGAUGCGUGUGUGCUGACGUGGGUUGUAUCUGUUCUUUUUUUCAAAGUGAAUGAGACCAAAUUAUGUCUCAUCUAGAUGAGUUCUAGGUACUCCCAAAAACUAAUGUGCAGCAAAGGUGAGUGAGUGCCAACUUAAGGGCAGCAACGUCUUGUUUAAAAGAUGGUUUCGACACUGAGCCCUGCAUCUCAGAUCCAUUCACAGCAAACACUCACGGGCAAGCGAGAGAGGGAAGCUUGAUCGGUACCGAUGGAGGUGACCGCGUUGAGCAUCGGCAAGUCUGCGCUGAGCGGAGCGCUCAGCUACGCCAAAUCCGCCGAUGCGGAGGAGGUGGCCCUGCAGCUGGGAGUACAGCGCGACAAGGCCUUCAUCACCGACAAGCUGGAGAUGAUGCAGUCUUUCUUGAUGGUGGCGCAUGAUGAGCAAGGCGAGCACAACAAGGUGGUCAGGACCUGGGUGAAGCAGGUUCGUGACGUCGCCUACGACGUCGAAGAUGGCCUCCAGGACUUCUUUGUCCGUGUUCAUCGGAAAUCCUAGUGGCGCAUCCCUCGCACCGUUCUCGAUCGUCGCCAUGUCGCCAAGAAGAUGAAGGAGCUGCGUGCCAAGGUGGAGGACAUGAGCCAUAGGAACGUGCGGUACCGCCUCAUCGACCGUGGAUCAAAACCCGCUAAUUCUUCUGACCUCACAACCACCACUGCUGCCAUGUUCGGCGUUGAUGAAGCAAGAAGGCAUGCUACAAAUCAGCACCAAUCAGGAUUAAGGUUGGAUCUUGCCCAGCUGAUCUUCAGCGACAAGAAAGACUUGGGAUCAUACCAAAUUGGAGUGAUCGGAGUGUGGGGAACAAGUGGCACGGUUGGGCAUACCUCCAUCAUCUUUGAUGCUUACGAGAAUCCAAAUGUCAAAGUCAAAUUCCCAAGUCUAGGGUGAAACAGUCGUGGCUUAGGGUGACACGCCCUUUCCACCGGAAAGAAUUUGUCCAGAGUAUAGUGGAACAGUUUCAAGCAACCACCAUAGGGGUGGUUGAUUUUCUGCUGGAGGCAGAGGGGGAGAAGAUUUGGCAUGAGUUGGCACAUGAGUACAAUGAAUGUGUCAGCAAGAAGAGGCACCUGAUCGUGCUUGCCGGACUAUCCACUAUUGAAGAAUGGCAGCAGAUCAAAGCUUGCUUCCCAGAAAACAAACAGGGGAGCCAUAUCAUAGUAUCCACAGAGCUAGCAUGUUGAAGUUGCAAGCCUGUGCCAGGGCCAGGGAAGUACCGUGUCGGAGAUCAAGCAAUUGUCUGCUAAACAAACUAUAUAUGCUUUAUACCAGCAGGUACUACUUCGAACACAAGUUUUUGGUUCACUCAGUUCGAAAUCUUGAGUUUAUUUAUUUCUUUAGAAAAAUAUCAUCCAAGAUGUAAACCUUUAGAUCAGCUAUGCAUGGAGUGCUUGAGGCGGGAUCAAUUAAUUUGUGUGUUUGGACAAAGCCAAGAAUGAGAAAUUUCCCGGUGCAAAUCCUAACACGCCACUGAGAAGAGAAUAAUCAGCAUGAAAUGAGUCCACUUCUCUCACCCAACCAAGCUCCCCCCGUCCCCUCCAGCGUCAUCCCUCACCAUAGACCUUCACAGUCCUCCCAGAUCUUUUGUCUUCGCCCCUAUAUUCCUUGCUGAUAUUGGUUUCCUCUGCCAAGAUCCCUAGGGACAGGUUACCACUCUCCAGUGGGAAAGGGCGGCAGGUGACUAGGUUCGGUGGUGAUGUGUUUCCUUGAGACAUAAUGACAAGGGUGAAGGGAGAAGAGAGGUAGAGUAGGGAAUCCAGUAGAUAGGGACAAAACUAGACUUGUUCUAUUCUUGCUUGCUUUACAUAUUGACAAAACUAAAUCAUAUUGGUCAUGACUCUUUAAUAGAACAAUAACUAUAUUUCUCCUCUAUUAAUACGGAUUACAUAAGAACUGAAAUAUUUCGCAGUUUUUGUCCUCCUUGAAUGCUAAAUGGUUGUAGCUUCUAGAGGUGGCUGAGGAGGGUAUACGGACGGCUAAGCGUAUAUGUCUCACCAAGUCACCAUACAUGACAUGUAGGUGGUCAUGCAAUGCUGAGUUCUAAUGUUUUUAGUAACUUUAUGUUCCCCCUGCUUGUAGUAGUAGCAAACUUUCUAUGUAACUCAUGAAUACUUUGUGUUCGUGUACUUCUCCGCUUUUUUCAAAUUUUGGACUGCUUUUAGUAUUUUCGGCAAAGGUCACCUCAGCACAAUUGACUUGUAUGCAUGCUAUCCUAGCUUCGAUUUACUAUUUGUGGUUCAUUGUGGUAACAAAAUUUUUGUGUAGCAACUGGAAAUGCAUUGAGCUGAUUCUUCAGUAAGUUUUUGGAAUGAUUCGUCAAUUAAAUUUCAUGUAGUUAUUGUUUGCUUGUGUUCAGGGGUCUCAAGACAUGACAUAUUCAUCAAAGCCAACAUCUAGCACAACGCUACCCUGCAUUGUUGAGGAUGAGAUAAAAGAAUACCAGUCUAAUAAUAAUGUUGACAGAAAGAUGAUAGUGCAAGAAGAGCACACACACACCAACACGGUUUCAUGUGUUUUUGAAGAAUUCCAGCUUGUUGGGAGAAACUAAGAAAAAAAAUGCUAUUAUUGAAGUCAUACGAGAACACGCUUCCACCUCACAAUUUCAGGUGAUCGCAGUGUGGGGAAUGGGUGGUCUUGGAAAAACCACUCUGAUCAAAGAUAUUUACCAAAGUCAAGAGGUCAAUGACAUGUUUGGUAAACAUGCUUUUGUCACAGUCUUGCGACCUUUCAAGCUUGAGGAGCUCCUGAGGAGCUUAAUAUACCAGUUAGAAGCAAAGAAGAGCGCCAUGGACUUUGCGUUUGGUACCAAAGAAGAUAUUGGUUCGAUGGGGGUUAAAGAGUUGACAGAAGUGUUAUGUAAACGUUCACAAGGAAAAAAUGUCUGAUUGUUCUCGAUAACCUAUCAUCCACCACUGAAUGGGAUAAAAUAAUGCUGAGUUUACUUGCAAUGAAGAAUCCAAGCUUGGUUAUUGUGAUCACAACAAGGCAAGAGGAUAUUGCUAAACAUUGUUGCAAGAAACCAGAGUACAUGGAACAAAAGGAGUGCAUACACUUUCUUAGUGUUCUACAAGACAAGGAUGCAUGUGAUCUCUUCACAAAAAAGGUAUUAGAGUUGUUACUUGUAUUUCUUUAGGAUGGGUCAUGUCAGAUCAGUGUAGUGCAGCUCCGCUGGACCACGAUUUGGAGGAGAUACUUCCAAAUAGUUGCAAAACGUAAGAUGCAGACACCACCAUGACCGAUGUCAUAGGGUCAUCAUGUUGGAAUGUUGUACUUUCAGUAAUUAAACAAAAACACUGAUUAUGUUAACCAUUGUCUAGUUAGGCCAGGUUAGGUUAGUAGCAGACCGACAAUAAUUACGGCUCCACCACUGCUCUUAUAUCAAAAUUAUACUUGAGGCAAUGGUUAAAACAAUGUCAUGUAAUUAGAACGAGUUUCAUUUCUUUGAAUUUUCCAAUUUGUUCAAAAUAGUUUUUUUUUUCUUCAGAUAGUUUAAUAUGAACACAUUACUGUAAUAGUAUAUUCUUUGUUUUCCAUUUUAUAACUUAGUGAUAUCACAUAGUUCAAGCUCUGAAUAUAUAUUUAAUAAAUGUGUCCAUGUGAAUUUUAUUACAAAAAUAUGUUAAGAGAUGUGCACAAUAAGUUAACACUUAACUUAUAUAUUGGUUUAUUUUAUAGUAAUCAAUAUAGUGUGAUCUUAUUUGUCUUACAUACAAAAUUACUCCCUCUGUAAACAAAUAUAAGAGCGUUUAGAUCACUACUUUAAUGAUCUAAACGCUCUUAUAUUUCUUUAUGGAGGGAGUACAUGUAUGGAACUAUGUUCGGCCACAUUGUAUGUUUACUCACCACCAAACUUAACUGAGACAAACUAGUUAAUAAACAAAGUAGAAAGAUUUGUUUUCUCGCACCUAAUUCAUUUGAUUGUAGUGUAGUAAAAAUACUAAUUAUAUUUCCCACCAUUGCAGGUAUUUAAGAAUAAAAUCACAGAUUUGGCUAAGCAUUAUCCUGAAUUGGUUGAACCAGCAAAACUAAUCCUAAAGAAGUGUAAUGAACUUCCUCUUGCCAUAGUCACCAUAGGUGGUUUCUUGGCACACCAACCAACGAAAACUGCGGCAGAGUGGAGAAAAUGUUGGUUCCAGCAAAAGAGUUUGCUACUUGUAGCAAGAAAAUAAAAAAGAACAAAAAUCAUGGCGGCCAUGUCGUUCGCCGCCGAGCACAUCAUCUGCCCGUUGCAACAGAAAAGCAAGCAGUUCCUGCAAAAAUCAAACAUGCUUCCAGCAAAAAAACAAAAUCGAAAAUAACAGCAACUUAUUCUCAGUCCCUCUCCUGCGGUGAUGCCUAGGACUUCCAAGGUUCGACCUUUCCUCCCCACCAUCUUCCCCUCCGACCAACUAUUCACUUGUCUGCAUACUGUCUGAAAUACGCUUUGGUAGUACACUACAGACUAACACUUUUUAACCCUAUCAUCGAUGUAGAACCUGGAAGUUAGUGAUGAGCCAUACUGUGAAUCCUAUAUACUUAAGAGAUUCAUCCCCACUACAAGUAUUUAUCUCAACAUGCAGGGCAUCCAACUCAGCAUCCUACCACUUCAGUGAACUCCUAAUAUACACGAUGCCACGUCGAACGUGUUGCUACCCGCGUAUAGAAAGGACCAAGGCACGACGUUUGGUUACCAUCCCACGUCUGCUUCAUCCGUUAACCACAGGCUCCUCAAUAAAAAAAUGUGCGUUAUCUUCUCCACCAUGCCAUUGGUAUUCUCCCACUUUAUUUCCCCCUUCUCUUCGUAUCCUCCGUCCGGUUCCACUCAUCGAAAUAAAUCAACCCAUUCAUACUCGCCGUGCAAAAGCUACCAUACACACCUCACCUUCAGCGGCGAUGAUGGUGCUCAUGGCGCGGUGCUGCUGCCAGCCCGGCGUUCGUGGGGGUGGGGGUCGCCCCCAAAUACCAGGAUGCUGCUGCUGACCCGGGCCCCCUGUGAGCCUGCAAUCCGUUGUCGAAUCAAGCCCCGCGGACAGUGCUGACCCAAGCCCGCGCCCUGAUGUCGACCAUAGCUCUAGGCGAGCCACACGUCUCACUGUUGUCGUCGUCCUCCAACAUCACCUGUGUCAAAAGGUGGGGGCUCUCCUUCCUCUCUAUCUCGACGAAUCCUAACGAUCUUGAGUUUGUUUGGGUUGGAAGCUCUGAUUUGUGUGGGGCAGGAAGCAUUUUUUAGAAGGCAGAUCUGUUAUGUCUCCAGCGUACUCUUCCGCCCACCAAGUCCGGUCAGUCUUUCUAAUCCCCAAUCCUCUCUAAUGCGAGCACUCCCCGCAAGCAUUAAACAACAAUCUCUGAUUCCUCUUCGUUUUAUUUUCUUUAUAUUCAUAGUUGGAAGGAAUAAACAAAUGAAACAACUUUGAUUGGAAACGAUGGGUCGUACUGUUCUCUCUUCUUUUUCUUUUGUAUAUAAGGCGCUGAUUGGAAGGAAUAAGUACGUGCAACUACAAUCCCGCAUCUCUCUCUCUCUCUCUCUCUCUCUCUCUCAUACAUGCACACACGUGUAGGUUAGUAUGAAUUUUAUUGUUUUUUUUUGCUUUGAUUGUUUUGUGAAUCAAGGCAUAUUCUUUUGGUCAUUUUCAGGUAUGUUCCUGACAGACAGUACUAUUCCACUAUGAAUGCCAUCAGAACGAUCCGAUACCCGAAUAGAUGGUUUAUUAGGCAUAUGUGUGUUUCAGUAGUACUGUUCUAUCUGAACAUCAUCUAGCCUGUCGAGCUAGCACAGUGAUAGAUUAGCCACGUGUUUCAGAUUUAUCAUUCAAAAUGGAAGAUUCUGUAAAUAUUGUUGCGGAUAUGAGUUGCAGGUUAAUCGACUAGCGGCUUCAAGUGUAAGUUUAAAAGGGAAUUUUUCCAGAUAUUAUACAAAUAAAAUAAAAUAAAUCAUAUUUGCAUUUGUUUUACAUAAUGAUGUGUUAUACAUUUCCUUCCAUAAAUUGAAGCUUUCAUAAUCGAUUGCAGGGUUGUAGCUUCUGUGCUAAAUGAUCAACACAAGAAUUUCUCUGUGCUGGGGCCGGAUGUUGAGGAGAUGAAGCUACUGUUUGUAAAUGAGGGUUCAUCGAGAAGCAAACACAACGGCACAUAUGAUGGCGAAGGAAGGGGUCUUGAAUGAUCUUCAUAAAGUAUGGCUGCAUGUGCCACCUGAUAGUAUCAUGCAUGUAAUUUGAAAUCCCUGAACUUCAUGAAUAAAUAGAGUGAGGAAGUUAAUCUAAAAAAAAUUAAGCUUUUAUUAAGUAUUUGCACCGUAUGAAGGUAACACAACUACCAAUAUGUUCACUCCAUGCAAUUGCCUCAUUCACGCUUCGGCAGAACAAACUGCUAUGCUUUUUUUUCCAUAAGAAUCCUUAAAGAGACUAUUAUUGCUAUUGGCAUUGUUAUUUCAAUUUUUCCUUUAUGCAAUUCGCCCAUGUUAUACUAAUUUUUUUUUGCAAAUGUUAGAAGAUUUUAUACCCAGUCAUGCAUGUCUACUCCCUGGGAUGUACAACUGUGAUGACAAAUAAGACUGUUGGUGUGUUUCUGGUUUGAAGAUAGAUGAUAUCAUUUUAUUAUUUAUCUAUGCUAGGAUAUUAAGUGAUGUUAUGUUUUCAACCAUGUGUGCAAAUUAUAAUAUACAAUCUUCUCUCGGGCAAUAGCUUCGUUUUAAAAAUGUAAGAAUAAUUUGGAAUAUCACUAUUUGAUUGUUCUGGUGUUAAUGACAAUCCUUGGUGAGAGGAUCAAGUAUGGCCAUUUCUGAUUCUCCUAAAGUUUAAUUGUUCUAUGCUGGAUAGCAGUCUUUUAAAUAAGAUGUUGAACAUGGAGUAUAUUUGUUGCCCUACUUAGUAACCAUGACAAUUUGUGUACCUUUGGUUACUUUUCCACCCAAAAUUAUUAUCAUAGUGGACAAUCGAAGCUAAUUUCUGUUUUGGCAUAUUAACACGCAAGGCUCGCAAAUUAGCAUGAAUUUCUUUUUGCUCUGAUGCACUUCUAAUAUAUAAUCAAAUUAUAUUACCUUGAAUUAUUAUCAGGAAAAUCUAAGCAAGUAUGUAGAUACUUUACAAUAUACGAAUUCUCCUAGCUUUUCAUAUUGUUUCAUCGAAGGUUAAAAAAUGCAUUUUUUAGGAUUUUAUUAUUUCUUACAUCAUAAAUAUUUAUCAUGUAGUGCUAAAAAUUCCCGCAGCAACGCGCGGGGUAUCAUCUAGUUAAACUAAUGCACGGCAAGUGUACGCCAAAUCCUUCUCUUGCUGAUGGGUACGCCAAAUGACCCCAUUGCUCGUCGUCGGUAGUGUAGUCGUAGUGUCUAGAAACCUCACGCGGUCACAACAACCAACAAUAAUAGAUCGAUAAAUAUAUGGUUGAGUAUUCCCCCUUCCGGCCCGGUGGCCACUGCUCUGCAUACUGAAAUGCACUUACUAGUACAACAUUAACAAUGGUUAAUCCCAUGUCGCUGUAGAGUGUAGAAUCUAUCCACUGAUGAGUCACGCUGUCAGUUAAAGAAAUGGGCGGCGAAUACACGCCAAAUCCUUGCUGAAUGGUGCUGCUGAAUACGCCAAAUUUGCCUCACGCAGCAGGCCAGAACAACCCACAAUAAUAGAUCGAUAAAUGGUUAAACUUUGCGUUAGCAGCCAGACAGCCAUAUGCAUUGUCACUAAAUUUCAAUCCGUGAUGGAGGCUUUGUUCAGGUAGCGUUUGUUUGUACAUGUGGUUGGUGAUUACAGCUACCGUCUAUUAGAAAUACAAAUUAGCAAUGUGUACUUAAUUAUAUGAGUGCGGUGAGACGUCGCUGUAAAGCUUAGCUGACGACGAAUCCCUGGAUUAAAAAGCACUAAUGACGAGUGUCACACUGUUAAACGCUGCCUUAGAGUGUGUUGAUAUCCCUGAAAUACGUUUUAGAAGUAGAUAACAAGUGAUCCUUAUAAGAGAGACACCAUAGUGUUGAUAUAUUGAUGUCUAUCUUUGUAAUAAGAGCCGACCUGAUGCAGAAUUAACUAGUGAGCCUGUUGUUCUAGUAAUGGGCAAGGACUUGAGGCCCGGGAAAGUACUGGUUAAAUGAUAUUCAGUAGUUGUGAGUGGGCAGGGUGUGAAUCAACAAUUCAGCAUUAAUAGGCGAGGUCAUUAACAAUCAUCGAAGCAAAACCGCCCGUCCAGUGAUGAGUCACACUGUCAACUAAACUAAUACGCGAUGAGUACAUGCCAAAUCCUUGCUGAAUGGAGCCGCCAGGUAUGCCAAAUGCCCCAUUGCUCUUCUUUGAUCGUGCCUUGGAACUCAAUAAUAAUAAGUAGAUCAAUAAAUGGUUAAACAUUGUGUUAACUGGCAGACAUCCAUAUAUUAGGACCAAAGCCGUAUGCUUUUUCACUAAAUCUUAAUCCCUGAUGCAGGCUUUGGUACAGGCAGCUGAAUUAGGUGGGUGAUGUUGUUCUUGCUAUUAUAUAUACAUGCGGUUGGUACAGAGUGCAGCUACCGUCUAGAUGGAAAUGAACAAUGUAUAUUUCUAUGAGUGCGGUGAGGUGUCGCCGUAAUGCCUACCUAAUGACGAGUCCCUUGUUUAGAAACCGUUAAUAAUGAGUGUCACAUUGUUAACCUAAUAUGCAAUGAGAUGGAGAUCGGCAAGUCUUGAUCGGAAAAGAGUAACUUCCAUUAUGUGUCUAGGCAGUACCUAAGAGCCUAAGACUUGCAUCUCAAAUCCAUCUUAAUUGAUCCUUAUGAAUACUUAAACUUUGUGUUAGCAUAUAGGAGCAUAUUAUGUUCAGUAUCGCAGUUGGCUUCGACAGCUAUUAGCAUCAAAGGCAUAUGUAUUUUCACUAAAUUUUAAGCCAUGAUGUGGGUUGUUUAUGUUGGAGGAAGGACGCCACAUGUAGGCUUUGUUCGGGCAGUUCGAUUAGCUGAGUCAGUGCAGCUAGAGUCUGUAGGAAUUGAAAUAAACAAUUGAUCCUUAUGUAAGAGUCUCUUGAGGCAUCACUGUCUACUGUCUAGUAUUGAGAGCCGGCCUGAUGCAAAAUUAAGGACUUAAGGGCAGCAAAGUCCUGAUUAAAAGAUAGUUGUUAGUGUCAGUGAGCAGGCCGUCAUAAACCAGCAAGGUCAUCACCUAACCAUGACCUGAGAGCUUGAGCCCUGCAUCUCAGAUCCAUUCACACGCAAACACUCACGUGAAAGCGAGAGAGGGAAGCUUGAUCGGUACCGAUGGAGGCGACGGCGUUGAGCAUCGGCAAGUCCGUGCUGAGCGGGGCCCUUGUCCUGGCCAAGUCCGCCGUUGCGGAGGAGGUGGCCCUGCAGCUGGGAGUACAGCGCGACAAGGCCUUCGUCACGGACGAGCUGGAGAUGAUGCAGUCUUUCUUGAUGGUGGCGCAUGAUGAGCGAGGUGAGCACAACAAGGUGGUCAGGACCUGGGUGAAGCAGGUCCGCGACGUCGCCUAUGACAUCGAGGAUUCGCUCCAGGAUUUUGUCGUUCGUGUGGACAGACAGUCUUGGUGGCGCAUCCCUCGCACGCUUCUCGAUCGUCGCCAUGUUGCCAAGCAGAUGAAGGAGCUGAGGACCAAAGUCGAGGACGUGAGCCAGAGGAACUUGCGCUAUGGCCUCAUCAAGGGCUCUAGCUCCACUCAGCCUGCCGCUGAUGCUGCCAUGUUUGGUGUUGAUGAAGCAAGGCAUGCCGCGAAGAAACACCAAGCAAGAUCGGAUCUGGCCCAGCUGAUCAACAAGGAUGGUGAUGAUCAUGUUGGAGUGAUCGGUGUGUGGGGAACAAGUGGCACUGUUGGGCAUAACACCAUCAUCUGGGAGGCCUACGAGAAUCCAGACGUCAAACUGAAUUUUCCGUGCCGAGCAUGGGUCAGGGUGAUGCGUCCUUUCCAUCCAACAGAAUUUGUCCAGAGUAUGGUGAAACAGUUUCACACAGCGGUGGGGGUUGGUGUUCUGCUGGAGGGGGAAUGGAAGGAGCAAGAUUUGGCUUAGGCCUUCAAUGGAUAUGUCAAUGAGAAGAGGUGCCUGAUUGUGCUUACUGGCCUGUCCACAAUUGAAGAAUGGCACCAGAUCAAGACUUGUUUCCCAGAGAACAAACUGGGGAGCCGGAUCAUAGUAUCCACUGAACAUGUUGAAGUUGCAAGUCUAUGCCCCGGGCGGGAAAGUACUGUAUCAGAGCUCAAACAAUUGUCUGCUGAACAAACCAUCUACGCUUUCUACAGGCAGGUACCACUUCUGUUUUAAACACAUGUUUUUGAUUUUCGAAAGGACCGUCCAAAAUCUGAACCAUUGUCAGUUAGAUGUAGUAUAUAGUGGCCAAGGGUAAUCACUAUGGAGCAUCUCGUGGGUAGGCUUAAAUUAAUUUGCGUGUUUGGACAAGGCAGGGGAAGGGGACCUUCCUGGUCCAACCCCUCCUGUUCCAUGCGGGAAAGAAUAAGUCCCCUAGGUGUGGAACAAAUCUAGCUCUCGAAUUGGAAUCUCCCCGGACUACCAUGAUGGUCUUAACCGGAUGCAUUCUCAGCCACCCUGGAUUCCUCAUCGACCUGCGGAUACAGAUGUCCUCUGCCCAGGUCCCUGGAUGAGGUAAUGUCUGUUCAAUGCAGAGGUAUUAGCGGGUAUCCAAUGUGAAUUACCAAAGCAUUCCUGCUCGCUGGCUAGUGCCUAGGCUUGGCAAUGUGUCUCCUCUAGCCUUCACGCCAGGGGUGUGCAGGGAGCUGCCCAGAAAAUGGGUGUAAAUAUGGAUAUUCCAUCCGACAAAUAAGCGCUAUGUUGCAAUGCUUUGAUAAAAAUGGCAACACAAGGAUUUUUUUGCAUUUGUUUGAAAAGUAGUUGUCCAUGCUGUUCAUGCCUGCUGAGGGCUAAGGUUUUCAAUAACUUUAUGUUCUCUUGUAGUAGUAGCCAACUUUUGAUGUAAUUCGUGAAUAAUUUGUGCUCUAGUUCUUUUUCGCCUUUUAAACUUCUAGACUGCUUUCAUUAUUUCUGGGGAAGUACGUCAAGUCUGACCAGGUCAUCCUAGCUACAUUAACUUGUUGCAUACCAUUGGUAUACUAUUUCUGGUUCGUUGUCACAUUAAUAUUCCUCUAUAGAAAUUGACACGCUGGAGCUGACCCGUCAAAUUUUUUUUUGAGUAUCCAUCAUUAAAUUUUUGUCUAACUAUUGUUUGCUUGUGUUCAGAGCUCUCAUGAUGUUACAUAUCCAUCAAAGCCAGCACCUAGGUCAAAGUUAUCCAACAUCCCUGAGAAUGAGAUACAAGAAGACCAAUCCAAUGCUUUUGUUGAUGGAAAUAUGAUACCGCAAAAGAGGUUAACACGUGGCUACACAAUGAGAGGUGUCCUUGAGGAAUUUCAGCUUAUUGGGCGAAAGCAAGAAAAAGAAGAUAUUAUUGCACUAAUUGAAAAACAAGAUAGCACUCAUGAAGUUCAGGUGAUAGUAGUAUGGGGAAUGGGUGGUCUUGGAAAAACCACUCUGAUAAAAAAUGUUUUCCAAAGCAAAGAUGUCAGUGGCCUGUUUGAAAAGAAUGCUUUCGCCACGGUCUUGCGGCCUUUCAAGCUUGAUGAGCUCCUUAGGAGCUUGGCAUUGCAACUAGAUGCAAACAAGGAAUCCAUGGACUUUACAGGUGACACCCAAAAAAGCAUUGCUUCGAUGGGAGUUAAAGACUUGAUUAAAGUGUUGGGCAGACGUUCAGAAGGAAAGAGGUGUUUGAUUGUUCUCGAUGACCUCUUAGCUAUGGAAGAAUGGGAUAAAAUAUCGCCAAGUUUAGGUGAAAUAAAAAAUCUGGUUAUUGUGAUCACCACAAGGCGAGAGGAUAUUGCUAAGCAUUGUUGCAAAAAACCGAAGUGCAUACGUUUGCUCAACGGUCUUCAAGAAAAGGAUGCAAUUACCCUGUUCACAAGAAAGGUAACGAAAUAGUAUUCUUUAUAUUAUUCACCUUAUUUGUUAGCAAAAAAUAUUAUCCCUAUAUCUCACUUCAGUUUUUAGUUUUGAAUGGUCGUCUCAAAUUAGUAUAUUGUAAGCACAUCACGACCAACCAUCCUUGGCCCACAUACUUCAAAGUGAGUUGUAAAAGGAGUAAAUUGCUCAAAACCAUCACAUUUGUGGCCAAGGUACUUCAAAAUUACCGAUUUUGCCAAAAAUCACAAAAGACCACGCUUCUGCGCCAAGUGAAUAACAAACUGCACUAAACUUGUUGCCAGCCGUGACUAACAGCAAAUUGUCGGGUGGGACCUGUCUGUCGGGCUGAUUUGGCAUGCCUACGUGGACAAUAUGCUGAGGUGGAAAGAUGGCCCCACUAGUCAGCCUCUCAUCUCUUUUCACUUCUGUCCCAUCCAUGGUCAAUGCCAUGCCCGCCGUCCGCCAGCACUGAUCUUCGGCGCGCGUGAUCAGCCGCACAUGUGGUCGCGUCGUCCCCUGCAGCUCCCUCCUCUGCCGCCUUCCCUCCAAGCACCGGCUCAGGCCUAGCUUCACCCGCGCGGCUGCGCCACAAGCGCCACAAACCCGCGCCGUCCCCUGCAUCUACCUUCGACGCCACCUGCCAUCCACUCCCCGGCCCCGGCUGAGCUUCCCCCAAGUGGCCUUCGCCGUUGGUGGACUUGACGAGAUGGGCACCCCGCUGCCUCCCUUCGCUGCCUCAUCAAGCCGCCUCCAGCCGCCACCCCCGGCCACAACAAACUGCCCACGACCACGACCGCUCUCGUUCCCGGACACUUCGUGAGCCUCUGUGUGCCGUGUGCGCGUGCUUCUGCAAGCCCGAAGCGCCACGUGCGCAUGCUUCUGCAAGCCUGAAGCGCCACGUGUGCGUCAUCAGGUGCUCACUCGCGUGCUUUGGCGAGCAUCCGACAUGAGUUCAGAGCACGACUUCAUCAAUGCCAUGGGCGCUGCUGUUCCCGUGCAGAGACGGGACUCACCCAGGAAGCAGGCUCGUAGAUUGUGCCAGAGUUGGCGAGGCGUGGCCCGGCACUGUCGAGCUCCACAUACUGUGCGCGGAUGGAGGCGAGGCAUGGGUUGCCGCCGUUGAUCUCCUACAAGUCCCACCACAUCCAGGAGGCAGACUUAGCGGUUGGGCCGGCGCCGGCGAGGCGAGCAGAGAUGGCUGCGGAUGGCUGCAAGUGCAUGGCACAGUGGUGGCGGUCGGCAUGGUGCGGUAGUGGCAGGAGGAAGAAGAAAAGUGAAAAAUAAGACAUGUGGCUGACAGGUGGGGCCCCGUCCACCGCAGCGGGUCAACACAUUGACUAGACUAGCUUUCACCACAUCAGCGUGACAGACGAGUUCCAGUCAUCAGUUUUGUUGUUAGUCACAGCUCACGUCUUUUGUGAUUUUUGGCGAAAACGGUAGAGUACCGUAGCUAUAAAUGUGGUGGUUUUGAUCAGUUUACCCUUGCAAAAGCAUAAAAAUAUGCCACCGUGACUCAUGUUGUAGUCUCAUUGGUUAUGAAAGAAAUAGUUACUGGAACCAACCUUUACAACAUGAGAACGGUUUCCGAAGCCAUCGAUUUUGCUUCCACACUGGCCCUGGCCCACACACUAGUCGAGUCAACAACUCUUAUCACCUAGCGACCAAAGUCGAUACCCUAUAACAGUAUGAUCUGACUUCCGAAUCUGAGCUCUACAUGCACAUGCGGAGCCCAAUGUUUGCAUAUGGUGAGCUGACGACUCUGCCACCUAAGCAACUCGGCAUCACCCUACAUAUAUGACAAACAUUUCUAGAGUCACCACUCCUGAUUUCGCACCGGUCCACAGUAGUGUACCAACUGGUCGACGAUUUUGUCACCCAUACAACCAGAGUUGAUGCCCUUCUUUCGAUAAAUGGUGGAUUUUAUUAAUUUAAAAUGAAGUACAAGUGGAUACAAACAUGAUAGUACGCAAUACAUCAAUGCACACACGAAGAAUAAUCCAAAGCGGUCGGCAAACUACAACAACAACCAUUCGCACCAGUGAUCUCUUGACAUCAUGAGGGCAACGAGGAAUGUUCUCCGGUAGCAAUACCUCUAGGAAGGGACUGACGCUCAAGCGCCACAAUGGCCAGAUCCAACCACUAAAAGCUAGAUAUUGGGUUUUCACCCUAAAGAUCAUGUCCGAGUAAAUCCGAUCAAUGCCUUCAGUAAGGUAAUGAUGCAAAAACAUCACCAUUGCCAGUUAUAACCAACUAGGGUCAGAUCUAGGGUUUUGAAUCCCGGAGCUCGAGACCGGGUACUCGAAACAACACCAAAUCAAAGUCAUCAUGUCGUGUUGCCACCGCUUUCUACUAUCCAAUCAGAUAUACGAUUUCCGCUAUCCCACCAGAUGUACACAUAGCACGACAUAUGUGAGAUGCCACACAAGUGAAUACCAUGGUCAAACAAGAAGGGAGUUGAGCCGCGACUAGAGCUAAUCAUCACCAAAGCCUCCGAGCAAAUGAAGGUCGUCGUCACUAUUGAUGAGGGAGGAAAGUCAUUGACACCGCCGAAAUCCAAUUUAGGAUGCUCCGGCAGUCCUGGGCCAUCCCCUUCUCUGCCUUCCUUGAAUGGGGCAAGCUUUAUGGCAGCCACGUGUGAACAGCCUAUGGUGAAUCCAAUUCUCCGUCGUGAUCUAGCUGGUUCGACCAUUGGCCAGUGGAAAAAAAACCUGCAGAUCUUUUGCGCUAGCCGUGUCCGAUGGUCACCGCCUAGUCUCUAGUGUGCACUGGCACUGCUACUACGCAUGUAAUGCAGCCACAUCUGCUCGUCAGUUGCUCCAAGUCGAAGGAUAAAAUUUUACCUGGUACUCAUUCGGCAACGACGCCCACAUCUGCGAUGGAUGCACACCAACAGCUGCCAUGAUCUUAUGCUUUAUGCCAUGUGUCAUCGCCAUCAAAGUAACCUAAGGUGCCGCCUCUGUUGGCGUGAAACCACAUGGAUGCCAACCAAGGGCGGCAACAAAGCCUUACCAUCCCUUGAGCAUCAUUGGCCGUGCAGGAUUCCCCUGGGGGCGGCAGGGGAGGAAUCAGAAACAAGGAGGCAUGAGUAGGACGAAUGAGCACCACCCUUGUUGCCCGUAUGGUGACGCGUACGUAGAGUUGAUGCCCUACAACAGCGAAGUACCAGGUUGGUUUCUGAAGCCACCGAUUCAACUUCAUCUCAACACACACCUGGUGCUCAAACCCGUUUCGCCGAAGCACAACUUGACUAGGUUUUUGCCUCCUAAGGAGACAACUCCAAGGAGGAAGCAACGAGAAACGUUACGACCACCUUUUCGAGUAAGGGACGUAAACUUGGAUCCUUGCAUGGAGGAUCCAUAAAACGUUGUUGCCUGGAGAUGAGAUGGAGCAUGACGCGUGCAAGGAGGGGAACGAUGACUGUGGGCACUGUCAUCGUCCCUGCAACCAAAGUCGAGCUGAUUUUCACCUCGGGCUCUUGUGUUCCCACAACCGCCGCCUACCAAGUGACAUGCGGCACGACACUUCAUUGUUGCCAUGCAUCCGCCACUUCCCACACAUCACCACUCGAUGCCCUACCUCCCACACCCACAUGACCAGCGAUCGACACUUCAACCUCCGCUUUCCCCUCCCUUCUCUUCUCUUUCGCUGCCCCUUUCUUGGGAGAUGUCCAAGGCUGCCCAACCCGAUCAAAUGGCUCGUCUGACGGUGAUGCCAGCCGUUGAUGGCUGCGGAGAGGUGCUCAGGCCUUCCUUAUGCAUAUCAGAGUAGUAGUUGUCCUAGUAAGUCUUGGCAUUAUGUUGUGGUUUGGUGUUACGUCAGAUGCCUGCCUUGCUCUGUUGCCGACGAGUAUCGUAGGGAGGUUGCCUUCCUCCUCCUCUAGCCGACUCCCAUGGUGGAUGAUGGUGGCUGGCGGUGGAUUUUACGGAAGCAUCAUCAAUAAGCUUGGGAACCAUCCGUUCGGCUAGAUCUGGAACCAUCUGUUCUUCACCGGCAUGGUGUCGAGCGGACAAGAGGUGGAUCCGGCUGUUUCCUUUGCCAUCCAUUGAUCUCGGCCACCGCCACAGAAGGUGCGGAUCAACAAAGGUAUUGCUUCUGGUGUGCCAUCUUCAACUUCCAAGUGAGGCCCUUAUAACCGUGCUCGUCAUUGGCAAGGUUUUUGUCAAAGACGGUGAACAUGGAGUCUCCGAUGUGGUUGCUACAUGCUAUACGACUCAAUUGUGUUCCAUUUGUAUGGUUUGGGGUCCUAUUUGCAAUAAGGGAGUGUUGUAUUGAAUUUGAUAUGAAAUGACAGUUUCAGGGGCCUUUGAGUCCCAACCCAUGUUUAGAAAAAGCAAGCCAAGGCAGGGGCCUAGCCAGAUCUAGAGCGAUACUCGAGAAUAGAGCCACAUGAUGCAGUACUGCCACUGCUACCUGUCGACUUGUACGGCGCAUUGUUUUCGUCAAACCAUGUCGAAACACUUGUUUUCUGAUUCAUGUUUUGUGAGGAUUUUUUGUCUCACAUUGUCAAUUCCUUUCACAUUAGGGACCUAUUCGGUUCACAGGAAUAGGAAACAUAGGAAUGGAGAAAACCACAGGAAUGAAAUAGGAAUUGAGGUGCAAACCAGAGGAUUCAAAAACAGAGGAAUACCAAAGUAACACACGUUCGGCAUAGCAUAGAAAAAACGGAGGAUAACUUUCAUCGCCUUACGCUAGAGAAACAACUUUAUGGAUACUUUAUUUUGUUGCAUGGCUGUUCUCUCAGGUGAAGCACCUAGUUGCUGCAUAGUUUAUUUGGAAAGUGACAGGUUUGCCUCGGGCAUACGCGACAAAUGAUGGUUCGACUGGAUUUUCUUUUUCCUGAGGAAUCAUGAGGUUUAAUCAGCGUUUUGGAGGAAACUGGAGCAAUGAUUCCUUCUAUCCGAACGACUAGUUUGCUGAAAUUCCUCUGGAACACGUAAUCCUGUAGAUUUCCCAUGAAAAAUCCUUUGAACCGAACAAGGCCUAGAUAAAGAUACUGAUAAAUCCAAUGUAUUCACAAUCAUUUCUUUUGGGAAAUUUUCAUUUGAAAUUGAUUGGUUGGUGUAUUGACCAAUUUAUUAGCAUGUUGGCUGUGACAAACAAUUGCAUCCCAGUUUGUUUUGGCAAUAUUCUUAUUUCAUUUUGUUGAGACUUCAAUGAUCAGAUUCGUGGUUUUGUAGAUCUGUACUUAUUACUGUGUUUAGCAAAUUUUACCGCCUGAUUGCACUGAUUUUUUGGUUGAGUUACUGAAAAUGUGGUUCAUCUUGAGAGUUGAGUAGUACUUUGGAAAAGUUGAGGAAUCUAGAGUUUUAGAAGCAAUAUUUAAUCUCGAACUUACAUUUUGCUUGAGAUUAAUCUUGCUACUCAUUACUAAAUAUGGUUCAUGUUCAGAGUUGAGUGUGUUGUGAAAAAGUCUAUGUCUACAAUUUUACGAGCAAUAUUUAAUCAUGAACAAUAUUAGAUGAUUUAGUAGUGUUUGUGAGGAAAAUAUCAGUGCUGAUUCCACCAUUUUGUUGCUGAUAUACGUUUAGUAUAAUACAGUGAACACUUAAUGUGGUAUUUAAAUGUUAAUAAUCAUUAGCAGCGCUAUACUGUCCCAUGUCCAUUCGUCCUUCCCAUUGACAUGACCUGUACAUGAUGCCUACAGUGUUUUUUUAUGAACCUGUUGUGCUAAUGGUGGGUCAAUGAACUGUACAAAUUACAAAAUGCAUGUCCAUUUAGUAUAUAUUGUACUGAUGUUAAUAUGAUCUCAAUGUGACAGAGCAGCUGACUACAGAGCUACCUGUCGGCUAGCUCUCAUGUAAACUAGGAAAAGUGGUUUGGAUGCACCUAAUUCAUUGUUAGUUAAAUGACUAAUUAUAUUUCCUACAAUUGCAGGUAUUUAGGAAUAUGACUACUGAUUUGGCUGAGCAAUAUCCUGCAUUGGUCGAACCAGCAAAACAAAUCCUGAAGAAGUGCAAUGGACUUCCCCUUGCCAUAGUCACCAUAGGUGGUUUCUUGGCUGAUCAACCAACAAAAACUGCUGCAGAGUGGAGGAGACUGAAUGAGCAUAUCAAUGUUGAGCUGGAGAUGAAUCCAAAGAUUGAAGUUAUAAAAACAGUCCUCAUGAAAAGUUAUGAUGGCCUACCCUAUUAUCUCAAGCCUUGUUUCUUGUACAUGUCCAUCUUCCCUGAAGACCGCAAUGUUAGUCGGAGGCGUUUGGCUUACCGAUGGGUUGCUGAAGGUUAUGCGCGAGACAAGCCCACAGCAGAUAGAUACUUCAUGGAACUCAGAGAGAGAAGCAUGAUAUUACCAACUCAGCAAUCAGUUUGCAGCAUACAAGGAUUCAACUCUUGCCAGCUACACGAUCUGAUUCGUGAUAUCAGCAUUGCAGAGUCUUUGGAGGAAAAUCUUGUUUUCAGGUUGGAGGAAGGCUGCAGCUUGAACACCCACGGCGCAAUGCGUCACCUUGCCAUAAGCAGCAACUGGGAGGGUGAUGAGUGUGAGUUGGAGAGCACCGUGGAGCUAUCCCGUAUACGGUCAUUGACAGUGUUUGGCAAGUGGAAGCCAUUUUACAUCUCUGAAAAGAUGAGGUUUCUCCGGGUGCUGGACCUGGAAGGAACAGAAGGGUUAAGAAAUCAUCAGCUUGAGCACAUUUGGGUGCUUCUUCAUCUGAGAUACCUCUCUCUUCGUGGGUGUGGGUACAUCUAUUACCUCCCAGAUUCGGUGGGUAAUCUGAGACAACUUGAGACACUAGACAUCAAAGGGACGAGUAUAGCUAUGUUGCCCAGAACCACCAUCAAGCUUAGUAAGCUAUGUUAUCUGCAUGCUGGCAGCGGUUCAGGGGAUAAGGAGAAAACUUGUUUUUCAAAGUAUGAAGACAUUUGUGAAAUGCAACGUGAUUUAUGUGUAGGAUGCUGCUCACUGGAUCUUUCAGACAUGUAUGGAUUUGGCAGGUGUGAGGCUUUCCAUCUUGCUUGGUGCACAUUGUACCCUAAUAUCAUUAGGGGCAUAGAGAAUUCUGGUGUUAAGGUGCCAAGAGGGACCAGGAAACUGAAGGCCCUCCGUACACUACGGUAUGUUCACCUUGCUUGGGGAACUGCCAUUAUAAAAGAGAUAAAAGGCCUCACUGGUCUGCAGAAGCUAGGAGUGGUCGGUAUCAACAAGAAAAAUGGUCCAGGUUUCUGUUCGGCCAUUUCCAAUCUCAGCCAUCUUGAAUCAUUGUCAGUGCGGUCAGGUGAUGGCCUAAAUGGCUGUUUGGAUGGCAUGUCCACAGCUCCGGAAAACCUGCAGAGCCUCAAGCUAUCCGGUAGCCUGGAAAAAUUGCCGGAAUGGAUCAAGGGGCUCCAAAAUCUCGUGAAGCUCAAGUUAGAACUCAGCAAGCUAUCAGGGAACCUUGAAGCCAUGAAAGUACUUGGGAAACUACCAUACCUAUCCAUUCUGGGUUUGUGGGAUGACGGGUUUAAGAUCGACGUCCUCCAGUUCCAGACUGGCCUUUUCAGAAGGCUCACGGUGCUUGAUCUUUUCUACUCAAGGAUGGAAAUUAAAUUAGUUGAGUUUGAGGAAGAAUCAGUGCCCAAUCUUGAGUUGCUGACCCUUAGCCUUGGAUCUACUGAAAUUUCCUUCUCUGGGCUAGAACUUCUCCAAAGCAUCAAGGAAGUACGGCUUAGUGUUCAUAGCUGCUUGUUUGGUACACCCAAAUCAUCAAAAAAUGGGGGAAAUGAAAAAAAAUGGGGAAAGAAAAAUAUGAAUACAUGAGAAGAGAAGAAAAGAUGUACAAACCCAUGCAAGAUAAAGUCAGGGAGGAGUUGCAGAUGCAGCUUGAUAGGAAUAAGAAUAAGAAUCGGCCAGUCUUGAAGGUGCAAUGAGCUCAGAAACCUGGGGCUACUUCCGUCCUAAAUAUCCGGACUGAGUGGCCGCCAAGCCAUGCUAUUGGAAAAUCUAUCUUCUUUUUAUCUCUUGCAUUGAUUGUUAUAUGUUGUAAUAAUGGAUUGAAAUAUAGCCCACACGAGUCUGUUAGAGGUGGUAUUUCUUUUUCUGCUUUGGGUAUCUCUUUGAGUUUCUGAAGAAUGAAUGGCCACUGCAAUAUAUGAUGCUCUGUACCUGUACCAUCGGUGGGCUCCUUAAUAAUAAUGGGUGUGGUGAUAUCUUCGGCAAUUGUAAAAACUGCUUUGAUAUGGUGAAGAAUGCUGCAAUAUGUAUCAUCGUACUUUGGUAACUGAAUAAAGUGUUUGGAUUAGAUGCAGAAACCUCGUCAGUAUUUUGCAUCAUAUGCGAUACUUGUUUGCAAUCCUUUUCUUCUGCAUGCCCUCGGUGACCGUGUCAGUCGGGGCUCUGUUCCUUUCAUUUGUCAGCAGAAUGGAAUGAAUGAUGUAACCACAUACAGUAUAAUUGUUUCACGUAGUCAAGCAGCUUACAGAUGUCACGAAGGGUCAGUCCAUCUACGUAGUCAAGCAGCUAAAUUGUUUCACGUAGCACAUACUUUUAUUUUUGAGCCUGGUAAUAGUUAUUUCCUUCGUUACGUUCGUUUCAUUACUUUGCUUUGCUUUUUUAUUACUUUUCCCAAUUUCCUACUUUUAUUCAUAUUUAUUUCUCAAAUAGAAAUUUUUUUAAUUAAUUUUAUUUAAAAAAUUCACCACGCGACUAAGAAAAUGUUCAUAUAUUAUUUGCGCAAAUUUUCGAAACACUUCAUAUCAUUCAAGAAAAUGUUGGUCACAUUUCAAAAAUAUUCACACGUUUCAAUUUUUUUUCAUGACAUUUUAGAAAAGGUUCACCGACAAUCAAGAAAUUCAUGUAGUGUGAAAAAACUAUUUUCUCAAAUUUUUUAAUAUUUUAGUACCAUUAAAAUGCAUUUUGACAUUUAAAAAUGUUCACAUGUUUAAAUGUUUUUCGUGGCAUUUCUAAAAAUCUGCGUAAAAAUGUAAAAAUUAGCUAACAUAGUUUGAAGAAAACAAUGUUUGUACCACUCCUUAAAUUAUUCAUGAAAUUUAAAAAUGCAUUCACACCUUGUGUUCAUGGAAAUACAAAAAAAAUUGUUCAUCCAAUUUUUUAAAAAGCGCUACUCAUGUUUAAAAAAAAUGAUCAACAUGUAUUUAAGAAUGUUUACUAUGUAUUAAUUUUUUUUUAAUUUAUAACUUACACAUGUACAACACAUAUUAGGAUACAUGUUUCACAGGUAUUUGAUAAAUAUUCAGCAUAAAUCUAAAAAAUGUUCGACGUAUGUACAAAAAUGUUCAACGUGAAAAAGAUGACCAUGUAUUUUUAAAAAUAAAAUAGAAAAAAAGAAAAGAAAGAAAAAAUUAAAUAGGAAAAGGGGAACUAAAAAUAAUACAGCCAAUAAAAAAGAAAAGGAAAAGCCUCGUGGAAUCUUCCCAAAAUCGGCUGGAAGGUUCGACGAGCUGGUCCUCAUAGAGCUUAAAAAAAUGCUUGUAUCACACUUAAUGGCUAGCUCAUUUUGUCGAUUGCUUGGUGACGCUACAAUUUUCGCAGUAAGAGUAGACUAGCGUUUAUCGAAAAAGGCUUUCACCCCAUGUGUUGUAUGUAAACCAUGAGCUUCAAGGCGGUGCGCCAUGAAGGGCACGACAGUAGAGAGCCACCCCCGCCCGAUUUAAAGGACCAAGAUUUUCAGCUACAUCGUGAUAGGAAUAAGAAUAAGAAUCAACAUGUCUUGAAGUUGGUUGGAAUGAGCUCAGAAACCUGGGGCUACUUCUGUCCAAAAUAUACUGCGCGGGUCUGUGCCAUGCCAUGCUAUUCGAAAUCUAUCUGCUACCCACUCUUGUUUUUAUCUCUUGCAUUGAUUGUUAUAUAUAGUAUUAAUGGACUGAUAUAAAGUCCACAUGAGUCGAUGGCAUUGUUGUUCCGUGGUUGUUAGAUGUGGUUUUUCAUUUUGUGCUUUGGCAUCUCUUUAAUUUUGUGAACUGCAAUGCCUGAUGUUAUGUAAUGUAUGUUCUAGGGAUGCGUGCACACCCUGGCUGGGCUUGCUUAAUAAGGGUGUGGUGAUAUGUUAGGCAAUUGUAAGCUAUUUGGACUAGAUGCGGAAAAAUUGUCAGUAUUCUAUAGUAUAUACUACUGCAUCCGUCCUGGUUUAUUGGUCGUCAUUGUAUUUUGUGUCAAUUUUUGACCAUAAAUUUCUAACAAAAUAUACAUGCAUGUCACCAAAAAUUAUAUAAUUGGAAACUAUGUUCAAAUAUGAAUCCAAUGAUAUAAUUUUUGUUGACAUGCAUUAAAAUUUUGUUAGUUAAAUGUUUGGUCAAAAUUGGCACAAAUUACAAAGGGGACUAAUAAAGCAGGACGGAGAUACUAUGUUGUAGUAUCAUCCACGUUGCAUGUAACCCGUUUAUUUUGCCCUUGGUGAUGAUGCCGUUUCUGCUCUAGGUUUUUGCUUCGAUUUGGGGAAGAAUGAGCCAGCACUGCAAUACAAGAUGCUAUGUAUCUGUAGUUUUGUAUGUUCCGGACGACAAUGUGCAUGCCAUCGUUGGGCUGUUCUGAUAAGGCGACAGUAACAUCUUUGGUAAUUGUAAACUGUUUGGAUUAGAUGCUUAGAACUCGUCAGUGUUUUGCAUCGAUCAUAUGUGAUUGCUUAUUUGCAAUCCUUUUCGUCUGCCCUUGGAGAUCAUCCUAUUAGUCUCUCGGCUAUGUCAUUCACGAUUUCACUUGUCAGAAGAAUGAAUUGAAUGAUGUAACCACAUAUGAUCUAGGUAGUCAUGUUCAUGUUUCAAUUUUUUCAUUCUUUUUUCAUUUUCCUUUUUCCUUUUUUAAAUUCACACACUUUUUAAAAAAAUCUUCAACUUAUCUCAAAUUCUUGAACUUUUCAGAUUUGUGAACAUUGUUUCAAAUCCAUGGACAUUUUUUUAAAUCCUUGAACAUUUACUAAAAUUCGCAAAGAAACUAAAUCAAGAAUUGUUUUCAAAAUGCAGGAAUGUUUUUCAAGUCCACAAACACAUUCCCACAUUUAUGAACUUUUUUCUAAUUUGUGAACUUUUUUAAAAUUCAUGAUUUUUUUUUGAAAACAGAGACAUUUUCUAAAUUUUGAACAAAAUUUGGAAAAGUGUACACUUUUUGGAAUUGUGAACAAUUUUUGAAAAUGGAAACACCUUUCAAAACUCUGUUCAAAAUUUGACAACGCAAACGUUUUCUAGAAUUUACGAACAUUUUUUUUCAAUUCUGAUUUUUUUUUUGAAAUUUUGAACAUUGACUAAUAAGUAUGAACAAAGAAUGAAAAACUGAACAAAACUUGGAAAUUCGCAACAGUGUCUUCCUUUUUGUAACCUUGAUUAGUAAGUAUGAAAAAAUAAUCAAAAUUCUGGACAUUUUUGUUGAAAACAUGCACAGUUUGAAAAAAUCAACAAAAACUGAAAAAACAUGAUUUAAAAAAAAUUCAAACGAAUUUGUGAAAUUUUUGAAUUUGAGAAAAUAGAAACAAUAAACAGAAGUUUGGUAAGAAAAAUAAACAUAAAAAGGAAAAUUGGUGAGAAGAUAAAAAGAAAUAAAAUGCCAUGUAUGCCACCGUUGGAUACGCUUUUAUCCGCCAUCCGUCAAAUGGCCCGAAUUUUUUUCAUGAUCUUGUAUUAUCAAUUCAAGGUGUCAUGACAAGUUUAUUGGGUUUUUGUCAAGUUGUGCAUUUUUUGGAGUUUUCCUGGUCUAAAAAGAAAGAUAAAUGGCCAGACGUGUCGCAACUUGCAUACGUUGUCGAAAGUCGUUUAAAUCAGGCAUGGAUGCCUACCAUGAACAUGCUCACAUGAUGGCAAAAGUUGGGUCCAUUUCAAGGAUGUCCACAAAAACACCAUGUUCAAUGGAGGGUGUUCAGGCAACAAGAAGGGUCGGUUUGAGAGAUGUUGUUUUUAGACAUACGUGAAAUGACCUUAAUUUUUUUCAUGGCGUAGUAUGACCAAUUCAAGGCACCAUCCCAAGUAUCUUGGGUUUUCUUUUCUACAAGUUUUGCAUUUUCUGGAGCUUUCUCGGUAAAAAAAGAACGAUAAAUGGGCGGACAUGUCGUAACUUAGAUACGGUGUCAGUAGUCAUUCAAACCUAUCGUGAAUACCUACCAUGAGCAUGCUCACCUUCUGGAAAAAGUUGGGGUCAUUUUAAGGAUGUCAAAAAAACACCAUGUUCAAUAAAGGGUUUUCGCGUAGGGCCAGAAGGGUCCAUCUGAGAGCAUGUUGUUUUUUGACAUCCUUAAAUGGCCCAAAUUAUUUCCAUGGCAUUGUAUGACACUUCUAGGCACCAUGCCAAGUUGUUUGGUUUACGACAAAUUUUGCAUUUUCUAGAGAUUUCUCGGUCAAAAAGGCCGAUAAAUGGUCGGACAUCUCAGAACUUGCAUACAGUGUUGGAAAUGGUCCAAACCUAACAUGGAUGCGUGCCGUGGGGAUGCCCACCAGCUUGCAAAAGUUGGGAUAUUUUUAAAGCUGUCCAAAAAUAGACUAUGUUGAACGGAGAGUAUUCAGGUAGGCCAAAAGGCUCCGUCCGAGACCAUGUUAUUCCUCUACAUCCUUGAAACGACCCUAAUUUUUUCCGUGGCCGUGUAUGACCAAUUCAAGCGACCAUGACAAAGUUGUUUCGGUUUUGACAAGUGUUGUAUCUUCUGGAGUUUUUUCAGUGAAAAAAGGCUGAUAAAUGGUUGGAUGUGUCGCGUGCAUAAGUUGUCAAAAGUCAUUCAAACCGGAUAUAGAUGCCUAACAUGGGCAUGCACACUUACUUGCAAAUUUUGGGGCAGUCCUGAGAUUUCCAAAAAAAUACCAUGUUCAACAGAGAAGGGUUCGGUUGGGAGCACCUCGUUGCUUGACAUCCCUUAAAUGGUUCCAGUUUGUUAUCAUGGCCUUGUAUGACCAAGUCAAGGCACCAUCCCAAGUUGUUUGUGUUCUUGACAAGUUCUGCACUUUCUGGUGUUUUUUUGGUUAAAAAAGGCCGAUACAUGGCCAGACGUGUCACAACUUGCAAAUGGUGUCGAAAGUCAUUCAAAUUUGGUAUGAAUGCCUACCAUGGGCACUCCCACCUUCUUGCAAACUUUGGAUUCAUUUCAAGGAUGUCUAAAUAUACACCAUGUUCGACAGAGUGUGUUCGUGUAGGCCAAAAUGAUCCAUUUGAAAGUACGUUGUUUUGUUGACAUCCUUCAAAUGGCCCAAUUUUUUCCACCAACUUCAAUAACCAAUUCAAGGCAUCCUGCCAAGUUAUUUGGAUUAUUAAUAAGUUUUGCAUUUUCUGGAAUUUUCACAAUAAAAAAGGGCCGAUAAAUGGACGGACGUGUCACAACGUGCAAACGGUGUCGGAAGUCACUCAAACCUGGCAUGGAUACCUCAUAUAUCCGUGCCACGCUAAUGCAGGAAGUUGGGGUCAUUUAUCCAUAGUUAAAAAAACCACCAGUUGAGAGGAGUGUGCCAGACUAGGCCAGACGGGUGCAUCCAUGAGCAUGUAGUUUUGCCUAACUUAAAUACUUAUGUUAUUUUCAACUUCCAUCAUCAUGAACAUUUUUCUUAUGUCCUAACCAUUAUUUUAAAAAAUUCCAACAUUUUUUCUGAAUUGUGUUUGAAAAUUUUACAAACUUGAACACUUCUUCCAAAAUUGUUAACAAAUUCCCAAAAAUUGAUGAAAAUUUGAGCACGAAUUGCAAACCACAUGCUUUUGUAAAAUUUAUCAACUUUUUUGAAUUGUGAAUAUUUCUUAACUUUAUGAACAAAAAUAUUCGAAACAGGAAUAUUUUACAAAAUUCAAGAACAUUUUUAAAAUUGUAAACAAUAUUUGAAAACAAGAAUAUUUUUAUUGAAAAUAAUUUUGCAAAUUUCGAAACAGGUUUGAAAAAUAAUAAUAAAGUUCAAAUAGGGGAAAAAUGAAUUGAUCAAAAAACAGAAGGAAAAAAUUGAAAAGAAAAAAAACUCUUAGACUUUGGCCCUGUUGGGUGGCCCAUGUGUUUGCGGAUUUUUUUUAUAUUUUGCAGUUUGUUUUAAAAACUUCUACCUAUUCAUGAGCUUUUUCUCAACUUUGUUAAUAUUUUUGUAAAACGAUUUAUACCUAUACAAUAAUUUUUUAGAUUUUCAAAAUAAAUUCACUAAAAAUGUUGCAAAAAGUUCGAGAAAUUGAAAAAGAUUCACAAAUUUGAGAAGAAGUUCACAAAUUUGAUUUUUAAUUUAUUUUAAAAAGUGCACCCAUUAUAAAAAACAAAAAAAGAGAAACAAGAAAGAAAGAGUAAAAGAAAACAAAAAAGGAAACAUAACCCGGUUUAGGAAAACACGUCAAAAACAGGCCUGGAUGUUUAUGAAGUUGUCUUGUCCACAUAAGAAGCGAAAAACAAAGCAAGUGGGCACAACAACUAACCUGUCCUGGUUGGUUAGUAGAACAUGAAGUAAACCUUGAGGGUUAGAGUUUGAAUCUUCCGUCAUGCAUUUUUUUGAAGAUUAAAAAGAAAGAGAGAAAAAGCUGACGACGCCAAAUACGGUUUGGGUAUCCCACGUAUGCCAGAUAGUAUAUAGGCGGUAUGUAUGCCGGUCGUGUAUAUGCAAGGUCGGCAUGGGAGACUUACUUUUUAAGAAGACUAUCUUAAUUUUUAUUAUGAAGGGGUAUGGAGAGAUCUCCUCCUUCUUGGUACAAACUCAUGCUUUCAUGGGCCUAACUAACUUACAUCAUAACAAGACUAGCGUAAGCACCACCCAGGUAGAAGAUUCCAGAGCCCUUCCAUAUACUCUAGAUUUUUCUAUUUGCAUAGAAGUCUAUGUCUAAUUGAAGAUCUUUAUCAUGAUAGUUCUUAUACCCUUCACUGUUAUAAUCUCAACUAAUAUAUAGAGAAUACACAAAACACAUAUACCCAAUAUUCAUGCAAGUGUCACAAAUUAUUGGAAGAAGCAUAUCAUAUGUCAUUUUUUCUCACAUUUGGAUUUGGUUCAUUUAUAUUUUAAGAUACAAUACAAUAUAUGACUUCAAAAUAGAUCUUAAAAUUAUAAUUACUCAUUGCGAUGUUUGUGAUUCAACAUAAAUAAUUUAUAAACAAGUACUAAAGUUCAGUAUAAAUAAUUUAUGAACAAGCAUUAAAAAAUAAUUUGAUAUUUUCAUUUGUAACCGGCGUUAUUUGUACACCCGGCUGCUCAUGUCGGCGUAUUGGAAUAACUGCAUAAAAGUAAUUUGAUUUGCACUCUGCUAGUAAUAACUCCAUCAAAGUAAAAACACCAACCAACCAUAAAGCUCACGUGUUUGCUCCACUGAUACUUGUGCUCCAAUCUAGUAGAGUGGAUCUUUUAACAGAAAAGGUGGAGGACCCCCGGCCUCUGCACACUACUAGAAACUACGAUUUUACCUAGGGCCAAGUUCUUCACCUAGAGCUAAUUGUCCUCCUCGAAGGAAAGAAAAGUAAUGAAUAGUACACCCUAGGUAAAGAUGGAUUUCAAGGCAAAAAAAAUUGGUAUAUACUUUCCCUAGGGUCGGGAAUAUGCAAAUGCCAACUGGUUCGCACCAUUUAUCAUCUGUGGUGUAUGUUGGACCCACUGCUCAGUGAGAAAGAGCACAUCGGCAACGACUGACGAGUGGCGCAUAGAAGGAAAUAAUUUCGACCAAGUCAGGUCUCCUUCUUCUCCACCGGAGCGCUGCGCCGUACCCAGACCCAGUUUUCUCUCCCGAACCAACUCCUUCUCUCGAGUUACCCUCCGCCGCCGGCAGGGUGACGACGCCCCCAGACCCGCCCCACCGUUCCCCACCGCCGUCUGCCUUGCCCAACCGUUUUCCCUUCCCUGUUGUUUCCCACUGCCGUCCACCCUGCCCCGCCAUCCCGCCCCACCGUGUCCCCGCCACUCCGCCGAUAUCCCCGCCACUCCGUCGAUCUCCCACCCCGCUGUGCUCUUCAUCGCGUCCCUCACCCCGAUGUGCUCUUCGCCGCCCAUCCUGCCGCGUCCCUGCUUCUUCCCUUUCUAUAUGGCUGUCGCUCCGGUGGAAAGAUGACCGGGACGGCCAUGGAGACCAUGGCCACUCGCGCCUGGGUAAUGGUGCCGCCCCGUCCGUGGUGACCUUGCCGCGCCUGCUAGUUGACCGUCGCUAGCCGCCAUCGAACCCCUGCAUCUCUCCAACAGGUUCCCUCUCUAGUCUGUACCUCCCUCACUCUCUGCUAAUUUUCGAGCAAAUCACUCUGUGUUAGUAAGUCUUAUUAACGCAGUUAGCAAGUUGCGAUCCAAAGCCUAUGAUGUCCAUGCCUGGGAAGUGGCAAUUUCUGCAAUGUGUAGCAUAUUUGGCUAUGUAUGAAAAAUCCCAGUGUCUGUCCAGGAUAGUAGUUGUCUUGUGUAAACUGUGUUUUCCCUUAAAGUAUAUGAUGGUUCUAAGCUAUGCUUGCUCUUGCUCACUAUGCACUCAAGUUUGCAAUAGUUAUGCAUAGGAAUGAUAGAUCUAACCUUAUGCAUAAGAAUGAUAGUUGUAACUGAAGCAAUCCAACAUUGUUAAUUGUUUUGUACAUAUUUUCAGAACAGACAAGUGUUGGGCGCUGACCGGUUGAAGAAAAUUCCCAUGUUCUUCGUGUCGAAGCAACGGAGAGGAAAGAGAUUGACAAAGCUAAAAUCAAGUAGGUAUUUUGAUAUCUUCUUUGCACGAAACAAAUGUUGAUUAAUGUGUUGUUCACUUUUAUUAUGUGUGGAGGUAGAAUUAUUUUUUGUUGGGUGAUGAGUGAUUUUCUGUUUGAGUGUGUAUGAUGCAUUCACUGUCUGUUGGGAUGUGACUAAUACUCGUAGCAUUUCAUUUUUAUUACAGACUUAAGUAGAAAAUCAAACCAUGUCUUUGGAUGAUCAACGUAGUUGGAUGUAUAGUGGGUGGAAGGAUAAUGGAAGGCAUUCUGAUGAGUGGAUACGUAAUACAAAUGAUUUUGUGAACCAUGUUUUCCAGGGUAUCCGGAGUGCGAAGUUUGGAGUUUCCUGUCCUUGUUCAAAAUGUUGCAAUGGUAAUAGAAGAACAAAACAAUUGAUAACCUCUCAUCUUUGUCAUUGGGGGCUCCUGUCGGGUUACUUUAGAUGGACUACACAUGGGGAGCGUCAUGUUCAUGUAGAUAGAGUGGAGUCUGUCAAUACUGAUUGCUUAGAGGACAUGUUGUGUGACAUUGGGGAUUCAAUGCAUGUUGAUAAUUCAGAUGAGGAGCUAACACCAGAUGCCAAAGCUUUUUAUGCCAUGUUGUCAGCUGUUAGAGACCCACUUCAUGAGUUCACCCAAACCUCACGCUUUCCUACUGUUAUAUGCUUGAUGGGCAUUAAGUCACAAUACAAUCUAUCGGGAAAUGCGUAAAUAGUUUACUGAAACUUUGGCAAGAUACACUUCCACAAGGCAACAAAAUGCCGUCAAGCUUGUAUGAGUGCAAGUGUAUCUUAGCUGGUUUGAAAAUGCCACUCGUGAAAAUAGAUGCAUGUGUUAACCAUUGCACGUUAUACUAUAAAGAUAGAGAGAACAAACUGGAGUGUGAUUUCUGUGGUGAACCAAGGUAUAAGGUGGUUAACAAUGACUGCCCAAAUAAGAAGCGUAAACCCAUCCCACGGAAGGUUCUAUGAUACCUCCCUUUUCUACCAGGAUUGCAAAGGAUGUUCACGGAGCCUGAAUUUGCUAAGAACAUGAGAUGGCACAUGGAAGGCAUUCGGGAAAAUCCAACAAUGAUGGUGCACCCACGUGAUAGUGAAGCAUGGAAAUCUUUCAAUGAGGAUGGGUUUGCAAGUGAUCCACGCAAUGUCAAGCUGGUCUUGUCUUCUGAUGGCUUCAACCCUUUUAAUUUUAGGUUAACACAAUACUCUUGUUAGCCCGUCUUUCUUGCUCCUUUGAAUCUGCCACCUGCUCUUUGCUUGAAAACCCAAAAUAUUUUCUUAGCAUGGUAAUCCCUGGACCAAAGGGUCCCGGCAAGAACUUCAAUGUGUACAUGGAGCCUUUAUAUGGCGAGCUGAAGGAGGCAUGGCAGGGGGUACCAACUUAUGAUAGUUUCCUUAAGCAAAAUUUCAAUAUGAGGGUAACCUUGCAUACAACUGUCCAUGACCGUCCUGCAUUUGGAAUGGUUGUUGGAUGGUCUACCCAUGGGGGGUUGGCUUGUUACGAGUGUGGGGCUGAUACACAAACAAUUUGGCUAGAUAAUGGUCACAAAUGUCAAGCCGGUUGGCCGGCUAGAUAAUGGUCACUUCUUUGUACCUUCCUGCUGAUGUGCCUACCUCAAGAAAUCUCCCCCAACGUUAUGCACAACCUAGCACUUCUAGGACAAGUACUUUUAGUUUGUUUGAUGUCAAGGGAUGGAAUAUUGGCAGAGGGGAGCCUAGGAUGUUAUCACACGAAGAGUAUAAGACAACCAUGAUUUUUAUCUUAACAAACAUGCCUGAAAUGGAUGAUAUUGUGAAGUAAGUUCUCUGAAUUAGCAUUUCUAGUACAUGCAUGUACAAUAAAUAAGGUUGGUACUGAUGGCUUACACAAAAAUGUAGAUAAUUUGAACUUGACCAAUGGAGGCGCCCUCGACAACCAACUACAAAACAACUAGAUAAACUUAGGCAGGAUGGUGCUGGUUCAGGAAAACCAAACUUGUUGGAUUGGUUCAAAACAUUGGUAAAGUAUCUACACACUAGCAAAUAAAACACCCUAUAGUUUACAACACAAAAUAACUAAUUUUUUGGUCUUCUUGCAGUGCAUCAAGGAUGCAUCAAUUAAUACUGAAUUACGCAAUCUUUCAAGAGGUUGUAGCAUGAGAGUGAAUUCAUAUGACAUGUAUGAAAUUAAUGGGUUCAGAUUUCGAUCAGACGAAUAUGAAAACCAUAGAGAUGGGGACCUUUUGUCUAGAAAUACCGGCAUUCUUGCUCUUAGAGUUGAUGAUGCAACCAACAAUGAGCUUGAAUACUGUGGUGUUAUAAAGGAUAUUAUAGAACUUAAAUUUGAUGGAGAUGAGGACUUUAGUCUUGUGAUGUUUGAUUGUCAUUGGUUCCAUCCAACUAAAGGAGUGAGGCAUUUGAAUAGAUUUGGCUUAGCUGAAGUAGCACCUGCCUAAACCAAUCCAGCCAAUGAGCCUUUUGCUAUUGCCAGCCAAGUAAGCCUAGUCUAUUAUCUUCCCUAUGCUUGCACUUCUGUUGCAAGUCUUGUUGAUUGGCAAGUUGCCUACAAGGUACCACCUCUAGGCAGUCUGGACACUCCGACGGAUGAUGUUUACACAACAACAACACCCACAAAUACUGAUGUCUUCAAGGAGAAUAAUUUAGAUGUGAAUGAUUUUAUUGUACAACUAGGAUCACAGCUUGACAACAUAACAACAAGUGGUUCAGAUGAGGUGGUUGAUCCAACUGAAUUGUCUGAUAUUAGCAACCGACAUAAUUUGGGUGGUGAAAAGAUUCAAGAGCAAGUUAUCGAGGAUGAAGACUAUGAUGAAGUGAUCGUUGAGGAAAUUGAAGAAGAAGAAGAUUUCUAGGCUUUGUAGCCUAUUUUAUAUUUUCUUUCAAUUGAUUGUUUGUAAUUUGGGUGGUUGAAGGACUUAGCAGGAAACACUUAUCUAUUUGCUAUUAUUAUAUUUCUCACGGGCUCCGUGUUGAUUGUAUACUGUUCUUUGACAUCUCUAUUCUUGUUUGUUUCAAGAAUUGCAAAUUACAGGAUGACACUUGGAAGAAGAGCAUCUCGCACCGUUGGAUCCAUCCAACCAGCACCUACUGCUCGGAAGAUUACUGCUCCUGAUGGCACUUAUGAUGGGUACAUAAGAGGAGUUUCAAAUCUUCCACCUGAUAUCCCGAAUAAUGAAGACCGCCCAAUCAUUCAACCAGUUGGAAAGAUGUAAAUCUCAUUAAUUAGUAUAAGUAGUUUCCUGUUCUACAAUCUGUAUUCUUUUGAUAAUAUUUGUUGCAUUUACAACUUCCUUGUAGGCAUUGGAAAGACAUUCCUGUUGUUCGAAAGGGCAGACGGCCUUCAAGUGUAUUGACAUGCCUUCUGAAACGUAAUCAUCCAGGUGUUGUGGAUUAUGAUGGUGCUAAGGUGCUUGCCACAGAGUGGGAGCAUUAUCAUGAAGUAAAGGACACAAAUGGCCAUUCUGUUGCAGACAAAAUUGAAGAUGCCUUUUGGGGGUAUAAACUAUUUAAAUUGCUCUUGUUUGUUGUCAAAUGAUUUCCUCUCUUGUAAUAAACCAUCUAUACAUUCUCUUUUUAGCUAAGGUACAAGUAUGGAGAUGCAUACUCAGAGAAGGCAAAGCAACAUGUUAGAAGAUGUUGCAAGAUACUUUUGCCAAGUAUCUUUUAUUAUGCAAGAAUCCAAGCAAUAAUUGAGCAUUUUUGAAAAACUGAGAGCAUUAACUUGAAUGAUAAGCUUGCUAGGCAAUACUAUUUGGAUAAAUCUUUGUAUUUGGUACAAAGGCAAGGUUGGUUACAAGAAGAAGCUUGGGGUUAUUUUAGUUGAUGAGUGGUGUAGUGAAGAGUGGAUUGCAAAAUCUAAGAAACAUCGUGAAAAUCGUGUUAGCUCAAAGUUCAAGCCUCACAAAGGUGGUUCCAACUCCAUGACUACUAUAAGUCAAAAAAAUGGUUAUCAACUAAACUUAAUUGUUUAUCCUAUUACCAGUUUAUCAUAUGAAUAAUUUUUCAUAUUUGUUAUGUAUUGAAUCUUGUGCAAUGCAGUCUGAGCAAACCGGCGAAGAAGUUAACCCAAUUCAAGCUUGGGUGCAUACACAUAGAGGAACUGACAAGAGCAAAACUCCGAUUCUCAACACACCAGAAGCUACUAAAUGUCUGGUAUGUGCUUGUGCCCAUUCGUCGAUCGAAUGAAUGAAUAUAGACUAUUAAUAUGUGGAUGCCACAUGCUCUUAGUUUUCUAUAUGAGUCCAAUAAUAAAAAUGCGUUAGAUCAUUUACUUUGAACGGAAUAAUGCUGAAAUACCUUGCUGUUGCAACCUGCCAUGUUCCUAUGUUCUGUUGUAACUAUGUGCAACCUGUCCUGUUCCUUGCAACAUACACCAGGAGAUUUGUACUACAUAUAACUCUAUAGAAGAGUUAAAUGUCAUGUUCCUUGCAACCAUCCAUUUAUGCAAUUUUGUAAUAGAAUCUUUACUCAUUUUGCUGAAAUUUCUGAACAUUUGUGUACCUUUGUUUUCUUGUUGAAUAGGCGCUUUACACAAAAAAGGCUAAAGAGUUAAAUGGAGAGAACUAUGAUACUCUAAAAAAAUGUUGUUAGUCCUAAGGAAUUUUAUGACUGCUCUAAUGGGAAACCACAUGGCAAAUGGCCUCUCUUCAAUGGCAUUGUCAAUGAGACCGAGGUAAUUGCUGAGGUCAGAGCUACUGGUACAUCUUCAACGGCCUUGAAGUGUCGACGAGCUGAAGAAAUUGAAGAUGCGCUUCGAAAGGAGUCUGAGAAGGCUUGAAAGGCAGAGGGUUAUGCCAACAAUAUCUUCUCAUGGGGUGUUGGCAUGUAUGAGCACUGCAAUGGGAUACAAAAGUUUCUUCAGGUGCUGGUUAACCACUUUAUGUUCAUCAAUUAACUUGCUAGCAUUUGGAAAUAACCAUCAUGAAUCUCUUCUUGUUUAACAGGAUUUUGCAACUAACCAAGGAGUACCUCUUGGUGAAAUACCACCGCCGCCAGUUCCACCUCCUGCUCGUUCACGGUCUCCUCCUGGAUCCCCAUGACAAUCUGCUAUCCAAAGUAUGUAAUCAUCCAUCUCAAGCAUAACACUCAAGCCUUAAUAUAUUUAAAUCAUGAUAUAUUUUUUACAUGCUCUUGUUACUUCAAGCUCAAUUUAACUAUCAUGCUCCUUAAGAUUGGAUGGUGCAGAAUUUGAUGUUUAGUCGAUCGUCAAAUGCAGUUUCUUUAUGGAUGUACUCUUGCCAUUGGCCUGAAUUAUGUUCACAUGGAUGUUUAUUUGUAGCUGUCAAGUAUAACAUUUUUACUUUCCCGUUCAGAUUAAGAAAUUUCUAUGCUUGCCUAUUUGUGAGUUGAGUUGUGUAGUAUGCAAGAGUAACUAUCUUUAAAACUUGACUCUUCUUUUGCAGAUUCUAGAAAAUAGCGAAGAACUGCCCCCUUUGUGUGCUCAUCAACAAGCAAAUCCUAGCUCUGAUCAUGUAUGCAUUUCUUAAACUUAUCUCAAAUGAUACAACUACUGAUGGCCUCUUUGUUGUGAUGUUCACAUAGUUGUGACAAUAUGCAUGCUCUAUAAUGUGUUCACAUAGCCUGUGUGGUGUUGGCUCAUUUGGGGGAUCAAUAUUGAUUAGUGGGGCUGCCAUAAUCUGUACUGCAACACGUAGUGUUCAAGUGUAGUACAUGCUAUUGUAUUUGGAAACAAAGAUCAUGCCUUAUUUUCUGAUUUUGUGUACACUAAAAAUAAUAUAUCACAACAUAGUUACAUUUUGGUGUGAGAGGUAUUUACUAUGGAUGAUGCUCCUGCAUUCUUUGCCUCCUGCUUUUGCCUUUUCUGCCAACAUCUCUUCUCCUUUUCUUGUUUAUUUUACUGAUUUUAUGUAUUUAUCACAGUAUCAUGUGAUGAAACCUUGAAACAAUCUUAGGACACCUUUUGACACAGUGCUGUUAUCUUGUGAAUGAGAAGUCAUAUUUUUCCUGAUGGUACUACAUGUACACAUUCUGCUCGUUGCUGCAUAUGGUUGGUCCAUGAUGAGAUUUCCGAUUAGCUCCAAAUAGCUCUUGCUCUUUUUGCAUAUUCCCUGGAACAAUUUCACUUGCUUCAAGAUCAUUUCUUUAUGCUUUCUAGUUAUUUCUGUAACAAGUUACUGUUGUCAUCUUCUAGCCUCUAAAAAUAUGUUAAAUCUUACUUUUCAGGAACAUGUUGGAUCAAAUGAUCGUGCUGCAGCAGGCGAUGAAGGGAUGUUUGGGGGAUUUUUCAGCGAGUGUGGAACUGGUGCACUAAGCUUAUCACUACUGGGCACCCAACGAGUCCAUUGAUGUUCUUGGAUGUAUAGUGCGUGAAGUAACAUUUUGGUGCAUGUAUAGUUAACAUGCUGGUACAGAUGAAUGGUGGAAUGAGUCUCGCAUCUAUUCCAAUGAGCAGUCUGUUACAUAUACACAGCGGCACGAAGCCUAACUCCCUACAUGCCAGGAGUGGAUGGCGUGAUCAGGCGGAAGACUAGGCCUAAGUACAACAACCAUCACAACUCAUACAAAGCAGAUACAGAUACAUACAACGGUACAAUUCAACACCCCCCCGCAGUCCGAACGUUGCUUGGCAAAACGUUGAGACUGGACCGAAAAUCAUUGAAGACCGUCGAGGGCAGCCCCUUGGUGAAAAUAUCUGCAAACUGCGACGUGGUAGGAACGUGAAGCACCUUGGCUUCACCGAGAGCCACCCGAUCCCGGACAAAAUGAAGAUCAAUCUCGACGUGUUUCGUCCGUUGAUGUUGCACGGGGUUGGACGAGAGAUACACCGCACUGACAUUGUCGCAGUAGACGACGGUGGCGCGUGUGGGGGGUCGCCGGAGCUCGGUGAGAAGUUGCCGGAGCCAACAAGAUUCUGCCACACAGUUGGCGACGGCGCGAUACUCAGCCUCCGCACUAGAGCGAGACACCGUACGCUGUCGUUUGGACGACCAGGAGACCAAGUUGGAGCCCAAGAACACACAAAACCCGGACGUCGAUCGGCGGGUGUCAGGGCAUCCUGCCCAGUCGGCAUCACUGUAAGAGAUCAGCUCGUGCGAGGAGCCACGAUGAAGCUGGAGGCCGAAAUGAGCAGUACCACGAAGAUAACGUAAGACACGCUUGAUCAACUGAAAAUGGGUGUCGAGAGGGGCGUGCAUGAAGAGGGAAAUUUGCUGGACAGCAUGGGUGAUGUCGGGGCAAGUGAGUGUAAGGUACUGGAGAGCGCCGGCAAGACUGCGGUAUUUCGAGGGAUCGGAGUAGGGUGUACCACCGGAGAGGGAGAGUUUGGAGCUAGUGUCUAUCGGCGUAGAAAUAGAGUGGCAGUUCAGCAUGUUGGCACGGUCCAAGAUCUCGAGAGCAUAUUGCUCCUGGGAUAAGAAGAGCCCAGCGGUGGUGCGGUGCACGGUGAUGCCAAGGAAAUGGUGGAGGUCACCAAGAUCAUUGAUGGAAAAUUCCUUGGCGAGAGACGCGACGAGGGAAGUGAGGAGAGAGGUGGAGCUAGCUGUGAGGAUGAUAUCAUCAACAUACAAGAGCAGGUAGGCCAUGGCAUCUCCUCGAUGAAGAAUGAAGAGAGAGGUGUCACACUUAGAGGAGACAAAACCGAGCGAGUGAAGGUGGCGUGUGAAGCGAAGGAACCAUGUCCGCGGAGCCUGCUUAAGACCAUAUAAGGAUUUGUUGAGGCGACAAACGUGUGUGGGAUGAGCAGAAUCAACAAAACCGGAGGGUUGCUGACAGUAGACGGUUUCAGCUAGGUCGCCAUGGAGGAAGGCAUUCUUGACGUCCAGUUGCCGGAUGGGCCAAUUGCUCGCCGUGGCGAGGCUGAGAACCACAUGGAUCGUGGCAGGCUUGACGAUGGGGCUGAAGGUCUCCCCAUAAUCAACACCGGGCUGCUGUGUGAAGCCCCGAACCACCCACCUCGCCUUGUAGCGCGCCAAGGUGCCAUCAGGAUGUAGUUUGUGCCGAAAAAUCCACUUGCCCGUCACCACAUUGACACCUGCAGGACACGGCACCAAAGACCAAGUGUCAUUCCGAAUUAGUGCAUUAAACUCGUCUAACAUAGCGUCAUGCCAAUGGGGAUCCUUGCGAGCCGCACGGUAAGAGGAGGGAAGUGGUGAUGGUGCGGUGGUGACGGAUAAGUCGAAGUGUUGUUUGGGCAUGGCAAAACCAGUUUUCCGGCGCAUGACCAUCUGGUGCGGAUUGGCGAGCGGGGUAACGGGAACAGCGCGAGGGGGUAUAUGUCGCGGCGGGGGAGACCGAUUGCGAGGCGGGGAUCGGGGAGCAGACGGCAAUCCCAAGGAAAGGUUGCGCCCUGCCGAGGAAGUGGGGAGUGAUCCCGGGGUGCGUGGGCUGCAGCUGGUGGGGUGGGUGGACCGAGGCAUGCAGCUAGCGGGAGUACGUGGGUUGCAUGGGGAUGUAUGGGUGGCGGGCCCCGCAGGGCUGGGCGGGGGCGUGGCGAUUGGGUGGAGGAGUGGAGGGUGUCGUGGGUGUUGUGGGUGAGAGCGACCGGUCGGGACGUGCGUGUACGCGGAGCAGUCGUGUACGCCGAGUAGGCGUAGUGGGGCGCUCCCGGACGCGGGCCGAGGACGCCCGCAGAGUUGGGUGGAAUCCACGGGGAGCGCGGCGGUGGGAAGGGCAUGCCCAUGGGAGCGAAGUAGCCCAGCCACGGCUGCGGUCCGCGGCCACCGCCAACAGAAUCGCCGCGACCCCGGCCACGGCCGCCACAGCCACGGCCGCCACGCCCGCGGUUUCCACCGCCCGGAUGACCGCCGCCCUUGCCGCCUGGAGGGCCGCCACGGCCGCCGUUGCCACCAUGCAGAGGGCCACCGCCAGGAGGGCCGCCACCGCGGUCACCGCGGCCGUCGGCGCCUCUGGCGUCGUCGUGGAGGACGGCCAGCACCUGCGCGCCCUCGGUGCGCGCGCGCUUGUCGAUGGCGAGCUCGGCGAGGACCAAGCGCGACCGCGCCUGGGCGAACGUGGGCAGCGGCACGGUGGACUGGAUAAUGGCGGCCGGCAGUUCGAACUUCUUGCCGACGCCAUCGAGCAUCUGCAGGGUCAGGGUGCGGUCGGUGACCGGCUCCCGGACGUCAGCGAGGGCGGCGGCGAUGCCCUGGAGGCGGCGACAAUACUCGUUGAUGGUGAGGUCACCGCGGACGCAUGCCCGGAACUCCUGGCCGAGGUGCAUCGCGUGCUCGGCCUCAUUGGCGAGGAAGUACUCGUGAAGACGCUGCCAAAUGGUGUAAGCAGUGGAGUCGGGCGGGGCGACGAGGUCGAGAAGAUCACCUUCGAUCGUGGAGAAGAACCAGAGGCGGAUAGUGUUGUCGUCGUCGCGCCACUGCGGAUCGGAGAGGCGCGCCGCGGCGCCGGCCUUCACAUGCGUCUCCACGUGGUACCGCGCGAAGAGGAGGUUGAAGUAGUUGCGCCAGCGAGUGAAGUUGGUCCCAUCCAGGGCCAGCUUGAAGUUGACGACUCCGGCGAUGCUCGGAGGAAGGCCGCUGGGAGGUGGAGUGGUGGUGGGCACAGAAAGAGGGAUCGGGGGAAUGGGGUUGGGUGGGGACGUAGCGAGAGGCAGGCCGCCGGAGUUGGAGAGAUCCGGGGUGAGCGACGCGUGUGGGCGCUCAGAGGCGGCGGCGGCGGCAGCAAGAUCGUCGGCAGAGGGGUUGUGGCCGAGGCCGCCGUCGACGGGAGAGGAGGGAGGGCUGGUCGACAUGAGAAGGGAGAGGCCUGAGCUCUGAUUACCAAGAUGAAUGGUGGAAUGAGUCUCGCAUCUAUUCCAAUGAGCAGUCUGUUACAUAUACACAGCGGCACGAAGCCUAACUCCCUACAUGCAGGGAGUGGAUGGCGUGAUCAGGCGGAAGACUAGGCCUAAGUACAACAACCAUCACAACUCAUACAAAGCAGAUACAGAUACAUACAACGGUACAAUUCAACAUGUACAUGUUUGGUGAUGUAGGAAACUGUAGUUGAACUACAACAAGCAUGUACAUGCUGGUCGAGAUGUUUAUUGGUUAGCUGUAGCAAACACUAGCUAUAGCUUAUUUUUGGACAAACUUGAUGGCUGGUGAUUUGCAUCUGAUGUAUGCAUGUGAUGAUUGAUAUCUAGAGAUAUCUAUAUUAAUUAUGCGAUGUUAUUUUGGGUCAGAAUUAUGGCUCCUAUUUGAAAUAUUCUAGUUAUGGAUUCAAAUUCGAAUUGCAAAUUGGAAUUAUGGCACAUAUGAAUCUGGUGUUUCCCUACGGUAUAAUUCAAAUUUGGUAGGGACAUAGCUCUAGGGAAAGUGUAUGAUUAUGUGACAUUGCAAAAGGGUCCCAUGAUCUUUCCCUAGAGCUGGCUAUAGGUGAAACAAACUUUACACGGUGGAUGCAUCAGCCGUGUGAAAUUCUUUCCCUAGGGCUUGUGCCCCUAGGUAAAGAACUUUCCCUAGGGCUGGUUAGAUGCACCCUAGGGUCCCGUGUAGACUUUACCUAGGGCAAACCCAAGGUAAAGUCUUUACCUAUGGUUUUCCCUAUUUCACCUAGGGUAUAUGGCCCUAGGUAAAAUUGUAGUUUUUAGUAGUGGCAUCUGGACGAUGCAUGCAUCCAUUUUAUUAAUUGUUCACACAAGACCUUACAAAGUAAUACAACAGUAAGACUAAAUUCACCGUCUAGGCAACAUCUGUCGCUACUCCUAUACAAUUGAUGAAAGGGUGCUGAUAGUCUAGACCUAAUACCAAACAGACCUCGCAGCCAAACCUACCAUCUAAGACCGGAGGUCCCAUCCAGGACGCUUGCCGGGUACAGGGCACCCCCCCGGUCUGGCGCACUCCUCAACCAGGACGCCUGCCAGGUAUGAGGCUACCGCAGCCACCUGCCACCAAUCCAUCUUCGGAACUGUACUGCUGCAUCUACCUUGCCCGGUCUAGCUGCCGUUGACACCACCACGACGCCAGACCGCGUCACCCUCCUGCGCGAGUCCAUCUGCGCGCAUCGGACGCCGAGUCACCACAACGCCAUGCCGCCGAGAUCCGCAGCCAUCAAUGAGUGAGAUGACGCACCGCUCCACCAAAGAAUCCGUCCUCUAGUCCCUCGAUCACGUGUGUACCUCCAAGAAUGACGCCCCAAAGGAGGGAACGGCAAUAGAGCGCUGCCGUCAUCCGAUCUAGGGUUUCCUCCGGAGGUAGCAGAAAGUGGCCUUGAGCUUCUCCACGGCAAUGCCUUCAAGAAGGGAACAAUGCAGAUAGCGCCGCCACCGCCGGCCUUGGCAAUAGCCGAAAGCAAGUUUUCACCCAGAUCUGUUUGAAGGAAUCCUACUCCCGUGCACGGCCGCCGCCACCACCAGGCUAAGCACUCGCCGCCGCCGGCACCUCCACGAUGCCCAGAGGCUGCGAGACUCGCCGCCACCACGCCUGUGCCGCCGGCCACCGCUGCCAACACCAACCCCCACCAUCCACUGGAUCUGGGUAGGGAUCCCAGAUCCAUCCCCCACCACCCACCACCACGGAGGGGAGGAGGCGGUGCUAGCGAGGGACGCCGGGAGGGGGAGAAGGAGCCGAGGCAGGGCCAGCCCGACGCCCGGCACCACUAGGCAGAUGGGAACGCCCCGCGGAGUCCCCAACUGCGUGCGGGAGAGAGCCGCCCCGCCGCCGCCAACCCCACACGGCCUUUGGCCGGUGACGCCCUAGGCGGCGGCGAGGGAGGGGGUUGAGGCAAAGGGGGCGGCGCUAGGGUUCCUCCCGGGGGCGCCCGUGGGAGCGCCUCGGGGAGGGGAGCGGACGUAUAGAAAAUCUGCAGUACGCGUUCCAUUUGCGACUAGCAAAUUUAUAUUAGCAGGACCAGAAGCAUAAACACACGCUCCUAUCCUUAUCCUUGUCCUCAGUCACAAAUUUAGAACCAGACAUACGCUGGUAGUUGAAAGAAACCAGAGGCAAGUUAUGUUAUCCGUCCAUUAAUAAUUAAAAUCAAGCUAGUCUUUGCAUUGCAAGGCCUGGUGUUUCCGAGCGGCUAGCAUCAUCGGCCAUUACUCGGCAGCAACGACAGCCGACGACCGCGCGCGGGUCGGGCGACGACCGUCACAUCCCAUGGGACCUGCAUCGCCGUCGUGCUUUUAAUCCUCGAUGGAUACUUACAAAGGGAAGGCAGCAUAUACACAUGCAUUGUGAAUGUCUAUCUACUGUUGAUCUUAUAUCUCGGACAUAUAUAACAAGAAACCAGCCACCAAACUUGCCGGGGCCGGAGUAAGCGUACGAUGAGGGCGAUCAUUACCGCCGCCAUGUCCUUCUUAAGUUCUUAUUGGCAUGCUUGGCAGCGGCUGAGGCUGUAGGGGUUGGGAUGCUGCAUCUUCCUUCCGCCGCCAACCUUGCUCGGGCUCGCUGCCCUUCCAGAUGCGGUGGUGUUGGCAUUGACUACCCAUUCGGGAUAUGGCCACUUCAACGUCACCGGCCAUGAAACCACGUAUCGACAACACCUAUAACAUGCCAUGGGAGGCCCCCGUGAAAGGUCUCAUGGUCAAACGAGAAUCAAAAUUGUAAGUUGUUGGCUGCGGUGUUGGUGUAUAUUUUCUGGGCCAUGAUGCCAAUAAUCCCACAGGUUAUUGUGUGCGUAUUUGCGUAGAUAACAAAGGUCCACGAAGGAGGCAAAUGCAAACCGCUACGAGUCAAUACAGGGAUAGGGUCAUGUUCGAUCCUUUUGGAACAUGAUGUGCGAGCCUUUGGCUUCAGAAUUGCCCGCCUCGUUGAUGGCGUCUCAGCACUAUCGGGUCAAGGGCAAAGCCUCUCUACUAAUGUCAAUGUUUUUCUAGUGGAAGAUUACGUACAAUUUUCGUAUGUCAGAUAGAGGAACCAAAUGUUGAUGGGUCAUAUUUUAGCAUGCCCAUCACAGGCCAACCAAAUUGUGAAAGUUCUCUGAAGAAAAAGUCCUAUAUGCAUCAAAGCGAUUGCCAGGAUCUGACAUCUGGAGGCUACUCAUGUCUGGUGCCACAGUUAUGCGAACGACAACAAUCCGUACCUUAUGGAUGGAUGUCGAGGUCAGGGAUUUGCUUAUUAUUCGUAAACAUAAAUAUAUCGAACUGCCAUAUAUCAUGAUUAUGAGUAUAUGUAUAAUUGAAUAUUAUGGUAAUUUUUGCACCAUGGUUGUUGGUGACAACUUUUCUUCUCCUUUUUUAUACCCGCCGUCAUUUUUUUUUUGGGAAAAUCAUCAUUAUGUGUUCUCCGUAAAGUAUAGUUAAAAAAGAAAGCACUAAAUAUUUUCUUGCCCAAGACUCAAAAUUGCCUCUCAUAUAAGUUACAAAAUCUGACCGUACUUUCUUUAGAACCUUUCGAUACAUUUGGAAGUAGUACUAUUUUUUGUUAUAUUGCUUCCUAGUGGCACAUGGGUUACAUAGCAGCUAUGUUGUCUUUACGAGCGGAGAUAAGAAAAAUUGUGGGAAACCACUCGAGAAUUCUUGAAAAGGUGCUGAUACAACUUAAGUUGUUUUCGUUGAUAUUCACCCAAUUAAUGAAUUUGCUUUAUUACAAGUAGCAUGUUUCUUGAUAAUGUUUCAUCUAGGAAUUAAACUUGGUAGUAUUAAUUAUUGAUAUGACGAGUGUACCUGUACUCAAGAUAGGGUGACCAUUAAGUCCGGAGAUCUUAAUGUAACUUCUUCCUAUGCCAUAUACUUGCAUCAUUCACUUCCCUUUUGGCCUUAAAAAAGGUUGCUAUGCUGCUGAAAAGUUUUAAGUGUACAUUGUAAAACAUCACAAUUCUUGAUCAAGGGGAGAAAUGCAAUGAUCAAGUGGCCAAAUACAUUGUCACCAAGAUUUCAGUGAAUAAAGGAUAUCUUAGUGUUAAAGAAACAUAGAACAACUCAAAGUACGGCGAUGAAGACCUCAUGGUACUUGUUGCUAUAGGCGAGAGUGGUUGGCAAGUAGGACUCCGUGCCUCUAAAUGGUUUGUAUUUAUCUGAAGAAUACGACAUGAAGAUGUGACACUCAUGUCGAUAAUUUAACCUGUCCGGUCGCUAUGCGCUAGGAAAGAAGUGCUACGUACGCAUGUUGCAGCAUAAAAUAAACACUUGUAUUAGUAUCACCCACAACCACAUGAAUGGGACGAUGCAGCUCGGCUAUCAUUGCCAAUGCUCUCCGCGUUACGAGGGAAAUCCAUACGUACCAUAUGGCUGAAAAGGUAAAGACACUGCAACUUCCAUUCCAAAUUGCCAUCCAACUGGAUGCAUGAUUUUCCUUGUACAUGAAAUGAUUGAUCGAAAUAUUGACAAUGAUACAUCUAGCGGGAUUCAUGUGUUGCAAUACUUUGACUUCUUGAUCCAAAGUGUUUGUUUCCUUUUUAUAGUGGAGUUAUACUAUCUAGGUGGAUUCUGAAUGAUGUCCUCGAAAGGGUUGGCUUCUCCUCUCAUAAGAAAUGCACUGCCACUAUUCAGAUGCUUGCAUAUGGCAUUCUCGGUGAUCUUGUGGUUGAGUAUGUUCGCAUGAGUGAGUCCACAUGCCUUGCUUCAUUGUACAAGUUCUGGAAAGUUGUGGUUGCAGCGUUUGGCCCGGGGUACUUGAGAGAAACCAAAUGGCGCAGAUACAGCUCGGUUGUUGGCGACCAAUGAAUCCAGAGGUUUUCCGAUAAUGUUUUGUAGCAUAGAUUGUAUGCACUGAAAGCGCAAGAACUGUCCAUUUGCUUGACAGGGGCAGUAUAAUAGUUAUGUUAAGCUUGCAUGGUCAUACUUGGAGCCGUGGCAUCACAAGAUCUUUGGAUUUUGCACUCUUUUUUUGGCAUCGCAGAUUCUCACAAUGACAUCAACGUGCUUCAGUAAUCUCCGGUGUUCGCACAACUUGCAGAAGGCAACUACCCGGAGGUCAACUUUGAGGUCACUGACCACCACUAGAACAGGUGAUACUACCUAGAUGGUGGUAUCUAUUCUCAGUGGUCAACCCUUGUGAAGACAAUCUCUGACCCGGCGGGAGAGAAGCGGGCUAGGUUUGGCCAAGCACAAGAGACUGCUAUGAAGUAGUGGAGUUGCUUUCGGUGUACUCCAAUCUUGAUGUGCGAUGGUUCCAUACCCUGCUAGAACAUAGAGCGAGCGGAACAUGUGGGAGCUGAUGCAUACUUGUGUGAUUAUGCACAACAUGAUUUUACAAGGUGGGCAUAAUGACAACAUCUUCGACCAACGUUUGAUUUCCGGGGUGAAAAUAUUGAGCUUGGGCAUCAAUCGACAACAUUUGCCGAGUUUACCUAAUUUCAUCAUGAAAUGUGUGAUUGGACAACUCACAUUCAAUUUCAAAACUAUUUGGUUGAGCAUAUAUAUAUGGACUCACCUAGGCAACCAAUAGGUGUAUCCGAUUUUUUUCUUUCAAUGUUUUUGUGAUAAUUUCAAAUUUAUUUGGUUGUUAUUUGGUUUUAAACUAUUUAUUGUGAUGUAAAACUAUGUGACCUUCUAUUUGUCAUCGUAUACAUAGAAUGUAAUGUUAAAAUUUGGAUAAAAGUUGGCUGGACGGACCAAAUGGGUCGGCCGGUUCGGCGCAUUGGCAGGGUAAUCACGGACAAGGGGGAAUGCCGCCCCUUCGGCCGAUCCAGACGGACAAAAAUCGAACAAAAAUCUGCAUCCGUUCGCGUAGGCCGGUUGGAGUUGGCCUAAGGGAUUGUACAGACUUCCACUCAUCCGUACGUAACACCUGCCACAUUCGAUAGUUCUUUUUUUUGGAAAGUAUGCCUAUAUUCAUAACACGAAACAAUUACUUCCGAACACGUACAAGCGCACACUAACACACUCAUGAUCAAGCAAAAUAACAAAGAGCACCUAACACAACUAGAAAAACACGAAGAUGUCCUCAACUCUGUGCCAUUACCCCUGAACCUUGCGAAAGACCCCUGGAACAAAAUAAUUUACAACCAGCCCUAAGCAGGACAUCAUCUUCAACCACAACUUCAUCAUGGCCACAUUGCUCCACCUUUUCUUUGCUCCGGCGUCAAAAGGACAUGGACACACCUGUUAUCCAACAAGCCUGCACCAGCCUUCACCAUCUGUGGCUUUGAGUACCGCCAUAUGUGCCCCUUCCGGUUGAAAGAGAGCUAGAAUCCGGUUUCGACGCCGCGGUCGGGCCAAUCGCCCGGGCAAAGCAGGACGUCCCUCCAGCAACGACACAAAGAAAAAGGAUAAACAACAACAAUAGAUCAUACCGACGAGGAGGAAGAAGAAGCUCCAUCUCCGCAGAGCCACCAACCAUCCGAGGACUUGCCCGGCCAGUGCCGAUUGACCUCGAGACACCAUAGCCCACGACCUCAAUGAGAUCCAGGGAUCCCCCACCCCCACUGGCUCCUAGACGGAGGCAAGAGCCCCGCUUGACUGCGUACGAAGCCCGGGAAAAUUUAUUCAGACGCGACGCCGCCGCAACGGACUUGGCAACGUCUCCCUCAAACCCUAACUCUACUAUGAACAUUUGAUAUUUCUACGUGGUGGGGGAAGGGAGGAGAGAGCUGGAGGCGGCAGACAGUGAAUAACCUAGAAAAUUUGCUAGGUAUCCAUAGGCUACUCCCGUUAUACGCUCGGGCGUCUGUAGCGGGUUGUUCCCAACCAUCGUAUUUGAGAUCAACAAUAUUUUCUAAUUUUUGGGAGCUAAAGUUAGGAAAAGAGACGGCCUACUGUACGGGCUGUUUUUACGGCUAUCUACAACUGACGUGGAGGACACCUAAGGGGUGAAACUGGGGCAACUGGUAUUUCGCGUUGUACUCAUCUGGAAAGAGGUACGAGAGAGUGCCCAGGAACAAAGAUCUGCUGAGCUAUGGUGCAGAAUUUUCUUGGACUAAUGAGUGCGGUGGGUGAGUGGCAGCGUCAACUAGCAAUGAUGUAUACUUCAAUGUAAAAGCAUAUGUCAGAGGCAUCGCGGUCGAUCCCUCGACAUAGAAUUAAUGGACGAGUAUGAAGUUUAAACUAACAAGUACUGGAGUACUGGUACGUAGUACACAUGGAAAACUGUAAGCUUGGACCUUGUAGUUUAUCUCAACAGAACCUACUCAAAUGCAAGUUAGCUAGCGAGACUACUCCGCUCUAGUGAUCGAGGCGGCGGAGCGCUUGGGUAUGCCAAAUCUGCCGUGGCUGCCUUGCAGUUCGGAGUCCGGCGCCACAAGGCCUUGUCCUAUUCUGAAGUUUCAACGGCACCUUUUGAGUACUCCCUCCAGCCCAUUUUACUCCGCUUAUUGGAUUUGUGUCAAGUCAAAUUUUACAAGNNNNNNNNNNNNNNNNNNNNNNNNNNNNNNNNNNNNNNNNNNNNNNNNNNNNNNNNNNNNNNNNNNNNNNNNNNNNNNNNNNNNNNNNNNNNNNNNNNNNNNNNNNNNNNNNNNNNNNNNNNNNNNNNNNNNNNNNNNNNNNNNNNNNNNNNNNNNNNNNNNNNNNNNNNNNNNNNNNNNNNNNNNNNNNNNNNNNNNNNNNNNNNNNNNNNNNNNNNNNNNNNNNNNNNNNNNNNNNNNNNNNNNNNNNNNNNNNNNNNNNNNNNNNNNNNNNNNNNNNNNNNNNNNNNNNNNNNUACUACCGGGUGUAGUUACAUCCAUUUCUCAUAUACUACCAUGUGGUAGUAUAUACUCUACUUUAUUACUUUUAGUAUGCUCAUAUACUAUAUUUAAGAUACUCCAAAGCGAAUUAUGUGAAAAAAUUGCAUGUGAGCCCAUGUUUUUAUAAUAUUUGUGAAAUACGUACAUAUUUAUACGUAAAAAGGAGUAUGCUCAAAAUAUACUACAUACUACAUAAAAAAUAGUAUAUAUACUACCUAAACAUUCUUACAUACUACAUACUACGCGUACAUAUCCUCCGAUAUGAUAGAUACUACCUAGAACGUAUGAAACAAAAGUAGGAGUAACUACACCCGGUAGUAGGAAAAAUUUGUCAUAUAUAUAUAUAUAUAUAUAGAAACUCUAUUAAUAACCCAGGAUGAAGAAUAAGUAAUUCUUCACCCUGGUCGAGCGACCCAGCCAGUCGACACCAUCGCACCCGCUUUUGACCCGCACCACUCUCCUACCCACCUAAAAAAAUUUACCAACGUUUCUGCCCACGUCCCCACAUUUUUUGGGUCGAUUCGAUUUGUGAGCGGAAAGCUGUGAGCAGUUCUGGACGCGAGCGGCGGCAGAUUUCGGCGACGAGCGGGUGGCGGCAUAUUUCGGGUGGAGGCUGCUGCUUGCGGUGCUGGGGUGACCCCGUGGACCGGUGGCAACGUGGAGGUGAGCAGCGAUGCGGAGGAUCCGCUGCGGGUGGCGGCCUCGUCGGCCGGCGACAUUUCGGUGGCUGCCAGCAGGAGAAUAAGCACCUUGCUCUCCUCUGCGACCUCAUCAUCAAUUGGAAUCGAGAAGGUCACAUCCUGUUGCUUACUCUCCAUCAGAAGCCGCCAGAAUCGAUCGCCACCAGUCGCCCCAACUUCCAGAUCCCGCCCAUCAGCGCCUCAAAAGGUCAGUAUUUUUUUUCUAUUUGUGCAUGAAUUCUCGUGAAAUAGUAGCAGUCUCGAUUGUGCAGAAGCACCAAGUGCGUCAAAUUUUCUGUUCCUUGCAUUUAACUGUUUGACCCAAUUUUUGAUAUGGUGUAUCAGAAAUUCAGAAUAGAAUAAGUUAUGAUGAUUGUAGGAGUGAUCUGCGGCUCUGAAAUUAUGUGAUUUAGGUAGAUUUCGAUACAAAAGCUCUUCUUGGGUAAAUCAAUUAGCCAACAAAUCUGAAAGAAAUUUAAAGGAUGCUAAUUAGAGUCUGAUUUGCGUCAUACUAGUAUAUUCUGAAGAGCAACUUGCUGCUUGUUACUGCAAAUGGCAAGAAGAGUACGCAUUCAAUGCUUUUACUACUGGUCUGGUUUGCUUUUGGAGUAGAUUACAGCUUUAAUAUGUAGUUAGUUCAUUUUUUGGGCGGUUCAAGCGAAUCAUUGUUUUUGAAUUCACAGUGUCUAUUUGAUUUUCAUGGGGUUGAAAGGGUCUGUCUAAAGUAUUAACCUAAUAUAACAAAACUCUAAGGCAUAAUCAAGUUUGUUAUUGAGUCCAUGGAAUCCAAUUUCUACAAUAAUUCAACUUUCAACACAUAUUCUUGGAAAACAGUUUGUGUUCUUUAAUCCAAUUUGUACAUUGCCCACUAGUGAUUUUAGUGCCAUAAAAGGAGCUGAUAAGUUGCAUAUUUUCAGUGAUGUUUCAGUUUAUGCUGUAGCCCGAUGUGGCAUGAGAUGAACUCAAACCUAAUUUAUUUCUACUGAAUCUGACGAGCUUUUUACACUUGUGUUACUGUUUCCAUCUGGGGAUGAAAAAAUUCUAUCGUCAGAUUUCAGCUGACAAGGUAAAUAUUGCCAGUCCCUCAUCGCCGCGCUGGUGCUGCUGCCUCCAUUCCUGGUUCCUCUUUGUCGUGCAAGGCAACAAAGGAGAGUCACCAUGAAUGCGAGGCUCGCCACCCCCGUGUUCACGACUGCUCCUGAGUCCUGACGAGGCAGAGGUCGUUGCUGGCAAUCAUUCAGCGAGCAUGCUGUAAUAAAAUGAUUUUUACAAACAAAACUAUAAAAAAUGAAUCUGAGAAAUGUUCCGAGAUCGCCGUACUGUGUUUCAAAAACAAAUGUAGUUGAUCCAAGUCAGCGAGCAUGCUGUGAUGAAAUGUAAAAACAAAUAUGGUUAAACAAAUCUGCCGAGAUCGCCGCACACCAAGUAUUUUAAAUGUGCUCACCAUUGGGGUAUGAUCAUUGUUCCUUUUAGAUGUCUAUAGUACAAUUUACAUCAACGCUUCUAGCCAAUUUUAUGUUGGAUGGUUAGGAUGCGAAGUUAAUUUAAUAUCUGAUACCACUUUGAAAGUUCAUGUGGUAAAAAAUGGAAUGAUUUACAAGGCUACUGAAAUAAUCCUUUGCUUACUGGUCACAACCACAAGAAAAGCAGCAGCUGCUCAUGAACAUGAAUUAAUAAGUAAAACAUAUGAAGAAGAUGAUUCUCAUUGUUAUGUGUCCCCCUUGGUUAUACACACUUUUUUUCUUCUAAAUUCUUCCCUCCUCCUUCCUUUUUCCUGUAUAUAAUUUUGGGAUACGUCUGGUAGAAUAUUUUGUGUAAUCAUAGGUACAAAGAGCCAAUUACUCGCCAUUAAGAGAAGAAAUGCAUAGCUCCGACUUUAUUUGUAAAACGGGGUGAAAGCCUAUUUCGAGAGAAAUGCAUAGCUCUGCUUGCCACUGUGUCUGGCAAUUAUGGAAAUCCAUAAGAAACUACUCCCUCUGUCCCAUAAUAUAAGAGCGUCACGCUCUUAUAUUAUGAGACAGAGGGAGUAGAUGUCAUUUGCUAUUCUGCAUCAGGUUUGGCAACAGAUAGAGUGGUACUACAAACUGGUGCUGAGACACGGAAGCAAGCUCUUUUGGGUGAAGUGAAGCUCACCCUUCCUUUCCUAACAAUCAGCAGAAAAAUUCAGGAUUGGUGCAAAGAAAGGUAAACCUGAAGGCUUCAGUUCUAUUAAUAGGAUAUGAAUGUUUUAAUUGCUGCAGAGAUUGUAGGACACAUGAAAUUGAUGGGCAAUCUGUGGCCACCCGCAAAUUAAGUUGCUUGAAGACCAAGUUUAAACCUGUACGAUGUUAGUGAAGUUGCGCCUCCAUGUCUCUUCACUUCCUGAUGUAAUUAGUCUGGUAGUAUUCAGUUCUGUAAUAACGAUUUAUGAUAUAUUUUUUAUGCUGCUGGUUACCGAUUUGCCAAGUGAUAUUCGAUGUUCUCCAAACGAAUUUUAGUAGUAUCAUACGGAUGCUUUUUAUUACUUGAGAUAUUUACUGGAAACAUCAGUUACUUUCUGUAUGGAAUCUAUUUAUCAUAUGGCUCAGUUGUGGUUUUAGGAUUUAAGGCCACCAGGCAGAGUUCUUGUAUUGGCUCUCAGUUUCUGUACAUUAAUGCCUUUCACGGGGCUGAUUUUCCCCUUUUAGAUUGGUUAUUAUCAUAAUCUGUACGUUGCCUAAUAUAGCUUUUUCUUAAGUCAUGGUUGUACAAAUGCCUCAUGUACGCUAUGACGUCAAAAAAAUGCCUCACACUACAUUGGUCAUCACUUCUUUAAGCCUGUUCUGAAAUUUUCUUAUGCCAAAAGUGCCUUGUGUGCAAAAUGAAUUAAUGGACCAUUAUCGCUACCAAAAUUACCUUGUACAAAACGAUUAGUGGAUCAGGUGCAGAACGACUAUUAAAAGACUAGUGAAAAUACCUAAUGUACAUUAUAGGAAUGCAACUUUAUCCUAUAUGAAAGAAGUCAGGAACGCCUUCCCAUUCGUUGCCGUAAGAUUACAUCAGCAUCGUUCGUUUUUAUAUUGUGAUCUCGUUGGACGAUACACAAGAGGACGUAACAUUCAUUCUGUAAGAUUACCUCGUAACUCACAGGCAUGCAUUCUGUAAGAUUACCAAGAUCCUUUUUGUACGGCGGCGGUACAACUUUCCUUCCAUGCCAUUGUAAUCUUACCUCAAGUCUUUUAUUUCUUAUGUUUUGAAGUUUCUGAGCGUGGGAUUGGACUGGGGUGAGGAAUAAGAAUUCCUCACCCAGGGUGACGAAUAGCGCGACCAUAUAUAUAUAUAUAUAUAUAUAUAUAUAUAUAUAUAUAUAUAUAUAUAUAUAUAUAUAUAUAUAUAUAUAUAUAUAUAUCAACAUAUACAAUACCAAAUAUAUAUACCAUGAAUCUACAUUUCGUAAUGAAUCUAAUAAUAUUAAUUUGACAUUGUGAAUGUUGAUACUGUUUUCUAUAAGUUUUGUCAAAUUAGAGAUACUUUGACUUUGAACAAAACUUCUAUGCAUACUAAAAAGGACUGGAGUGAGUACUAAACCAAGAUGGAGUCUGAUAAGAGCUACAGCGAAAUAAAUAUCUCCACCCAAAAGCUUUGUGACAAGUAACUUUAAUAUCAUCAGAUUUUCAUGUUUGGGAAUCAUUGAUGGGUUUUCGUUUUCCAAGUAGGGGUGGCUUUUCUAGUUGGCAUGUAUCUAUUUCUCCAUUAUGGGAAGACACUUGGUUGGGUGACUCCCCCUCUUUGUCAGGAAUAACCCCUAUCGGACAAUGUUGUCCAGAGAAACCAUGUGUUGUUAGCCAAGUCUAUGUUUAGUCGGUUUGGAUGGUAGUCCAGCAAUAGUAUUGAUGUUGCAUAGGUGUACUAUGUAAAUUUCUAUUGCUGUUGCCGAAGCCUCGAUAUUUUACAUUUUUUCUUCUUCUUGUACCACUUGAUAUAUACAAUUAAAGAUGAUUGUAUGCAUCAAUCUGUGCAGAGGCCAAGGAUUAUUUUCUUUGUCAAAAAUGAAUAGUUCCAAACUAUAGAAGAGCUCAAUAUAAAGCACACUUUCCCAGUUCAAAUGAGCACAAUAGAGCCGACAUGCAAUCAAUUAGUUGACGCAUGUGGUUUCAUUAUUUGCAGGAGGCAGGACAGGUUGGAAUUCCUCUACGAGUCAGGGUUGGGUGUCGGUAAUGGGAGCUCGGAUGGAUUCCAAGCACUGCAUCAACCUGACCCGGCGGCAGCUGUCGCCUCCUCUUCUGCUCCAACGAUUGCUGGAUCUUGCAAGGUAUCUCGGCUGUUCCUUAUCUCCCUGGUGAAUCUUGUCCAUUGUCUUCGUGGAUUUGCACGUAUACCUACACAAUUGUCAAAUAAAUAUCAGUGUUGCUUAUGUAAUUGUAUUUUUUUUUCUUUACUUUUGAAAAUAGAGCUACUUGUUUGGUGGUUUCAUAUUGAAUUGUACUAUAGAAAUGAGCACAAACAGAAAUGUGGGAAACUAGAUUUAAUGGGCCAUGUUGGUUGGGGGUCUGUAUGGUUGAUUGACUCCUAAAUGAAGUCCAACACAAAAUAAAACUCCUAAUUAGAGUGGGAUUGUGGGACACUUGAUUUCAUGGUUGAUUGCAUGCAGGGAUUGCACGCUUCAUGUCAUUCUUACUAAGACAAAGGUUGCUACAUGCAAAUUAAGCUCUAUGAUUGAUGUUGUUUAAAGAGAAGCCACCAGUGGUAGUUGUUGCACGUUUCAUUCAGUGGGCAUACUGACAACCAAGGGGGAGAAAGACAUGCACAUACAAGCGAGAUGAUGAAAUAAAUCAUUUAGAAUGCUGUGUUAUUUUAUUUUAUUUUCAAGCAUGACAGUAUGCGUUAAUCUGUUUUUGAACGAAAAAAAAUCAAGGGUGUUAAUUGAACACUUUUGAAGUGAUGGAAUUAACAAAAUUUUGCAAGUUCCACAAAUUUUUUCCUCCAUUAUUCAUUCUAGGUAUUUCUCUUUGUAUCUUUUACUGAAACUAAGGUAGACAUGCAUGACCGCAAUAAAAUUAUUUUUACACUAUCAGAUGGCAAAGCCCGUAUAAUAAAUAGGAGACCUCCUCUGUUCCAGACAUCCCUAAGUAGUACAACAACUAUACCUUGGGCAAGCUGCGAAACCCACCACACCGGCGAGGCGCACGCAGCCGACCGAGCUCCAAAAAUGGCAGCCACGACAGCGACACCACAGGUGCACAUCGAGUCCAUACAGACGGUCUUGCCGACUCGCGCCGUUGAGCCAGACAGGACGCGCCGCCGCUCCCGGAGACCGCGCUGCAGCGGCGCCUCCGCGUGGUGCUGUACUACAGCGCCGAUGGUCACGCGCCGUGGGAGGAAGGUAUAUGGGUAAGGGAGUCGCUGGGCGAGGCGCUGUGCUUCUUCCCGGAGCUGGCGGGCAGGCUCCGGCGCCGGGCCGACGGGGACGGGUCGUGGGAGGUGAAGCUGAACGACGCAGGGGUGAGGUUGCAGCAGGCGACGGUGGAGAUGAGCAUGGAGGAUUUCCUGGCAGACAAGGACCGGGCGCGGAAGGAAGCCGCGCUGGCGCCGUGGGUGGACGUGAGCGCCGAGGAUCCUGAUAUGUGCUCGCUCCUCUUCAUGCAGGUAUUUGCACGCGCAUUGGGAUACUUGUGAAGUUUCAGUUUUUUCUUCUUCUUGAAUUUGGUCAGUUUCUCAACUUUUAGAUCAACGUCUAACCAUUAUAUCAUUUUCAUAUACUCCCUUCUUUCUAUAUUAAAUUUUCGCUAAACGGAUAUAUCUAGUACUGAAAUACGUCAUGAUUUAUGAAAAUAUAGAGACUAACAACUUGCUAAAUUUGCACACUUUAUUUGGAUGUCCGAAAACUCUAAUAGGGAGAAUUAGGUAAAAGAUUACGAUGAAAUGUAGUGCCCAAAUGAUUUUGGCUAAUUAUUGCGAAAAUAGAGGGUUAUCUGUCAGUCACAUUUAAGUGGAUGCCGACGGAUCCCACCGUACAUCCGUGGCGUCCAUUAUAAAUCUGGUGGCCCAUGUAGGAAUUUUUGGAUUUUCACUAGGAAACCAUUUUUAUUAGAUACUUUGCCUUUAAUUAAAGUCACAUAAAGUGGUUUGAUACAAUUCAAGAGAAGUUGCCUUAGCGAACCAACCUGUGGUUGGAUGGUUAGAGGGACCGUGGUAUACCCAGCCCACCAGGGUUCAAAUGCUGGUGCUCGCAUUUAUUCCGGCGAUGCGCAUUCAGUGGGAGGAGACGUUCCCGUCGACGACGAGGCGCCUACGGUGACUUUGUAAAUCUCAAGAUAAUAUGCCGGCUCAGUAUUUCGGAGGUGCUCAUAGGGGUAGGGUGUGCGUGUGUGCGUUUGUAUGGGUGAGUGUACGCGCGUGUAUAUGAGCGCUUGUGUCUGUACUGACGUUCACAAAAAAAAGAAAAGCUGCCUUAAAAAGCUAUACAUGUGUAAUAUCUGAACUCUAACACACGCCUCACUCACACUACAGCCACCCACAGACUGAGCUUCUAUGACUUAACUACACCUGCCUUUGAAUGUAUGACAUAUGGGCCCACAUGUCAUACACCCAAAGGCAGAUGCAGUAAGUCAUUGAAGUUGCUCCCCUGUAAAGACAUCUGGUGCGUAAGUUAGGCCUACGAAAUUUCGGUGUGAAUUUUGGGGACAUGGGUCCACGUACGCCUAUUUGAACAAAAACAUAAAAAUAACAAGAAGAUUGAUUCUAUUUUGUGACAAACAUAGUGUAGCAUAAUACGCAAAUUGCGCUACGGAUGGAAUUGAUUCAGUACACUACAUGGUUGAGUGGACAUGUUCAUGAGUGACAAUGGCUUUAUACUCCACUCUUCUAGUAAUAACGUACGUAGUGCGUAAUAUUUAUUUAUUUUAUUUUGCGAAAAUUAUAUUUGUAGUGAUAUUAUAUACGAUUACUUCUGUUUAGCCAAAAAAAAAAGUGCAUGAAUUCUGAUGCCCUGUCCACUACAGCUGAAUCGGUUCCAGGACGGGGGAUACGCCAUGGGAGUGAGCUGCACGGUGCUGCUGUCUGACCCGUUGUCGCUGGCGAGGUUCCUCCUCACGUGGGCGCGCACGCACACGGAGAUGAAGGGGCAAAACAAGGUCGUCCUCAGGCCGAUGAUGCAGUACAUGGCAUACUUCGAGCGGCCGGAGAUCUGCUGCAAGCGCAUCAGGUCCUUCCCCAUCGACUCUGUCGCCGCCGACGGUGCCCACGCCCAGACCGUGCUCUUCAGGAUCGCCGCCGGCUCCGCGACCGGCGACUUCCGCACGCUCGCUGCGGCCUGUAUCGACCAGGCGAGCAAGGAGCUCGAGGUGGACAGAGUGUCGCGGUUCACGCUCGUCGUCGCCCCCCGAGACUCCACCUGCGGAGCGACAACCGUCGAGACAUCGGUCAUGGCGGAUGGCCUGAAGAAGGGUGGCGCCGGCCAUGCGCUGGAAGCCGUGGAGUGGAGCGAGCUGAGGCUGGACGAGCUGACUCUCAGGGACGUCAAGCCCGUGCAUGUGUCGUACGGAAUUGUGGCGGGCGGAGACGAAGGGCUCGUCGUCGUCAUGCCUGAUGGUGAUGGUUUCCUCGUCACGGCAACUAUUCCGAAGUAGGCGCUGGCUAGGAGUAGGAGGUGAUGGUUUCCCUGUCUCGUCAAGGCACCAAAGUUUGGAAGUCGUCAUGGAUUCAUGGUUAGUUGUUUCCUUGUUUUUGUUUAUUGAUUGAUAGAUGUGUAUGUUACCUUGAUUAAAGGAUUUGAGUGGUGCUGUGCGACUUGCUAAACAAAUCUAAAAAACGAGAUAAAUGGUGAACGUGAGCGUUGGAUGGACGGCGGUAAUCCACGUCCUCGCUUUCACUUGGUGAACCUGCAGCGCGGCAUUUUUGGCCGCCAAUAUGCUUCCCCGUUUCGUUCCAUGGUCCAAUGCUCGUCAUCAAAACUAAAACGCUCAAUCACGCGCGACGGGCAGUUCAUCACGAAAAGGAUAUAUGGACCCCUCCCCUCCCCUCCCGUCCAAGAGGAAAAACGAGAGAUGAGUCCAACUGAAUCCCAUUCUUCGCUAGAUUUUGUUAGUCCUAGCUAAUCUCAUGCAUAUAGCGUAGAGUUUUCUUUCUGUUUAAAAUAAUGCGUGUGCAUGGGUCGGAUGUGACCUGCGCAUGCACGCACGUAGUGGGGAGGACUGCACUCGCACGCAUCUCUCCUUAGCGCGUUUUCCUCCCGGUCUGUUGGCUUUGCUUGUGAUCCAGUCGCUGGAUGGAGCGACAGAUACGGAUCAAGGCAGCUGGGGCCGGGAGGUGGUUAGCUUCACUUUGUAGUCGACAGAAGGAUAAGCAAUACAGAAAACAGAAAACGAUGCGCAGUGUUGGCAGCACAAACCUCACGAAUUCAUCCCCUCUCGUCUACCUCUCUCUCUCUCUGUGACUCGUUCGAUCGGCAACAACAGAUUUCCCUUGCUCUUCAUCCCGUUGCAAGGGGAGGAUGAAGUAGAUCUUUCAGAUGAGCUGAAGGAUUUGGGUAUGAACUAAUUAUUGUAUGCAGUGGCGAAACUUGCUAAAAAAUCAAUCUAAGCUUGCCCAAAUUUUUUUCCCUUCACAACUUGAUCCAAGGCUGGGGGCCAAUGCCCCCCUCCCCUGGUAGUGCACGAUCUUCCGCAUGAACGAGGGGUUUCGUGAGAAGAGCGUUGAUGAAGCAGGGCUAACGAUCUUCUACCCAGACGGCGAUGCUAUUGCAGCAUUCGUCCCGAGGUUCAACAAACUCACUGUCGAUGGCCAGGCCGAUGCUUCGGCAACGAUCUUCAUUCUGCACUCGCUCUCUGCUCGUUCGUACAACCGCAACCGUGCUCCUCUCUGAUCGUUGUUGGUGUGCACAAGCAUGGCUCCCGCUGUUGGAAAUAUGCCCUAGAGGCAAUAACAAAUAAGUUAUUAUUAUAUUUCCUCGUUCAUGAUAAUAGUUUAUUAUCCAUGCUAUAAUUGUAUUGAUAGGAAACUCAGAUACAUGUGUGGAUACAUAGACAACACCAUGUCCCUAGUAAGCCUCUAGUUGACUAGCUCGUUGAUCAAUAGAUGGUUACGGUUUCCUGACCAUGGACAUUGGAUGUCGUUGAUAACGGGAUCACAUCAUUAGGAGAAUGAUGUGAUGGACAAGACCCAAUCCUAAGCCUAGCACAAAGAUCGUAGUUCGUAUGCUAAAGCUUUUCUAAUGUCAAGUAUCAUUUCCUUAGACCAUGAGAUUGUGCAACUCCCGGAUACCGUAGGAAUGCUUUGGGUGUACCAAACGUCACAACAUAACUGGGUGACUAUAAAGGUGCACUACAGGUAUCUCCGAAAGUGUCUGUUGGGUUGGCACGAAUCAAGACUGGGAUUUGUCACUCCGUGUAAACGGAGAGGUAUCUCUGGGCCCACUCGGUAGGACAUCAUCAUAAUGUGCACAAUGUGACCAAGGGGUUGAUCACGGGAUGAUGAGUUACGGAACGAGUAAAGAGACUUGCCGGUAACGAGAUUGAACAAGGUAUCGGCGUACGACGAUCGAAUCUCGGGCAAGUACAAUACCGCUAGACAAAGGGAAUUGUAUACGGGAUUGAUUGAGUCCUUGACAUCGUGGUUCAUCCGAUGAGAUCAUCGUGGAACAUGUGGGAGCCAACAUGGGUAUCCAGAUCCCGCUGUUGGUUAUUGACCGGAGAACGUCUCGAUCAUGUCUGCAUGGUUCCCGAACCCGUAGGGUCUACACACUUAAGGUUCGAUGACGCUAGGGUUAUAAAGGAAGUAUGUAUGUGGUUACCGAAUGUUGUUCGGAGUCCCGGAUGAGAUCCUGGACGUCACAAGGAGUUCCGGAAUUCUUCGGAGGUAAAGAUUUAUAUAUGGAAAGUUGUUGUUCGGGUUCCGGAAAAAGUUUGGGUUUUUUCGGUAUUGUACCGGGAAGCUUCCAGAAGGUUCCGGAGGAUUCCGGAGGGGUCCGGAGGUCCGGAAAUUGUUCCACCACGUCCAAUACAGUAGCAUGGGCUGUAGGGGGGCGCCCUAGCCUCAAUGGGCCAGGGGCACCAGCCCCCCCCCCAAGGCCCAUGCGCAUGGGAAGGGGAAAACCCUAAAGGGGAGGCCUCCACUUGACUUGGGAGGCACUCCUGCCCCCUUGGCCGCCGCCCCCCCCCCUAGAUGGGAUCUAGGGCUGGCCGCACCCCUUGGGGUGGGAAACCCUAAAGGGGGCGCAGCCCCCUUCCCCCCUAUAUAUACUUGAGGUUUUGGGGCUGCCAUACAUAUGAGUUCUCUCCCUCUAUUGGUGCAGCCCUGCCUCUCCUCCUCCUUCUCUCCCGUGGUGCUUGGCGAAGCCCUGCUGGAUUGCCACGCUCCUCCACCACCACCACGCCGUUGUGCUGCUGCUGGAUGGAGUCUUCCUCAACCUCUCCCUCUCUCCUUGCUGGAUCAAGGUGUGGGAGACGUCACCGGGCUAUACGUGUGUUGAACGCGGAGGUGCCGUCCGUUCGGCACUAGGAUCUCCGGUGAUUUGGAUCACGACGAGUACGACUCCUUCAACCCCGUUCUCAUGGACGCUUCCGCUUAACGAUCUACAAGGGUAUGUAGAUGCACUCUCCUUCCCCUCGUUGCUGGUUUCUCCAUAGAUAGAUCUUGGUGACACGUAGGAAAAUUUUGAAUUUCUGCUACGUUCCCCAACAGUGGCAUCAUGAGCUAGGUCUAUUGCGUAGAUUCUUUGCACGAGUAGAACACAAAGUAGUUGUGGGCGUUGAUUUUGUUCAAUAUGCUUACCGUUACUAGUCCAAUCUUGUUUCGACGGUAUUGUGGGAUGAAGCGGCCCGGACCGACCUUACACGUACUCUUACGUGAGACAGGUUCCACCGACUGACAUGCACUUGGUGCAUAAGGUGGCUAGCGGGUGCCAGUCUCUCCCACUUUAGUCAGAACGGAUUCGAUGAAAAGGGUCCUUAUGAAGGGUAAAUAGCAAUUGUCAUAUCACGUUGUGGUUUUGCGUAGGUAAGAAACGUUCUUGCUAGAAACCCAUAGCAGCCACGUAAAACAUGCAAACAACAAUUAGAGGACGUCUAACUUGUUUUUGCAGGGUAUGCUAUGUGAUGUGAUAUGGCCAAGAAGAAUGUGAUGAAUGAUAUGUGAUGUAUGAGAUUGAUCAUGUUCUUGUAAUAGGAUUCACGACUUGCAUGUCGAUGAGUAUGACAACCGGCAGGAGCCAUAGGAGUUGUCUUUAUUUAUUGUAUGACCUACGUGUCAUUAAACAACGCCAUGUAAUUACUUUACUUUAUUGCUAACCGGUAGCCAUAGUAGUAGAAGUAAUAGUUGGCGAGACAACUUCAUGAAGACACGAUGAUGGGGAUCAUGAUGAUGGAGAUCAUGGUGUCAUGCCGGUGACGAUGAUGAUCAUGGAGCCCCGAAGAUGGAGAUCAAUGGAGCUAUAUGAUAUUGGCCAUAUCAUGUCACUACUAUAUAAUUGCAUAUGAUGUUUAUUAUGUUUAUGCAUCUUGUUUACUUAGAACGACGGUAGUAAAUAAGAUGAUCCCUUACAACAAUUUCAAGAAGUGUUCUCCCCUAACUGUGCACCGUUGCUAAAGUUCGUCGCUUCUAAGCACCACGUGAUGAUCGGGUGUGAUGGAUUCUUACGUUCACAUACAACGGGUGUAAGACAGAUUUACACAUGCGAAACACUUAGGGUUAACUUGACGAGCCUAGCAUGUACAGACAUGGCCUCGGAACACAGAGACCGAAAGGUCGAGCAUGAGUCGUAUAGUAGAUACGAUCAACAUGAAGAUGUUCACCGAUGAUGACUAGUCCGUCUCACGUGAUGAUCGGACACGGCCUAAUUGACUCGGAUCAUGUAAUCACUUAGAUGACCAGAGGGAUGUCUAUCUGAGUGGGAGUUCAUAAGAUGAACUUAAUUAUCUUGAACAUAGUCAAAAGACCUUUUGCAAAUUAUGUCGUAAGCUCGCACUUUAGUUCCACUGUUUAGAUAUGUUCCUAGAGAAAAUAUAGUUGAAAGUUGAAAGUAGCGAUUAUGCGGACAGUAGAAAGCUUAUGUCCUUAAUGCACCGCUCAGUGUGCUGAACCCCAAACAUCGUUUGUGGAUGUUGCGAACAUCGGACAUACACGUCUUGAUAACUACGCGAUAGUUCAGUUAAACGGUUUAGAGUUGAGGCACGAAAGACGUUUUCGAAAUGUCGCGGAACAUAUGAGAUGUUUCGAGGGCUGAAAUUAGGAUUUCAGGCUCGUGCCCACGUCAAGAGGUAUGAGACCUCCGACGAUUUUCUUAGCCUACAAACUAAGGGAGAAAAGCUCAAUCGUUGAGCUUGUGCUCAGAUUAUCUGAGUAUAACAAUCACUUGAAUCGAGUGGGAGUUGAUCUUCCAGAUGAGAUAGUGAUGUUUCUCCAAAGUCAUUGCCACCAAGCUGCUAGAGCUUCAUGAUGAACUAUAACAUAUCAAGGAUAGAGAUGAUGAUCCUUGAGGUAUUCGCGUUGUUUGACAUCGCGAAAGUAAAAAUCAAGAAGGAGCAUCAAUUGUUGACGGUUGGUGAAACCACUAGUUUCAAGAAGGGCAAGGGCAAGAAGGGACACUUCAUGAAACGGCAAAUCAGUUGCUGCUCCAGUGAAGAAACCCAAGGUUGAACCCAAACCCGAGACUAAGUGCUUCUGCAAUAAGGGGAACAGCCACUGGAGCAGAAUUACCCUAGAUACUUGGUAGAUAAGAAGGCUGGCAAGGUCGAUAGAAGUAUAUUGGAUAUACAUUAAGUUAUUGUGUAUUUUACUAGUACUCCUAGUAGCACCAGGGUAUUAGAUACCGGUUCGGUUGCUAAGUGUUAGUAACUCGAAAUAAAAGGCUACGGAAUAAACGGAGACUAGCUAAAGGAGAGCUGACGAUAUGUGUUGGAAGUGUUUCCAAUUUUGAUGUAAUCAAACAUCGCACGCUCCCUCUACCAUCAAGAUUAGUAUUAAACCCGAAUAAUUAUCAUUUGGUGUUUGCGUUGAGCAUAGACAUGAUUGGAUUAUGUCUAUCGCAAUACGGUUAUUCAUUUAAGGAGAAUAAUGGUUACUCUAUUUAUUUGAAUAAUACCUUCGAUGGUCUUGUACCUAAAAGAAUGGUUUAUUGAAUCUCGAUUGUAGUGAUACACAUUUUCAUGCCAAACGAUAUAAGAUAGUAAUGAUAGUACCACGUACUUGUGGCACUGCCAUGUAAGUCAUAUUGGUAUAAAACGCAUGAAGAAGCUCCAUGUUGAUGGAUCUUUGGACUCACUCGUUUUUGAAAAGUUUGAGACAUGCAAACAAUGUCUAUUGGUGCAUACGCAUGAAGAAACUCCAUGCAGAUGGAUCGUUUGGACUCACUUGAUUUUGAAUCACUUGAGAUAUGCAAAUCAUACCACAUGGGCAAGAUGACUGAAAAGCCUCAGUUUCAGUAAGAUGGAACAAGGUAGCAACCUGUUGGAAGUAACACAUUUUGAUGUGUGCAGUCCAAUGAGUGCUGAGGCAUGCAGUGAAUAUCGUUAUGUUCUGACUUCACAGAUGAUUCGAGUAGAUGUUGAGUAUAUUUACUUAAUGAAACACAAGUCUGAAUUAUUGAAUGGUUCAAAUAAUUUCAGAGUGAAGUUAAAGAUCAUUGUGACAAGAGGAUAAAAUGUCUAUGAUAUGAUCAUAGAGAUGAGUAUCUGAGUUACGAGCUUUGGCACGCAAUUAAGACACUGUGGAAAUUGUUUUACAAUUAAUACCGCCUGGAACACCAUAGUGUGAUGGUGUGUCCGAACAUCAUAGUUGCACCCUAUUGGAUAUGGUGCGUACCAUGAUGUCUCUUAUCGAAUUACCACUAUCGUUCAUGGGUUAGGCAUUAGAGACAACCGCACUCACUUUAAUAGGGUACCACGUAAUUCCGUUGAGAUGGCACUGUUUGAACUAUGGUUUGGAGAAACCUAAGUUGUCGUUUCUUAAAAGUUUGGGGCUGCGACGCUUAUGUGAAAAGGUUUCAUCGUGAUAAGCUCGAACCCAAAAUGGAUAAAUACAUCUUCAUAGGAUACCCAAAAUGGUUGGGUAUACCUCCUGUCUCAGAUCCGGAAGCAAAAGUAAUUGUUUCUAGAAACAGGUCCUUUCUCGAGGAAAAGUUUCUCUCGAAAGAAUUGAGUGGGAGGAUGGUGGAGACUUGAUGAGGUUAAUGAACCGUUACUUCAACUAGUGUGUAGCAGGGCACAGGAAGUUGUUCCCAUGGCACCUACACCAAUUGAAGUAGAAGCUUAUGAUAGUGAUCAUGAAGUUUCGGAUCAAGUCACUAACGAACCUCGUAGGGUGACAAGGAUGCGUAGUACUUCAGAGUGGUACACAAUCCUGUCUUAGAGGUCAUGUUGCUAGACAACAAUGAACCUACGAGCUAUGGAGAAGCGAGGGUGGGCCCGAAUUCCGACGAAUGGCUCGAGGCCAUAAAAUCCGAGAACGGAUCCAUGACUUUGGAAGAAAGGCUUGAUGGUCAUAAGGCCAUUGCGUACGGAUGGAUUUUAAAAGGAAGACAGACAAUGAUGGUAAGAAUUACCAUUAAGAAAGCUCGACUUGUCGUUAAGAUGUUUUCCGACAAGUUCAAGGAGUUGAUUACGGUGAGGUUUUCUCACUCGUAGCGAUGCUAAGAGUCUGUUGGAAUUGGAUUAGCAGUUACUGCAUGAUUGAUGAAAUCUUGCAGAUAGGAUGUCAAAACAUUGUUUCCUCGAUGUUAUACUUGAGGAAAGGUUGUAUGUGAUACAACCAGAAGGUUUUGUCAAUCCUGAAAGAUGCUAACAAGUAUGCGAAGCUCCAGCUAUCCUUCUAAGGACUGGAGUAAGCAUCUCGGAGUUGGAAUAUACGCUUUGAUGAGAUGAUCAAAGAUUUUGGGUCUAUACCAAGUUUAUGAGAAACUUGUAUUUCCAAAGAAGUGAGUGGGAGCACUAUAGAGUUUCUGAUGAGUGUAUGUUGUUGACAUAUUGAUGAUCAGAAAUGAUGUAGAAUUUCUGGAAAGCAUAUAGGGUUAUUUGAAAGAUGUUUUUCAAUAGAAAACCUGGAUUAAGCUACUUGAACAUUGAGCAUCGAGAUCUAUAAGGAUAGAUCAAAAUGCUUAAUAAUACUUUCAAAUGAGCACAUACCUUGACAUGAUCUUGAAGGUGUUCAAGAUGGAUCAGUCAAAGAAGGAGUUCUUGCCUGAGAUGUAAGGUAUGAAGUUAAGAGUUAAAGCUCGACCACGGCAGAAAAGAGAGAAAGGACGAAGGUCGUCCCCUAUGCUUCAGACAUAGGCUCUAUAGUAUGCCAUGCUGUGUACCGCACCGGAAGUGUGCCUUGCCAUGAGUCAGUCAAGGGGUACAAGAAUGAUCCAGGAAUGGAUCAUUGGACAGCGGUCAAUAAUUGUCCUUGGAGUAAAUAAGGACAUGUUUCUCGAUUAUGGAGGUAAUAAAGAGUUCGGCGUAAGGGGUUACGUCGAUGCAAGCUUUAACACCUGUCCGAGUGACUCUGAGUAGCAAACCGGAUACGUAUAGUGGAGAAACCAUUUGGAAUAGAUCCAAGUGGAGCGUGGAAGCAGCGUUUACAAUAUGACCUAGAAAUUUGCAAAGCACACACGGAUCUGAAAGGUUCAGAUCCGUUGACUAAAACCUCUCUCACAAGCAAAACAUGAUCAAACCCCAGAACUCAUUGAGUCUUAAUCACAUGAUGAUGUGAACUAGUAAACUCUUUGGAUGUUGGUCACAUGGCGAUGUGACCUGUGAGUGUUAAUCACAUGGCGAUGUGAACUAGAUUAUUGACUCUAGUGCAAGUGGGAGACUGUUGGAAAUAUGCCCUAGAGGCAAUAACAAAUAAGUUAUUAUUAUAUUUCCUCGUUCAUGAUAAUAGUUUAUUAUCCAUGCUAUAAUUAUAUUGAUAGGAAACUCAGAUACAUGUGUGGAUACAUAGACAACACCAUGUCCCUAGUAAGCCUCUAGUUGACUAGCUCGUUGAUCAAUAGAUGGUUACGGUUUCCUGACCAUGGACAUUGGAUGUCGUUGAUAACGGGAUCACAUCAUUAGGAGAAUGAUGUGAUGGACAAGACCCAAUCCUAAGCCUAGCACAAAGAUCGUAGUUCGUAUGCUAAAGCUUUUCUAAUGUCAAGUAUCAUUUCCUUAGACCAUGAGAUUGUGCAACUCCCGGAUACCGUAGGAAUGCUUUGGGUGUACCAAACGUCACAACGUAACUGGGUGACUAUAAAGGUGCACUACAGGUAUCUCCGAAAGUGUCUGUUGGGUUGGCACGAAUCAAGACUGGGAUUUGUCACUCCGUGUAAACGGAGAGGUAUCUCUGGGCCCACUCGGUAGGACAUCAUCAUAAUGUGCACAAUGUGACCAAGGGGUUGAUCACGGGAUGAUGUGUUACGGAACGAGUAAAGAGACUUGCCGGUAACGAGAUUGAACAAGGUAUCGGCAUACCGACGAUCGAAUCUCGGGCAAGUACAAUACCGCUAGACAAAGGGAAUUGUAUACGGGAUUGAUUGAGUCCUUGACAUCGUGGUUCAUCCGAUGAGAUCAUCGUGGAACAUGUGGGAGCCAACAUGGGUAUCCAGAUCCCGCUGUUGGUUAUUGAUCGGAGAACAUCUCGAUCAUGUCUGCAUGGUUCCCGAACCCGUAGGGUCUACACACUUAAGGUUCGAUGACGCUAGGGUUAUAAAGGAAGUUUGUAUGUGGUUACCGAAUGUUGUUCUGAGUCCCGGAUGAGAUCCCGGACAUCACGAGGAGUUCCGGAAUGGUCCGGAGGUAAAGAUUUGUAUAUGGAAAGUUGUUGUUCGGGUUCCGGAAAAAGUUCGGGUUUUUUUGGUAUUGUACCGGGAAGCUUCCAGAAGGUUCCGGAGGAUUCCAGAGGGGUCCGGAGGUCCGGAAAUUGUUCCACCACGUCCAAUACAGUAGCAUGGGCUGUAGGGGGCGCCCUAGCCUCAAUGGGCCUGGGGCACCAGCCCCCCCAAGGCCCAUGCGCAUGGGAAGGGGAAAACCCUAAAGGGGAGGCCUCCACUUGACUUGGGAGGCACUCCUCCCCCCUUGGCCGCCCCCCCCCACUAGAUGGGAUCUAGGGCUGGCCGCACCCCUUGGGGUGGGAAACCCUAAAGGGGGUGCAGCCCCCUUCCCCCCUAUAUAUACUUGAGGUUUUGGGGCUGCCAUACAUAUGAGUUCUCUCCCUCUAUUGAUGCAGCCCUGCCUCUCCUCCUCCUCCUCUCCCGUGGUGCUUGGCGAAGCCCUGCUGGAUUGCCACGCUCCUCCACCACCACCACGCCGUUGUGCUGCUGCUGGAUGGAGUCUUCCUCAACCUCUCCCUCUCUCCUUGCUGGAUCAAGGUGUGGGAGACGUCACCGGGCUGUACGUGUGUUGAACGCGGAGGUGCCGUCCGUUCGGCACUAGGAUCUCCGGUGAUUUGGAUCACGACGAGUACGACUCCUUCAACCCCGUUCUCACGACGAGUACGACUCCUUCCCCUCGUUGCUGGUUUCUCCAUAGAUAGAUCUUGGUGACACGUAGGAAAAUUUUGAAUUUCUGCUACGUUCCCAACACCCGCAACUGUGGUCCUGGUGGUCGUGCUCACCGUCCUCGCCGCCGCCCGGAACAUCGAGGAAUACGCUUCCAGGCGAGCACGGUGAGGAGCAGAUCGAGGCCACUAUCGUGAGCAGCCAUGGAACUACCUCGACGCCCGCGCCACCUCCUCCUACCUCCUCAGCUCUCCCGCCCGCCCGCCUCCACCUUCCCGACGAGACUAGUGCAGAAUCAGGCUUUAGUCCCAGUUCGUAAGGGCCUUUAGUGCCGGUUCACCACUAGGAUUAACGGGUGCGGACUAAAGCCCCCCUCCCCUUUAGUCCCAGUUCGUCACAGCCCGGGACCAAAGGUCCACCACAUGGCACGAGCCCGCGCCGGGGGCUGGGGGGCCUUUCGUCCCGGUUGGUGACACCAACCGGGACUAGAGGUUUAGGGGUUUAGGGUAUGGAUUUAUGAAUUAUUGUUUAUUUUUCCUUUUCGUUUUGUAUGCGUUCGAGACCACGCCCGUAAGUACGUACGUGGUCGUCUUUUUUGCAGCGUGACUGUUGUAUGUGUACAAGAUUUAGACGGGAUUGCCUAAACAACUGCCCCUCCUUACCGGGCCACGGUUCAUCGUGGCAGACAGACCGAUGGACCAGUAUGUACGUAUAUGUUUGCGACCAGAAUGACAACGCUACAUACGCUUUGACCGGGUGGGUUCCAGUUGUCACGGAGGAUAAGGAGACACUUCCUUGUGUGCGAAGAUAUAGGAGGUGGGCCCGAGCUCUCAGGGGGAGGAUUCAUUUUUUUGCGCGUAAUAAGGAGACACUUCCUUGCGUGCGAAGAUAUAAAUGGUGGGUCCGAGGUGUCAGGAGGAUUCAUUUUUUUGCACGUAAUAAGGAUGCACUUCCUUGCAUGCGUCCAUGGACCAUACGGGUCCCUACUGCCAGCCUCUCCACGUACAUCCCUCUUCUGAUGUUGUCGUUUAUUGACAACGUUGACCACACCGUGCCGAGAACACCAACACGAUGGACGACGGCGAAACCCAGGAAGGGAAUGACUCGGGGGCGGCGAAGCCACAACAGUGAAGGGAUGUGGUUGAGUAGAUGGAUGGCCUGGCCAGCGGUGGGUGUAGUAGGGGCGGUGAAGCCUGCGUGGCAGCACAGCCGGCCACGGGAGGUAAAAAAUUUAAACGAAAUUUCGCAUAUUUUGGUGGGGUACAAAAUAUUUUUAAUAAUGAAAUGUCGAGCAAGAUUUAAAGUACUUUCAUGAUAUAUUUAAAUUAGUUUCAAACCCAAUGAAAUUGGAAUAUGAAAAUGCGAAAAAAAAUCAAAAAUGUGAAAACUAUUGCCAAUUUGCCGUGUGUCUUUUAUAUUUACAGCCCAUUUCAUAUUACUUUUAAUAUUUGCAGUCGUCUUGAAAGAGUUGCAGCUUAGCAUGGCGGAGAAAAAUAAGUAGGCCUGGAUUGGAUAUGCCUGGAUUGGGUAUUCUUCAGAGAAAAUAAACUGGUUUAGCCAUUUUCACAAAGAAACAAAUGUAGGCUGGUCAUGUGGUGUACGUAAAUUAGAAGCCUAGGCUAGAUGGGUCACAACCCAGUUAAAACCCUGCUCCGUCUCAACAAUAACAAAAAAAAAUUUACUGCUCAAGCAACUACGUCCUAGGUGUCAGCCGUUCUUGUGUAGUUCUCUUGUCUAUUAACUACUCCCUCCGUCCUUUAAAGAGUGUACUUCCAACUUUGUAUGCCCAUUUAUACAAUAGUACACCAACAUUUAUGCCAUCAAAAGAGUAGAUUUAGAUUCAUGAUAAAAUAUAUUUUCAUCGUAUGCCCAUUUGGUUCCAAAAACAUUGAUAUAUUUUUGCAUAAACUCGGUCAAAGUUUGAGAUAGUUUGACCCUCCAACAAAGUUGGAAGUACACUCUUUAAAAGACGGAGGGAGUAUACGCUAAAAAUGUCGUGGGUCCCAGAUGUCGGCAAACCAUUAAGACGUGGCAUUUUCUUUUUCUAUACGCUGAAUAUGGAGUUUAUAACAAAAAAGGGGAACUUGCUUGCGUAUGGCCAUGGACAUGGUGCGUCCCUACUGUCAUCCUCACCACGUAUAGUCAUCUUCCGAUUCCUCUCGUUUGUUGACCAUGUUGACAACGCGAGAGGACGGCGCCGCGGGAGCGCACCAAAGCGCGUGAAGGACAACGGCGAGGCCUCGGACGGGAACAAACUGGAGCCGGGAAAGAUGCAGCGAUGAAGUCGCGGGUGAAAGGGAGUACAAGGGUUGACUAGUUCGGGUGUGGGGUGGUGUUGACGUCGACAUUAACGAUUCAGGAGACGAUGCGUGCGCUGAGGCGCAGUCAGCCAUGGGAGGCGGGAGCAGGCGGUCCCGCCAGCGUUGGUUUGAUAUUGACGGCUGGAGGAAGACGAGACUGAAGAAACAUGAUAGACUUUAAAGCAGCAAGAGUACUUAACAUCCUUAAGGGGUUGUUUGGGUAGCUGGUUUAUAGAUAAUCAGUUAUAUAUAAACCCGUUUGAGGCUCUAACAAACUUAAAACACUGUUUGGCUAAUCUAACUAAUUCCUGGAUAAGCAAAAAUUGGUUGUCGUAAUACCCAAAAUAGGAAUUUUUGGAAAAACGGGUCCCGGACGUUUUUAUGAACAUGCCUUCCAAGAAAGCCGGGCGGGCUGCGUCGUUGACUCGCCGUAACACCUACACGCCCGCCCCUUUAUUCAUGCUACUUCCUGUUGGUAUCCUAGCCACAUCACCGCAGUAUGCAUCGAUUGAUGCAGAGGCCGAGGGUCUUAACCUCCUUUUCCAACAAAAAAAAGGGAAACGGUUGGGACCGGCGCACCGGCGGAAGAUUGGGCCGGUCUCCCUCUUCCUCGCGCAGCUUCCACAUCUCGCGCAGCUUCCCGGGCGCGCGCCGCCCCUCUUCUUCUGCCCCCUCCUCCCCACCCCUUCCCCAUCCCUUUCCCCUCCCUCCCUCCCCCUGCCCGCCCCCCGGUCGCCGCACCACGCCUCCCCUCUCCCCGCUCGAAGCUCGCCAUGCCUCUGCGCGGUGACCAUCCCAUCUCGCCGGCGACCGGGGGGGGGGGGGGGUGUGACCACGGGAGAUGCUGCAACCGGAGCGACGGGGUGCUACCACGGCGACGCUGAUGCAACCCCGCGGGAGGCCGGGGUGUGUGACGGCAAUGACCGAGGUGACCGUGGGCUGCAACCACGGCUUUUCUACCGCCGGUAGCCGGUUGAAGCUUUUUCUAUAUACGGUUGAAGCUUUUUUGUCAAUGUUUGCAACUUUUUCUCUGGUCGCAGGUCUGGUUGAAGCUUUUUUUCUUAACGGAUGAAGCUUUUUUAUACACGAUUGAAGCUUUUUCAAACCACAGUGGAAGCUUUUCUGAAAACGAUGAAAACUUUUUUCGUUCUUUUGUGUUUGCUACAACCACGUCAUUUUUUUGCUGCAAUCGGCAACCACAUAAGCUACAUCCAGUUAACAAUUUUGCUACAAUGACGACAGCGGGCUGCAGCGAUAAGCUUUUUUUGCUGGAAGCGAUACACUUUUUUGCUACAACCGGUGUCGUUUUUUGUUGGAACUAGCAAGUGCCUCGAGUGGGCACACGGCGAGGUACAACGCGAGCACAACGACAGGUGCUGCGGCCGGCGGCCGGCGCCACCGGAGAUGCGGCCAUCUCCCCGGGAGCUGCAAGCCUGCAACCACGGGGUGCAACCAUGGGCGCACGCUGCUGCAUCUACAAAGGGGAGAAACGCACGAAGGCGGCAUAGGUGAGGGCGGCGACCAACGGCGAGGGCGGCGACCGGCGGCGACGACGGCGAGGCAGCGAGCCGGCAGCAGGGGAGGAGGUGCGGCGGCGCGCAGGGGGGGGGUGGGUAGUGAGUCGGGCGGGGAGGAGGAGUGGGGGAUUCGCAAGGGGCAAGGAAGACGAUGACCCAGUCCAGAUCGAGCGGUUACGCAGCCUCUGUGUUAGUCAGAUCGAACGGCUGGCGCUGGACCGGCCGAAACGUUUCGGCCGGCGCACCGGCGCCUAUCAGCGCCCAAAAGCCACAUCGCCGCAGAUUAGCUCAUCUAAGGUGACUAGUAUUGCCUCCCGAAGCCGUGGACGAACACCUCGAUGGAGCAGCACACGGUGCAACAACGCGCUUGGAGGCAGGGAUGUACGGUUACGUCAAGGCCUCCAAGGUGUUGCUUGACGUGGCCAUGGGCGCUCGGCCCUACGACUUUGGCUCCGCGCUCGCCGGGUUCAUGGCGGCCUUCCGCCCGCCGUGAUAUGUGCCGGCUCUUCCGCAAUGUCAACCGUGCCCGCACUACAUCUGCUCCGGCUUGCUCACCAGAGCGGACGUAUAUAACCUCUCGGCUCGAGCUGCUCACCGGCAUGCAAUGGUUUCACGACCGACGGCUCCUGAUUUCCGCCGUUGACCGUCGCGUCGAUGAUUAAGAACAGAUCGUGCGACUACGCGCAUAGCCUUGUCGACCAGGCUAUCUGUGGUUAACGACCGCACCAGCAGCACUGCAGCUUGUGAACAAAAGACUGUAUGUACGUGCAUCAAAGCAUCAUAGAAUAUUCGCAUGUUGAAAAGUUUAAAUUUUGUUCAUCACAUUUGAUAAAAUGUUCACCGGCAUUAAAAGAUGCUCAUGUAGUGUAGAAAUAUCUGUUUGCACCAUUUUCACAAAAAUUGGUACCCAUUAGAAAAUAUUCACAACAUCUAAAAAUGUUCACAUGUUUAAAAAUUUGUUCAUGAAAUUUUAAAAAAAUCAUGUAAAUCUAAAUAUUUGCUCACAUUGUUUGAAAAAAAUGUUUGCAGCACCCAAAAUUGUUCGUAAAAAAUAUUCACGCUUUUAAAAUUAAUUCUUGUGAUAUUAUAAGAAAAAGUUCAUGAAAACACAAAAAGUUGUUCAAGAAAUUUUAUAAACAGUUCAAGAUGUGUUUAAAAUAUGUUUAACGUAUAUUUUACAAAUGUUCAACAUGUAUUGAAUAAAAAAUUUAAGUAUAUCUACAAAAUUUUCAACCUAUAUAUGAAAAAUGUUUAGCACGUAUUAAAAGAGUCAACAUGUAUUUUGCAAAUGAAAAACAAAAUAACAAAGGAAACCAAACAUACGGGAAACCAUAAUAAAAAUUGAUUAAGAAAAACAGAAAAAAGCAAGGAGCAACUAAUCAGGGUUUACCCCUUGGAGGGUACGCGAAGCGUUAACUUUCUUAGGCCCGGGAGCGUGCCAAGUGGUGCAUCCAGCUGCCGCCACAUGUUGUUGCACUAGGCGCACCUUGGGGAUUUUGAUUUUUUUUUCUACAAGCGUUUUUGGGUUUACUUUGAAUACAUAUUUCUGGUUUUUCGACUUUUUCUUGGUUCUACAUUUUACAUAUUAUUAGAGCUCAUUUGUUGCAUGUUCUCUACAUAUAUCAUCUCACGCUGAACCUAAUAUGUGUCCAUCAUGCAUGAUUUCUGAGUUUUACUCUUUUCACUAGGAGCACUAGCAUGUUAGUGUUAUUAUUUUUCUUUUAUCAGUUUCCUUUGUUCUCUCAUGUCUAUUAGUGUUUUGGAGCAACCUAGGACCGAACACGAUGAAAGGGAUAAGGUUGGAUUCAUUACGGAGGACUUCCGACACCAGAUUUAGAUGUUUUCAAAGUUCCCCAAAUCAAGAUCGAAUACCAUGGGUGCGUAGAGGCGUCACUCUCAUGGUUCCAGUGGACCCAUCUCGGGCGUUUCAGAGAGAGAUGGGGCUUAGAUGGGUAGUGUUUGUGGUGUGGCCGACCGACUUUAAAUAGAAAGCUCCUAGGUAGGCGAAGCAGCUGCUGCAAUGCGGGCGCCCGAGUUGGCUUCUCAUUCACCAUGUCGGUUUGAAUGCCAGGCAGGAGUUAACCGGCAUGAUUGCGGUAGAAAUCCUUCAUGUCGUCCCAUCCGCUCCGAAUCACACGUGGAGAGCGAGCGGCCACGGCGAGAGAGGAGGAAGAGUUUCUUUUUUUGGAUGGUCCAAAACCCGCAAACCUUCCUCAACUUUGAUUUUGAUUUGUGAGAUUUUGAACAUCCAAACACGUCCGAACAGAUUUGAUGACCGAUAUUGGAUGGCAAAAUAUGUUCGAACAAUCCAAUCCAGACAUUUGGGGGCGCUUUGAUGAACUGCGUCAGAGUUGAGUGUUGUAUACCUGUUCGUGACCACGUCGCACAUAAACAAGUAUAGGCCUUCUUAGAACGAAUACCAAGAAACCACAAUAGUUUGAUUGUAAAAUUUGGAUGACCGCAAUUUUCCGGGGCAAUGCAAUUGGAGUGAAUAGCAUAAAACUACCACAAUUUGCGUUAGGGUUUCAAAAAAACUACCAAAAAUUUAUUUGUGACUAAUAACUACCAGAGUCGGCGUCGGCUGUCUAAAAAAAAUCAAACCCCCGUUGCUAAGAAAUUAAACCGGUUUAUGACAAGUCGCACCCCCGCACCUAAACGAACCGUCUGUUUGACCGUUAACUGACAUGUGAGGCCCACAUGUCAAUUAUCUCUUCUUCUCCUUCUUUUCCUCCUCUCCUCGUUAUCUCUGUCUCUCUCCGCACAAGCCCGCCGAAUAUGCACACCGGCCGCCCCUCCUCCUCCCUCUCCCCCUCUCCGUGAGCUAGCCCUACUUCCCCCGACCGACCCUCCUCCUCCAUCUCCCCAACUGACCGGAGCACGGUCUCCCGCAGGGUGGCGGUGAGCCCCUACAUUGCACGUGGCGGCGCCCCUCUGGCCAAGCGCGAUGGUGCGCCCCUAUGUCCGGAACACGACGGUGGUGAGCCCCUCCAUUGCACGCAGAGGCGUCCCUCUGGCCAAGUGCGACGGUGCGCCCCUAUGUCCGGAACACGACGGUGGUGAGCCCCUCCAUUGCACGCGGCAGCGCCCCUCUGGCCAAGCGUGACGGUGCGCCCCUAUGUCCGGAACACGACGGCGGUGUGCCCCUCUAUGCUGGUCGGCAAGGUAACACUACUAGGGAAAAGCCUAUACACAGGAUCUUACCAGCAGCGAGUUUUAAAAUAAGGCGUUGCUGCAAUUUAUCACUAGCGCGCUUCACCAGCACUCGCUGCUGAAAGAAAAGUAGCAGUAGCGCGCCACCUCUAAGACACGCUACUGCUACAAUUCCCACGACCCCGCCACGGAGUUAGUUAUAGCAGCAGCGCGUUAAAUAGAAGGGCGCUACUGCUAGGUAGUUUAGUAGUAGCGCCUUUACGUGCAUCACGCUACUGCUAAAACUAGCUAUCUCACCACCCACUCUCCUCUCUAUCCGAUCCACACUCACUCGAUCUCCCCCUCAACCCCCCCUGCGCCGGUCCUCCCCUAUCAGCCACCGUCGCCUACCCCUCCUCCCUCUGCGCCGCCGUCACCUCCUCCUCCUCACUGGACUCGAUACCACCCUCCUUCCUGGACUCGCCGCCGGCCGGCCCCUCCUCGCUCCGCCUUUCCUCCCCCGUCCUACUCUCUCCUCCCUCCUCCAGUUGCCCCUCCUUCUCCCUCCUCCCUCCUCCCUCCUCCAUCCACAACCCCUCCUCCCUACUACAUUUUGAUUUAGUAGGCUAGGUCAUAUGCAACAUUUUGAUUUAGUUCAUAUGAUUUAGUUGAUUUAGAACAUUUUAGGCAAGUUGAUCUAGUAGGCUAGUUGACUUAGUUGAUUUAUAAAACAUUUUGAUUUAUUUGAUUUAGUAGGCAAGUUGAUUUAAUAGGCUAGUUGAUUUAUAGAACAUUUUGAUUUAGUUGAUUUAGUAUGCUAGUUGAUAGCUCUGAAUAUUUGGCACCACCUAGCUGUGAAAAUAUAAGUGAAGAAGAACCAAAAAAAUCACAUGCUACUGUUUUUCUUUCGUGUGAAAUGGAUCGUUAAUCCUUUGCUCAUAUUGCUUUAGAAAAAUGGCGCCACCACCACCACCACCACCAUGUCGAUUGUGCAAGUCAAGGUGCGCCAGCAGCCUUGCAACUGGCAAGCUGUUCGGCAUCUACUUCCAGCCGAGUUUUCGUCAUGCGGCAGUAAUAAAUUAUAUGAAAUGUAACAACUAUUUUAUUUUUAGUGUUGGCAUUACUGCAUUGUGUCAUUUUGCUUUUUUACACAGAUCAUCCCAUGCAAUGUGAGGUUGAAAUCAACAAGCUGACAGGAGACACUGUGACAUUUGAGGCUCCUGGGGGGCCGUACACUAUGGAGGUCGAGAAAAGACGCAAUAUUUCACAAAUUGGAGGAGAUGGAUGGGCCCGUUUCCUUGCCCACAUGCGUCUUACUGGUGGUGAGUUGAUCAGCUUCUCCUUCAGAGCAGAAAGACCCAAACUGGCUGUCAUUUAUAUCAACCUGGUGGAAGAUGAUGAAGAUGGCGAAGAUGAUGAAGAUAAUGAGGACCCACUUGAUGAAGAUGAUGAGGACCCACUUCAUGAAGCCAUCGUAGCUCAAAGAAUGAGGCUGAGCGAGGAGGAGGUGUGCAACCUAUGGGACAUAAUGCCGCCACGUGCUGACUUUGUCGGGGUGCCAUUCGUGACCCGCCUGACAAGUACCAUGGUCGAUCGACAUGAUAUGGUAUGUUAUACUUACAAAUGCAAAUUAUCCGAUGAUAUGCUUAGCGUAGAGUCCAAUGAUAUGUUGUGUGGAAUCUAGUCGAUGAUAUGCUUAUUAGUGUAGAAUCUAAGGAACUAUUAAUAGUGUAGAUAAUCCAUAUAUACUUAUUUGCAAGGGUAUGUGCGAGGCUAUUUAUUAAUUGAUAUGUUUUUUCUUUUUCAGAAAUUGGCAAAGAGCCUAUCUGUGAGUUAUGGUAUCGAGCCUGAUGAAGAAGGCUCAGCUGGACUAUGCCUUACCGCAAGGGGCUUCAUCACAAUCUGUAAUUAUCGCGUGGACACGGACGGUCGCACACACUUAACUCGGUUGGGUGGAAGAGAUUCCUCGAUGGCAAGAAUCUUCGUGUUGGACAUGCCAUCCUAAUUACUAUCAGGAACACCAACCGCCCAGGCUUCAGGAUGAUGAUCGUCUUCGAUAUCAUCUAGAACUACAUAUGUGUGUGUGGCUAUAUCAUCUAGAACUACAUAUGAUGAUCAUCGUCGAUAUCAUCUAGAACUACAUAUGAUGAUCGUCGUCGAUAUCAUCUAGAACUACAUAUGAUGAUCAUGGUCGAUAUCACCAAGUACUGCUUGAGGAUGCAUGUUGACUAUAUAUGAAUUUUUUAUCUAGUACUCCCUUCGUUCCAAAUUACUCGCGACGAGUAACUUGGAACGGAGGGAGUACUACCUAUUACCUACAAUGCUUUAUGAAAUUGAUAUCUAGUAGUACCUAGUAUCUGGACCGAAACCACCGAAACGGGGGAGGAAGCUGGGGAAAAUGAUGAAAGAUAUAGCAGUAGCGAUGGGCUAGGAAACCGCUACAGCUAACUAAUAGUAGCGCGUUCCAUAAAAGCGCUGCUGAUAUAGUUAAUAGUAGUAGCACGGGUACGGACCGCGCUACUACUAAGAGUUAGCUGUAGCGCCUUACUAGUAGCGCUGCAUCCCGCGCUGCUGCUAGCGUCAAAACCCGCGCUACUACUAGGAUUUUCCUUAAUAGUGUAAGGAGCAACAACAACGGUGGCCGGCAACGCAUAGCAUCCGGCGCAGCCAGCAAGGAGCAGCAACGUAGCCAGCAAGCAUCAGCAGGAGUAGCAGGCGCGACCGGCAAGGAGGUCCACCUGGACCGAGCCCGUCGCCUGCCUGGAGGAGCCUCGCCUCCGCGCCGAGGCCAGUGCAACCAGCUCGAGCGGGCGCCGCCAUGGACAACUGCGGCUGCCGGCCACAGCCACAGUCGGCUUUUAUAGGGACUGGAUUGCUUUUUUUAAAAAUGAUGAGGGACUCGAUCGCUUUUUAAAAAUCUUUACAGGGGUUAUGCUGUAAAAAUAAGGACACAUUUUUAAAUCUAUAAAAGAACCAGGGGUUGAAGAAAAAAUUUACAUGAGAUUUUUUUUAUGAGUAAGAGACACUGACAUGUGGGCCCCACAUGUCAGUUAAUGGUCAAACAAAUGGUCAAAACAGACGGUUCGUUUAGGUGGGGGUCCGACCUGUCAUAAACCAGUUUAAUUUCUUAAUGACGGGUGUUACGGGUUUUUUGAGACAACCGACGCCGAUUUUGGUAGUUAUUGUCACAAACAAAUUUUGGUAAUUUUUUUUUGUAACCCUAACAUAAAUUGUGGUAGUUUUAUGCUAUUCACUCAAUGCAAUUGACAUGUUUUUGACCGUUGAGACCCAAAAGUCAGGCCAUGGCGAUUAGAACAAUAGCCCCGCAUAAAACGGGAGAUGUGGCCAUUGAUGUGGAAUUGCAUCGGCACUGAUAUGUAUCACCUGUAGCGAUAACAAGCUCCCACACAUCGCUCACGCCCCAGAGAGCUCCUAAUUUGCGCUCUUUGCGCCAGUUAACGAGCCCCACAGGCUGGGCCAGCCUAACACGUGAGCUCCUCGCACGUUCAAUCGUUGGCUGAUAGUUCGAUGGUUGACCGUUUAGCAUUUGCUAGUCAACCAUUGACCGGUUGACUCUUGACUUUUAGGAACAAAAUUGUAGAUUUGGAGAAGUUCAUGAUUUACGAAAAAUAUUCGUGAGCUUGAGAUAAUAUUAUGGAUUUUUGAAAAAAAUUGCGCAGUUGAAAAUUGUUUCCGAUUGGAAAAAGUUCAUGCAUUUAAAAAAAAGUUGACGAAUUUUAAAACAUUGAAUGUGGCAGGUGUUACAGACGGCUGCAUAGGCGGCUGACCUUUUGUAAGAUCAGCCCAGAAGCAUAAACGUACGCUGGCAUGCAGUAGAAAGAAACCAGAGGCAAACGAAGUCAUGCGUGCAUUAAUCAAGCUAAUCUUUGCAUUGCAAGGCCUGGUGUUUUCGGGCGGCUAGCAUCAUCGGCCAUUACUCGGCACCAAUGACAGCCGACGAUCGUCACAUCCCAUGCAUGGGACCGGCAUCGGCGUCAUGCUUUUAAUCCUUGGUUGAUCGAUAUGCGCAGAUACAAGUCAGCAUAUAUACAUGUGCACUGUGAACGUCUAUGUUUUUUUCUAUCUACUGUUGAUCUUACAUCCCGGACAUAACCACUGAGGUCUUUGGCCUGUAUCCCGGAGACAAUGGAAUCUAUACCUAUGCUAUCCACUUCGACGUCACCAUGAAACCAGGUAUGAAUGACGCCUAUAACAUGUCAUGGGAGGCCCCUGUUAAAGGUCUUAUGGCCUCUGAACAAACAAGAUCGUUCGUUGUUGGUUGUGGUGUGCGUGUCUACUUGUUUGGCCAUAAUACCAACAAUCCCAUCGGUAGUUGCAUGAGUAUUUGCCUAGACGACAAAGUGGCCAUGGAGGAGGCAAAUCUAACAACGACAAAGUGGCCAUGAGUAUUUCAACAAAGGGCCAAAUAAAGAAUUCUCUCUGAAGUAGAAGGGCGGCAAACCCGAAGAUAAGGAGCAAGGCCGCCCCUAGGUCCAUUGGGCUUGAGCAAACCAAACCGUAUACUUGAACGUUGAACAGCCCAGCGCUCUCUUUGGGCCUGCACUCACUCACUAGGGUACAUGCAUGUGGCCUCAGAUUGCAAGGUGAUGGUGCAGGACUUGAAGAAGGAUAACUCUUUAGUUUACGGAGCUAUCAUACAUGAAAUAACUCAUCACUCAUCGGAUUUUGCUUUUUGUAAAUUUAACCAUUAAUUUAUGCACUCAAAUGUUGAAGUUCACAACUUAACAAAGAAUACUAUAUCUCUCGGGGGUGGCCGUCCUGUGUGGUCGGGUCACCGUGGAGAUCUUCCCUCCGUCCCUGUAAACAUUGCAACGAAUUAAUAAAAGCUUCGUGAGGUUGUCUUAAAAAAGGUAGUGGUAUGUGAAGGGCACGUCCCCAUGUCUAUGUCUUUGGGGUGGAUGUACGUGGGGAAAAUCUAUAGAAUUUUUUGUGAUUAGACCCGUCGAUUGGCACGUAGUCUGCCCGUCAAUGUGGCCCGGGGAUUAAUUGGAUGGUCCUCAGCAGUUCCCUGCACAGCACGGCCACAAGCAUAAGCUUGUCCUUCUCCUUGGCCACAAAACCAGACGUACCCUUCACCAUUGAAAAUUUGCAAGGCGUAGUGCUCCCAGGCGGCUAGCAUCAUAUCAGCUGGCCAAGCUGCGCUCGGCAUGCAGCGACAAGAUGACGACCGCGCAGGUGGGUCAUGCACGUCGGAAGUACUGGUGGUAAUUAACUUCCCGCCAAAAUUAAAAGAAUUUCCUCCGGAUUUUUUUUAAAUAAUUUAAAAAUACUGGUGGUAACUGACCCGCGAUGACUGUAAUAUCCGAUGGGGCAUCAUGCUUUUAAUACGUGAUCGAUGCGUACAGAGGCAGCGUACAUACACUCUCAAUAGCAUCUGUGUAUCCAUCUACUAUCUGUUAUUGAUCCUAUAUGGCCACCAUAACACGAAACCAACCACCAACACCUAGAACAAACUUGCCCGCCGCCGGAGCCAUGAUGAGCGCCGUGUGCUUUUUGUUGGCGUGCUUGGCGGCAGCCAUGCGGCCGACGUCGGCCGCCGAGGCUGGAAGGGAUGGGAUCUUGCAUAUCCCUUUCGCCGCCGACCUGGCUCGGGCUCGCUGCCCUUCCAGAUGCGGGCAUGUUAACAUUUACUACCCAUGGGGGAUAGGGCCGGGCUGCUUCCGGCAAGGCUUCGAGCUCACGUGCAACAACACCACUAGUCAUAAGAAGCUCUUUCUGGCCAAAACUACCACUGAGGUCCUUGCCCUGUAUCCCGAAGACAAUAUGAUCUAUUCCCCUGUUAUCCACUUCAACGUCACCAUGGCACCAGGUAUGAAUGACACCUAUGAUAUGUCAUGGGAGGCACCUGUUAAAGGUCUUAUGGCGUCUGAAGAAACAGGCUUGUUCGUUGUUGGCUGUGGUGUGGGUGUCUACUUGUUCGGCCAUGAUACCAACAAGCCCAUAGGUUCUUGCACGAGUAUUUGCAUAGACAACAAAGAGGCCAUGAAGGAGUCAAAUGCAAACCAGUUCGAUAGCGAUGGUGGGAUGGGAUACUGUUCCAUCCGUUUGCAGCACGACGUGCGAGCCUUUGGGUUCAUAGUUGGGCGCCUCAAUGGUGGCUUCUCAGCACUAUCAAGUCGAGGUCAAGGGCUCUCUAAUAGCAGUAUCAAAGUUUUCUUGGCCGAAGAUUACAAAUUUCAUAUGGUUGACAUCUAUUCAAGUAGGAUAGACGAACGGAAUGUUGACGGGGUAUAUUUUAGCAUGGCCAUCACGGAUCAACCAAACUGUGAAAGUGCUCAGAAGAACAAGUCAAGCUAUGCUUGUAGCGAUAACAGUGAUUGCCAGGGUCUGUCAUCUGGAGGCUACUCCUGUCGCUGCCGCGGUUACCCAUAUGACGAGAAUCCAUACAUCAUGGACGGCUGUCAAGGUCAGGAUUUACUCUUUACUUAGGAUUAUAUAUAUAAAUAUUCAACUGACAUCUCAUGAAUAUUGUAUUCAUAUAUGCACAAUUGAAUAUUAUGGUAAUUUUUGCACCAAUGUUGUCGAUUAAUACAACUUUUCUUCUUAUUUAACGCUCGCAGUCAUUUUUUAUUGGGAAAAAUCAUUGCGCAUCCUAGGUAAAAUAUUUACUUAGUAGUGCUACCAAAAAAAGUACUAAUUGUAUUCUCGCCCAAGACUAAAAAUUGCCUGUCAUAGAAGUUCGAAAAUCAACAGACCUUUUUGCAGAAUAUUUUGACCCAUUUGGACAUAGUACUGUUUUCGAUUAUACUUGUUCACUAGUGGCACAUGGGUUACUUUGCAGCACUCCUGCGGUCUCUACUAGUGGCGAAUUCUUGACAACGUUCUACUCCCUUUGGAUGUGAAUAUAAGUUGAGCACAGGUUCUUAGGUCUUUGAUUUGACUAGCGAAACAUGUACUGCAUGUCACAAAAAAUAUACAUCUUUAGAAUCAUCCUCCACUGAAGUUUCUAAUCAUUAUGUUUGUGAUAUAGUACACGUGCUUUGCUUGUUAAAUUGACGACCUAAUAUACCGUGUCCGACUUAUACUACCACCGGGAAUAAAGACUUAAGUUGUUUUCAUCAAUCUCCACCCAAUUAAUGGGUCUGGUUUACCACAGGUAGCACGUACCUUUAAAAUGUUCUGGCUAGCUAUUUUGGUAUCAUUAAUUAAUGGUAUAAUAAAAGUGUAUCCCUAGUCUAGAUAGGAUGGCCGUUAAUUCUCAUGCUCCUAACGUAACUUCUCAUGGGUCAAUAUCCCAGUGUAACUUCUUCCCGUGUCAUUCCAUCUGCAGCAAGUUACACUCCCAAUCCUAAAGGAGGUUGCAAGAGGUUUUGCGGGGACACAAACAUUCCCUUUCCUUUUGGGCUUGAAAAAGGUUGCUACGCUGCCGAAAAGUUUCGUCUUAAUUGUACAUCAGAAAACAUCACAAUUCUUGAUCGAAAUGCCAAAUACAUUGUGGCCAACAUUUCAGUUAAUGAAGGAUAUCUUACUGUUAGAGAAAUACAAAACAACUCAAGGUACGGCGAUGAAGAUCUUGCGGUAGUAGGUUAUACAAAUGAUGGGCACAUGGAACUAGAAGACAUCGUCGGUCAAUAUGGUUUUUAUUUGUCUGAAGAAUACGACAUGAAGAUGUGGUGGUCUGUCGAUAAUUUAACCUGUCCGGUUGAUAUGAGCAAGCAAAGAAGUGCUACGUACGCAUGCCGCAGUGUCAAUAGCACCUGCAUUCAUGUCACCCGCCGCCGUGGGAAUGGGACGAUGCAGCUCGGUUAUCGUUGCCAGUGCUUGCCCAAUUAUGAGGGAAAUCCAUACACACCGGAUGGUUGCACAGGUAAACAUGCUACAACUUCCAUUACAAAUUGGCAUCCAACCGUAUGCAUGAUUUUCCUAGUACAUGAAAUGAUUGACUAAAAUUUUGACAAUGAUACAUUGAGCAUGAUUCAUGUGUUGCAAUUCUUCUCUCAUCUUGAUCCAAAGAGUUGGUUUCCUCUCUUUCUUAGUGGAGUUAUGCUAACUAGGUGAAUGUCCAAGUCAUACUACUCAUACAACAUGGUUCAGCUUAGUUGUGUGCAUCACAUGAUGUAGAGACCAGGAGGGUGAUAAUUUUAUUACUUAAAAAAAGGCACAUUAUGCUAAAUGACUAGGCACCAGAACUAGAGUUUGGCUAAUUCAUGAAAAUGCUAAAAAUAGUGCUUGAUCCCUACUUGAGCUUUGUUGGUUGAUCUAAGGCUGGAUACCACCAUCAUAUAUAUGUUUAUUCUCGUAGAACCAUUUUUCUUUUGUCUUUUAAAAUAUGUGCAGAAAAACUUCCAAAACUUUAUUGGCAAUGGCAUACACAUAAGCAUGUAAAUUCGCCUCAUGGAAACGGAAAAGGAAUGUUAUUUACAUAUAUGGCAUCAAAAAUAUUUUUAAUAUUAGUUUUCUAUACAGGUUGGUUGUUUACUAAGAUAUACUUAGAAACAAUAAUGGCGAAUGCAACAUUUUGGAGAGCCCGUUGAUGUAUAGAGGUAGCUUCAAUAUGUGUAGGAUGAAUGGUAGGCCAAGGGUGACCUAGCUUUGGUUCCACAUUUACUACAUGCAUCAUUCAUUGCUCACAUACCUACCUAUCAUAGAUAUCAACGAGUGUUUGUUGAUCAAUACUUGCAAUGGCACAUGCCAAAAUUAUCCCGGGGGCUAUAGUUGCGAAAACUGCACUCAUGGAAAAGACUUUGAUCCAAUAAAAAGGAGAUGUGUCACAUCAGCAAAGAGACGCAGUCUUCUCUUAGGUAAGUCGUAUUGAAAUUACUUACCUCAAUAGAAUUGCAACUUUAAAGUUAAGGACAUGUUUUAACAACUACUACUAGAUGUAUAGGUAUUACAAUUGGAAUUGGUUGUGGCCUUGGUGCCAUAAUACUUGCGCUAGGUAUAAUGGCUUUCAUCAGCAAGUGGAAGAGAGGCAUACAGAAGAGAAUACGAAGAGCAUACUUCAAGAAAAAUCAAGGCCUACUCUUGGAACAACUAAUAUCAGAUGAAAGUGCCACCGAUAAAAUGAAGAUAUUCUCCUUGGAGGAAUUAAAUAAAGCAACCAAUAACCUUGAUGUCAGUCGUGUUCUUGGCCGUGGAGGACAUGGCACCGUUUACAAAGGAAUUCUAUCUGAUCAACGUGUAGUGGCUAUCAAAAAGUCAAAGCUAGUGGAGCAAACUGAGAUUGACCAGUUUAUCAACGAGGUUGCCAUCUUAUCACAGAUCAUUCACCGAAAUGUGGUCAAGCUUUUCGGUUGUUGUCUCGAAACAGAGGUGCCUUUGUUGGUCUAUGAGUUCAUAUCCAAUGGCACACUAUAUGAUCUUCUUCACACUGAUGUAAGUGCUAAAUGCUUACUUUUAUGGGAUGAUCGUAUUAGGAUUGCAACAGAAGCUGCAGGUGCUCUUUCUUAUCUCCACUCAGCUGCUGCAAUACCAAUUUUCCAUAGAGAUGUCAAAUCUUCCAAUAUACUCCUAGAUGGCAACUUCGCUACCAAGGUUUCUGACUUUGGUGCUUCGAGGUCUUUAUCACUUGAUCAGACACAUGUAGUGACAAUUGUACAAGGAACUUUUGGUUACUUAGACCCCGAGUACUACCACACCGGGGAGCUGAGUGAGAAGAGCGAUGUUUAUAGCUUUGGAAUUAUACUGGUGGAGCUUCUAAUGAGAAAGAAGCCAAUUUUUAUUAAUGAACAAGGUAUAAAACAAAGCUUGGCUCAUUGCUUUGUGGAAGGACUUCAGCAAGGAGUUCUCAUGGAAAUCAUGGAUCCCCAAGUUGCAGAAGAAGCGAACCAGAAUGAAAUUGAUGAAAUUGCCUCAGUUGCGGAAGCAUGCUUGAAAACCAAAGGAAGAGAAAGGCCUACCAUGAAAGAGGUAGAAAUGAAGUUGCAACUCCUAAAAACUAGAAGAUUAAGGAGUCAACUUCCUCCCAUAAAUGAUGGAGAGAUCGAGUCACUUGGGUGCCUAAAUGGCGCUAGCUCUCAUGCACAGAGCAACAGCAUUGUCAGUAAUGUUGGCUUAACACCUACAUGCAGCUCCGGAAAGUACAGUCUGGAGCAAGAGUUUUUGAACUCGGCCAGCUUUCCACGCUAGCGAAGCACACAAUGGAAUGAUCGUCUGCUUACUAAGCUUCUCAGGUGCAUGUCAGUUACCCUACGCAUGCUUAUAUAGAAAAACUAUGCAAUGUAUGUAGUUCCUUUCAGUGGGAGUAUGCCAUGUAAAUUUCCGAAUUGUGUUUGUAGCUUAUCUCAUCUGUGUAAUUUCUUUCGAUGGCAACUUAUUGCAAUUAAGCUACAGUGGUGAAUAAAGUUAUUUUAUCAUUGUUUUUUUUCUUUUUCAACAAAUUUCUUUUUUGCCGUAUACAUUUCUCACUACUCAUCCUAUAUCCUAUAUACUUAAGAAGUUCAUCCCCACUACUUGAUUUAUCUCAACAUGCAGCAUAGACACGUCAGCAUCCAAUCACAUACUGCCACGUCACCCUUCACCCACUUAAGCCCUCCUCAAGUCUGACCAAAUAUGUUCGCUGAAAGAAAAAAAAUUCCUAAUCACUCCCUACUGUCCGCACCCCUGGUCAGACCCGAAGCCCCCCGUGAUUGUUCCACUUCGGUUCCUCCUCCCGCCGCCGGCCUCCCUCGCCGGUGGUCGGAGCCACUUCCUCAUCCCGCUCCCCGGCUCCGGAUCCUCCUCGCGGCGACUCUCCGGUUACUCCUCGCGGCGGCGGCGGCGGCAGCGACGGCACCAGACUCCGCCUAUCGCGGGCCCCGGUUCCCGCGGGAUCCAGCAGGAUGAUUCCGUGGAUGCGACCGCCGGUCCCUCCUCGCGCCAUCGGCCUCCGGUCGCCCCAGUACGCCCGGGCGGCAUCGGGAAGGAGCAGGCCACCGAUCAACCACUGCCCCUCCCCCCCCUCCUCGCUCCUCCAUGGCCUGAAGCGGGCAUCCCCGAGCAGCGCCUCCCCUCUGGUCCCUCCUGACGCCGCCGGCCUCGGACCGGACGAGGCCGUCCCCGCCACGGUCGGCCUCGGUUCCAGUGGGAUUAGCUCGGACAUAUCAGUGCCUGCAAGCCGGUGAGCAUGCCUCCUUACUGUGGUUUGGUUGGUCUGUUCUUCCCAUACGAUGCCUAUUAUUUUUGGUGCUUGCGUUUGCUUCCCAGGUGGUUUGUCAUGUGCUGUUUUCUUCACGUUUGCUGGUGUCUCCGCACCUUACCUUCAAUCAUUGGGUCAACGUAUCUGCAGUUCAAGGUAAUAUCAUCUUGUUUUUCUUAGUUUUUCCUUUGCUCUCACCAACCUAGACAGCCCACUACUUCAAAUCAUGUGCAGCCCAAUGCUCGAAAUGACCCAUACUAAAAGUAAGAAAAAACAGUUUUGCUCCAAAUAAUUGAUGAUUGACGCUCCACUUCCUCUCCCCACGAUCUCCAGAAGAAACUGAAGAAUUCCCCUUUAAAGUAUGCCCCACCUCAGCUCCUUUUCCCAUCAUCUUCCGACAUGGGUGGAUGUCUGCCAUAGGGUGUUCAUACUGCUUCCACUGGUCAGAUACUCUAUCCCCUCUCCUUGCCAUAACCUCUUGACAUAUUGCUGAUUCAGUCACAAAUUCGGACUUUACAGGUGCUGAUCACUUCAGUUCCCAGUCAGUCAUCUUCGUUGCCCACGCGCCUCAGCUCCUACUGGUAUACAAUGUUCCCAUCCAGUGCUACUUCUGAAUUUUUGUGUCUUUGGUUAAUAUAUGUAGCCUGCUUGAUUGAAUGCAUAACUAUUUGACUUGUAGCCUUGCAUUUUAAUUCCUUGCCUAUUACAGAUUCUGGUUUGCUUCAUCCAAAUCUGAAUUGUAUCUCUCUGAUCAAGGUUACAUUACAUCUAUGAGCAUGGUUUUUUGUAGGCCGAGCUAUGUGAUACCUCCUAUCUAUGCCAUUCACUGAACCGUCUUGUUCCUAUAGAUUCACGCAACAGCUGACCGGUUUUGCAGGGUUGAGUAAUUUGUUACGCAAAUCUAAAGCUGAUCAAUUUUGUCGGAAUCUGCCUGCGUGCAGGCCCGUGACUACUCCCACCUCUACUCUCUCCUAGAGUCUAUUGCAUGCAAGAUUUAAAAACUGGUACAGUGCGAGAAAGAAUAUUGCCAGCUCUCUCUCUCCUUCAUCUUCCUUUCUCUCUCAAGCCUCUCACAGCCACACACUCUCUCUUCUUCUUCAUGUCCUUUCUCUCACGCGCGCCUCUGAUUCUUGGAGAGAGAGAUCCCUUCCUCAACAGCACCCCUCUCUCUUAUUUUUUUUCCCAGGUACAACACUUAUCUCUUCUCACAACACCUCUCCUUUUCUCUUCUCCUAUUCUCUCUCUCUCUCUUCUCCUUUUUCCUCAGCAGCAGUACCGGAAGGACGUCCGACGAGCUGUAUAUCUGCAAGGAGAUGAAGCGGACUGGUGUGCUACCGAUAGGAGAAGAUGGGUGGCUGAAAAGAUGUGUCAGAGGUGAGUGCCACGACGCACACAACUCGAGAAACAUGUGGACCCGACAGGACUAGCAUGCAAGACCUAGGAGGAAAUCUCAAACUGUUCAUGUAGCCUGCCUUUUGAGACUAAUCAUACUGUGGCUACAGGGAUACUACUGCUGAUGCUGGUACUAGCCCAAAUCUUCAUAGCGUGACCAACGGCACCGAUAAAAGGCACCGUGUAGGACGAGCUACAAAGAAAUUUUGCGUACAUCUAUUAUGUACAUUAAAAUCAGGGUCGAAGCAAAAAGAAGAAUUGAUUUAAGCGAGGAUGAUGCCGACAAAUCUAACAGGGAUGACAACACUCACAAACUCUUAGUGCACCAUGGUUCUCCAAUUACUAGAUAAGGUACACAGGUACAAACUUCUUGGUAGCAGUUAGAAGUAAGUAUCUACAACUAUCAAAGUACACAAUAAUAAAAUCACCUAAAUCAUUUGGCAGUAACUCAAGCAUCAUAUUUCCUCAAUUGGUGUUAGGCAUCAGUUAACUAGCAUUUUCAUGUCACACUAAUGUUUUUUUAGUGUGGAGAUUACCAAGCUUUUAAUCAGUAAAUGUUAAUUUCACCAAAUCAGUACUGAGUCACAAUUAUUUGCAGUCUCUUUACAAAAUCAUUACUGGUCAUGCAAGUGAAUGCUAACUUAUACAUUCUAUGUGUUGUUCAAUAUUGGGAAUAUGAUAUAUUCAGGAUAACAUCUCAUCCAUGCUAUGUUCGGCCAAAUGCCAACUUAUUUAAAGUACAGGGAGGUUCUUGGGUUACAUUUAUAUUCUCUUGCCUUGUUUAUUUUCUAAUGUGAUUCAUGCUUUUAUUACUUCACUUCUUCUUCGGUACAACCCCCUAAACACAUCAACGCACGAGAUUUCUUCAUACCCCUUCAUUAUAAAGGGCAGGAUGAUCCUUUUUAAAAUACUAUAUGGCGUUGGAGACACCCCUCAACUGGGCCGGCCCAUUGAUAAAAGGCUGCAGGGAGCGCGACCCGAGAUGUAAAAAUUCACAAAAUACAUGCCGCUGCUAAGAAUCGAACCACAGACCUCUUACACAUGAAGUUUAGUCACUCACCAAUUGAGCCGACUAAUGUUUGUGAAUAAUUAUGAGAGUGCAAACUUAAGAAUCUCUCCGGACGGAUUUAUCGGGCCUAUGAGCCGAUAUGGGAAGGCCACGAAAAACGCAUAGAAGAAAUUGGAAAUAAAAUCUCAACUAAUCACCGUUAUUAAUUAGGCCUAUUAACUAACCUUUGCAUGCAAUGGCUACUGCCUGAUCCAAUCAAGAAGACCCAUGCGCUAGCUUCCAUAGAGAGACGAGGGAAUGAAGGGACGUGCUUAAAUGCAGCAGCCUAAUUUUUUUGUGAUAAACUAUGCAGCAGCCUAGUAAACAUGGUACAAGUUUUGGUGCCUCUCAGACCCGAUAAACCUUAGUGGAGGGAGUAACACAAAGGAAAUUAUGAAUGAAUUUUUAAAAAUUGAAUAAUGUUUCAUAAUCCAACUUUUUUUAAACCACUUGAACUCAUUUUGAAAACGUCAUUUUUCAUAAAAGCAUGAACAUUUUAAAAAAAUGAAUAAUGUUUUUACAAGCAUGAACAUUUCAAAAAAUUUAAGGAGAUAUGUUAGUUCAAAAUGUUAAGAACAUUUUUUCCAAGCAACAUUUGAAAACUUUUAAAGAAAUAUGAGGGGCGUGCAAACUUCAGGACUAACAUUUUGAAAAAAAUGGUUGAACACUUCAUUUUUUGGCUUCUUAUAUGUGGCUAAUGUAACUUUGUGAAUUUUCGGGAAAAAAAUUCGUGUGUUUUAACACCGGAUUUUGUUUUGUUUUAUUCUGGAUUUUUUCUUUUCCAUUUUUUUCAUUUGUGGGAAUUUAAAAAAAAUUCUUGAACUUUCUCAUUUUCUCGAACUUUUUGGGUGAUUUUUUUUAAAUCUGCAAAAAAAUUCAAAUUCGUGAACAUUUUUUCAACAUCGAUGAACUUUAUUCAAAUCUGUGAACUCUUGGGCCGGCCCAACACGCGCCCGGUCGGAGCGAUGCCAUCGCUUAUCCGGGUGGUAGAAACCAAAAAUUUGGUUUUGUACCCUUCAUUCAUUUUACAAUUUUGGUUAGCAAACCUAAAAACUAAAAUGUCAACCCCAUACAACAACUGAAGAUGUCGACAAACAACGUGCUCCUAGACAGAGCCUUUUGGCCUACACGGGCACCUUUCGUUGAACAUGGUCUAGUUUUAGACAUUCUUGAGACCACUCUAAUUUUUGCUAGCAGAUGGGCAUGCACAUGGUAGGCAUCUAUGCAAGAUUUGAACGAUUCCGACACCUUAUGCAAGUUGCAUGACUUAUUGGUCAUUUUCACCAAGAAAACUCCAAAAAAUGCAAGAAUUGUCGAAAACUCGAACAAUUUGAGAUCGUGCCUUGAAUUGGUCAUAAAAGCUCAUGAAAAAAUUUGGGGUCAUUUGAAGAUGCCAAAGAAAGUACUCUCAGACGGAUCCCACGUGACCUACCCGAACAACCUCCAUUGAACAUGGUAUACUUUUAGACCUGCAUGAAAUGACCCCAACUUUUGCCAGUAGGUAGGCAUGCCCAUGGCAUGCAAUCAUGCCAGGUUUGAGCGAUUUCCGACACCAUACGCAAGUUGCGUCACGUUCGGCCAUUUGUCGUCCAUUUUUCAUCGAGAAAACUCCAUAAAUUGCAAAAAAAAAACUCAAACAACUUGGCAUUGUGCCUUGAAUUGGUUAUAUAAACUCAUGGAAUUUUUUGGGUCAUUUCACGAUGCCGAAAAAAACGAGCUCUCAUACAGACCCAUCUCGCGUACCCGAACAACCCCCGUUGAACAUGGUCUAUUUUUUGGACAUGCGUGAAAUGAUCCAACUAUUGCCAGUAGGUGGGCAUGCCAUGGUUUGAACAAAUUCUGACACUAUAUGCAAGUAACAAGUUGCAUCACGUCCAAGCACGUAUCAGCCAUUUUUCAUCGAGAAAACUCCAGAAAAUGCAAGAAUUGUUAAAACCUCAAACAACUUGGCAUGGUGCCUUGAAUUGGCCAUUUAAGAUUAUGGGAAAGAAUUGGAGUCAUUUGAAGAUGUCAAAAAACACAUGCUCUCAUUACGGCCCCUUCUGGGCUCCCCGAGCACCUCUGUUGAACAUUGUCUAUUUUUCGGACAUGGAUGAAAUGACCCCAACUUUUACAAGCAGGUGGGCAUUCUCAUGGUAGGCAUCCAUGCCAGGUUCGAAUUAUUUCCGACACCAUAUGCAAGUUGCGUCACGUCCGGCCAUUUAUCGCCCUCUUUUUACUAAAGAAAAUCCAGAAAUUGCAAAAUUUGUAGAAAUCCAAAACAACUUGGCAUGGUGCCUUGAAUUGAUCAUACAAGUCAAUAAAAAAUGAAGUCAUUUAACGGAUGUUGAGAAACAACGUGCUCUCAACGGAGCCUUCUCGCCUAUCUGGACACCUUAGGUUGAACAUGCUAUUUUUUGGACAUUCAAAAAAGGACAUCAACUUUGGUCAACUGGUGGGCAUGCACAUGGUGAAGAUGUGAACACUUUUUUUAAAUUUGCCAGCAUUUUUUCAUAUUUGCGAAUAUUUUUUGGAACUUCUUUUAUUUUCUAGGGCCUAAGCAUUUUUUUCUUUUCUUAAUUUUUUGUUAUUCUUUUCUUUUUCGUUAAUUGAUUUUCUCCUUCUUGAACUUUAUUAUUCUUUUUGAAACCUGUUCAAAAAUUUGAAAAUUUCUUUAGAAUACCAGAUUCUUUUCUCAAUACAAAUUUAAAAAAAUCUGGAAUUUCACAAAAUGUUUGUGUACUCUCAUACGAACCCUUCUCUCCUGCGUGAACACUAUCUGUUGAAUAUGGUUUAUUUUUGGACACCCAUGAAAUGAUCUAUCUUUUGCCAGCAGAUGAGCAUGCUCAUAUUAGUCACCCAUGUCAGAUUUGAAUGAUUUCUGACAUCAUAUGCAAGUUUUGUCACGUCUGGCCAUUUAUCAAGUAUUGCUCACUCAUAAAACUCUAGAAAAUGCAAAAAAGUCAAAAACUCAAAUACAUUGGCAUGGUUCAUUGAAUUGGUCAUAUAAGCUCACGAGAAAAAUGAGGUUAUUUGAUGAUGCCGAAAAAAUGUGCCCUCAUACGGACCCUUCUGACCUUUUCAAAUUCUUUCAUGUUCCCUUUUUCAUUUUUUAUUUUCUUUUCAAAUUUAUUUACCUUUAUAAAAACUAUUUGUGAUUUUAAUGUUUUUUUUGGAAAAUUCAAAAUUGGUUCGUGAUUUUAAAAAGUUGUUCAGCAUUUUUAAAAGUCUUUGUUUUCAAUUGUUUUCACAAAUUCAAAAAAUGUACAGGAUUUUCGAAAAAUGUUAUUUUUGUCUAGAAAUUGUUCUGAAUGUUAAAUUCUUUCUGUUCACAAUUUUUCUCAAUACUCUAAUAAUGUUCAUGUUUUCUCAUAAUGUUUGAAACUUCAAAAAAAAUGUUCAGGUUUUUUAAAAAUUGCUUGCGGUUUCCCAAAAAAAUUGAGUUUUUAGAAAAUUCAUAAAAAUGCUCGUGUUUUCAUAUUUUUUUCGUAAAUUCCAAAAAUAUACAAGAAUUUCAGAAAAGGUUAUUGUUUUCUAGAAACUUUUGAGAAUGUUAAAAUUAUUCAUGUUUUCAAUUUUUUCUCAAAACUCAAAAAAUGUUUGGGAAUUACUUAUACUUUUAGCGCUUUUGAAAAAUUGUUCAGAAUUUCCAAAAUGUUCCCCUUAACAAUUUUUGUUCUCUAAGUUCCAAAAAUUUCCUCAUUUUUUCAUAAGUAUUUAGGAUUUUAAAAAAUGGUUCCUGUCAAAAAAGUUAAAGUUUUAAUUUUUUUUGAUUUUUCAAAGUUUGUUAGAGUUCUUGAAACAAUCACUGGAUUUCAAACAUUACUCGCUUUUAAAAAAAUAUUCACAAUUUCCAAGAGAAGAUGAAAAAUCCGAAAAGUGCCCGGAUUCUACGUUGGAGUUAAUUCUUAAAGUGGUACGCUCUUUACUCGACACAAAAGUCUGUUGGGUUGACUGGUAAGUAGGUGCUUUUUGUAAGGUUGAGGUGAAGAAUUCGAAUCCAUGCGAGGUCGCUCUUAAUUAUUAUUUUUAGCGAUCAUAGCGUUGUAGUAGGUGCGAGCGCUACUGCGGGCACCUUCUUGGGCCGGCCCAGUCGGGGGUAUGCAGAGCGUAUACAAGUACAAAGUGGGUAUACCAUGUCAAAAGUCCAUAUUACCCUUUAUACGUUUUAUGUGGGGGGUUGUACCGAAGCGGAAGUCUACUUACUUUCAAUAUUAACAAAUGGAACCAAUUUUCUGAAUGUUAGCUUAGAGGAACCGGAAAAGAGUACUAUAAAAAAGCACAAGCAAGAGUAUGUACUGUUUCUCACACCCUAUAUACAAAUUUAGCCAACAAUAUGAGUUUCUUCCUACAUAUAUUUACUGUUCCAACAAGUCUCCAUCAACAGCAAUGCAAACAAUUAAACUGUCGCAAGCAACUAUGCACAGCCAGAGUAAAACAACAUUUGGACGAUAUAAGUAUCUGUUCAUUAACUAUAUAAACUUACAUUUUCUGAUUUAAAAUUCCAGUAAUUUAUUGCGUUAUUUACUUUUUUUCAGUGCUGUAUUUUCCAAUACAUGUAGGACAACUUGCACUCUGCUACAAAUGAGGAAUAAAAUCCAUCGCGUACAACCACAAAUAACAUAGUGCUUCUGUUCAUACCACUUUGCUCAGCUUCUGCUGUAACCAAGGAACAUUUAAACUUUUGUGUUCAACGGAAAGCUGUAUCUUAAAUCAAGUACCAACUCAUGAAUGGAUCCAGUUUAUGUUCUUUGGUGCACUUACGUUCUCAAUAGAAGCAUACAGUGUGUAUUAAAAUAAAUUCAUGAAUGGACCAGUUCAUAUUCUUUGUUGCAAUUAGGAUCUCAAUGGAAACCUACACUCUUUAUUAGGAUACAUUAAUUUCUAACUUGAUUUUGCAUUAACCAUUUCUUAAACAUCGUUCGGUUAGACAUUCUUUCCCCUGUAAGACACCUAUAUAAGACCACCCCAUAACAUUGUAGUCGCUACAACUUUAUCUCUGGAAUUAGAUUUUUUUUACUACAGGCACAACCAUAGACAACCAACAAGAAGGCUACAGGUACGGCUACUACAUAUACAAUUUUGUUUUCUACCUCCCUAUCUGCUGCAAAUAACAAUACACAUGAAUCUUUCUCCAGGAUACAAUAUGAUGAACCAAAUAAUGUUCUGCCCCACUCAACAACUCAUCCAUCAAGGGAGGCUCAGAAGAAGUACAUGGAAGCAAUUGCAAAAAUGAAAACUACUAUGAAACAACCAAUAUGUAUCACUUUUAGAGAAACCAUUCCAUUUGAAGACAAGACAAAACUAUCUGAGGAUCAUCCAUUCAAGUCCAGCAAAUACAUCUUAGAGUACAUUAAGAAAGGAACACCACAUGUCCAAAUAGUUCUCGACGAAGAACACUCCAACUACAAAAAAAAAAUAAGCAUGUAUUAUGUUCUUUUUAUGAUCAAUAAAUAAUUAUGACUACAUAUGUAUUUUGCAAUUUUCAAUAAGUAUUUAUGAUUAUACAUAUGUAUUUCCCAAUUUCAAUUAUCAUAUCAUUGAUCCAAACAUUCUUUCAUAUGUAUCUUUGAAUUUUCAAUUAUCAUAUUGUCCAUCCAAAAAUCCGUCUUCUAUAGAACCAAAUAUCAUCUAAAUGUAUUGCAUCCAAUUCCCGCCGCAACGCGCGAGGUAUUAUCUAGUUAGCAAUAAUACUCGAACCUGUAAUACAUUAGUCAUUGGUAAUGAGUGGUGAAUAAAUGUUGGCUUAACACCUACUAUUAUAUUAUGGGACGGACUACAAUUGAUGUGAGUUAUGUGUGUUUGUUAGAUAUAGAAGUUCUGCUUCGCCAGAAAAGAGUGCGGAAAAAUAAUUAUGGAUUUGUAAAGCCUAAAGCCCAUUUACUAUGGCUCCUUAUUGUUUAUUUUUAUGUUUUGGGGAAAAAGAAUAGUCAUUCCUUUUAUCUGCGAAAUAUUUUCCCCCUUCCCUUCCGUGCCGCCGCGCGUGGUGGCCUCAGCCGCGAAGGGUGAUUCUUCUCCUUGUCGCCAGCCGGCCGGUAGAGUGCUCUGCCUGGGAGGUUUCCCAGAGGAAGGCCGGGGAGCCCCGCUGUCGAGAAGCAGCAUGCGGCUGGAAACGGGGGAGGCAGCUGCUCCGAUCGUCUUGCGUGCUCGCCGCACCGAGGUGCCUGUCGCUGUGCUGGGGUUGCGGUUCCUCUCUAACGGCGACGCCUAGGACCUCCAAGGUUCGACUUGUCCUCCCCACCAUCUUCCCCUCCGACCAACUAUCCACUGCUCUGCAUACUGUCUGAAAUACGCUUUGAUAGUACAUACUGAUUAACACUUUUUAAACCUAUCAUCGAUGUACUCCCUCCAUUCGGAAUUACUUGUCGCGAAAAUGGAUGUAUCUAGACGUAUUUUAGUUCUAAAUACAUUCAUUUCCGAGACAAGUAAUUCCGAACGGAGGGAGGUUCCUAAAUAUAACUAUUUUUAGUUAUUUCAUAUGGACUACAACAUACAGAUGUAUGUAGACAUAUUUUAGAGUGUAUAUUUACUUAUUUUAUUCCGUAUGUAGUCGUUUGUUGGAAUCUAUAGAAAGACUUAUAUUUAGGAAUGGAGCGAGUAGAAGUUAGUGACGAGCCACACUGUGAAUUAAACUAAUGCACGGCAAGUGUACGCCAAAUCCUUGCUUAUGGGUACGCCAAAUGACCCCAUUGCUUUUAGUCGGUAGUGUGGUGUCUAGGAACGUCACCCAGCUCCCAACAACCAACAAUAAUACUCCCUCCAUUGGGAAAUACUUGUCAUAGAAAUGGAUACAAACGGGUGUAUCUAGAACUAAAAUACAUCUAGAUACAUUCCUUUGUUGGACAAGUAUUUUCGGACAGAGGGAGUAGAUCGAUAUAUGGUUGAGGAUUCUCCCUUCAGCUCUGAAAUACUGAAAUAUGCUUAGUAGUACAACAUUAACAAUUGCUAAUCCGAUAUCGCUGUGAAGUGUACAACCUAUCAAGUGAUGAGUCACACUGUCAAUUAAACAAAUGCGCGGUGAGUACACGCCAAAUCCUUGCCGAAUGAUGCUACUGGGUAUGCCAAAUUCGCCUCACGCAGCAGGUCCCAACAACCCACACUAAUAGAUCGAUUAAUGGUUAAACUUUGCGUUAGCCGCCGGACAGCCAUACACAUUGUCGUCACUAAAUUCAAUCCCUGAUGCGGGCUUGGUUCAGGCAGCGGUUGUAUAUACAUGUGGUUGCUGGUGGGUACAGCUACCGUCGAUAGAAAUACUUCCUCCGUCCGAAAAUACUUGUCAUCAAAAUGGAUAAAAAGAGCCAAUAUGUACUUUAUAUGAGUAUGGCGAUACGUCGCUGUAAAGCGUAGCUAACGGUGUAUCCCUAGUAUAGAUUAAAAGGCACUGAUGAUGAGUGUCACACUGCUAAAUCAAUAUGAGAUGCGCGAUGGAGGCCUGGCAAGUCAUAGUUAAAAACUAAUCGAGUAGCUUCUGUCUAUCUAAGCAGCAGGACCUAAGAGCCUGAGACAUGCAUCUCAAAUCCACCUCAAGUAAUUCCUUUAAAUAGUUAUUAAACUUUGUGUUAGAGCAUAGGAGUUAAUUAAAUUCUAUGUCAGCAUAUAGGAGUAUAUUCUGUUCAGUAUCGCAGCUAGCAGACAGCUAUGACUGUCAAACCCUUAUGCAUUUUCACUAAAUUUUAAGCGAUGGAGUGGGUUCUUGGAGGAAGAUCGUCACACCCGGGCUCUGUAGAAAUUGAAACCAACACUUGAUCUUUAUAUGAGAGACUGAGUGUGUUGUUGAGGCAUCGCUGUCUAUCCUUGUAAUAAGAGCCGGCCUGGGUGUGUUCAUGCAUCGCUGUCUAUCCAUGUAAUGAGAGCGGAGCAGGCAGAAUUAACUAGUGGCCCCGCUGUUAUAAACUAGUACUCCUUUCGUUCGGAAUUACUUGUCGCAGAAAUGGAUAUAUUUAAACGUAUUUUAGUUCUAGAUACAUUCAUUUCCGAGACAAGUAAUUUCGAACGAAGGAAAUAAUGGGCAAAGACUUGGAGGCCGGCAAAGUCAUGAGUGGGCAGCGCGUGAAUCACAAUUCAACAUCAAUUGGGGGAGGCCAUUAACAGUUAACAAUUAAACAAAUAUGUUGAUCAAUUAGCACAACAUUAACAAUUAACACCUGUUAAUCCUAACAUCGAAAUAAAACCCACGCAAUGAUGAGUCACACUGCCAAUUAAACUAAUACACGAUGAGUGCUCGCCAAAUCUUUGCUGGAUGGAGUUGCCGAGUAUGCCAAAUGUCCCAUUGCUCUUUGUUGAUCAUGCAUAUAUAUAAUCCAACUAUUGACGUAGAAAUGUAUUGCCUAGUCUCUUUCAUCAGAUCGGUGUUCUGGUUGCAUUAGCUAGAGCAUGCACUUUUACAUGGUUUCUGAGCUAAGAGGUCUUGAGUUCAAGACCCGGCCGGCGCAAUUAAAUUGCAGCCCACUUUCGGUCCAUGUUUAGGCGUAAGAGAACCUAGUAUUUAACAAAAAACUACCACAAUUCAUGGAAACGUGAUCAGAAACUAUCACUUUACAAAUUUGUGCCGAAAACUAUCACUUUUUCUUUAAUCUUUAACUAAAAACUACCAUGUCUAUACAUCGACCCAUUUGUCCAUUUUAAACGCACUUACGACAGGUCUGGCCCGCAUGUAAGUGCUGGCAUCAUUAGUCAACGCCGUUUGUACCCGCUGCUGCUCGCCCGUUCUGCCGCGCGCCGUGCCUGUCGCUCGCAGCGCCCGCAGACACAGGCGUACGACGAGCGCAGAUUGCGGCGGAGGCGGCCAACAGGGAGGAGGCCGAGAAGGCGCUCCGAGCGCGCGCAGGAGCACUUCCUCGCGGGCAACAUGGCGGGGGCGCGGUUGCUGACCGCCAAGGCCCGGCGGAUCUCCCCCUCGCUCCCCGAUGCCGCGCACACGCUCGCCGCCUACGACGUCCACGCCGCCGCGGCCGGGACCCAGCACCGCGCGGGCUACUGGGACGAUGUCAUCGGCAUGGCCCUGUCCGCCUCCGCCUCCGCCUCUGCCGUGAAGAGGCAGUUCCGGUGCCUGUCCCUCGUCAUCCACCCCGACAAGAACCGCUCCGCCGCCGCCGAGGGCGCCUUCAAGCUGCACGGACAGGCCUGCGACGCCCUCUCCUUCUGCUCCGGCGCUGGCCACGUCCCCUACUACAGCAGCGCCGCCACCACCGCGGCCUCCGCGCACGAGUGGUACCGGUCUCACCACGCGGGCCGCUCGCAGCGCUCGACCGCCUCAUCGACCGUGGAUCAAAACCCGCUAAUUCUUCUGACCUCACAACCACCGCUGCUGCCAUGUUCGGCGUUGAUGAAGCAAGAAGGCAUGCUACAGAUCAGCACCAAUCAGGAUUAAGGUUGGAUCUUUCCCAGCUGAUCCUCAGCGACAAGAAAGACCAAAUUGGAGUGAUCGGAGUGUGGGGAACAAGUGGCACGGUUGGGCAUACCUCCAUCAUCUUUGAUGCUUACGAGAAUCCAAAUAUCAAAGUCAAAUUCCCAUCCCGAGCGUGGCUUAGGGUGACACGCCCUUUCCACCGGAAACAAUUUGUCCGGAGUAUAGUGGAACAGUUUCGAGCAACCACCAUAGGGGUGGUUGAUUUUCUGCUGGAGGCAGAGGGGGAGAAGACUUGGCAUGAGUUGGCACAUGAGUACAGUGAAUAUGUCAGCAAGAAGUGGUACCUGAUUGUGCUUGCCGUGACUAUCCACCAUUGAAGAAUGGCACCAGAUCAAAGCUUGCUUCCGAGAAAACAAACAGGGGAGCCAUAUCGUAGUAUCCACAGAGCAUGUUGAAGUUGCAAGCCUAUGCCAGGGCGAGGGAAGUACCGUGUCGGAGCUCAAGCAAUUGUCUGCUGAACAGACUAUAUAUGCUUUCUACCAUCAGGUACUACUUCAAUUUUGAACACAAGUUUUUGGUUCACUCAGUUCGAAAUCUUGAGUUUAUUUAUUUCUUUAGAAAAAUAUCAUCCAAGAUGUAAACCUUUAGAUCAGCUAUGCAUGGAGUGCUUGAGGCGGGAUCAAUUAAUUUGUGUGUUUGGACAAAGCCAAGAAUGAGAAAUUUCCCGGUGCAAAUCCUAACACGCCACUGGGAAGAGAAUAUUCAGCAUNNNNNNNNNNNNNNNNNNNNNNNNNNNNNNNNNNNNNNNNNNNNNNNNNNNNNNNNNNNNNNNNNNNNNNNNNNNNNNNNNNNNNNNNNNNNNNNNNNNNNNNNNNNNNNNNNNNNNNNNNNNNNNNNNNNNNNNNNNNNNNNNNNNNNNNNNNNNNNNNNNNNNNNNNNNNNNNNNNNNNNNNNNNNNNNNNNNNNNNNNNNNNNNNNNNNNNNNNNNNNNNNNNNNNNNNNNNNNNNNNNNNNNNNACCAUAGACCUUCACAGUCCUCCCAGAUCUUUUGUCUUCGUCCAUAUAUUCCUUGCUGAUAUUGGUUUCCUCUGCGAAGAUCCCUAGGGACAGGUUACCACUCUCCAGUGGGAGAGGGCGGCAGGUGACUAGGUUCGGUGGCGAUGUGUUUCCUUGAGACAUAACGACAAGGGUGAAGGGAGAAGAGAGGUAGAGUAGGGAAUCCAAUAGAUAGAGACAAAAUUAGACUUGUUCUAUUCUUGCUUGCCUUACAUAUUGACAAAACUAAAUCAUAUCGGUUAGGACUCUUUAAUAGAACAAUAACUAUAUUUCUCCUCUAUUAAUACGGAUUACAUAAGAACUGAAAUAUUUCGUAGUUUUUGUCCUCCUUGAAUGAUAAAUGGUUGUAGCUUCUAGAGGCGGCUGAGGAGGGUAUACGGACGGCUAAGCGUAUAUGUCUCACCAAGUCACCAUACAUGACAUGUAGGUGGUCAUGCAAUGCUGAGUUCUAAUGUUUUUAGUAACUUUAUGUUCCCCCUGCUUGUAGUAGGAGCAAACUUUCUAUGUAACUCAUGAAUACUUUGUGUUCGUGUACUUCUCCGCUUUUUUCAAAUUUUGGACUGCUUUUAGUAUUUUCGGCAAAGCCAAGCCUUAACAGGUCACCUCAGCAAAAUUGACUUGUAUGCAUGCUAUCCUAGCUUCGAUUUACUAUUUGUGGUUCAUUGUGGUAACAAAAUUUUUGUGUAGCAACUGGAAAUGCAUUGAGCUGAUUCUUCAGUAAGUUUUUGGAAUGAUUCGUCAAUUAAAUUUCAUGUAGUUAUUGUUUGCUUGUGUUCAGGGGUCUCAAGACAUGACAUAUUCAUCAAAGCCAACAUCUAGCACAACGCUACCCUGCAUUGUUGAGGAUGAGAUAAAAGAAUACCAGUCUAAUAAUAAUGUUGACAGAAAGAUGAUAGUGCAAGAAGAGCACACACACACACCAACACGAUUUCAUGUGUUUUUGAAGAAUUCCAGCUUGUUGGGAGAGACUAAAAAAAUGCUAUUAUUGAAGUCUUACAAGAACACGCUUCCACCUCACAAUUUCAGGCGAUCGCAGUGUGGGGAAUGGGUGGUCUUGGAAAAACCACUCUGUCAUGGUUCUAAGUCUGACAGUAGAAUGGGGGGUAGGUAUGGAGAGGCAAGAUCCUAGCUAUGGAGCAGUUGUACACACGAGUGUUUUACGAGUUCGGGCCCUUCUCGGAAGAAGUAACAGCCCUACGUCUCGGAGCCCGGAGGCGGCCGACUGGAUUAUGUGUGUGAAAGGUACAGGGGUGCGAACCCUUCUACCAGUGGAGGGGGGUGGCUUAUAUAGUGGACGCCAGGAGCCCAGCCAGCCCACGUAGCAGAGGGUUAAAGUACAUUAAGGUCUGGCGUUACUGGUAACGCCCUACAUAAAGUGUCAUCAUGGCCAUUAAGACUACUUAAUUAUAGACCGUUUGGAUACAGAGUAGAUCUUGUUCCGAAAGGAGGUCCAAGCUCGCCCAUGACCCUGCGGCUGAUCGUGGCAAGGGAGUCGCGCCUGCUGGGCAGUCGACUAAACGUCCUCAGACAACUUCACCGGCGCCGACUGAAAAGGCGUCGAAGCAACCCCGAGCGGCCCCGUCAAAACCGGCGAAAGCCCUACCGAAGAUGAGGAUGGAGAUUCCGACUGUCUCUGGGUAACGGUCAUAAUCAAUGUUUUUCAUUCUUGGUCGAUUCGAUCGCUGACCGACUGAUAUUUGUAAAUCAUAGUGCUGCUACUUCCGAGACUUCAGCCAGGCAUGAGGAUCAAGAAAUGGAAGAUGCUGUGACUUCUCAGCCUGGUAUGAUCUGCGCGGUUUCUCUUUCGGUCGAUUGAAUCUUUAUUUUUGAUUUUGAACUUUUUCUGCAGCUCUGCCUAACGUUGUCAUCAAUCUUCCUGACAAUGACGACGAAGCGCCUCUGAGGCAGAGGAGGAGCAGGAAGGCGACUGUUGGCAAGGCUGCGCAGGUUAUGUCAGCACCUGGACCACAUAUUCCCGAGGGGGGCAAUGUUGCUCGGGCUACCGUGUCCUUUGCGGAGCCGUUGACGGUUGCCCGCCCUUCGUCGUGGAGUGCUGACCCGCCUUCUCUCUUCUCCACCUACCACGUCCUGGAGGACCAAGCAAGCGCUGCUAAGGAAGCCAUACGCCAGGCCGGAAUUAUGAUGGAGCAGGUGAAGGCGAUCCGAACCGCCAGCCAAGCAGCUUAUGACGCGAGCUCAGCUCUCCAGAGCAAUGUCCAGGUUAGUUGAACACCGACUGAAAAUCUUGAUAUUUGUCAUGCACCCACUGGGUGUGUCAAUUCUACAGUGGACUGCUGGCAGUCGACUAUAGUCUUUGUGUCUUGAGAUUUCUCGCUCUACUUGUUCCACUCGACCAUGGUCUAGUGGAACAAUUAAACUGGUGGGGGCACGCUGAGUGCACCCACUGGGUGUAGUCCCCGAGACCAUGGUCGAUUGCUGGCAAUCGGCUAUGGUCUGAAAAUUUCUCCCUUGUUUUUUUUAACAGUCAACUGCUUCCGGUCGACUGGUCGACUCUGAGUCUAGCUGAUAAAACUUGUGGGGGCACGCUGAGUGCACCCACUGGGUGUAGUCCCUGAGACUACAGUUGAAUGUUUAGAUUCAUAUGUAGUCUUAGAAAUAGUACGAUUUUUUCCUUUAGUCACUCGGAAGUGAUCUGUCGUUUGAUGUUUGUCGACUGAACUUUCAUAGUAAUCUUGUGACCUUGUUUCUCGUUAUACCGAAUUGGAGAACAAGUAUAUCCAGCUUGAGCUUGACCAAAAGCUUGUCCAAGAGAACUUCACGAAGGUGAAGGAGGAGGCAAAAGGUAUGUUCGGUGAGAAUCUUGACGACUGUCCUCCCCUCUUGCCUGUCUCCGAAUCUGAUCUUAUUGUGAUUUUCGCAGAAAAACUGAGGGAUGCUCUGAAGAAGAAGGAUCUUGACCUUGCCGAGGCGCAGAAAACGGCCGCAGACAAGACUAGGCUUGCAGAAGAGAAGUUGGCUUCCAUCAACAAACUUGAAGAAGAAAAUACUAAUCUGAAAGCUGCUCUUGACGUGGCCAACCAAGAAGUCACUCGACUGAAGAAUGCCAAUAUGGUCCUGGACGACAAAGCUGGUGAACUGGCAGGAAAAAAGAAUGACUUGGAGCUUUAUCUGGGAGGACUCGCCAAAAAGAUGUUCCUCAUGCUCGAAGGUAACCUCUUAUCUCUGAUUGGUAGUUACUGACUGGCUGUAGGGCAUUAGCUUAUUCUUGCAUCAUGUCCACAGAAUUCUGCCAAAACUUUGAAGAGGAGACUAGUCGAGUGGAAACUGGUUUGGAUCCCAUCAAUUCUCCGGUGAAGGACGAAACUGCUAUGAACGUGCUCCGCCUCGAGUCCCGCAUUGCUGCAGUGGUCGAUUACCUUGCAAGACUGAAGGCCGCUGUAUCGUGCAUCGACACAUCGCUCCGGCCAGAAGAAACACUUCAGAACGACCUUGAGUCGCUGAUGACUCGACUGACCGAGAUUCCGAGUCGAGUGCAAGAGUGGAAGAAGUCUUAUGCCAGGUGCGGUGCUGACGUCGCUCUGUCCUUGGUCCGCGUCCACUGCAAAGAAGCAAGAGAAGACAAGCUGGUGUCUCUCAAGGUGGCCAACACUAGGCAGCAUGACUUCCGUUCUUUCAUGGAGACCUUCAUCGCGGCUGCUACUCGGAUCGCAGAUGGGAUCGACCUGGACGAGUUUGUUGCGCCUUCCAGCCCUCCGCAGGAGGGGUAAAAAACUUUUAUGCUCGAUGAUUUGAAUUUGCCUCGGAAUGCCGGGUGAUUUUUGUAACCGCCAAACUUUAACAGGCUUGAUGCCUGAGCACUUUUGGGUCCGUAGGACGUUAUCCAAACUUGAUUUGCCGUUUGAAAUACGUUUGCUUCUUUCGGAUAACCGUCUUCUUUGGGUUGGAAUAUAUGCUAGCAUCUGAAAUGCUCUUUUGCAGGUAGGAGUGAAGCACAAAUUGCAGUCGACUUGUGCUCGUCAUGUUUGGGCAAGUGCUUGGUUGCAACCAAGCCUCCGAGUGAGAAGCUUGUUCUCCACUCAGAAGGAUUUAGAAACUUAGGCGAGCACUGAGCUGUAACUAAGCCCCCGAGUGGGAGGUUUGCUCUCCACUCGGCAAGAUUUUUAGAAACUAAGGCGAGCACUGAGCUACAGCUAAGUCCCCGAGUGGGAGGUUUGCUCUCCACUCGGCAGGAUUUUAGAAACUUAGGCGAGCACCGGGCUGCAGCUAAGCCCCCGAGUGGGAGGUUUGCUCUCCACUCGGCAGGUUUUUAGAAACUUAGGCGAGCACUGAGCUGCAGCUAAGCCCCCGAGUGGGAGGUUUGCUCUCCACUCGGCAGGAUUUUGGAAACUUAGGCAAGCACCGGGCUGCAGCUAAGCCUCCGAGUGGGAGGUUUGCUCUCCACUCGGCGGGAUUUUAGAAACUUAGGCGAGCACUGAGCUGCAGCUAAGCCCCCGAGUGGGAGGUUUGCUCUCCACUCGGCAGGAUUUUUAGAAACUUAGGCGAGCACUGGGCUGCAGCUAAGCCCCCGAGUGGGAGGUUUGCUCUCCACUCGGCAGGAUUUUUGUGGCGCGGUUUUGGAGGAGAAGGUAGCAGUCGACCUACGCUUCGUCCUCCUUGCGGGACGCACGUUGUGUUUGUGAUGUAGCUCGGAAGGAGGAAGCGGGGGUCGACCUGCGCCUCGUCCUUCUUGCGAAGCGUACAAUGUUUUUUAUUCUUAGGCGAACACAAGGUUGCAGCUAAGCCUCCGAGUGGAAGGCUAGCUCACCACUCGGUAGGAUUUUCAAAAAACUUAGGCGAGCACUGGGCUGUAGCUAAGCCCCCGAGUGGAAGGCUGGCUCACCACUCGGUAAGAUUUUGUUUACUUAGGUGAGUACUUGGACUGCAGCUAAACCUCUGAGUGCGAGGCUGGCUCACCACUCGGUAGGAUUUUGUUUUAACUUAGGCGAAAUGGAUUUGCAGCUAAGCCUCCGAGUGGGAGGCUGGCUUACCACUCGGUAAGAUUUUUUACAAGCUUAGGCGAAACGGGUUCGCAGCUAAGCCACCCACUGGGGGACAGAUUUAUGAGAGAAAAAGCAAUAACAAUCACUAAGAAAAUUAUGAAACACUUGUCUUUGAUGAAUACACUACAUGAGUACUUUUAUUACAACUCAUCCGAGCGAAAAACUUAAGUAUAGAAAGGGCAGAGUAAGUCUGCGUUCCUUGCUCUGGGCUCGUCAAUCUGGUGCUCGACAUUGUAAAGGCGGUAUGCCCCAUUAUGGAGAACUUUAGUGACGAUGAAGGGACCUUCCCAAGUAGGAGCAAGCUUGUAUGGUUUUUGCUGAUCCACUCGGAGAACUAAAUCUCCCUCCUGGAAAGCUUGACUCUUCACAUUUCUGGCAUGGAAGCGACGUAAGUCCUGCUGGUAAAUGGUUGAUCAGAUCAAGGCCAUCUCUCUUUCUUCUUCUAGAAGGUCGACCGUGUCCUGUCGGGCUUGCUCUGCUUCAGCUUCGGUGUACAGUUCGACUCGGGGUGCGUUGUGAAGCAGGUCACUCGGUAAGACUGCUUCAGCUCCAUAGACCAAGAAGAACGGAGUCCUCCCAGUCGAUCGGCUUGGCGUGGUCCUUAACCCCCAAAGCACUGAUGAAAGUUCGUCGACCCAUGCACCGGCUACGUGCUUGAGGUCACGCAUCAGUCUGGGUUUCAACCCUUUGAGAAUUAAGCCAUUUGCGCGUUCUGCUUGACCAUUCGACUGGGGGUGAGCGACCGAAGCAUAGUCGACUCGUGUACCUUGAGAUGUGCAGAAAGCUCUGAAUUCUUCGGAGUCGAAAUUUGACCCAUUGUCUGUGAUGAUGCUGUGUGGAACUCCAUAUCUGAAUACCAACUCCCUGAUGAAGCUGACGGCGGUGCCGGCAUCCAGAUUCUUGAUGGGUUUAGCCUCAAUCCACUUAGUGAACUUGUCGACUGCUACCAACACAUGGGUGUAGCCGUUUCUGCCUAUCCUCAGAGGUCCAACCAUAUCCAGUCCCCACACAGCAAAGGGCCAGACGAGUGGAAUGGUUUUCAAGGCUGAGGCGGGUUUGUGUGACAUAUUGGAGUAAAAUUGACAUCCUUCACACUUGUCAACUAUCUCUUUCGCCAUCUCAUUUGCUCUGGGCCAAUAGAAACCAGCUCGGUAUGCUUUAGCCACGAUGGUCCGAGAAGACGCAUGAUGGCCGCAGGUCCCCGAGUGGAUGUCGUUGAGAAUCAUUCGACCUUCUUCUGGUGUUAUGCAUUUCUGGCUGACUCCAGUCACACUUUCUCUGUAUAACUGUCCCCUCAUGACGGUGAAGGCUUUGGAUCGGCGGACGAUCUCCCGAGCCUCUUCUUCAUUCUCGGGGAGCUCUUUUCUCAGAAUAUAGGCGAUAUAGGGCACUGUCCAAUCGGGAGUGAUGACCAGAACUUCCAUGACCAAGUCGACCACAGCUGGGACCUCGACUUCAGUCGGAUCUGUGGCGCUUUUUGGCUGCGGGACUUCCUCAGUGAAAGGAUCUUCUUGAACCGACGGCGUGUGAACAUGCUCCAAAAACACACCACUCGGAAUGGCUUCCCUCUUGGAACCUAUCUUCGCCAAGUCAUCGGCUGCUUGAUUUUUCAGUCGGGGAACAUGAUGGAGCUCUAAUCCCUCAAAUUUCUUCUCCGGCUUUCUGACUGCAUUGCAGUAUCCAGUCAUGGCUGGGCUUCUGACGUCCCACUCCUUCAUCACUUGGUUGACUACUAAGUCCGAGUCACCGUAGACCAUGAGGCGACGGACGCCGAGUGAAAUGGCCAUACGCAACCCGUACAAGAGUGCUUCGUAUUCUGCUUCAUUGUUGGAGGAAUCAAAGUGAAUCUGGAGUACAUAUCUGAGCUUAUCUCCUCGGGGGGAAACCAAGACCACUCCGGCACCGGAACCAUUCAGAAUUUUGGAGCCAUCGAAGAACAUAGUCCAGUGCUCCGAGUGAACUUGGGUUGGUAACUGCUGUUCAGUCCACUCGGCGAGGAAGUCUGCUAUUGCUUGGGACUUGAUGGCUUUCUUUGUCUCUGUUGUGCAGAAUCUCUGAUAAGGGGGCGUCGGUGACGACUGUGAUAAUAUGGUCAGAGAAGUAGUGAGCAACUUUCUUCGUGGUCAUAUAAAUCCCGUAUACAAGCUUCUGAUAAUGAGGGUAUCGUUGCUUGGAUGGGGUCAGGACUUCGGAAAUGUAAUACACUUGGCGCUGAACUUUGAAGGCUUUUCCUUCCUCUUCCCGCUCGACCGUAAGUACAGUACUGACGACUUGUCCUAUGGCUGCAAUGUAAAGUAGCAAAGGCUCUUUGAUGAUUGGGGCAGCAAGCACCGGCUGGGUGGAAAGCAGGGUUUUAACUCUGCAAACGCUGCAUCAGCUUCUGGAGUCCACUCGAACUUGUCUGACUUCUUCAUCAGACGGUAAAGAGGCAAUGCCUUUUCACCGAGGCGAGAGAUGAAUCGACUUAAUGCGGCCAAGCAUCCAGUAAGUUUCUAGACAUCGUGCACACGCACGGGGCGUUUCAUUCGGAGUAUAGUGCCAACUUUUUCUGGUUUAGCAUCGAUUCCCCGUUCGGAAACGAGAAAACCGAGUAACUUUCCACCAGGAACUCCGAAUGUGCAUUUUGAUGGAUUAAACUUGAUAUCAUACCUCUAGAGGUUGGCAAAUGUUUCAGCUAGGUCAGUCAGCAGGUCGGAACCUUUCCGUGACUUGACCACAAUGUCAUCCAUGUAUGCUUCCACAUUCCGACUGAUUUGAGUGAGCAAACACUUCUGAAUCAUCCUCAUGAACGUGGCUCCGGCAUUCUUGAGGCCGAAUGGCAUGGUGACAUAACAGAAGCACCCGAAUGGGGUGAUGAAAGCCGUUUUGAUCUCAUCGGGUCCAAACAGACGGAUCUGAUGGUACCCGGAAUAAGCGUCCAAGAAAGAAAGUCGCUCGCAUCCCGCAAUCGAGUCGACUAUCUGGUCGAUGCGGGGAAGAGGAAAAUGAUCUUUCGGGCAGACCCGAUUGAUAUGCUUGAAAUCGAUGCACAUGCGAAGAGAAUUGUCUUUUUUGGGGACCAUGACGACAUUGGCGAGCCACUCGGAGAGGUAAAUCUCUUGGAUAAACUCCGCUGCUAGGAGCCGAGCCACUUCUUCGCCAAUGGCCUUUCUUUUCUGGACGGCCGACCAUCGCAGAUGUUCCUUCACAGGUUUUGCCUUCGAGUCGACAAGUAGACGAUGCUCAACCAGUCCCCUGGGUACACCCGGCAUGUCAGAAGGUUUCCAUGCGAAGAUGUCCCAGUUCUCAGGAGGAACUGGAUGAGCGCUUCUUCCUAUUUAGGGUCGAGUGUUGUGGAGAUAUGAGUCGGAGCAGCGUUUGGGUCGGUCGGGUGGAUGUGAACGGGUUUUGUCUCACCGGACGACUGAAACGCUAAUUCCAUGGCAGGCUUCUUGGCUCGCAACAAAUCACUCGGGUCUGCGUUCCUUUGGUGUUCUUGCCACUCUUCUGCCACCAUCUGAGCAUCGGCAAUUUUCGAGCCCUUCUGGAAGCACUCUUCCGCCUUCUUGUGGUUACCAGUGACAGUGAUCACGCCUUUAGGGCCUGGCAUCUUUAGUUUGAGAUACACGUAACAUGGUCGAGCCAUAAAAUGUGCAUAAGCUGGCCUGCCCAAAAUUGCAUGAUAGGCACUCUGGAAAUCCACAACCUCAAAUGUCAGCUUUUCUUUGCGGAAACUCUUUGAAUCACCAAAAACUACGUCAAGAGAAAUCUGGCCGAGUGAUGCGGCCUUCUUGCGAGGGAUGACUCCAUAAAAACUCAUGUUGCUUGUGCUCAGCCUGGACAUCGGAAUGCCCAUCCCUUUUAGCGUCUCAGCAUAUAGUAUAUUCAAACUGCUGCCGCCAUCCAUCAACACUUUGGUCAGUCGAGUGCCCUCAACGACCGGGUCGACCACCAACGCUUGCCUCCCAGGGGUGGCUAUGUGUGUGGGGUGAUCAGAUUGGUCGAACGUAAUGGCGGUCUGAGACCACUUCAGGUAAUUGGGUGUUGACGGAGCAGCCAUGUUCACCUCUCAGUUUAUAACUUUCAGUCGGUUUUUGCUUUCAACAUCGGCAAAAAUCAUCAAGGUGGAAUUGACCUGCGGAUAUUCUCCGUCACUAUCCUCCUUGUCCUCAACUUUGUCUGACUCUUUUCCUUUGUCCUUGGACUGCUUUCCUUGGAACUGCUGUAUCAGGAGUCGACAUUGUCGAGUGGUAUGCUUCGGGUAGAUGAAAUUACCCUCUUCGUCCUUCUUGGUGUGGAUGUGACAUGGCAAAUCCAACACGUCAUUUCCUUCUUUAUGUUUUACUUUCUUGGGGUUCCAAGGCCCCUUGGGUUUCCCUUUGAAUUUUCCUUGGUUCAGGGCUAAGGCUUCUUCAGGUGCAGCUGGCUCAGCUUUGCGCUUUUGUUUUCGACUGGAAUUUCCACCUCCGGUGUCUUGGGCGACUGACUUAUGUUUGCCACUCCGGAGCCGAUCCUCUUCCUCACCAUUGGCAGAUUUGGUGGCUAUUUCCAUCAUUCGACUCAGAGACAUGUCUCCUGUUCGACCGAAUUUCAGGCUUAGCUCUCUAUACUUUACACCCUCCUUGAAGGCGCAGACCGCCUGGUGGUCGGAUACAUUUUCUACUGUAUGAUGCAGUGUGAUCCACCUCUGGAUGUAAUCUCUCAGAGUCUCAUUCGACUUCUGCACACAAGACUGCAGCUUUGUCAGUCCUGCUGGCCGCUUGCAUGUUCCUUCGAAUGUCCUGACAAACACUCGGGAGAGGUCCUCCCACGUGUAGAUGCUGCUGGGUGUCAACUGAUUCAGCCAUGCCCUGGCUGACCCUUCCAACAUGAGAGGCAAAUGUUUCAUGGCCACCUCGUCAUUUCCACCGCCGAUCUGAACAGCCACUCGGUAGUCCUCAAGCCAAGUGUCGGGCUUGAACUCACCGUUGAACUUGCUGACCCCAGUCGCCAACCUGAAGUUGGGAGGAAUCACCGCGGCUCUGAUGGCUCUGCUGAACCACUCUGGUCCGGAGAUGUGCACUCGGCUGCUGGUGGGUACAUCUCUGUCAUUACCCUCUCCAUGGGCUCUGUUCCGGUCGACCAGGCCUUGAACGAUGAUGGAUCUUGCAUCAAAGCCUGGUUCUCUGGGGUCGACUGGAAUUCUUCGCCCGCCACUGUACUGGCGUCUGUCGUCCUGCUAUCGAGGCAUAUAUGAUCCACCCCUCCGGGGAGGAGUGGGCGCUCGACGUCGAUCGUUGCGAUCGACUCGGUGAUCAUCAUGCUCAUAGUUCCUGUACUGAUCGUGUCGGUCACCACGCCCUUCACGCCUCGGGGGCGAUUUGGGGCUAUGCGCUGACUGGACAGUAUUCGCUGCCACGGGCCUGCUAUGAAUCCUGUUCCGCGACUGCGACAUAGCUGAAUUCUGAUCUCCAGCUGCCGGGAGCAAAUCCCUGAUCUGCAUCAAUCCUCUGCCAGCCUCUGACUGGGAAGGCUGGAUCGACUCUGCUAUACGUGUUGCAGCUGCUAAAUUAUGGAUUGGAGUGCGGUAUACCUGAGUCGGAGGUUUAAAGAGUUGGCGUCGACUGGAGUCUGGAACCCGUUGCCGCGCGCGCUCGUCGAAUGCCUGCUGAAGGUUCUCCAGUCGAGUGCGCUCAGCCAGGUUGGCCAAGCGCGCGUCCUCUAAGGCGCGAGCCUCAGGGGUUUCCCCAACGAUCGGAGUAUGAAGUGCAUCCAUGUUCCGGCGGCGAAGCUCUUCCCUCUGCUGUGAGUCGAGGGGCUCGGGGCGGUACUCCUCAUGGUCGUGCGACGGGUCGCCUCCGCCGUUGCCUCCCUUGGUGCCAGGAAAGCCGGGGGGAACGUGCGGUCCAUUGACCAUCAGGACCUCCGUCGCCGGAUCACUGCUGUCGCAUUCGGAUGCAGUCUCUGCGGAGCCAGUCGACAGGUCGAACGGGCCGUAGAGAGAUUCGUCGGGCUCGAUUGCCGCGACUUGGGCAGUGGUCGACUGGCGAGCCACUGCGUGCCUCACCCACCGCUGAAGCCUCGACCGACCGGAGCACUUACGCCGGCGGGAAGCUGAGAGGGAGGAUGACACGAAAACCGGCCGAUAGUGAGUCGACGGUUGCCGCAGAAGGACGCCGCGGAUGCACGCUCGAAAAUGUGUAGCUCCGCGGACCGGGAGCGCAUCCACGUCGAGCGGGGCCUCCUGCAGCCAGGCAGAGUCGUCGGUGAUGAAUGUGAGCGCGCCGAGACGGAUCUCGCGGCCCUCAACCAAAACUCCAACUGAAACCAUGAUGAUGGGAAUUUGAAAAGAUUGCAACUUCUCCAACAAAUCGCUAAGACACCUGCCGCACGGUGGGCGCUAAUUGUCGUGGUUCUAAGUCUGACAGUAGAAUGGGGGGUAGGUAUGGAGAGGCAAGAUCCUAGCUAUGGAGCAGUUGUACACACGAGUGUUUUACGAGUUCAGGACCUUCUCGGAAGAAGUAACAGCCCUACGUCUCGGAGCCCGGAGGCGGUCGACUGGAUUAUGUGUGUGAAAGGUACAGGGGUGCGAACCCUUCUAUCAGUGGAGGGGGGUGGCUUAUAUAGUGGACACCAGGACCCCAGCCAGCCCACGUAGCAGAGGGUUAAAGUACAUUAAGGUCUGGCGUUACUGGUAACGCCCUACAUAAAGUGUCAUCAUGGCCAUUAACACUACUUAAUUACAGACCGUUUGGAUACAGAGUAGAUCUUGAACUCCUGGUGGUCGAGUGAGUCUUCAUGGUCGAGUGUCUUCAGGUUCGUCGAGUGUCUUCUAGCCGGUCGAGUGGAAUCCCUCUUGGUUGACUGGAAGACGGCUUCUUCUAAGAGAUGUCCUUGGGGAGGGUACCUUGGACAGGUCCGUAACCCUAUCCUAGGUACAUGACUUCAUCACACUCUGAUCAAAGAUAUUUACCAAAGUCAAGAGGUCAAUGAAAUGUUUGGUAAACAUGCUUUUGUCACAGUCUUGCGACCUUUCAAGCUUGAGGAGCUCCUGAGGAGCUUAAUAUACCAGUUAGAAGCAAAGAAGAGCGCCAUGGACUUUGCGUUUGGUACCAAAGAAGAUAUUGGUUCGAUGGGGGUUAAAGAGUUGACAGAAGUGUUAUGUAAACGUUCACAAGGAAAAAAUGUCUGAUUGUUCUCGAUGACCUAUCAUCCACCACUGAAUGGGAUAAAAUAAUGCUGAGUUUACUUGCAAUGAAGAAUCCAAGCUUGGUUAUUGUGAUCACAACAAGGCAAGAGGAUAUUGCUAAACAUCGUUGCAAGAAACCAGAGUACAUGGAACAAAAGGAGUGCAUACACUUUCUUAGUGUUCUACAAGACAAGGAUGCAUGUGAUCUCUUCACAAAAAAGGUAUUAGAGUUGUUACUUGUAUUUCUUUAGGAUGGGUCAUGUCAGAUUAGUGUAGUGUAGCUCCGCUGGACCACGAUUUGGAGGAGAUACUUCCAAAUGGUUGCAAAACGUAAGAUGCAGCCACCACCAUGACCGAUGUCAUAGGGUCAUCAUGUUGGAAUGUUGUACUUUCAGUAAUUAAACAAAAACACUGAUUAUGUUAACCAUUGUCUAGUUAGGCCAGGUUAGGUUAGUAGCAGACCGACAAUAAUUACGGCUCCACCACUGCUCUUAUAUCAAAAUUAUACUUGAGGCAAUGGUUAAAACAAUGUCAUGUAAUUAGAACGAGUUUCAUUUCUUUGAAUUUUCCAAUUUGUUCAAAACAGUAUUUUUUUUCUUCCGAUAGUUUAAUAUGAACACAUUACUGUAAUAGUAUAUUCUUUGUUUUCCAUUUUAUAACUUAGUGAUAUCACAUAUUUCAAGCUCUGAAUAUAUAUUUAAUAAAUGUGUCCAUGUGAAUUUUAUUACAAAAAUAUGUUAAGGGAUGUGCACAAUAAGUUAACACUUAACUUAUAUAUUGGUUUAUUUUAUAGUAAUCAAUAUAGUGUGAUCUUAUUUGUCUUACAUACAAAAUUACUCCCUCUGUAAACAAAUAUAAGAGCGUUUAGAUCACUGCUUUAAUGAUCUAAAUGCUCUUAUAUUUCUUUAUGGAGGGAGUACAUGUAUGGAACUAUGUUCGGCCACAUUGUAUGUUUACUCACCACCAAACUUAACUGAGACAAACUAGUUAAUAAACAAAGUAGAAAGAUUUUUUUUCUCGCACCUAAUUCAUUUGAUUGUAGUGUAGUAAAAAUACUAAUUAUAUUUCCCACCAUUGCAGGUAUUUAAGAAUAAAAUCACAGAUUUGGCUAAGCAUUAUCCUGAAUUGGUUGAACCAGCAAAACUAAUCCUAAAGAAGUGUAAUGAACUUCCUCUUGCCAUAGUCACCAUAGGUGGUUUCUUGGCAGACCAACCAACGAAAACUGCGGCAGAGUGGAGAAAAUGUUCGUUCCAGCAAAAGAGUUUGCUACUUGUAGCAAGAAAAUAAAAAAGAACAAAAAUCAUGGCAGCCAUGUCGUUCGCCGCCGAGCACAUCAUCUGCCCGUUGCAACAGAAAAGCAAGCAGUUCCUGCAAAAAUCAAACAUGCUUCCAGCAAAAAAACAAAAUCAAAAAUAACAACUUAUUCUCAGCCACCGCCACCACCGCUGGCAACCACCACCAUCGCUGGCUGAAGCAAAAUACCCCUGGUCGGGUUUCAGCACCACACAUGUAAAUGCCUAAAUUCAAAUUUGCGGUCUGCUGGCGGGGCCGUGUCAUGUGGUCUGAUUAUCAAAGUGAACUCCCAGCAUAUGUGGACCGAACUUCUGCAUCUAGUCAAGGACCCGAGAAACAAUCAUCUCUUUUGAUUCAGAACAUGAGAUGAAAUUACUUGUCGUACAGAUGGAUAUAUGUAGAUGUAUUGUGGUUCUAGAUACAUCCAUUUUUAUCCAUUUCUGCGACAAGUAAUUCGGGACGGAGGGAGUAUAUAGACAACAGAAAGACAUGAUUUAUCUCGUGACUUUUGGUUUUCGAUAUGACAGAGAAAACACUAGUCUUUGCCGACACCAUAAUCAUGACCACGCGAGAAUAAGGUUCGGAAGUGAAACCAAACCUAUUGACAUCACAAGAAAAAAAUGUGUUAAACAAUUUCCCUCCCUUCAAAUAUAAGUGCCGCAACAGGUGAGCCAGCACAUGGAUGGCCCGGGCAAUCCCUCAAUAGUAUAUAAUUGUACAAUUUUGGUGUUUAGGUGAAAGAUAACCGGGUAUACGGUAGAAGUAUACCCUAGAAAGAUACUCGGUAAUCAAUCCACACAGUGCCGACCAAUUUCAACCUCUAGCUUGCUUGUUGCUAGCAACCUGCACCGUUUUGAUAACUCGACGCUGCAAUGGCGGAGCACCAGUUCUUCCAGGGAAGGUGGGAGACCCUCCUUCAGAAGCCCUGAGAUGUGGUUACAACUUCAGAUCUUCAACCUCUUGAGGGAAAGGAAGUCACGCAGCCCCACAGGAAGAUCUACGAGAUGCCUACAAUACUCAAACUGGAGCUCGAACUGAGCUUCAGAAUGCAUCAUCUAGAUAUCCUGAUGACGAAGCCUCGAAAGCUAGGAGAAGGUAUGAUUACAUCUUUCUUUUCUCUUCUAUCGUUAACCGCUUCAGUUGUGGCCAGUAACGUAAAUCUAGUUCUUUUUGGGUUGGCAAAUGUCGCAGUAUCAGAGAUAACUACUUCCCCGUUAUUCUAUAUCCUCUAAUAUCAAGACUUUUAAGAGCUGGGAGAGCAGCAUCAUUUGUAGUUAUCAUGUCUUCGUAGGUCUGCUCUGGCACAUCAUCUGAAGAGAAAAGUUUCAUAUAGUUCACAAUUUUCAAACUCUUUAAAGAGAUGAGCUGACUUAAACCUUCGAAGGAAAUAGAUAUUAGGUUUUAACACUCCCCUAUUUCCAAGUAUUUGAUAUCCUUAAGAUUAUGAAAUGCCAAAAUUUUCUCAUUGAGUGCCAUCAUCUCACUAGAAGGCUCACACAAAAGCCUACUUUUACUAAUUUUAAUUAUUUCUAUGGAACAUCCCUCCAUUGCCAUAAUUGUUGAAACUCAGCGGAUUAAUAGUUCAGAAAAUAUGACUUAAGGCGGAAGGGCGAUAUAUACUUGAAAAUAAGGACAACCACACAUGACGAGUUUCUUUAGAGUCUGGGUGACCAUGCCUUAUGCACAAUUUCGUAGUGAUGACCUUUCCGAAACAGAUCAAACACGUAAGUGUAGGACAACUCUGGAUCCCCAUCACCCUUAAACUAUAGACUUCUUAUCCCCCACAGAAUUACACGAAUAAAUCUAGCAUUCCAUCUAAACCAGCUCCUCCAAUGAUGAUAUCAAUACUUCCAUUACUCUUCGCAGGUUGCUCAACUUCAACUUUUUAAGAAAUCGAAGCAUUUCCAGAUAUUGAAGUAUUCUUCACUCUACGCAAUCCUAUAGAUGAAGCAUAUGUAAUGACUCAAAGAAAGCAACAUCCAAUACAUGAAGAUGGAAACUUGCUCAAAACAUGAGGCAAAUCCUUGUGCUCACUUUUCUUAAUUUCCACUAAACCAUUCCGCAAACCUAUUAAUUUCUCUUGCAAUCUUCCUAUCUAAUCAUAAGUCCGUGAUAAAUGGGACCGAUACAUGUGUUGGCACCGUAUAUACAAUGACGAAACAAAUAUUAGGCUCGAAGUGAGUUAAACCAUAUAACAUUGUACUAAACUUUCAUACUUACUUAAAUUUAUUAUGUUAAUCUAUAAAUUUAACUAUUAUAUCUUUUUAUAUAGAAACAAUUAAUCUUAACAUUCUUUCAUAUAAAUUUCUAGCAUCUAUCAUUGGAAGAUACACCACACGCAUACCAUACUAAAUGUAAACCAUAUCACGUAGCCACAAUUGUUUCUCUAUUUUCAAAUAAUAUAUCUUAAAAAUAUAUGUUGGAACCCCUUAAACCUUCAAAAUUAAAAAUAAUGGACUAUCAUAGCACCACCGAUUAUUAUAUCAAACUCGCGUCUAAUUAUAGUGUAUGUAUGUGUAUCAUGGCGCGUAUAAAUUAAUUCUUAAAUAUCUCGACGCAGAUACAUAAAGCAUACAAUUUUACAUAUAUCCCAAGAUGGUUUCUGGUGUAAUAGUCACACACAAAUAGAAUAUAGUAUAUAAUGUUUUUUAUGAGGAGACUACCACCUAAUAGCUGGCAUGAUGCUUUAACUGUGAUCAAAUGGUUUCAAUGGUAAUUUCAAAUUAUACACGAAUCACUCANNNNNNNNNNNNNNNNNNNNNNNNNNNNNNNNNNNNNNNNNNNNNNNNNNNNNNNNNNNNNNNNNNNNNNNNNNNNNNNNNNNNNNNNNNNNNNNNNNNNNNNNNNNNNNNNNNNNNNNNNNNNNNNNNNNNNNNNNNNNNNNNNNNNNNNNNNNNNNNNNNNNNNNNNNNNNNNNNNNNNNNNNNNNNNNNNNNNNNNNNNNNNNNNNNNNNACGAAAAACCAACCUCAGAAGAGAAACUUUACAGUGGGUUGCAAAAGCACAAGAUUAGGCCACCAUGACUCAUGUUGUACACUCAUCACUCAUGAAUAGUAUAGUUUCAACUGUUAGCAAUUAGACCAAAAAACUGUACAUCACACAUUGCACGGGUUAUUAGCCUCAAGCCAACAAUAUUACAUGAACUCACCGCUUAUCAAAUUAUACAUGACUCAUUUUUUUUGGAGCAACUGGCAGGAGCUCUGUAUUUUUGGGUAGACGUUCACAAGGAAAGAGUUGCUUCAUCUCAACACACUCCUAGAGCACAAACACAUUCUGUCAAACCCAACUUGACCAGGGUUAUGGCCUCCUAAGGCGACACCUCCAUAAGCAACGGGAAAGGUCACUGCCGCCCAUUCGAACAAGGGCCGUAAACUUGGGCUUUUGCACGGAUGAUCUGGAAAACGUUGUUGGCUGGAGAUGAGACGGAGCAUCCAUGACGCCUCCAAGGAGGAGAACAAAGUCUGCGGGCACUGUCAUUCUGUGCCAACCAAAGCCGAGCUGAGUUUUCACCUGGAGCUCUGGUGUUCCCACAACAGUUGCCUACCAACGCUAUUCCCAUUCACCACUUACAAGUUCCAACGCAUUACCACUCGGUGCCCUGCCGCCCACGUCCACACGACCAGCGACCGGAACUGCAACGGUCUCAUCCUAGAACCGCCGCUCCUGCUUCCAUGUGUGCAGCAAACAAGCCCCCAAUUAAGCAAGCUGAGGCAGACGCAGCCAAAUCUGGAGCCGUUGCUCCAGAAUAGAGCCGCGUGAUGCAGCACUGUUGCUACCACCCGUCGACUUGGAUGGCACAUUUUUUUGUCAGACUCUGGUGAAUCAUUUCUUUUCCGAUUCAUGUUUUGUGAUGAUUUUUUUGUCUCACAUUUUCAAUUCCUUUUACACUAGACGAAAACUGUGAUAGAUCCAUCGCGUUCUCAAGCUCUUUGUUUUUGAAAAUCUUUCACUUAAAAUUGUUUGGUUGGUGUAAAGACCAAUUUAUUAGCAUGGGGAUUGUGAGAAACAACUGCAUCCUAAUUAUUUUUGGUCAAUCUUCUUAUUUCUUUUAGUUGAGGCUCCAUUAUCACAUUCGUAGUUUGGUAGAUCAUACUCAUUUUUUGGUUGAGAUUAAUCUGUCUGCUGCAGUGUCUUUACCUCCUUGAAGGCAUCAACGUGGAGAAGCUCCAGACCUCUGUCCGCUACCUCCGCUGGAAAACCUAGAUCAGUAGAUCGAAUGAGGCAGCGCUCUGGUAUCGUUUCCCCCUUGGGUGCGUCAUUCUUGAAGAUGUACACGGGCUCGAGGGACCAGUGGAUGGCUUCUUUGGUGGAGCGGUGCUUUAUCUUACUCGUUGAUGGCGGCGAUCUCGGCGGCUGGCGCAGGGGAGACUCGGCGUCCUAUGCGCGGAGAUGGACUCGCAUAGGAGGAGGACGCUAUCUGGUGCCAUGGUGGCAACGAUGGCGAAGAGGCCUAGCAAGGUCUUUAGUUUCUGCUCUGAAGAUGGAUUGGUCGAAGACGGCGGCGAUGACACAUGAGAGUGCGUCGGACCAGUUUGUACCCCAAACCCAGUAUGUGGCUCGAUUGGUGCCUCCCGCUUUAUAUGUUAGGCUUUGGUGCGAAGUCUGUUUGGUAUUAGGCUCGGACUAUCGGCACCCCUUCAUCAAAUGGAUAGGAGUAGCGACAUUUGUUGCUAAGAUGGUGGCUUCAGACUACCUGAUGUACUAUUUUGUAAUGCCCUCGUGAGCAAUUAAUAAAAUGGCUACAUGCAUCACCCAGAUGCAGAGGCCGGGGGUAAUCCUCCUUUUUUUUAAAUAACUUAAUGUGGUUCAUCUUGAGACUUGAGUGGUACUUUGGAAAUGUUAACAAUUCUAGAGUUUUAGAAGAAAUAUUUAAUCGUGAACUUACAUUUCACGAUAAAAGGGUUUUCUCUACUUUAUAUUAUAAAAUAACCAUCCGAUACAUUUAGCUCGCUGGGUCCGCAGCACAAACAAUCCCAAAAGGAAAAACAAGAGAAAGGAAAGAGAAACAAAUGCCGCCACCGACAGAUCAACGAAGCGAAAAAGACCGACUAUAUAUUUAUUAUGUGUGUUGAAAAAUAUAUGUUUAGAAACCUACAUCCGCUAAGAAUCCGAUGACAUGCUUUUGGUGAUAUAUAACUCAUAUUUAGUUAGUCAAAUGAAUGACGUAGAACUAUGUGCACACUCUCUAAACCGAGACUGAGGGAGUAGUGUAUGGCAGAAAAUGAGAAUAAAAUGGUCCCACCAGCACGCAUCUUGGCGCGCGCAAUGAAUGGCGGAUUUGUUGCGGCAAGGUAGCAUCACGGCGCAAAAUGACUUUCCGCUGAUCCUUGGCCGCUCUCGAUGAUCCUUGGCCGCUCUCGAUGUUGACACCGUGGAGUUGGUCUUCUGGUUUGACUCAUUUCUUCUCCUUUGCCUUGUAGUCGCCGCAGUCUGGCUCCAACUUGGUGCACGCCUUGGUCGUGAAGGGCACGCUCGCAUGUCUUUGUCUUUCGGGUGGACGUAUCGAUCGUGUGGAAAAUCUGUAGAAUUUUUUGUGAGUAGACCCGUCAAUUGGCAGGAGUCAGGGUGGCCCGUGGAUUAAUUGGAUGGUUCUCGGUAGUUCCCUGCACUGCACACGGCCACAGGCAUAAACGUAUCCUUCUCCUUGGCCACAAAACCAGACGUACCCUUGACCAUUGAAAAUUUGCAAGGCGUAGUGUUGCCAAACGGCUACUAUCAUAUCAGCUGGCCGACAAGCUGACGACCCGCGGGUCAUGCACGUCGUAAGUACUGGUGUGGUAACUGACCUGGCGAUGAUCGUAAUAUCCGAUGGGGCAUCCAGCUUUUUAAUACGCCAUGCAUGCGUACAUAGGCAGCAUGCAUACACUCUCACUAGUACUAUUAUUGAUCCUAUCGCCACCAUGACACGAAACCAACCACCAACACCUAGAACAAACUUGCCCGCCGCCGGAGCCACAAUGAUCGCCUUGUCCUUUUGGUUGGCGUGCUUGGCGGCAGCUCUACAGCCAACGUCGGCUGCCGACGCCGGAAGGGGCGGGAUCUUGCAUACCCCUUCUGCCGCCGAGCUGCAUCAGGCUCGUUGCCCUUCCAGAUGCGGGGAUGUAGACAUUCACUAUCCGUUCGGGAUAGGGCCGGGCUGCUUCCGGCAAGGCUUCGAGCUCACCUGCGACAACACCACUAGUUCUUCGAGGCUCUUUCUAGACAACAGUACCACUGAGGUCCUUGAGUUGUCUCCCGGAGAAAAUUUGCUUGGAGUCUCUCCUAUCCACUUCAACGUCACCAUGAAACCAGGUAUGAACGACACCUAUAACAUGUCAUGGGAGGCCCCUGUUAAAGGUCUUAUGGCCUAUAAAGAAACAGGCUUGUUCGUUGUUGGCUGUGGUGUGGGUGUCUACUUGUUCGGCCAUGAUACCAACAAGCCCAUAGGUUCUUGCACGAGUAUUUGCCUAGACAACAAAGAGGCCAUGAGGGAGGCAAAUGCAAAUCAGUACUCUGGCGAUGUUGGGAUGGGAUACUGUUCCAUCCGUAUGCAGCAGGAAGUGCGAGCCUUUGGGUUCAUAGUUGGCCGCCUUAAUGGUGGCCUCUCAGCUCUAUCAAGUCAAGGUCAGGGGCUCUCUAAUAGUAGUAUCAAAGUUUUCUUGGCGGAAAAUUACAAUUUUCAUACGGUUGACAUCUAUUCAAGUAUGAUAGACGAACAGAAUGUUGACGGGCCAUAUUUUAGAAUGGCCAUCACGGAUCAACCAAACUGUGAAAGUGCCCAGAAGAACAAGUCAAGCUAUGCUUGUAGCGAUAACAGUGAUUGCCAGGAUCAGACAUCUGGAGGCUACUCCUGUCGCUGCCGCAGUUACGCAGAUGACGAGAAUCCGUACAUUAUGGACGGCUGUCAAGGUCAGGAAUUUACUCAUUACUUAGGAUUAUACAUAAAAAUAUUCAACUCGCAUGUCAUGAAUAUUGGAUUCAAAUAUGCAUGAUUGAAUAUUAUGGGAAUUUUUGCACCAAUGAUAUUAAUAUAACUUUGCUUCUCUGUUUAACACUCGGUGUCAUUUUUUAUUGGGAAAAAAUCAUUAUGCAUCCUAGGUAAAAUAUAUAGCUACUAGUGCUAAGAAAAGGCACUAAUUGUAUUCUCGCCCAAGACUCAAAAUUGCUUGUCAUAGAAGUUUGAAAAUCAGCACGCACCUUUUUGUAGAAUAUUUGACACAUUUGGAUGCUAUAAUAAAAGCAUAUCUCUAGUCCAGAUAGGAUGGCCAUUAAUUCCCAUGAUCCUAAUGUAACUUCUCAUGGGUCGAUAUCCCAGUGUAACUUCUUCCUAUGUCAAUCCAUUUGCAGCAAGUUACACUCCCAAUCCUAAAGAAGGUUGCAAGAGAUUAUGCGGGAACACAAACAUUCCCUUUCCUUUUGGGCUUGGAAAAGAUUGCUAUGCUGCCGAAAAGUUCCGGCUUAACUGUACAUCAGAAAAUAUUACAAUUCUUGAUCAAGGUGCCAAAUACAUUGUGGGCAACAUUUUAGUGAAUCAAGGAUAUCUUACUGUUAGAGAAAUACAAAACAACUCAAGGUACAACGAUGAAGAUCUUGCGGUAGUAAGUUAUACAACCGAUGGGAGCAUGGAAAUAGAAGACAUCAUCGAUCAAUAUGGUUUUUAUUUAUCUGAUGAAUACGACAUGAAGAUGUGGUGGUCUGUCGAUAAUUUAACCUGCCCGAUUGAUAUGAGCAAGCAAAGAAGUGCUACGUACGCAUGUCGUAGUGUCAAUAGCGCUUGCAUUCCUGUCUCCCGUCACCAUGGGAAUGUGAUGAUGCAGCUCGGCUAUCGUUGCCAGUGCUCUCCCAAUUACGAGGGAAAUCCAUACACACCGGAUGGCUGCACAGGUAAAUGCGCUCCAACUUCCAUUACAAAUUUCCAUCCAACCGCAUGCAUGAUUUUCCUAGUACAUGAAAUGAUUGACUAGAAUUCUGAUAAUGAUACAUCUAGCAGGAUUCAUGUGUUGCAAUUCUUCUAUCUCUUGAUCUAAAGAGUUGGUUUCCUCUUUUUUUUAGCGGAGUUACGCUAACUAGGUCGAUAUCCAAGUCAUACUACUCAUACUACAUGGUUCAGUUUAGUUGUGUGCAUCAUAUGAUGUAGAGACCAGGAGGGUGAUAAUUUUAUUACUUAAAAAAAGGUACAUUACGCUAAAUGGCUAGGCGCACACCAGUAAUAGAGUUUGGCUAAUUCAUGAAAAUGCCAAAAUAGGGCUUGAUCCCUACUUGAGCUUUGUUGCUUGAGCUAAGGCUGGAUACCACCAUCAUGUAUACGUUUAAUCUUAUACAACCAUUUUUCUUUUGUCUUUUAGAAUAAGUUCAGACAAACUUCCGAAACAUUAGUGGCAAUGGCAUACACAUAAGCAUGUAAAUUCGCCUCAUGGAAAUGAAAAAAAUGUUAUUAACAUAUAUAAGCAUGUAAUAUUAGUUUUCUAUACAAUUUGGUUGUUUACUAAGAUGUACCUAGAAACAGUAAUGGCCAAUGCAACAUUUUGGAGAGCACGUUGAUGUAUAGAGGUAACUUCAAUGUGUGUUGGAUGAAUGGUAGGCCAAGGGUGACCUAGCUUUGGUUCCACAUUUACUACUAAUUGUUUUCAGGCAUCAUUCAUUGCUCACAUGCCUACCAAUUACAGAUGUCAACGAGUGUUUGUUGAUGAAUACUUGCAAUGGCACAUGCCAAAAUUAUCCUGGGGGCUAUAGUUGCAAAACCUGCACUCAUGGAAAAGAGUUUGAUACAAUAAAACGGAGAUGUGUCACAUCAGCAAAGAGACACAGCCUUCUCUUAGGUAAGUCAUAUCGAAAUUACUUACCUCAAUAGAAUUGCAACUUGAAAAUUAAGGACAUGUUUUAACAACUACUACUAGAUGUACAGGUAUUGGAAUUGGAAUUGGUUGUGGCCUUGGUGCGAUAAUACUUGCGCUAGGUAUAAUGGCAUUCAUCAGCAAGUGGAAGAGAGGCAUACAGAAGAGAAUACGAAGAGCAUACUUCAAGAAAAAUCAAGGGCUACUCUUGGAAUCACUAAUAUUAGACUAAAGUGCCACAGAUAAAACAAAGAUAUUCUCCUUGGAGGAAUUAGAUAAAGCAACAAACAACUUUGAUGUCAGUCGUAUUCUUGGUUGUGGAGGACAUGGCACAGUUUACAAAGGGAUUCUAUCCGAUCAACGUGUAGUGGCCAUAAAAAAGUCUAAGUUGGUGGAGCAAACUGAGAUUGACCAGUUUAUCAACGAGGUUGCCAUCCUAUCACAAAUCAUUCAUCGGAAUGUGGUCAAGUUUUUUGGUUGUUGUCUCGAAACAGAAGUGCCUUUGCUAGUUUAUGAGUUCAUAUCCAAUGGCACACUAUAUGAUCUUCUUCACAUUGAUGUAAGUGUUCAAUGCUUACUUUUAUGGGGUGAUCGCAUUAGGAUUGCUGUAGAAGCUGCAGGUGCUCUUGCUUAUCUCCACUCAGCUGCUGCAAUACCAAUUUUCCAUAGAGAUGUCAAAUCUUCCAAUAUACUCCUAGAUGGCAACUUUACUACCAAGGUUUCCGACUUUGGUGCUUCGAGGUCUUUAUCGCUUGAUCAGACACAUGUAGUGACAAUUGUACAAGGAACUUUUGGUUACUUAGACCCCGAGUACUACCACACUGGGGAGCUAAGUGAGAAGAGUGAUGUUUAUAGCUUUGGAAUUAUACUGGUGGAGCUUCUGAUGAGAAAGAAGCCAAUUUUUAUUAAUGAAGAAGGUAUAAAACAAAGCUUGGCUCAUUACUUUGUGGAAGGACUUCAGCAGGGAGUUCUCAUGGAAAUCAUGGAUCCCCAAGUUGUAGAAGAAGCCAACCAGAAUGAAAUUGAUGAAAUUGCCUCAGUUGCGGAAGCAUGCUUGAAAACCAAAGGAAGAGAAAGACCUACAAUGAAAGAGGUGGAAAUGAAGUUGCAACUCCUAAAAACUAGAAGAUUAUGGAGUCAACUUCCUCCCAUAAAUGAUGGAGAGAUCGAGUCACUUGGGUGCCUAAAUGGCGCUAGCUCUCAUGCACAGAGCAACAACAUUGUCAGUAAUGUUAGCUUAACACCUACAUGCAGCUCCGGAAAGUACAGUCUGGAGCAAGAGUUUUUGAACUCGGCCAGCUUGCCACGCUAGCGAAGAACACAGUGGGAUGAUCAUCUGCUUACUAAGCUUCUGAGGUGCAUCUUUGUCAGUUAUCCUAUAUGUAUUUAUAUAGAAAAAAAUGUAAUGCAUGUAGUUCCUUUUAGUGUGGGAGUAUGCCAUGUAAAUUCCCGCAUUGUGUUUGUAGCUUAUUUUUUGUGUGUAAUUUCAAUUUAGAGGACAAGUCAUUGUGAUUAAGCUAUGGGUUUGUCUAGGUCUUAGUCGACUGAGACUUCGCGAAGUCUCAGUCAAGCAAUGUAGUAUGCAAGAAGAAAAGAAAACUGAAAAAAAAAUUGUUUGCAUAAAUCUCAAUGCAAGAUCAACAGAUUGUAGUAUCGACUGAGACUUCGCGAAGUCUCAGUCGAUUGAUUUUUAGCAAAGCCGUUAAGCUAUGGUGCUGGAUAAAGGUAUUUUACAGUGUUAGCAACUGCUACUCAUGUCUCACCUGUUGGUUUUGUCGACGGAUCAAAUCACCAGGACCUCUGCACACUCACGUACAAAACAACCAAGCAAGCUGCCUAGCAGGUUUAUUGAUAAACAGUGUACGUGUGUAUAGCCACGUACUUCUGUACGUGAGGGUGGCUUGGGCUAGUAACGACGCGAUCGAUCGAUCGAUCUAGGCGGAUUCUCUCGUAACUUGCGAAUGGAAAACUGAUCGAUUUUGAUGGCUAAAGGCCCGUGUCGAGCCUUUGCUUUGUAUUGCUUUUCUCUUUUCUUGUGAUUACAAGGGGUAGGAGUACACGCAUAUAUAUAUAUAUAUAUAUAUAUAUAUAUAUAUAUGCUGAACAUAGCCUAGGAGCAAACCUAGUCGGCUACUACCUGUACCUGGAGUACUACUCGGAUGCUAAUACAAGUACUACUCAGACUCUAUUGCACGAUCGUGUUUAGCUCUCACAUUCACCACCCUAAACACGACGUCCUCGGUGCGACUUGGAUCCCAAAUGCGACUGCUGUUACUCGUAUGCUUUACUCUUGGCAUUUCUUUUGCCGUUCCUCGUAGCAUUUCAGGGACCGUCUUUGGUGUCGUCGGCUUGUCGAAUGCUUGACACCAACACUCCUUCUUGAUCGCAUCUUCAGUCUUCACCUGUUCUUCGGUACUUACUGGACUAUCUUUCAGAUCCUCGAGAGAACAUCUUUUGAACUCGAGCGAGACCAAACUUCGGUCUAACUUUGAGUUCCUAACUCUUGGCACUUGCUUCAGCCGGUAAAGUACCUUCUUAAGCUUGUAAACUUUCCCUUCUUCGCCUUUCUUCUCGUAGCCAAGGGGUUGUUCCACGUACACUUCCUCUGUGAGGUCAUCGUUGAGAAAAGCGGAUUUAACAUCCAUAUGAUGAACCUUCCAAUCCUCUUCUGCUGCCAAAGCUAGGAGCACUCCCACCGUCUCGAUUCGAGCAACCGAUGUAAACACCUCCUCAUAGUCAACUCCUUCACGUUGUACGUACCUUUUGCAACGAGUCUUGCCUUGUACUUCACAAUGGCACCCUUCGUGUCCUUCUUUAACUUGUAAACCCAGUUCAAACAUAUGGCCUUUUGGUUCGGAGAUCGGGUUACCAAAGUCCACGUGCCAUUGCUCCCGAUCGCCUUCAUCUCCUCAUCCAUGGCGUGCAUCCAACUUGAACUUUUGCUCGCCUCUACGAAGUUCGCCGGCUCCUCAACUCCGAGUAAACACAAAUCGGAGUACUUGAGUGUAACUGGUUUUGCGUACUUGUAGACUUUCUUGAGGGGCUUGUAGCGACGAGGCCCGGAAGAAUCCGUUGUGGCUUGCGAAGGGGGCGACAAAAAUUCUGUCGGCGUCGAUGCACUUGAGGAAGACCGUUGAGUCUCGGGCGUGGUAGAUGCCGGAUCGUUGGCAUCCUCGUCGUCGGCGUAGUCGUCAUGACCAUAACCAUCAUCUUGAUUGUCAUCGUCACUAUGCGCCUCGUUGUCGAGAUCUCCGCCCGUGUCAUGUGCGUCGUUGUUGCUAUCAUCUUGCGACCCAUGCGCGUCGUCGUCGGUGUCGGCACCAUGGUGAUCACUGCCGUUGCGGUCACCUUGGUUGGGCGUCUUGCCAACCACCUGGACGUCUUCCCUUGCAUCAUUAUCAGUUGGAAAUUCAAGUGUGAAUAUGUUAUCAUUUGGAGCAUCAUGGGCUGCUGCGCUCCAAUUCCACGCUUGGUUUUCUUCAAACACAACAUCGCAUGAAAUCCGUAGACGCUUGGUUUGUGGAUCGUAGAAGCGGUAUGCCUUGGUGCCGGAACCCCUCUCGUAUCCGAUGAACACCAUCUUGGUGCUGCGAUCAGCAAGCUUUGAGAGAUGCGGCUCCGUCGUCUUCACAUGCGCCACACACCCAAAUGUCCGUAGAUGAGACACAUUCGGCCUCCGUCCAUAAAUUGCUUCAUAUAGAGUCUUGCCGAUCACUGCCUUCGUUGGAGCCCGGUUGAGAAUAUAGACCGCCAUCGAGACAGCUUCUCCCCAAAAAGUCCCCGGCAAGUUCUUGCUCUUGAGUAAACUUCUCGCCAUGUCAACGACGGUUCGAUUGCACCUUUCAACAACCCCGUUCUAUUGUGGCGUAUAAGGUGCCGUGAGGAACCUCUUUAUGCCAAUCUUCUUGCAGUAGUCGUUGAACUCGUUUGACGUAAACUCUCCGCCGCGAUCUAUCCGUAGAGCGCGAACCUUCAGCUUGUGUUCCAUCUCCGUUGCAGCCUUCGGCUUCUUGAAUGCUUCAAACGCCUCAUCUUUAGAUCGUAGGAGAACGACCCACAUAUAUCUCGAGUAGUCAUCUACCACAAGGAAGAAGUACUUCUUUUCUCCGUGAGUUGCUAGGGUGAUAGCGCCACAUAGAUCACCAUGGAGCAGCUCGAGUGCAUCACUUGCACGAUAGGUAGACUGAGCAGGGAACGGCCUGCGGUGCUGUUUUUCAACCAAGCACCCAUCACAUACUCGAUCAACAUGGUCGAUAAACGGCAUCCCAGAUACCAUCUCUAUCUUCGACAUCUUCUUCAAGGCAUAGAAGUUAACGUGUCCAAAUCUAGCAUGCCAUAACCACAAAUCAUCAUCACUCUUGGCGACCCAACACUCCGGUUGAGAUUGAUCAAUGUUGAGAAUAUAGAGCAUGUUCCGCGUGCGUUUCACAUGCGCUAGCACGUUUCGGAGGUUGUCGAAGAUCGUCAUCACUCCGUUCUUGAUAUCCACCUUGCAUCCAUUCUCGUCAAGUUUCCCGACAGAGAUGAUGUUGUUGUGAAGCCAUGUGAUGUAGUACACUCCGGUGAGUAUGCGAUGUUCUCCUGUGAGACCCUCAAAGAGGAUAGAACCUUGCCCACAAAUCUCCACAUUUGAACCAUCACCAAACUUGACCGAGCCUUGAACAUCAUAUUCUAGCUCGAAGAACUUCUCCUUGCACCCCGUCAUGUGGUUACUGGCACCCGUGUCUAGAUACCACGACAUGUUCUGGCUUCCGGAUAACUUUGGUGUUACUUUUUUCUCAUGAAGUAGCACCUUCCGGCUUGGUUUCACAACCACCAUUUGAACGAGAUCACAAACUUCGGCCAUCAGAAGACCUGGACGUUCGUCUUCUUGCUUCGCCAAAUUUGCCUUGAUCUCACGCUUGUUAGACUCCACGAGAUCACAAACUUUGGCCAUCAGAAGACCUGGACAUACGUCUUCCUACUUCGCCAAAUUUGCCUUGAUCUCCCUCUUGUUAGGCUCCGGACAAUCCUUUGCAAAGUGACCCAUCUCGUUGCAGUUAUAGCACUUGACCUCGGACGUAUCCAAGUUUCGUGGCUUCCGCUCUUUAGAUCGGUCCACCUUACCACGACCUUGUGGCUUGCCUUUUCCUUUUCCUUCUUCAUUUUGUCCGCCGCGCUUCGCGUUGCUUGAGCCUUCGCCAACGUUGCGCCUUCCUUUGCUACUUGGGGACUCCCAAUCUGCGCGCGAGUACAUGAGUUGGUCAUCACCUCCUCCUUUGCCUUUCCGACAGCCACGAGCAUUCUCUUCCCAUGUUCGCAGGCGUCCGAUCGCCUCCGUUAUGGUCAUGUCGUCGAUGUCGUAAAGCUGCUCGAGCGUGCCGAUGAUGUACAUGAAUUUAUCAGUCACCGAACUGAAAAACUUCUCCACAAUCUCGGUCUCCUCGAGCUUUGCACCAAGCGUGCGGAUCUCUCCCACCAAGGUAGUCAGACGCAUGGCAUAGUCGUUCACCGAUUCAGUUUUCUCCAUCUGCAACUUGUGAAAUUGGCGCUUCAGCACUUGUGCCCGAGCCUUCGUGACACGAUCUUCUCCGAUCCUCAUCUCUUUGAGUGCGUUCCACGCCUCUCUUGUUGUCUCAAACUCCGCCAAUGUCAUCAGCACGGAAUCCGGCACAGACUGGGCUAUGGCGGCCAUGGCACCUUCGUCGCACUCCUCGUCGACGUCGUCGUCCGUGAUGGCCUCCCACACUCGAAGGGUUCGGAGAAUGAUCUUCAUCGUCAUCGUCCACACGUCGUAGUUGGCGUCGGUGAGCAUCGGGUACUGGAUGGGGAUGUUGCGAUGCGCCAGUACGUUGGCGCCGCCCGUUCCGCCACCACUAGUCGCUGACUUGCCGCCCUUCUUCACCUUGUCGAUGUUCUUGUUCGCCUGGGAACCGCCGUUGCCGGACUUGUUCCCCUUGGAACCACCAUUGCCGGACUUGACUGACUCAGCGUUGCUGUCCGUCAUCGUAGAUCGUCGAGGCUCUAGAUACCAAUUGUUGGUUUUUGAUCGAUGAUCUGAUUAUCACCGGAGAUAGCGCGCAAGAAAUUGAACGUUUCAAGGCGCGGAUGAAGAAGAAGUUUAGCAUGAGCGAUCUGGGAUUACUCAGCUAUUACUUGGGCAUCGAAGUGAAGCAAAGCUCCGGAGAGAUUUCCCUAUGUCAAUCGGCUUAUGCGAUCAAGCUAUUGGACAAGUGUGGCAUGACAGAAUGCUAUGAGACACAAGCUCCAAUGGACCAACGACACAAGUUGAGCAAGCGUAGCUCAAAUCCGCCGGUGGACACCACAAUGUAUCGAAGCGUUGUGGGAAGCCUAAGAUAUUUGGUGCAUAUCCGACCUGACUUGGCUUAUUCAGUCGGGAUCGUGAGUCGUUUCAUGGAGAAUCCGACAACCGAACACACGAGCACGGUCAGGCAAAUCUUGCGGUAUGUGAAAGGCACUAUUAAUCUUGGCUGCACGUACAGAAAGGGAAAGGAAGGAUUGAUCCUUCAUGGAUACUCAGAUAGUGACAUGGCAGGUGAUGUGGAUGACCGAAAAAGCACAACGGGCAUGGUAUUCUACCUUGGCCCAAAUCCUAUCAGCUCAAAUUCUCAGAAGCAAAAGGUGGUUGCGUUGUCUUCAUGCGAGGCAGAAUACAUAGCGGCAAGCACGGCGGCUUGUCAAGUAGUAUGGCUGAGAAGACUCCUAGCUGAUCUUGCAAAGCGGGAGGUGCAGAAGGUGUCAUUGAAGAUUUAACAACCAAGCUGCAAUCUCUUUGUGCAAAAAUCCGGUUCAUCACGAGAGGAGCAAGCACAUAGAUACUCGGUUCCACCAUAUCCGGGAGUGCAUUGAGGAAGGGAUGAUCGAAGUUCAGCACGUGAACACGAAGGACCAGCUUUCCGACAUUCUCACGAAGCCUCUCGGUCGACAGAAGUUCAUCGAGAUGAGGAAGAAUGUGGGAGUACAAGCAAUGGAGACAAAGCAACUAGAUUAAGGAGGUGAAUGUAAGAGUUAACCUAAUUGUAGUCACGUAUUAGUUUCAAGAGUCCUAGUACGAGUUGGUUGUGUUUUUCACGUGAGUAAACCGGACAAGUGCCUGUACCUGGAGUACUACUCGGAUGCUAAUACAAGUACUACUCGGACUCUAUUGCACGAUCGUGUUUAGCUCUCACAUCACCGCUCAUUACCAGUGGCUUAAUUACAGGUUCGAAUAAUACUACCUAGUUUAAUUUAAUACACUUUGCCGAAUGCUGAUGGAGGAAGAUGAUGGCCUCGAUGAGGUUUCCUUGGUCAGAAAUGAGAUGCACAAGUCAGGUUGGGUUCGGCUUGUGAAGGUGCAUAGGAAAGACAAAGAGGGUCGAGCAGUCGCAACUCGAGGAGCAGCAAAGUCAGCCAUGCCGAUGCUAGCAUGCUCCCGGCGUGCUGAAUGCCAGAAAUGGCUCCUGGCAAUGGCACAAGGGCACAUUGCAUUUUGUUGGGGGAGAAGAGGAGAGGGAGACGAGCUUUAGCCAAGGCCUCGACCCUCGAUGAAGAAAAUGAAAGGCGUGUAGGAGGUUCGGCACCACGGAGGUUCGAUCUCGCCUCCUCAACGCAUUUUCCCCUCCGGCCCACACUCCCCUACCCUAUUCACUGCUCUGCAUAUACAUACAGAUUAACAAUUGUCAAUCCUAUCAUCGCUGUAAAGCCCAUCUACUGAUGAGUCACGCUGUCAAUCAAACUAAUACUCGAUGAGCGUACGCCAAAUCAUUUGCUGAAUGCCACAUGCUCUUCGUUGGUCGCGCUUAGGAACCCACAUGGGACAUGCCUCUCGCAGUCGCAGGUCACAACAACCAACAAUAAUAGAUCAAUGAAUGGUUGAGGAUUCCCCCCUCCGUCCCACUGACCACUGUUCUGCAUACUGAAAUGCACUUACUAGUACAACAUUAACAAUUGCUAAUCCUAUGUCGCUCUAAAGAGUGCAACCUAUCCAGUGAUGAGUCACACUGUCAUUUACACAAAUGCGCGAUGAGGACACGCCAAAUCCUUGCUGAAUGGUGCUGCUGGGUAUGCCAAAUGCGCGACGAGGUCCCAACAAUCCAGAAUGAUAGAUCGAUAAAUGCUUAAACUUUGCAUUAGCCGCCGGACAGCCAUAUGCAUUGUCACUAGAUUGACGUCACUGUAAAGCGUAGCUAACAAUGCACCCCUAAGUAUAGAUUAAAAGGCGCUGAUGAUGAGUGUCACACUGUUAAACCAAUAUGGGACAUGCGUGAUGGAGACCUGGCAAGUCUUGAUUGUUACAAAUUAGAAAAGAGCAAAUUCCAUCCACCUAAGAGCCUGAGACCUGCAUCCCAAAUCCACCUCAAGUAAUCCCUAUAAAUAGUACUUCCUCCUUAAUGAAAUAUAAGAGCGUUUAGAUCACUACUAUAAUAGUGAUCUAAACACUCUUAUAUUUCUUUACAGAGAAGUAUAUUUUGUUUAGUAUCGCAGCUGGCAGACAUCUAUUACUUUUGAAGCCUUAUGCAUUUUCACUAAAUUUAAGCAUUGGAGUGUGUUCUUGGAUGAAGGACGUCACAUGCAGGCCUUGUUCAGGCAACCUAAUUAGGUGAUUGUGUGCAGCUAGCUUCUUUAAAAAUUACAAAUUAACACUUGAUCCUUAUCGGAGAGACUGAGUAUGUGUUGCGGCAUUGUUGUCUAUCCUCGUAACGAGAUCCGGCCUGAUACGCAGUAGUUGUGAGUGUGCAGGCCGUAAAUUAGCAAUUCAACAUCAAUGGGCAAGGUCAUUAGCAGUUACUCCCUCCGUCCCGUAAUGUAAGACGUUUUUUUGACACUAGUAACAUAUAAACAAAUACGCUGACCAAUCAGUACAACAUUAACAAUGAACAAUUAUUAAUCGUAUCAUCAAAGUAAAACCCAUCCGGUGAUGAGUCACACCGUCAAUUAAACUAAUACGCAAUGAGUGCACGCAAAAUCCUUGCUGAAUGGAGCCGCCAGGUAUGCCAAAUGCCCCAUUGCUCUUCGUCGAUCGUGCAUAGGACCCCACAAUAAUAAAUCGAUAAAUGGUUAAACUUUGUGUUAGAUAGCGGGCAACCAUGUAAUAGGAUCAAAGCCGUAUGCCUUUUCACUAAAUUUCAAUCCCUGAUGCAGACUUGGUUCAGGCAGGCGAAUUAGGUGGGUGGGGUUGUUCUUGUCUUUAUGCAUCCUCACUAAAACGUGUUAGAUACAUUCAUAUCUAGACAAAUCUAAGACAAGUCAUUUGAAACGGAGGGAGUAUUAGAAAUGAACAAUGUAUACUUCUAUGUUUGCUGUAGGGUGUCACUGUAAUGCCUAACUAAUGAUGAUUAUUCCCUUAAUUAAAAAGCGCUAAUGGUGAGUGCCACACUGUUGAAUUAAUAUGCAAUGCGAUGGAGGCCUGCAAGCCUUGAUUGAUAAAAAAAGAGAGUAAUAACUUCCAUUAUCUGUCUAAGCAGGACCUAAGAGAUUAAAACCUGCAUCUCAAAUAUGUCUCAACUAAUCCUUGUGUUAGCAUAUAGGAGUAUAUUCUGUUUAGUUCACAGCCACCUUGGACAACUAUUAGCAUCAAAGUUGCAUCUAUUUUCACUAAACUUUAACCGUGAUGUGGGUUGUUAAUGUUGGAGGGAGGACAGUCACAUGCAGGCUUAGUUCAUUAUCAAUAGGGGGCUUGAUUAGAUGAGUGAGUGCAACAAGCUCCUGUAGAAAUAGAAAUCAACAAUAUGAGUGUGUUAAGGUAUCGCUGUCUAUCCUUAUAAUGAGAGCCGGCCUCAUGCAGAGUUAACUAAUGAGUCCAUUGUCAAAAACUAAUGUAUAAGGACUUAAGUGCAGCAAAUUCCUGAUUAAAAGAUAGUUGUGAGUGAGCAGGCCUUUAAUUGCCAUCAAUCAGCAAGGUCAUUACCUAACCAUGACCUGAGAGCUUGAGCCCGGCAUCUCAGAUCCAUUCACACGCAAACGCUCACGGGAAGCGAGAGAAGGAAGCUUGAUCAGUAGCGAUGGAGGCGACCGCAUUGAGCAUCGGCAAGUCUGCGCUGAUCGGGGCACUGGGUUUUGCCAAAUCCGCCGUCGCGGAGGAGGUGGCCCUGUAGCUGGGAGUACAGCGCGACAAGGCCUUCGUCACCGACGAGCUGGAGAUGAUGCAGUCUUUCUUGAUGGUGGCACAUGAUGAGCGGGACGACCACAACAAGGUGAUCAGGACCUGGGUGAAGCAAGUUCGCGACGUCGCCUACGACGUCGAGGAUGGCCUCCAGGACUUCUUUGUCCGCGUUCAUCGGAAAUCCUGGUGGCGCAUCCCUCGCACUUUGCUUGAUCGACGCCAUGUCGCCAAGCAGAUGAAGGAGCUGCGUGCCAAGGUGGAGGAUGUGAGCCAGAGGAACGUGCGGUACCGCCUCAUCGACCGUGGAUCAAAACCCGCUAAUUCUUCUGACCUCAUAUUCACAACCACCACUACAGCCAUGUUCGGUGUUGAUGAAGCAAGAAGGCAUGCUACAGAUCAGCACCAAUCAGGAUUAAGGUUGGAUCUUGCCCAGCUGAUCCUCAGCGACAGAAAAGACUUGGGAUCAGACCAAAUUGGAGUGAUCGGAGUGUGGGGAACAAGUGGCACGGUUGGGCAUACCUCCAUCAUCUUUGAUGCUUACGAGAAUCCAAAUGUCAAAGUCAAAUUCCCAUCCCGAGCGUGGCUUAGGGUGACACGCCCUUUCCACCGGAAACAAUUUGUCCGGAGUAUAGUGGAACAGUUUCGGGCAACCACCAUAGGGGUGGUUGAUUUUCUACUGGAGGCAGAGGGGGAGAAGACUUGGCAUGAGUUGGCACAUGAGUACAGUGAAUAUGUCAGCAAGAAGAGGUACCUGAUUGUGCUUACCGGACUAUCCACCAUUGAAGAAUGGCACCAGAUCAAAAUUUGCUUCCCAGAAAACAAACAGGGGAGCCAUAUCAUAGUAUCCACAGAGCAUGUUGAAGUUGCAAGCCUAUGCCAGGGCCAGGGAAGUACCGUGUCGGAGCUCAAGUAAUUGUCUGCUGAACAGACUAUAUAUGCUUUCUACCAGCAGGUACUACUUCAAUUUUGAACAAAAGUUUUUGGUUCACUCAGUUAGAAAUCUUGAGUUUAUUUAUUUCUUUAGGAAAAAUAUCAUCCAAGAUGUAAACCUUUAGAUCAGCUAUGCAUGGAGUGCUUGAGGCGGGAUCAAUUAAUUUGUGUGUUUGGACAAAGCCAGGAAUGAGAAAUUUCCCGGUGCAAAUCCUCACACGCCAUUGAGAGGAGAAUAAUUAACAUGAAAUGAGUCCACUUCUNNNNNNNNNNNNNNNNNNNNNNNNNNNNNNNNNNNNNNNNNNNNNNNNNNNNNNNNNNNNNNNNNNNNNNNNNNNNNNNNNNNNNNNNNNNNNNNNNNNNNNNNNNNNNNNNNNNNNNNNNNNNNNNNNNNNNNNNNNNNNNNNNNNNNNNNNNNNNNNNNNNNNNNNNNNNNNNNNNNNNNNNNNNNNNNNNNNNNNNNNNNNNNNNNNNNNNNNNNNNNNNNNNNNNNNNNNNNNNNNNNNNNNNNNNNNNNNNNNNNNNNNNNNNNNNNNNNNNNNNNNNNNNNNNNNNNNNNNNCAUCACCAUAGACCUUCACAGUCCUCCCAGAUCUUUUUUCUUCGUCCCUAUAUUCCUUGCUGAUAUUGGUUUCCCCUACGAAGAUCCAUAGGGACAGGUUACCACUCUCCAGUGGGAGAAGACGGCAGGUGACUAGGUUCGGUGGCGAUGUGUCUCAUUGAGGCAUAACGACAAGGGUGAAGGGAGAGAAGAGGUAGAGCAGGGAAUCCAGUAGAUAGGGACAAAAUUAGACUAGUUCUAUUCUUGCUUGCCUUACAUAUUGACAAAACUAAAUCAUAUCGGUGAGGACUCUUUAAUAGAACACUAACUAUAUUUCUUCUCUAUUAAUACGAAUUACAUAAGAACUGGAAUAUUUUGUAGUUUUCGUCCUCCUUGAAUGCUAAAUGGUUGUGGCUUCUAGAGGUGCCUGAGGAGGGUAUACGGACGGCUAAGCGUAUAUGUCUCACCAAGUCACCAUACAUGACAUGUAGGUGGUCAUGCAAUGCUGAGUUCUAAUGUUUUUAGUAACUUUAUGUUCACCCUGCUUGUAGUAGUAGCAAACUUUCUAUGUUCCUCAUGAAUACUUUGUGUUCGUGUACUUUUUCGCUUUUUUAAAAUUUUGGACUGCUUUUAGUAUUUUCGGCAAAGCCAAGCCUUAACAGGUCAUCUCAGCAAAAUUGACUUGUAUACAUGAUAUCCUAGCUUCGAUUUACUAUGUGUGGUUCAUUGUGGUAACAAAAUUGUUGUGUAGCAUCUGGAAAUGCACUGAGCUGAUUCUUCAGUAAGUUUUUGGAAUGAUCCGUCAACUAAAUUUCAUGUAGUUAUUGUUUGCUUGUGUUCAGGGUUCUCAAGACAUGACAUAUUCAUCGAAGCCAACAUCUAGCUCAACGCUACCCUGCAUUGUUGAGGAUGAUAUAAAAGAAUACCAGUCUAAUAAUAAUGUUGACAGAAAGAUGAUAGUGCAAGAAAAUCACACACGCAUCAACAUGAUUGCAUGUGUUUUUGAAGAAUUCCAGCUUGUUGGGCGAGACGAAGAAAAAAUUGCUAUUAUUGAAGUCAUCCGAGAACACGCUUCCACCCCACAAUUUCAGGCGAUAGCAGUGUGGGGAAUGGGUGGUCUUCGAAAAACUACUCUGAUCAAAGAUAUUUAUCAAAGUCAAGAGGUCAAUGACAUGUUUGGUAAACAUGCUUUUGUCACAGUCUUGCGACCUUUCAAGCUUGAGGAGCUCCUGAGGAGCUUAAUAUACCAGUUAGAACCAAAGAAGAGCGCCAUGGACUUUGCAUUUGAUGCCAAAGAAGAUAUUGGUUUGAUGGGGGUUAAAGAGUUGACAGAAGUGUUAUGUAAACGUUCACAAGGAAAAAAAUGUCUGAUUGUUCUCGAUGACCUAUCAUCCACCACUGAAUGGGAUAAAAUAAUGCUGAGUUUACUUGCCAUGAAAAAUCCAAGCUUGGUUAUUGUGAUCACAACAAGGCAAGAGGAUAUUGCUAAACAUUGUUGCAAGAAACCAGAGUACAUGGAACAAAAGGAGUGCAUACACUUUCUUAGUGUUAUACAAGACAAGGAUGCAUGUGAUCUCUUCACAAAAAAAGGUAUUAGAGCUGUUACUUGUAUUUCUUUAGGAUGGGUCAUGUCAGAUUAGUAUAGUGUAGCUCUGCUGGACCACAAUUUGGAAGAGAUACUUCAAAAUGGUUGCAAAACAUAAGAUGCAUCCACCACCAUGACCGAUGUCAUUGGGUCAUCAUGUAGGAAUGUUAUACUUUCAGUAAUUAAACCAAAACACUGAUUAUGUUAACCAUUGUCUGGUUAGGCCAGGUUAGGUUCGUAGCAGACCGACAAUAAUCUAAGGCUUCACCACUACUCUUAUAUCAAAAAUAUACUUGAGGCAAUGGUUAAAACAAUGUCCUGUAAUUAGAACAAGUUUCAUUUCUAUGAAUUUUCCAAUUUGUUCAAAACAAUAUUUUUUUUCAGAUAGUUUAAUAUGAACACGUUACCGUAAUAGUAUAUUCUUUGUUUUCCAUUUUAUAACUUAGUGAUAUCACAUAUUUCAAGCUCUGAAUAUUUAAUUAAUGUGUCCAUGUGAAUUUUAUUACAAAAAUUUGUUAAGAGAUGUGCACAAUAAGUGAACACUUAACUUAUGUAUUGGUCCAUUUUAUAGUAAUCAAUAUAGUUUGAUUUCAUUUGUCUUACAUACAAAAUUACUCCCUCUGUAAACAAAUAUAAGAGCGUUUAGAUCACUACUUUAGUGAUUUAAAUGCUCUUAUAUUUCUUUACGGAGGGAGUACAUGUAUGGAACUAUGUUCUGGCCACGUUGUAUGUUUACUCACCACCAAACUUAACUGAGACAAAUUAGUUAAUAAACAAAGUAGAAAGAUUUGUUUUCUUGCACCCGAUUCAUUUGAUUGUAGUGUAGUAAAAAUACUAAUAUAUUUCUCACCAUUGCAGGUAUUUAAGAAUAAAGUCACAGAUUUGGCUAAGCACUAUCCUUAAUUGGUUGAACCAGCAAAACUAAUCCUAAAGAAGUGUAAUGGACUUCCUCUUGCAAUAGUCACCAUAGGUGGUUUCUUGGCAGACCAACCAACGAAAACUGUGGCAGAGUGGAGGAAAUUGAAUGAGCAUAUCAAUAUUGAGCUGGAGAUGAAUCCAAAAUUCGAGGUCAUAAAAGUGGUCCUCCUGAAAAGUUACGAUGGCUUACCCUAUUACCUCAAGUCUUGUUUUCUGUACCUGUCCAUCUUCCCUGAAGAUCUCAAUGUUAGCCGGAGACGUUUGGUGUGCCGAUGGAUCGCAGAAGGUUACUCGUGGGAUAGAUCGGUAGCCGAUAGAUACUUCACAGAACUCAUUGAGAGAAGCAUGAUUUUACCAACUAAACAGUCAAUUCUUAGCAGGAAAGGAUUCGAUUCGUGCCAGCUACAUGAUCUAAUCCGUGAUCUCAGCAUUGCAAAGUCAAUGGAGGAAAAUCUUGUCUUUAGGUUGGAGGAAGGAUGUAACUCAAAUGCUCGAGGCACAGUGCGUCACCUUUCCAUAAGCAGCAAUUGGGAGGGAGAUGAGCAUGAGUUGGAGAACACUGUGGAGUUGUCCCAUAUACGUUCAUUGACGGUAUUUGGCAAUUGGAGGCCAUUUUACAUAUCUGACAAGAUGAGGUUGCUUCGGGUGCUGGACUUAGAAUCAAGGGAAGGUCUAGCUGAUCAUCGCCUUGAGCACAUUGGAAAUCAUAUCCAUCUGAGAUACCUUUCUCUAAGACGUUGUGAAGGCAUCUUUUACCUCCCAGAUUCGGUGGGUAACCUGAGACAACUUGAGACACUAGAUAUCAAAUUUACAGGGAUAUUUAUGCUUCCCAAAAGUAUCACCAAGCUUAGUAAGCUACGUUUUCUGCAUGCUGGAAAUGUAGAAGGUUAUCCAGAAGAAUCGUCGGCACUAUCAUGUUGCAUACAUACCCCCAUGCACUUUAGUUGGCGACGUGGUGCAUGUGCUCCUUACAUGUGGUACAUGUUGGGUGAUGUACAAGCUUUUUCUCUGAAGGUGCCAAGAGGGAUAGGGAAACUGAAAACCCUGCAGGCGCUGGGGUGCUUGGACCUUGAAAGGGGAAAUGCCGUCAUAAAGGAGAUAAAAGGUCUCACAAGCCUACGCAAGUUAGGAGUACAGUUUGGCAUCACCACAGAAAAUGUGUCGGAAUUCUGUUCGGCCAUUUCCUGUCUGAGACACCUCGAGUCCUUGUCACUGCAGUCACGAGGAGAAAAUUUGUAUGAUUACUUGCAGGGAAUGUCCUCGCCUACGGAAAACCUCCAGAGCCUCAAGCUAUGCGGUUACGUGAAACAACUGCCGGAAUGGGUCAAAGGGCACCGGAAUCUCGUAAAGCUCAAACUACAAUACACCAAUUUGUCAAGCAACUGUGAAACCAUGCAUGUGCUUGGGAACCUACCAAACCUAUCCAUUCUGCUUUUGGAGGAUGAAGCAUUCCAGAUGGAAGGGCCUAUCACUUUCCAGAGUGGCCUUUUCAGAAGCCUCAUGGUACUCGAGUUGUAUUACAUGUCAAUGGAAAUUGUGUCACUAAAGUUUGAGGAAGCAUCAAUGCCAAAACUUGAGGUGCUGAGGCUGGAACUUAUGAAUUGUACAGCUGGCUUGGUUGGGCUGGAAUUUCUCCCAAGCAUCAAGGAAGUGCGGCUCUUUAUCGGUAUUUACCUAGAUGGUAGUAUAACAGAAGAAUAGGCAGAAAAGGAAACAAAUUGUAGGAAGAAGAAAACCACGGAGGACAUUAGGAAGCAGUUCGCCAACAGGAAAAAUAAACCCAUUUUGAAGGUGGAAUGAACUAGCUAGGUGGAGGCACUUGUGUCCUCAUAGGGGUGGAGGCUCAUGCAGCAGGCUGUGUAUUUGUUUUUUCAGAUCCUACUAUGUAGCUUGUUACUACUUUCUUGUCGUGCUGGCUUCAGGGCAGUAAUUUUGUAAUAAACACUACUUCUCUUCGUGCUGAUCUACAUAGCUUGUCAUUAGGAAAAGUCUCUAUGUCAUGUAUCAGCAAACUGCAAAAGCAUGUAAUCAUUUGUGAGGAACAUUACCCACCAGGACCAGCCUCUGCAAAAGCAUAUACUCUGCUCUCUGAAGAACUGUCUUCCUGAAGGAUAUCUGUGAUAAGUAUUGGUUCCCUCGGCUCAUCGGUCCCGUUGGGCAUAGAACACCUGGUAUGUUCUGUCUUCAGAAGCGACAGAGGGAAGACCCUGAAAGGUGAGGACUCCCCUUUGUCUUUGUGGCAUUCAGGCCAGGAGUUGUUAUGGAGCUAUAAUUUGGCUUAAUGUAGUAAUUAACCAACAAUUUAUCCUUUUUCAUCCGAAGGUUCUUGAGCAGAGAGAGGAUAAAGUUGCAUCUGGGAGUACCAUCUAUGGAUCAAGCCAUACGUAUGUAACGCUGACAAAAAAAUCUAGUCAUCUGGACAAUAUUUUUUGAUGGUUUCCUGUUCCGAUCUAACCAUAUGGAGAACUCAUUUUGUAUUUUGCUACUUUUCUGAUGGUUUCCUGUUUCGAUCCAACCACAAGAACAGGAUAAACUUUUUUUUGAAGGUACGUCAAAGACGUACCAUAACUUUAUAAAAAAAGAGUAUUUGUAUAAGAAGUUACAAACAAGCUAGUAAGGCAUCGCCGAACGAUUCCUAAACCAGCAUCCACCCCAUCUUAAGCUAGACAACUACUCACUAUAAUGAGAAACUCCAGUGGCUACUGCCCUAGCCCAAAGUCCUAGCUCUUGACAAAUCAAAUUUAUGGUGCCCCAUUCAUCACAAAUCGCACUCCUCUCAAAUACCCUACCGUUCCUUUGCUUCCAAAGGCACCAAUAGAUGAGCGUGAUAAAUGUGUCAAAACCCUUCCGAUACAUUUUUGAGAUGCGCCUUCUCGCCGCCGACCACCAGUCCUCGUUCCUAGCAUGGACAGAUGGGCACAGGGCCAACUCGAUCCCCAAUCUGGAGAAAUAGAGGAAUCACACUUGCCGAACAAAGACACACUGCAGCAAAAUAUAUAUAGUCGACUGUGUCCUGAUAAAAAAAAGCAUGGUGAGCUCUGAUCUUGCAAGCCAUGUCCAUGCCUUCUAUCCGAAGCUCAAAGCUGCGGUUAAAAGGGUGGGCUUUUGAAUUCCUGUACCUGCUUUGGUGAUUACCGAAAAAGGGUUUCGCCCCACUUUAUAAAUAAAGCAAACUGCUCAAGCCAACAUCCAACAAGGUUUCACACACGUACACACACACACACACACGAAGGUCUCACAAGCACAAAUGAGUAUACAAAGGGUUAAUGCUGAGGGCACAACACAACAAGCCCAGAAAACAAAACACACACUCAGCCCAGCAACCCCGAGUAGCAUCUAGUCAGGCUCCGGGGGAGGGGUGGCAGCAGGGGCGCCACGCAGAAGGCCAUCGAGCGAAGGUCGGCGAGGAGGAUGUUGAUGGCGUCCUGAUCCUGCUUUGGUGAUUCAUCAAGAUUUUCUCAUGGUUCUAUAUUUGCAGUUUAAUAUUCUUGCGACAGUCGGUUAUUCUCGGGGUGUACAGAGCAACAGAAAAUGCAUUCUUUUAACAGUCCAUUAUUCAUUAAUUUUUGCGACAGUCAGUUAUUCUCGGGGUGUACAGAGCAACAGAAAAUACAUUCUUGCGACAGUCAGUUAUUCUUGCAACAGCCAGUUAUUCUUUUAACAUGCUUAAUUUUUGGCAAGUUAAAAAUUUCUGACUGCUUUAAAAUUUUGGAGUCCACAGUCCAGUAGGAUGCAUGGUGUUGGUGUGUACUAGAGCAAUAGAUGGACGUUUCAAGCUGCGUCUGUGCAGCAAUUUUAGCAGUCAACUCAAGAAACUAUGCUUGAUUUUCAACCCAACAACCCACAACGUGCAUGCACGUUCACCAUAGAUCUUGAUAAAUAGUCAAACUUUGUGCUGGCAUAUACUACUCCAUGAUGGACAGCUAUUAGCAUCAAAGCCGUAUGGAUUGAUUUUUUUUUCUAAACUUUAAUCCAUAACGUGGGUUGCUGGAUGAAGGGCCUCACAUGCAUGCUUGGUCCAAGCAGCUUGACUAGGGGACAUAAUAGAAUUAACUACUAUGCAAAUCUUGAUUAUAGGCCUGGCAAUUUUGAUUAACAAUUGGUUGAAGUUGUGAAUCAUCGAGGCCGCGCAUGAACUUCCAUUAUCUACCAAAACAUGGCAUUAGAAAAUGGAUAUACGAAUACAACGGUACAACAAAAGGGAUAUACGUGACCUGCUAUACAAUUAGAGCCCUCAGACCUGCGUUUUCAGAUCUCAUCCACACACAAAUGCUCACAGGGAGAGGUCGGGAGAGAGAAGCUCAAUCGACACCGAUGGAGUCCACGGCGGUGAGCAUCGGCAAGUCCGUGCUGAAAGGAGCGCUUGGAUGCGCCAAAUCCGCCAUCAUGGAGGACACGGCCAUGGAGCUCGGAGUCCAACACGACAAGGCCUUCAUCACGGACGAGCUGCAGAUGAUGCAGUCUUUCCUGAUGGUGGCACACGAUGAUGAGCAAGAUGACCACGUCAACAAGGUGGUCACGACCUGGGCGAACCAGGUCCGCGACGUCGCCUACGACGUCGAGGAUGGCCUCAAGGACAUCGUCGUCCGCAUCCACGGGCAAUCCUGCUGGGGAAUCCCUCGCACACUCCUCGACCGGCGCCAUGUCGUCGAGCAGAUGAAGGAGUUGCGUGCCAAGGUGGAGGACGUGAGCCAGAGGAAUGCAUGCUACCGCCUCAUCGACGGUGCGUCCAAAGCUCCCGACCUCUCCAUCAACACCGGCGCUGCUGAUGCCAUGCUCGGCGUUGAUGAAGCAACAAGACAUGCCAUGAAUCAGCAUGGAUCAAGACCAGUGAUAGAUCUCGCCCAGCUGAUCGUCAGGGAUGUCCCGGGCUCGGGCUCGGGCUCGGGCUCUGGCCAAAUUGGAGUGAUCGGAGUGUGGGGAACAAGUGGCACCGCUGGGCAUACCUCCAUCAUCCUGGAGGCCUAUGACAAUCCAGCCAUAAAAGUGCAAUUUCCAUGCCGCGCGUGGGUCAGAGUGACGCGGCCUUUCCAACCCCAAGAGUUUGUCCAAAGUAUGGUGGAGCAGUUUCAAGAAACUUUUGUAGAGGUGGCUGAUUCUCCUUUGGAGCUGGAGCUGGAGGAGGCAAAGCCGGGUCGAGAGUUGGCACGCCAAGACGGCGUGUACAUCAUCAACAAGAGGUACCUCAUUGUGCUUACGGACCUAUCCACCAUGGAAGAGUGGCAGCAGAUCAAGGCUUGCUUCCCUGAAAACAAAAUGGGGAGCCAAAUCGUAGUGUCUGCGGAGCGAGUUGAAGUUGCAAGCUUGUGUCCAGGCCAGAAAAGUAUGGUUUCCAAGCUGAAGAAAUUGUCUGCUGAGCAGACCAUCUAUGCUUUCCACCAGCAGGUACUAGCUAGUUCAAUUUUGGAAAUAGCUUUUUGUUAUUCUUUCAUCUUGCUCCAAAUCAUGGUUAUACCGAGAAAGGCUUUCGCCCCGCUUUAUAUAUAAAGCAAACCGCCACAGAGCACACAUUUAAUACCCUCAUUUAUUUGUUCUAUAGUCACGCUAGCAUUAGUAUCCUACUAUUAUAUAGAUUAGAUGCGUCUCUAGAUAUUAGCUGAAGUUUUUUUUUCUCUUUUAGACAUAUCACCGAAAAUAUGGGCCAGUAAACACCUGCGCAAAGCUAAAUUAUCUUGACGCGUUGUGGUCUUGUGGUACAUCCCACGCAGAUUAAUUUGUGUGUUGCACAAGGUUAGCCAAGGUGGCCAACUGGGACCGUUGUGGAACUCCUCUUGAUGACCCCGGUAACAGCCCCCUCACCAGAGACAUAUGCAACCUCCAAGAUCAGUCACCAACCCUGUAUUUCUUAUUGAUGCCACUGCACCGUUCCAUUGGAGAGGUUGCCAUGUUGGGAUGGGUAUGCUGCCAUCUAGUGUAGUACAUGGAUAAUGUUGUGAUGGUUUGAUAAAUUUGAAAAAAAAAAGGCAGCGGUGCAUGUAGCUCCCGCUUGCGCAGGGUCCGACCACUUUGGGUCUAUUGUACGCAGUCUUUCCCUACAUUUCUAUAAGAUGCUGUUUCCAGGACUUGGCGGCAGCUUUACCACUGCGCCAAGGCUCCCCUUCAUAAAUUUGAAAUUACAAGAACAAUUUUGGCAUACCUAUUGCUAAUAUGUAAAUGAAUUUCAUGUUUUCUUUGGUCAUGUGAGUGCGAUGUUUUUCAUUAACUUUAUAUUCUGUUGUAGUAUUGCUCAACUUUUGACAUGAUUCAAGAAUAAUUGAAGUCCAUGGUCAUGUAUGUUUUUCUUUACUAAUUACUCACCCGCUUUCAGAAUUUCUUGGCAAAAUCAAACGUGAUGUGAGCAAAACUGACUUGUAUACAUGCCAUUUGAUCUUGAUUUAAGGUCCAUUGUGACUUUAAUAUUGUUGUCUAGCUUAGGACAUAUAUAUGUGUUGAACAGAUGCAUAUUAUUAUUUCGAGUGAUUUAUAGUUGAAAACGUGUCUUCUGUUUGUGUUCAGAGCUUUCAAGACACAACAUAUUCAUCAAAGGCAACGUCGAGCUUAGUGUUACACCACACCAUUGAGAAUGAGAUACAAAAAGGCCAAUCUUAUUCUGAAGAUGAUGACAUGACAAUGAUCCAAGAGAGCCUCACACACACCAGUAAUGUGCUAGGUCCUGUAGAAGAAUUUCAGCUUAUUGGGCGGGAGAAAGAAAUAUCUGAUAUUAUUGAAUUGAUUCUAGAACACUCUGGCACCCAACAACAAAAUCAGGUCAUUGCAGUGUGGGGAAAGGGUGGUGUUGGGAAAAGCACUCUGAUCAAUGAUAUUUACCGUAGCCAAGAGGUCAAUCAAAUGUUUGAAAAGCAUGCCUAUGUCACAGUCUUGCAACCUUUCAAGCUUGAGAGGCUCAUUAGCAGCUUAGCAUUUCAACUAGAUGCAAGGAAAGUUGCUUCAACGAAAGUUGCAGACUUUACUAGAGUGUUGGACCGGUGUUUACAAGAAAAGAGUUGCUUGAUUGUUCUUGAUGACCUCUCGUCUACCAUGGAAUGGGAUAUAAUAUUGCCAUGUUUGCUGGCAAUGAAUAGUCCAAGCUUGGUUAUUCUGAUAACCACAAGGCAUGAGGAUAUUGCUAAGCAUUGUUGCAAAAACACAAAGUGCAUACGCUUGCUCAAUGGUCUAAAUGAAAAGGGUGCUUGUGACCUCUUCACAGAAAAGGUACUGAUAGAAUACUACCCAUAUUAUUCACUUUCUUAAUUGCAAAAAUAUAUAGUUCCCUUUAUCUAGAUCUUCGAAGGGUCAUAUUUCAGAUUAGCAUACUGUAAGCACAACACAACCAUCCCCCUUUACAAGAGAUAAUUCAGAGUGGGUUGCAAGAACGUAAAUUCGGCUAUCAUGUUGUAGGGCAAUAUUUAGGAAUCAUAUACAUUGACAUGCUAGGUGUGAAACCAAAAUACUGAUUACAUGAACCCAUUUCCCGAGUUAGGCCAGGUUAGCUAGCAUUAGAAUCAAGCUGGCAAAUUCCAUGACUUCACUACUUCCCUUACCAAAUUAUAUGGGAACAAUGUUUUGAAAGAAUCAUGUAACUAUAAUGAAUACAAUUUAAUCAUUUUUCCAUAUUUUUGAAACUACGUGCUCUCCAAACAGGUUGGUUUAUGUACAUGGUGCUAGAAAAGUACUUCUCCUUUUCCCCUUUUGUACAAACUGAGCCAAAUAACAUAAGCAUCUUUCCAAGAAUUACUAAAAAAAAUAUACAUAUAGAGAAUGGAUGGAAACAUGCGUUGAUGUUAAAUUUGGUACAAAGUAUGUUUGGGUGAUGAACAUGAUAAGUAUAACUCAACUUGUAUUAUAAUAACAGAUAGUGUUUCAUAUUUCAGUUUUAGAAUUCGUACAUACAGAACUAUGUCCUAGUCACUCCAAUUAAAAAAAUAGAUAAUGAAAGAAAUAUUUCUAAUUGCAUUCCUGAUGUUUAUUACCAAGUCAAUAGAAAACAUAGCCUAUUGCGUACUAGCCACCCAAACAUGCACAUGAUAGACAAAAAAAUAAACUCUGUACACUAGUUUCCAUACACCUGACUCAUCUUAAUUACACAGUGGUCAAAACUAAUUAUAUGUUAACCAAUUGCAGGUAUUUAAGGAUAAAGCCACAGAUUUGACUAAGCAUUAUCCUGAAUUGGUUGAACCCGCAAAUCUGAUCCUAAAGAAGUGCAAUGGACUUCCCCUUGCGAUACUCACCAUAGGUGGAUUUUUGGCGGCACAACCAACAAAAACUGUCGGGGAGUGGAUGAAACUGGAUCGAUGUAUCAGUCUGGAGAGGGAGAUGAAUCCAAAGUUUGAGGGUGUAAAAACAGUGCUUCUGAAAAGUUAUGAUGGCCUACCCUAUUACCUCAAGUCCUGCAUCUUGUACUUAUCCAUCUUCCUUGAAGAUCACAUAGUUAGCCGGAGACGUUUGGUGUGCCGAUGGGUUGCAGAAGGUUACUCAGAGGAUACAUCCACGGCCAAAAGAUACUUCAUGGAACUUCUAGAGAGAAGCAUGAUAUUACCAACUCAGAUUUCACUUUGCAGCAUACAAGGAACUAACUCAUGUCAAGUACAUGAUCCGAUCCGUGAUAUCAUCAUAGAAAAGUCAAUGCAGGAAAAUCUUGUUUUCAGGCUGGAGGAAGGAUGCAACUCAAACAACCAAGGCACAUUCCGUCACCUUGCCAUAAGCAGUAAUUGGGAUGGAGACAAAGGUCAGUUUGAGGCCACCAUGAAGUUGUCAUGUAUACGGUCAUUGACGGUGUUUGGCGAGUGGAGGCCAUUUUAUAUUUCUGACAAGAUGAGAUUUCUUCGUGUGUUGGACCUCGAAGGAACUGAAGAUCUAGCCGAUCAUCACCUUGAGCACAUUGGGAAUCAUCUUCAUCUGAGAUACCUUUCUCUAAGAGGGUGUGAAGGGAUAUAUUACCUGCCAGAUUCAGUGGGUAACCUGCGACAACUUGAGACACUAGACAUCAAAAAUACAAGAAUAACAAGGUUGCCAAGAACCAUCGCCAAGCUUAGCAAGCUAUGUCAACUGAAAGCUGGCAAUGAAUUCUAUAUCGGAGAAGAACGACCAUCACUAGCAUGUUGUGUACCUUUCGCUUCUUGUUGCGCGAUGGUCAUACAAGCUUAUGCUGUUAAGGUGCCAGUAGGGAUCGGGGAACUGAAAUCCCUGAACACACUGCGAUGUGUGCACCUUGAAUGGGAAAAUGCCAUCAUACAAGAGAUAGGAGGUCUCACCAACCUCCGCAAGUUAGGAGUGUUUGGCAUUGACAGGGGUAAUGGCCCGGAGUUUUGUUCAGCCAUUUCAGGUCUUGGCCGCCUUGAAUCUUUGUCAGUGCGGUCAGAGGUAUGGGAUUUAUGUGACAUCUUGAAUGGCAUGUCCUCGCCUCCAGAAAAUCUCCGGAGCCUCAAGCUUCUCGGUUGGAUGGAUGAACUGCCGCAAUGGAUCAAGGUGCUCCAGAAUUUGGUGAAGAUUAAGCUGGAAUCCACCGAGGUGUCUAUUAACGAUGAAGACAUGCGAAUCCUUGGGAACCUACCAAACCUAUCCAUUCUGUCUAUCAUGGAGAAAUCGUUCCAGAGUGCACUACCUAUCACUUUCCAUAGUGGCCUUUUCAGAAGCCUCGUGAGGCUCGAGCUUGUUUACAUGGACGUGGAGGUCGGAUCGUUGGAGUUUGAGGCAUCAUCGAUGCCCAAACUCGAGGUGCUGAACCUGCGACUUAUCGAUUGUGAAAUCAGCUUUUCUGGACUGGAAUUUAUCCCGAGCAUCAAGGAAGUGCGGCUCUUGGUCGUCGUUACCCCAACACUCAUCGCACGAAAGGAAAAUAUGACCGAAGAAGAAGCAGAAGAGGAGGCAAGACACAGGGAAGACAAAGUCAAGGCAGACAUGAGGAAGCAGCUCGCCAACAAUGAAAACUGCCCCAUUAUGAACGAGCUAGGUCCACAAAUUGUUUUCUGAACCUACUAUGCUGCAUAGUAGAUUCAACCCGCGGGCUUAUGUCGGCGAGGGGUCUCGACUUGUUGGCCUACUUGCCAGUGUGUUUCUUUAUGUUCCAGUUUAGGCAGCGGUUUCAUCUUAUGUUGUGUAGUUUCUGAGUUUUAAGUUCAUGUGUAAUUGUUCAUUUCAUUUUCCUUGAACUGGCCUUGGGCAAUAACUUUGUAACUGGACAUCACUUCUACUUUGGCUUGCCAUUACCUCUGUGUACUUCUUCUUCGACCAUAUUUUUCGACAAAUGUAAUUCAUGAACCUCAUCAACUUGUUACCAUUUGUUCAGAAGAAUGCUUCAUUAUAGAUGGUUCUGCAUGCCUAGAUGUUCAUUAGAGAUGAUUCUGCCUAGAUGAUUCCUGAACCUCAUGAACUUGGUAGACCAUGUAAUGUCACUCAUGUACUACUGAAGCGCCAUUAAUUUGACACUACAAAAGUUCAGUAUGGUAAUUGCCACUCAGUUACCACUGAAACACCAUUAAGCUAAGGGUACACAUUGUCCUAGCUGGUUCUGACUAGAUGUUCAUUGUCAAUCAACAUUUAUACAUGUGUGACAUGCAUCUGGAAUGAUUCAGCUUAGCUACCAUACACAGAUUUCCCGAUUGAAAGGAGAAUCGACAGAACACGACUGACCGAACUUGCUGCUCCCGGCUAAUUAACUACGCGGAGGUGGUUCUCUCCAUGCUAUUGGUCCUCGCGUUCUCCCGCAUCUUCUCAACGAUGUGCCGGCCCUUCUCCUCCACCUGCCGCCGCUUCUCCUCCAGCUUG